rnacentral:lncRNA from 1 species
AAUUCAAAACUUCCGUUGAUUUAAAACUUUUAUUGCCUAUUAUUGAUUUCUGUUCGUGGAUUCCUGCUGAAAAUUCAAGAGAUUGACAAACCGCUCUCCUACAUAUAAAUUUAAAUACUGACAUGGAGGUCUGGUUGCAAGCCGACAAAUCAACUCGACUAGAUUCAUCAUCAACAAUAUGUAUUAAUUUGAGCUUGAAUAAACUAUUAUUAAUUUCCUACUUUUCCAAUUCUCAGAUAAACUGGAAAUCGAGCAACCUUUUUACUCUGGCCAUCUGAAUUCCAAGCAACUUUAAACUUCUCCAUCAUAUUGUCUGUCAAAAGCUCAACACCCCUGUUCUUAGCCGUCUGAUAACCUGAACUUGACCGUAUGAACGUUAAGUAAUCAUCUAAAUCCAUCAACUUCUCUAAAACAAACUGAUCAAACGGCCCCGUAUUAUCCACCCCAUCUACAGGCUCAAAUGGAAAAUCAAUGCUCAUGUACUUGUUCUCCACCAAUUUAUGUUGUGGUUGCCGAAAUGGCUCAUAAUCAACGGAGUGAAAUGACUUGAAAACUGCAUCUACGGACUCGUUGAUUUCGGGCCAGUAGUAGGUCCAUGCCGCUAUUACUCCAUUAGGUUUUUUGAGUACCCAUUUUACUUGUUUGUAAAAUUGAGGCAAGUCAAACCAAUGUAGUGCUGUAGCAAUUGUCACUAGAUCUACACUUGAUUGUGUUGCCACAUUUUGUUCAAGCUCAGUUAUGGACAUGGUUGGAGGAGUAAGUUGAUACCGAAUGUUGGGGAGCUUUAUUGCGAAUUCUAGCUGCUUUGGGCUUGUGUCUGUAGCAAUGACAUUCUUGUAGAUUGGUGCAAGCUGAAGACAUAAUUGAGAAAAAAUAUAAAAUAUAGGAGGCUAUAACAAAAGUACACAAAAUUGAGAAGGCCAUAUAUAAAAAUUACAUAGACAUGGUGAAAUUUCAACCCAUACUCAGUUUUUGUGUUUUUUUUUUUUUCAUCCUCAAGGUUGCCGGGAUACUCUAGUUCCCCCCUCGGUAGUUAGAUAAGAUUUUUCUGUACUAGUCUCACGACUAAAUUUCCAGAUAAUGUGGAUAUUGAUUUGUAGAUAAUACAUACAUAAUUAAUCAAUGAAAAUAAUAGGGAUUUAACUAGGGAUUGGCAAUGGGAGGAGAUCGACAUUCCUGUAUCUAUUUCUGAUACUCUACUUGUAUCCUUCUACUCUCCCCGUCCUUUUUAAAAUUGCUUGAGGAUAGGGAUGGGGAUCCCCAAAAACACCCGAUCCCGAACAACUGAUUUUUGAACUUGAUUUAAUCAUAUUAAAGUAAAAAAAUAAAUCAUUUAACAACACAAACACAUCAAAACAAACUAAAAUCAUUAAAAUCAUUUUCAUCAAACUAAUUAAGUUAGUGUCAUCAAAAUUACAAGAUAAUCGAUGAAAUUAAGUAAAAAUAGAACUUCAGGGUUGAACACAUACAUAAAAGUUACAUGGUAUAAACCAUUAAGAAAAUUAUCUUCGUCAAUCUUCAAGUGUUCAUAUCUAUUAUGAUAUUUUUUUUAUUUAUAUCCAUACCAUCACAAUUUAAAUUUUAAAUAUAAUUACUAAAAAUUUUCACAGAAAUAAAAUAAAAUAAAAAAUGGGGAAACGAGAGAGAUGAGGAAUUCACUGAAUCCUCAUCUUCUCCCUGUAUAAGAUAUUGAGUGUUAAGUUAUCUCUGUUCGUUCCCCGAAUUUUAAUUAAGAUACAAAAUUGUUCCCACACCCUACACAAAUGGGAAAAAUCCUUCAAGAUUCGUCCCAUGAGAAUUUCUGCUAUCCCUGAAUUUAACAGUUAUAUAAUUCAACUUUCUUAUAGCUUGGGAUCAGAAUUCUGAAAUAUUAAUAUCGAACUUUUGUAUUAUUCAAAAAUUAAAUCUAAAGAUGUGAAAAGUAAACUUACGGAUGCAGCGGCCUGGCCGCUUCCGGUGCCGACGUCCCAUACAAGCUCGUGUUUGGGUGUUUUAGAGGCAAUGAAUUUGAACAAUUCUUCUGGAUAAUUUGGUCGUGCUUCCGCGUAUUGCUUUGCCUGCUUAACGAACAUAUCUGCCAUCUUUUCUGUUUUUUUCUAAAUAAGUGUUGACAAUAGAAUUGAGAUAAAUCUACUGAUCACUUGUUUCGUUUCUUCUUUAUAUAGGUUUUAGAAUUUGAUGUAGUAGACGAACAGACAAAUUUUAGUUAGAAAUUAAUUUGGUAUGGUUUAUCUGGGGAAGCCCAGAACGAGGACAAGCUCAUAAAGCGUUAAAUUUUGACCGAACUUUUCAUUCUUCCUUUAAUUUUCAAAGAUUCCCUUUUCUUCGCAAAGAUGAUGGUAUGGACUUCAUCAAUGAGCCCACAUCAACUCCACUUAGAGAAUUUUUUUGGGAUAAUUUUGUCAUUAAUUUAAGCUGUUAAAGGUAUCUAAAGAAGUAUUGAACUACUACUUUGCUCUCUUAUGGGGUUAAGAUGGCGGAGUUUAAAGGCAGAUUCACCUCAUGACCAUUAGGAGUUCAAGCUUCCAAUGGAGAAAAUAAUUUAAAAAAAAGUAAUGAGAUGAUUGUUUGAAUUAUUAAUUAGAACCAUUAAAUUUAUUAAAAUAAUCGUGUUAAAUUUAUAAAAAUAGGUCCACAAAUUCAUAAACCUAUAAAAUUUAAAUUUUGACUUUGAAACAUAUAAAAGCUCAUGCUUUAAUUAAAAAAAUAAAUGUUUACAGUAGUCAAAUUUAUUAUUAUUUAAUUUAGCCCUAUUAAAUUUACUAAAGUAACCUCUACAAACUCAUUAAUCUAUAAAAUUUUAGUAUUGAUUACAUUUUGUUAUUAUAUAAUUUAAUCCUCUGAAUUCGCUACCAUUUGGAAUUGGCUCUCUAUUAUUACUCGAUCUAGUCCAAGUUCAAUCAAAGUUGGCUCUCUAUUAUUACUUGUUCUAGUCCAAGUUCAAUCAAAGUUGGCUGUCUAUCAUUGACACUUCUCGUUCAGGUUCAAUGAAAGAGAUCAAAGCAGAGUUUGUUUGCGAUUCAGUUUGUGUAAAUGCAUGUAGGUCCAGGUUGUCUUAUUUUGUGGUCCACUGGUGUAAAGAAUUUAAAAAGUAAUUGGAUAAGAGGAUGCGUCUUGGAUGAUGAAAUGAAGCAAUAACACAUCUUCAUGUGCAGUUUUUACGACGUGCACUCGGUAUGAUUAUGAAUAAAAAAAUUAUUAUCCUGUGGUGUAUUUUUUAUCCUGUAAUUAAUUUUGUUUGUCUUUUAAUAUUGUGUGCUUUUAUAUUAUUUUUUGUACACGUGUCAUUCAUUGUUUCACUACUAUUACCAUGCUCCUAAAAACCUUACUUUUUUUUUUUUUCGGAAGAUGCCGCAUUUGCUUGAUUUCAACAUUGGCAUGCUCGUCCUUCUUACGCUUUUGUCUUUCUAUAAUCAUCAUAUUCAAUGGCAAAAUUUCAACAAGAUAGAGCAAACAUUCAACAAAGAUAAGUCUUCUUAUUGGAUUAGGCAUAGAUUUUUAAUUAAUUUGUUAUGGAAGUUGGUGGCUAUCCACUAUCAGCUUAGAUCAAUUUAACUAGCUAUACUUAAUUAGCUAAGUUAUUUGGGUGAGCAAAGUCUGUUAGUAGUAAAGCUCGGAAAAUCACCUAAGAAAAAUUGAAAAAGGACCAUCAAAUAUACACAGUUUGCUUUGAUUGGCCAUUCAACAAAGCAUCUGAAGAGAUUGGAUGGCUAAAGAGCUAAGGCUUGGCUUUGUUUUGAUUGGCUAAUGGAUCCUAUAAAUAGAGAGCACUGCUCUUCGUGAUUUGUAUCCUAAAUUGAAACCUCAUCAAUUACAAAAAUAUCACCUUCCUUUGUAUCAUCUAUAUAUUAAUUUAUACUUUCUACAUAUAUGUUGUCAAUGAUUAUAACACGUUAUUAGUUAGCACGACAAUCAUUUUGGUACAGGAAGUAUCUUAUCCCCUGCUCUUUUAUUUUAUCUAUUUAAUUAAUAAAGCUAUCUUUAUAAAUAUACUCUGAAGUUGUCAUUAAUUUGGAUCUUCCACAUAAAAAAAAUAUGACUAGCUAUUGUAUUUCUUCUUGUUUAUUUUAUUUUAUUUUUAUAAUAGAGGGGCUCUAGAACGAGCUAAGGUAAAACAUAUAGGGAGUAAAUAAUCCCAUACAAAUCAUUUGCAAUAAAACUAACAACCCCUGGAGGAGGAAUAGAAAAAAGAUGCAAUCCCAAGGGCAGCUCCAAGGCAUAAUUUGUUAGGAAGUCCGCUGCGAAAUUUGCUUCACGAUAUAUGUGGUUGAUGGUUAUAACCCAAUUUCGCUUGAUGAGAUCUCUAAUGGAGCGGAUGAGGUGGGUAUACUCGUUGAUGCUCUCCAUCUCUAAUGGAGCGGAUGAGGUGGGUAUACUCGUUGAUGCUCUCCCUGUGGCUGUUAACCAUCUGAACAACACAGUGGCUAUCCACUUCCACGUGUAAAAACCAAGCACCAUGUUGCCAUGUUAAAAUUAAUCCUUGGUAAAGGCCCCAAAGUUCUGCUGCAAUAACUGAACAGACGCCUAUGUUGAAGCCAAAGCCAGUGAGCCACAUGCCUUGGUGGUUGUGUAUGAGACCUCCAGCACUUGAUGCCCCCAACUCUUUUCUUGCUCUGUCUGUGUUUAGCUUGCACCAGGGCCAGUUAGGUAACUUCCAGGUGAUCAAUCUCUCAAUUUCUCUUGAUCUCAACAACCAAAGAUGAGUUGUUGAUGUUCUAAAUCUCCUCAACUCUAGCUUUAAUAUCUUGUAUUAUACUAAUACUGUCCAUUAUAAAUAAAGAUAAAACAAAACCUUUUUCAAGUCACGGUGUUGUGCAAAUUUUAUUGAACUCGCAAGUGCACGAAUCUAUUGUAGAAUAGACUAAUGGUGACGAGUGUCGAUCCCACGAGAAGGUGGAUUUUAAUUGUGUGUAGAAUUAAUUUUGUAAAUGGGUGGUUGGAUUUGUGGUGAAAAUGAUUUGGAUUAUCCUAAAAUUCGAAUUAAGAUGGCAAGAGUAAAUUGAAGUGAAAAUAUAUUAAAUUGACGUACUUGGGUAUCUGGAUCCGUAUCAACAUGCAUCAUGGGCUAAAUAUUCUUUAUUAAUACCAAUUAAAUCAUGAGGGGGGAAUCCACAUCUCAUGAACCACACUCUAAUCAAUAUGGUGCUAAGGGCUUAUCGUGCCAAAUAAUACUAACCUUGUAUUAGGAAGCCAGUGAAACCAAGGCGGUACUAAACAAGAUUAUUAUUAUUUGUCGACGAGAAGUCAAAACAUCCACAAACACUAGAGGGGAAUAGAAAAUAAAUUUACCAAAUAAAGCCCAUGACACAUGUUGAGACUUCACCUUCAACCCAAGCUUGAAAGAAAAUUAGUCACUCAUAAUUGAACUAGGGGAAAAAUGGGAAUUUAUUAAAAUACGUAGAAAAUACAAGAUAGAGAAGGAAUUAUAGAUCCCAAAAAUGGAUUCAGAGAUAUCAAAUUAGGGGGGGAGGCCCCCUUUUUAUAGAUACAUUGAGUAAAUCAUGGCCAUCGGAUUAAAAACAGUUUGGACGCUCAGGAUUGCGCCACGUCAUCAGUCAAUAGUACGCGGUUUGACCACGCGGGUGAACAGUAACACGGUUUGACCGACUUUGAACAGUAACGCGGUUUGGUUGAAAAUAAUCCUGUGUAAUGCAUGUACCGUACGCGCAAGUUUUGGUCCACUAAUAUGCUGCCACGUCACCAUCAACAGUUCAUAAGAAUUUUAGACCAACAGAAUCAUGACACCUCAUCAGUCAAUGCCAUGUCAUCAAUCCGUCUAUGUGAACAGUGUCGUGAACAGUAACGUAGACAGUACCGUACAUGUAAAUAGUACCGUACAUGUGAACAAUGCCAUUUUUCCUUUUAUGCUCCUCCUAAGGUUUUCGACCGUCCUGAGUUCAAAAGUGAUGUCCGUUUUGCCGUCUGAUCUCUCGUUUAUUGUGAAAUGACCAUGAUGCCCCUAAAAUACAUAAAAUACUUAAUUAAAAUAAAACACACGGAAUUAAAUCAAAAGAAGGUUACAUACAUAAAAGUAAGGGUGUUAGUAAAACUUGAAGUAUAAAAUGACGAUUUUCUCCUUUAUAAAUAUACAUUUUCUAACACUCAACACACGGGUUCUUUGUAUAUCAGCCUAUGUGGAUCCCACGAUUGAUAUUGGUUUCGUCUAAUUAGCUGGCGACGGUGACGAACUCAUUCUCUUUUUUUUAAUCAAACUUUCAAGCCCUAACUUUAUCCAAGUUCUUCACAAAAAUUUGAGGCUUAUUUCCAAGGGUAUUUUAGGUCAAGGAUGGUGGCUUUGAAGGUUUAUAGAAGCGGCUUGUGAGGUAGAUCAUUGUUAGAUAGAGAGAGAGGUAGAGACAAAGAGAGAGAGAGAGAGAGAGAGAGAGAGAGAAGAGAGCUUCAGUUCAGAGAAGAAAAUGGCCAUGGGGAUAGAUUUUUUGCUUAUCAAAAUUUUUAGAUUUUAGGUUUCCAUGUACACCUCAUUAAAACAGCAUAGUUUCUAGAUAAUUUAAUUUAAUUUUUAAUAAUUACUACAUCAAGCGAAAAUACAACUUGUGGUCUGGUUGUUUAACGUUUAAAAUUAAAAAGCUAAAGCUUAGAAGUCUACGGUUCGACUCCUAGCGUAUACAAAAUUAAAAUUUUAUUUUGUUAAUUACUGAUACCUUAAUGUCACAUAUCUUUGAUACUUAUCUAUUAAGUGCAGAAAAUGUCCCAAAUGCAUGUAAUUACUGAUACUUUUUAAUAAAGUGUCACAAGAUAAGUGUCAACAAAUACCAUUUUUCUUGAAGUGUUAAUUAAAAAAAUUCGAUUUUACCCUCAAUGAAUUACACAGUAAACAACAAUAAAUUAACGGAAGGGUGUUUUGAGCUUUUUUUUUUUUAAAGUAUGGAUGAAAUGAACUGUUGUUUGAAUAAUAAGGAUGAAUUAGGCUAUUGCAACAAAUUCAAGGGAUGAAAAAGGAUUUUUCUCUUUUACUUAGGUGCUGUUUAUUUUUUAGUUUGAAGUUUGAAUUUAAUUUUUUUUAGACAUUUGUUUAUUUUAGGUUUUUUUUUUAACUUAUCACUUAUUGUCAUAUAGUUUAUCUGAAUAGAAAAAGUAGAAAAAGUUCACUUUAUUUGAAGUCUGAAGUCUAAAUAUAUAUUUUUAAUUUCAAAUCUCAAAAAUACCCUUAACAAUUCAUGUAUUUCUAAUAUUAUGUAUAAACCUUAUAUUUUUGUAUUAUUCUUGAAGUUAUUUUUCUAAUUGCUUUAAAUUUUUAUUCACAUGAUAACAUUAACUAAACUGAAAUAUUGAACAAAUCAAAUUAUGUUAAUUGUGAUGAAUCAAAAAUAAAAUAAUAGUGUUGACUUUAUAAUAAACUUUAAUGUUAUAAUUACAUCUUUCAUUAAAAAAUUAAAAGAAGAUCAACAAUGAUAAUAUUUUUUUUAAUGUUACCAAACUAAUCAACCUGUGAAAAUUAUAACUGUGAAGAACAAAUAUAUGCACCACUUAAAAUGAUAUUUAUGCCAAAUUACUAGUUUUUAGGAUUUUCUCUUUAGAUGUUGAAAAAGAAAAACAAAGAUGUCAUUCAAAUAUUUUCAUUCAUAUUUAUUCAGAUUUUAGUUAAAUUCAGAUCUAUUCAGAUUUCAGAUUAAAAAAAAAAAUGCAAUCUUAGUUUAUAGGUACAGGACUCCACUCUAGCAUGGUUUUUAAUAUAAAAAGAGAGAGAGAGAGGAGAGAGAAAAUGGAUAAAAGAAAGAGUAAUGAUAAAAAUUAAAAUAAUGCUCGUGGGCAUUUUAGUCAAUUCAAGUUGAGAUGAAUGGAAAUCAAAAAAUAAAGAGGAAACCUAUUUGAAGUUUUAAACCGAUAAAAAAAAUAUUUUAUGUUGUAUUUCUCCCGAUACCCAUUAAUUAAAUUUUAAAUUUAUGAUUAUCCUUUAAACAUCCCUCUUAAUUUCAAAAAUAGCCCUUUAUUCUUUUCCACCAUAAUGGUGUUUUAAGCGAUACAUAAAAUGUUUUUCUACCAUAAUUUUGAAUUUCAAAAACUUGCUUUAGUGUUGGUUAAAAAUAAUUAUUUUUCAGGAUUAAUAAAAGUUUCUUAUCAUAAACUCAUUGUAAUUUUUUCUUAGUUGACGAAACUCUACAAAACUGAAUUUGUGUCCCUAGCAAUGCCACUUUGAAGCUUUUACAAAAUUAAUUGUGAUGUCACUGAUGUGUCUAUUAUUUUAAGCUACAAUCAAGGCAUAAAACCUUGUCAAUCUUGUAAUAUGCUGGUGUUGGGGAUUUGGCGAGGGUAUUGUAAUUAAAAACUUCAAUUACAUUAAAAGAUUUAGGAAUAAUGUUUUAAUUAUAGAUUCAUAGCGGAAAUCCUUUUUUGGGAUCCUUUUAUUAAGCUGUAGUCACAGUCAAAUAAUCAUUUGGCUUUAAGUUUUUGAUAUAUAUAUCUAUAUAUACAUGCACACAUAUACAUACAUACAUAUGUAUGUAUAUAUAUUCAACAGAGAAGAUUGAAACUAUAUGUAACACAUUAGACUGAACUUGCCCAUGAGCUAUCUGAUCUAAAAUUAUUGAUGAACUAGACAUAGGGGUUCACCUUGUAGGGAAAAUAGAAUCUAGAUCGUUUAAUGCUAUAUUUAAUAUUGGCGUAACAAUUGGACACUAUUAGAUUGCAUUAGAUAUAAGAUAUCCAACAAGCGAUAGCUGAGAAUGCAUAAGGGAUUCUACCCAGUGCUGUUGCAACAGUUUCUCAAUUAGAAAGACAGUAAACACCAUUAAGUCACAUUGCUUUUAUCCCUCUGUCUGACGUGAUAAUUUUCUUUACUACAUUUUUUAUUUAUUGUAUUUUUAUUUUAAUUAGUUUAUUAGUAUUAUUAGUCGAUUUAUUUCCAAUUAAAACAAAACUGCGUUGUUAAGAUUGUUAUAGCAAAUAUGAUAACAUAAAUCCCUAUGGAGACGAUCUGGAUACUCAUCAGUAUAUUACUUGUUGUGUACACUUGAACAUUGACAUCCAUAGCAUUAAAGAUUUUACACACCACAUAUUUACAAAUUAAAUAAGGCUUUGUACAGUUUAAAAUAAGCACUUAGAGCUUAGCUUGUUAGAUUCAAGUAUGUAAGGCUUUCUCAGUGGCAUUUUCAGCACUCCAAGUCUGAUAACUCUCUUUUCCUCAAAUGGGAUAGAGGUCUUUUGGUUCUAGUUUUGGCAUAUGUUUAAGACAUGAUCAUCACUAGCUCCAGCUCUUUUAUAGUUCAACAGGUUAUUCAAGAAAUGCGUUACACAUUUGCUUUAAAAGACUUGGCAAAGCUCCAUUAUUUUCUAGGCAUUGAAGUCAUAAAGACUCAAAAUAUAGUUCAUUUAUCUCAAGCCAAAUAUAUUGUCGACAUUUUAGCAAAACAUGGACAUGGCUAGUUGUAGUCCAGUGCCUAUACCUAUGUGAACUGGUCAUAUCUUAAAGACUUAGGUGAUGAAAUUGAUAAUGCAUCUUAGUGUAAAAGUGUUAUUAGAGCUUUGUAAUAUGCCACUCUCACAACGCGAGAGCUAGCCUUCUCAAUUAACAAAUUAAGCCUAUUUUUCUUACGUCCAAGGACUCAUCAUUAGGAAGCAUGAAUACGACUCUUGAUAUACUUGAAGGGUACUUUACAUUUUGGAUUGCAUUUCUAUAGUUGUCGUGCUAUGCAGUUAAACUAUUUUGUAUAAUAUUAUUGGGCUUGUGAUAGAGACGAUAAGGAUUUGCAAUAUAUCCAGGUCCCAACUUGGUUUUAUAGUUAUCUAAGAACCAAUCAGUGGUCUUUCGAUCAAGCACAAAGGCUGAGUAUAUAGCUUUAACUCAUUCAACUUAGCACCAUGCCUAUAAUCUGGUGUGCCAAUCAAGAAGCAACUACUUUGGCGUAUAACCCCAUUUAUCAUGCUAAAACCAAACACAUUGAGCUGGACAUACAUUUCAUUAGAGACAAAGUUGUAGCCAAGCAAAUUCAAGUUUGUUUUAUACUAAGUGCAGACCAAACAACUAAUUUGUUAACCAAAGCACAUACUUUUAAACGGCUCUAUUACUUGCGUAGCAAGUUGAAUGUUCAUUCUAGACAUUUUAACUUGAGGGAGGUUGCAAGUGAAUCAGAUGUUACUUGAAUGCAGAGCAUAUGGUGCAGCCAAUAGCAGCAGAUCAACUACUAAGCUAAUGUAGCAGAAUUAGCUAUUUGGUUUAACUUGUAUUAAGCAAAGCUCACGUGAGCAUAACAGAAUAAAAAGCAUUUAUAACGGAAUUAGAAGCAUGUAGAAUUCAGCACUAUAAAUAUGUAACGUGCUUUCAUUUCAAUUAAUUAAUUAGAAUCUUCUACAAGUUUCUUCAAAAUAUUCUCUCUCGUUUUCUAGUAUUUCUUGCUACUUUCUUACUUGCCAAACAUCUUCCAAUAUUCUAAUAUUGUACAAGUCAAAAUGUCAAACCAGUGCAUGGCUUGAGCAUUAAUUGUUGACACGACUCAAAAGUAUAUUACUCCCAAGUAUAAGAUUAUCUAGUUAUAAUAUAACCCGGUAAAUCCGGGAUCGAAUCACAGAGAAUUUAAAAUCUAGUUGUCAAUUUAUUGGACAAAGAAAAUUAAUUGCGGUAAAAGAAAUCACUAGAAAAAAAAUUAAAAAUAUGCUAAGGUUUCGAGAUCCACUCUUAAUAUUCAAACUAUAAUUUUAAUACUUUCUCAUUUAUAUUUUUUUCUCACUUUUACCAGUUAAUUAUUAUAUCAUUUAAUUCUAUGUGUGUGGAUAAAUAUGGAAUAAAGUACCUAAUGUGCCACAACUGUAUUAAUGUAUCGACAUUAUGUCAAAAUACCAUAUAGAUCCAAAAGAAUGUAUAAAUUAACAUGACAUAAAAAUAACCAGAAAAUAAUAAAAUAAACUUAAAAACUCACUUUGAGAAAAUAAUAAAUUUAAUAGUUUGAAACUUUAAGCUUUACCCUUCACCUUAGCUUAGUAAAAUUAGCCACUCAUAUUGAAAGAAAACACAACAUUCUUUUUAUUUGAUAAACUUUUGAAAUAUGUUAUAAAGAAAAUUGAUACAAAUGGAAACAAGAAAAGAAAAGUAAGAAAGAAAGAAAUUCUUCAGCUGCACCCUUGGCUACCACUCUCUCUCUCAGCUCUUGGCUCAACUCCCCCCUAAAUUGCUUGCAUCCCCUUGCCUUUUAUAGGUAAGGGAAGCAUCUUCUUUUCUUUUCUUUUAUUAAUAUUAAUAUUUUAUUUUAUUUUUAUAUUAUAUAUACAUAUUGAAAGGGGUGAUGGCCAGGAGGCGUGAUGGCCUCUUGACCAUCACAAGCAACCAAAUCAUAGCUGCCUUUUGUUCUUUUGUUCUUUUUUUUAUUUUAUUUAUUACAUCUCCUUAAUGAUGCAUUCUAAAUUGCUCCAACAGUCCUUCUUUGUUCCCGCUUUCGAUUCCAAUUCCAUCUUUAUUCCUGAAAAAUAUUUACAAGAUAAAAAUUAACAUAUUACGAAUUAAUUUUACAUAAAAAUAUAUUUGGGGAGUAUUAAGAUAAUUUAUAAGUAAUGAACACAUUAAUCGACAUAAUAAGUGAAAAACUAAUAAUUUUAUCGUUAUUAAAUGUACACUUUUUAAUGCCAAUCAAUUGUCGCUUAGAUCAAAGGUUGAUUGUGCCGCCAUGUUUUAUUCAAGCUUAAAAAUGGACAUAGGACAUUGCUGGUGUAGUGAACUGUAUCGAUUGUUGGUGGCUUUGUCGCAAAUUCUAAUUGUUUUGGGCUUGUAUUCGUGCCUGUGGCAUUUUUUAAGAUCCUAGGUCUGAAAAUUUAUGGAACGACUUAAAAACAUUUGAUUUACUCUCAAGUGUAAGAGUACCUAGUUAUAAUAUAUCUCGGUGAGUCCGAGGUCGAUCCACAGAGAAAAGAUUUAAUUAAUUUAUUUUAUUUUAUCUAAAAUUUGAAAAUAAAACUUAAAUACAAACAACUUAAUUUAAAUAAAACUAUGAAAUUGAAUUAGUUAGGGUUGUGGAUUCACUCUUAGUUGUAAAUAAAACUUAAUAAAUUCUUUUUGCCAUUUUUUUAGAUUUAUUGCCCAAAAGAUUCAUUAUAUAAAUUAUUAUUAUUUUCCCUUUAAUUUUAUAAUGGAUUAAGUAUUCAUUGUGCCAAAAUUUAAUUUGUCUACAAUAAGUCAAAAUACCAUUUUACCAUACCUUAUAUUAAGAUAAAAAGAAUUUAUUGUGCCAAACUCCCUUGUUUGUCUACAAUAAAUCAAAAUUUCAUAAUAUAAAAUGCGUAUAAAAUUAAAUAGAAAAUAACUUAAUUUAUAAAAUUAAAAAUAGAAUUUGAUUAAAUCAUAUUUAUUUCCUAAGAGUUCACCUUCCCCUAACUAUUAAUAUUUAGCUAAACAUUUUUUUAAUAAAGGAAAUUACUAAAAUUGAAAAACACAUAAUUAAAAAUGGAAUUUGAAAAUUGAAAUAAAACUAAUUUUAUUGAUUGAAAAUAAAUUACAAAGAGAGAUGAAAAGAAGAAUUUGGGGGGAAAGAAGAGAAGAGAAGGUGUGGAGAGGUGUGUUCACCCCCCCUCUAUUUAUACUAAUACAUGGUAAAUUCUCACCACACAAAUAAAAAAUCUAAUUACAUCUUAACCUUACAUUUGUCCCACUAAUAAUCCCACUAAUGAAACAUAAACCUAACUUAUCCACUCAAGCAUAUCCAAUACAUUCCACUAACAAUUACCAUACCUAACAUGAUAAAAACUUAUAAUUUUAUAAUUGCCACAUUUACCGUGGUAAAAACGUAAAAAUUUACAACAAAAGUCUUGGAUCCUCCUCGACAAUGACAUAAUUUCUCGGACUUCCGGAAUCCAAAUUUAACAUCCAUACAUUUGAUCGGAGCCUCAAAUUGCAUGAAAUUAUUAUUUUUACCUAAUAAACAUAAAAUACAUAAAAUCAAAUAUUUAGAAAAAUAAUUAGAAAUUCACAAUAUGUUACACAAUUACAAAUAUAAAUUACAUUAAUAAAAAAAUAUAACAUUUUAACCCUUAAUAAACAUGCAAUUUUUAACACUAAUCACACCCCCCAACUAGCUUAUUGCUAGCCCCUAGCAAUUAAAGCGUUAUAUUAAAUUAAGAUUUACAAAAUUCACAUGCAAGUUAAUAGUUGUUCAUCUAUCCUCUAAAUUACCAAAUAAAUAAACUCUCCCAAUUUUUUUUUUAAAUCUUGGUCGUCCACUCAUUAUCCAAAAUAUCAUAAACCUUAUUUUCUGCUCAAGUAAUUAACACAAUACUUAUGGGGUUUCAUUAAAAGAAAACAAUAUUUUCGUUUUAAAACUCAUUAGAAAUUCUAUCUUCAGGCAGUAGAUUAUUCAAGCUUUUUUUUUUAAAUUGCAUUUUUAACCCAUGUAGCGAGCUUUAGGUCAGUGUCUCCCAGACCAGUUGACCUUAGGACAAUCCAUAACUAGGCCACCUUUCUUUGACUUUAAUGACUACCCAUAUUGAAAAACUAGGAGAAUUUAUUUGUAAGCUUUAGGUUAUAAAAUUUGGCAAGUUGUUUGUGAUGGUUCAUUCAUGCCUAUGACUAAAAAUAAAGUAGGAGAUGAUAUUCAAAAACCUUCAAGUCAAUGAAGUGAGUUAGAAAAGAAAAAGAUAUCUUUAAACUCUAAGGCAGUGAAUGCUUUGUUUUAUACUCUUGAUAAGAAAGAUUUUCUUAGAGUGUCUAGUUGUAAGAGUGCUCAAGAAAUAUGAAACAAACUUGAAGUUGUCUAUUAAGGGACAAAUCAAGUUAAAGAGUCUAAGAUUAGUAAAUAUACUCGACAAUAUGAAUUUUUCUAAAUGGAACAAAAUGAGAGCGUGUAUUCUAUUUAUACUAGGUUUACAUAUAUUGUGAACACAUUAGAAGCCCUAGGAAAAAUAUUUUCGAAUAGCAAAAAAGUUAAGAAAAUUAUUAGGUCUUUACCAAUAGAAUGGAGACCUAAGAGAACUGCCAUAGAGGAAGCUAAAGAUUUAAAUACUUUGCAUAUUGAUGAUUUAAUUGGUUUUCCUAUUUCAUAUGAGGAAGAUUUGACAGCAGAAAAAGACAAUAAGGAAAAAAAAAAAAAAGAAAAGCAUUGCACUUAAAGCAUCAAAGCAUGCGAGUGAUGAGGAAAGCGAGCUUGAUGAUGAAGAUAUGGCUAUAUUGUCCAAGAGGUUUAAAAAAUUCUUCAAGAAAGCCGGUGAGCGGAAAAGAUUCAGAAACUACAAGAACCAAAAGGAGAAGAAGGAGCUAAUUACUUGUUAUGAGUGCAAGAAUCAUGGACACAUACGAUCGGAAUGUCCUCUUCUCGAAAAGCUUAAGAAGAAGGCAAUAGUAGCCAUAUGGGAUGUUAGUGAUAAGGAAACAAGUGAUGAUAAAGAGCAACAAGAGAUGUAAAAUCUAGCUCUCAUGGAAUUGGGAUGAAUCGUUUGACGAACUUGAUGAAGUAAGUGAUCUACCUAUGAUUAAUUAUAUAAUGCUUUUAAGGAAUUGCAUGAUGUAUGCCUUAAAAGGAAAAUGCUAGAACUUUCAAAUGAAAAUGAUGUCUUGUAAAAUGCAAUGAUUCAUUGAAUAAAAAGAUCAAGGGAUUGGAAUUAGAUAAUGAAAUGUUGUAUGAUAUGAUUACAUCAUUUAAAUAUAAAUAAAGUACUUCAUAUGAGCAUGAAAAAUCACAUGUUGAUAAAUUGAUAAAAGAAAAUGAAGUGCUUAAGAAAAAGAGUAAUGAACUCAACAAAAUUUUGUUAAAAUUCACAAGUGGUCAAAAGAAUUUAGAAAAAUUGCUGAACUCUAAAAAAUGUGUAUUUGAUAAAGGAGGACUUGGGUAUAAGCCUAGCUUGACUUGAAGCAAAAGUAUUUUAGGAAUUACUUUGUUAAAGCUACCUCCACUAGUGAUCAUAAAAUUAAUUGUCAUUAUUGCAAUCAAAAUGGUCAUAUGAAAUAUAGAUGUCUAAUGAAAAGAAAUGCAUUCAAUGGAGUCAAAUGUGUAGCUCCAAAAGGAACUAUUGCUAACACUCAAGGACCCAAAGAAAUUUGGGUACCUAAGACUUGAAAUUUCCUCUGCAUGGUUUGAAGAAGAAAAAGAAUAAACGGCACCUGGACAGUGGUUGCUCAAGGCAUAUGACUAAAAUUAUUCUUGGUUUUCAAGUUUUACCAAGAUUGAAAACAGUAGAGAUGUGUCAUUUGGAGAUAAUUCAAAAGGAAAGAUUAUCAGUAUCGGUAAUAUUAGUAAAAAAUCCUCUACUCUUAUUGAAAAUGUGUGUUUGGUUGAAAACUUGAAAUACAACUUACUUAGCAUUAGUCAAUUGUGUGAUAAAGACUAUAGAGUUAUCUUUGAUAAAUCGAAAUGUGUUAUUGAGAAUGCAUAUGAUGGCAAGAUUUUGUUUGUAGAAAAUAGAUGUGUUAAUGUUUAUAUCAUUAAUAUAGAUUGUGUAUCUACUUAUGAUAAAUGUUUCUCUACAUUACAUGAUUAUAGUUGGUUAUGGUAUAGAAGACUAGGUCAUGCAAGUAUGGAUUUGAUUUCAAAGAUUUCAAAAAAUGAUUUGGUUAAUGGCCUUCCAAAAAUUAGUUUUCAAAAAGAUAGAAUUUGUGAAGUUUGCCAAUUUGAAAAAUAAAUCAAAACUUCUUUAAAAAAAAGAACCAUGUCUCAACUUCAAAACCACUUCAACUACUUCACAUGGAUUUGUUUGGACCUUCUAGAUAUGUAGUUUAAGUGGCAAAUAUAUGCAUUUGUGAUUGUGAAUGAUUAUUCUAGAUACACAUGAGUAUUGUUCUUUGAUAAUAAGAAUGAUGCCUUGGAUGCAUUUAGAAUUUUCUACAAAAAGGUUCAAAAUGAAAAGGGAUGUGCUAUUUCUUGUAUUAGAAGUGAUCAUGUGGAGAAUUUGAAAAUCAUGUAUUUGAGAAUUUUCUAUAAAAAGGUCAACACUGCUUGUUAUGUUUUAAAUCAUAUGUUUAUUAGACCUUAUCUCAAUAAGACUCCCUAUGAGCUUUGGAAAGAUAAAAAACUCAACAUUGGUUAUUUCAAAAUUUUUGGAUGCAAAUGUUUUAUUUUGUAAACAAAAGAUAAUCUUGGCAAAUUUGAUCUAAAAUCUUAUAUUGAUAUUUUUCUUGGUUAUUCAAAUACAAGCAAAACUUAUAGAGUGUAUAAUAAAAGAACUUUGGUUGUGGAAGAAUCUAUGCAUGCUAUAUUUGAUGAGUCUAAUCCUUCCUCUACGGAGAGAGUUGUUGUCGAUAAUAAUAUAGAUGAACAGUCACAACAAGGAUUAUCAAAAGAUAAACAAGAUGAUGCAUCACAUGAAAAUAAAGAGGAUAGACAAUGAGAAUAAAUAAAUGAGGAGCAACAAGAAGGUACAUCUCAAACACUCCCCAAGGAGUGGAGGUAUGUUUCCCCUCAUCCGAAGGAUUUAAUUGUAGGUGAUCCUUCAAGAGAUGUUACCACUAGAUUAUCAUUUAGAAAUACUUGUGAGCACGCUGCAUUCAUAUCUCAAAUUGAACCAAAUUCUUUGCAGAUGCGAAAAAUGAUGAAUCUUGGAUCAUGGCAAUACAAGAGGAGUUGAAUCAAUUUGAGAGAAACAAUGUGUGGAAAUUAGUUUCUAAAUCGGAACAUCAAUCUAUUAGGCACUAAAUGGGUAUUGAGAAAUAAAAUGAAUAAAUCCAGUGUGGUUGUAAGGAAUAAAGAUAGAUUAGUGGCUCAAAGAUACAACCAAGAAGAAGGAAUUGAUUUUGAUGAAACAUUUGCGCCUGUAGCUAGAUUAGAAUCCAUUAGGAUGUUGUUAGCAUUUGCAUGUCAUAAAUAUUUAAUUUUUAAUCAAAUAGAUGUCAAAAAUACUUUCUUAAAUGGUUAUAUUAUGGAGGAACUUUAUAAGUUUUCUAAAGCACUGUAUGGAUUUAAAACAAGCACCUAGAGCAUCGUAUGACAAGCUUAAAAAUUUCUUGCUGGAUAAUGAGUUUUCAAUGGGAAAAAUGGAUACUACUCUCUUUGUUAAGCAUAAGAACCAAGAUAUACUUGUUGUUCAAAUUUAUGUUGAUGAUAUUAUCUUUGGUUCUACUAAUGAGUUUUUGUGCAAGGAGUUUUCAUCUUGUAUGAUGAGAGAAUUAAAGUAUUUCCUUGGACUUCAAAUCAAACAAAACAAUGAGGGAAUCUUCAUCAACCAAGCUAAAUAUGUCAAAGAUCUACUCAAAAGAUUUGACAUUGAUGACUCAAAUCCAAGAGACCUCCAAUGAGCACAACAAUCAAGCUUGACAAAGAUGAAAAAGAUAAUAAGAUUGAUAUAAAAAUGUAUCGAUGUAUAAUCAGCUCUUUACUUUACUUAGCCGCAAGUAGACCUGAUAUCAUGUUUAGCGUAUGUUUGUGUGCAAGAUUUCAAUCAUGUCCCAAGGAAUCUCAUUUGCUUGCUGUGAAAAGAAUUUUUCGUUAUUUGAAUAGAACUAUAGAUCUUGGCCUUUGUUAUCCUAGAGGAACCUAUAUAGAUUUAACUUAUUAUUCGGAUGUCAAUUUUGCUGGUUAUAAAAUCGAUAGGAAAAGCAUUAGUGGAACAUGUCAUUUCUUAGGUCAUUCUCUUAUUUCAUGGUUUAGUAAGAAACAAAAUUCGAUUUCACUCUCAACCACCGAGGCAGAAUAUAUUGCCGUAGGUAGUUGUUGUCCACAAACUCUUUGGAUGAAACAAACACUUAGAGAUUAUGAAUCUUGAACAAAUUCUUAUCAUGUAUAAUAAUAUUAGUGCUAUAAAUCUAUCAAAGAAUCCCAUUUAGCACUCUAGAACCAAGUAUAUAGAGAUUAGACAUCAUUUCUUGAGAGAUUAUGUUCAAAAGGGCAACAUUGCAUUAGAAUUUAUCUAUACAGGAAAAAAAAACUUGCCUAUAUUUUUACAAAACCUCUUUGCGAAAAAUAAUUUUCAAAAAUUUGGCAUAAACUUGGGAUAAUGAAAUUUUCGCAUUAACAUCUCUAAUCAUGUUAUUGAAUCUAUUAAAAUUGAUUGAUUGAUGAUUUGCUUAUGAUUACAAAGUUUUUAAGCAUGAUAAAUGAGUGAUGUAUUUGAAUCAAUAAUCUUUGAAUGCUUACAUGUCUCAUGAUUGUGUGAUGUAUAUGUAUGAUAAAUGUGUUAUAUAUUUAAAUUUAUAAUCUUUGAAUAUUUAUAAUUAUGAUUCAUGCAUUAAAAUGGCUUUUGAAAGUGUUCGGGAUCACGAAAUGGUUUUGGAAUCGAUCAAAAUUAGCCGGAAAGCAAACAUUUGUGCAAAAGGGCAGCAAAGAGACAGUUACCCGCUUGCCCCAAACCCGAGAGUAAGCGGCUAGCCAUUUGCCUCUAAGCGACUAGCCGCUUGGUCACGGUUUUUAUACAUUUCUUCCCCCUUUCUCUUGCUUUCUUCAACCUUUCUCUACUCUCUUUCAUGGCCGUUCAUCUUUCCUCCAUUUCCUCUUAAAUUAUUUUCAUUUCUCAGUCAUUUUCAUGCCAAAAUCAAUCUUUUAAACCAUUACCCAUGCAUUUAACCUUCAUUAAACACUUCCCAAUCAUCAUUUCAUCACUUGUUUCUCCAAAUCUAAAAAUCAAAACCUAAGCUUACCUAUAUCUCUCUCUUAUAUUUUAGGCUCUUUUUAGCUCAUUUUUUUUAUCCAAUUAAUACCAUACAUUGCCUUAAAUCAUCUCUAGGAUCAAUUUUAUUGAUUCAAAUACAUUCAUUUCACUCAAAAUCUUGAAAAUUCGAAUUUAGGUAUUAAAGCUUGUUCUUGUUUUCAACAAUAGUUAGUAGCCAAAAAUCCAAGGGAAAACAUAUAGCCAAGAAGCGCAAGGAAGAUCAUGGAGACAAUCUAGAGUUCAUAUUAACACAUUUUCUGCAACCACCUUUUCAGAAAUGUUUUCACGAUAAAUUUAUGUCGAGGUUGGUUAUUGCCCCCUAUUUUGUCAAUCUUCUUCAUUCGGAGAAUUUAGCAAUUUUUGAUAAAUCUCUUAGUGAUUUUCUUAUUGACAUGGGUUAGAAAAAUGUUUUAGUUUUCAAGGAACGAUGUUAUGAAAUUUAGUUAAAGUUUUUUAUUCGAAUAUGGUUAUUUCUUUGCAAACUACAAAUAGAAUUGUUACAAGUGUUGGGGGAAUACAUAUUGAGUUUGAUGUUGUGGAUUUAAAUCAUAUUCUUAGAACUCCAAAUGAAAGGUUGGAACAUUAUACUGCUAAAAGGAAAAUAGAUUAUUCGUGGUAUUCAGUUGAGGAUAUUGUUCGAAAAAUUUGUAGAUGUUUCGAUUUGUCCUUUAAGUUUUGUAAAUCUACCUUGAAAUCUCAAGCCUUACCCCUUCAACUUAGGAUCCUUCAUUAUGUUCUUUAACAUGUCAUUAGUCUUAGGCCUGGACAUGGGGAUGAAGUUACUCGAUUAGAUGUGGCCUUAUUGGAUAGCAUUCUAAAGGGUAGGGUGCUAAAUGUCAGUUAUAUUAUUCUUCAUCAUAUACUUAGCACUCCAUGUAUAGCAAAACGAUCCCUUCCUCAUGGAAGCAUUUUUACCCACAUUCUCAAACAAUUUUGGGUACCCAUAAUCGAACCAACAUUUUUGAAUCCUAAGGAAUUAGGAGAUGAAGCUAUAGCCAAUUUAGGGUUUAUAUGGACGGAAGAUAAAUGGUGUAAAAACCAGAGAUACAAAAACAAGGGUACUACAUUAGCUCCUAUAGAUCAUCGUUUCUUUAACGAUGUUCUUCCACCAAACCAGCUCCUUGAUCUCAAUGCUCCACAGCGCUCACAUCCUUCGUCUUCUGAGGGUCCUUCCUAUUCUACUUCAGCAGACCUUGAGGAUCCAAUACAGUAGCUAUUAACUGAAGUGCAUUCUCUUUUUGAGCCGCAGAACCAAUUUCAGUCCCAGUUUGAGGCCUUUCAAAUUCAGUCCACUUUGAAGCAACAACGCCUGUUUAAGCAGUAACAAUGUUUAUUUAAUCAACGACAUCGACUCUUUGCUCAACAACAGUAGCUUUUUGAUGGUCAACAACAACUUUUCGCUGCUCUUGGGUUUCCACCGCCAUCCUCAUUAUCACAUUCACCAUCUUCAUAGUGUUCUAUUCUUUUUCAUCUUGAUUUUAGUUCUUUGUUUUAUUCUGCACUACAUUUUCAUAUGCAUUGUUGUUUUACUUAUGGAUUAAGGAUGAUUGUUGUUUGAUAUUUAAAUGUUUUACAUUUGGAUGAUAUUUUAUGGAUUCUUGGAUAACUCUUUGGUUACUUGCAUGCUUGAUUUUUAUAUGUUUCUUGAUUAUCUAUUGAGAUGUUAUUUUUGGUCUGAGCAUGGAGUUAUAGUAAUUGUGAUGAUGAAGAGGGAGAAGUCAUGUAUUUUGACCUUGAAAUAUUGAUGCAUGAUUUUGAAAUAUUUAGAGGGACCAUACAUUUGUUAAAGAUCAUGUAUUCAGGGAGAGUUCAUAGUUCAUUUAUAUGUUGAAUUAUGUAUGCCAUAUAUUAAGGGGGAGUAUAAAUGUCAAAAUACAUGAAAUGUUUGUCAUCAUCAAAAAAGAAAAGAUUGUUAGCCUAAAGGGUUACAUAUAUUGUAAUUUUGAUGAUAAAAAACAUGUCUUAAGUAAUAUGAUAAAUAUUGUAUUUCACAUUUUCACUAGUUCUUGAAGGAUAAUAUUUAGGCAAGUGAAUCACGUGAAAUCAGGCUCAAGGCACUCAACGUACAAUAGCUCGAUCAAGAACAAAAUUUAGUUCAACGAAGUCAUUAUUGCGACAAAUUAUUGUAAAGCUGAUAUGAUUUAAUGUAUGCAGGGUUUAGCAUUUAAAAAGCUCGAGAAGUUGUGGGUAAAAAUAUAAUUUUUAAUAUAAUAUUAUUGUAGAAAAAUUCAAAUUGCAACGGUAACUUGCACUGUAUUAAGUGGUGAGCCGGCUAGUUAAGAGGCUAAUCGCUUGCUUGCGGGUUUUGUCCAUAAUGGCUAGUUUUUGUAUCAAAACUAUAUAAAAUCAAAUCCAGUUCAUUUUUAAAGACUUUUGCAAGUAUAAACAAGUGUAAACAAUAUAUUUUAAGCUUCUAAUUCGCAAAUCAUCAUAGAUUAAAUAUUCAUUGAGUUAUUAUUAAGAGGUUAAUAUCGUAGAGGUUACCGGGCAAAGCCAAAUUGAACUUGGAGAAUCUUAGUAAGUGUUCAAUUUUGACCAGAAUUUUUCAUUUUCAACCUUUAAUUUUCAAAGAUUAACCAUUAUGGACUUGCUUUUUUUUGUUUGUGCUUCAAUAAGCUAGUCUUCUUUCACAUUGCUUAAUUACAAAAUUUUACUACUAAUACAUCAAUUUAUUAAUUUUUUAUUAUUUUACUUUAUAUUUACAAGUCUUAUACUCCAUUUCUAAAUUUUAUAUUUUAUUUUACAAAUAACGUUGAUUUAUAAAUUUUAUAUUAAAUUCACAAAUUUUCUGUUUGAUUUACAUAAUCUAAGUUUAAUCACAAUAUUGAUACCAUGGUUUUAGUCACUACUUUAAUUAACAACUAGAUACGGAAAAAAAUAUAUAUUUUAACUAACUCAUUACAUGAAGCUUUUAAUAUAUUAUAUUCUAAAAUAAUUAAAAUAUAUAAGACAAAAAUCCUGACAUUCUUGCUGUUUUUGGAACGUUAUAGUGGCAACUUUUUAUUUUAUUAUUAUAUAAGAGUGAAAAUCAAAUCUCUUCCCUAUCACUAAGUAGUAUACUUCCCAAAAAAAAAAAAAAAAGAAUUUGACUGUCAUUUAAUUACAUUAAAAAAAAUGUCAUAGAAAGUGUUGUGUCACUUUUAAUCAGAGGAUGGGAGUGCAUUACGACUAUUGUAUAUAUGUUAUGUUUUCAUGAUGAUGUUGUUUAAAUAUUUAGUGCUUAUUUGGUAUGACUUAUUUAAUAACUAUAAGUGUUUAUUUAAUCUCAUAAGUUCCUAUCAUAAUUUUUGUUAUUGUUUGGUUGUUUUUCUAAUAGAGUUUUUAAAACUUAAAUAAGUUAUUUUAUCUCUACUAGUAAAAGCUCCAAUUUUGAGCUUUUGAGAGUAGAGGCUGAGAAGUUUUUUUUUUUAAAUGUCAAAAUAUCUAAAAUAUCCUCUACUUAUUUAAUAAUUGUAUUUAUUAUUUUCAUAAUAUAACUUUAAAAAACUUGCCUAUUAUAAUAAUUUCAUAAAUUUUUAAUAAAUAUUUUUAUUGACAACCAAACAACUAAAUAUUUUUUAGUAAAAACUCUAUUUACAAAAGCUCUAUUUAAAUAAGCUCUACUUUAAAAGCUGUACUAAACAGAGCCUUAGACCGAUACCUAAUAAUAACACAGAGCAGCUCGAGCCUAGCUCACCCAACUAAUGAAAAAGAAAAUGAUUUAGCCUCCUGCUAUUAGAUAGGUGUAAUGCAUGCAAGUAAUACACACAUUUAUUCAAAAGAAAAUACAUUUAUUUAUUCAAAAGGAAAUACAUUUGUAUGACAGAUGUAUAAGUAAUGCAGUGCCAAAAGUCUUCACUUAAAAGUUGAAGGCAUAUCAUCAAAACAUGUGACCCCUAGGGAUAGAAACUUGAACAUUCACAAUGAUCAAUGCAACUUGUCCUUCAUUGUUCCAGAAGAUAGCUAGGCACAUUAAUCCUCCAACAUUUCUCAAUGGAUUUCAAAAUCAUCGACAAUAUAUAGCUUUAUGGUUCUCUUUUUUUUAUUCACAAUUUUUUUAUUCUAAUAUUGAAAUUAAUUGGUAACUGCACAGAACUGACAAUUUCUUGGCACUCAUUUUGUAGGGAAUUGAGAUUGUAACUUACAAAUUUAAUAGCAUUUUGAAGCCAAGGAAAUCUAGUCUCAAUUAAUAUGACUCUAGCUUCAGGAGAUUAUGUCUCUAGACAAAUACCGAUGAUCAUGAAGUGACGGAUGAAUUCUAGUGAUAUAUUCCUUAAAUCGCUUAUAUAUUAUGAUUUUUUUCAGAUCUAAUGACCCAGUAAUUAUUUUUGAGCACAUAUAACACCUAGAUCAUUAAUAAUGGUGAUCAGCAUUGUUUUAAGAUUUAGAGCAAAUUAUGUGAUAGCCUAGGGACACUUGGCCGAAUGUUACCUACAGUUAAAACAAGAUGUUUGUUAAAAUAUCUCAAUGAAGAGUAAGAUGGCGGGAAAGCUGUAGUUCAAUAUGCAGAGAUCUUUUGGCAUUUGGAAACAAUAAUCUUGAAGGUUCUAGAUCCUCACAACGAUGAAAAGGCCAGAAAUUGAUCAACAAAAUGAAGGGUGCAUAAUAUGCAGCAAGUGAAGACAACAGUACACAACGGUCUUAUCAUCAUUGUGCAUAUUCAUCAAUUAGUCUCAGUCAUAAAUCAACAAUUGUAACAGUUGUAAGUAUAGUACAGAGACCUUAUGUAAAAAGCAAGUGAACUCAUGAAUAAAGAUGUGCUGGUUACAUCAAAUUAUUCUGUGCAUUGCUUUCGUAUUAUUCUCUGCACAAAAUAGCCAUCAUUUUAUGUAAUUUAAACUUGGUAUCGGAGCUCUCAUUCCAGAAAUGGGCGUGAUUCAAUAUCGUAGUUCAACUGAAGAGGUUGACCUUAGUGAGCAAACACUUGAAACACCAGCAGUAACACAACAGUCAUCAUCCUUAAUUAUUGCGCAAAACUCCUCUCAAAUUUUCCUUUUCAGUUUCCACAGAACUUGACAGAACUAUGUCAUCUAGAGGACCAUGGUCAUGCCUGCCAUACGUCGCAAUGGUCUGGAGCACCUCAUUAGUGACUCACAAGACAUACCAACCAAAUAUAUCAUCAGUACUGAGGAUGACGGCACAACCAAAUCAACACUAAGACCAAAUUUUGUGAUGUGUUGCAAACCGGACCAACUACUCCUUAGUUGGCUUCUUUCUACAAUCACAGAAAGUAUUAUUUGUGCUGUGACUCAUUGCACAGCUUCUCUUGAGUUGUUGACAGUGCUGGAGAAAAUUUACUCUUCACAGUCCAUGGCUAGGUCAAUAGUGCUAAGGAUGCAACUGCAUAGCACUAGAAACGACAAUAUGAUUAUCAGUGAAUACUGCACCUAAGAUGAGAAAUCUGGUAACGGAACUUGUUACUGCUAGAAAGAUUGUCUCAAAUGAAGAUCUCUGCAACCACAUUAUCACAGGACUUGACAGAAGCUAUGAGUCUGUGUUGGGGAGCCGGACUUCAAUGCUUUAAAACAUUCCUUUUUGAAGAACUCUGCUCAAUCCUCUUAAGCCAUGAAGCAAGACUUGAACAGCAAGCACCUGCUGAAGCACAAGCUGCCUAUGAGGCAAAUGUCACCAUGAAACACAAGUGUGGGAUGAAUGAGAACAAGGAAGGUCAUGGGAAAGGAUACAAUCCAAACCAAGGACCUGGAAAGUCUCAUGGAGGCAGAGGAAGCAACAAUAACAGCUUAAGAGGAAGGGGCAGAGGUAGAUAUGGAGGAAAGAAAACAGUCUUUAAGCCUGAUGUCACCUGUCAUAUUUUGCUUCAAAGUUGGUUACACUACAGAUGAGUGUUGGCACAUACGUGAGGAAGACUUUGUGCCCAGAAACAAUGAGCAACAACACCAAAGAGCGGCCUUUGUUGUAGCUAAUGAAGGAGUGCUUGAAACAGGGUGGAACCUAGACAGUCGUACGACAAACUAUGUGACUAAUGACCUCAACAACUUGAGCAUGAGAUCUGAGUAUAAAGGUAAUUCCUUUCUCAUGGUUUGAAAUGGACACAAAUUAAAAAUAUCACACACUGGCACAAUACUAUUUCCUUUAUCUUUUGGUAAAAAAAGAACAUACUUGACUCUUAAGAAUGUUUAAUAAUGUUCUAUAUGUACUUGAUAUAACCAAUAAUCUCCUUAGCAUAUCAAGUUUGAUCUCAGAAAACCAUCUUAAUAUCUUGUUUACUGAAAAACAUUGUUGUUGUAAAGGACAAGCUGGGGAGUGCUCUUCUUCAAAGAACGAAUCAUGGAGGACUGUUUGUGGUCAGUAGAACUGCUGAAAAUAAAGCGGGAAGUGUUGCUGUCAAUUCUCUUUUAAGUUCACAGUCUUUGUUUGCAAUUAUAAUAGAGUCAAAUUCAGUUGAGUUUGAUUCUAAGUCGGCAGAGUUUGAAUGUGUUCAGUCUAUUGAGUCGAAUAAAAAUCGAGUUGGAUAUGUGAAGCAAUUAGACCUUUUAGAUAGAAAGUUUGGUCAUCCAAGUGAUGCUGUCCUCAAAAUAAUAGUGUCAAGCUGUAAUAAUAUCUCAGCCUUAAAUAAAAAAGAAUCAAGUUCCUUUUGUUCAGCCCAUAUAUAUAGAAAGAACCAUAAGCUAAGCUUCAAAAAAAGCUCACGGACUAAAACGCAAGCAACAUUAGAAUUAUUGCACAAUGAUAUCACCUAUUCCAUUAGGAGAAAGGUACAAAUACUGAGCAUAGUAGAUGACCACACUAGGACAUUUCCACUCAUUAACAAAUCUGAAACAACAAAAAUCUUUAUAAAAUUUAAAGAACAAGUGGAAAGAACAUCAGAAAAGAAAACUUAAGUGCUUAAGUGACUGAGAGGUGAAUUUAGGCCAUUAAAGGGUAUGUAGAGAUAUGAGGAAUAGUCUUUAUAUAUUCAUGCCCUUACACUUCAAUGAAGAAUUGAGUGGAACUGUAUAUAUGCCACAACCAGAUGAAUUUGAAAGCAAGGAAAAUUGGAAAAACCAAGCUAUGUCUGUGAUUGGAAAAAGCACUAUAUGGCUUAAAGCAGGCACAAGGAGUCUGGUAUAAGAAGCUGAGAGGAGUUUUGCUGACUUGCGGAUUCAAAAUGCAAUCUCAGACAAAUCGCAGACACAUUAUUAUUUCUCGGGAAGAAUAAGGGAAAGUCAGUAUAUGUACUUAUAUAUGAUGAUGACAUAUUGAUCACAGGAAGUGACCAAAGAACGACUGAAGGCGUUAUCAAACAAUUGAAUGAAAGUUUUGCUUUUAAAUUACCUCGCAUACCCAUCUAUUUUAUGCAAAUUGAAGCAAAAAGAGACUGUGGAGGGAGGCACUCGUGCUAAGAAAAGUAUAUACAGGAUCUACUAAAGAAAACCAAAAUGUUACAGCUAUAAGAAUAGUACGGAGACCUUGUAUGAAAAGCAAGUGAACUCAUGAAUAAAGAUAUGUCGGUUAUAUCAAGUUAUUCUAUGCAUUGCUUUCAAAUUAUUCUCUGCACGAUAGCCAUCAUUUUCAGUAAUUUAAACUCUUACGCUAAUUGGAAAAUGCACUGGCUUGCUUCUGCAGUAAUUUGGUUGUUGGAUUGGACCAUUGAUUUUAAGUGAUGAAGACAAAAUUCAACAAGGAACACAUACGAGCCACAUGGAAAAAUUCAUUUUUAAUCAUUAUUAAUCACAUAAUAUGAUCCAUGUAGCAAAAAUUAAAUUUAUUAUUAAUAUGAGCCAAGGACUAAUUAUUUCAUACAACAAAGACAACAUUAUGGUAUUUGUUAUUUAGCUUUAUUAUAUGUUGUUCCCUUUCUAUAAAUAAGACUUCGAGCCGUAUUGAAUAAAUAAGGUGAAAGUUAAUUAUCUGCAAUCAUGACAUAUUCCCAAGAUUCAAAAAUCAAUUCAAAUGCCACCUAACAAUAUUUAUUAAAAAUUAAAAAAAUAAAUAUAAAUAGAAACAAAUUAAUGAUUUUCGACUACCCCAAAAUCUAACACAUUUUUUAUCCUGCUGAUAUCUAAAAUCUUGAUUCUCUCAAACUAACAAGAGUUAGAAACAAAACCUAGUCAAAGCAGUGGAUUUAAUUAUACAUUUGUAAAAAUUAUGGCAUCAUCCAUUUUGGAUGCCACAUUAUUUUUAUAUCUAUCGCAAUUUGAUGAGGCAAAGGAAAAAUGAUGACUUUUUUCGAUGAGACAAAAGAAAGAUGGCUUGUUUUUUAAUGAAGAACAAAAAAAUGACUUCAUUUUAGUGAGGCAAGAGAAUAUUGAUUGUUUCUUUUAUCUUCUUCACUGCUUGUUUCGGUUGCAAUAUUUCAAAUUAGUGCAUGAUUAAAAUUCUGUUUUUAUAAAAUCACAUCACAGAUGAAGAUAUGUGGAAAGACAAUUAUCGACGAAGAAGACAUACUUAACAUUUCGUGCUAUAAACAUGAUUCUGCAGCAAUAAUAUAGAGCUCACUAACUUGAUACGCAUAAAGUUGGUUUUGAAGCAAAAUGCUAUCACACAGAAUCGUGGUGAAAAUCAUUGACAUGACAAGGUCAUAGUCGUGCUAAAAAUCAUGGUUACAAUUAUGAUUGACGUCAUGAUCUUGAAGAAAUCAUUAUCAACCUUAUAAUGAUAGUAUACAUCUGGAUAUCUUAGAUACAUGAUGCGUAAACAGUUGAUUUAAUUGGUUAUAAAGAUAUCUAUCCCUGUUAAGAUUACUAUUAAAUUUUAUUAGCUUUUAUAUUCCUAUCUAUUUUAUUUUUUAUGACGAUGCCUAACAUAUUUUACUCUUGAAAGGAUAUAGAUACUCAAAGGGGAUUGCAUCAUAAAGAAAUGUGUUUAGCUGGCAGUAUAACUACACUAACUAUCCUUUGAAAUAAUAAAUAUUUUAUGAGUUUGUAAUCAUUUGAAGCUAAGAUAAGUGCCAUCUUAGGUCCUGUUGAGAUCUAGUUGAAGACUCUAGAACAUUCACGUUCAUAUUACCAAGUUAUAACAAAAUUACAUAUCUAUAAUGCUCUGUAUUCACUAACAGUAGAAGAAAUCUUUUGAGUUUCAAAUAUAUUCGCAGUAAUGAAUUUCAUAUAGAGAAAAUAAAUGAGAAUAAUACAGAAUGUCUCUAUAUUACUUCUAGUGUCUUAGGUAAAAAUGUAUAUUGGAAAAGCUUUCUACUUUUUGAUCUGACUUAUAUUCAUACAACGAUAAAACUAGUUGGGAGCUACACAAUCAUGAACCAAAGACUUUGUGAUUCAAAAGUUUUUAUAUCUCAGUCACCUAGGUCAACUAUGAUGAGUAGAAUUAUCGAGAAUUCUUAUGGACAUCAUUUAAAGAAUCUAAAGAUUAUUCUCUCCAAUGAGUAUAGUUGCACUACUUGUUCCUAGGGUAAAUUAAUUAGCACUUAGACCAUCACAUUCGAAGAUUGGUCUUGAAUCUCUAUUGUUCCUACAAAUAAUUCAGGCAUAUAUAUGUGGACUUAUUAGCCCAUCUAGUGGUCUAUUUCAUUAUUUUAUGGUCUUGAUUGAUGCAUUUGACAGUAGUCAUAUGUUUAUUUAUUAUCUAUAUACAACAUUGUAUUUACUAGAUUGCUUGCACAAGUUAUUAAGUUACCUGCACAAUUUUAAGAUUAUCUAGACAAUGCUAGUAAGUUUACGUCUAAAGUUAUUGGUGAUACUACAGUUCUUUGGGAUUGAUAUAGAGCACCCAAUAUCACAUAUUCAUACUUAGAAGGGAUUGGUAGAAUCCUUCAUCAAACUGCUUUAGCUGAUUAUAGGAACUUUAUUGUUUCAUACUCAAUUACCUAUUUUUGCAUAUGGACAUACUAUUUUGCAUGCUAUGGUACUAAUACCUAGAGGCAUACUGCCUAUCACCAAUAUUCCUCAUUGCAAUUAGUACAUGGCAUCAACCUAAUAUAUCUCAUUUGUGCACUUUUGGCUAUAUUGUGCAAGUUCUUGCGACACCCCCCUAGUGUACUGAAAUAAGACUUCAACGAUAUUUUGAAUUUUAUGUGCAUUUUGACUAUCUAUUAUCAAAUGUCUUGAACCUAUUACCAAUAAUUUUUUUACCGCAUGCUUUUAUGAAUUUCCAUUUUAAUGAGAUAAAAUUUCCUUUGUUGGAGAAAAAAAAAAAAGCCACCAUAUGCUGGGAAUGAGCUUUUAUAAUAAGUGACAAAAUUGUCUCCUCUAGAUUACCACACCACUCAAAGUGAAAAUGAAAUGUGGUGAAUAAUUCUCUUACAAAAAAUUAUAAAUCGCUUGUUAGUUGUAUUUACAAAUGUAUCGAAAGUAAUCAAGUCAUAUGUACUGGUUGCAAAUGUACUUGGCCAAUUAGUUGCUCCUAAUUUUAAUAAAUAAAAAAAACUAUUUGAAUCGUCUAUGGCACGCCUUAAGUAUUGUAGACCCAUUGGCUCAAAGGACAACAUUCUGCUGAAAAGAAAAAUAAAAAGUUAGGAUCUGUUAUCAUGAAUGAUCAGGCUCUAAGUGAAAGUGGUCCUUCAAAGCAAAAGGUCCUUGAUGAGAACUAUGUGCCUACAGUAACACUACCUCCUAAAGAGACAAUUACCUUAAAUAUGGCCAAGCACUUGAUGUGGCUUAGUGAUGGUUGUCGAAGCCAACAAAAAUAAAUUCUUACUCUAAAUAAAUUAUGUAUAGUGAUUGAGCAGGGUCGUGUCCAUAGAGAUCGGUAAUUAUUUAAAUCAUUUUGAAACGUAAAACAUAAAAUGGGGGUUUUGUUGACAAUAAUAAAAAUCAAAUUAAAAUAACAAGAAUGCAAAUUAAAGUUGUAAUUCAAAUUGGAGAAAGCUCUGGUUGAAAGAAUUAACUCAGCUUGAUUCGACUACUGAUCAUUGAUUCAAAUAUAGAUUAUUAUUACUUAUGAAUAGACCGGUUAUAGCAAUUGAGACCCUCUAAUAGCCAAUCUCUCCUUAACUAGUCGAUAACCAAGGUACGACCGUUGGAUAUUUCCCUAAUCAAUAGACAACCCUAGAUACGAUCAUAGGAUUUAAUCAAUUGACAGCCUGAAAAACCAGAGAGACCCAAAUCCUAAUCAACACAUAUGAUGAUUCAUUUAAAUUAGAUUGUUUAUUCUCACAACACAACUCUCUGCUAUUUAUUUGUCACAAACAUUAAAUUCUUCAUACGAUGAAUCCUUUAAUUAACAAUAGAUUAAGUUGAUAAUUAAAUAGUGGCCAAUUAUCUAAUUAACAAACAUAAUCAUGAAAAUAAUUCAGAGAAUAAACAAAUACCCAAAAAGUAAUAAAACAAUUAAAGCACAAGAAAGAUCUCACAGUAGUGAUGAAUCAAAGCUUCAUUAUCCUUCAACCAGAAAAAUAGGUUUAGUUCUUCAUAGAGAGAAGAGAAAAAUUAAGAUCUAGGGUUUCUUUCUUUUUUUCCAAUCCAAAUCCUUCACAAUAGAUUCCUCCCUUAAAUACUCUCUCUCUCUUCUCUUUUAGAAUUCUAUUUAAAAUAAAAUACUAAUAUCUGAAAUAUUAAAUUCGUAAUUACAAAAAUAACCAAAAAUACAAAACACGUUAAACUAAAAACUACAGGUCCGCAGUUGACAGCACGCGCCCACGCCUUAUCAACAAAGUUCUUCUGACGCUCAUAAUUUCUCCAAGAGAACAAUCAUCCUUAAACAUCAUCUUAUAGCUCAAUUUUAUCACCAAUCAAUAGAAUUGCACCUACAAAAGUAAAACACAAGUAAAUCACUAUUAUUAAGUGCAAAACAUCGAUAUUAAGAGAAGUAAACAAUGCAAAACUAGUGCAUAAAUUUCACUCUAACACUUAGAAUGAAGAAAAUACACAAAUUUUGCUCACAAAAAAAGGUGUGGAAUCUUAAAGAAACAAUCAUCGAUGAUAAUUUGCGUUUAUAGUAGCCACUGGUUUAAUAAAUGAUGAUAUUGAACUGUAAUCCAUUGAUAUGUAGAUUGAGACAUGAUUGGCCUGCAUAGGAAGAAGCAAUCCAUAUGAAGUUGGCUUCUUUGGCAAAAUGAUUAUUUUUUAAUGUAACCUAAAUACCUACUUGUAUUAAAUCUGUUGGAUAUAAAUAGAUAUUUUUUAAGAAAUGUAACUAAAAGAAUAAGGUCGUUAUAUAUAAAGCACGACUCAUUGCACAAGGUUUUUUUAUAGAGACUAGGUAUUGACUAUGGGAUACCUAUUUAUUGGUAGUGCAUAUAGUUACAUUCCAAUUCUUCUAUUUGAGAGGCUUGAUACGCAUUUAAUAGAUAAGUGAUAGGUUUUUGUGUGUAUGAAAACUCCUAAAGGAUUCAAAAUGCUUAAAGCAUUGUAGUCACCACAUUGUAGCUUGUAUUCUACAAAGCUAUAGAAAUCUUUAUAUGAAUUGAAACAAUCUUGACAUAUCUGAUAAAGUUUCCUUAGUGACUACAUGAUCAAGGAAAGAUACAUGAAUGAUCUUAUUUGUCUUCGUGUAUCUAUAAACAAGCUAAAAUCUAGAUUUGCUAUUGCAGUAGUCUAUGUUGAUAAUAUGAAUUUGAUUGGAACUCUCAAAGAUGUCCAAAAGCCUACUGAUUAUUUAAAAAAGAGAGUUUAAAAUGAAAAAUUUUGGGAAAACUAGAUACUAUGUAAAGUUAUAGAUCGAGCACAAAUCUAAAAAUAUCUUUAUUUUUUAGUCAAAUUAUUAUGAAAAGAUAUUAAAAUGUUUUAAUAUGGACAAAACUUCUCUAUCAAUUACCCCAAUGGUAGUUUCAUCUCUUGAUCUUAAAAAGAUUCAUUUAAUCCUAAAGAGGAUGAUGACCAAGUGCUUGCUUCAUCAAAUACCAUAAGUUGAAUGCCCGUUGGUGCUUUAAUGUAUUUAGCCCAAUGUACUAUAGCUGUGUUCAAUAACUUGUUAGCAAGGUUUAAAUCUUGAAUUGAGCUAGACGACAUUGGAAUGGUGUUAAACAUCUUUUUCAUGAUCCUCUUGGAAUUAUCAAUUUCAGUUUAUUUUAUUCUAGUAAAUUAACCAAAAAUCUAAGUCUUAUUAGUUUUGCAGAUAUCCUCAUAAAGCUUGUUCUUAGAGGGGUUAUGUUUUUACUUAUACUAAAUAUUGAUUUCUUAAAAAUAUGUGAAGUUGACUCUUGUACUUGCAUUUUCCAAUCGCUUUGAGAUCCUUGUAUUGCAUGAAGCAAGUAGAGAAUACUUAUGGUUGCGGUCCAUUAUGCAUCAUAUCCAGGAUGCUGAUAAAUUAUCUUCAAGUGCAGACAUCCAAACGGUAAUAUAUGAAAAUAAUGUUUCUUGUAUAGCUCAAUUCAAGAGAGCAUAUAUCAAAGGAGAUUGAAAAAGCUUACCUCACCAAAGUUCUUCAAUACUCAUGAGCUCCAACAAAAUAAGACGAUCGAUAUCAAGCAGAUACAUUACACAAAUAAUUUUACAUAUAUGUUUAUUGAAGCUCUAUGCAUAUCAACAUUUUAGAAAAUAGUAUAUGGCAUCAGAAUGUGCCAUUUAAACAGAAUAUCGAGACGAUCAUUAGUUGAAUGCUCAUCAGGAGAAGAAAAAAUUUACCAAAGAAGAAUUUCAAUAAUUAAAUUGGAUACAUCUGCACGAUACUCGUUUUUUUCCCUUUGAAUAGAUUUUUCUACAAGAUUUUAGUGGCAAAGGUUUUUAAUUAGAUAAUUUAAACCACAUGCAGCCCACUUUAUCGUUCGCUAAAUUAUAUUUCUUUUGGUUGAGCUUUUUUUCUAUUGAGUUUUUCCAUAACAAAAGUCAAAUACAAUUAUCGUGAAGUGGUGGAUACCAAAGUGGGGGUGUUAUGGAAAUUAGUGAUUUAAAAAACAACUCAAGAGAUUUGACGGCUAAAGAGCUAAACAAGUCAAUCAAUUGUGGGUAUUAAGGUCACGAUGUGUCCUAAGGCUUGGCUGUGUUUUAAUUAGCUGAUGGAUUCCCUGAAUAGAGAGCACUACUCAUUGUAAUUUGUAUCCGAAGGCUUGGCUGUGUUUUAAUCGGUUGAUGGAUCCUAUAAAUAGGGAGCACUGCUCUUUGUAAUUUGUAUCUGAAAUUGAAAGCCUUAUCAAUUACAAUAAUAUCAUCUUUCUUUAUAUCAUCUAUUUAUCUAUUUAUACGUCUUACCUAUAUUCUCAAUAAUUAUAUUAUAAUUGAUAUUUUUAUUGUUUAUUGUGCACUGAAUAAUUCUUUUUUUAACCUUUGCUUACUAAUAGAAUUCUUCUUUUUUUUUUAAUAUUCUCUUUAGCGUAUGAAAUUGAUACAAUUUAUUUUUUUCGAUUUUAGUACUUUUUUCGUUCAACUACUUAGGAAUUGUUUGGUAAUGAGAUGAUGUGGUUUUUAAUAUACAGUUGUUGGGAUAAAAGCUAAAUUUGUCAAAGAAAAGCUUAUAGAUUAUGGUAAAUAAUAAAUUUUGUAUUAAUUUUUAUAUUUAACAAUUAUUACAAAAAUUAUGAAAUAAGAAAAAAACCACCAGCUAGGCAGUGGAGCCACAACGUAGUGUGUUUUACCAAACACCCAAACAGAUCCCUAACUAGGGUGUUUAAAUGUCUACAAUUAAGAUUAGUUUAGAAAAUAAGGUCCUAUUUAGUAUUGAGGGGCUAUCUACAGCUAAUGUCGAACAAAAUUGUAACUAUGAAAUAAAAGUUAACAAUAUAUAGUAAAUAUAAUUUUUAAACAAUAAUUUUGAUAAAAUUAAUAAAGGCAUAAUAUUUUUUUUUCAUCUUAUAUGUAUAAAAUCAAAUAAACUUAACUUCUAAACUACAACAACUAAUAUUUACCAAACACUUUAAUGUUGUAUCUUAAAAUCUAUAACUAUCCAACCUCAAUUUUAAAUAGGGCCCAAGUAUGGGUAAUGCGUGGGAUUUAGCAUCUCACAACUUACCUAGCGUGUUAUUAGUGAAAUUACAUUUACAAUAUUUUUAGCCCACUUACGUAGAUGGAUCAACUGGCUGUUAACAUGUUCUCCACCAUGGUCACCAGAGUUCAAGAAAAGGAUUUAUACUGUUUAGUAGGUGAAGUUUCACAUUUCCAUCCAAAUAUUUUAUUAAAAAAUAAAUCAAGAGUAUUCAUUGUGAAAAAGAAGUUUUUGUCCAAACAUUAAAAGGAUCUUCCAAAUUAAUGUAAAACAUAGAGCACAAACGAGUUAAUACUCAUUUAUAUAUCAAGUUAAACGGGUUAAUUUUGUGUUAAUUGUGUUAUAGAUAGGCAAGAGUAAGAGACACAAACAAGAUCAAAAGGAUUAUCUUAGAUGGAAAAUUCUAUAAUACCAUAACAAAAAUUACGGUAUUAAUGCCGUAGUUAUUUUAUACUGUUGGAUGAGAUCAACGAUGUACAAUAAUUAAAAUAUAAUAAAAAAUGUAAAUUUUUUUUCUUUAACCGGUUUACAACUGGUUAUUUAUUUAUAAAAAAAUAAAUUUAACUGGCUAAAACAGUGGGGAAAAAGAAGCGGUUUUUGUUUGCCUCCAAUACUCUUUUCCUGCUGAUAAUUUAGCAAAAACAGAGGCAAAAAAAAGCAAAAAAGAAGAAGCCCUACAACGACGUCGUUGAGGAGAAUCGAGCUGAGUCCUUGAUCGUGAAGCGGUUUUCAGUCGACGAUAACGACCCGAAGUCGGCGAUUGAUACCGUAAUCGGCGCCAGCGAUUAAUAACCAUAUAAUCCUCUGCUGCCCUUAAUCUUGUUGAGGGGAAGAGAACCACGGCAAAUUACUAAUAAAAAUAAGGCAAGUUGCAGGCCACUGAUUCUCCUCUACCACAUUCGCAUUGUCGUUAAUUUCAACAUGUGUUUUUUUUUUUUACAAUUUAUUUGACCAAGACACACAAAUAUAUAUAGAGAGAGAGAGCAUGCACUAGACUUUGAUAUGAUUUUUUCUUGUUAUUACAAGUAUUACUUGAAUACAAGUAAUAUGUCCUGUUCUGAAAACACAUAUUGUCGAAUUAUGUAAUGUUCAUUUGGUUCGUAUCUUAUAAUUUCUCUAGUUUAUUCAAUCUGAUUUGCUGACACUUAUGCCCAAUAGCCCUAGUUUCCUUUUUUACAAAUCCACUUAGAAAAAUUUCUUUGUUAGUGGUUCUAUUUUUAUUUAUUUAUUUUUGAGUGAUUUGCCAAUGUGUUAAAAUUGUGCUUGGAUCCUACAUAUUGGUAGUUAACGUUGAUGCUUUGAUGGAAUUUCUAAUAGAGUGAGUAAAUUUUGUUGAAAUUUCUAAGUAGAGUCUUCAAGUUAUUUGUUGAAAUGCCUGAGAGAAACAAUGUGUUUGUAUAUGUUCUAUUAUUCAAAUAUGAGGUAUGAAAAUGAAAAUAAAAAUUUUGCGUUUGGGUUAAUUUUCUAUUGUAUUUGGAAUGAUUUGCUGUUGUUUUUUAGUAAAAUUUUUCUAGUGUUUUGGGUUUCAUUUGCUGCAGUUUUUAGGUUAAAUUUUCUACUAUUUCUGGGCCAAUUGGCUGUUGUUUUUCAGUUUAAUUUUCUACUAUUUUUAGAUAAAUUUACUGCUGUUUUUGCGUUAUAUUUUCUGCUGUUUUCAAGUAAAUUUUUCGGUGUUUCGAGCUUCAUUUGCUGUUGCUUUAGGUUAAAUUUUCUACUGUUCCUGGGUCAAUUGGCUGCUGUUUUCAGUUUAAUUUUUUGCUGUUUUUAGAUAAAUUUACUACUAUUUUUGGGUUAUAUUUUCUGUUGUUUCUUGGUAAAUUUUUUCUAGUGUUUUGGGCUUCAUUUGCUACUGCUUUUAGAUUAAAUUUUUUGUUGUUUCUGGGUCAAUUGGCUGCUUUUUUCAGUUUAAUUUUUUACUCUUUUUAGAUAAAUUUACUACUAUUUUUGGGUUAUAUUUUCUGUUGUUUUUAGAUAAAUUUACUAUUGUUUUUGGGCUUCAUUUGUUGCUGCUUUUGGGUUAAAUUUUUUGCUAUUUCUGAGUCAAUUGGCUGUUGUUUUUUAGUUUAAUUUUUUACUCUUUUUAGAUAAAUUUACUACUGUUUUUGGGUUAUAUUUUCUGUUGUUAUUAGAUAAAUUUUUUGCUGUUUUUGGGUUUAAUUUGUUGUUACUUUUGGGUUAAAUUUUUUGCUAUUUCUGAGUAAAUUUGCUAUUGUUUUUCAGUUAAAUUUUCUGUUGUUUUUGGAUAAAUUUACUGCUGUUUCCAGAUAAUUUUUUUGCUGUUUUGGGCUUCAUUUACUGUUGUUUUUAGGUUAAAUUUGUUGCUGCUUCUGGGGUAAAUUUGCUGCUGUUUUUCAAUUAAAUUUUUUGUUGUUUUUAGAUUAAAUUUUUUUCGUAUAUUGGGCUUCAUUUGCUGCUAUUUUGUGUUAAAUUUUUUUUUGUUCUAGGUAAAUUUAUUACUUUUUUUAGUUAAAUUUUUUGUUGUUUUUGGAUAAAUUUACUACUAUUUUUUGGGUUAGAUUUUUUGCUGUUUUCUGGUAAAUUUGCUGUUGUUUUGUGCACAGAGCUGGUCGAAAAAUGGUCAUGAUGCAUUUUGAAUGCAGAAUGAUGGAGACUGGUAGUAAAAGUUGCUUGUGUUGUUUUUGCUGCUACUUGCUCCAUUUGAGCUUCUAGAAAUUGUUAAGGGUAGCGGGGAAGAAGAAAGAGAUGAUGAGAAAUGCAAAUUGUUUGUGAGCUUUAGAUUGAUGUACCAAGCCAAUAGUUAUAUUGCAAAAUAUCUGUUUUUUUUUUAGUUUGUUAAUUUUUAUUUUUUUGGAUUAUAACUAAUGCUGUAAAUAGUUAUUGUUUGUCACCGUUCUAGAAGCAAAUACUAGUCUAACUUUCUAGGAAAGGUGUUCCUAAUUCUUGGUUGGGUGAUUGAAUUUUGUAUUGAAAUGUUUAUUUCUAAAAUAUUUUUAGAGGAUCCAAAACUUGUGAUAUUUGACAUUUCUUUUUGUGCUUAAUAUCUUCAUGUACAGGUUCUUGUAAACUUGAAAAUGGCAGAAAAUGUAAAAUGAGAAUGAUUUCAAGGAGAAUGAUAAUGUGAACCAAGAAAAUGAAAUUUUAAGAAAAAAUCGGCCUUUCAUUGAGCAUAUUUGCACCUCGGAUUAUGAUGAAUGGUUGCACGGCCUACGUGCUAGCAGAUUUAGAUGCGGAUUUGGCGAAUAUUGGCUUUGCAUGUUUGGAGAAUUGAGAGAGAGAGAUUCAUAUUUGGGGAAUGACGAAUAGGGACUAUGUUUUAAUUUUUCACUUUGUCGUUCUUGUCUUCUAUGGUGCCAUUGAGACUUGAGAGCUGAGCCUUUUUUUUACCGCUUUCACUUAAAAAGGAAAAUGAAUAUUAUAAGGAAACGACGUAGUUUUAGUGAAUUUUAAAUGUUAUAAUUUUUUGUUGUUGUUUAUAUCUUAAUUAUAUAACAUUAUUUUUUAAAAUAAGUUAAAGAUAAAAUUUAUAACAUUUAUAUAUAUACCUAAAAUAUAUAUAGAACCACUUAUGUUAUGAUUUGUUUUUGGGUUCAGAUUUAUCAUUUUUAGUUAAAUUUUAAAUUUAUGAUUUUAUACCUAAUUUUUCAUUCGGGAAAGGGACAUGGUCGAUUUUUAUAAACUAAUUUAAAGAAAAAUGAUAGGUUUAUGAUUUUAUUAAUAUAUUAUAAUUAAUAAUAAUAAUAAUUUUUUAAUAAAUAAUCACUAUAAUUAAAAUAUAAAAUAAUAAUUAUGAUAAUAAUUCAUUAAGUACAUAUAUUACAUGCAAGGAAGACUAGGCUCGACUUUUAGUCUAAUUAACUUGACCUGAAUUUUUUGGCCUUUGACUCGAAUUUAAUGGUUAGGCUUGGGUCUAAAUAUUAGAGCCCAAUUAAAUUCAUAUCAGGGUUAGGGACCUAUAUGCCCGACCCGACCUGAUCUGACCUAACCAUAAAACCUAAAAAAAAUGUAAUAAUAUGAUUACGGCCCUGAAUAAUCUUUAUUUUUAUGUUACUUCAAACAAUUUCUAAAGCUUUUAUAUUUUACUGUAUAUGGGGAGGCUAUGUCCAAUUUUUAAAUUUUAAAUUAACUAAAAAUUAAAAAAAAAACUUUAAAAGAAAGUUUGAUCAGGCCCACGCUUUCAAAUAAUAGGGCCUUUUUGGGCUCGAAAAUUUUAUUUCAGCUAUAGAGUCAGGCUCAGAAAUGGCUAAGCACAGGCCUAACUCGACCCACUGCCAUCCUUUCGAAUAGACUAUUGAUCCAUUAUGAACUCAUCAAUUAAAUUCAUGAUCAUAGUAAAUGUGUUACUAUCAUUCUUUUGUUUGCAAGAACAACUUGUAAACAAAAUAAAAAUUUAGUAAAAUGACACAGAAUUUGUAAAUUGACAUUAAGUGUAAAAUAAAAUAAAAAAUUUGUAAAGCACACAUAAAACUAGUAAAUUGAUGGAAAAUUGGGUAAAUUAAUGUUCGAAUUGUAAAUUGCAAGAAAAACUUGUAAAUAAAAUAAAAAUUUAGAAAAAUGACAUAAAACUUGUAAAUUAACAUUAAAUAUAAAAUGAAACAAUAAAUUUGUAAACCACACAUAAAACAAGUAAAUUUAAGGAAAAAUGGGUAAAUUAAUGUUGAAGUUGUAAUUUGCAAGAAGAACUUGUAAGCAAAAUAAAAAUUUAGAAAAAUAACAUAAAACUUGUAAAUUGAUAUUAUGUGUGAAAUAAAACAAAAAAUUUGUAAACCACACAUAAAACUAGUAAAUUGAUGAGAAAAUGGGUAAGUUAAUAUUUGAGUUGUAAAUUGCAAGAAGAACUUAUAAACAAAACAAAACCUUAGAAAAAUGACAUAGAACUUGUAAAUUGACAUUACGUGUGAAAUGAAACAAAAAAUUUAUAAAUCACGCCUAAAACUAGUAAAUUGAUGGAAAAAGAGGUAAAUUAAUAAUGGUGUUGUAAAUUGCAGGAAAAACUUGUAAACAAAACAAAAACUUAGAAAAAUGAUAUAAAACUUAUAAAUUGACAUUAAGUGUGAAAUGAAACAAAAUAUUUGUAAAUCACAUAUCAAAAUAUUUGUAAAUCACAUAUCAAAAUAUUUGUAAAUCACAUAUAAAACUAGUAAAUUGAUGGAAAAAAAGUUAAAUUAAUGAUGGAGUUGUAAAUUAGAAGAAAAAAGUGUAAACAAAACAAAAAUUUAGAAAAAUGGCAUAAAACUUGUAAAUUGUCAUUAAGUGUGAAAUGAAACAAAAAACUUGUAAACCACAAAUAAAACUAGUAAAUUGAUGGAAAAAUAGGAAAAUUAAUGUUGGAGUUGUAAAUUGUAAGAAGUUGUAAACAAAACAAAACCUUAGAAAAAUGACAUACAACUUGAAAAUUGACAUUAAGUGUGAAAUGAAACAAAACAUUUGUAAAUGACAUAUCAAAAUAUUUGUAAAUCACACUUAAAAUUAGUAAAUUGAUGGAAAAAGAGGUAAAUUAAUGAUGAAGUUGUAAAUUAGAAGAAAAAAGUAUAAACAAAACAAAAACUUAGAAAAAUGAUAUAAAACUUCUAAAUUGACAUUAAGUGUGAAAUGAAACAAAAAAUUUACAAAUCACACCUAAAACUAGUAAAUUGAUGGAAAAAGAGAUAAAUUAAUGAUGGAGUUAUAAAUUGCAAGAACAACUUGUAAACAAAACAAAAACUUAGAAAAGUGACAUGGAACUUGUAAAUUGACAUUAAGUGUGAAAUAAAACAAAAAAAUUUGUAAAUCACAUUUAAAUUUAGUAAAUUGAUGAAAAAGAGGUAAAUUAAUGAUGAAGUUGUAAAUUAGAAGAAAAAAGUAUAAACAAAACAAAAACUUAGAAAAAUGAUAUAAAACUUGUAAUUGACAUUAAGUGUGAAAUGAAACAAAAAAUUUGUAAACUACAUAUAAAACUAGUAAAUUGAUGGAAAAAUAGGUAAAUUAAUGUUGGAGUUGUAAAUUGGAAGAAGAACUUAUAAACCAAACAAAACCUAAAAAAAUGACAGAACUUGUAAAUUUACAUUAAGUGUGAAAUGAAACAAAAAAUUUGUAAACCACACAUAAAACUAGUAAAUUGAUGGGAAAAAAGGUAAAUUAAUUUUGGAGUUGUAAAUUACAAGAAGAACUUGUAAACAACACAAAAACUUUGAAAAAUGACAUAGAACUUGUACAUUGACAUUAAGUGUGAAAUGAACCAAAAAAAUGUGUAAAUCACACAUAACACUAGUAAAUUGAUGGGAAAAGGAGUAAAUUAAUGUUGGAAUUGUAAAUUGCAAGACAAACUUGUAAACAAAACAAAAAUUUAGAAAAAUGGUAUAAAACUUAUAACUUGACAUUAAGUGUAAAAUGAAAUAACAAAUUUGUAAACCACAUAUAAAACUAGUAAAUUUAUGGAAAAUGGGGUAAAUUUAUGUUGGAGUUGUUAUUUGCAAGAACAACUUGUAAACAAAACAAAAACUUAGAAAAAUAACAUAAAACUUGUAAAUUGACAUUAUGUGUGAAAUAAAAUAAAAAAUUUGUAAACCACACAUAAAACUAGUAAAUUGAUGGAAAAAUUGGUAAGUUAAUAUUUGAGUUGUAAAUUGCAAGAAGAACUUGUAAAUAAAACAAAACCUUCGAAAAAUGAAAUAGAACUUGUAAAUUGACAUUAAGUAUGAAAUGAAACAAAAAAAAUUGUAAAUCAUGCAUAAAACUAGUAAAUUGAUGAAAAAAAAGGUAAAUUAAUGAUGGAGUUGUAAAUUAGAAGAAAAAAGUGUAAACAAAACAAAAAUUUUUAAAUAUGACAUAAAACUUGUAAAUUGACAUUAAGUGUGAAAUGACACAAAAUAUUUGUAAACCACACCUAAAACUAGUAAAUUGAUGGAAAAAAUGAGUAAAUUAAUGUUGGAGUUAUAUUUUGCAAGAAGAACUUGUAAACAAAACUAAAACUUAGAAAAAUCACAUAAAACUUGUAAAUUGAUAUUAUGUGUGAAAUAAAAAAAAUAUUUGUAAACCACACAUAAAACUAGUAAAUUGAUGAGAAAUGGGUAAGUUAAUAUUUGAGUCGUAAAUUGCAAGAAGAACUUGUAAACAAAACAAAAGCCUUAGAAAAAAAUGACAUAGAACUUGUAAAUUGACAUUUAGUAUGAAAUGAAACAAAAAAAUUUUUAAAUCACACUUAAAACUAGUAAAUUGAUUAAAAAAGAGGUAAAUUAAUUGUUGAGCUGUAGAUUGUAAGAACAACUUGUAAACAAAACAAAAACUUAGAAAAAUGACAUGGAACUUGUAAAUUGACAUUAAGUGUGAAAUAAAACAAAAAAUUUGUAAACCACAAAUAAAACUAGUAAAUUGAUAGAAAAAUGGGUAAGUUAAUAAUUGAGUUGUAAAUUGCAAGAAGAACUUGUAAACAAAACAAAACUUUCGAAAAAUAAAAUAGAACUUGUAAAUUGACAUUAAGUAUGAAAUGAAACAAAAAAUUUGUAAAUUAACAUUAAGUAUGAAAUGAAACAAAAAAUUUGUAAAUCACAUCUAAAACUAGUAAAUUGAUAGAAAAAGAGGUAAAUUAAUAAUGGAGUUGUAAAUUGCAAGAAGAACUUGUAAAAAAACAAAAACUUAGAAAAAUAACAUAAAACUUGUAAACUGGCAUUAUGUGUGAAAUGAAACAAAAUAUUUACAAAUCACACAUAAAACUAGUAAAUUUAUGGAAAAAGAGGUAAAUUGAAAUUGUAAAUUAGAAGAAAAAGGUGUAAACAAAACAAAAAUUUUUAAAAAUGACAUAAAACUUGUAAAUUGAGAUUAAGUGUGAAAUGAAACAAAAUAUUUGUAGACUACACCUAAAACUAGUAAAUUGAUGAAAAAAUGGGUAAAUUAAUGUUGGAGUUGUAAUUUGCAAGAAGAACUUGUAAACAAAACAAAAACUUAGAAAAAUAACAUAAAACUUGUAAAUUGACAUUAUGUGUGAAAUAAAAUAAAAAAUUUGUAAACCACACAUAAAACUAGUAAAUUGAUGGAAAAAUGGGUAAGUUAAUAUUUGAGUUGUAAAUUGAAAGAAGAACUUGUAAACAAACCAAAACCUUAGAAAAAUGACAUAGAACUUGUAAAUUGACAUUAAGUGUGAAAUGAAACAAAAAAUUUGUAAGUCACACAUAAAACUAAUAAAUUGAUGGAAAAAUAGAUAAAUUAAUGUUAGAGUUGUAAAAUACAAGAGGAACUUGUAAACAAAAUAAAAAUUUAGAAAAAUGAUAUAGAACUUGUACUUUGACAUUAAGUGUGAAAUGAACUAAAAAAUAUGUAAAUCAUGAUUAAAACUAAUAAAUUGAUGGAAAUGAUCCCUGGGUUAGCUCAUUUAAUUGACUGCACCACUACUGGAUUAAUAAGCUAGACAACUAGCUAUUUGGGUCAAAAACCUAAAUAUAUCAUUUAGUGGGAGGCUCCAUUUAAUUAGCUUAUGUGUAAAGGGCCUUAUGUUAUUUUACAAGGUGGGUCCCCUAUAGAAAAAGCAAGUAACGUGAGUUUUGAUUUUCAUUAUUUGGAGUCUAGGGUUUUCACUAAAGGGAGAUAUAAAAAAGCUUAUUUUCUCUAAAGAAAAAAGAGCAGCUCCUUUAUACAAAGAAGAGAAAAAGAUUUUUCUCUUAGUUAUUGAGAGAAAAAUUUUCUCGUGCUAGUUGCUUUGAUAGUGAUAAAGGCGUCCACACGUCAAGUGCAGAUCGACCCUGAGUCAUAACCUGGAAGAUCAUUGUGACAGUUCGUGAUCUAACAAGCGUAGUGGUGACGGAUCGUGAUCUAACAGGAGUGGUGGUGACAGAUCGUGAUCUGGGAGCCUAAAUCACUUCAAUAGAAAAAAGCCAAAUCGAAUUUUCAAGGUAUGAUUUCUAGAUUACAAAUUCUUAUAUAUGGUAGGAGAGCUAUCUUAAAAGGUUUUAUAAAAAUUUAAAAAUUAUAUUUUUCUCCAACAAUUGGUAUCAGAGCCAUCUCAUAUUAAUAUAUAAGAAUAUUGUAUGAAAUCAAUCUUGAAAUUUAUAUAUUAGAGUGGCACAAUUUAUUCAAAUAUAUAUUAUUAUUUUAAUAUAUGAAUAAAGCAUGUUUUUAGUUUGUCUUAAUUCAUGGUUAGAUUUUACGCUGUAUUUUUUCUUCGGAUCUGUAACAAGAGGGGUGACUUUUCAUCACAAUGUUUCCCUCUUGAUUUAUUUUACUGUUAUAGAAUUUUUGUAAGCCAAAAUUGGCCUAGGAAAUUUGUAAAUCAAUCAUGGAUGUCAGAUCAUCGGAAACGAAGGCCGGAUAUUUUGACAGCAGCAACAAACCAGCACGUGCGGCCAGCAAUGGCCAGCGGCACGCACUGCACGUGCUGCAGCUGCAAGCAAUGCUGCCAGCAGCGUGCAGCUCCUGGGUUCCGUCAUUUGGUGGCUUUCCGGCGUAGUGGCAAUGGUUAAAUCAGCGUCGAACUUGGAUGAACAGUGACUGGCUUUGUGGUGAUGGCGGAUGGGGAGAGUAAAAGAUGGAUUCAGGGUUUCAAUGGUUUUUAUCAUUCAGAUCCCUAUGGCUCCAUAUUUUUUUUCUUUUUGGGUAGACACGUUUAAAUUUUUGCAGUUAAGUCCAAAAACAGUAUUGGGCUUAAUGAAUCAUAGUUUAUGCUCAAUUUCAAUUGGGCUUAAUGGAUUAAAAUGCAUAGAUAAAAUUGAACACAUUAAGACGGAAGGGUGGAAACAUUUAAAGCAAGAUUAGUAGCCAAAGGGUUUACUCAGAAAGAGGGAAUCGAUUAUGAGGAAACUUUUUCUCCGGUUGCUAUGCUUAAAUCCAUCAGGAUUCUGCUCUCCAUUACUGCAGUGCUAGAUUAUGAAAUUUGGCAAAUGGAUGUCAAGACUGCCUUUCUUAACGGGUAUCUUGAAGAAAACAUCUACAUGCAGCAACCAGAUGGAUUUAUACAAAAAGGCCAUAAACACAUGGUAUGUAAGUUGCAGAGAUCCAUUUAUGGAUUGAAGCAAGCAUCCCGGUCAUGGAACAUCAGAUUCGAUCAAGUGAUUAAAUCGUUUGGAUUCAUUCAGAACAUUGAUGAACCAUGUGUGUACAAGAAAAUUCAAGAAAAAUCUGUAGCCUUCCUAAUUCUUUAUGUAGAUGAUAUUCUCCUAAUUGGAAACGAUAUAGGAGUAUUGACUACAAUAAAGAGUUGGUUAGCAAAACAAUUUGAUAUGAAAGACCUGGGAGAGGCAAGUUAUAUUCUUGGUAUCAAGUUACUACGAGACCGAAAGAAUAAAACUUUAGCCUUGUCUCAAGCGGUCUACAUCGAUAAGAUAUUGGCUAGAUUUAGCAUGGAAAAUUCCAAGACUGGUUUAUUACCAUUCAGACAUGGAAUUACAUUCUCUAAUGAUCAAUCACCUAAAACAUCUGAAGAGAUAGAGAGAAUGAGACGAGUUCCCUAUGCAGAAGCUGUGGGAAGUCUCAUGUAUGCCAUGCUUUGCACUAGGCCAGACAUCUGUUUUGCGGUAGGGAUGGUUAGUAGAUAUCAAUCUAAUCCUGGACCUGAACACUGGACUGCGGUCAAGCAUAUAAUGAAGUAUCUGAAAAGAACUAAAAAUUAUAUGCUUGUGUAUUCUGGUAAUGAACUCAUUCCAGUGGGUUAUACUGAUUCUGACUUUAUGUCAGAUAAGGAUUCCAAAAAAUCAACUUCCGGCUAUGUGUUUACAUUGGGAAGUGGAGCUAUUAGUUGGAGGAGUGUGAAACAAUCUUAUAUCGCAGACUCCACAACUGAAGCUGAAUAUGUGGCUGCAUCCGAAGCUGCAAAAGAAGCUGUAUGGCUCCGCAAGUUCCUACAAGAUCUUGAGGUGGUACCUGCUGUAUCUGCACCCCUGAAACUAUUUUGCGAUAAUAGUGGUGCGGUAGCUCAAUCUAAGGAACCAAGGAACCACAAGAAACAAAAACAUAUUGAGAGUAAGUAUCAUCUUAUAAGGGAUAUAGUGCAAAGGGGUGAUGUGGAGGUUACUCAGAUUGCGUCACAGCAAAAUUUGGCAGAUCCUUUUACUAAGGCCAUACCUGGGAAACCUUUUAACUUGCACUUAGAAUCCAUGGGCAUGCGUGAGAUGCCAAAUAUGCUUUGAGAGCUAGUGGGAGAUUGUUGGGAAAAUAUGCUCUUUAAAAGCAUAUGUGUUUAUUUAAUUGUAAUAAAUAAUUUUUCUGAUUAAUAAAAUAGAUGAGGUAUUUUAUUCAAAUAUAUUAAUUGCAUUAAUAUUUAUAUUAAAGUCCAUUUAAUCAUAUUAUAUGUAUUUAUGUGAUCACCAUGUGGAUUCACAGAAGACAUAAAUACAAGUUAUCUUAUGAUUAAAUAAAUUUAGUUCGCAGUUGAUAAAUAAAGUUGGGCACUUUAUUUAGGUAUAGACUGUAAUAAAUUCAUUGAAUGAUUUGUCUUAAUCAUGUAUGAAUUUAUUGGUGUAGUACGACUACAUUGAACAUGAUCACAUAUGAGAUUUAAUUAACUUUGUAAUAACUGUCAGACUUAUUAAAUCUCAUAGGCGUUGAUUUUACUGUAAUCUUAAUCUUGAGUUAAUUAUGAUUUCAUGAUUGUAAUUGUUAUUCCAUUUGAGUUACCAAUGGGCACGACACAUCCUUGUGGUCAAGAUUACCCGGUAUCUUGGUGGGAGCAAUUAUGAGUAUUGGAGUUAUGGAUUAACAAUAUAGAAUUUGUACAACACAUCUCUUGAUGGGUUUCUGAACUAAACAGACCUCAAUUACAAAAAGAUUUCAACACCCAAGUGUCAAUAGGAUUCUGAACUAAACAGGCCUCAAUUACAAAAAGAUUUCCCAUACCUGAUUUCACAAUCUUAGGGUAAUCCUUUUUCCAGUGACCUUUCUGUCCACACUUAAAGCAUUUGCCUUUCGGCUUGCCAUCUUGCUUGGUAGACGGUUUCUUUUUCCCAGCUUUCUUCUUACCUUUGCCUUUCGGCUUAGGCCCAGAAGAUGAACUUUUUUCAGUAAUAUUUAUGCUUCCCAGAGAUUUCUCAGCACGAUAGAUCUCUUCAGCAGAAUGGAGUUCGUUCAUCAAUUCAGUUAAGGUCAUGUUUCUUUUGUUCAUGUUAUAAUUGACCUUAAACUCAUUGAAUGUUUCUGGUAGAGAUUCUAGCACCAUGUCAAUCUUUGAGUUAUCAUCGAUUUGUGCUCCCUGAAUCUCAGCCUCAUUCAAAUAGUCCAUCAUUUUGAGGACAUGAUCACGAAUUCUUGUGCCCUUCCCCAUUUUACUGUUCAUAAUUCCUUUCAGCGCUGCUUGUCUCGCUGAGCUAGUACUCUGCCCGAACAUCUGUUGGAGACUAUCCAUUAUUUCAGUGGCAGUCUCCAAGUUCUGAUGUUUGGUCUGCAGAAUAUUAGAAAUCGAGGCUAAAAUGUAGCACUUUGCCAUUUCAUUAGCCUUUUGCCAUUUCUCAUAAAGCCUCCUCUGAUUUCUAUGAGCAUCAUCCGCUGGAACUGGAGGGCAUGGCUGGGUUAAGACAUAUUUAUAAUUUUCAGCAGUCAGGACAAUGAAUAUAUUUCUUUUCCAAUCUAUAUAGUUCUCUCCAGUGAGUUUGUUUUGACUCAGAAUAAUAGUAAGUGGGCUCAGGGAAGACAUUUUUUGAAAAUAAAACAUCCAUGCAUAAAUAAUUUGAAAUAAUAUUCAUAAUAAAUGACAAAAAUGCAUAAAACCAUAAAUGCAUUUUAAUUUAUUGUAACGAUAAUCUAAUUCCGCUUUGACAAGCUAUCCGGUGGGAAAGUCAUGUCUAUACUUACUAGACCCAAUUACCCAUUGGAUUAUUUACUUUCAUGUAGAGACAUGAUAAAUAAUUAUCGUUAUCUUUUUGGGCCUAAAUUUGUUAACAGAGCUUCGUUGGAAAGGUUAAUAACAAAUUUUAGUUGAGUGUAUAACCAUUGUUUCAAUCUACGUAUUUUUCAUAUCAAUAGUCACCGUUGGGGUGAACAAUUGAUUGAAAAAUAUUUCAAUUUUAUCUUUGAAGAAGUUCAUCAAAUAAAAUAUCUAAUAUAUAUACCCUCCGAAGGGAGCAUCACUGUAUCAUGAAGUCGAGGUAUAUAUAUAAUUUUAUUAUUGAACUAACAAUGGAGCCCUUGGGAAAAUUAUCUUGAAUUUUCCCUCUCCCACUCAAUAUUUUAAAAUUGGUUUUUCCUUUUUAAAACAUACAUAUUGUUAAUUGCAUGCUUCCUAUAAUAUUAUCUAGAUGAUAUCAAAUAUUAUUAAGCAUACGCAAAUUUCAAAUAAUAUAAUGAAAUUCAUUAUUAAUGAAUGACAUGUAUCAUUAUGCAUAGAGUGGCACUACCUAUUCUAUAUGACAUGUUAUCAUGGCAUGUGAUCAUCCAAAACAUAACAUAUAGAAAAACAAUUAAAUAAUCUUAAUUCAUGGCUUUCCUAAUAAUGAAAAAUACAUUAACCCCAAGCCUAAUCUUCAUUGGGCUUCUUGUCAAUGUCCAUCUUCGAUAAACUUGUCUUUGUUAAUGGACUAGGGGAAAUUGGGCUUUUAAAUUUAUAAUUGGUCCAAUUUUAAUUUUAAAUAAAUAAAAAAAAUUUUAUAAAAUUUUUGGACCAAAAAUAAAUUUAAUGUAUUUAAUUUUGUCUAUGCAUUUUAAUCCAUUAAACCCAAUUGAAAUUGGGCCUAAAACUAGGAUUCAUUAAACCCAAAACUAUUUUUGGAUUUAAACGCAAAAAAUUAAAAAUAUUUCUGCCUAACUGAAAAAAUAUGAAACUAUAGGGACCUCCAUGAUAAAAACCAUGGAACCCUAAAAUCACAUUUUUCUUUUCCUCUUCUUCCCCAGCCGCCACCAGUAAAAAGCACCAGCUUCUGUUCCCGGUCAACCGCCGCUGUUCAGAGACGCCAGCCGGUCUCCGACACAUCUCUGACGAGGAGCCAUCGCCAAUACGCCGGAAACAAGCCAACCCUGCGAGCGCUACUUGCUGGAACGCACGCUACUUCUGCGCACGCUGCUGCUGCGCGUACAGCGCGUGCCGCUGGCCAGGCUGGCCGCACGCGUCGCUUGCUGCACGCAGCGCCCGCUGCUGGCAGCGUGUGCUGCCUGCUGCGCGCAUUGCCAGCAUGCGCUUGCAGCGUGUACCGCUCGUUGGCUGCAGCGAGUGCGCUGGUCGGUGGUCGAUGUCAAAAUUUCCGGCCUCCGUCGCUUUCAGCUCGUUUUCCAGUGAUGAUUCUUCAGUGAUUUACAAAUUUUCAACGCAAAUUUUGGCUUACAAAAUUUCAAUUACAUUAAAAUAAAUCAAGAGGGAAACAUGGUGAUAAUAAACCACCCCUCUUGUUACAGAUCCAAACAAAAAAUACAGUAGCACAUCUAACCAUGAAUUAAGACAAACCAUAAACAUGCUUUAUUCAUAUAUUAAACAAAUAAUAUAUAUCUGAAUAAAAUGUGCCAAUCUAAUACAUAAAUUUCAAGAUUAAUUUCAUACGAAAUUCUUAUAUAUUAAUAUGAGGCUGCUCUGAUACCAAUUAUUGGCGAAAAAUGAGGUUUUUAUAAUUUUUAUAAAACCUUUUGAAGAUCGCUUUCAUAUAAUAUAUAAGAAUUUGUAUUCUAGAAAUCGUACCUUGAAAAUCCGAGUUGGCUUUUUCCGCUGAAAUGAUUUAGGCUCCUAGAUCACGAUCCGCCACCACCACUCCUGUUAGAUCACGUUCCUUCACCACCACGCUUGUUAGAUCACGAACUGUCACCAAUGAUCUUCCAGGUUAUGACUCAGGUUCGAUCUGCACUUGACGUGUGGGCGCCUUUAUCACUACCAAAGCAACUAGCACGAGAAAAUUUUUCUCUCAACAAUAGAGAGAAAAAUCUUAUUCUGCGAUUUGUAUAAAGUGGCUUCUCUUCUUUCUUUUGAGAAAAUAAGCCUUUUAUAUCACCCUUUAGUGAAAACCCUAGGCUCCCAAUAAUUAAAAAAAAAAACUCACGUUAUUUGCUUUUUCUAUAGGAGACCCACCUUGUAAAAUAACAUAAGGCCCCUUACACAAAAGCUAAUUAAAUGGAGCCUCCCACUAAAUGAUAUAUUUAGGCUUUUGACCCAAAUAGCUAGUUAUCUUACUUAUUAGUCCCGUAGUGGUGCAGUCAAUUAAAUGAGCUAACCCGGGAAUCAUUUGGGAACAUACAAUAGUGGCUACAAUAAUUAGGCCUGUAAUUAAAUUAGCCCAAUUAUUUAAUUCCAAAUCUACUCCACUAAAAGAUUGGAACUGACUUCCAUAAUUGUAUGCUCGAAUAAUAAUUCGUCCCAAGCCACAUUAAUUUCUUUACUGCACAAUCCUUUGUACCACAUCGUUAAUUAAAUUGAUAUCUCAACUGUCCAAUUAAUUUAAUAACAUCUUAUUCCUUGAUCCUUACUGGUUUUCUCUAAUGAUCAUUUUCAACAUACUAAAUAUGUUGACACACUCUGGCCAGAGAAUUCUAUGAUCAAGUGCCGAAAACCCAUCAAGAGAUGUGUUGUACAAAUUCUAUAUUGUUAAUCCAUAACUCCAAUACUCAUAAUUGCUCCCACCAAGAUACCGGGUAAUCUUGACCACAAGGAUGUGUCGUGCCCAUUGGUAACUCAAAUGGAAUAAAAAUUACAAUCAUGAAAUCAUAAUUAACUCAAGAUUAAGAUUACAGUAAAAUCAACGCCUAUGAGAUUUAAUAAGUCUGACAGUUAUUACAAAGUUAAUUAAAUCUCAUAUGUGAUCAUGUUCAAUGUAGUCGUACUACAUCAAUAAAUUCAUACAUGAUUAAGACAAAUCAUUCAAUGAAUUUAUUACAGUCUAUACCUAAAUAAAGUGCCCAACUUUAUUUAUCAACUGCGAACUAAAUUUAUUUAAUCAUAAGAUAACUUGUAUUUAUGUCUUCUGUGAAUCCACAUGGUGAUCACAUAAAUACAUACAAUAUGAUUAAAUGGACUUUAAUACAAAUAUUAAUGCAAUUAAGAUAUUUGAAUAAAAUACCUCAUCUAUUUUAUUAAUCAGAAAAAUUGUUUAUUACAAUUAAAUAAACACAUAUGCUUUUAAAGAGCAUAUUUUCCCAACAACAACUGCAUCUACGGACUCGUUGAUGUCGGGCCAGUAGUAGGUCCAUGCCACUAUUACUCCAUUAGGUUUUUUGAGUACCCAUUUUACUUGUUUGUAAAAUUGAGGCAAGUCAAACCAAUGUAGUGAUGUAGCAAUUGUCACUAGAUCUACACUUGAUUGUGUUGCCACAUUUUGUUCAAGCUCAGUUAUGGACAUGGUUGGAGGAGUAAGUUGAUACCGAAUGUUGGGGAGCUUUAUUGCGAAUUCUAGCUGCUUUGGGCUUGUGUCUGUAGCAAUGACAUUCUUGUAGAUUGGUGCAAGCUGAAGACAUAUAAUUGAGAAAAAAUAUAAAAUAUAGGAGGCUAUAACAAAAGUACACAAAAUUGAGAAGGCCAUAUAUAAAAAUUACAUAGACAUGGUGAAAUUUCAACCCAUACUCAGUUUUUUUGUUUUUUUUGUUUUCAUCCUCAAGGUUGCCGGGAUACUCUAGUUCCCCCCUUGGUAGUUGGAUAAGAUUUUUCUGUACUCGUCUCACGACUAAAUUUCCAGAUAAUGUGGAUAUUGAUUUGUAGAUAAUACAUACAUAAUUAAUCAAUGAAAAUAAUAGGGAUUUAACUAGGGAUUGGCAAUGGGAGGAGAUCGACAUUUCUGUAUCUAUUUCUGAUACUCUACUUGUAUCCUUGUACUCUCCCCGUCCUUUUUAAAAUUGCUUGAGGAUAGGGAUGGGGAUCUCCAAAGACACCCGAUCCCGAACAACUGAUUUUUGAACUUGAUUUAAUCAUAUUAAAGUAAAAAAAUAAAUCAUUUAACAACAUAAACACAUCAAAACAAAGUAAAAUCAUUAAAAUCAUUUUCAUCAAACUAAUUAAGUUAAUGUCAUCAAAAUUACAAGAUAAUCUAUGAAAUUAAGUAAAAAUAGAACUUCAGGGUUGAACACAUACAUUAAAGUCACAUGGUAUAAAUCAUUAAGAAAAUUAUCUUCAUCAAUCUUCAAGUGUUCAUAUCUAUUAUGAUAUUUUUUUUAUUUAUAUCCAUACCAUCACAAUUUAAAUUUUAAAUAUAAUUACUAAAAAUUUUGACAGAAAUAAAAUAAAAUAAAAAUUAAAAAUAAAAAUUAAAAAUGGGGAAACGAGAGAGACGAGGAAUUCACUGAAUCCCCAUCUUCUCCCUAUAUAAGAUAUUGAGUGUUAAGUUAUCUCUGUUCGUUCCCCGAAUUUUAAUUAAGAUAUAAAAUUGUUCCCACACCCUACACAAAUGGGAAAAAUCCUUCAAGACUCGUCCCAUGAGAAUUUCUGCUAUCCCUGAAUUUAACAGUUAUAUAAUUCAACUUUCUUAUAGCUUGGGAUCAGAAUUCUGAAAUAUUAAUAUGGAACUUUUGUAUUAUUCAAAAAUAAAAUCUAAAGAUGUGAAAAGUAAACUUACGGAUGCAGCGGCCUGCCCGCUUCCGGUGCCGACGUCCCAUGCAAGCUCGUUUUUGGGUGUUUUAGAGGCAAUGAAUUUGAACAAUUCUUCUGGAUAAUUUGGUCGUGCUUCCGCGUAUUGCUUUGCCUGCUUAACGAACAUAUCUGCCAUCUUUUCUGUUUUUUUCUAAAUAAGUGUUGACAAUAGAAUUGAGAUAAAUCUACUGAUCACUUGUUUCGUUUCUUCUUUAUAUAGGUUUUAGAAUUUGAUGUAGUAGACGAACAGACAAAUUUUAGUUAGAAAUUAAUUUGGUAUGGUUUAUCUGGGGAAGCCCAGAACGAGGACAAGCUCAUAAAGCGUUAAAUUUUGACCGAACUUUUCAUUCUUCCUUUAAUUUUCAAAGAUUCCCUUUUCUUCGCAAAGAUGAUGGUAUGGACUUCAUCAAUGAGCCCACAUCAACUCUACUUAGAGAAUUUUUUUUGGGAUAAUUUUGUCAUUAAUUUAAGCUGUUAAAGGUAUCUAUAGAAGUAUUGAACUACUACUUUGCUCUCUUAUGGGGUUAAGAUGGCGGAGUUUAAAGGCAGAUUCACCUCCUGACCAUUAGGAGUUCAAGCUUCCAAUGGAGAAAAUAAUUUAAAAAAAAGUAAUGAGAUAAUUGUUUGAAUUAUUAAUUAGAACCAUUAAAUUUAUUAAAAUAAUUGUGUUAAAUUUAUAAAAAUAGGUCCAUAAAUUCAUAAACCUAUAAAAUUUAAAUUUUGACUUUGAAACAUAUAAAAGCUCAUACUUUAAUUAAAAAAAUAAAUGUUUACAGUAGUCAAAUUUAUUAUUAUUUAAUUUAGCCCUAUUAAAUUUACUAAAGUACCUCCACAAACUCAUUAAUCUAUAAAAUUUUAGUAUUGAUUACAUUUUGUUAUUAUGUAAUUCAAUCCUCUGAAUUCGCUACUAUUUAGAAUUGGCUCUCUAUUAUUACUCGAUCUAGUCCAAGUUCAAUCAAAGUUGGCUCUCUAUUAUUACUCGUUCUAGUCCAAGUUCAAUCAAAGUUGGCUGUCUAUCAUUGACAGUUCUCGUUCAGGUUCAAUGAAAGAGAUCAAAGCAGAGUUUGUUUGCGAUUCAGUUUGUGUAAAUGCAUGUAGGUCCAGGUUGUCUUAUUUUGUGGUUCACUGGUGUAAAGAAUUUAAAAAGUAAUUGGAUAAGAGGAUGCGUCUUGGAUGAUGAAAUGAAGCAAUGACACAUCUUCAUGUGCAGUUUUUACGACGUGCACUCGGUAUGAUUAUGAAUAAUGAUAUAUGCAUAGAAAAUAAUACAAAAUUUAAUAAAAAUUAUAUAAAAAUAAAAAAUUAUUAUCCCGUGGUGUAUUUUUUAUCCUGUAAUUAAUUUUGUUUGUCUUUUAAUAUUGUGUGCUUUUAUAUUAUUUUUUGACACGUGUCAUUCAUUGUUUCACUACUAUUACCAUGCUCCUAAAAACCUUACUUUUUUUUUUUUCGGAAGAUGCCGCAUUUGCUUGAUUUCAACAUUGGCAUGCUCGUCCUUCUUACGCUUUUGUCUUUCUAUAAUCAUCAUAUUCAAUGGCAAAAUUUCAACAAGAUAGAGCAACAUUCAACAAAGAUAAGUCUUCUUAUUGGAUUAGGUAUAGAUUUUUAAUUAAUUCGUAAUGGAAAUUGGUGGCUAUCCACUAUCAGCUUAGACCAAUUUAACUAGCUAUAGUUAAUUAGCUAAGUUAUUUGGGUGAGCAAAGUCAGCUAGUAGUAAAGCUCGGAAAAUCACCUAAUUAAAAUUGAAACAGGACCAUCAAAUACACACAGUUUGCUUUGAUUGGCCAUUCAACAAAACAUCUGAAGAGAUUGGAUGGCUAAAGAGCUAAUUAUGUCAAUCAAGCGUGGGUGUUCUGAUCAUGACGUGCCCUAAGGCUUGGCUUCGUUUUGAUUGGCUAAUGGAUCCUAUGAAUAGAGAGCACUGCUCUUCGUGAUUUGUAUCCUAAAUUGAAACCUUAUUACAAAAAUAUCACCUUCCUUUGUAUCAUGUAUUUAUUAAUUUAUACUUUCUACAUAUAUGUUGUCAAUUAUUAUAACACGUUAUUAGUUAGCAUGGCAAUCAUUUUGGUACAGGAAGUAUCUUAUCCCCUGCUCUUUUAUUUUAUCUAUUUAAUUAAUAAAGCUAUCUUUAUAAAUAUACUCUAAAGUUGUCAUUAAUUUGGAUCUUCCACAUAAAAAAAUAUGACUAGCUAUUGUAUUUCUUCUUAUUUAUUUUAUUUAUUUUUAAUUUUUUUAUAAUAGAGGGACUCUACAAUGAGCUAAGGUAAAACAUAUCGGGAGUAAGCAAUCCCAUACAAAUCAUUUGCAAUAAAACUAACAACCCCCGGAGGAGGAAUAGAAAAAAGAUGCAAUCCCAAGGGCAGCUCCAAGGCAUAAUUUGCUAAGAAGUCCGCUGCGAAAUUUGCUUCACGAUAUAUGUGGUUGAUGGUUAUAACCCAAUUCCGCUUGAUGAGAUCUCUAAUGGAGUGGAUGAGGUGGGUAUACUCGUUGAUGCUCUCCGUGUGGCUGUUAACCAUCUGAACAACAUAGUAGCUAUCCACUUCCACGUGUAAAAACCGAACACCAUGUUGCCAUGCUAAAAUUAACCCUCGGCAAAAGCCCAAAGUUCUGCUGCAAUAACUGAACAGACGCCUAUGUUGAAGCCAAAGCUAGUGAGCCACAUGCCUUGGUGGUUGUGUAUGAGACCUCCAGCACUUGAUGCCCCCAACUCUUUUCUUGCUCCGUUUGUGUUUAGCUUGCACCAGGGCCAUUUAGGUAACUUCCAGGUGAUCCAUCUCUCAAUUUUCCUGGUCUCAACAACCAAAGAUGAGUUGUUGAUGUUCUGAAUCUCCUCAACUCUAGCUUUAAUAUCUUGUAUUAUACUAAUACUGUCCAUAUUCCGUUGAUGGAAUAGGAAUUGACUCCCGCAGAACCACAAACGCCAAAUAGUAAGUCCAAAGAAAAUAUUUCAUUCAAUACUCGAGUCCAUUUGCCCUUUGCUUAGUAAAUUCUGACACAGCCAUUCUUUUAGAUCAGUCCUGAAAAACCAAGGACAAAAGCUCCCAGGAAUUAAGCGAUUUCAAAACGUUUUCGCGACCACACAGUCUCAAAUCACAUGUAUGGUAUUCUCAAGAGUUGAGCCACAUCGAUCACACCAACCGUCCACCAGCAAAUGACGCCUUGACAAUUCAAACCUUGUUUUUAGUGUAUCAUGCAACACCAACUAGAUGAAAAAACAAAUGCUCUGGGGGCCUUGCCAACUCCAUGCAAGACUCCAUAGCUUCUCCUCGUCACUUAAAAUGGUCUUUGAUAGAGCAUGGUAAGUUGACUUCACAAUAAAACACCCCUUUGCUGAUUCAGCCCAGAAAACUUGGUCUGCACCAUCAUCUGCCAAAGGAGGCUUGUAGGAAGCAAUCCUCAAAAGAAUAUUAUGUGGUAAUAAGAAACUAAAACUCUCCCAUAGCCAAUUUCCAGCAUUGUCAACAAAGUCCAUUGCUUUCCUAUUUACUAAAUGGUCCGGAACUGGAGCAAUCUCAUAAUUAAUCCGGGGUUGAUUUUUAGUUACCCAACAAUCCCACCAAAAACGAACCGUUUUACCAUUCCCAACAUUCCACCGAAUCCCCCUCUUCACAGCAUGCCAAAUUUUCCCAGAGUAAGAACCAUAUCUGGUUGGCAACUCAUAUGGUAAAAUUUUCGGGUUCACUCCAUAUUUCAUAAGCAACACUUGUGACCACAGACUUUUUGGAUUGACAGCAAGGUUUCAGCCCACUUUCAUCAACAAAGCUUGAUUCAUUACGUCCAUGUUCUUAAAACCCAAGCCACCACAACUUUUUGGACGACAAAUCAUCCCCCAACUAACAAGGCUCAUCUUCCUUUGAUUAUUAGCAUCGCUCCACAUAAAUUUCCUGCAAGCUUGUUCAAUUUUACUUUUAACACUAGCCGGCAAAUUCGUAGUUUGCAUUGCAUAGAUCGGAAUAGUCUUCAGCACUGACUGGACAAGAGUUGCUCUUUCUGCUAAAGAUAAAUGAUUGGCAUUCCACCAGAGAGGCGUUGCUCAACCUUGUCAAUAAUGCUCUGAUAAGCCCGCUUUGAGACUCUAGAAUGUAGGAGAGGCAUUCCUAGAUAAGUUCCCAGAUCUUUUAUUACUGAAAACCCAAGCAGUUCACCUAUCUGUUUAGCCUCAUUUGCUUUAACAUUCUUGGAGAAAAAAAUUUAAGUUUUAUCCUUGCUGACCUUGGCACCUGAGCUUGCAUAGAAAGCAUCAAGGAAAGACCAAAUAAAUCUAGCUUGAUCACAAGUUGCCUCAGCAAGUAGGAGAAGAUCAUCACAAAAAAAAAAGAUGGGUGAUAGGGGUCCCAUUUCGAACCAGUCACAUUGGUCUCUGAUCUCCCAUAUUUACAGCAUGAGCAAUGCCAUGGCUGAGUCUCUCAAUGCACAAAACAAAUAUAUAUGGGGAAAUAGGAUUCCCCUACCUAAUUCCUCUAGAUGGCACAAAAUUCUUGGUUAUCUCCCCCUCCCAUAAAACAUUCAUCUGAACUUGAGUAAUACAAUCCAUGAUUAGUUGAACCAAGUCAGAAGGAAUUACAACCUCUAGGAGCGUGUCAUGGAUGAAACUCCAAGUGAGCUUGUCAUAGGCCUUUUCAAGUCCACUUUAAUUGUCAUUUGCCCCCUCCUACCAAUUUUUCACCGCAUGGAGUGAAUCACCUCCUGAGCAAUAACAAUAUUCUCUGUUAUAUGACGCCCUGGGACAAAACUUGUUUGUUGAGGACCAACAAAAUGAGGUAGGAUCGUUUUUAGCUUGUUGGCAAUCAUCUUGGUGAUUGUCUUAUAAACUAAUGUACAUAAGCUAAUGGGGCGAUACAUUUUUGAAGUCUGAUGAUGAUCAUUCUUAGGAAUCAGAACUAAUAGUGUCCUAUUAAUCUCUGGGGGAACUUUGCCUUGACUGAAGAUGCUCUUAAUAAAAUGACAAAAGGAAGGCCCAACCACCCCCCACUGAGACUAGUAAAAAAUGGCAUGCAAACCAUCAAUCCUUAAGGCUUUUAAGGGCUUCAUACUAAAAAUAGUGCUUUUAAUCUCAGCUUCAUCUAAAGGCCCUUGUAAAAAAGACAAACUUUCUGCAUCUAUCACUGGAAAACAGCCCCGAAUAUGGUAUUGCUGAGACGGGAUGUUAUCCUCAAAGUAUAACUUGGAAAAAAAAAUGUACAAUAUGGCAUUUGAUAGCUUCAACUUCAUACAACUAUUUCCCAUUCUCAUCUUUAAUAGCCAUGAUCUUGUUUCUCCUUCUUCUAGUCAGUGUCUUCUGGUGAAAGAAAGCUGUCUUUCUAUCGCCGUGCAUAAUCCAAUCUUUUCUAAACUUUUGCUUCCAAAUAGCUCUUCUUGAGUAAGAACUACUUCAAGUUCUCUUUUCAAUUUUAAUUCAAGCCAAAUGAGACCCUUUGUAGUAUAGUCCUUAAGAGCUUUUUUAAUACCACCAAUGUGAGCCAUAGGUCUUCUUUACCUUUAGAAGAUAUUACCAAAAGAAUUUAUGUUCCAGUGUGAGACAUUGCGAGUGAAAGAAAAGGCCGAUUGGAGGUAGGGUUCUAUAGGAUUCCAAUUCGAAGCAACAAAAUUAUCAAAAUCUUUGUGUGUGAGCAAAGCCGCCAAGAAUCAAAAUGGUCUCUGCCCCUGACCUCGUCGCUCUUCUUUAUCAAAACGAACUGAUACCGGUCUAUGGUCUGACUGAAUUUUCGGUAAAUGAAGCACAAAGCUAUUUACAAAUUUAUUCAGUCAAUCCUCAUUGCACAUUGCCCUAUCUAGCCGUUUGAAGAGAGCCCUACGAGACCAAGUGAAUCUAGGACCCGUAAACUGAAGGUCAUAUAAAUGUUGGGUGCAAGCGGAAGUGCAGAAAAUUUUUUAUUUAAGAACAGAGUAUUUUGCUGGAAAUUUCUGAAACUUUAUUGCUUAAUUCAUUUUUUCGUUUCUCUCUUACUUUUCAUACAACCAGAGUUCUAUAUUUAUAUGCAUUAUAGACAACUCUAGAGAUUACAUUAAUCAUGCUUUACAUUUCCAAAGCUACAUUGCAAACAUCAAUUCUACCCUUUACUUCAUGUUGAAAAACAAACCAAAUAACCCUUCAAACUUCUUGCUCAAUUUACUAGAUUACUAAUUAUAUCUCAACACCCCCUCUUAAUUAGUAAUCUUCAAUUGCUUCUUGAAUUUUUCAAACUUCUCAAUGUUGAUUGCUUUGGUCAGAAAAUCUGCUGGCUGCUCAUUAGUGCUGAUAAACUCCAUAUUAACUUCUCCUUUGCUUACUAAGUCACGGAUGUAGUGAUAACGCAGCUCAAUGUGCUUAGAUUUAGCAUGAAAUACGGGGUUUUUUGUUAGAGCAAUGGCUGACAUGUUGUCACAAUAAAUUAUUGUUGCAGCAUCUUGAUUGAACUGCAAAUCCUUGAGAAUUCUUCUAAGCCAAACGGCUUCACAAGCUGAUUCAGUUGCUGCAAUGUACUCUGCCUCCGCUGAGGAUAAAGCUACUGACUUCUGCUUCCUUGAGCUCCAUGAAAUCACAUUUGUACCAAGACAAAAUAAAUAACCUGAUGUGCUUUUUCUGUCAUCAAGGGAACCAGCCCAGUCACUGUCAGUAAAACCAACAAGCUUGCAAUUGUCUUCUUUUUCAUACAUGAUCCCCUGCUUUUUUGUUCCUUGAAGAUACCUUAAGAUUCUCUUUGCUGCAAUAUAAUGGGACUUCCUUGGAUCAUUCAUAAAUCUAGAAAGAACACUAACUGAGUGCAAAAUGUCAGGUCUUGAGUUGGUUAGAUAAAUCAAUGAACCAACCAAGCUUCUAUAGAUUCUUGCGUCAGCCUUUUCUUCUUUUUCAUCAUGUUUCAAUUUUUCAUUCAAACCCAUAGGAGUAGGUGCUGGUUUGCAUUUGAACAUGUGGAAUUUCUUCAACAAAUCUUCUACGUAUUUUUCUUGACAAAAGAAGAUUUUUCCUCUGGCUUGCUUCACUUGAAUGCCAAGAAAAUACUUCAUUAAGCCCAAGUCAGUCAUCUCAAAUUCAUCUAGCAUGCUUUUUUUAAACUCUUCCACCAUUUUCAAAUUAGCGCCACAAUAAAUUAGAUCAUCAACAUAAAGGCAAACAAUAAGGAAAUCAGUACCUUCCUUUUUGACAUAAAGAGAAGGUUCACUUGAGCUUCUGUCAAAUCCAUUUUUAACAAAAUAUCUAUCAAUUCUACUAUUCCAUGCUCGAGGGGCUUGCUUCAAGCCAUACAAGGCUUUUCGGAGUCGAUAAACUUUGUUUUCUUCACCUUUUACUUCAUAUCCUUUAGGCUGCUCAACAUAAACCUCUUCUUCAAUUUCACCAUUUAGAAAUGCCGAUUUACAUCUAGCUGAAACACAUUUAAUUCCAUUUGGGCUGCCAGGGCAAGAACAGUUCGAAUAGUCUCCAUUCGAGCUACGGGAGCAAACGUUUCUGUAAAAUCAACUCCAGGCAGCUGAGAGUAUCCUUUGGCAACGAGCCGCGCCUUAUAUUUUUGAAUUGAACCAUCUUCAUUGUACUUGAUUUUGAAGAUCCAUUUCAGCCCAAUUGUUUCUUUUCCAUUUGGAAAAUUAACCAUCUCCCAAGUUUUAUUUUUCACAAUGGUGGCCAUUUCCUCGUUCAUUGCUUUGAUCCAAUCUUCAUUUCUUGAGGCCUCCUCAAAGUCUUGAGGCUCACAAGAAAAUAAAGCAAGUUCACAUGACUCAUAAAUUUCUCUCAUUGACUUUAUCUUCCUUGGAGGGCUUUCAUCAUCCGAAGAACUUUCUGCUGCUGAAUUUGGAGAAUUUGGUUCCAAAUUAUUUUGCUGUGAAGAAUUUGGUGGAGAUACAGGAGCUUCAAAAAAGCUAGAUGCCUGAGAUUGAUUGUUUUCCCACUGCCAAGCUGAUGCCUCAUCAAAUACAACAUCUCUUGAGAUAACAAGCUUAUUUGUUGUAGGAUUCAACAACCGAUACCCUUUAGACUCAUCACUAUAGCCAAUAAACAAAUAUUUUUCUCCUUUUCCAUCAAACUUCUCCCUGUUUUGAGCUGGAAUAAGAGCAUAAGCAAUACUCCCAAAAAUCUUCAAGUGAUCAACAGUUGGCUUUCGGUUGUGCCAAGCUUCAAAUGGAGUUUUGUCUCUAACAGCUUUUGUAGGAGACCUGUUGAGGAUGUACAUAGCUGUAUGACAUGCUUCUGCCCAUAAGUUGUUAGGAAUGCCUUUGCCUUUUAACAUGCUUCUUGCCAUCUCUACAAUGGUACGGUUCUUUCGUUCUGCGACUCCGUUUUGUUGCGGACUUCGGCUGACAGUAAGUUGUCUUUGAAUUCCAUUAUCCCUGCAAUAAUUCAUGAAUGGAGUGUAGAUAAAUUCACCACCACGAUCAGUUCUCAAGGUCUUCAUUUUGCAUCCACUUUGCCUUUCUGCAAGAGCUUUAAACUGAAGAAAAGUUGAGAAAGCUUCUGAUUUUUCAUUCAAAAAAUAAAUCCACAUCAUCCUUGUAUAGUCAUCAACAAAAAGAAUGAAAUAUCUCCUGUUAUUGAGAGAGAGAGUCCUUGUAGGACCACAAAUAUCAGCAUGCACCAACUCCAACGGAGCUUUGGCUCUCCAUGAAUUUUUAGGAAAUGGAAGUCUAUGCAUUUUUCCAUAUAUACAGCCCUCGCAAACUUUUUCAUAUCUUCCAACAUCAGGUAAGCCAAUCACCAUGUUCUUUUGCUUGAGCAAAUUCAGCCCUUUAUAGUUUAAAUGGCCAUAUCUAAGAUGUCAUAAAUUUGACAAAUCUGAAUUUUCAGUUUUGAGAGCAACAUUCUCAUCAAGUGGCAUAACAAGAGGAAAAACUUUGUUCUUUGACAUUUCAACAACGGCCACUGUGUGAUUAUUAGUUUUAUCAAUAAUUUUGCAUUUUUCAUCAUCAAAAUAAAUUGAAAAACCCUUUUGAAUUAGCUGCCCCACACUCAAGAGGUUUUGAGUUAAAUUUGGAACAUAAAGAACGUCAGAAAUGAGCUUUUUGUUACCUCCCUUUGUAUGGACAGCAAUAGUGCCUUUUCCCACAGCUUUCUGCAUCUUUCCAUCUCCAAGCUUCACUUGCGAAUUAAAACUUUGGUCAAGGCUGAUGAAAAUUUCACGUUCUCCAGUCAUGUGGUUGCUGCAGCCGCUAUCCAAGUACCACAAAUUAUAUGAUUCAUGUUCAGCACCUUUACUUGAAUAAAACAAGUAAUCUCCAUCACAUUCUUUUGUAAAAUUUGCCUUAUUUUUGCCUUUCUUAUUUUGAUACCAGCAAUCCCUUUGAGAAUGGUUAGGAAUGCGACGCCUUGUGCAUUUAUAACGACAAUCUUUUGAUUCAUAAUUAGACCGAUUACAAAUGAUGCACUGAGAAUCUGAAUUUUGCUGUGAAUUCCCUCUGUCAUUUUUCCACUUGUUGCGGUUGUCGUUAUGUUCUCUUUGCCCUUUGCCACGCUGUCCGUUUCUUUGAGACGAGCCUCCAUUCUUCUGGUCUUUUUUGCUGCUUUUAUUCUGAUCUGAAAAGCUUGCUCUGUAGGCUGACUUGAAGGUCGAUUGAUUCUUUGCUCAUGAGACCGUAAUGAUCCUGACAAAUCUGAAAAAGUCAUCUUAGACAAAUCCCUUGAUUCUUCAAUGGCUGCUGCUACAUGAUCAAACUUUGGAGGAAGACAUCUCAGCACCUUUUCAUUCACCUUCUUGUCUUCAAUGGAGUCCCCGCAACCUUUAAUCUGGUUCACAAUCUCAGUAACUCUACUGCAAAAAUCUUGAACUCCUUCACUGUCUUUCAUUGAUAAAUUAUCGAACUCUUUCCACAAAGUCUGUAACUUGAUGGUGACUGCCUUUUCGGAACCUUGAAAUUCUUGUUUUAGGAUUUCCCAAGCAUUUUUGGCCUUUUUGACACCAAAUAUUCUGGGGAAAAUUGACUUACUAACACCUUGCUGGAUAUAUCGAAGUGUCGUGGCAUUUCUCUGUAUGUUUUCUUUGUACUGCUGUUGAUGUGCUGGAGUCCAAUCUGAAGAACUUGCUGAUUCUGGUGGUUCAGCAUAUCCAUCUUCAACAACAUCCCAUAAAUUCUGAGAGAGGAAAAAGGUUUCCAUUUGAUUACUCCAAUAUUCAUAAUGUACCCCUUCAAAUAUUGGAACUUGACUGGGAGCAUAUGAAAAUAAUGUGGGUAGGGUAUUUGAUGUCAUUUUGAGGGUGUUUUGGAAAAGCUCUGAUACCAAAUUUGUUGGGUGCAAGCGGAAGUGCAGAAAAUUUUUUAUUUAAGAACAGAGUAUUUUGCUGGAAAUUUCUGAAACUUUAUUGCUUAAUUCAUUUUUUCGUUUCUCUCUUACUUUGCAUACAACCAGAGUUCUAUAUUUAUAAGCAUUAUAGACAACUCUAGAGAUUACAUUAAUCAUGCUUUACAUUUCCAAAGCUACAUUGCAAACAUCAAUUCUACCCUUUACUUCAUGUUGAAAAACAAACCAAAUAACCCUUCAAACUUCUUGCUCAAUUUACUAGAUUACUAAUUAUAUCUCAACAAUAAAUUGCUUGAUUGGAACUAGUUUAAAAAACUCCUACAAAUCCCACUUCUAUGUAAGGAGCCACCUUUCUUUUUCGAAGUAUAAAGGAUAGCAUUGAAAUCACCAAUGAUGAGCUAAGGUCCGCGAGUGCUGUUGGCUAGUCUUCCACGAUAGUCCCAAAGGUUUUGUCUAUUAGUUUGAACAGGGCUUGCAUAAACAGCAGUCACCCAUGACAAAAAGCCACCAUUGUUAAACAUUCGAAAAUGAAUGAAUUGCUUGUGAUUUAAAGACACUUCGACCUCCAAGAAGUCUCUCCACAAAAGCCAGAUUCCCCUAGAGAAACAAAUUGCUCCCACCAUGUGGGACUUGACAAAACCACUUUUCUUGAUGAAACCAUCCGCUCUUAUCCCACUAAUUCUCAGUUCCAUAGAACAACCAUGGCCGAUUAUAAGUCUUUGUCAGAGACACAAAAGCACUGUGAAAUUUUAGUGAGCCAGCCCCUUGGGCAUUCUAAAACAUUAUAGAAAUAAGCAUUAAAAAAAAUAGAUAAAGAUAAAAGGGAGAGAUAGGGAGCCUUACUCAACCAAGGUCUCAUAACCCAACUCCAUAUCCUUCUCAUCUUCUAGAGAAAUAUCAUCCUCUGAAGAAUCAAUACCCUUACCACUGUCUCCCAUAUAGUCACUGUCAUCCUCAUCAUAAUCUAAAGUCAUUGUUCCUACCAUAAUCAAGAGGUUCAUCUUGGGCUUUGGCAAGCUGACCGUUAUCACCACCCACAAAGAAUCCAUGUUGAGGCUCAGCCAGGGUGGGGUUUGUGGAAUUUGUGGGACAAGCAUGUGUGCCCUUUUGAUUUUAAAAAAAAAAUGGCGGUAUGGAAUAGGGGGUUUAAGCUAGUUGAUACGAAAAUAGGUUAUGGGUUCAUUGCAACAUGUGCAUGAGUUUUGCUUGAAUUACGUACACUUUGCGUGGUUUUUGUGUUGGUGGACUAGAACAUGUAUGUCACUUAAAUACGAUCCCUCACGUGACAAUAACUCUGGGCUGGAACAAGUUUGUUUUGGUGUAAAAGUAUAAACUAUAAUAUUUAUUAUAUUUUGAGAUAAAUUAUAUAAUUUAUUUGUUAUCAAUACAUUUUAGUCUUCAAUUUUCAUUCUAAAAAAUUAUUACUUUUUUAUUGCUGAGUUUUAGAAUUCAUGACGGAUCUAGGGCAUAUUUAGAUUUUUUUUUUUCAAAUUUGGAGCAGAUAUAGUUUUUUUUUUUUUUGAUCUAGAUAUAAAGCGAAAAAUAUGGAUUCAUGACGGAUUUGGAACAGAUACGAAUCUUGAUUUUUAUUAUGGAUCUAGAUCUGAAGCAGAGUACAUCCAACCCAUAUCUGUCCCAUUGCCAUCCCUAGUUUUAUCGUUUUCGAAGCUUGCUUCUUUUGUUUUGUUUCAACUCUAAGGUUAUACUUGGCUGGCCCUUGUUUGUUUGAGCUCGGAUUAGUAGGUUCUAUGUUUGUGGCAUUAUUGGAAUCUCCUUCCUCAAAGUUCGCUAACACUGCAAAACGAGAAUCCUUUCCAUAAUUGCUCCGUUGACCUUGCCGACCUUGCCCCGAAUCCUGCUGAAAUUCAUUUCCUUCUGCAAGCGAUCCUUACCCUUUCUGGUGACCACCAUCGAAGGGCCAAAUUUAGGAUAACCACCGGGAGCUAAAGCAUCACCCUUUUCUGCCAUCGCAUCCACCCUGUCACUAGGGAUGGCAAUGGGGAGGGGAGGGGAGGGGACCAAUCUCCCCGUACCCAUCCCCGAUAUUUUGCAUAUGUCCCCGUCCCCUCUCCAUCCCCGUAAAUUUUUUUUAAGAGAAUCUUCAUCCCCUCCCCGAAUAAUAAUAGGGGAUCCCCGAUCCCCGAAUAACUAAUACAUUUUUUUUGUUUUCGAUUUUGACUUAAUCAUAUUAAAAUAAAAAAUUCAAAUAAAAGUAAAGUUCGAAAUAUAUCUUACAUUAAUAUCCAUUACAAAAGUCACAUACAUUAAAUUAGUAAGUAACGCAGCAUGCAAGGGAUACAAAUUAUCAUGAACAAAUUAAUAGCCUAAUACAAAAUUGUUACAAAUAAAAUCAAAUUUAGAUUCAAAAUUAAAUGUGGACUAUUUCCUUUACAGCACAGUAGUUAAGUCGAAGCAAAUCAAGAGCAAAUAUUAGAUUAGAUUAGAUAUUAAAAUUAUGAUUUGCUGUGGGCAAUUAUAACAUCUAAAAAUAAAUAAAAAAUAGAUUUAAGAUAAAUAAAAAAUAGAUUUAAGUUUAAAAUAUUUAAUGAAUAUUAAAAUUAAAACAAAAGUUUUGGGCUAAUAAAAUCUGUCUGGUCUUUUUAAUGUCCUAAAUAAAAAUUUAGGACUUUAAUUAGUUAAUUAGGCCUAAAAGUUUAAUAAUAUAAAUAUUUUGAUAUUUUUUAUUUUUACCAAUACUUAUAAUUUUAUAAUUCAAAUUUUAUUAUUUAUUUACUAGUAAUUUUAAAAAAAUAAAAAUUAAAAUGGGGAAAUGGGUAGGGGAUGGGGAUUUCACCUCAUCCCCAUCCCCUCCCCGAAUAAGAAAUUGGGUAAAAAAAUUUUCCCGUCCCUUCCCCGAAUAAGAAAUUGGGUAUGAAGUUAUCCCCAUACACUCCCCAAAUGGAGAAAAUCCCCGAGGGUACCCGUCCCCAUGGGGAUUUUUGCCAUCCCUACCUGUCACCGCUAAUAUCAUGAUCCAAAUCUUCCGUUGCGCGGUCAGGACAUAGCUCACUGGUAUGCCCAUAUUUUCCACAAGUGAAACAUAUAUGGAGAAGACAUUUAUACACUUUUUGAACUUUGCCAUCUAGUACGAAUUGAGAUACAAUAGGCUUGUUAAGUGCUAUAACAACCGCAAUACAUGCAAACUUACCCCCCACGGUUGAUUCAGUAUUGUAGUCUAUUCGAACGACUGUUCCAAUAAUCUAACCAAGCAUCCGAAGGAUUCUUUUGUGGUAGUAACACAUAGUGGCGGACCUACAGCUGGGCUAGACCGGGCUAGUCUAGAAAAUAUCAUUUAAACCCCUUGUCUUUAGAUUAAUUCUAUAUAAGAAUAGAGUUUUUACUUUAUUUUUAUAUAAGUCCUUAAUUCAGUUGCUUUUAUGUUUUCAUCAAAUUUCAUAAAACAAUAGAGUUUUUACUUUAUUUUUAAAUAUAUCCCUAAUUCAAUUAUAUUUUUCUAUUAGUGGCUUAUUUUAUAAAAUGAUUAAAUUAUAUACUUAUUGAAUAGAUUGAAAACAUUAGGGGUCUAAAAUGUUAUUACUACUUUAAUUUGUUUUUAAAAUUUUAAUUUAAAAAAGUAUGUCAAUGUAAUAUAACAUUGUCACUAGUAUUAAAAAUAGUAAAAAGAUAUAUAAUAAAAAUUAUUAACAAUUUCAUAAAAUUUUUAUGUGAAUAUUGAGAUUUUAUUUAUUAGUUACAUUAACUAAGAGGAUAAGUUAGAAAAUAAAAUUUGAGUAUUUUGAUAUGAUUUUUUAAAGUGAGUCAGAGUGUCUGGCAAAGAAAUAAUUACGCACAAAUACCUUUUUACUAGGUUAGAGUUUAGUUUAUUAUUGAAACUCUUGACAACUAAUAUUUUUAUAAUUUAAAAAGAUGAAUAAAUUUUAAUUGUUUAAUUUAUUUAAGCUUGGUAAUUAAGUACUUUUCAAACAUAAAGUUCUAUUUGCAAUAUUUUAAUUGAUUAUAAUUACAUGUAUUGAUUUAUUCAAACUUGAAAUUCUUAAUUGAUUUAUUAAUUCUUAUAUAAUUAGAUGUUACUAUAUGUUGCAAUGUUAGAUUCCAUAAUUAAAAAAUAGUAUUUUUAUAUUUGAAUUAUCUUUUGUUUUCUAGUCUUUUUGUAUACUUAUUUUUAUUUAAAGUACAUAUUUAUAGGGUUUUUUGUAUCCCCCUUAUUUGAUGUACUUUUUUUACUUAUAAAUGUUUAUGUUCACUCCAAAAUAUAAAAUUUUUAAUUUAGUCCGGGGUAAUAUAAAGUUCUGGGUCCACCCCUGGUAACACAGGGCUAUACCAGGAUGCCUGAUCCAUGCAAUAAUUGUAUUAAUUGACUCUGUAAAACUAUCAAAGUGAGGAGUCCAUGGCUGCAUGACUAGGUAGUGACCCAUGAUUGUCCAUGGUCCUUGAGUCAAAGCAAAAUCCGCAUCACCCUUUGAACGAAAUCGAACGAGGUAGUAACCGUUAUCCAAAUCAAUGACCGAGAAACCUAAAGCCGGCCUUUAAAGAUUUUCCAAUGUAUUACAUAGGACCUUGUAGCCUAUGUGAUGUCCUAGCAAUUUAACUAUCACUGAAUUCUGCCAAGGUUUUACGAGUUGCUCAUGGAUUAUUUUUGAGAAAGAGAUAGAUGGUAUGUUGCCACCAUCCCCUACAAUGAUAUCCUCUGAUCCAAAGACUAGAUCAUCCUCCCCACCAAUCAUCUCCUCUUCAUUCAUCUUCUCUGACUCCAUUAACUUAUCUCUAAAUGAAACGUGCUCAGGGUUGUCACUAUCGUCGCCUUGGGCUCUAAACUUGGCCUUCUUCGUAGCAUGGCCAUCAUUGAUUGGAAGGGUUAGGUCCUUCUCCAUCUCUCUACUUAUAGUAUCUUUCUAGCGUAUUUUGAGUUGUAAAAGGUUUAUUAUUUAUUUUAUAUUACUAAAGUUAAAAGCAAGGACCAAAUUGUACAAGACAAAAGCAGAAGUCAAGACCAAAGUGUACAAAACCAAGAUUGAAGCAUAAAAAAUUAUAAUUGGAUCCUUAAAGUAUCAAGACUGAAGCCUACUAAUUUGAAGCCACAUAUUUGAAUAUUCUAAAACCCCAGAAGAUAAAUUGAAGAUGACAAAUCCACUAAAGCAUGAAUUUGAAGCCUACAGUAUUUUUGGUAAAAAUUAUUUAUCUUGAAUUCUACCUCAGCAAUUAGAAGCCAUAUGUCUCAAUAAGUCACCUGGAAGCUAUGAGACUCAGUAACAUAAUCUAGCUCAUCUAACUGAAAGGAAGUCAUUGCUUGAAUUGAUAUGAAGUCUUAAUUGAAGACAAAAUUCCUCACUCAAUUAAAAUAAGUUUUAAUAGUAAUUUUUCAAAUUAACCCAUCAUCACAACUCUAGGCUUUACAAAAUGACAUCAUAAUUGAAGAUAUGUGGAAAGAAAAUUAUUGAUAAAGAAGACAUGCUCAACAUUUCAGGCUUUAAACAUGAUUUUGCAACAACAAUAUCAAGCUCGCUAACCUAAUAGGCACAAAACGCGCUAACCUUACAGGCACAAAGUUAGUUUUUGAAGAACAAUUUUAUCACAUAGACACAUGGUCAAAAUCAUUAUCAUGAUGAAGUUAUAGACAUGCUAAAAAUCGUGGUUACAAUUAUGAUUGAAGUCACAUUCCUGAAGAAAUCAAGCAUUGGCUGAUAUUAUGCAAAGACAAACUAGGUUGAUUGAGGGGAUGGCUCAAGGUGGUGGUCCUGCUCAGAAUGCUAGAGCCGGAGGGUAAGGUGCUGCUGCUAGAGGCAGAAUGGUGGCAACUUUAGAGCAAUUCCAAAAGUUGGGGCCACUUGUGUUUCGUGGGACAACUGACCCUAUGGCGGCUGUUGGUAUGAAUUCAAAUGUUAUUAGUGUCAAUGUGCAAGUAUACACAAUAAAUAAUAUAAUGAUGAGUAUUCGAGAUCGUCUCCACUGGGAUUGAUGUUAUCAGACUUGCUACAACAAUCUUAACAGCGUAGAUUUUAUUCUAAAUUAAGAUAAAACAAUUAAUGAAAUUAAUGAAACAAUUUUAUUCUAAAUUAAUAAAACAAUUAAGAUACAACAAUCAUGUCAAGCUCAAGGAUAAAACCGAUGGGAAUAUAGAGUAGUUAAGUGAAUAAACUCUCUUAAUGGUUUUGACUAUUUUUCUAAUGUUUGGCUCGGUUGCUACAACAUUUGCUACAGUACUGGGCAGCAUCCUUAUAUAUCCUCAGCAGUCGCAUGUUGGAUAUCUUAUAUCUAUAUGCAAUCUAAUAGUAAUUAGUUGUUAUGCCAACAUAAGAUAUAACAUUACACACUUAUGUUCUAUUUACCCUACAAGGUGAAUCCCUAUGUCUAGUUCAUCAUUAAUCUUAGAUUAAGCAUGGCCCUUUUGGGACUCAAGUAAAACUCAAUCUAGGAAACUCAAUCUAAAACCAAGUAUUGCUUUGAUAUGUUCCACUAAGAUAGGCUCUUUUGUGGCUCUUCCUUAGCUAAUAUCAUUAAAUGGGUGAUCAGCCGAAAUAAUGAAUAAAAAUAAAUACUAUCAAAACAAAAUGCUAAAGCAAACAUGCAGCAACUCAUUUUUUCAGUCAAUAAACCAUCAAGAUUGUUAAUCACUCAACUACAAAUAAAUUUAGUUCAUAAUUUGCAAAAGAAAAAUAAAAAACAAGGUUUCAGUCAUGAAACAUAUCCCAAUGAAUAAAAAGUAAACAAGAAAACAAGAGAAGAGUAAGAAAGACUGAGUUCCCGCUUGAUUUCUGCAAAUUCUCCUCUUCUACAACCCUCAAUCUUUCUCUUGAAUCAUGUUUUUCUUUUGUUUCUUUGUGAUUUUUCUCUUUGGGUGACGGCUCUCUCUAUUCAUUAUGAUGUGUGCUUCUUGUAUAGCUGAAAAUUAGGGUAAGCGGAAGCCUAGGGCGCACAUAAGUCAGACUAGAAAACUGCAUAUCGCAAUUCUGCAAGUAUCCCACGCAGAAUUCUCUCUGUCGUUGUUCUAGGAUUGCUACAGCAAUGGUUGCUAUGGCAACAGCUACAACAACUGCAUUGUUCCAGAUUUGUUUUAAUUCUUUUGUAGCCAAGUUCUUUUCUAUCUUUUGCAAGCCUAUUGCAUCAGCAUUCCUUCCUUGAAAUUUGGGCUUCCGGACACCUACAAUUAUGCAUAUGAUUUAGUACACAAAUUAUUCUAAAUCAAAUAAAAUUUAUUAUGAAUAAACUAAGAUGAAUGUUUAUGCAAAAUAUAACAAAAAUACAAUGGAAACACAUUAUUUACUCUCUAAGUAUUAUGGAUUUAAGUCUAAAAAUGCCAUGAUAACUCUUAUUUCAUAGAGUUAUCACACCCCCAAACUUAAACCAUUACUUGUCCUCAAGAAAUGACAACAACACUACACAAUCUUGCAAUAAUUAACUUAGCUCUAUCAUCAAAUUUGCAAGCAUUUUUCAACCCUCAGAUCACACUCUUAAUCACACAAAAUAGUCAUAGCAGUUCAGUUAUACACUUAGGCUUCAUUUUGUCCAAAAUGUGUGUGUGCCACUUUGAUCAAAUUCCAGAGGUGCUACAACAUUACAGAGACAUUGCAUAUAAUUCAAAGGUGGAACACAAAUAUAUUCACAUAUGAGGGAGCAUAAUUCACAAAUAAACUCAAAUUGUGCUACAACAAACAUAAUUAUUAUUUUUAGUUAAACCUUUCAAUGCAACAUUGAGCUUUCAUGUGAAUGCCUAUCACUUGUAAUGACGACACCCAAUUACUCACUCAAAGUACAUGUCAAAGUUGUUGCAGCAACACAUCCAGGAUGUCAUACCUAGGUCUUACCUUUGGCCGCCUUUGACUCAAGGCUGAACAUGAGGCUCAUGAAUAGACUAGGUUACUCAGUAUCCUAGGCAGCGGACCUCUUUAUUUUUCAUUCCUUCAUCACCAUUUUUUUUUUUUGUAAUUUUUUAUAUAUAAUUGUUGCAGCACUGCUAAUAGCUCUUAUUGCCUUUGGACUAAAGUCUACAUAUAGGGUGCAUACUCAACCCUGGUUACUCAGUAACUUAAACCAUUGGAGCAGAAUUUAUUUCAUAACAGGCACAGUCCAACAAAAAUUUUCCCCCAAACUUGAUAUAUUUUCUACUCUUUUUUGGUUUUCCUGGCUCUGCUAUAAUAUUCUCAUAAAACUCAACCAAAGUCUAAGUGUCAGGACAGAAUUCCAACCUCCAUCUAUAACUAUCUCUACUUGGCAUUCUCAUAAAUACUGAACAACAUUAAAUUUAUCUUCAUUAGGUUUUUAAAUCCAUACACAAAUAUUAGAUAAUAGAGCUUCACACAACACACAACACAAGCAUAAACACAUGCACUCAGAAACACAGCCCCCCCAAACUUGAGUGGUGUAGUGUCCUCACAAGCACACAAAACAAAACCACAUAAACCAGACAUGCAUACACUAAAUAAAAGAACAUGCAGAAUGAAUCAGAAAAUUAAAACUAAAUGAAAGAAAAAUUUGGCAAAAAGAAGUAAAAUAAACUAACGGGUAGGGGUACUCCCCUAUUGCUGGAAGCACUGCUACAACAUAGGCUGUAAAGGAUCACUUCUUCUUUGAUCCACUUCUCAAACGUUCUUUAUCAUAAAAUCUGAUCAAUCCAUUUGCUGCUGCAAAAGCAAGAAAUGCAUAUGUUAUUUGAGAAUCUUAUGUUAUAUGUCAUGCUGUAAGUGAUGCUGCAGCAAUUCCCUCAUGUUCUUUUUGUCCACAUUUGUUUUUACUUGCUGCAAUUUAACACAAAGACAAAAAAUUAGAUGCACACUUAAAAUAAUAAAAAGACAAAUUAAAUAAUUUAAAAACUAAAUUCAAUGCCUUAAAAACUUGAAACAACUUCCCUUAUUGGGUUCCCUCCCAAUUAGUGCUUGAUUUUAGAUUUUUCAGCCUGACAUUUCUUGUUUGCUCAACCUGGAUCCUUUAAAAAUCGAUCCUUCUAUAGGUUGUUAACAUCAGCUCCCAUAUAGUACUUCACUCUUGGCCCAUUAACCUUGAAUUCUUGUUGGUCUGGAGUGAGUUCCCUUUGUUAUAUUUGCUCGUCAAUUCUGAAGGGUUGCUUCUCCCCUAACCAUGUUAUGUUAGCUGCUCUACGAUCUUAAUCAUCAAGUUCUUCAAAUGUUACAACAUUGAUUUCUUUUUUACUGCAACAACUGUGUAAUCUCUCUGCUACAGCAAAAUCCACAACAUUGAUAAAAUUACAAUCUUCAAUCUCAUCGGGAUUCUUCAUGGCAUCUAGCACAUUGAAUGUAACAUGUUGGUCAUUCACUCUCAUGGUUAAUUCUCCUUUUUGAACAUCAAUGAGGGUCUUUCCCGUGUCUAAGAAAGGUCUUCCUAGAAUGAUUGACACUUCCUUGUCUACUUCAAAGUCUACCACAAUGAAAUCCACUGGAAAAAUAAAUUUAUCCACCUUCACCAACACAUCUUUAAUCUUCUCUUAUAGUUAAGCAUGAGAUAUGUCAGCAAGUUGUAGAGUCACCGUUGUUGGUCUAGAUUCACUAACUCCCAAUUGCUUAAACACUGAUAAAGACAUGAGAUUGAUGUUAACCCCCAUAUCACAAAGUGCUUUACCACUGUAUUUAGUGCCUAUAGAGCAUAGGAUAAUGAAGCUUCCUGGAUCCUUCAUCUUCUGUGGUAUCUUACUCUGAAGCAUUCGGCUGCACUCCUGUGUUAGAGCAACUGUUUCAAAUUCUCCAAGUCUUCUUUUCUUUAUCAAGAUAUCCUUAAAAAAUUUUACAUAGUUUAGCAUUUGCUCUAGAGCUUCUACAAAAGGGAUAUUGAUAUGUAGUUGUUUCAGCACUCCCAAGAUUUUUCUGAAUUGCCUGUCUUGUUGCUGCUUCAGAAACCUUUGAGGAAAGGGUGGUGGAUAUUUAAACUGUUAUGUUGCAGCAGGUUGUGCAAACUGCUUCUCUUUUGUUCUACUCGGGUCUAUUGCUAUUGGUGUUGUAGCUUCCUCACCACCAGAUGCUGGAUCAUAACUUUCUGCAGAUGCUGUAGCAGAAUUGUGUAUUUGCAUUGUGAAAAGUGAAAGACUGUGACUCUUUCUUCACUUGAGUGUCUUCUUGGCUUUUGUUAGACUCAAUUCUUCUUUUUGGUGCACCAACUGAACUAUCAACAUCCUUUCCGAAUCUCAAGUUAAUUACUUUGCAAUGCUCUUUCCCUUCUCUUCUUGGGUCCUCUGUGUUGCUGGGUAAACAGCCGUGAGGUUUGUUGCUUAAUGCUAUAACAAGCUGUCCAAUUUGAUUUUAAAAUUUCCUCAAGGAUGCAGCAUGACUUUAGACAACUGCUUUAUUCUUCACAGUAUAAACCUUAAUUAAAGCUUCAAGGGAGCUGAGUCGAUCAUUGUUGAUGCUUCUUUGCUCUUGAUUUUGUUGAUAAAAUCCAGGUAGUUGAGCAGGUCUGUUCUGUUCACUAGGUGCUGCAGCAGUUUGAUUCUAAUUACUCCAUGAAAAGUUUGGGUGUUGUUUCCAUCCAGGAUUGUAAGUGUUUGAAUAUGGAUUGUUCUGGUUCUGUCUAUUGAAGCUGCCCACAUAGUUGAUUAACGCUGGAUUUCCAAGACAAUUGUCAAAUAAAUGCCUCUCUCCACAAUAAACACAAGAUACUUCAGCAACUUAGUUGGCAGAUGCUGGAGCAGUGAUCAUAGCUUUCACCAUAUUUGUUAAUGAGGUUACUUGGGCUGACAAUGUUGUCAAGGCAUCUACGUUAUGGACUCCUGUUGUUGCUCUUACUGCAGCUUAUCUGUUUGAUGGCCACUGAUAGUUAUUGUUGGCUAUCCUCUCCAAAAUUUAAUAAGCCUCAUUGCAAGGUUUAGAUAACAAUGUCCUAUUUGCUGAAGUAUACACCAUCAAUCUAGUGCUUGGGUUGAGACCAUUAUAGAAAGUUUCCAAUUAUAUACAUCAAAGUAUACCACGAUGAGGACAUCUCCUGUGUAACUCCUUAAAUCUUUCCCAUGCAUCAUACAAACUCUCAUCUUCAAGUUCAUGGAAAGAUGUGACCUCAUUCCUCAAUUUUGCAUUCUUGGUCAUGGGAAGUAUUUCAUCAAAAAUUUAUCAGCCAAGUCAUUCCAUGUGGUGAUAGAAUCUGGUGGUAAAGAAUUCAAUCAUGGUCUUACUAGAUCUCUCAAAGAAAAUGGGAAAAUUCUGAGUCUCAAUGCUUCCUGCGAUGCUCCAGCAAUCUUGAAAGUAUCACUUCCAAAAAUAACUUAAGGUGUAAAUGAGGAUCUUCGGAUGGCAAACCAUUAAAUUGCCCUACUAUUUGAAGCAUUUGAAACAUCAUGCGUUUGAGUUCAAAAUUGUCAGCUUGAACGUCGGGUCUAACUAUUCCCAGAUGUAUGGCUUGAGGAGUCAACACUGCGUAGUCUCGAAUAGCUCUCUCUCUAACGUUCGCCAUGUGAAUAAUGUUGUUGUUCCCUGGUUGCCUUGGAAUAUAUUGUCCAUUUAGACUUUCAUGUACAUUGACUGGUUGUAUUUCCUCUCUACGGUUCAAGUUUCUCAAAUCUUGCAAAUCAUCCAUUGCUACAGCAGCUUGUAAUUCUCGAUGCUCUCUUCUCAAUCUCCUUACAGUUCUUUCAAUUUCUGGAUCAAACUGGAAUUCAACAGAUUCAUAUUUCCGCAUGCAAGGGUUGCUAGAUCACCUAUGUAAAAAAAAAUAAACAAAUCAAAAAAAAAUUAAAAAUUAGCAUUGUUAACGUAUUGGUAUGAAUUCAAAUGCUAUUGGUGUCAAUCUGCAAGUGUACACAAUAAGUAAUAUAAUAAUGAGUAUUCGAGAUCGUCUCCACUUGGAUUGAUGUUAUUAGACUUGCUACAACAACCUUAACAGUGCAAAUUUUGUUCUAAAUUAAGAUAAAAUAAUUAAUGAAAUUCAUAUACUAAUUAAAAUAAAAAUGCAAUAAAUAAAAUGCAACAAAGUAAACUAUCACAUCAAGCUCAAGGAUAAAACCAAUGGGAAUAUAGAGUAGUUGAGUGAAUAAACUCUCUUAAUGGUUUUGACUAUUUUUCUAAUGUUUGGCUCGGUUGCUACAGCAUUUGCUACAGCACUGGGCAGCAUCCUUAUGUAUCCUCAGUAGUCGCAUGUUGGAUAUCUUAUAUCUAUAUGCAAUCUAACAGUGAUUAGUUGUUAUGUCAACAUAAGAUGUAACAUUACACGCUUAUGUUUUAUUUACCCUACAAGCUGAAUCUCUAUGUCUAGUUCAUCAUUAAUCUUAGACUAAGCAUGGCCCUUUUAGGACUCAAGUAAAACUCAAUCCAAGAAACUCAAUCUAAAACCAAGUAUUGCUUUGAUAUGUUCCACUAAGAUAGGCUCUUUUGUGGCUCUUCCUUAGCUAAUAUCAUUAAAUGGGUGAUCAGCCGAAAUAAUGGCUCGGGUACCACUCCUUCAAUGAGGUGUACUUGGCCUCCUCACUUUUUGGGGUGUGAACUAGUUCACCCAAAAACUCAAAUAUUACUUUCUCUCUUGCUCAACAAAAGUGCUUGUGCAGAUGGACCAAACUGAAAAAUAGCUGCUCCAAAGGUACACCGGAAACCCCAAAAAGAAAGUUGGACUCCCUCUUUUCUAUGCCUUAUAAAUAGCUAUCAAAUUUGGAUAAGUUGGAGAAGCUGGACCUGAUUGAUCAAAAUUUUUCAUCUAUUUAUGGGGACGAACCACCAAAUAUGUGUAGAGGGUGAUGCAGGGGUACCCCACCAUCACCCAUAUUUUAUUUUCUAGUAGUUGGAAAGUAUAGAUCGCUCCAGUGAGUACUUCAAUGCCUUUCUUGGCCGUCUGAGAACCAGUUCGUCAGUUACCCCAAGAUCCAUCUCUUUUAAGGGCACAUUUCCUCUACAUGCUCCAAGGACAAAAAUAAAAUCCCAAGGCUCCUUUCCUUGAAGCCCUCUAAAUGAUGGUUAUAUAGGAGAUUAAUUCUUUUUUAUUUUAUUUAUUUAUUUAUAUAUACAUAUCAUCUCUUUUUUUUAUAGCACCAUUAUUAGGAAUACGUAAUCAUCCUUAUUUUCAAAUACAAUUGAGUGAUGGAAAACAUAAAACAUAAGGUGAUACUCCACAUUGGAGUAGGAAAAGAUGAUAGGUACCAAAGAAAAAAAAAUUUUUUUUUCAAAGGCUCAAAGGGGUUAACUAUGUAUUCUUUAUAAUAGGGUUGGCUAAAAAACUCAAACGGACCAAAGAUGGCCUUCUAUCAUUUUUUAGGGCUUUAAAUAAUCUUUCAUAUCCACUAGUUCAAUGGACUUUUAGAUGCGGCUGCACAAACUUUCUCUUUUUUUUUUUUUACUUCUUUUUUUUUAAAGAAAAUAUUGAGAUCUUGUACAAUAAAUUGUGAAGCUGUAUAGGCAAAUAGAGUUAUUCUCCAAGGAUAAUAGGCUAAAAAAACUCACUUGGUCUUUUCAUGAUAUGUACAUUCCUCCAAAUUGCUUAAUCAAUUUCACUCAUCAAAUUUCUCAAUUUACGUUUCAACAUGCAAAGGGAAGAACAUAGUGUAACAUAACUCAAGGCCAAAGAUAAUACAAAUACCAAAAUUUAAAAAUCAUCAUAUUAUCCAAUGUUAAAAGAUCACACUGAAAAAGAAAACUCUUUUUUUUUUUCUUUUGGUUAAAGAAACACUAAAAAAUUGGGACUGAUUGCAGAAACUUAAGGGAGAUGAUUAAGAGAAAAAGAGAAAAAGACAGAAAACAAAAAGUUAGAAGACAUUUUUUUUUUGGAAACAAAACACUAAACUUAAAAAGAUGCGUUUCUAUAGACACUACAUUCUAUAUUUUGCCAUCUUCGACUAAAAUUUUUAUCCAAAGGUAGUCUUUACAACAAAAAUUAGUAAAAAUAUCAUCAGGAUUGAGACAUUCCACAAUUAUCAACUAUUCCCUUCCCCCAACCUGAGGAGACAUUGUCCUCAAUGUCUAAAGAAAGGAGUAGAGUUUAGAAGAUAUCACCUGGUCACUGCUGGAAAUAUUUACAAAUGGAGAGUUAAAUCUAAUUUACAUUUUUUACGAGAGUUACUGCCAUCGUCAUCAGUUGCCCAAUCCAACGCCAAAGUCAUGGGAUCUGGCUCUGGUUUGUAAGCGUGCAAAAGAUCAAAUAACUCAUUAGCAGUAGGAGCACAAAUGAAGAGUUUUUUCGCUGAGGAUGGAAUGAAAUAAUUUUUUAUUGCAUGAUUAAGAAAUGUUAUUAAGUCAUCAUAAAAGUUAUCAACAUUUAACAACCGAUGGUUUUUUAUGGAUAUUCAAAUGGGCCCAAGAAUCAAAUGUAAUUAGCGCCUCCAAAGUUGCAAGGUCUCCUGGCAAGAAAAUGAAAGCGUCAGCAUGAUUUAACAUUUCAGAUAUUCUUUUCUUGCAUACCUGAGACAACUAACUCUUCUCCAGUUGGUGGGUUUGGUAGACACAAAUAUUUUUAAGUUGACUGCUUAAAGUUGCUGCCAUUAGAACAAUUCUAAAAAGAAACAAUUUGUGAGUGCUUGAGAAGGAGCUUCUAUUUAAGGAUCUUGGUGACGAACAUAAUGAUAUAUAUCUGUAAAUAGGGUGGUGUGUUUGUCAAAUGACGCGUGAAGCUUUUAGCUUAAUAAUUCAAAGGCAAACAAUGAAAAGAAAAAGCAAACAGUAAUUAGAUAUAUAUAAAAAAAAAGACACACAAUAAUAAUAAUAAUGCAAAAGAUAAAAGAAUAGUAAAAUAAAAGGAUAUUUACUAGUAGUUGUGAUUGUGGCUCACAUCUUCCUCUGGGUCGAGGAUAGGCUUCGCAUCCAGUUUUCUUAUAAACUGGCAAACAAGGUCUUUUAGAGUCAGAUUCCCAAGACUAAAUUGUGCACUUUCCUUUUGGAAUAGCUUCCACAAAUUUUGAAUUUCACGUUGCACAUAUCCGCUCGGAUACGUCUCAAGAGAUCGUAAGAUAUCAUCCAACGAUUCUUUACUCAUGCCAUCCUUAACGAAUUUGAUUUUAUCUUCACGAUUUACAGAAACCAUUCCUAAAGUUUUACAACGUGGCUUUUUGCAAGCAAGUUUUACACAGUGAGAACAUUCAGAGCCAAGUCGCUUAGCUCUUCUUUUCUUAGCAAAUGUACUUUUACUAAAACCAGGCAUGUAGGAAAUGAAUGGAUCAGAAAACUUACCUGCCAAUCGGACCUUUGCUUCAAUUAAUCAGCGAAUGUCAGCAGGAAUCCCAUUGAUCAUUAACAAAUGCAGUCAUUCACAACGAGCUUUGUAAAUAUUCUUAAGAGCAUUUUGAGGGAGAGAAGGAAAACGUUGAUGCAAAUUUCACUGUAUUUCUUCCAUGCUUGACAUUGAGGUUUUAGUUAUUGUGGGAAACUGAGAAUACCGACUUAAAAAGUCACGAAGUACCGUUAUCCGCCAUUUAUACGGGAGAGUGAAUCAAAACAAAACGAAUUAAAUCUGCAAAAUCAAAUCAAAAGUGAAGAAGAACAACAAAAUAAAACAAAAACACAAGAAAUAUAACUCACCUUCAUCCUUUUAUUGAAUUUACCUCUAGUUCCAAUUGCAGAUUAUAAAUACCAUCCUAUAUUUCCUUGAGUUGUCUUUCUAGAUCUUUGACGUGGGAUACUAACUAUGGUGGUUGUAGAUCCCAAAAAAUCUGAGCAAUUUCCUCAAGUGAAAUUUUACAUGUAAAAGUUCUUUAAGAUGUUCGAAAAGGAAACUUCUCAUGGAGGUACUCAUGACAAGUAUCAAAAUUUGAUGAGCUAAAACAAAAUUGUCAAACAACACACAAUAAAAAACAAUGCAAUGCACUCUAUUCAAGGCAUAGGGAAAAGGAAGGAAAAAAAUCAAACAAUUCAAACUAUAAAGUAAUAGUAAAUCAAAUUCGUAAAAAGUUAAAAUGAAAAGGCUUAAUUAAAAUUUGGUUGGUCACUCAAAUUGAUUUCGGUAUCUGCUUCACGUGGUUGGUAUUCUAGAUAUGGUUUCAAUCUUUGACCAUUAACUUUAAAUGUGACAUCAUCUUUUGGAUACUCAAUUUCUACGGCUCCAUAUGGAUACAUAUUUUUUUACAACAAAUGGACCAUUCCACUUUGACUUUAACUUCCCUAGAAAUAAAUGAAGACGAGAAUUAUAAAGCAACACUUUUUGACCAAUUUCAAAUGUUUUUCGAAAAAUUUGGUUCUUGCCUUAAUAAUUCUGGAAUUCUCAUAUUCAUCAUUCCUUAAUUCCUCAAGUUCAUUUAAUUGCAAUUUACGCACAUUACCAACAUCAUCAAGAUUUGAAUUAAAAGCUUUAGUGGCCCAAAAUGAUUUAUGUUCAAGUUCAACUGGUACUGGCAAGAUUUUCCAUAAACAAGCCGAUAGGGUGACAUUCCUAAAGAUGUUUUAAAAGCAGUACGAUAUGCCCAAAGUGCAUCAGUUAGUCGAAGAGACCAAUCUUUACGGUUUGGAUUAACUAUCUUUUCUAAAAUUUAUUUUAUCUCCCUAUUUGCUAAUUCAACUUGACCACUUGUUUGAGGUUGAUAAGGGGUAACAACUUUAUGUGUAAUUCCAUAUUUCUUCAUUAAGGACUUAAAUAGCUUAUUACAAAAAUGCUUACCUCCAUCACUAAUAAUGGCUCGAGGUAUUCCAAAUCUGCUCAAAAUAUUUUCUUUUAAAAAGCGGAUCACAAUCUUGUGAUCAUUGUACCGACAAGGAAUCGCGUCGAUCCAUUUUGAAACAUAAUCAACAGCAACUAAAAUGUAUAUAAAUCCAAAUGAUGAUGGAAAAGGGCCUAUAAAAUCAAUUUCCCAACAAUCAAAUAUUUCAAUGACAAGGAUUAGGUUUAAAGACAUCAUGUUUCGCUUUGAAAUAGACCAUACCAUUUGGCAAUUCUUACACACUUUACAGAAUGCAUGUGAAUCUUUAAAUAAUGUAACCUAAUAAAAUCCACAAUGCAAUAUUUUUACAGCUAUCAUUUUUAAAGAAAAAUGGCCACCACAUGCUUCAGAAUGACAAAAUUGAAUGACCCUACUUACCUCGUCGUCCGAUAUGUAUCUUCAAAAAAUUUGAUCAGAGCAGUACUUGAACAGGUAUGGAUCAUCCCAGUAAAAGCUUUUCACUUUUGUUAAGAAUUUCUUCUUGUCUUGAGAAUUCCAGUCACAUGGCAUUUCACCUGUUGCAAGAUAAUUAACAAUAUUAGCAUACCAAGGCAUUUUGUUUAUAGAAAAUAAAAAUUCAUCAGGGAAAGAAUCAUUGAUGGGUGUUGUUUCAAUUGAAGACUCAUUCGUAAGUCUUGAAAGAUGAUCUGCAAUAACAUUUUCAGCGCCCUUUUUGUCCUUGAUUGUCAAGUUAAAUUCUUGAAGUAGCAAAAUCCAUUGUAUCAACCUUGGUUUGGCAUCCUGUUUUAACAUUAAAUAUCUCACAGCAGCAUGAUCAGAAUAAACAAUAGUGGAUGAACCAAUUAAAUAUGAAUGAAAUUUAUCCAAUGCAAAUAUUACAGCAAGUAGUUCUUUCUCAGUUGUAGUGUAAUUCAUUUGAGCAUUAUUCAAAGUUCUACUUGCAUUAUAGAUGACAGAAGGCUUACAUUCUUUUCUUUGACCCAGAACAGCGCCAACGACAUAAUCACUAAUAUCACACAUUAGCUCAAAAGGUAAAGACCAAUCAUUAUUGGGGCUGAUGUCAAAAGAGUAGUUAUUUUUUCAAAAGCUUGUUGACAAUCUUUAGUCCAUUCAAAAGGUGUCUUUUAUUAGGAGGUUACAAAGUGGUCUAGAUAUGGCACUAAAGCCAUUUAUAAACCCCCUAUAAAAUCCUGCAUGUCCUAAAAAGGAACGAACUUCUCUAAUUGUCUUUGGUGAGGGUAAUUUUGAAAUGACUUCAACUUUGGCUUUGUCAACUUCAAUUCCUUUUGAAGACACAACAUGGCCCAAAACGAUUCCAAAAGUGGUCAUGAAAUGGCAUUUUUCCCAAUUUAAAACUAGUCAUUUUUCUUUGCACAUUUCCAAAACUUUUUCUAGAUUAUCAAUACAUGUAUCAAAAGAAUUAUCAAAUACAGUUAAAUCAUCCAUAAAAACCUCUAAACAAUUUUCAACCAUGUCACUAAAAAUGCUUAGCAUGCACUUUUUAAAUGUUGCAGGAGCAUUACAAAGUCCAAAGGGCAUUCUCCUAAAUGCAAAUGUUCUAAAUAGGCAUGUGAAUGUAGUCUUUUCCUAGUCUUCUAAGGCUAUACGGAUUUGAUAAUAGCCAGAGUAACUAAUAAGAAAGUAGUAGUAGGGAUGUCCAACUACUCUUUCGAGAAUUUGGUCUAGAAAUGGAAGAGGAAAAUAAUAUUUUCUAGUGGCAUCAUUUAAUUUUCUGUAAUCAAUGCACAUGCGCCAACUAGAUGGAAUUCGUGUUGGGAUUAGUUUACCUUUUUCAUUUUUUACAACGGUUAUUCUAUAUUUCUUUGGUACUACUUGUGUUGGACUUACCCAUUUACUAUCAGAGAUAGGAUAGAUAAUUCUUACAUCUAAUAGUUUAAGGACCUCAUUCUUUACCACUUCUUUUAUAUGAGGGUUUAGUCUUCUUUUUGGUUGACGGGUUGUUUUGGCAUUUUCCUGUAAGUGUAUUCGGUGUGUGCAAAUUAAAAGAUUAAUGCCUUUUAUAUCUUUUAAGGUCCAACCAAAUGCAAUUUUAUGUCUUUUUAGUACAGAUAACAACUUACCUUCUUGAUCAUGUGUGAGUUGGGAAGAAAUUACCACCGGAUACGUCUGCUGCUCUCCAAGAUAGGCAUACUUCAAUUCUUCUGGUAAGGGCUUUAAUUCAAGCUCUGGUGCUUCCUCUUUGAUUAGUUCUUCAGGUUGUACUGUAUUUUCAAAGUUCGAUUGGUCAUCGUCACCUGUAAGUACCUGCAUAGAAUCAAGUGUAGAACAUAUAUUAGCAGUAUCACAAUUUAAUUCUUUACUUGAUUCAAAAGAACCAGCAAAACAAAUUUCCACAGAGGUUGUAAAAUUCUCAUCCUGAAUGUGUUCCUCAAUGAUUGGCUCGAUGAGAUCAAUCUCCUUAUUCUCAUUAUCAUCAUCUUCUUGGUGGUGAGAUUGUUUACACAUGUUAAACACAUUGAGUUCCAAUGUCAUGUCCGAAAGAUAAAUUCAUUAAUCCAUUCCUGCAAUUAAUCAAAGUAUUAGCAGUAGCUAAAAAUGGUCGACCCAAUAUAAGAGGAAUUUGUUUGCAUUCAUUAGCAAUUGGGUCCAUUCCCAAAAAAUUAAAAUCAACAAGAUAUAUGAAUUUAAUCGAUCUAACAGCAAGUAAAAGAGUGGUAGAAGUUGGUUUUAACUCACCGAGAUUGAGUUGUUGGUACACUGAGUAAGGAAGCAAAUUAUCACUGGCCCCAAGGUCAAGUAGAGCAUGUCCAAUUUUAUGAUCCCCAAUAGUGUAAGAAAUAGUUGGACAACCAGGAUCCUUGUAUUUCAAAGCACUAUUGGUUGAGAGAAUGGAACUUACAUGUUCUGCCAGAAAAGCUUUCUUUUGCACUUUAUGUUUCUUUUUCAUCAUGCACAGAUCUUUCAAAAAUUUAGCAUAAGAAAGCACCUGUUUAAUGACAUCCAGCAAAGGAAUGUUGACCUUUACUUGUUUAAAAACUUCAUAAAUUUCUAGACUGCGGUUUGAUUUCUUUGGCUUGAUUAGUGCCUGAAGAAAUAAGGGUACAAGAGGAGAGUUGGUUAUUUCUUCAUGGGUUAAAGGUUCGACAGACUCUUCCCUAUUUUCUGAAAUUGAAUCUUUACUAGUUUCACGAGGGUCCACAAUGUAUUUUUCGAUCACUUUACCACCACGAAGGGUUAUAACCGAUUUGACUUGACUCAUAUUUUGGUUUCCUGAAUUUUCCAUUUGAGGAUGUUGUUGACUCUUGGGGUUUGGUUAAGGUUGAGCAGGAAACUUUCCUUUUUCAUGCAUGGUCAGAGCAGAUGUAAGUUUGGAGAUAAUUUUUGUCAAAUUGGUUAAGGUUUGCAUCAUUUGGUUAUUGAUCGACUCGUGUUUUUCAAUAAACGAAUGCAAUGUGUCUUCCAGAGUUUUUCUUGGUGGUGAGACAUAUGGUGGGUAACUCUGGGGGUUUUGGAAAUUUUGACGUGGAGGAACUGGUUGUGAAGGUUGUGCAUGAUUAUCAUUUCUCCAACUGAAAUUUGGGUGGUUUCUCCAACCAGAAUUGUAAGUUUGGGAGUAUGGAUUUGGAUUUGACCUUUUGAAAUUGUCAACGACAUUUACUUGUUCGUGCAAACUUUCUCUCAAUGCUGGCAAAGUUAGACAGUCCUGCGUAGAAUGGUCAGUAGAAUCGCAAACAUAACAUGAAAUAUUUUGAACAGACUUUACAUGAUCAUUCUUUUUCAACUCUAAUGCUUUGACUUUUCUAGCUAAUGUUGCAAAUUUAGCUUGAAAAUCAUGGUCUUCCCUAAGGUUAUGCAUGCCUCCACCAGAUGGAGAUGACUGGGGUUUACUUGAUGACUCAUAAGAACCAAUUGUAUCUCAGUGUUGUGCAUUCUCUGCUAUAUAGUUAAGAUAGUCUAAUGCAUCUUCAGGACUUUUAUUCCUAAACUCACCAUUAUGGAUCAUUUCAACGACUUGUCUACCUUGGGAUGUUAAUCCCUCGUAGAAAUAAGACACUAAUCUCCAUGUUUCAAAACUGUGGUGUGGGAAAAUGUUAAGUAGUUCUUUAAACGUAUCCCAAUAUUGGUAGAGGGUUUCUCUUGGUUUUUAAGUGAAUGUGGUGAUUUGUCUUUUGAAAGAAUUAGUUUUGUGGGGUGGGAAGAAUUUUUUCAAAAAUUGUGCUUGCAUUACAUCCCAAGUUCUGAUGGAUCCUGACCUAAGAUUUUGUAGCCAAGUUUUAGCUUUAUCCUUUAGUGAGAAAUGAAAAAACUUAAGCCUGAAUAUAUUCAUGCUACAAUUUUGAUCAGUACAUGUGUUACAGACUUCCUCAAAUUCCCUUAAAUGCAAAUAUGAAUUUUCAUAUUCAAAACCAUAAAAAGUAUGAAGAAAUUGAAUGAUACCAGGUUUGAAAUUAAAACGUGAUACAUCAUGAGGGAAAACUAUGCAUGAUGGUGAUCCUGUUCUAGUAGGAUGCAUGAAGUCUCUAAGGGUCCUAGGCUGUUCAUGAAGAUUUUACAAGGCUUGGUCAUUUUCGUGCUCCGAAAAAUUUUCAGCUCCGAUCUCAGCCAUAUCUAAGGGUGGUGAAAGUGAUCUAAUUAAUCUGCCACUAUUUGUACGAGACCAACGAUGCCUGCAAUGCUAAUGAUGUGUGCUAAACCAAUGAUGCAUAAAACGCUAAAUGAAAAUUGCAGAAAAUAAAAAUAAACAGGAAAUUAAAUAAGCAAAAAUACGAAAUAAAAAUAAACAAACUGAAAAUAAAUAAAAUAAAUAAAUUAGGCAGUGAAACCAGCCAUAAACAAAGAAAUUAAAAGAAACAAUUUAGGCGGUAUUUUAAAACCAGCCAUAUAACAAAACAUAAAAUUAAAUAGAUUAAUGUAUAAGAAUAAAUAAACUGAAAUUAAAAUGCUAGGCGGUAGAACCGACCAUAUAAACAAAAAUACAUAAAUUAACAAAAUUUAAAUAACAGUCAGGCAGUAGAACCGACCAUUUAAAAUAAAUGCGGAAAGUAAAUUGCAUAAAUUUAAAGAAAUAAAUUCGAUUUGGGGAUUGAUUUGCAAAGGUUUCUGGGCUAAAAUGAAGUUUAUCACAAAUUUUAUGAAUAAUGUUAAAGUUUGAAAAGAGGAGGGGUGCUAACUGAAGUUUUGGAAAAAGAGAAUAAAAUAGAAUCACGAAGAGAUAGUAACAAAAAAAAUUAAAAUAAAAUAAAGUAAAGACAAACUAACACCAAAUUUAGAAAACUCCCCGGCAACGGCGCCAAAAACUUGACACGACUUAAAAAUAUAUUAACCCGGUGAGUACGGGGUCGAACUACAAAGAAUUUUAAAUCUAGUAGUCAAUUUAAAACUAAGAAAAUUAAUUGUGGGGAAAAGAAAUUAUUUGAAAUCAAUUUAAAAAUAUGCUAAGGUUCGGGAUCCACUCUCUGUAUUCAAACUAUAGUUUUAAUACUCUCUCAUUUAUAUUUUGCAUCACUUUUACCAGUUAAUUAUUAUAUCAUUUAAUUUUAUGUGUGUGGAUAAAUAUGGAAUAAAGUACCUAAUGUGCCACACUAUAUUAAAGUGUCGACAUUAUGUCAAAAUACCAUACAUAUCCAAAAAAAUGUAUAAAUUAAUAUGACAUAAAAAUAACUAGAAAAGAAUAAAAUAAAUUUUAAAACUCAUUUGAGAAAAUAAUAGAUUUAAUAGUUUGAAAUAUUGAGCUUCACCCUUCACCUCAGCUUAGUAAAAUUAGCCACUCAUAUUGAAAGAAAACACAACACUUUAUUUAUUUGAUAAACUUUUGAAAUACGUUACAAGAAAGUUGAUUACACAACAAAAGAAGAAAAAGACACAAUUCAUCAGUUACACUCUAUUCUCUCUUGGCUUAAGCUCUCUCUGCUCAACUCUCUCACUUCUCCAUGCCUCGCUCCCUACAUUUCCUUGCCCUUUUAUAGGCAAGGAAUGCAUUAUCUUUAUUUAUUUUAUUAUUAUUAUUAUUAUUAUUAUUAUUAUUAUUAUUAUUAUUAUUAUAUAUAUAUAUAUAUAUAUAUAUGUACAUUGAAAUGUGUAAUGGUCAAGUGGCCAUCAUGGCCACUUGACCAUCACGAGAAACCAAAUUGCUUGGUUUUUGUUCUUUUGUUCUUUUUUCAUUUUUUUAUUUUUUAUUCAUUUUAAUUUUUUAAUUUUUUAUUUAGUUAUAUCUCAUCAAUAACGCUUCCAAAUUGCUCCAGCAGUCCUUCUUUGUUCCCGCUUUCAAUUCCAAUUUAUUCCUAAAAAAUAUUUAUAAGAUAAAAAUUAACAUAUUACGAAUUAAUUUAACACAAAAAUUUAUUUGGGGAGCAUUCAUAUAAUUUAGGGAAAAUAUCCACCGUCCACCCGUUUUUUACACAUUUUUUAAAAAUACACAAUUCCUUCAUUUUUUGGCUGGAAUCCACCUAAAGUUACAUUUUGUUUCACUUUUCCACUUCCGUUUGGAAUCCGUUAAGAAAACUAACGGAAACUUAAAAAAAUGAUCAUUUUACCCCCAAAACAAAAAUUACAAUUUCACCCUAAAAAUGUUAAAAAUAAUCAGAUUUAAUGAUGAAUAUCAUUAUUGGUACGUUAAUGAAGUACAAAAACAUCUUAACUACUAGAGAUUAUAACUCAAUGAAUAAUAAAACUCUACUUAUCUUAAAUUCAAUUGAUGGUUUGUGAGAUUGGGCUAUUUUUAAUGCUACUGUUAUAAUUUAGCAUUCUAAUUACAGACAUAUUUAAAAAAAAAACUUGCAUUUGAUGGUUGUGCAAUUAAUUUCUUUAUUGACCGAUGGGGAAAAUAAUUAGAUUUAAUCUAAUUAUUUUUGGCAAUUUUUAAAGUGAAAUUGUAAUUUUCGUUUUGAGGGGUAAAAUGGUCAUUUUUUUAAGUUUCCAUUAGUUUUCUUAACGGAUUCCAAACGGAAGUGGAAAAGUGAAACAAAAUGUAACUUUAGGUGGAUUCCAGCUAAAAAAUAAAGGAAUUGUGUAUUUUUGAAAAAGGUGUAAAAAACGGGUGGACGGUGAAUAUUUUCCCUAUAAUUUAUAAGUUAUGCGCGCAUUAAUCAACACUUUAAGUGAAAAACUAAUAAUUUUAUCCUUAUUACACGUACACUUUUUAGUGUUAAUCAUACAAUAUUAGUAUUUCAAAAAAAUUAGGUGCAAUUUGCAUCACUAUAGUUAACAGUACAUCCCAACUAGGUUGGCACCUGUUGAACUAUCUAUCAUUUGCAAAUUCACAACCUUUCCAGUAGUAAACUUUUUUUCCAAAAAGUUGCAAAGAAAGAAGGUCUCUAGUCUCUAGAGGGGACUUCAAUGUUCUUUACUAUGCAUAAUCUGGAUCCACUUCAUCUUGAUCGACAUCCAAACUCUCAAUUUGUUUCAUUGAAGCAUUUUACCAAUCUUAUUACACUCAGCUUUUAGCAUCUUUCCAUCUUUCAAAUGCAUCAAAGAGUGUAAUGUCUCUGAUGACAAUUUUGAUCGACAUUCAUCUAGAACUCUACUAUCUACACUAAAAGCUGACUCUGAUGCUACAAUUGAAGCUAGAGGGGUUAGUGGAUCACGGGCCACAAUGAAUAGUAUAGGGGAAAAAGAUGUCUUAUCCAUCCAAAAUUUUAAAUUAUCAAAAUUUUACGAUUGUGAAGGAGUUAAUAAAUCUUCAAGAUUAACAUAACAAUACCUUCACCAUUCAUUACGAUUAGUAUCAAUACUAGAAGCAAUACCAUUACUUUUGAGCAACAAAAGGUUAGCUGGAUUUCUAUAAGAAGUUGAUGCUUGUUGAACAUUAGAAUAUGUAUUGGUUGAUCCAAAUUUAUUUUGAUAAAAAUUAAAAAGUUCAUGCAUAAAGGACGUAAUUGUGUUAGAAUUUGUUUCAAGCCCUGUUAGCAAAUUUUUAGUGAUAUUCUCAACUAAAAAUUUUGUACCAACUUCCUUGAUUGUAGGAUCCAACACUACUGCAAAUAUAAAUAGGUGGGGCAUAUCUUUCCAAUAUUUUUAGAAUUUUUCAUCCAUAGCAUCACAAAUAUUUUUAAACAUAAUAUUUUCACUAAAAGUCUUAAAAGCAUAACUCAUAUUAUACAAGUGGAUUAACAUUCUACAUGAAGUAUGACUCAUAAAUAGUAGAAUAUGCAAGAGUAGUAUUAUAAAAUACCUUCAAAAAAUGCAUAAAUUUAAAUGCAACAUUUCAAUCAUAAUCAGUGAUAUGAUAAUCUUCAUCAUGCAUUAUCUCAUUGUUAAAACUAGAAAUUGCUUUAGAAUAGUUUUGGCAAGAAAGCAACAUCAAAUAUGUAGAAUUCCAACAAACUUUCAUGUCAAUGUUGAAUUUCCUCUUUUUUAAUCCAAAAAUUUUCAAUGUAGAUAAAAACUAUUGUUGCCUUAAAGGUGCUCUAAUAUAUAAAAUGGUUGUUUUUUUUUUUUUAAAUAAUGAUUCAUAUGGUCAUACCAGCUUAAACAAUUAAAUCAAUAAUAUGACAUACGCAUUUCACAUGAAAACAUUUUGAGCCAUGUGCAAGUGUGAGAGUAGAAAUAUUUUGCAAAAACAUAUCAAUUGUGGUUGUAUUGACUGAUGCAUUAUCAAAUGAUAUUCUAAACAAUUUAUCAGUAAUUUCAUAUUCUCUUAAAACAGACAUUAUGAUUGAGUAAAUUACUGAACCAAUAUGAGGAUAUUCUAAUUCAUGAAAUGCAAGCAAUUUUUUUUCAAACUGCAUUUGCCAUUAAUCUCAUGUAUAGAGUGCUAAGUCUUACAAAAAUAACCAACCAUAUUAAUACCAGUCCAACAAUAAGAAGAAAUUGAAAUAACACCAUUAAAAUUGAUAAAAGUAUUAAUCAAGAAUUUUUUCAUGUCAUGAAAAUUUUUGGUAAAAUCACGUUUUAAUGUAUUUCUAGGCACUUUCUUAAGUUGAGGGCUCAACAUACCUUUCCAGAAAAUUUAUCAGACGUUCAUCUUCUGGAAAUGUUAAAGGUUGCUCUACUGUAGCAAUAUACCUAGUCAAUCCUUCUUGCAUGUUCUGUUGUGAAUAUUUAAAUGAUGUUAUAGUACUAGAAGGUCCAAAACCAUACUGUGAAAUUGGGGUUUGUGUUGGGUCUUGUGGUGCGUGUUUUGCCUGGCAAGUUUCCAUAUGUUGUUUGAGAUAUCCGGUUCCACAUUUACUUUUGACACUUAAAAAGGCUUGGAAAAUUGAUGUUCUUGGCUAUUUGGAGGUAAUAGUAGGACCAGUAGUGGCAGAAGUAGAACCACUUUGACUUGCUUAAGAAGUAGGAGGAGAUCGCUGGUGGGACAAUAAAUAUAUUAUUUGGAUCUAGUUCUUGUGUAGCAAUUUCUUCAUUUGGAGCUUCCUCCCCCUCUUCAACAAAAUUUAAAUUCUUAUUCAACUCAAAACGCCUUCCCUCAUGAUUGAUGUGAGAGUGAGACAUUUUAUGUGAAUAAUUUUUUGGUAAAUAAAAGUAGUUGUGUAUUUGUACGGCUGGAAAAAAUAAAAAAUUCAGUGACCAAGAGAGACGUGUAUUAAAUGGUGUUUAAUGGCGUUUCACUUUUGUUUGAGAUUUGAGUAACAAAAAGAAGUUACUGGAAUUGUAGGAGAGUUUAGAGGAGAUUGAGUAGAGAGUAAAGACGAGACACAAGAACAAAUGAGGAGAUAGAGAUUGAGAAUUGAGAUAAACUUGAAAAUGAUUUAAUUGUUUAAAUAGAAUAAAAAAGUAAAAAUAUUAACAGUCAAAUGUGGCAAACAUGCAAAGCUUCCUGCAAGCCUGCAACAAAUUAGACCGUUGCAUUUAUUUACUUUUUUUUUUGUUUCAAAUUUUUGUUCGUUUUGUCCGUUGGGUGAGUAAUAAAAUUAAUUCAAAAUUUUUUUAUUAUUAAAUAAUAAUAAAAAGUUAGUUUCUGAUCGGUGCACCCCGAGCUGUAAAAUUGAGUAGUCAUUUCAAUUUUACUAUUGUAACGAUGGAAUUUAAAAGUUGUGUGCAAUGCAAUCAAUUCAAAAUUUAAAAUUUUUGAAAGUUGCCGACAAUGAUAUUUAAAUAAUAGACAAUUGUAACUCGUAAGCAUUGUGCUCACCUUGUGUGAGACUGUAGUCGUAGUCAAAAAUUCAAAUCAUAAUUCAACGAUUUUUAUUUAUUUUUUAAAUAAUAAAUUAAUAUUCAAAUUAAAUACUUUUCAUUUUGGGUUCGUGCCAACAAGGCAACAAUGCAAUUUUUUUCAUUUCUUUUAUUAUUUUUUUGGAAAAUGUUCUUUAUUUCUUUUAUUAUUAUUUUUUUAAAUAAUUUAAUAAUGUUUUCCUACCAACCACACGCUUGCCUCUACGACUCCACAGCUCCACAAAAGUCAAGAACCCAAGAUUCACUCAUUCACAACACCAGUAUUUAUAUUUCACUAAAUAUUUCUACUUUCUCAACCACUUUCACCUAUUAAAGUAAUAAAAUCAAUUUUUGUCUUUUUACUACUACCUAAUAAUUAUAUAUGCAUGCCAAAACACUAUGAGUCUAUGACGAUUCAAAAUUCUUCUUCUUUUCUUUUUCCCUCAAACUUUCCAAUAUUCCAAAACCAAAAGCACAAUGGAUCCUCAAGAACAUAAUAUAAAUGCAGAAGAAGCUCAACAACCUCAAGAAUACAAUGUCUAUGCCGUUGGACCUCAACAAAACAACAAUGCAAGGUUAAAUAAGUCCAGAAGCUGUCAUUUAAAUAAUUUUUUUCAAAAUUUUACUACAGUAAGGGAGGAAAUAAUAGAUAAUGGUUCGCGUAGUCCUUACAAACGGAUGAUCUUCGAGUAUAACUAUUGUCAUUGAGAAAUUAUUUAUUCAAAUGCCCAUGGUACAAGGGCUUUUUGUCGACACGUGUCAAAUUUUUUAGCUCGCCAUCAAGGCCAAGACAGAAUUAACCUUGCUCAUUUAUCGUAACCAUAAUUGUGAUUAAUAAACGUUAUUUUGGCUUAAUAAUCAAUAUGUCAUAUUUUCAUAGUUGUGAUUUUUCGUAAUCUGUAUUUCCUAGUUGUAAGUUGUGACUUGUGACUUGUUAUAAUUGAUAUCUCGUAGUUGUAAUUUCUUGUAAUCAUUAUUCUAAGAUUGUAAUUUUAGUUUUUAUUAGUCAUUACUAUGAUGUAUGUAAUUGAAUUUAUGUAUUGUUGCAUUAUAAUUGGUGAAAUUAAAUAUAUAGUUGUGAAAUUGUGAUAAACUUAUAAUGAAAUGUUAAUUGUUCCUUUAAUAAAAAUUGUUGUUGUUGUUGUUGUUGUUGUUAUAAGUGCAUUGACUGAUGGGCUUAAAAAACACGCUAGGCAUGUGGGGUUGAGGAAAAAAAAAGUUGAUGGACAUUUUAUGAGCAUGGAACAACAUUGCCCGUCCACUUGGUGGACCGUGCCAUGCCGACCGUGGGCCUUGGUUUAACCCCAUCGACUAUCUUUAGUUUCAAAUUAAUUAAUUAUUAAUUUAUGAAUUAAUUGGUUCUUGUAGAAAAAUAAAUUUUGUUUUGAAAUUUCAUUAUCUAAUAAAUUUAUCGAAUUUUUAACUUACCAUGUUAGCCUUAGACAGGAUGGAAAAAACUAUUAUUUAAUCAAAAUUAUCAAUUUAUCAAGUACUAAUUUAACGAUAUUCUACUGUAAUAAAUCUUAUAAAUUUAUCAAGUAUAAAAUUACAGAGGUUUUACUAUAGAAGGUUAAAAAUUUUCCUUUACCCCAACCUUUAUCUUUUAAAAAAGAAAUUAAAAAUAAGAAAAUAGGAAAAAAAUGUGAUUUUGAUUUAGACCAAGUAUAUGAUGAUUUUAAGGUUAUUUUUUUCUUAAGUCCUUGCUGUUUAUCGGAAAAACUUAGAAAUUAAAAGUUUUCAAAAUACAUCUGUUAAAUCCUUAUUAUCAAUUCAAAUUUGUUUCAUUCAAGUUUUUGACUGAAUUUUACUAUUAGAAAAAAUAACAUUAUGGCAUUUUAAUCGGAUUUAAUUGAUUUGUUAAAAAAACAAACAUUAUGGCUUUUAAGGGUUGUUUCAGCUGACAAAGAUUACUCUUAGAUAUAUCCUAAAGGAAGCCCAAAUUAAUGUUAGAAAAUCAUUGCUUAAUGCCUUAAUUUAUUACUUGUUUUUCUGUUUUAACAGUUUUUUAUUGCUCAACUCUGCUUCAUAAAAUUAUGUAUAUGCAAUAUUUACAAGGUGCUAUGCUAUUGUAACUCGUCAUUGAACUUCAAUUUUAGAAAAUUUAAUUGUAGAUAAAGGAUCUUGAAAGUGAAUAGAUCGUACAUUGAUGUAAGAAUAUUGUGCUGAAAGUGAAAAAAAAAAAAAACACUCAAAGUGGGGGACUUAUGUGUGCAAUGGAACAAUAAAAAAUGACAAAUAAUGUGAAAGACCCUCAAGUUUCAUGUUGUUAAAUCUAUUGUAAUUAUUGAGCAAACGGGUUAAUUAUAACUUUGGAAAAAAUAAUAAUUAAGAAACUAUGAUAAAAUGAGCUUUAAACCAUUAAUGUGAAGUAUGAAUAAAAAAGAUUUGAAUUUGGAGGAGUUUGAGUGAUAUAUAUUGUUGGAUUCAUCUCAUUUGGGUGGUCCAAAGGCUUCCUUGGUGUGCAAAUAUCACUAAGUUUUGGACUUGGAUGAAAUUAGCUAGAGAAUAAUAAGUAUAAAAGAAAAGCAAGCCUUGGUAAUGAUAUAAAAAAAGGAAGAAAAAGAUGAGAGAAAAAGAGAGAGACAGUGGCGUAAUAUUUGCUUCUAGGGGCAAGUGUUUUAACUCUGUUUUCUCGUAAAUUUGGAGGGUAAGUUCCUAGCAUCAUCCUCUACAGUUCUACUAGUCUUGAUUUUUGUUUUAUCCUCUCCUUGGUUGUUAUUUGAGAUAUCUAUUUGUUUACGAUGUUGUCCUUAUUGAUUUUUGGUCCUCAACAACUGGGCAAUGACAUUGUUGUGUACUUGGCACCGUUGAUUGAAGACUUGCAAACUUUAUAGGAUGUUGGGGUGGAGGCUUACAAUGCUAAUAGAAAGAAAUUCUUUAAUCUAAGGGUUGUUUUGCUAUGGACCAUAAAUGACUUUCCAACAUACGGGAAUUUAGAGGGUUGUACUGUUAAAGGAUAUAAUGCAUGUCCAUAUUGUGGCUUAGAUGCACCUAAAUGUAGACUGAAAGAUGGUGGGAAAAAUGCAAUGGCUAGUAUGAAAGGUGUUGCAGACGUUUUGGAGGUGCUAAUAUGGAUGCUCCAGAGAGUAGUAAUGCGACCAGGGGUGUGAAUAUAGGUGCUACGCAGAACUAAAAGCUGAAAACGAGGAAAGAGAGGAUUGUUGUACAAUAUAAUGUAUUAGGCGUUCCUGCUGGUGAUGAAGCCACUGAGCUAGCUUCCUAUCUUGGAGUAUUAGCUAGUAGUUCAGUUUCGAUUUUAUUUUCUGAUUGGCGUAAAGUUCCAGCAGAGACGAAGGAGCGUUUAUGGGAGUCCAUUCAGGUAAAUGUCCAAAUUCUUUAAUCUAUUGAUCUUUAAUCAAUUGUUCUGGUCUUGGUAAUUAUUAGAAUAUCAUAUAUGGUAUUAGGAUUGCUUCAUCGUUCAUCCUAAAAGUAAGAAGUAGCUGCUGCAAUCAAUUGGGCAUGCAUUUCGUAACUUCAAGUACAUGUUGAUAAAAAAGUACAUUGUGCCAUUCGCACAAGACCGGAAGAGACUAUACAGACCUCCAAUUGAUUAUCCCCAAAUCAAGAAACCUAUUUUGAUAAAGUUUGUCGACAAACGUUUAUCAGAUGCCUUUCAAGUUAGUAUCUUUGACUUAGGCUUUAUGUUUGACUUAGGUUUUCUCACUUGUUAAUAUUUGUUGGAUAUAUACCAAUAAACACCUCGGUAUGUUGAAGUUAUUCAGAAAGUCAGUUGUGCUAAUAAGGAGAAAAGAGCCUCCAACAAGUUAAAUCAUCGACUUAGUCGAAGAGGAUAUGUUGGAUUAAUGCAAGAUAUGGUAAGUACAUGGCUAUCAAUUUAUAUUAGGUUAAUUUGUUUAAAAUAUUAAUUAUUAAGUGGACUUAAAUAAUAUGAUUUGUUUAUCCACCAGUGCUCAGAAACCAGUCUUUUAGAAGACUUAGUAGACAUGAGUGAACUUUGGAAGAGAGCCCGGGGAAUGAAAAUUGGGGUUACAACCUUGAAACUGAGAAGAUUGUUAUGAAAAUGGUGAGGAGCUUCAAUAAAGUUAAAUAUUCUUUAAUUAGUUUAGCGUGAGUAGAUUACAACUAUAUAUUAUUACUAAUUUAUUUUUUAUGGUGAUAGGAAAAGCUCAAAAAAGAGGCUAAGAAAGGCUCCUUGAAGUCAGAUGGAAGAAACAAUAUACUUGCACAAUCAUUGGGAAAGCUUCCUCGAAUUGGCCAUAUGCAAGGUCUUGGUAAAUUUGUAACACCUACCGAGUACUUUCACAUAGUUCAUGGGCAUAAUAAACAUGUUGCAGAGACUGACUUGUAUGCCUGGGAGAAAGAAAUUGAAAGUCAGCUGGAGAAAAUCACCAAACAAUUAAAGAAGACACCUCGCCACUCAAAUGUAGGAAGUCCCACCUAUUCCUAGCAAUGGUGUUGUUGAUUGCUUAGAAGAAAAGGAUAAUGACAAGGUGGAUGUAGUUGAACAGAAGGUUAGUAACUUUUUUUUUCCAGCCUUAGUGCAUAUACUAUAUUAGUAGGUUUAUUUAGUUUAGAUUUUUGCCUUUGUAAUUUUUAGGAGCCCCUAGCUUAGAAAACUCAGAUGGCCAAGAGAGGAAAUCCUCAACUAAAAAAAGGGUAGAAAAGCAAAAAGAAGUUGAUAAAAAGGAUAAGAGUAAACCUAAGAAGAAAAUAGGGACAACAAAAAACAUUACUGUCAUGCCAAGAAAAAGUCCAAGACUUAACACCAACUUGCCAAUGGGUGAUGCAAAUGAGGGGGAAAAACCAAAGCUUGGUAGUGCCAGAAAGCCAUUAUUUCAGGAGAAUGUGCAAUUAGCUAAUGGUCUAUAGCAAGUUCCACCCAUAGCCCAAAAAUAAGGGCUACAAAUCUGAACAAAAACAAAAGGAAGAAAGGUGCAGUGCAGCAUGUGUCGAGAAACACUAGGCACACAGCAGUAAUACCAAAAACAAUCAUCCAAUGCUGCAACUCUUUGGCACAUUAUAUGACAUGUACUUGCCUCCAUUCGGUUGGAUUCAAUAUUUGAUUGAUGAUAAUGUAUUUCAGCUAGAAGGUAUUGUAGCCCAUGUUGGGAAAAUGAAGUGUGAUGCGAUGAUGACGAUGCAAGUGAUAAGAGUUAAUGCUAUUGAAGUAUAUAUUGCGUAAGAGAUUUUUGUUUUUCUUUACACUUGAAUUAAUUUAUAUGAUGUUGCAAUACUUGUCUAAUGACAAGUUUUGGUAUUUUGCAUCCACUAUUUCAAGUUGUUGUAUGACUCGAUUAUCCCAAACAAAAAAGGAACAAGACCAUUUGGAUUCAUCUAUCCAGGUUGUGUCACCCCAUCCUAGACAAAUACCAGACAUUUCCCAUCCCAGCAGAGCAGAAGGUGUGUGCAAGCGCUUGAAAAAAGCUUAUAAAGGACAAUUCUUGUUUGUGCCAUACAAUCCUAGGUCUGGAAAUUUCAAACUGUAAUAAAGUGUUUUAAUAAUUAUUUAUUUAUUUUAUCUUGUCUUUGAUAAGUGUUGCUUGGCUUUCUUUGUAUUUUUUUUUUUCUAUUUUAGCUUCCAUUGGGUUUUGGUUGUGAUUGAUGUGGCAAAAAAAGAAGUGUUUUAUUUAGAUCCUAGGGGGUACGAUGCUCCUUAUCCUGAUUUAGAACAACUGAUUAAAUCGUAUGUAUUCCUUUCCAUCUCAUAAUCCUAAUAUUCUCGCUUUUUUUAAUAUAUUUUUAAUAUUUUAACCAAUGUACUUUAUUCAUACAGUGCUAUGACACUGUUCUCAGCUGAGGAUUGUAAGGAAAGAUGGAAUUAUAACCCUAAUAUGAGAUUUGUGAAGGUAAACAUAUUAUCUUAACUAAAAUUCUGUGUAUCUAUCAUUUUAAGCCUAAAAUAGAAUAUAUUUAUAUUGAUUUUUUUGGUUUAUAACUGUGAAUAGACCCCUCAGCAACUGGGAAGCGUGGAAUGUGGCUAUUAUGUCUUGAGGUUUAUAAAAGACAUUAUAGCAGACCUUAGUUUGCUAAUGAAUGAUGUGAGUCAGUGAUGAAUAAAAUCAUAGGAUUGGUUUAUACCAUACGCACUGCAUUGUUAUGGAAAUUUGACAAUGUUGAUUUUAUGGUUUUCAGUUCCAUUGAAAGGUCAUGUAUACUCAGGCUGAGCUAGAUGAAGUUUGUUUAGAGUGGGUUAACCAUUGUUCUUAAAUCAUUAACGCAACAAAAAAUGGUUAGUAUGAAUCUAAAACUAUACACAAACAUUUUUAUUACUUAUAUAUUAUAAUUGGUUAAAAACUAUAGACAAAGUGGCAAUAACAGCGACCUAGCUAGCUACCUAGGUUUCUUGAACUAGGCUUAAUCUUCUAUUUGAACAACAAACAACUGCUGGCAAAGUUGUUAUCCUGAUAACAACAACAUUAUUUAGAGAUGAGAUUGGUACUUCACUCAAACUCUUGUAGAGGAAUAUUAAGAUAUACUUCCUUAGAAGUUCAAUAUUCCACAAAUACUUGAUACUAAGAUAUUUCUUAAGAGUUCAAUAAUCCUUAAAUACUUGAUAUACUUACCAAUGUAGUAGUCAUCUUUAUUUUGAACUCUUUGAUAUGGAAUCCUCUUACACGCCAAUUUGCUUCUUUUAUUCCUCCAAAAUAUUCUCCAAGAUUCCAUAUAAUCUAAUUUUAAUUAAUUUCGACGACUAAAUACAUCUCUAAUAAAAGGAAACUAAUCCCUAAUAAAAGAAAUAAAUAAAUUAAAAAGUUAUUGACAAGAUGAUGCCAAUAAUAAAAGCCUUAACAAUCUCCCCCUUUGGCAUCCUUGUAGUCAAAACAUAAACUAACCAAUUUUAUAGUCUUCAAAUGGCGUGUGUAUUGGGAAGAUAGAUCACGAGCAAUAACCUACGCAUAGGCAACAAAAGCAUACGAAGAACUAACCAAAGCAAAAAUAAUUAGUCACCGUUAAUUCAAGAUAAAAAUCAUCUAUAAUAAAUAAAUGCAACGUCUAUUGUUCAAUUGAGAAAAUUAACUUUCCCUUUAAGAAAAAUAAUCUCAUAUCAACAAAUGACGAUAGCAAUAAUGCAUAAUAAAAGAAGUAAUAAAGAUCAUAUGCAAAUCAAACAAGCUCCCCUUAGAGAAAGAAUAAAUAAACUCCACAUUUAUUAUCGAAAUUGAAUUCCUUAAACAAAAUAAAAAACCACUCUCCCCCUUUCACGAGGCAAGAAAAAAUAAAAUACGUUAAUCUCCCCCUUUUUUACAAAAGGAACCAAAGCACAAUAAAGAACAUAAACGAAAAUUGAAAUAGCAUAUCCUAAACUAGGUAAAAGCAAAACUAACGAACAAAGGGGCAUAAAGCUAAUGAAUCAAGGGUAUUAAACACACCUAAUGUCAUCAAGAGUUGUGUUCAAUGCAUUCAACGUGACCUAAUAAAUCUAAAGUCAUCUAAUCAUCCAAGUGAUGGAGAGUGGAGUGAAUUGUUUGAAGCUCAAAAUUGAUAGUGGCUGAAUUUAGGAAAGCAUUCUCAAUUGAAGUAUCUUCAUCUUGAUCACAAACAACACCAAGGGACUUCAACAUAGGAUAGGAUGGUUCAAUAUAAAUAGGAAAAGAAGGAAAGACCUCAUUUCUUCAAUCAAAGUAUAAUUCUAAGAAGUCAAAACUUGAUAAAUCAAGGAAGGGAAUGGUAAUGCAUGUCUCUCCCAAAAGGCAUCAGUAUUUUUCAUAAUCAAAUCAAAAGCCAACUUGCUAAAGUUGAAAGAAACCUCACCUCCAAUUAAAAAAAAAACUUUAGCAAAUAAAAGAUCCACUAUAGCAUAAUUUUCAGUAGGAUACCAAUUGUGUGCUCCAAUCUAAUACAAAGCUUGAUAUCUAGAAUCAAGUUUGGAAACCAAAAGGUCUUUAGGCCAAGGUGAAUACCUUCCUAAAAGUCAAGUAACAAUAGUAGACAUGUCCAAGGUAUUCAUGUGCUUCCAGACAUUAUUAUGAUCAAAAUCUUUACUCCCAAAUCGACUAUUGAUUAAAAAUAGGGAAAACUUCAAGAUACGUCCUCUGACAUAAGUUUUAUGGAGAAAACUACGCUUAGUCUCAUCUGCAGUAUUCUUAUUCAAAUUGGCAUAGAAUUCACGAAAUAUGUUAGAUGCAUAUGAAGAGAUAUUCUUAAUGAUGUUUUCUAAACCAGUAACAAUAAUGGAUGAUUCAAUCUCAAAAGGAAUAAACUUAAAAAUAGCAACAAUGCAUUAAGAAUGAAAUUUUCUUUUAAGCAAGAGAUCAAGACCAUCAGUAGGAGAAUGAGUAUAGUACCUUUUACUAUAACCACAUGGUAACACAUAACUAAAGAUUAAGUGGCCGCUAUUUUGAUGAAUUGGAGACUUUGGGACAUGCUCAUCUGAAUUGGCUUCACUAGGACUUCUUCAAUUGAAUCGACAUGGCCAUUACAAGAUCCAACAAAAUUGUUGAGUGAAUUGGUGCAAUCGGCAUAUGUAUCUAUCCUUGUGUAUUGAGCAAUUUCUAUAUAGUUUCUAUCGUAGGCCAUGGGUUGUCAUCCUUCUCUUCUUCAUGAGUAGCAUGCAGCACAUUAAUUGGAUCAAAUCCAUGCACAUUGGAAUCACCUAGAACAUACACUUAACUUGUUGAACAUGUAUCUUUGAUUUCUUUUUCAUGGAACUUGAUCUUUUAGAAACUAUGAUGUACAGCCUGAAAAAGAACUAAAGCAAAGAAGCUCUAGAGAUAUAGGCUGCUGUUUGCGUAAGAGAGAAUGAGAAAAACGAGAUAAAAAAAAGCCCUUAUUCCUAGACCUUAUGUGGCAAGGAAAGUGUAAUUUAGAUAGAAAUCAAUUAUUAUACUUUCCAUAAAUAAUAAUAAUAAAUCAAAUAAGGUCAUAGGGUAUUUAUAAAACAAUAAUAAAUAAGAUAUACCGUAAUAAAAUUAUAAAUAAGAACUAUUUUCAAUGACAAUUGCAAAAACCACAAGUAUAAUGCAAAAACACGUCAGAAGGACGUCAUUGAGGAUCAUGUCAAAUUUUGAAAAACCGCGCAGUUACAGGAAAGUAUGCCCUACCUAAAAAUGGUCAGGUGCUAAUAACUAUGGCCAAUGGGCCGUGCCGUGCCGGCACGACCCACCAACUAUCGGCCCACAAGGGCUCGUGGGCCGGCACGGCACGGCCCACUAAAUUGGUGGGCCGUGCCGUGUCGUGCCUACAUUUUUUUUAAUUGAGCCCGGCACGGCCCACGGCACGAGCCCGCUCGUGCCGUGCUCGUGCCGUGCCGAAAAAAAGCCCACCAAUUUUUUUUUUUUUUUUGCGUGCUUAAAAAAGCCCACGUGCCUAGCGUGCUUUAUUCAAGCCCACGUGCCUGACGUGCUUUUUUAAGGCCACCAACAUAAUAAUAACAAUAAUAAUAAUAAUAAUAAUAUUCACAAUCAUAAUCAUAUUAAUUUUUAUUAAGAGAGCAAUUAACAUUUUAUUAUUAGUUUAUCACAAUUUCACAACUAUAUAUUUUAUUUCACAAUAAUCAAUCAUAAUUCAUAACACAACAAUACAUAAAUUUAAUUUAAUUUAAUUCCAUAGAUCAUAAUAAUAAUUAAUUAAAAUUAAAAAUACAAUCCUCGAAUAAUCAUUACAAUAAGUCAUAACUACGAAAUAUUAAUAUAACAAAUCAUUUAUUUAAACUAAGAUUUAAUGAUUUAAAUUAAUUUUUAAAAGUCUAUGCUAAAAAAUAUAUUAAAACAUUUAAUUUCAUAACAUUUUAUAUUUACUUUUUGUUAAAAAAAUUUACUUAGAUAUAUUUUGGCCCACGUGCUAUUAAUGGCUCACGGGCCGCGUGCUAGCCCACUAAUGAACCGUGCUUAUUACGUGCUUUUUCGCGUGCCGUGCUUUGGCCCAUCUCUAAUCGUGCCGUGCUUUAAAGCCCGCGUGCCUAAAAUUCUAGGCCCGGCACGGCCCACGUGCGUGCCGUGACGUGCCUCGUGCCUCACCAAAACGUGCUCGUGCCGUGCCGUGCCGUACGGACACGUGCCGCCCGGCCCAUUGGCCACCUUUAGGUGCUAAUAACACAAUUACAGAAAGGCCCCUAAACACUCGAGAAACCUCGAAAAGCCCUAAAUCAUGAAAAAACCCUAAAACUAAAAUGCAUGCAUAUAUGUAUCAUGCAAUCGUCCAUGCAAUGAUGAUUAAAAUUCCCUCUUUGAUAAAUGAAACACAUAAUUAAAAACUUUUAGGAUUAGGUUAAAGAGACAAGUUGUUAAACACAAGUUUAAACCCAAUUUUUCAACCAUUGGAUUAAAUUUAAAUGAAUGGUCAAGAUUAGAUGACGUGAGUUAUCAAUUUCAUUAAUAGCUUUCUUCCUUCUCUCUUUAAUUUUUAAUUCUCUUUCUUCUUUUAUUAAAGAUUCUCUCUUUUCUCUCUCCUAUAAAUUUUUGUAAAUGGAAUAAUUAAAACCAUCAAAAUUAAUUUACUUACAUAAUCCAUCAAAAUUAAUUUACUUACCAACAGUGAAAUAAAGUAGCAAUAUAUGGAACAAACUUGUACAAUUUUUGCUCUAUAGUUUCAGAACCAACUCUACAAGUCGUAUAUGAACAACCUUCAUCAAUAAAUUUCCUAAAAGGUUUUAAUCAAAAACCUUCAUCAAUGAUUGUGAUUUUUUUAUUAAAACCUUUUAUAUGGAACAAAUUGUACAAUUUUUGCUCCAUAGUUUCAGAACCAACUCUACAAGUCGUAUAUGCACAACCUUCAUCAAUAAACUUCGUAAAAGGUUUUAAUAAAAAAUCACAACCAUUUCCUAUCAAACAACAUUGUUCUUUUCCAUUAUAUUUUAAAUUAAUUUACUUAUAUAAUUUCUAAAUGGAAUAAAUAAAAGUUUAUACAGACACACAAAGCGAAAUAAAAUUGAUAUGAAGCCAAAAAAAUAACAUUGAUAUGAAUCUGAUCAUUUCAUCAUGAAGCAUACGUAAAUAAAUAAGGAUGCAAUUGAAGAAGAUUGAGAAAAAGGCAAUCUUCGUCAGCACAGCCACUAAUUGAAGAAAGUAAUGUGUGUAGAAGAAGGACAAGUGCUUCUAGGUAAUUAAAAUGGGCUAGUUUACAGUUACAAAUAGAUUAUGUAAGUUAGGUAAUUAAAAUGGGCUAGUUUACAGUUACAAAUAGAUUAUGUAAGUUAGGGAAUUAAAAUGGGCUAGUUUACAGUUACAAAUAGAUUAUGUAAGUUAUAUAAAUUAAUUUUGAUAGCUUUAAUUAUUCCAUUUACAAUCAUUUAUAGGAGAGAGAAAAGAGAAAGUCUUAAAUAAAAGAAGAAAGAGAACUAAACAUUAAAGAGAGGAGAGAGAAAGAUAUUAAUGAAAUUAAUAACUCAUGUAAUCUAAUCCUGACCCUUCAUUUCAAUCUAAUCCAUUGGUUGAAAAAUUGUGUUAAACUUGUGCCUACAAAUGUGUCUCUUGAAUCUACCCCAAAAAUUUUAUGCUAUAAGACAUCUUAAAACAAAAAUGCACUUUUGUAAAAUAAAUAUAUGAUUUUUGAACAAUUAAAAAGGCGUGUUCAUCAAUAAUCAUCACAAUACACACAAAAUCAAGAUAAUCAAACUUUAAUCAAUUAAAUCAAUAGAAGAUUAGUUAAAUUUUAAACUUUUGUAUGUGUGUGCAUGAUAUAAAUCCGUCAUGACUCAAUCUCGAUUUUUCUCAAAAUCAAAAAUUUUUGUAUUGAAAAAUAGAAUAAACAAGUCAAACUAACCUUAUCAUCUUAAUCUUUGAAUUGACUUUUUCAAUGUAACAGGCAGUGUAAUAAGAGAUUGCAAUAAUAAAAUUUUUCAUUCUACUGUAUAUAUUAUUUUUUUAAAUGUUUACAGUUAAUAACUUUCAUCUUACCUCUUAAGGUAGCCUUUUUCUGAUGGUAGUUCGUUCUUUGUCGUAUUUCGAGUACGCAGACUCAAAUUACUCAAUGAUAGCUUCACUCUUAAAAGUUACAGGUAGCUAUUUCUAAUUGAGGUGCCUACAUAUCUUGAUAUCUACAGUUGAGAUAAGAGUUAAAAGCAAAAAGUCAAUGUUCAAUCCAUUAAUCUCAACAUCAGAAGUCUCAAAAUUGAAAAUCAAGUACUUCCAAGAUAUAUGUGCAUAAGUUUAAAUUAAACCAAUCAAAAAUUGUUUCAAGCUUUCAAGUCAUCAAAACAAGACUUUUAUGCGCAUAGUGAUUUAAAUUGAGAACAUGUCAUGCAAAAACACAUGCGAAUGAUGUAUUAAUCAUGUCAUGAGAUGCAAAAAAAUAAUGAUACAUAUAUAAAAUGUUAGAACAUGGCUACAUAGAACAAAUACCUAAAACUUUUCUUAAGGAAUCAAGUCUACAUGCAUCCAAAGCUUUAAUAAAGAUAUCCGCAAGCUAAUUUUUUGUUUUAAUCUACUCCUGAAAUAUAGUCUUGUUUUCAACUAAAUCACGAACAAAAUGAUGUAUGAUAUUUAUAUGCUUAGUUCUAGAAUGUUGAACAUGAUUCUUUGAAAUAUUGAUUGCACUUGUAUUAUCAUAAUAUACAGUAAGAAUAUCCUGAGCGAAACCAUAAUCUUCGAGCAUUUGCUUCAACCAAAGUAAUUGAGUACAACACUACCAAUGGCAAUAUAUUCUGCCUUAGCAGUAAAUAAAGAAAUUGAGUGUUGUUUCUUAGAGCAUCACCAAAAGACUCUUCAAAUAAGAUUUUAUUACUUAUUUGAAGAGCCACAUCAGCAUUUAAGGCUCUAAAAGACACUCCAAUUAAGAUUCUUCAAAUAAGAAAUAAUCAUCUCUCUUCAAAUUUGAAGAGUUAUUUUCUCUCUCUUCAAUUUAUAUUUUAUUACUUUUUGUUGGAGAAAGAGAGAGAAGUGCUUUAAUUACUAUUGACUUUUCCUUUAAAAAAUAGUUAUUUUAAUUAAAAUAAUAUUAACUCAUUUCUAUUUGAAGAGUCUUUUGGAGAAUAACAUAAUUUUUCACUCUUCUAUUUGCCACAUAGGUAAGCAAAUAGAUAUUUGAAGAGUAAAAUUUAUAGAACCUUUUGGAGAUACUCUUACUAUGCCAAGAUACAAAAUGGUUACCAAGAUAAAAACAACCUCCAAUGGUACUCUUUCUAUCAUCAGAAUUACCUACAUAAUCAGCAUCGCUAUAUCUUGCAAGACUUGAAUUUGUGUCUUUAGUACACCAAAUUCCAUCAUUAAUAGUUUCAUUUACAAAAUGAAUGACAUGUUUCGAUGCAGAUAAAUGAGAUACUUUUAGAUUUGCUUGGUACGUAGCAGAAACACCAACACUAAAACAAAUAUCUGCCCUACAUCUAGUUAAAUAAAGUAAGCUACCAAUCAUGCUUAUGUAUAGACUUGUAUCAACAUUAGAGUCACUAUCAUCUUUAGUUAAUCUUAAAAGUGCUCAUAGGCAUUCUCAUAUAUUUGGCUAAAUCUAGUUCAAAGUUUUUCGCCAAAUUUUUGGCAUAUUUUCUUUGAGAAAUGAAGAUACCAUUUUCAAGUUGUUUCCCUUGUAAGCUGAAAAAAUAGGAUAACAUACUAACCAUGCUCAUUUCAAAUUCAUUAUUCUUUGGAUCAAAAUAUUCCUAAACUUCUGUAAGAGAUAUAUCAUCCAUAUAAAUUUGAGCAAUCAUACUUCUAGGGUUAAGGUAUUUAAUAAAUAAAGUUUUGUCUACUCCCUUUCUUUUGUAGCCUUUUCCAAUCAAGAAUUUGUUUAAUCUUUCAUACCAAGCCUUAGGAGCUUGUUUUAAUCCAUAUAAAACUUUUUUUUAACUUAAAAACAUAAUCAGAAUGAUGUGGGUCUUCAAAACCUUUAAGUUGUUUAACUUAAGCUUCUUCAUUCAAAAUUCCAUUCAAGAAUGAUUUUCUUAAUUUCCAUUUGAAACAAUUUAAAGCUAAUUAAACAAGAUAAUAGCAAUUAAUAGCCUAAUAGAUUCUAGUCUAGCCAUAGGAGUAAAGGUUUCAUCAAAAUCAACACCUUCAAUUUUUGUAUAAUUUGGUACUACUAACCUAGCUUCAUUUCUCACUAUAUUACCAAUUUCAUUUGUUUUAUUCUCGUAAAUCCAUUUGGUGCCAAUAACAUUGGUCUGAUUUGUUUAGGAAUUAGUGUCCAAACAUCAUUACACUCAUAUUGUUCAAGUUCUUCUUGUAUAGCUUUAACCCAAAAUUCAUCCAAUGAGGUUCCUUAGCAUUUUUUGGUUAUUUAAUGAGGUAAAAAAAUUCUUGUUAUUUCCAGAAUUUCCUCGAGUCAAAUUUUAAACCAUCUUGGCAAUCUUAGCCAGGGAUUCGUCUUAACUUCAUUUUCAACGUCAUCAGCAUCAUUAUCAUAAUCAAAUUUUGAAUUUGGUAUCUCAGCUUGAAAAGCAAUACUUUUGUCUUUCUUCUUCUUCAAAUGAUUAGUCUUAAAAGUUUCAAGUUUGUUAAUCACUUGAUUUCUUAUCUGCCAAUAUUUCUUCAAUAGAUAUAACUUCCAUAAGAAAUCUAUCCGGCAAAAACCUCAAAAUUUUUCUAAUUAAUUCUUAUUCAGAAAUUCAUUUACUAAGAGACUUAGAAGUGUUAGCAAUCUUAAGAAGUUUAUCAUUAAAAUCGGUAAUCUUCAUGUUCAUGCAUCUUAAGAUUCUCAAAUUCAAUUGUAAGUUUUUAAAGUUUGGAAUGUUUUACCGUAUUGUUUCCUUCAUGAUUGUCUCAAAGAAUGUCCUAAGCGUCUUUGGCAGUCGUACAUGUAGAGAGUAAAUCAUACUAAUUGAUGUUAACUGCAUUAGCAAUAACAUUGAGAGACUUGGAAUUAAAGCCGUAUUUUGAAUUUUUGCGUUGGAAUAUUCAUCCACAGGCUUAAGAAUUCUAUUUCCAUCUUGAUUAGCCUUAGUGGGUAAAUUGUAUCCUUUUCUUACGCAUUUCAUAGCUCUUAUGUUAAUGGAUUCAAUAAAAAUAGUCAUCCUUUGCUUUCAAUAUGAAUAAUUGGUGCCAUCAAGUAAUAGUGGACAGGUCCGUAGAUCCUCUUUCUCUCUGCAAAUUCAUUCCGACAAAAAUAGAUCAAGAUCGGGAGGAUUGUGUAAAUCAGUUUAGAAUUUCGUGAUUAAAAUCUUGUGUUUUAUUUUGAAGUUUUGUUUUUGUGGUGAAUUUUUACUGGUAGUAAGUCCCGUCCAAGGAUAAGUUUUCCGUUUAGGGCUGUAAAACCAUACCUGUAGCCAUUUUGACCAAACCAAAGAUAGAACCCAGGAUUCUAACCAUGGAUCCUCUUCACUGUAGAGCAUCGUCCUUUUCUAGCUCUUCUUCUGGGAAGACUAGUGACUCAAAGCAUGUUGUGAGUUCAGAAGAAUUUGUUAUUGAGAACUUUGAUAAAGCAAUUGAUUGUUGGGAACUUCCAAAGAUUUCAAAAGAAAAGAUUUACAGAACAAAAAAGCUCGAUUUUUGGAAAAAUGAUUAUGUUAUAAAAACUGAAGAGCGUGAUAUAACUCUUUCAAAGCCUUUUGAAACAAUUAAUUUGUUUUCAGAAAAAUCUUUAAACAAGUUAAAAGAAAAGAAUUUCAAUUACAUUCAUAUAGGUCUAAUCCAAAUAGGCAUAAAGCCCCUUACCAAAGAAGGCCUGGAUACUUCUAUCCUUGUUGUUCUUAGAGAUGGUCGAUUCAUCUCUUUUGAUGAUUCUCUGCUAAGUAGCAUUGAAUCUAGCCUAUGCAAAGGUCCCAUUUCAUUCGAUUGCUAUCCAAACAUAACAUUGUCUCUUAAAGACAAAAACAUUUUGAAAAGCAUGAUUUUACAAAUCAAAACACAUAAUUAUCAUAUGAUUGAGGGAUCUAUCCCUGUUGCAUUGAUUUUUAAAAUCUCAUACAAAGCCAUGAUUACUGCCUUCAGUACUCAACAUAAAUUCCAGUCGAAAAGAGAUGAAACUCUUCUCUUACAGACUGACCUGUCUAGAGCAAACACUGUCAUUCCAAAACCAAUCCAAUGGAAGGAUGUAAAUCUUCCUGAGGAAUGGAUACUUGAAGGAGCCGCUCCACCAGCGAUUCCAAAACAACUUGAGCCUAAUACAGAGUUGCAAAAUGUGACUCAGUAUUCUGAUGGUAAAGUUAAAUUAUCAUUCAGGAGAUCAAGUUCUUCCAGAUUCUCCGAUAAAGCAUCAUGCUCAAGCAUUCCUUCACUAGAAAGGAAAUUUACAAAAGUACCCUCUGUUAUAAAUCUUCCUUUUCAGAGUCAACCUAGGUUCUCCACUUCGGAUUUACCUAGUUCUUCUAUCAGUUCUGUUGACUACACUACAAAAAUACCACAUCCCGUUUACAUUAGCAGUCAACAUGAACAAAGACAGGAAGAGAAAGAAUCUUCUCUUCCAACUUCUCCUACAUUCUCUGCAGUCACAGAAAAUGUUUUAAAUGUCAUUGAAAAGCAUUUUGAAUUAGACAAAACCAUGUUGCAUAAUGAUUUUUAUUCAGAUGAUAAUAAAGAAAAAAGACUAUGGUUUUUCAAACAUUUUUUAAAUCAAAGGAAGGAAAUCCAACAAACUUACUAUGAAUUUGUUAAUUUUCAUCAAGUUCAUAUAUUGUUUUUUGAUUGGUUUGAUAUAUAUUCUUCUUAAAACAACAUUUCCUACCCUUUCAAAGAGUCAAACCCUAUUACUACCAGGAAGAAAACCACUGAGUGGAAACUCUUCGAUAGUAAUAGAACAGUCGAUUCUGAGCAUCCCCCUCUUAGGAGUGUCAUCAUAGAACAUGGUGAACCUCCUGUAGAAAUUAGAGCUUCACCUUACAAAAUCCCAAAGCCAAAUGAUCCUGAAAUCAAUUUAAGUAGUAUUAUUCAACAGAAUAAUUUCUGUAAUACUAACUUAAAUACCAUAGGAAAACAGUUGACUAGAUUGGAAAACCAAUUUCAACAGUCAACCAUAUCUGUUUCUCCAAAUCCAAAAAUUGUUUCUUUAAAAUCAGAUUAUGAUAAAAAGCUUAGAGAACCUAUUUUCAAACCUUUUCAGGUUUCGAAAACUAGUCAGAAGCUUGUCCAGGAAUCAAAGUCUGAUUUUGCCAAAGCCAUUAGAGAACAGCUAGAUAGGAUAGAAGCUUCUUCUUCCUCAUCUAGUAAAGUUCAAAUAGCUCCCGAUACUCCUCAAUCUAGCAAGAUUGAUACUCCUCAGUUGAGUAGAAUUGGAGUACUCGACCAAGACCAGGUUUCUAUUGCCUCUUCUGACUUAGAAACCUUUACUGAAGAACCUAUUCCUAAGGCCAACAAAAUUCAUUGGGAAUUAGCACUCCCUACUUCUAAAUCUCCACCUGAUUUGACCAUAGACAACAGGCCCAGUGCAUUAAAUCAAGCUCGAUAUAAUGCAUCCUCUGUCUAUGAGUGGAAUAUAGAUGGAAUGUCUGAAUACAACAUUUUAGGUGUAUUACAGCAAAUGACCAUGGCAGCCAAUGCUUAUAAAACCCAAUCAGGAACUUCUGACAAAGCCAUUGCAGAAAUCCUAAUUGCCGGUUUUACUGGUCAACUUAAAGGAUGGUGGGAUCAUCUUCUCACCAAAUUGCAGCAAUUAGACAUUCUAAAUGCCAUCCAAACCGAUGAGAAUGGAGCCCCCAUUCUUGAUGAGCUCAAUAAUCCAAUUCAGGAUGCUGUUGCUACCCUGAUAUUGACUAUUUCUCUCCACUUCAUAGGUGACCCUUCUCACCUUAGAGAUAAAAAUGCUGAGUUACUACACAACUUGAGGUGUAGGAAACUUAGUGAUUUCAAUGACUACAAAACCACUUUCUUUACCAGACUUUUCCUAAGAGAUGAUGCAAAUCAUGUAACUUGGAAGGAAAAAUUCCUUGCAGGAUUACCUACCCUUUUAGGAGAAAAGGUAAGGAAUUCGAUCAAAGCCCUUUUUAAUAAUCGUAUUCCUUAUGACGAACUCACUUAUGGUGAAUUAGUCAGCUUUGUCAACAAAGAAGGUUUAAAGAUCUGUCAAGACUUGAAACUUCAGAAACGUCUAAAACAAGAGCUUAGCCAAUCUAAGCAAGAAUUAGGCGGGUUCUGCAAGCAAUUCAACUAUGACCCCUUUAAAGCUUCCACUUCCAGAGACUGUAAUGGUAAGUGUUCUUCAAAACCUUACAAGAAACAUUACAAGUCCAAAAGCCAUAGAAAACCCUUUCAUGAUUUUAGAAAACUCCCUUAUAAGAAACCUUUGAGGCCUUAUAAGAAACAUAGUUUCUCUAAAAAGAAAGAGUUUAAAGCCAAACCUAAAACCCCAUUUAAUUUCAAAGAUGCUACCUGUUUCAAAUGUGGUAUGAAAGGUCAUACUGCACGUUUUUGUAAAAUGAACAGGAGACUCUAAGAGCUUGGUCUCGAGGAGGAAAUCCUUUCAAAAAUAGCCCCUCUUCUGGUCGGAUCUUCUGAUUCUGAGUCUUCCUGGUCAGGUGAUAAUGACCCCCUCCAAGUUGAUGAACUAUUUGAUUCAGAUAGCUCUGCAUCUAGCAAUAGUGAUUCUGAUUCGGAUAAUUCUUAUUUAAAGAAAAUCAAUGUUUUGACAAAAGACCAAGAGAUUAUCCUUGAACUUGUGAAACACAUUUCGGAUCCAAAUCUUCAAAAGGAUUAUCUUGAUAAGCUUUUAAAAACCAUGGAUUCAAGCAAUACAGAAGCGUCUUCUUCUAAAGUCCCUAUUGUCAAAAAGAAUUCUUAUGAUUUAAUUGAAAUUUUGGAUAAGAAGAAAACAAAGAAGUCUACUCCUAAUAUCCAAGACCUCCAAAAGGAGAUUAAGGAUAUUAAACUUGAAAUAAAGGAUUUAAAAGAAAAACAAAAAACUGAUUCUGCAACUAUUCAACUCCUUUUACAAAAACAGUUGCAAGAUACUUCCGAUGAGGAAGUUGAAUCAGAAAAUGAUGAUGUUGAACAAAAAAUUGAUAAUCUUGAGUCAAUUCCAAAUGAUUUUUUGUUUGUUUUAAAGCAAAUCACCACCAGAAAAUAUUUGAUAAAGAUUACUUUAAUUUUUUCAGAUGAUUUUGCGAUAGAUGCCAUUGCUCUUUUUGAUACUGGUGCUGAUUUAAAUUGUAUUCGUAAAGACAUUAUCCCAAAAAGAUUUCAUGAGAAAACUAAUGAAAGACUUUCUGCUGCAAACAAUUCAAAAUUAAGGGUUGAUUCCAAAGUUGAAGCAUCCAUUUACAAUGACAAAAUUGAGUUUAAAACCUCUUUUGUUCUUACAAAUGAUAUACACCAUGCUAUCAUUUUAGGAACACCUUUUAUAAAUUUGAUAACUCCAUAUGCUGUCAACUAUGAUGGUAUAUAUUUCAAAGCAAAAUCCAAAGAACUUGCUUUUUCAUUUAUUGAAAAACCAAAGACCCGAAACCUUAAUAUUGUCAAAGCUUGUUCGGUUUACCAAAACAAAAUCAAUGCUAUUGUAAAGUCUAAACAAGAUGAUUUUUUUUACUUACAAAAGGAUUUAAGUUUUCAAAGAAUUGAGAGUCAAUUACAAAAUGAUAUUAUACAAAGAAAAAUUUCUGAUUUCAAAAAUCUUAUUGAAAAAGAAAUUUGUGCUGAUUUACCAUCUGCUUUUUGGAAUAGGAAACAACAUUUGGUAGAUUUGCCAUAUGAAAAUUCUUUUGAUGAAAAGCAAAUACCCACUAAAGCCCGUCCAAUCCAAAUGAAUUCGGAUUUGGAACAACAUUGUAAAGGAGAAAUUAAUGAUCUUAUUUCCAAAGGUCUUAUUGUAAAAUCUAGGUCACCUUGGUCUUGUGCUGCUUUUUAUGUUAAUAAAAAUUCUGAAAUUGAAAGAGGUGUACCUAGACUUGUGAUAAAUUAUAAACCUUUAAAUAAAGCUUUGAAAUGGAUAAGGUAUCCGAUACCUAACAAAAAAGACUUGCUCCAAAAACUUUGCUCGGCCUUCAUUUUUUCUAAAUUUGAUAUGAAGUCAGGUUUUUGGCAAAUUCAAAUUCAUCCUAAAGACCGUUACAAGACAGCAUUUACUGUUCCUUUUGGUCAAUAUGAGUGGACAGUAAUGCCUUUUGGUUUAAAAAAUGCACCCUCAGAAUUUCAAAGAAUUAUGAAUGACAUUUACAAUCCCUACUCUGAGUUUUGCAUUGUUUAUAUCGAUGAUGUUUUGAUUUUUUCUCAAAGCAUUGAUCAACAUUUCAAACAUUUAAAGACUUUUUAUCUUGCUACAAAAAAGGCUGGAUUAGCUCUUUCCAGUUCGAAAAUUUCAUUAUUUCAAACAAAAGUCAGGUUUCUUGGUCAUCAUAUUUCCAAAGGAACCAUUACUCCUAUUGAAAGAUCUCUUUUAUUUGCGGACAAAUUCCCAGACAAAAUUUUAGAUAAGACCCAAUUACAAAGAUUUCUUGGUAGUUUAAAUUAUGUUCUUGAUUUCUGCCCUAACAUCAAUAGGAUGUCAAAGCCUUUGCAUGAUAGGUUAAAAAAGAAUCCUGUUGCAUGGUCAAAAGAGCAUACCAAAGUUGUUAGAUUAAUAAAGCAGUCAGUUAAAAGCAUUCCAUGUUUGCAUCUUGCAAAUCCUGCAUUUCCUAAAAUUGUUGAAACUGAUGCAUCAGACUUAGGAUAUGGAGGUAUUUUAAAGCAAAAAGAAAAUGAUAAAGAACAGAUAGUACAAUAUGUUUCUGCUCAUUGGAACGAUUGUCAGAAAAACUAUUCUACUAUCAAAAAAGAAAUUCUUUCCAUUGUUUUAUGCAUUACUAAAUUCCAAAGUGAUUUGCUAAACCAAAAAUUUUUACUUAGAAUUGAUUGCAAAGCUGCAAAACAUGUUUUAGAAAAGGAUGUUCAAAACAUUGCAUCAAAACAGAUUUUUGCACGUUGGCAAGCUAUUCUCAGUGUUUUUGAUUUUGAUAUAGAAUUCAUUAAAGGUGACAAGAAUUCUGUUCCUGAUUUUUUAACUCGGGAAUUUCUUCAAAAUAGGUAAUGGCUCCAAAGAAAAGAAGUGACAAAGGAAAAGCUCCUGCUUUCCAAGAACCAUCCAAAGAACUUCAAGCAACCCCUUCUAAAGAAAAACUCCUUUCCUCAGCCAUGCCGAUUAAAUCUUGGAUUGAAUUGGUUGAAGAACAUGAAACCAAAUACAAAUCCAUUUCUUCUGAAGACCAAGUAAAGCAAUGGAUGAGUUCCAUUACAAAAUCACCUGAGCUCAUGAUAGCUCUACAAAGCCUUUCCCAGGUCCAACCUAAAGAGGAAGAAAAACCCACUUCUAAAGAUAUCUCAAAGCCUUCCUCUCAAAACAUUGUUGUUUCUGGUGAGAGCUCAUCCUCCCAAAUUGUGCUCUCUCAGCCAACACCUUCAAAGAAAACCUCUGAUUGGUUUGAUAAAGCCCAUUUUCAAAACAUUAUUUCAAUGGAAGAUGGAUUUUACCAUUCUGAUCCUUUUCAAAGUAUUUCAAAGUUUUUUCCCCAAGGCUGGUUUUUCAAACCAUGGGAUUUGACAAAACCCCAGUCUUACUAUCAAAGCAUUUUGGAAAUUACUGAUUCAGUAAAAUUCAAACAUUUCUUUUUAAGUAAAACCCAUUCUGAGCCGGCCUAUUCUACGGCCACAAUUUUAAAAGUUUUGAGCCCUAACCAGUGGGGUGAUCUGCUCCACAAUUUUAAAACUUUCCCUCUUGAUUUUGAGACUCGUUUACCACACUGUCGGUCUUUCUCCUAUUGGGAUUACCAACAGGCUUGGUAUAACACUUUCUUCAUACAAAACCCUAAAAAAUCCCAUUCCUGGUUAUUUUUCUUUAAUUCAAAAAUAACCGUCCAGAGCCUUCCCAAUUGGUUUCACCAUUGGUGGAAUUAUUUUGGUCCAACUUCUGAAAUUCUUACCCAAAAUGCCCUACAAUGCCUAAACCUUUUCAAAGCCAACUACAAACCUACUGAGUCUGAGAAAAGAUUUCCUCAUUUUCUCUGCUUUUGUACCAAUUUCUUCCUCCCAUAGGUCUGGAUGUGGAGUCUUCGACAUCACACACAGGAUUCCCAUUUUAUCCUCCAAAGAACCUUUAGAGUCAAAUGGUGGUCAAAAUUUGACGAGCAAACCAAAUUAACUACCAACCUUGUCCAAAACUGGCUUUAUGCUCAAGGCCACCUACAACCAGCCAUAAAAGACAUUAAAGCCCAAGGCACUUUCCUCACUCAAAAAUCCAAAGCCCAAGCUCUCCUCGCAAGUGCCAAAACAGAAGAAGAAUACUUCAAAGCAAUGGAACAGCUCCUCGCUUCUAGAUCCAAAUCCUCGAUUGCAGAUUCUACUGAAGAUGAAGACGAUGAUGAUGAGCCAACUGUCUCUCUGGGAGAUGAAAAUGAAGAUGAUUGUUUCGGAAUUUUCUCUCCAAUAAAGCAUUGUAAAUAGUUUAUGUAACUAUUUAAAAAAAAAAAAGUAAUUAUUUUCUUUUCGGGUGGUCCUCUGGACACAAGUGAGAGCGCACAUGUCUCUUCACCCGUGUUAUAUUUUAUUCUGUAUUUCAGUAUUUGUACAAAGCAGUCUACUAUUCAAAGCUACGAUCCAAAGAUUACUGUGCACUCAAAGCCCCGCUACAGUGAACAGUGCAAAGUUCCACGAAUUACUGUGCACUCAAAGCUCCGCUACAGUGAACAGUUUACAAAGCCUUGUAUAUAAUCCAAGAGGAAGACUUAGACUCCUCACGGGUUUUUAUUUUGAGUUUUCAUUUCUCUCUCUUCUCCUCCUUCUCUCUAAAAAAUCUCUCUAAAGCAAGAAGUGUUCGAAGAAAUUUUCUGUUUACGUAAUAGUUCUAUCCUAGAGCUUUGAGUAAUCAGACUAAUUCUUUGCCUUCAACAAUCUUCCCGUCUUUCAAUCUUCCCUUCUGGAAAGAUUUGAAAAAAUUGUAAAGCAGCAACAAAAGCAAAGUGUAUGUUUAGAUCUCUGAUCUAAUUUUAUUUGUAAAGCAAUUUCAAUUCAUGUAAUUUAAUUUUUGUGCAUUUAAAUUUCUGCAAUUUAAUUUUAAAGCAAUUUCUUUUAAGCAUGCUUGCAGACUGAUCUGUAUCAGAUCUGCUUUAUAAAAUAUACAUUCUUCUGAGGCAAAGAGACCAGAUCUCGAUCCUCAGUCGUACCCUUCUCUUCUCCCUCCAUUCCUUCAGAGCACCAUUUCCGGGAACCGGAUCUGGUACUGUGUAUGUUUUAGAAGCCAACCUUAAUGCAUGUUUAAUUCUGUAAAGCCCUGUUGCUAGGUUUGCUAAAAUCAACCUAACUCAGAUCUGGUAAAGACACUUCUAAAAUUGACAAAUCGCGUUUCAAAGCAAAGUAGAUCUCCAGAUCUACCAAAGAAUCUAAUUAAAAUUUGGUAAAGCACCCUAAUCCGGUAUAUCGGCUGGAAACCAGAACGUGCGGACUAUUGAUCUGUUCUAAGUCAGAUCUGGGUCCAAAGGCAGAUUAGGUUCUGCAUCGAUCCGGUAAUACAAUGCCACGUACCAGUUUAGAUCUAAAAUUUUGAUCAAUCGCGUUCCAAAGCAAAUUGAUUUAACAUAGAAACGGUAAGUUCUUCUAAAAUCUGACGAAGCCGAUUCCAUUAAUUGUUUAAUUUGAGUUUUUAAUAAUAAAGUAUUUUGAAAACACAUCCAUCCUUCGAUCCUAUUUCCUUCUGGCUUAAGAAUUCUAUUUCCAUCUUGAUUAGCCUUAGUGGGUAAAUUGUAUCCUUUUCUUACGCAUUUCAUAGCUCUUAUGUUAAUGGAUUCAAUAAAAAUAGUCAUCCUUUGCUUUCAAUAUGAAUAAUUGGUGCCAUCAAGUAAUAGUGGACAGGUCCGUAGAUCCUCUUUCUCUCUGCAAAUUCAUUCCGACAAAAAUAGAUCAAGAUCCCAAAAUCUCACCGAAUAAACCAUUAGUGACACUAUUCUAAUACUAAUUGUUAAAAAUUUAGAUAUAUUUUUAACAAUUGUAGGCAAGAUAAGCAAUAGAUAAACUAAUUUCUUCAAUUAAUUACUGUUUACGAUUAUUUUUACGUGAUUUAGAUCACUAUCCUAUAUUCAUGUGAAGAUUAGAACCUAUUGGAUUCUUACACAAUUUCAGACACCCUUUUAUGCUUGUCGCCACCUCUUUGUAUCUAAUUUAGUUGACCUUGCUUAGUGAGAACCCCUCGUUUUCAAUUGCACUUGCUGCUUUCCUUGAGAUCCCCUCAACACAACAAAUGACCUCUUUGUCUAGAAGAGGUCAAAGUAAAUAUAAAAAAUGUCUAAUGAAAGACUUGAUAUGAUGAAGACUAAAACAUCAUAGAGAUAUGAAACAUCAUAUGCAGCCAAAUAGGUUCCUUCUCAUUCUCUGUAUUGGCUUCAAUAUGUGAAAUACUUCUCUUUAUAUAGGAGUAAUAUUUCACUCAAACCCUAGCAGAGAAAUAUUAAAAUAUACUUCCUUAAUGCUCCAAUAUUCCAUAAAUACUUUAUACUAUAAUACAUUUCGUUAAGAGUCCAAUAUUUCAUAAAUACUUGAUAUAUUUAAAAAUAUAGUAGUCAUCUUUAUUUUUGGAGCUCUUUGAUAUGGGAUCUCUUACACACCAAUUUGCUUUUUCUAUGCGUCGAAAUAUAUUCUCCAAUAUUCCACAUAAUCUAAUUUUAAUUAAUUUCCAAGAGUAGAUAAAUUUCUAAUUAAAGGAAACAAAUCUUAAUAAAAGAAAUAAAUAAAUAAAAAUAUUAUUGACACAAUGAUGCCAAUAAUAAAAUCCUUAACAAAAAAUACAUACAUAAAUGUAAUAAAUAAACAAAUAAGAAACUGUAGAAAGACUUACAAUGGGAAGCCGGCAAUUUGAAUCUUUGUGGUAAUGAUUUGUUGGGCCAUGCAGUUUGGCCUUGGCCAUGGAAUGUUCCACCGUCGGUGAGAGUUAAGCAUCUAAGGGAUUCAAAGGUGAUCUGGAUUUCCUUAUUGGCUAGCUUUUAAAGAUCAGGGGGAGCCACGAUGAGGCCUUGAAGUUGAAAUGAAAUUGGAGCUUUGCAUUGACCUUUAAAUACAACAUAAAUCACUAAAUAUUUUCCUGGUGGCGCCAAUAUCGUGCUAUUGGUAUUCCAAUUGCAAGCUUCUCUCUAAGCAUUUUCAAAAGCCUUAAUUGUUAUUAUUAGUGCCAUCGGCCACAACACCAAAGUCAAUUACAUUGAAAACUCCAUUUGGGAGCUGCAGCCAAACCAAAUAAAACUAGUAUUGCAAGUACUAGCAGCUGACGGCAAGAGCCAUAACCCAUCUUGUUUUUUAUGAUGGAUUAAGUGAUAAUGUUCUUGUUGAAAAAAUAGCAUAUCAAUAUGCUAUUUUCAGUGGGUCCUACUUAGCGAAAGUGAAAAAUCUUGUGAAGUUCGGGUUCUACUCCAUGAAUACUUCGAAAGUGUAUAUUUAUUUACUCAAAAUGGUGCUUGGGUGAAUGAGAAAUUGUCUCUCCAAGUGCACCCUUGAAGUUGAAAAUUUGAAAGGAAAUGAGGUUUAUCCCACAAGGGAAAAAUAAGCCAAGGGAUUUUUGUUUAUUUAUAGACACUUACCCAUGCAUGAGCAAGAAUUAUAAGGAUAGAGGCUCUCUCCACACGCGCGUGUGCAGGGGGGUGCGAAUCCAAGAUCGAUUUGGUUGAACUCAUGUGCGCCCGCGCAUCCUGCGUACACGAAUGUCAGCCCAAAAUCACCCAAGCUUGCAUGGCACGUUUUCAAUAGGCUGUAUUGAAUUGUUAAAAUUGAAUUGGCUGUUACAACAAUUAAAUGGCAUAUAUUGAAUUCGGAAAUUCAAUAUUAUGCUACUGUUACAUCCUCACAUGUGUAUAAAAAGGCAGCUUCCUCUUCUGUUUUUACACACAAGAACAACCAACACACAAAGCACUACAAUAGGUGGUAAAUCUAUUUUAAGGAAACUGUGUUGCAGGCCUCACGUUUAUUUUCUGUUUCUAUUUUCUUUCCCCUACUUUUUUCAUUUGUUCAUUCGUGAUUUCCAGUUCCUGUUUUACGUUGUUGUUUAAAUUAGCUACAGUAUUAAAGUGUUAUCUCACUGUUAAUUUUCUUACAAUCUUAAAACAGAUUUAACGUUGAGAUGGCAACUGAAACUAAUGAUCCAGUUCCGACUGUCCCUGUUUCAGCUUCUGCUGCUGGACCAUCUGUUAUGAAGGAACCAGCCUCUGUGGCAAUUCCUCUGAAUCAUGCAAAAAGACUAGAAAAAUUCAAUGGCCAAAAUUUCAAACGUUGGCAGCAAAAGAUGUUCUUUUACCUGACCACGUUGAACCUUGCGAGGUUCUUGACGGAGGAUGCUCCUAAACCCAAAGAGGGUGAAACGAAUGUUCAAGUUGCAAGUGCAAUUGAUGCAUGGCAUCAUUCUGAUUUUUUAUGUAAAAAUUAUGUAAUGAAUGGCCUUAGUGAUUCCUUCUAUAAUGUAUACAUAGGAAAAAUAAUAGCCAAGGAGCUAUGGGAAUCCUUAGACCGUAAAUAUAAAACUGAGGAUGCGGGUACAAUGAAAUGCAAGUAACGCAACCCAAGAGGGGGGGUGAAUUGGGUUUUUAAAAAUAAUGCAAUACGAUUCGCACAAUAAAUCAAUUUAACGCCUUAAUGAAAUAGAGAACAAUAAAUUCAAACAAGCGUAAAAAUAAAAGAGCAAGGGAAGAGAAAAACAAACACGCGGAUUUUUACUUGGUUCGGCAAUCCUCGCCUACGUCCACGCCUCCAAGCCAACCAAGCUUGAGAAUUUCACUAUCCAAGCCUCCCAAGGCUUCAAGUUUUUACAAUUGACUUUCAAGGUGUCAAUGAACCUUUACAACCAAGAGAUUAUCUCCCCAAUCUCUUCACCUCAAGUGUUUCCCACACUUACACACUCACAAUUUGAUAAGAAAUGAAAAUUACAACAAAAACUCUCUUUAAGAGUGGAUAUGCAACUAAUAGCUCAAUAAUGAUUCAAUCAAUGAUGAUUUUCGUUUUGGAAGCUCAAUAUAUAUUGUAUGAUCUUAUAUUUGCUUGCAUUAGUCCUUAGAAUGAAGUUUGAGUUGAGUUUUUAUAGUGAAAGCCCAAAAACUAGCCGUUAUAGGUAAAUUCCCGCGCCCAAGCGGUUAGCCGCUUGAUUAUCCGGCUAGCCGAUCAGGAACAGUGAUAUUACCGUUAUUUUUGAAUUUUGCUACAGUAAUACUAUUCACUGAAAUUACACUUUAACCCAAAACUUUCUAUAAUUAUAUUAUGGCCCAAAACGUCAUAAAACUUUACAAAUAAAUCUAAUUUAAGAACUUCCUAAGAAUAGUUGUCUUUCCCAAGCUUUUUGAAAUUAUGAUAUGGCCCCAAAGAUUUUAUUAUUUCGCACAAAGGUCCUUUUACCCAUAUUUUUCAAAGUUCUCAAAACCUUUCACUUUAGUCCAAAAUAUUCAUAAAUUAUAGUAUGGCCCAAAAUAUUUCAAAUGUUUGUAAAAACAUCCAACUCCGAAAGUUAAUACUUAUUAAAAUCAAAGAUUUCAAAUCUUAGCAUUUAAGUCCAAAUUACUUGAAUCCACAAAAUACUUUACUUUAUAAAAAUAAAACCUUUUAGUUUAUGAAAAGUAUUUAAUUAAAUUAAUCUCUUGACCUUCUCAAAUGCUAAAUCAUGUAUCAAUUAAAUCAUACCAGCUUUACAAGAAUUUAUCGCACUAAUUUGUUCGUUGAGCUCUAAACUAUUUUCUUGAUGUCACCGUUGUCCGUUGAGUGUCUUCAAUCUUGAUUUCACUUGAUUCACUUGCAUAAAUAUUAUCCUUCAAAAACUAGUGAAAAUGUGAAAUACAAUAUUUAUUAAAUUACUUAAUACACAUGUUUGUUAUCAUCAAAAUUACAUUAUGUAUAGCCUUUUAGGCUAACAAUCUCCCCCUUUUUGAUGAUAUCAAACAUCUCAUGUAUUUUGACAUUAAACUCCCCCUCAAUACAUGGCAUACAUGACUUCAACUUAUAAAUCAAAUUCAAAACAAAAACUCCCCCUGAAUAUUUGAUUUAGAUAAUUUGAAAGCUCCCCCUUAAUAUUUCAAAACCAUGCAUAAAUACUUUAAAUAUAAAUUAUGUAUUACAUGUCUUCAUAUUCAAAAUUCAAAAUAAUAUUCAAAAUUCAAAAUACAUGACUUCUCCCCCUUCAUCAUCAAAAUUACUAGAAAUGUACACUAAGACUGAAAAAUUUAACCAAAAUGACAUUAUCAAAAACUUAUCAUAUUUAUUUUCCGCUGUAAAAAAUAGAUAUAUGCAAUUUGAAACAAGAUCACCAAAAAUAAUUCAAUGAAGAUAUUACCAAUUUUGGGCGAGCAAAAGUUUCGACAGAGUCUCCCCUUAAAAAUGAACAAAUCCUCAAAUACACAAUGUGGUUAAAAACACUUCCAUAUAAACUUAAACAAGUAACACAAACCAACAACUCCACCAAGUCAUCAAACAACACAUAAGAAUUAAGCAUAUAAUUAACCAAAGAGUUAUAAUAUUCCAGGAAUCCGAAAACAUUAUCCAAAUAUAACAUAUCCGAAGAUCAAAUAACAAACAUCCUUAAUCCACAAAUUAAAAACAACAUAUCCAAAUAUCAAAUAACAAGAUGUCAUUCGGAAAUGAAAAAACAACAGUGCAUGAAGAAAUGUAGUGCAGAGUGACAAAAUAAGGAGUAAUGACCGACCUUGGCUUGAAAUUGUUGAGAAAAUGUUUCCAAAGUUGGAGUUGUGGAAAAUGAAUCAACAUAAAGUCCGAAUAAUCUCCAUGAUCAUCCUUACGCUUCUUGGCCACGUGUUUUCCCUUGGACUUGUCACCACCCACCAUUGUUGGAAGAAAAAAGAGCUUAAAAAUGCAAUUUCGGGUUUAACAAAAAUUGAGUGAAAUGGAUUUGUUUAAGGCAAGAAAAUUAAUCCUAGAGAUGAAUGAAGCUAAUUUAUGAUGUAGAGUGAAUUAAAAAUGGGCUAAAGGAAGCUUGAAAAUGAAGAGAGAGAAACGGGUAGAGUGAGAAUUUUUUAUUUUGGGUUUUAUGUGGAGAGUUGAUGAAAUGUUGUUUUGAGAGUGAAAAUUGAAGGAGUAAUGGAUGAAUAAUGAGUUGGAUGAUUGAUUUUAACAAGACAAUGAGUGAAAGAUGAAGAAAUUUGAGAAAGAAAAUGGAGAACACUAUUCACGCGUGAAUGGAAUAAGGAUGGAAUGAUGAAGAACAAGUGAAGAAAUCAUGAUGGUAAAGGGUUUAAUGAAGAUGAAAUGCAUGGGUAUUAGUUUGAAUGGUUGAUUUGGGCAUGAAAAUGGAUGAAAAAGGAAGAAAAUGGAAGUGAAAAUGGAUGGGUUGCUCACGGUUUUGAGUGAAAGAGAGAGCAUGUGCAGAAAAUUAACAAAGGAAGAAGAAGAAGCAAAAAAAAUAUGCCUAACCCGUGACCAAGCGGCUAGCCGCUUGCUCUCGGGUUGGGGACAGUUUCCAAGCGGCUAGGCGGCUAGCCGCCUGGUUGCUGUCCAGCUGCACUCAAGUUGAUUUCCGGCUAAUUUCGAUCAAUUCCGUGACCAUUUUGUGAUCCCGAAACAUCUCAAGAGCCAAUUUAAUGCAUGAUUCAUGAUUUUAAACAUCUAAAAGAUGAUUAAUUCAAACAAAUAAUCCAUCCAACAAGCAUAUAUUUAUGAAGCACAUAAGCAUUCAAAAAUUAAUAAAUCAAACACCACAUAUACCUAACUUGCUUAAACACUUCAUAAACAUUAAUAAUCAUCAAGCAAACGAUUUUAAUAGAUUCAAUAACAUAAAUAGAGAUGUUAAUGCGAAAAUUUCAUCAUCUCAAGUUCAUGCCGAAUUUUUGAAAAUUAUUCUUCACAAAGGGGUUUUGUAAAAAUAUUGGCAAGUUGUUUUUCCGUAGAGAUAAAUUCUAAUGCAAUAUCACCUUUUUGAACACGAUCUCUCAAGAAAUGAUGCCUAAUCUCUAUAUGCUUGGUUCUAGAAUGUUGAAUGGGAUUCUUUGAAAGAUUUAUGGCGCUAGUAUUAUCACACUUGAUAGGAAUUUGUUCAAGAUUAAUACCAUAGUCUCUAAGUGUUUGUUUCAUCCAAAGUGCUUGUGCACAACAACUACCUGCGGCAAUAUAUUCCGCCUCAGUAGUUGAGAGUGCCACGAAUUUUGUUUCUUACUAAACCAUGAAACAAGUGAAUAACCAAGAAAAUGGCAAGUUCCACUAGUACUCUUCCUAUCGACCUUGUGACCAGCAAAAUUGGCAUCCGAAUAACAAGUUAAAUCUAUAUGAGUUCCUCUAGGAUACCAAAGGCCAAUAUCUAUGGUUCCACUCAAAUAACAAAAAAUUCUUUUAACAGCAAGCAAAUGAGAUUCCUUGGGACAUGAUUGAAAUCUUGCACACAUGAUUGAAAUCUUUCACACAAACAUACACUAAACAUGAUAUCGGGUCUACUUGCGGUUAAGUAAAGUAAGGAUCCGAUCAUACCUUGAUACUUUUUAAUAUCAACCUCUUUACCUUUUUCAUCCUUAUCAAGCUUGAUUGUUGUACUCAUUGGAGUAUUCUUGGUAUUUGAUUCAUCAAUACCAAAUCUCUUGAGCAAGUCUUUGACAUACUUAGCUUGGUUGAUGAAGAUCCCCUCAUUGUUUUGUUUGAUUUGAAGUCCAAGAAAAUACUUCAAUUCUCCCAUCAUGCUCAUCUCAAAUUCCUUACUCAUACAAGAGGAAAAUUCUUUGCACAAAGAUUCAUUAGUAGAACUAAAAAUAAUAUCAUCAAUAUAAAUUUGAACAACAAGUAUAUCUUGAUUUUUAUUUUUAAUAAAGAGGAUAGUAUCCGCUCUUCCCAUCGAAAAACCGUUAUCCAACAAGAAAUUUUUAAGCCUAUCAUACCAUACUCUAGGUGCUUGUUUUAAUCCAUACAAUGCUUUUGAUAACUUAUAUACAUGAUUUGGAAAUUUCUCAUUUUCGAAACCAGGGGGUUGUUUCACAUAAACUUCCUCCAUAAUAUAACCAUUUAGGAAAGCACUCUUGACAUCCAUUUGAAAUAAAAUAAAAUCUUUAUGACAUGCAAAUGCUAACAACAUCCUAAUGGAUUCUAAUCUAGCUACAGGUUCAAAUGUUUCAUCGAAAUCGAUUCCUUCUUCUUGUUUGUAUCCUUGAGCCACUAAUCUAGCUUUAUUUCUUACAACCACACCGGAUUCAUCCAUUUUAUUUCUAAAUACCCAUUUAGUGCCUAUAAUGGAUUGAUGUUCUGGUUUAGGAACCAAUUCCCAUACUUUAUUUCUCUCAAAUUGAUUUAACUCCUCUUGCAUUGCCAUAAUCCAAAACUCAUCAUUUUCCGCAUCCGCAAAAGAUUUUGGUUCAAUUCGAGAAAUAAAUGCAGCAUGCUCACAUGUGUUUCUAAGUGAUGAUCUAGUUGUGAUAUCUCUUGAAGGAUCACCUAAUAUUAAAUCCUUAGGAUGAGAGGAAACAUACCUCCACUCCUUGGGGAGUGUUUGAGAACUACCUUCUUGUUGCUCCAGCUCCAUAUUUGUUUGUUCUUCUUGUCUAUCUUCUUGAUUUUCUUGUGGUGCAUGCUCUUGAUUCUCUUUUGACGAUUCUUCUUAUAACUCUCCAUCUGCAUCAUCAUUAACAACUCCUUUCUCCGCAGAGGAGGGGUUAGAUUCAUCAAACGUAACAUGCAUGGAUUCUUUCACAACUAAAGUUCUUUUAUUAUAAACUCUAUAAGCUUUGCUUGAGUUUGAAUACCCGAGAAAGAUGCCAAAUUAGAUUUUGGAUCAAAUUUACCAAGAUUAUCUUUUGUGUUUAAAAUAAAAUAUUUGCAUCCAAAAAUUUUGAAAUAACCAAUAUUGGAUUUUCUAUCUUUCCAAAGCUCAUAGGGAGUUUUAUUGAGAUGAGGUCUAAUCAACACAUGAUUUAAAACAUAACAAGCGGUGUUGACGGCUUCGGCCCAAAAAUAUUUUGGUAAUGCAUUUUCAUUUAACAUGGUCCUAGCCAUUUCUUGAAUAGACCUAUUCUUUCUCUCAACAACUCCAUUUUGUUGUGGAGUCCUAGGUGAUGAAAAUUGAUGCUCAAUGCCAAAAUCAUUACAAAAAUUUUCAAAUGCAUGAUUUUCAAACUCUCCACCAUGAUCACUUCUAAUACAAGUAAUAGAAUAACCCUUUUCAUUUUGAACCUUUUUACAGAAAAUUCUAAAUGCAUCAAUGGCAUCAUCCUUAUUAGCUAAGAAUAAUACCCAUGUGUAUCUAGAAUAAUCAUCUACAAUUACAAAUGCAUAAAAUUUGUCAUUUAAACUAGCAUAUUUAGAGGGUCCAAACAAAUUUAUGUGAAGUAAUUGAAGAGGUUUUAAAGUAAAGAUAUGAUUCUUGUUUUUGAAAGAGGUUUUGAUUUGUUUUCCAAAUUGACAUGCUUCACAAAUUCUAUCCUUUUGAAAACCAAUUUUUGGAAGACCUUUAACUAAAUCGUUUUUCGAAAUUUUUGAAAUUAAAUCCAUGCUUGCAUGUCCUAGUCUUUUAUGCCAUAACCAACCAUCAUCAUGCAAUGCUGAAAAACAUUUAUCAUGAGUAGAUGCACAUUUUAUAUCAAUCGUGUAAACAUUGCCACAUCUAUUUCCCAUAAACAAAAUUUUCCCAUCACAUGCAUUCUCAAUAACACAUCUUGAUUGAUCAAAAACAACUUUAUAACCUUUGUCACAUAGUUGACUAAUGCUAAUCAAAUUGUAUUUCAAAUUUUCAACCAAACACACAUUUUCAAUUAGAGUUGAAGAAAUUUUACCAACAUUUCCAAUUCCGAGAAUUUUUCCUUUUGAGUUAUCUCCAAAGGAUACAUCUCCACCAUUUUCGAUUUUGGUGAAACUUGAGAACCAUGCAUAGUUUCCGGUCAUAUGCCUAGAACAUCCGCUAUCCAAGUACCAUUUAUUUUUCUUUUUCUUCAAGCCCUGCAAAGAAAAUCUUAUGUCUUAGGUACCCAAACCUUUUUGGGUCCUUGAUCGUUAGCAACGGUUCCUUUUGGAACCCACACACAUUUGACACCAUUAUAUGCAUUCCUUUUUACGGGACAUCUAUAUUUCAUGUGACCAUUUUGAUUACAAUAAUGACAAACAAUCUUAUGAUUAUUUGUGGAGGUAGCUUUAACAAAAUAAUUCUUAUAAUACUUUUGCUUCAAGUUAGGCUUAUACCCAAGUCCUCCUUUAUCAAAAACACAUUUUUGGGAGUUAAACAUGUUAUCCAACAUCUUUUGCCCAUUUGUAAAUUUUAGAACAACAUUACUAAGUUCAAUAUUCUUUUUCUUGAGCAUUUCAUUUUCCUUUUUCAAAUCAUCUACAUGUGACUCUAAAUACUCAUGUGAAGUGCUAGAUUUUUCAUUUGAAAAUGCAACUCUAUUAUGCAAGGUUUUAUUCUCUAAUUCUAAUCCUUUAAUCUUCUCAUUCAAUGACUUAUUGCAUUUUUGCAUGGCAUCCUUUUCAUUUGUAGAUUCUAGCAAUUUCUUUUUAAGGCAUGCAUUAUUUUUACCAAUUUUUAUCAACUCAUCAUGCAUUUCUUUAAAAGCAUCAUAUAAUUCAUCAUAGGUUGGAUCAUUUACCUCAUUGAGAUCAUCAUCAUCUCCUAGUGCCAUAAGUGCUAGGUUUGAUACUUCUUGCGACUCAUCUUCAUCACUUGAAUCUUCAUCGCUAUCAUCCCAAGUAGCAACCAUAGCUUUCUUCUUGAGUUUGUUGAGAAGUAGGCAUUCCGAUCUUAUAUGGUCGGGCUUCUUGCACUCAUAGCAUAUGAUUACCUCUUUCUUCUCCUUUUGGUUUUUGAAAUUUCUGAAUUUUCUUCGGUCAUCGGUUUUCUUGAAAAAUUUUAUGAACCUCCUUGCUAGCAUAGCCAACUCCUCAUCAUCCGGCUCACUUUCCCCAUCACUCUCAUAUUUGGUGACUUUGAGAGCAAUGUUUUUCUUCCUUUCCCCAUUUCCUCUUUCAGCUGCCAAAUCUUCCUCAUAAGAAAUAAGAGAACCAAUUAAAUCAUCAAUAGGUAAGAUAUUCAAAUCUUUAGCUUCCUCAAUGGCAGUCCUUUUUGGUCUCCAUUCCUUAGGUAACGACCUAAUGAUUUUCUUAACUUUCUCGCUAUUUGAAAAGGUCUUUCCUAGGGCUCCUAGAGUGUUUACUAUGUCCGUAAAUCUAGUAUACAUAGAAUACACACUCUUAUUUUGUUCCAUUUGGAACAAUUCAUAUUGCCGAGUGUACCUACUAAUUUUAGACUCUUUCACUUGAUUCGUGCCUUCAUAAAUAACUUCAAGUUUGUACCAAAUUUCAUUAGCACUUUCACAACUAGAUACUCUAUGAAACUCUUUCUUAUCGAGUGCACAAAACAAGGCAUUCAUGGCUUUGGAAUUUAGAGAAGCUUUUCUCUUUUCCAAUUCAUUCCAUUCACGUGAAGGUUUUGGAAUGUCUUCCCCAAUUUCAUUUUUAGUCAAAGGCAUAAAUGGACCAUCACAUACAACUUCCCAAAUUUCAUAAUUUAAUGCUUGUAAAUAAAUUCUCAUCCUAGUUUUCCAAUACGGGUAGUCAUUUCCGUCAAAGAACGGUGGCUUAGUUAUGGAUUGUCCUUCCCUAAAGGUUGAAUCAUUUUGGGUUGCCAUGGAUCUUUUACUCUAAACGAUUAAGUCCUAACAAGAGAACCAAGCUCUGAUACCAAAUAAAAUGCAAGUAACGCAACCCAAGAGGGGGGGUGAAUUGGGGUUUUAAAAAUAAUGCAAUACGAUUCGCACAAUAAAUCAAUCUAACGCCUUAUGAAAUAGAGAACAAUAAAUUCAAACAAGUGUAAAAAUAAAAGAGCAAGGGAAGAGAAAAACAAACACGCGGAUUUUUACGUGGUUCGGCAAUCCCCGCCUACGUCCACGCCUCCAAGCCAACCAAGCUCGAGGAUUUCACUAUCCAAGCCUCCCCAGGCUUCAAGUUUUUACAAUUGACUUCCAAGGUGUCAAUGAACCUUUACAACCAAGAGAUUAUCUCCCCAAUCUCUUCACCCCAAGUGUUUCCCACACUUACACUCACAAUUUGAUAAGAAAUGAAAAUUACAACAAAAGCUCUCUUUAAGAGUGGAUAUGCAACUAAUAGCUCAAUAAUGAUUCAAUCAAUGAUGAUUUGCAUUUUGGAAGCUCAAUAUAUGUUGUAUGAUCUUAUAUUUGCUUGCAUUAGUCCUUAGAAUGAAGUUUGAGUUGAGUUUUUAUAGUGAAAGCCCAAAAACUAGCCGUUAUAGGAAAAUUCCGGUGUCCAAGCGGUUAGCCACUUGAUUAUCCGGCUAGCCGCUCAGGAACAGUGAUAUUACCGUUAUUUUUGAAUUUUACUACAGUAAUACUGUUCACUAAAAUUAUACUUUGGCCCAAAACUUUCUAUAAUUAUAUUAUGGCCCAAAACGUCAUAAAACUUUGCAAAUAAGUCCAAUUUAAGAACUUCCUAAGAAUACUUGUCUUUCCUAAACUUUUUGAAAUUAUAAUAUGGCCCCAAAAAUUUUAUUAUUUCACACAAAGGUCCUUUUACCCAUAUUUUUUAAAGUUCUCAAAACCUUUCACUUUAGUCCAAAAUAUUCAUAAAUUAUAGUAUGGCCCAAAACAUUUCAAAUGUUUGUAAAAACAUCCAACUCCGAAAGUUAAUACUUAUUAAAAUCAAAGAUUUCAAAUCUUAGCAUUUAAGUCCAAAUUACUUAAAUCCACAAAAUACUUUACUUUAUAAAAAUAAAACCUUUUAGUUUAUGAAAAGUAUUUAAUUAAAUUAAUCUCUUGACCUUCUCAAAUGCUAAAUCAUGCAUCAAUUAAAUCAUACCAGCUUUACAAGAAUUUAUGGCACUAAUUUGUUCGUUGAGCUCUAAACUAUUUUCUUGAUGUCGCCGUUGUCCGUUGAGUGUCUUCAAUCUUGAUUUCACUUGAUUCACUUGCAUAAAUAUUAUCCUUCAAAAACUAGUAAAAAUGUGAAAUACAAUAUUUAUUAAAUUACUUAAUACACAUGUUUGUUAUCAUCAACAUUACAUUAUGUAUAGCCUUUUAGGCUAACAUACAAAAAGUUUGUUGUUGGCUAUUUCCUAGACUAUAAAUGGUGGAUUCCAAAACUGUAAUGAGUCAAGUACAAGAGCUUCAGAUAAUAUUAUCUGAAAUCCUUGCUGAAGGGAUGAUGUUAAGCGAAACGUUUCAAAUGGUUGCAAUUAUUGAAAAAUUGCCUCUUGCUUCGAAAGAUUUCAAGAGUUAUUUGAAGUAUAAACGCAAGGAAAUGAAUAUUGAAGGGUUGUUUAUGUGGCUAAGGCAAACGUUGUUGAACAUGGACCUAAAAAUAAGAAAAAUAAAAAAUUGGGUCCGAAAGGAGGAAUUUCCAAGAAGCAAACAAAGUUUCAAGGAAAAUAUUUUAAUUGUGAUAAGAUAGGUCACAAGGCUUCGGAUUGCAGGUCGCCUAAAAAGAAGCAAGAGGCAAAUGUGGUGGAAAACAUCACUCAACAUGUUUCAGACAUAAACCUCUCUACAUUGGUUUCAGAAGUGAAUCUGGUUGGCUCUAAUCCGAGAGAAUGGUGGAUUGAUACGGGAGCAACCAGACAUAUUUGCUCGGACAGAGGGUUGUUCACUUCAUUUGAAGUAGUUAGCAAUGGAGAGAAGCUAUUCAUGGGGAAUUCUGCUACAUCUGAGAUUGAGGGUCAAGGGAAGGUGAUUCUGAAGAUGACUUCUAGAAAAGAGCUGACUCUAAACGAUGUGCUUUAUGUGCCAGAAAUUCGGAAGAACUUGGUGUCUGGAUCGCUAUUGAACAAACAUGGUUUCCGAAUGGUGUUUGAGUUAGAUAGGGUAGUUUUGUCAAAGAAUGAGAUGUAUGUGGGAAAGGGUUAUGUUAAUGAUGGGCUAUUUAAGCUCAAUGUAAUGACUCUGAAACCAAAAAUUAAUAAUGAAGCUAGUUCUUCUGCUUAUUUGCUUGAGUCUUCUAAUCUUUGGCAUAGUAGAUUAGGACAUGUUAAUUUUAAUUCAUUGCGUAAAUUAAUUAACAUGAUACAUAUUCCCAAUUUCCAAAUUGAUUUGAAACAUAAGUGUGAAACUUGUGUUGAGGCAAAACUAAGUAGGUCAUCUUUCCAAACAAUUAAAAGAAACAAUGAACCACUUGAUUUAAUACAUAGUGAUAUUUGUGAUUUUAAAUCCAUUCAAAUAAGAGGUGGUAAUAAAUAUUUUAUUACCUUUAUUGAUGAUUGCAUAAAAUAUUGCUAUGUAUAUUUGUUGAAAAGUAAAGAUGAAGCUUUAGAAAAAUCAAAGAAUUAAGGAGUGACCGCGGUGGUGAGUAUGUUAUUCCGUUUGAGUAACUAUAUGAACAAAGUGGAAUCAUACAUCAAGUCACGACUCCAUAUUCACCUCAAUCUAAUGGGAUUGUAGAUCGAAAGAAUUGAGCUUUAAAGGAAAUGAUAAAUGUAAUGUUGAUAAGUUCUGGGUUACCCCAGAAUAUGUGGGGAGAAGCUGUUUUGUCAGCUAAUUAUUUAUUAAAUAAGAUACCCCGAAAGCAAGAAGAUAAAACCCCGUAUGAGCUGUGGAAAGGUAGAGCACCUUCAUAUAAAUUCUUACGAGUGUGGGGGUGUCUUGCUAAAGUAGUGGUUCCUUUAAAUAAAAAAAUGAAAAUAGGACCAAAAACUGUUGACUGCAUUUUCAUUGGUUAUGCACAAAACAGUAGUGCUUAUCAAUUUCUGGUGCAUGAGUCUAAAGUUCUAGAUGUCCACAAAAAUACGAUAAUAGAAUCAAGAAAUGCAUUGUUUUUCGAACUUGUGUUUCCUUGCAAUUCUAGAGUGGAAUCGAGAGAACUAUGACAAUUUCAUGAAACAACAAUUGAAAAUAAAGAAAAUGAUGAAGCUCCAAAAGAAGAAGAAGAACAAGAAGUUGAGGUCAGACGUAGCAAAAGAGCUAGAAUAGAAAAGUCUUUUGGUCCAGACUUUCUGAUGUAUUUGCUAGAAAGUGAACCUCAAAGCUUCAAAGAAACUGUAACUUCACCUGAAGGCCCUUUAUGGAAAGAAGCCAUUAAUAGUGAUUUUGAAUCCAUUUUACAAAAUCAUACCUGAGAGCUUGUAGAUCUUCCUCCAGGAUGUAAACCUUUGGGGUAUAAGUGAAUUUUCAAAAGGAAAAUGAAAGCCGAUGGAUCAAUUGAUAAGUAAAAGGCUAGGCUUGUAAUUAAAUGUUAUAGGCAACGAGAAGGCCUUGAUUACUUUGAUACUUAUUCUCCUGUUACGAGAAUAAAUUCCAUUCGGAUGAUAAUAGUAAUUGCAGCUUUGCGUAAUCUCGAGAUACAUCAAAUGGAUGUAAAGACGGCUUUUGUAAAUGGAGAUUUAAAUGAAGAAAUCUACAUGGAGCACCCUGAAGGUUUUAUAGCUCCAGGACAAGAAAAGAAAGUUUGUAAAUUAGUAAAGUCAUUAUAUGGCUUGAAACAAGAACCAAAACAGUGGCAUGAAAAAUUUGAUCAUACGAUGAUCACAAGUGGAUUUAAGAUCAAUGAGAGUGACAAGUGUGUUUAUGUCAAAGAAACAGAAAAUGACUAUGUCAUUUUAUGUUUAUAUGUUGAUGACAUGCUCAUUGUUGGGAGUGAUGAUGACAUGAUUAAAUCUACCAAGAAUAUGUUGAAGUCUAAGUUUGACAUGAAAGACAUGGGUCUUGUAGAUGUCAUUUUGGGAAUUAAAAUCUCAAGGGCUUCUAAUGGACUUAUUCUAAGUCAAACUCAUUAUGUAGAUCAAAUUCUUGGGAAAUUUAAUAAAGAUGAUAAUACCGUGUCUAAAACUCCAUUAGAUACGAGUAUACAUCUAUCGAAAAACAGAGGAGAAGGUAUUUCUCAAGUAGAAUACGCUAGAAUAAUAGGCAGUCUGAUGUACUUAACAAAUUGUACCAGACCAGAUCUAGCCUAUACAGUAAGUAAACUUAGUAGACAUACAAGUAAUCCAGGAACUAAUCACUGGAAAGCUAUUGUAAGAGUACUCAGGUAUCUUCGAUACACUCGUAAUUAUGGACUGUACUAUACUAGGUAUCCGGAAGUAUUAGAAGGAUAUAGUGAUGCUAACUGGAUAUCUAAUGUAAAAGACUCAAAAUCCACUAGUGGCUAUGUGUUUACACUAACAGGUGUAGCUGUAUCAUGGAGGUCUUCUAAACAGACAGUAAUUGCCAGAUCUACAAUGGAAUAUGAAUUCAUUGCUUUAGAUAAAUGUGGUGAGGAAGUAGAAUGGCUAUGGAAUUUUUUAGAGGGUAUUCCAAAGUGGCCAAAGCCUGUGCCUAUAAUUUGUAUUCAUUACGAUAGUCAAUCAGCUAUCGGUAGGGCACAGAGCAAUAUGUAUAAUGGUAAGUCUAGACACAUACGUCGUAGACAUAAUACCAUUAGACAACUUAUUUCUACUGGAGUUAUUUCUAUUGACUAUGUAAGGUCAAAUGAUAACAUUGCGGAUCCACUAACCAAAGGAUUAAAUAGAAAGCUAGUAGAAAAAUCAUCGAGGGGAAUGAGAUUAAAACCCUUAGAAUGAUUAGUCAAUAACGAAGGAAAACCCAACCUAGUUGACUGGAGAUCCCAAGAUCUAGGUUCAAUGGGACAACCUAAUUGUUAAAGACUAAAGUUGGAUCACUGUGGGGGUCAUUCUCUUGAGAGGAUUACCUCAUUGACCAUUCCUAUGAUGAAACAGUGAUGCUCGUGAGAGAUAAGGUUGAGCUGGGCUCUUACUGAUUCUUAUGCAUCGAAAUUCGAGCGAAGUAAUACGAGUUACUCUUAAUUAAGAUAUCACCUAUGUGAGAGAGAAGUGGGGCCGCUUCAAAGGGAGUUGUUAGGGGUUCAGCUCUUAGAAACUCUGGUAGAACUAGGUAGAUGUUUAAGGCCAAAACGAGCAUAACCAUCAGAACUCAACAGUGUUAAGAGAGAUACCUCUGUGUAGUAUAUGAUCGUUUACACUAACGGCAGAACAGUUCAACGACAUCGCGUCUAUUGAUCAACCAGUAAAGUAAAUAUACUAUCACAAUGGAAGGUUUAAAGGAUAAAACCUACCUAUCCUUUGCUAGGUAUCGAUAUAAUAAACUCGAUCAUUAAGGUCAAAAAUGAUUUUGAUGUCAAAAUUUAGCGGUUUUCUGUUUUACUGCCAAAUUUCAUUCAUGUGGGGGAUUAUUGAAAAAAUAGCAAAUCAAUAUGCUAUUUUGAGGGCACAUUUUGAGUGGGUCCCACUUAGCAAAAGUGGGAAAUCUUGUGAAGUUCAGGUUCUACUCCGUGAAUACUUCGAAAGUGUAUAUUUAUUUACUCAAAAUGGUGCUUGGGUGAAUGAGAAAUUGUCUCUCAAAGUGCACCCUUGAAGUUGAAAAUUUGAAAGGAAUUAUAAGGAUAGAGGGAUUUGUGUUUAUAUAUAGACACUUACCCAUGCAUGAGCAAGAAUUAUAAGGAUAGAGGCUCUCUCCACACGCGCGUGCAGAGGGGGGGUGCGAAUCCAAGACCGAUUUGGUUGAACUCGUGUGCGCCCGCGCAUCCUACGCAUGAGAAUGUCAGCCCAAAAUCACCCAAGCUUGCAUGGCACAUUUUUAAUUUCCUUUUAAAUUUUUGUAACAGUUUUUCAAUUUUUGAAUUCAAAGGAUUUGUAACAGCUUUGCAACUAUUUUUGGGUUGUUAUGCAAAUUCAAUUUUUGAAUUCAAUAGGCUGUAUUGAAUUGUUUAAAUUGAAUUGGCCGUUACAACAAUUAAAUGGCAUAUAUUGAAUUCGGAUAUUCAAUAUUAUACUAUUGUUACAUCCUCACAUGUGUAUAAAAAGGCAGCUUCCUCUUCUGUUUUUACACACAAGAACAACCAACACACAGAGCACUCCAAAAUUUCUUUCCUCCUUCUGACGUUCUGUUUUUUAUCGAGUUUGUAUGCUGUUGUGGUUCGCCAGAAUUAUCAGUCUGUGCUUGACGGAUAAUUAGUACCCGUUGUAUCCUAGGAAAUAGUUACCAGCAAACCUAAAGCACUACAGUAGGUGGUAAAUCUGUUUUAAGGAAACUGUGUUGCAGGCCUCAGGUUUAUUUUCUAUUUCCGUUUUCUUUUCCCUAUUAUUUUUCAUUUGUUCAUUCGUGAUUUCCAGUUGCUGUUUUACGUUGUUGUUUAAAUUAGCUACAAUAUUAAAUUGUUAUCUCACUAUUAAUUUUCUUACAGUUCUCCUGGUGAUCUAUUUAAUUUAAUUAGAUGUUGAUGGUAGAGAUAGAUCACUCAUGUGGAGGCAUUUUAUAAAGUAGUGUGAUAGCUGUUCGUCCACUAAUUACAUAUGAAACAAUACAAGUGGCCUAUUUUAGCAUGAUUUUGGGAGUUACUUUCUUAGUCAAGGGUUACUUUCUUUACUCAAGGGCUAUAGGUCGUUUUCUGUGGUCCAUUCAUCUUUUGCUUUGUGGUUGCUCCGCUAUAUAAUUUCUAACAAAUUCUGUUAACGGCUACGAGUUAUUAAUAAAUAAACUCUAUUGUGUUGCAUGUGGUUGCGUAAGUAAGAAGUUUAACUCAUUCAUAUCAUUUUUUAAUUAACCUGUUUAAACUUCAUGAAUCAAAUGUGAUUUGAUCCAAUAUUUAAGUAAAAAGGGAUAAGUUAUCAAGUAAAAAUGCGAUUUACUAAAUCUUUUAAUUGUAUGCACUGUCGAAAUUAGGGUAAAUAUUUGUUUAAUCCCUAUUUUUAAUUUGGAGUUAGAUGUGUAUUUAGUCAUUGUAUUUUAAAAAGUUUCUCAAAGCCGUUAAAUAUGUGACACUACUGACCUUAUUGUUUCUUUACUUUUACAAUUAUACCCUUACUACAAUUUUGAGCACAUUAAUUAGUUUAUCUAUAAUAAAAAGUUAUCUAAUAAUUAACAAUAAUUAUUUAUUAGUGAAUUAACUAAUAAAUAUUAUUAUGAAAGAAUUGGUACUUUUUGUACAUUGCAAUAUUCUUCCUAAUAAUUAUUUUUAAAGAAGUUAAUACUAGCCAACCUAAAGCAAUAUUUGGAACCUUGCAAUAAUACAUAAAUAAUUUACAAAAUUAACCAUAAAAGUAAAUCAAUAACAAAGAUUUACAUUUAUUUUUAUUUUUUAGCAUUAAUUCUUAAUAAUCUUUUAUAAAUUAAUUAAUUAAUGUCCCUAUAAAUGUUGUUGCAAGGGCAUCAUCAUAAAAACAAAAAAAUAAUAAGGGCAUGAGUGUAACAUAUUUAACAGUAUAGAUGUUUUGAGGUAUUUUAAAAAAUACAAGAAAUAAAUGCAUAACUAAUCAAAAUAUAAGGAUUAAACAAGUAUUUACUUAUCGAAACUAAGUAGAAAUACAAUAGAAUCCUGAACAUUAUUACAUUACCCUUAUAUUGUAAUAUGAAAUUAGUAGAUCAUUUAUUCAUUUUGUCUUGCCUUGCCUUUUUAAGAUCCUGACACGUGUUUGUUGUUAGUUAUUUAUAGUUUAUGAAUAACUUUUCAGGAUUUCUUUAUGAUACUGUAUGUAUUUUUACAGCAUUGAUAGUGGGAUUAAUGUGGACCAUUAGUUUUAAGUAUUUUAAUCUCAAUCGUCCAUUUAAUAUAAUGGAUAAUUAAAUAAUUAAUCAAAAUGUAGCAGGUAGUUUACAAGUUGUUGGUAAAUAUUUUUUUUAAUUUUAAAUUAAUAUUAGUUUGAGAAAAAGCCACACACAUCCCAAGGUUUGCUCAAAUAGUCAUAUAGAUCCACUUAGUUUCAUAAAUGGUAAUACAGACCCCUUAAUUUUCAUAAAUGACUAUUAUACAUUUUGAUUUACACAACCUAAAUAAAUAUACAUAUAGUAAUAGGAUAAAAAUAAUAAUAAAUAUCAUAUGAUACAAAUAAAAUAUUAAAAUAAGUAUAAUUAAUAAAAUAACAUGUAUAAUGAAUUCUUUUAAUAUUAAGUUAUUAUUAAUCUAUCCCGAUGGAUUUAUUAAAAUCUACUAAUCCAAAAAUUGACUUUAAGAUAGAUAUUAAUACAUAUAUAAUUAGAAAAGAUAUUGUAAAUAAAACACUACAAAUUUUUAUAAAUUGUUGUGAGUGUUAGGUAUAACUAUUUCAAUAUUCUAUAUCAUACAUCAUACUUAAGAUGUUGAUUUUGUUGAAGUGUUAUGUUAUUAAACAUUAAGCUUUGCAUUUAUAAUGUGCUACAACUUUAAUGUAAAAUGUAAUAAAAAAUAUAAAGACAUUUUUUAGUAAUCAAUUGUAUUGUAAUAUGAUCAAUUUACCCUACAGUGAUACUUAUUUCUAAACUGACACUCCAAGUAACUUAGGGCAUGUUCAAUAUCAUUUUGUAGCCCCUAUUUUCAUUUUCAUUUUAAUAAUACAGGUGUAAUAUAUGUUUGGUGAGCCUAAACCUUAAAUCAAAUUAUAAAAUGAAUUAAACAGAAUCUAUUUGAUAGUAAUAAAAGUUAAAACAUGUUAAACACGUUUUCUGUAACUUACAAAACGAAUUAUAAAAUAAUAUACUACACGUCUUCCAAAGUAUAGCAAAUAAAAUAUAUUUUACAAACACUACUAUAGAAAGACAUAUAAGACAUAUGUUAAGUUAGUAGAUAUGAUUUUUCUUGUAUUCAUUAAAACAUAUGAAUUGAUACCCACACACACACACACACACACACACACACACACACACAUAUUGAGUACUUCUAUCUACCUGUAUUUAUUAAUAGAAGGGAAAUUAAAAUCGUAAUUACCCUGAUAUAUUAUGAAUUGAUAUGUCACAUAUAAAUAUCAGUGAAAAUUAAUUUUUAGAUUAAUGUUGUAAACCAUUUAUAGGCAUUUAAUUAAUCUAAGGUCAAAUGAAAUAUAUCACAUGACAUUUCAUGUAGUAGUCCAAUUUUUAACACUUGCAUAUAGUUUUGUAAGCUAAUAAGCCAAUGAAAUAUACCACAUGAGAAAUUGAUGGGCUAUUAUUUAUAUUUCACUAUUGGACAAUUAUGGAUCUUCCAAUUCUCUUCCAUGGCCAUAAAUUAGAAUAAAAAAAUCACAUAGUAGAGACUACAUCCAUUUGCAUGCUCUCAAAAUAGAUUUUGAAAUUUAUUUUGCAUGCUUUCAAAAUAAAUUUUGAAAUUAGUUUGGUUACAUGAUAAUCAAAUUAUCUUAUAACAUUAAUGAUAUAAUUUAAGCACUAUUUUAGCAAUUGUGAGUUUUACAUUAAAUCUUCAAAUUAAUUACAUAUUGUCACUCUUUCUUGUUUUGCUUGAAAUUUCUAUUUAAUAAAAUUAUGAAAAGUUGAUAAUGAAUGGUUUAGGAUACAUAGGUAAGAUAAACUUUAAAAGUCUAAUGAAACAUUUCUAUGAAUGUGGGUUUCAUAUGCAUGUUCAUAUAUUUCAUUGAAAUCAUAUAUUUUAUUGAAUUUUGUGUUAUUAAACGAAAUAUGUUAUUCAAGUGAAAAAUGUGAGAAUAUUUAAAACUGUAGGGGUCGUCAUUGAAAUUUCGCAUACUUCUACCAACUCCACGAUCCAACAGUUCACCCCUGUUAACCGGUUAUGUUAUUUUUUUAUUAAUAAAUAUAAUGUACAUUGUUGAUUAAAUCUAAUGGUUAAUAUUGUUUACACUAUUGAUGCUGAAAAAAAUUACAGCAUCAUAGAGGGACCCAACUUUUCAUUGUUUUUGAUUCCAUGAACCACUGAUAAUCAAUAGAUUUAAAAAAGAUAAGCCGAAGACAAGAUGAAUAGAACAUAUAAAUCAGAGGGGGCCCAUGAUCAAAUUUAGGCUGUGCUAAAUUAUAAAUUUAUAGUAUAUAUUAGAGUUAAUGUCAGUGCACAUAAACAAUUAAAAAUUUUACUCUAAACAAAAUGAAAACUUUUAAUAAAACAAGUCUCUAACUCUAACUAGUGACAUGGUAGAUUACUCUUUUUAUAUGAAUUUUAAAGGUCCCAAUUCAAAAUUAACUUAACUAGAAGAUAUAUUUAAUUUAUUUUAAAAGAAAUUGAUUUCGGGAUACAGUUGAGAAAAAAGUGAUAAUUAUAUUCUUAUGGAGAAGAUCAUAAAUCUAUAUGGAUUUUAAGUACUAAGCUGGGCAGUUUAGCCCAGAUUAUCGAUCGCGCCUAACCCAGUUGGGUUUAACUAUGAGCUUUCCUCCAAUAUUCUUUUUUUUUUUUUUUUUGAAUAGCCUCCAAUACACUCUUAAAACUCCAUUUUUAAGGAAAAAAAAAACCAUUAUCGUUAUUAAUACUCACUUUAAUUCGAAAAACUACUUCUUAUAAACAUCGUAAUCUUUCAGUUCAAAACCCAGAAAACACAGUUUUCUUGAUUUUCCAUUAUCCAUCAUGCGUCUAUACUUUUCUUGCUUAAAUAAUUAUUAUAAUACCUUCAAUGAAAGAUUAAAUGUAAUCUUCAAUUCUAUGAUUUUUAAGUUGAAUUGCCUUGUCACAUUAUCCUCUCCAUCAUAUUUUUUGUGCUUUCACAUUAAGAGUAAAAGAAUUCCUGUUGGAUGCAAAUUCAUUAAUCAUUUUAAUCAUUCAUUUGUGAUUAGAAACAAAACAAUAAAAUGAGAGUAAUGAUGAAUAAAAAAAUAAAAAUAAAUCGUGGGUUUAGCGGUGAGUAACGGACGGUGUGGAGGUGACAGUGUGAGAUAGUUUUGAGAGAGAGGAAAAGAGGUGAGAUUUAGAAAGAUUGUUUUGUUCUUUAUCGUAAUUACAUAAAUGAGGGCUUUUAUAAGGUUAAUGGUGGGGGUGGGGCUAUUUUAACGCAUAAAUUCCUUUUUUCACCCUAUUUGUUCUCUCUCUACAUCACUUGCAAAUUAAAAGCUUACCAUUUCACUCUCUAUGGCCAUGGAUUCUUUAUCUUCAUUAAUUCCACUACAUUUUAUUUGUGGCAUUUGAAUUGCGACUUUUUUAUUCUAUUUUAUUUCAAAUGAAACAAAGAUUUAUAAUUUUACACAGAUUUAGGAAAAAUAAAAAAUUUAUAGCUUUCACGAUUACUUAAAAUUCUUGAUACUUAUUUUUGUAUGGGGGGUUUGUUCAUAUAAAUUGAAGACAGGGUAGUUAUUAUUAUUACGUUCUUGGUCGAAGAGCUUUUGAAUAAAAUCAGUAAGCCAACUUAGGGUCUAAAAUUUCCAAGCAAAGCAUGCAAACCCCUUUGACCUCGAGAGCCCUAGUCUUGAAAUAAUGAGCCACUAAACCUUGAUCUGAUAUUGCUUGUAGCUUAUAGGAAAAAUUAAUUUCGAUUAUUCGUAAGAUUUAACAUUCAUUUGCGGAUGAGAAAAUCAAAGGAAUUGGUUAGAGAUGAUCAAGAAUUGUGAGAGAGAGAGAAUAGGGUUAAUUGGGUAAUUUUAUCAAAAUUAAUUCGAUAAUAAAUAUUUUAAUUAAAAAAUAGGUGUAGAGAGAAAAUCGGUGGACGUAAAUGUCCCCAUCCUAAUGGUUGGGGGCUAAUAUAUAUUCGUAAAUAUCCUUAACUUAAAUUACUAUUAUAACUUAAUAUUAAAAAAAAAUAUUUCUCUUCCUAAAAGUUUUUAAGCAGUGAUAAGAAGUCUAAUUACUAAGCAUAUGGGUUUAUUAAGUAUUAUAGUGGGUUAGCCCUACCCUUUGAUUUAUUGGAUAUAAUAAAGGGAGAAUGAUCAUUUAGUUUCUCUUACAAUUUGAUUUUACCGCUUGGUCCUUAAUUUAAUAUCUUAUUAAAGCAAUAUUAAAGAUAAAUAUAACCUUUUAAUUAACAAACAAAUUAAUUAGAAAAAGAAAAUUGAUUCUUCAUUAUUAAGGUAACCCAUAAACUCUAAUAUAAGUUACAUUACAAAUUUUUAUUUAUUUGUUGUCAAUUAGACUUACUGGAGAGAGUUAAUUUAUAAAAAAAUAUAAUAUUUAUGAAAACAUAAAGAAAUGUCAGUCAGCAUACUCUAUGGUAAAUUCUACAUUCAUUUCAUAUAUAAAAGUUCUAUCUACAAGCGCAAUCAAUUAGAAACAAACAGAUGAGCCUUCGUCAAUAUGUCAUGUAGGUUAAUUAUUGUACAUGUCACAAUCAGAGACCAAAAUUUGCAUACGGUUGACUAAUAAGAAGACUUCCUGAGACAUCAAGUUUCAAGUUUCAAGUUAAAAGUUUUAAGUCUUUCUUCAGAUUUUAUGCCCAAACGCCAAAUCCCAAGCUCCCCCUCAAACUUUUAAGGCUUCAUGUUUUCUUGAUCUGAAAACGCCACCCAAAGGUACAUCAUUCUUUCCUUCGUUUCUUUUUCUUCGAGAGCAUCUGCAAGUAAAUUUACUUUCACUCCAUGCUUCCAAUGAUUUGUUUCUUGUUUUAGAUUAUAUAUUUAGCAAAAUAUUCUUUUUCCUCAAAACUACCUAAAAAUUUAGAAUUUAUAUAACUAGUUUUAUCUUAGUCAAUGUAGUGAAGCCAUUUAUCUUAUGCAUCUUUUCUUUACUUAUGUUGCUGCUACUUCAUGACUUUCUAUCAUAUUCCAUAUGUAUAUUGAAUAACUUUACCUUAAUUGCUACUGCAAGACAAGUAUACCUUCAUUAAGUUCUGAAGAGUUUAAUGAAUCCCAUUUUAAAUCUUUUCUUUUUCCCUCACUCAACGGUGGCUAUCAGUAGUUUCUAGAUCUGGUCUAUCAAUUUUUACUUUGUUGUUACUUCUGCCAUACAAUCUCUAACAAAUUGAAGGCUACCAAUUAUUCGGAAAAAUAAAAAAAAACCUUGUGUUUGUGGGGAGAAAAGUAAAAAUUUUAACUCAUUCACAUAGCCUUUUUCAAUUAACCUAUAACCUAUAUAUAAACUUCAUGAAUCAAAUGUGAAUUGAUCCAUUAUUUUAAUUAGAAAGUAAUAAGUUGUCGAGUAAAAGUGGAUGUUAAUACAACACAGUCUCGAACAAUAGUACAUUACCCUUCCAAUUGGGAAAGGCAGAUGAGUGAGAUUAAUUACGAAGAGAAAAGGCGAAAUUUUAUUGAAAAAAUUGAUUGCAUCUUGUAAUGGUAAGCACAAUCCUAUUCGUUGCCUCACGAAAAUGAGCUCAAGGCAGCAACUGUUGAAAAUUCAAAAGUAAAUGGGGCUCACAUGUUGGAUUCAAUUUGAAUGCACCGAAAUCCACAUGCCUUUCUUGAAAAAAUCAAGAAGAGUUGGAGCCGCAUGUUGAUAAUGUGGAAAAGUUGGAGUCUUGGACAUUUGUCAAAAAAAGAGGAAAUUGGUUGCCGAUUUCUUAGACUUUUGUUGUGAUAAUUAAAUGCAUUUAUGGUAAGGCCGGAUUAUAAAUAGAGAAGCAAUUUUCAUUUGUAAAUUAUCCUAAAAAUAUAGAGUGUGAGAACUUAGGUAAACAACUCUCUCAGAGAAUGUAGAGAAAUUCUCUGUGAGAGAGUCUAGAAAAAAAGAACAUUUACAAGUGAGCUCUUAGAAAGUUUAUGAGAGUGUUUCCUUAGGCGCUCAGUUGGGUUCUGCACUAUUUCUAUAUGUAUAAAAGAAUGUCUAUCUUGCGAAAAUUGUUUUGUUCAAGAGUAUAUGUGAGUACUGUGUGUAUUUAAGUAUUUGGAAUGUGAGAUUUCAUUACUCAAAUUUUUAUUAUAUUAAUUGUUAGUAAAAUAAUCAUUCUCUCUUGCAUCCGUUUGCAUCCGUGGGCGUAGGCUUUAUCGUCGAGCCAUCUUGUGUCCUUUAUUUUUUGGUGAAUAUUUGGUGCAUAUUGAUUCUGCAUUUGCACACAAGUGAUAUCAUACCAUAAGAAAUGACACUUCCGCAGCACAACAAGUGGUAUCGAGUUGAUGGUUCGUACUUGGGGUAUACAAUGUUGUUCAUGUAUUCAGUAAUAUUUAUAUGAUAUUGUUCAUGAAUACGAUGAGGCUGAUUGACACUGAAAAGUUUACAUUUAAUAAGGUUAAAAAUUAUCAGUUUCUCACUAACAAUGUUAAUUAAUGGGCUAAUAACUUACAAAUUAUCUCAAUGCUCUCCUAAUAAACUUUUAUGUUAAAUUUAUUUACAAUAUGUUAGUUUUAUGUUCAUUUUUAUUUCAAGAAUAAAGAGGGAAUUGGAACCAAAAGCAGGAAACAAAGAAGAUUGAUGGAGCCAUUUGGAAUGCAUUAUUGAGGAGAUGUAAUUAAUAAAAAAAAAAAAAGGAAGUGAGCUAUACCGUGAUAGUCAAGUGGGCAUUUUAUCACUUGACUAUCACACAUUUCUAUGUAAAUAUAUAAUUGAAAAAAAAUAAAUAAUAAUAAAAUAAAAGAAGAUGAUAUAAUUGUUGUUUAUAAAAGGUAAGGAGAGGAAGAACGAGGGGACGGGCGAGAGAAGACGAGAAAGGAGCUGAGACUGAGACUUAGAAAUUUUUUUUCUUUUGUGUAGUUAACCCUCUUUUAAUAUAUUUCAGAAGUUUUUUAAAUAAAAUGAGUGUUCUGUUUAUCAACAUGAGUGGCUAAAUUUUUUAAGUUGAGAUGAAAGGUGAAGCUCAAGGAUUUAAAUUAUUGAAUUGAUUACUCUUUCAAGUGAGUCCCAAAGUUUAUUUUAUUCGUUUGUAUUUUUUUUCUUUACCAGUUUCUUUUUAUGUCAUGUUAAUUUAUAAAUCUAGAUCUCCUUAGAUCUAUAUAGUAUUUUAGCAUAAUGUCGACACUCUAAUAUAAUUGUGGCACAUUAGGUACUUGAUUUCAUAUUUAUCCAUACAAACGGUUAGUUAAAGAUUAAAUAACAUAAUAAUUAACUAGAAAAAUGAAUGAUGAAUGUAAAAUAUAAAUAUGAGAGAGUAUUAGGACAAAAAUUUGACAACUGAGAGUAGAUCCUGUAAUCUUAACAUUUUUUGUCAGAUUGAUCCAUAUUAAUUUUUUUCUUUAAUUAAUUUUUAUUUAAUAAUUGACUACUAGAUUUUUAUAUUCUAUGUGGUUCGACUCCAGACUCAUUAGAUUAUAUUAUAACUAGACACUGUUAUACUUAAGAAUAAAUAACACUUUUGCAUCACAUCAUAUUUUUAGCGUCAUUCCUGAGAAUUUUCUAAAUUUGGUGUCAGUUUAUCCUUAAUUUUGUCAUUCGUUUAUGUUUUCGUCAUUUUAUUUUAUUUUAUUUCUUUGUAAAACUUCAGUUAACCCCCCACUUCUCUUGAAAUUUUAGUAUUAUCUAUAAAAUUUGUGAAAACUUCAUUUUGACCUAAAAACUUUGCAAAUCAGUCCUUAAAUCGAAUUGGAACUUGGAUCUUAGGAGUAUGACUUAUUCUUUGGACUUUUGGACUUAAAAGACUAAAUGAACUUGGACCUUUGGACUUUGUGCACAUAAUGGACGUGGACUUUUUUAAAAUUAUCAUUAAGGCCCAGAAAUCAAAUUAAUUAUCUAAUUGGUCAUUAAUUCUUAAAAGUUGUUAAAAAGGGGGGAAGAAUUCAUGCCUUGUGGUAAGUAUUCAUUUCCUUCCUUCUUCUUUUAAUUUCUACAAUUUAAUUUUUGUAAUUUUUUUGUGUUAUUUUAUAUGGCUGGUUUAACCAUCUAUUAUUUCAACUUCAACUGGCCAAUUUUGAAUUUAUUUAUUUUUAUUUCACAUUUAUUUAUUUUUGACAUUUAUUUUAUUUGCUUAUUUAAUGUUUAGUUUAUUUUUAUUUGUGCAAUAUUCAUUUAGUGUUUUAUGCAUUAUUCAUUUGUUUGUGUAUCAUUUUCAUAAUUUAAUUUGACACACUUACAAAUCAUCAGCAUUGUAUGCGACAUUGGUCUCGUAUAGAAAGUGGCAAAUUGAUUAGGAGAUCGCCUUCAUCAUCUUUAAACAUAGCCAAUAUCAAAAGUGAUAACAUUUUAAAGUAUGGAAAUAACCAAACCUUGCAAAAUCGUCAUGAACAGCCUAGGACACUUGGAGAUUUCAUGCAUUCUACUAGAACAAGGUUAUCAUUAUGCAUAGAUUUUCCUCUUGAUGCAUCUCAUAUUAAUUUCAAAUCUAGUAUCAUUCAACUUCUACCUAUUUUUCAUGAUUUUGAGUCUGAAAAAUCAAUACUUGUGUUUAAGAGAAUUUGAGGACGUUUGUAACACCGAUACUGAUCGGAAUUGUAGCAUAAACAUAAUUAGACUCAAGUUUUUCUAUUCUCAUUAAAGGAAAAAGUUAAAACUUGGCUACAAAUUUUUUUCUUUUUUUUUCCUAUGCUUUUUUUGGUGUUGUUUGGGUUUUUUUUUAAACUAAACGGAAAAAAACAAAAAAGGAAAAAAAGGAAAGGUUUGGUGGUAGAUGGAGUUAGAUUAGUGAUACCAGGUUUUGGCUCUGAUACCAAACUGAUGCAGCGGAAGUUUAAUGUUUAAAAUAUUCCGUUGAUUCUAGAGAAUACCGGAAUAAAAGAACAACUAAAUUCACGUUGAUUCAAGAGAAUACCGCGAACUUAGGGGUUAAGACUCGUUGAUUCAGAAUACCGAGAAUUAACUGUUCAAAUACUCACAAAGAGAUUUGAAAAUUGAAAUAUUAUUGAACUCAAAAUUCUACCUUCAAAAGCUACAAAAGACACUUAUUUAUACUAAGUAAGACUUAUCCUAAUAUGAUUAGAAAACCUAUUUUAAUAAGACUUAUGCCUAAAUUAGGAAUAUUACCCAAAUAAGCAAUACAUAAACAAUACGACUCUAAAUAGGAAACCAAAUUAAACUAGAAUACAAAUUAAUUAAAAUAUUCCUAAAUAUUAUACAUUUAAAUAUAAUUAGGAUUUCUUCAAUUUCUUGCUCUGCAUCACAAGCCUAUCCACUAAAAAACUUAGAUGCAUUCUUUGUCAACACUGAGUCAAGACGAGCCACUAAUACUAAAGUGGAGUUCCUCGCUAACAAAUAUAGUGUAAAGUGCUCUGUAACAUAUACACCCUAAUUUUUCCUAAUUAAGUGUAUUAUGUAUUUUACAUUACGGUAUUAAUUUUUAAAGUCAUCAGAUUGGUUAUAAAUUAUUAUGGGAAAACUUGACGUGACUCGAUUUCUUAUCAUGAAUUAAUGGAUUUGGGUCGAGUUAAUAAAUGGAUCAUGUUUUGAAUAAAUUUAAAAUUUGUCAUGACAUAAAUUGAGACAAAUCGAACGUGAUAAAGGGUCUUGUAGUCGGAUUUUAUUUUCAUCAUGGGCCUGGUAUUAGCUUAAUUUGUAUUAAGCUAAAAGAAAAAGAGAGGGAACCGUUACUAUAAAUGGAAAGAGAGAGGAGUUGGUUUCCAAAAAUAGAAAGAGAGACUUGUUUGACCCGACCGCGACCUGUGACUUUGACUCGGCUCCAGCCGUUGAUUCCGGCCACCACUCCGGCCGAUCCAGGUACCAAUUUGAAGCUUGAAAGAUGAGCAACAUAUCCUUACCAUCUUCAUCGCUGGAUAAUGGCCAGAUUACCGACGAUUUAGCCCGAAAAGAUCACGGCUCCACCUAUUUUAGUUGCCAUCGAUUUCACUGGAAUUAGGCUGCAUCACCACUUGGAUCUUGAUCCUCAGCUCACCUUCAUUGUUUUUCGACCAACCCCACCACCUAAAACCUCCGUUUUGGCCGUGAACGAUUGUCGGAAAGCUCACGGCUUUGGGAGCACAAUCCGCCGCCAUCGCUGCGUGUGGGAGGUCACUGCGGGCACCAUUGGACUCAUCGAGGUCAGAACUGUCAAGUCUGAGCUUCCUGUCGUCGUUGAUUGAAUUCCCGUCACCGUUGACUGGCAGGGGCAAUUCAGAGGACCCGCAAACGAGAAUCAACCCGCGAACGUUGUUGAUACCGAGUCUGGACAUUGUCACUAUGAGUGGAAUAUUCAAAACAUAUUUUCAUAGUUUAUUAUGAUAGUAAAGCAUAUUUGCAAAAUGAGUAUUUUAAUUAUUUCGAUUUAAUGAUUUUGUCGAAAUGGAUUUUAUUCACGAAUUGAUAUUUUAUUAAAAUGUUAGUUAAUGGAUUUCCGGAUUGAUUUUGAAUAAAUCAUGCUAGUAAUUUUAAGACUAGAAAAAAUGUGUUAGUGAAAAGAACAAUAUGAUUGAUAGUAUGAUUAAAAGGUAUAUGGUUAUGAGUAUAAAGAUUGUUUUGAAGUCAUUCGACAGUACCCUUCCCCUCCAGAUACAGUGAUACAUAUGAUAUGAGAUGAGAGGCCUUUAGGGCCCGUCUGAGUACACACAGAGGCUUUGGGCCGUGUACUUGGGCGCAUUGUCGUUUGGGGACCAGAUCAUCCAUGCACAAAUAUGAUGAGACAUGAUGAGAUAUAUGAGAUGAUACUUACCGGUCUAUCCGUGUAGCUCCGGCGCAUGAUGGUACUUAGAUAGUACAUUAUUGCCUGUUCGUUGAGGUCCGGAAAUGAGACAUGAUGAGAUAUAUGAGAUGAUACUUAUUGGUCUAUCCGUGUAGCUCCGGGGCAUGAUGGUACUUAGAUAGUAUGACAUUGCCUGUCCGUUGAAGUUUGGAUAUGAGAUAUGAGACAUAUGAGAUGAUAUUUUAUUUGAUGAACUUCUUCAAAGAUAAAAUUGAAAUAUUUUUCAAUCGAUUGUUCGCCCCAACGGUGACUAUUGAUAUGAAAAAUACGUAGAUUGAAACAAUGGUUAUACACUCAACUAAAAUUUGUUAUUAACCUUCCCAACGAAGCUAUGUUAACAAAUUUAGGCCCAAAAGGAUAACGAUAAUUAUUUAUCAUGUAUCUACAUGAAAGUAAAUAAUCUAAUGGAUAAUUGGGUCUAGUAAGUGUAGACAUGACUUCCCCAACGGAUAGCUUGUCAAAGCGGUACUAGAUUAUCGUUACAAUAAAUUAAAAUGUAUUUAUGAUUUUUUGCAUUUUUGUCAUUUAUUGUGAAUAUUGUUUCAAAGUAUUUAUGCAUGUGUAUUUUAUUUUUUCAGAAAAUGUCUUCCAUCAACCCAUUAUUAAUUAUCCUUGUUAAAAAUGAACUCACUGGCGAAAAUUAUUUAGAUUGGAAACGCAAUCUAUUUAAUAUUUUCACUGCUAAGGGAAGCAAAUAUGUGUUGACCCAGCCUUGCCCUCCUGAACCAUCGUUAUACGAUUAUAGAAAUCAGAGGGAGCCUUAUGAGAAAUGGUGCGAAGCUAACAAAAUGGCUAAGCGCUAUAUAUUGGCUUCGAUUUCUGUGGAACUGCAUAAGAAACAUCGGAGCAUGGAAACAGCCACUGAAAUAAUGGCUAGUCUUCAUCAGAUGUUUGGGCAAAAUACCCAUUUUGCCAGAGAAGCAGAAUUAAAACGUAUUACGCAUACUAAGAUGGAAGAGGGCACAAAAGUUCGUGUCAUGUCCUCAAAAUGAUGGACUAUUUGAAUGAGGUAGAGAUUCAAGGUGUUCAAAUCAAUGAUAAAUCAAAGAUUAACAUGGUGAUUGAAUCUUUACCUGAUACAUUCAAAGAGUUUAAGGCUAGCUAUAUCUUAAAAGAUAUUACCUUAAUUGAAUUAAUGCACGAACUACAUGCUAUAGAAGAAUUUUAUCAUAGCAGAAAACUUCCUGAAAAAGGAUUCUCUUCAAGGCUUAAGUCGAAAGACAAGAAUGAGCAAGCAAGAGUUGGGAUCGGCAAACUGUCCACUAAAAGAAGUGGCAAGCCAAAAGGAAAGUGUUACAAAUGUGGACAGAAGGGUCACUGGAAGAAAGAUUGUCCUAAGAUUAUUAAGAUUAUUAAAAUUAGGUAUAGGAAAUCUUUAAGCUUCCUAAUUAGUUCAGAUUUCUAUUGAUUCAUACAAUAAUGAAUUCUGAGAUAACUAAUCUUAUUUGUAAUUCAUUUAUUUGGUUUUAGAAAACCAGAGAUUAAGUGAAGAAAGCUUCAAACAGCAGUUGAAGACAUGCUAGUUUAUAUCAAUUGAAAGGCUAGAUCAAUUUUACAAGACUUAAAGUUUUGAUAUUUGUCUUUAUUUUUCCAUAUAUUAGAGGAAUUUAAUUUCGGUGACUUGUUUUAAUAAACAGGAGUACGCUGUUAUUUUUUUAUCCUCUGUUUAUAAAGACAAUUUAUAUCAUAUAAGUCCAUUGAUCUAUUCAAAGCAAGAUAUAAUAAUAAAGAGUAUAUGCAUUUAUCUAAGAAAAGAAAUGUUUCUUCAAACCAAAAUAACCUCUGAUAUUUAUGCUUAAGUCAUAUAAACUAUAAUAAGAUUUUAAGAAAAUGAUUAAUGAUAGACUUGUUGGCCUAUUAAGAUUGAUCAUUGUAACUCUAUAAAUCUUAUUUAGAAAAGUAAUAUGACAAGGAUGCUCGUUUAGAGCUAAAAGCAUAACAUUGUAUUGGAUGAUUUAGCGCAUACAAAUGUAUACGGACUAAUCAGUUUACAUGUCAUAAGAGGUUAUGAGUAUUCUAUCAAUCAUGUUGAUGAAUAUUCAUUUUAUUUAUGUUUGUCUAAAUGUGUCAUGAUUUCAUUGCUUUUGAAAUUCAAAAGAGUACGUGGAUAAGACAGAAGGAAUUAGACAGGAACAUAAAAGCACUUCGAUUUGAUCGAAACAAAGAAUAUCUCUAUGGAGAAUUCAAGCACUAUUUGAUUGUCAAUAAACAAUAUGAUACAAUAGUACAUUUAAAUGGAGAAACAAGAUUCUUUUGGAUAAAACAAGAUAUAUACUAAGUGGUUUAUCAUUUACCUUUUUUAUUCCAGAUACUAGUAUUUAAAACUACAAAGUUUAUUGAACUUAGUCUCAUCUAUCUCAGUGUCUACUACUCCAAGAAAUUAUGAAAAAGUCACAAACAUGGUUUGAGACACAUUUGUAUUUGGAGUUUACUAGUAUUUCUACUAGAAUCAGAGGUAGAGAAGAUGGAUUUGUGUUCAGAAGCUUGCAUGUUUAAGGUAUCUUAAUGGAAUAAGGGAAAGUCUAAAUUAUAGUCCUCAAGAUAGGAAUGUAUUUAUAGACAUAUUCUUUACUUUUUUUGAGGAAGACUAUAUAAUGACUUAUAACCUAAGAGUAAGGUAAAACUAGAUAAAUAAAAGAGAUCAGGUUGAUGCUCAGCUUUCAACACCUGUUAUAGAACAGGAAGAACAGUAACAACCAGCUGAUCAGCACAUGAUUAUCCUUGAAGAACCAUCACUUUUAGAACCUCGUCGUAGUGGGAGGGUAACUAGGUUACCUGCUAGAUACAUGUUAUUGAGAGAAACCUAUAUGAUGAUCUCAGUUGAACAUGUAUAAGAUCCCACUAGUUACAACGAAGCUCUAAUAGACAGAGAUGUUGAAUUUUGGAAAAAGGCCAUGAAUCAAGAAAUGUAAUCUAUGAAUUCCAAUAAAGUCUGGGAACUUGUAGAGGCACCAAAUGGGGUAAAACCUAUAGGGUGCAAGUGGAUCUACAAGAGAAAAAGAGGAGUAAACGGAAGGGUGGAAACAUUUAAAGCAAGAUUAGUAGCCAAAGGGUUUACUCAGAAAAAGGGAAUCAAUUAUGAUGAAACAUUUUCUCUGGUUGCUAUGCUUAAAUCCAUCAAGAUUCUGCUCUCCAUUGCUGCAGUGCUAGAUUAUGAAAUUUGGCAAAUGGAUGUCAAGAUUGCCUUUAUUAACGGGCAUCUUGAAGAAGACAUCUACAUGCAGCAACCAGAUGGAUUCGUACAAAAGGCCAAGAACACAUGGUAUGUAAGUUGCAGAGAUCCAUUUAUGGAUUGAAGCAAGCAUCCCGGUCAUGGAACAUCAGAUUUGAUCAAGCGAUUAAAUCGCUUGGAUUCAUUCAGAACAUUGAUGGACCAUGUGUGUACAAGAAAAUUCAGGGAAAAUUUGUAGCCUUCCUAGUUCUUUGUAUAGACAAUAUUCUCCUGAUUGGAAACGAUAUAGGAGUAUUGACUACAAUAAAGAUUUGGUUAGCAAAACAAUUUGAUAUGAAAGACCUGGGAGAGACAAGUUAUAUUCUUGGUAUCAAGUUACUACGAGACCAAAAGAAUAAAACUUUAGCUUUGUCUCAAGCAGUCUAUAUCGAUAAGAUAUUGGCUAGAUUUAGCAUGGAAAAUUCAAAGACUGGUUUAUUACCAUUCAAACAUGGAAUUACAUUCUCUAAGGAUCAAUCACCUAAAACAUCUGAAGAGAUAGAGAGAAUGAGACGAGUUUCCUAUGCAGAAGUUGUGGGAAGUCUCAUGUAUGCCAUGUUUUGCACUAGGCCAGACAUCUGUUUUGCGGUAGGGAUGGUUAGCAGAUAUCAAUUUAAUCCUGGACCUCAAUACUGGACUACAGUCAAGCAUAUUAUAAAGUAUCUGAAAAGAACUAAAAAUUAUAUGCUUGUGUAUUCUGGUGAUGAACUUAUUCUAGUGGGUUAUAUUAAUUCUGAUUUUUUGUCAGAUAAGGAUUUUAGAAAAUCAACUUCCGGCUAUGUGUUUACAUUAGGAAGUGGAGCUAUUAGUUGGAUGAGUAUGAAACAAUCUUGUAUCACAGACUCCACAACUGAAGCUGAAUAUGUGGCUACAUCUGAAGCUGCAAAAGAAGCUAUAUAGGCUCCGCAAGUUCCUACAAAAUCUUGAGGUGGUACCAGUUGUAACUACACCCCUUAAACUAUUUUGUGAUAAUGGUGGUGCAGUAGUUCAAUCUAAGGAACCACAAGAAACAAAACAUACUGACAGGAAGUAUCAUCUUAUAAGGGAAUAGUGUAGAAAAGUUAUAUGACAGUACCCCAAAUGGCAUUAGAUGCUAAAUGGCAGAUCUUAUUACAAUGGCCAUUAGUGGGAAACCUUUAUAACCUGCACUUAGAGCCCUAGAGCAUGUGCAAUAUGCCAGAUAUGCUUUGAGAGCUAGUGGGAGAUUGUUGGGAAAAUAUGCUCUUUAAAAGCAUAUGUGUUUAUUUAAUUGUAAUAAAUAUUUUUUCUGAUUAAUAAAAUUAAUGAGGUAUUUUAUUCAAAUAUCUAAUUGCAUUAAUAUUUAUAUUAAAGUCCAUUUAAUCAUAUUAUAUGUAUUUAUGUGAUCACCAUGUGGAUUCGCAGAAGACAUAAAUACAAGUUAUCUUAUGAUUAAAUAAAUUUAGUUCGCAGUUGAUAAAUAAAGUUGGGCACUUUAUUUAUGUAUAGACUGUAAUGAAUUCAUUGAAUGAUUUGUCUUAAUCAUAUAUGAAUUUAUUGAUGUAGUACAACUACAUUGAACAUGAUCACAUGUGAGAUUUAAUUAACCUUAAAAUGACUGUCAGACUUAUUAAAUCUCAUAGGCAUUGAUUUUACUGUAAUCUUAAUCUUGAGUUAGUUAUGAUUUCAUGAUUGUAAUUGUUAUUUCAUUUGAGUUACCAAUGGGCACGACACAAAAUUUGGCAAGAUUACCCGGUAUCUUAGUGGGAGCAAUUAUGAGUAUUGACGUUAUGGAUUAACAAUAUAGAAUUUGUACAACACAUCUCUUGAUGGGUUUUCGGCACUUGAUCAUAGAAUUCUCUGGCCAGAGUGUGUCAACAUAUUUAGUAUGUUGAAAAUGAUCAUUAGAGAAAACCAGUAAGUAUCAAGGAAUAAGAUGUUACUAAAUUGAUUGGACAGUUGAGAUAUCAAUUUAAUUAACGAUGUGGUACAAAGGAUUGUGCAGUAAAGAAAUCAAUGUGGCUUGGGACGAAUUAUUAUUCGAGCAUACAAUUAUGGAGGUCAAUUCCAAUCUUUUAAUGGAGUAGAUUUGGAAUUAAAUAAUUAGGCUAGUUUAAUUACAGGCCUAAUUGUUAUAGCCACUAUUGUAUGUUCCCAAAUGAUCCCCGGGUUAGCUCAUUUAAUUGACUGCACCACUACUGGAUUAAUAAGCAAGAUAACUAGCUAUUUGGGUCAAAAGCCUAAAUAUAUCAUUUAGUGGGAGGCUCCAUUUAAUUAGCUUGUGUGUAAGGGGCCUUAUGUUAUUUUACAAGGUGGGUCCCCUAUGGAAAAAGCAAGUAACGUGAGUUUUGUUUUUUAUUAUUUGGAGCCUAGGGUUUUCACUAAAGGGAGAUAUAAAAGGCUUAUUUUCUCUAAAGAAAAAUAGAGCAGCCACUUUAUACAGAUCGGAGAAAAAGAUUUUUCUCUCUAUUGUUGAGAGAAAAAUUUUCUCGUGCUAGUUGCUUUGGUAGUGAUAAAGGCGCCCACACGUCAAGUGCAGAUCGAACCUGAGUCAUAACCUGGAAGAUCAUUGGUGACAGUUCGUGAUCUAACAAGCGUGGUGGUGACGGAUCGUGAUAAAAAAGGAGUGGUGGUGGCGGAUCGUGAUCUAGGAGCCUAAAUCACUUCAACGGAAAAAGCCAAAUCGAAUUUUCAAGGUACGAUUUCAAGAUUACAAAUUCUUAUAUAUUAUAUAAGAGCGAUCUUCAAAAGGUUUUAUAAAAAAUUUAAAAACCUAAUUUUUCCCAAUAGCUUGCCCUUAACUCUGUCUCUAAAUCAGCAGAAGAUAGGCCAACAAUUAAUGGUUCAUAUGGCAAAACCACUUACAAAAUUGUAUCACUCUAGUUAUUCUCAUUAUUAAUACUUUUUAAGCUUUGACUGUUUAGUUUUAUACAAAGUGAGUGAAUUGUGGGACCUUUAUUUUGAUUAUGGAUCUUUCCUUCUACGUAUCUUGUUGAUACUUUAUGUUUCUCUAAUUGCACCAACUUUAGUUAAGGCAAUUAAAGAGCUAAUAGUGAUUUGUUUGAAGAAAAAAAAUAUUCUUUUUUUACUUUUACAUUAUCUGAUAAAGAAUUGUUAUGAAAUGAUUGGCUUAAGUUUCAAGUGAUUAUUUAGGACAAAUGUUAUGCUUCAGUUUACUUUAACUUCUUGAUAGUUCAAUGGAACACAAUUAAAAGCUUUACACCAUCGGAGUAAAUGUGAUGAAUCAAUGAUUGUAUGAGUCUUGUGUUAAGUCAAAAUCAAUUAUUUAGGACCAUAAUUGAUAGCCCCGAGGGCACGAUGCAUAGUAAUGUAUGGCUUCGUUUAUGUCACAAAUGUCACAUUAAUCAUUGAACACAUGGUGAUGAGGAUUACUAUUAAACUUUCAAUGGCAAAGUUUCAAUUUAUAGACUGUCAUAUCAAAGCUCUCUCUCAAGCUUUUAAAGGCAUUGGGUUUUCCUUAGCUGAACACACUUGAAUUGGCAAGCUAGAGAUACAACUUUUAAUACUCUAUUUCUUUUUCUUCAGUUACUUUGCGUGUAAUUUACCUCUAUAUUUUUUUUUCCAAUGAUUUCAUUCUAGAAUUACAAGUUGUACUCCUUGUUUUAUCUUGCUUUAACUCAAUAAAAGCAUUUUAUUGGCUUAUGAAUAGGUGUUAGAUGAGUUCUUUUUUGAGAAAUAAAAUCAAGCCACUACUAGAAAAAUGGUCUUUACUGACACUUGGUUUGUGACAAUUUUUUAAAAAGUAUCAGUAUGUUCAUACAUAUGGACCAUUUUCCAUGUUUAACAUAAAAAUAUCACAAAUUACUGAUAGUAUAGUGUUUGUAACUUAGACAUCAGAGAUUUCUGACAUUAAGGUAUCAGUAAUAAAAAUAAAGUAAUUCUAAUUAAGUUCCAAAUAAAACUCGAACCAAGGACCUCUAGUACUCAAGCGUUUAAGUUCCCAAAAAAAGACCAGGACGUCCAAAUCUCAAAUUUUCUAAUUUAGAAAACUAACUACUAAACCAAACAUUAAUUUUUUUUUAACUUUUAAUUUAGAGAAAAUUUUUAAUCUAUCUCGUCCCUCCUAAACUCCCUAAAUCUAAAAAACCAUAACUUCACCAAAUUCACAAAACUCUAAUCUAACUGCGUCGUCUUAUCAACCCCGACUCUUCUCUCAGCCACUCCUCUCUUAUCUUUAUCUUACAAUCCAACACAAUCUCUUACUAUCUAACUCAAUUUUUCCCUCUCAAUCUUGCCUCUCUUCAACUACCCGAAGGAGAAAGGAAAACAAAGAAGACUCGCCCAUUUGAGUCGUUGCGAGCCGAAAAGCGUACUGACGAGCGCGUUUCGAUCCGCGAAGGCAAUCGCUCGAAUGUUCCCCUAACCCAACCCGGGAACGGAACAGACUGGAGGGAACCACAGUGAAUCAUCGCUUUUGGGCGCAGGCAGCCCUCUACCAUCCAUCCCAUUGCAUUCCAUCGUCUCGCUGGCUCAACUGAACAAUACAGGUUUCGCUUCCUCUCCCUUGCGGUUGAGCCUGCUCUCGAUCCAACUUAAUUUUUCCCUCUCAAUCUCGCCUCUUUUUAAUCCAUAACCUUAAAAUCUUUCUAUUACAAUCCAACAGAAUCUCACGCGGCCGUGAAAUUCUAGCCACUUUUUUGCCUAAUGCCAAUCUUCGUCAUCGAGAAAAAUGAUUUGAGGGUUUAAUUUAGCUCCAAGAUCAUGGACGGAUGCCUUGGUCAAAGUUAAAGAGUGUUGUUAGAGGUUGUUUAAAGAAGAAGAAGCAGAAGCACCACUUAGGUGAAGCAGUUGUAGAUCUGGGCAUGGUAAAUAAAUAAGGUGAGCAUUAGCUAAAUAAUUAAUAAUUAUUAAAUAUUCUCUACUUAUAUGUGAAUUUAGUAAGAAAUUAAUUUAGUUCUUUUUGUUGAAUUUUAAGUAGGUUUACUAAUUCUUUUAUUUUUAUUCAGUUAAUACACGGUUUUAGAAUUUUUUUUUCCACGUUUUGAUUUAUUGAUAUGUGAAUGGUAAAAGUUGUGUUAGUCAUUCAUAGUUUUUAGAGACUGGUAUGGGGUCUGCAAAGUGUUUGAUGAGAUGCUUGUGAGAAUUGUUGGGUGCGUUUCAAUUAGUUGACAUGGUUAGCAAAUUAUAUGCUAACAGGGUACCCAAAUCUCCCCCUUCUCUUCAGGGUAAUUCCAUGCAUUUCUUCUUCCUCUGUUUACACUCUCCUCAUUAUUUUUGGUAGAUAUGUCAUUGUUCUAUAUUAAUGUGUACAAGAUUUCUAUUUUUGGGUUUUGUGUUUCUUUUAUGAUCUUGCUUAUCUACUCUUUCGAAUGGAUGAACAAAAUGUUAUUGGAGGAGAUAAGCAGCUGGUUCACUAGGGGGAAAAAAGUUGUUAGCUUUUGAUUGACUCGUUGUUUUGAGAACGAAGUACCUCUGUUUUUAUUAUAUACAUUAAACGGAAAAAGGCUUAAGCUUUUAUGAAUAAAAAUUCUUACUUUUGCUGUGUACUUACUCUUUGUGAUGAGAUUCUUCUGCUUUGAUUUUGUUUUGGAAGAAAGCCUGGGAUCAGUGAUGUCAAUUAGCACAAGUAGAAAAUGAUAAUAUAAUGUUUUACGUGUCUUUCUUUCAUAGUACAUGGAAACUAUGUAUGAGUGCGUAAGAGAGAAAUCAUGAAAUAAAUAACUUGGCGAUGACCGUGUCGUCGUCGACGGUCUUGUCAUCAUCGGCAGUGGUACUGUUGAGAGAAGAAAGAAAGAACCUUUGAUUCAAGGUGGGGAAUUGUGAAGAUGGCUAGUGAAUCAAACUAGUUCUCCAAAAAUGACAAUGUUUGAGACCUGAGAAGCAUUAUAAAGUUAUGUGCUACUCAUAUUACAUAUAACAUAAAAUCGGUGUUUUGGUCAAUAACUUAAGUAACCACAUAAGAAAGCAAGUUAGUUAAGUUUGUUGACCAUGUGUCAACAAACUGUACAAUCUAAAAAUAAGCUUGUUAUUGAAAUAGGGUAUAUAAGUUGGUUCUGAGAGCUAUCUUCGGGUGUGAUUCUAGGGUCAUGUAGAAAGAGAUUUAAGAUAGAGAAAGCAUCAUCUUGUUCUCUGUAUUGUUUUUGGUAUAAGGCUUUGUAACUGACUCCAUUUUUUAAUCAAUAAAAGCUCGUAUAAAAGCUUUCCCCAUGUAUGUUGGAUGAGCAUUUUUUAUGCACAACUUAACCACAUUAAUCUUUGGCAUUCUUUGUAUUUUUUAUAGUUUGUGUUUUUUAUUAUUUCUAAUCAAGAUUCUUGUUGCUAUAUUGAUUAUGAUUUGAUAUGUUUAAUCAUGUAUUUGUGCAAUAUAAAUUGAUUUAAUCAAUUUGAUCUUGGGCAAUGAUCAAUUUUGUUUAGUUCAAGAACAAGUUGGUUACUACAUGUGAUCCUAUCGGUAAUUUCUCUACUAAAGAGCUCAAGUCAGCAACAAAUAAUUAUGAUACAUAAAAAGUUGGAACACUGAAAAUGGACAACGAGUUCUACAAAACCACCUAGUUUCUAUCAUGAAGUUUGUAGACUCUGAUUAUCCACAAGAAUUUUGUUCUUGUUUUAUUACUCUUGUAUUUAUAUCACAAAUGAGCCACAAAAUGUUUCAAGGUUGAUUGGUUGCUGUCUACAAACUCAAAGACCCAUUCUAGUUUUUUAAUCUAUUGAGUAUGUGUUAAAGGGGCUUGGCCUAAGCUUUCUAGGUAUCCAACCCAAAAAAUUAGACUAUUAGGUGGAGUGACCUAUCCUACAUAUAAAUCAAGUAUCUCCCCUUUACUAGUUAAUGUGGGAUACAACUCAAUAAUUUCCCCUGAAAAAAACCACUAUAAAACUUUGAUCCUUUCAUCUGACACAUUUGAGUUGUUCUACCACUACAUUCUAGCUAAUAGGGUCUGGCUCUAAUACUAAUUGUUAAGAGAACUUGGCCUAGAAUUUCAAAGUAUCUAACCUAAAAGACUAGCCGAUUAGGUGGAGUAACCCAUCCUACUUAUAAAUUCAAGUUUCUCCUCUUUACUAACCCAUAUAGAAUACAACUAAUAAUCAUCCCUUGGACGAAACCACUAUUGCACUCUGGUCUUUUCAUUCGACAUACCUGAGUUGUUCCACUAUUACAUUCUGGUUAUUAGGGUCUGGCUUUGAUAGCAGAUGUUGAAAGGUCAACUUAAAAUGGCUUGCUAAUGGUGCUUAAACAAGUUUGGAAUCAUUAAUACCAAACCUUAGUAAAACUUUCUUGAUAUAGUACUGCUAAGUUAAAAAUAUAACUUUCUUUCUCCUAUCUUUGAUUAUUUCUAUCCCUAGAAUCUUGUUUGCAGCUCUAAGAUCUUUCAUUUCAAAUUCACUACUCAAAGACCCAAAAACUAUUGCAGAGCAAUAGAAAAUGACAAGAUUUCCUUACUCUAGCUCUAUUGGGAGUCUUAUGUGAUUGUAGUAAGCAAAUUUAUGACUAAUCCAAGCUAUGAACAUUUGAGAGUAGUAUAGUGGUUAAUGAGGCUCCUGAGGGCACUGUAGAGUAUGGUUUCAUGUAUGGUGGAUCGAAAGAUGAAGAAUGCAUUUGGAUUGGUUGUGUUGAUUCUGACUUUGCAGGGCACCUCGAUAAAAGAAGAGGUUGUGUUGUAAACUAAAAGGCUACAUUACAUAGUGUGGUUGCAUUAUAUAAAUUGGAGGCUAAGUACACAACUAUUGCAGAAGCUUUCAAGGAGGCUAUUUAAUUUAAUGGAAUGGUCAUUAAACUUGGAGCAAAGUAAGAGUCAGUUAAUGUGUAUUAUCAUAGUCAAAGUGCAAUGCAUCUAAACAAAAAUCAGACUACUCAAGAAAGAACAAAGCAUAUUGAUGUGAAGUUGUAUUUUAUAAGAUUAGAAGUAUUAACAAGAAGUGUGAAGCUUAUGAAGAUACAUACAUAAGAAAAUCAAGCUGAUAUGCUUACCAAAGUUGUACCAUCUGCUAAGUUUAAUCUUCGCAUGAACUUAACAAAGAUUUGUAGGUUUUAAUGGCUACAAGUGUUGAGGAAGAUAGCUGACGAGAGUAGUUAAAGUUAUGAGUUCAAAGUGGAGAUUGAUAAGUAUGAACUCAAAACUCAAAUGACCGGUAUGUAAUUUUGAGGAUUCAUGCUUGUAUGACAUAUCAUUGUUAGAGUUGUAGUGUAGAACCAAUGUGGUUGAGUGUUCUUGUGAACUCAAAUGCUAUUGGUGUCAAUGUACAAAUGUACACAAUAAGUAAUAUGAUAAUAAGUAUUCAAGAUCGUCUACACGUGGAUUGAUGUUACCAGAUUUAAUACAUCAAUCUGUAACAGUGCAAUGAUUGUUCUAAAUUUAAAUAAGAAAAUUGAUAAAAUUAAAUGACUAACUAAAAUAUAAAAUGCAAUAAUUAAAAAUUCAAUAAAUUAAAUUCUCACGUCAAACACAAAAGUAACCAAUGGGAAUGAAGUAGUUGAGUGAUUAAACUUUCUUAAUGGUUUUGACUAUUUCUUGUAAUUUCCGGUUCAGUUGCUAUAGCAUCUGCUACAGCACUGGGCAGAAUCCUUAUAUAUCCUUAGCUGUGGCAUGUUGGAUGUCUUAUAUCUAUAUACAACCGAACAGUGACCAAUUGUUAUGCCAACAUAAGAUAUAGCAUUACACACUUAGAAUCUAUUUACUCUAAAAGGUAAAUCCUUAUGUCUAGUUCAUCACUAAUUUUAGAUUAAGCACGACCCUUUGGAAUCACGUGAAACUCAACUCAGGAAACCAAAUCUAAAAUCAAGUAUUGCUCUGAUAUAUUCCAUUAAGAUAGGCCAUUUUUUGGCUCUUUCUUAGCUUGUAUCAUUAAAUGGGUGGUCAACCGAAAUAAUGAAUAGAAUAAGCUUUACCAGAACAAAAUGCUAUAGCAAACAUGCAGCAACAUAUAAACUUAGUCAAAAAACCAUUAAGAUUAUCUAUCACUCAACCACAAUUAAAUUAGUUCAUGGUUUGCGAAAGAACAAUAAAUAAAUGAGUUUCAGUCAUUAAAUACAUCCCAAUUAAUAAACAGAAAACAAGAGAAGAAUAAAAAAGGUUGAAUUCCCGAUUGAUUUCUGCAAAUUCUCCUUGUUGUAGCCCUUAGUUUAAAUCUUUAAUUCUCUUUUUGUUGGUUAUUUAUACUCAAUUGCUAUUAAUGUCAAUGUGCAAGUGUACACAACAAGUAAUAAAGUGAUGAAUAUUCAAGAUCGUCUCCACAUGGACUGAUGUUACUAGAAAUGCUACAGCAAUCACGAUAGUGCAAACUUCCUUUAGUUCAAGAGGAAUCUAGUUAAAGUUGAUUACUAUCGAAAUUAACAAUUGUAAGAAAAUAAAACAAAUAAAUGAAGUAAUGAAUUAAACUAUAUGAAUUGCGUAAAAAGAAUUUAAUGAGAAUGAAGUAGUUGAAUGAUCAAACUCUCUUCAUGGGCUGACUAUUUUUGUUCAAAUUAACACCAGUUGCUACAGCAAUUACUACAGCACUGGGCAUAAUUAUUUUGGACUUCUCAUACCCUUAAGCACCCUAACAAUGAUCAGUUGUUAUUCUACCUAAGGUAUGGCAUUAUGAACGUACACUCUCUCUACCCUACAAGGUGAAUUCCUAUAUCUAGUUCUUCACAAAUCUUAACUAAAGUGUGGCCCUUUUGGGACUCAAGUCAAACUCAAUCCAGGAAACUUAAAUUAAGAUAAAGUAUUACUCUAAUAAUUUCCUCUAAGACAGACUCUUUUGCGGCUCUCUCUUAACUUGAACUAUUAAAUGGGUGCUCAACCGAAAUAAUGAUUGUAAUAAAAGCUAUCAAAGUAAAAUGUUACAACAAUCUUGCAACAACUCAUAAGAACAGUCAAAACUCAUUGAGAUUGUUUGUCACUCAACUACAAUCAAAUUUAGUUCAUACUUUGAAAAAGAAAAACAAACAGCAAAGUAGCAGCCAUGAAAUACAUCGGUUCAAUCAAAGAAUAAGAAAAGGAACAAGUAAAGAACGAUGAAAAUUGAAUCCAAAAAUAGUUCUGCUAAUUUCUUCACUGGUGCAAACUUGUUUUCCCUUGAACUUUGAUUUUUCCUCUUGAUUCCUUCGAUGUUAAUUCCCCGCCGCUUUUUCAUAUGAUGCGUGCUCUUUUUAUAUCUGAAAACUAGGGUAAACAGAAUCCUAGGGCGCGCAUAAGUCAGAUUAGAAAACUGCAGAUCGCGAUUUUGCAUAUAUCCCGCGCUAAAUUUUCUCUGUCGUUGUUCCAGAAUUGCUACAACAAUGGUUGCUCCAGCAACGACUACAACACUACAUUGUUCCAGAUUUUGUUUCAAUUCUUUUGUAGCCAUGUUCUUCCUCCUUUUCGCAAGCCUAUUGCAUCAGCAUUCCUUCCGUGAAAUAUAAGCUUCUGGAUACCUACACUUAUGCACACAAUUGGAGACGAAUUACUCUAAGUCAAGUAAAAUUUAGUAAGAUUAAACUAAAAUGAAUGUUUAUGCAAAAUGUAACAAAAAUGCAAUAGAAACACAUCAUUUACUCUCUAAGUAAUCUUGAUUUGAGUCUAGAAUUGCUAUAAUAACUCUCAUUUCAUAGAGUUAUCACUUUUCAUAUUGGGCACAUAGUAAACAUUCAAAAUUAUUUGGUGGCUACCAUCUUUUGCACGAAAAAGAAUGUUACCUCUACCCUUCACUGGUACUUUUGAAUCAUCUCCAAAAGCAACAAUGCCAUUCACAUAUUCAUUUAGUUCCAUAAACAUGCUUCUGUUUCCGUUUCCGCUCAUAUGAUUGCUAGCACCUGUGUCAAGAUACCGUGUAUUUUCUUGACCUCCACUUGUGUCAUUGCGUGCUAGUAAAAGAGUGUCAUCUUUACCAUUUUUCUCUUCAACAUAAUUCACUCUCUCAUCAACUUUGGUACUUGGAGCUCUACAUUCUGAAGCAUAAUGCCCAAACUUUUGACAAUUAUAGAAUUGUACUUGGGAUUUGUCAUACCUUGAUCUUGGAUUGCCUCUACCUCGUCCUCUGGUUGAGCUUUCUCCUUUGGCAUAAUUGGAGUUGCUGUUGUUGAAAUUCCAACCUCUACCUCAGACAUAGUGCCUUCUCUCAUUGUCGGAACUUUCUUCUCUUUUUUUUUUGGAUUGACUUCCAUCUUGAGAAGUUGUUCUUCAAUUCCUUGCUUCUUUUUUAUAUUUUUCUUCAUAGGCUUGCAACCUUCCUUGAAGUUGCUCGAUCGUCAUAUCUUUCAAAUCUCUUGUUUCCUCAAUUGUCACAACAAUAUGGUCAAACUUCGAGUCUACUGAUCGAAGUCUUUUUUCAAUGAUCCUUACCUCUUUUAACUCCUCGCCAUUUCUUUUUAAUUCAUUGGAAAUGGUCACAACCCGAGUAAAGUAGUCAAAAAUUGACUCUGACGCCUUCAUGUGUAAGGACUCAAAUUCUCUUCGUAAUGUUUGGAGAUGAACUUUCUUAACUUGCUCCGCUCCUUUGUAAGAGGUCUCUAGUUUCUCCUAUACUUCUUUUGAGGAGGUUGUACUAACAAUCUUUUCAAAAGCAUCUUCAUCUAAUGAUUGAAAGAUGCGAUACUUUGCUUUAUUCUCUUUCUUCUUAAAGUCUUUUAAAUUCGCCUUCUGCGCCGUAGUUAAAGUGGCUUCAUUUUCUGGCACAAUAAAGCCUUUUUCCACGACAUCCCAUAUGCCAUGUGCACCCAAUAGAGCCUUCAUUUUAAUACUCUAGUUGUCAAACUUCCCUUUAAUUGUGGAACUUGAAAUGACAUCAUACUAGUAUUUGCCAUAACUCACAAAUUGAUUGAGAAUUUGGAGAUUCUGAAUGCACAGAUAGAUCCGGCACGUCGAAAAACCUUGGGAGGAACUCGAGUCAACUUUCGGUCAACAGUCAAUGUCGGUUUGGUUGACUUUGUUCUGUCCGGCUUGGUUCGGCUCGCGUUGGCUCGGUUCGACUUGAUUCUGUUCAGCUCCGCUCGGCUUGAUUCUGUUCGGUUCAGUUUGGCUCGGUUCGGUUCAGCUUGCUUCAACUCAGCUCGAUUCGGUUCAGCUUGGUUCAACUCGGUGAGUCGACUUAGUUUCAGGACAGAAAAAUUCCGGCGGCGAGUGUGGGAGCGUCCGGUCUCCAAUCGGGAUGAUCUUUAUGGUAUCGCGUACCUCUCGUCGAGAGCUUCGAUUUAAUAUGCUAUACGGCUAUAUAUAGCUUCGAACACUAGCUCUGAUACCACUUUGUUGGAGAAUUAACAAAUAAAACACACAAAAAACACACUAUGUUAUUUCUUCAACAACACUCCUCACCAAAUACAACUCUUAUUUUUCACUCUUUACAACUUAGAGAAUUUUGUUACUUCACUUGAUGCAUAAACCAAAGGGGAGAGGGGGUAUUUAUACAUUAAACAAACUAAUCACAACCAUUUAAAUAAGAAAUUACAAAAAAUUAAUAACCAUUCAUCUUCACCUACCAAAUCUACCACACCUAACACAAAUAAUUCAAAUCUCACCAACCAUACCUACUCAUGGAACCUUCCAUGAGUUGGGCUUGAAUUUAUUUAUCUUGGAUCAAGUUUAUGAUCCAACAGAUCAUACUACGUUUCAUUAGUUGCAUCGGUAAUCUUUACGUUGGUGAAUUGUUUUUUUUUUUUUUUGGCCGUUGUAUUUACUUCAUAGUCAUCUUCAUGGUUAACUCACUAUGUCUUCUUGACUAGGUUCUUGGCUUUUAUUUAAUAAAUGUCUAGUAUUGUCGACGUUAUUCCAAAAAAAAAAAGAAAAGAAAAAAAGAGUGACUGUUUCAUCCCUCAUAGAUGUUUUUGUCAGAAUCUAUAGCAUUCUCCAUGAAUUCAGAAACAAUUACCCGAAUCCAUACCUGUAGCACGCGAAAGUGGAAGUGGAAGAACCAAGGUUGAAUCACCAUUCAAUUUGGUCGGAAAGCAAUCACAAAAUUGGAAGUCUUCUUAAAUCACAGCAUAAGAAAUUUAUAUGCAAUGGGGCUCGAAUUAUAGAGUUCCCAAAAGUCUAAAGUGAGUUCUCUGCACUUUUCAAAUCUCAACAAUAUUUUGUUCUUCGUGCUUUUAUAUCUACACAUAAAACUAAAUUCUGUGCAAUUCUUAUUUUAUGUGCGUAGAGAGAGAGGAAAAAAAAAAAAGGAGGUAGAGAGGUUAGUGAUAACCACCAUGAUUCAGCUUCCUUUCAUCUUUUCUUUAUUUAUACGCUACUGCUAGUAAUUACUCAAGUGGUAAUUACUUCUAUAUGGGUUGGGUCCGAUCGGUUCAUCUUGUGCAAACCAUCUGGCAACUCCCCUAAGUCUAUCAAGUUGAUUUACUACUUACAUUCCCACUAGAAUUUUAAUUAUUUGCUUCAUCCCUACCAUUAGAAAUUAACGGAAGUAAUUGUGAAAGUAAGCAUAAAACAAUCAUUCAAAGUGUGAUAUUUUUAAAAAUUCAAAAUUAAAAUCUGAAAUAAGUUGUUAGGAUUAGAAAAAAAUUGAAAAAUGAAUGGUUUUUUUUUUUUGGAGCUAAACAGACCAAUCUUUUCCAUUUUCUCUUGGGUUAUAUUUCUGCACAAACAAAACUCUUCUCUUACCCGUGAAAUACUGUGUCACUCAUGAAACCCUUUCUCUUGUAGACAACAUCAAACCCAAAAAUCACUCACGACCGUUAACCAUCCAUACAUUCUGUUGUUCGAGACGUUUGUUUGAUGUGUGGCACAGCAUUUUGAUCGAAUCAGAUCGGUGAAAAUCAGUGGAGAUGGCUCCAAAAUCCUUCGAGGUUAGUUGUUCUAGGUAAACCUACCUUCAUUAUAUAGAAAAAAAUUAUUGUUGAUUUAUCUUUAUAAAUUGUAUAUGUUCGUAUAAAUAAGAAAUAAAGUUGAAAGCUUUACCUGUUUAAAACUACGAAGAUUUUGAAAAAUGAAAUGGGUAUUGAUAUGUAAUGGGUUUGAAAUAUAGAAGUACUAGAACCCCUUUACUUGAAAUGUCAUGAAAUCCUAUAAUGAGGGAUAGAAUUGUAAACGGACAAACUAUUGACUUUAUCUGUUAUCUUUUGACACAGAUGUAAUAGGUAAUUAAAACUCUAGUGGAGAUGUAAGAGGUAAAUAAGACAUAUCUAUCAAGGAUGAAACAUUUAUUUUCCCCCUCAAACAAAACAGAUGUUGGAGUUUCCUUAGCUUUCCAAAUUGGUGGUACAACAUGGAGUAGCUUCUGGACUUUUAUUUCAUAAACAUCUUGCAUUGUCGAGGUUAUUAAAAAUAAAUAAAAUAAAAUAAAAAUCCAGUGGUCGGAGCUUCCUUAGGCUCUCCAAAAUCACUAAUACAACAUGAUAUGUGUUUUAAGCGGAUUUUGGUUGCCAGGAAGAUGGAUAAAAAUCUCACCAAAACAAUGAAUUUUUUUUUAGGAGUUCAGGGUACCUCACUAAAUCGUGGCAUAGGGGGCUGUUUUAGGCUUUAAGGGAGGUGAAGAAGAAGGGUGCCCAGGGUGGAUAAUGGCGAGAAGUCUAAAACGGAGUGAGUUGGUUUGAGAUAGUGUCAGCACACCUGCAAAAUAGCCCAGGUAGGUUAGAGGUGGAGUCGACAGUGGCCGGUGACCACACUCCGAUGCUCAAGUCAGCUACUUAAAUUUUUAUGGAGGUGAGAGCUUGCAAGCUCUCUAAAAUGAAGGCUGAAGGUUGAAGAAGUACAAGGUUCUACGUUCAGAGAAUGUUAUCAUCCUGUCAUCCUCAUUCUCAAUCUUGGCAUUCCCUCCAUGACUUCACUUUGUCGGAUUCUUUACAGAAGAUUCUAAUGGAUUCUCUAAUUAUUUGUUUCAUUGAUAUUUUUCUUUCUUAUAGUUAGAUUCUUUCAAGCAUUUUAAUAAUUUGCCUGCAGAACUUUGGCUACGUUUUGUUGUGGCACCAUGCACUGUUUGAGAAGCAAAGCGAAAUACAACCUUCUGAUUGUUAUCAUUUUCUUUGUCUUAGACCGUCGAGGUUUCUUAAAAAUAAAUAAAUACGAUAGUAUUUAAAAACUUAAAGGACAUAUUACAUAUAAGCUCAAACACUAAUUUUUCAGAUAUUUUAAUUAGUUUUAGAAAAACAAACAAUGUAACAUUUAUAAUCAGAUAUUAAACAAUGAAAAACGAACAUAUCAUUUAAACUUAUGCAUUCAGUCAUAUUCCGAAUUCAAAAAUUCAGAAACCAUUUGCAACAACUUUAAUGGAGAAGUGACCAACUAAGAAAGGCUUGCUAGUGAGAUCACUGCAAUGCCAACCUCAGCGCCAGUGAGAAUAACAAGCUCGCUUGCCUUUUUAUAGAUCCCGGAUCUACGCUUGGAGAAUGUACUCAUCUCCUGUCACCUCAUUUUCAAUCCUCCUCUUCUCAAUCUUUUGAAGAAGUUAAAGGUUGACAUAAAGAAGAUUGAGAAUGAGGAUGACAGGAUGAUAACAUUCUCUGAACGUAGAUCUGGGAUCUACAAGAAAGCGAGUAAGCCUGUCACUCUCACAGGCGCCUAGAUUUGCCAUUAUGGUAGUCUCACCAUCUGGCGAGCCUUACUCCUUUGGUCACCCCUCCAUUGAAGCUGUUGCAAACCGUUUCCUGGGAUUGAACCAGCAGCCUAAUGACAACAGUCACCCUCUUGCUGAGGCUCGACGCCAAUUACCCUCUUUCCAAUACAACAAAAAAGUAUUUUUUCCUUUUAUUUUUCAAUUAGUAAUGUUAAAGCUUGAACAAGGUUUAAGGAAAAUAUCAAGAUAUUUAUAGGGAAUAGCGCGUAAAAUACACCUACGCUCGUGAGCGCGUGCAUGUGUUUAUGCAUAUGUAAAUGUAAACUUAGUUAUGUUCUUUCAAAAUUUACCAACUCAAGCUCUCCAAAUUACUAAUUCAAGCAUCUUACAGAUUAUUUUACCAAAUUAUUGAGAACUAGAAAACAACAACAUUAAUUAUAAAAAAUCUAAGCGUAUCUGACUAAUUCUACCUACUAUACAAGUUACCAAUUGCCUUCUAAGGGCUUGGUCGAGUGGUUUUCAAAUAGUUUUAUUUAGUUGGUCAUCAAAGUUCAAAUUUUGGGCAUGUAAAAGGUUAAAAAAUUGAUUGAGGUAUUGCCCACCUCUCUAUCUUCGAAAAAAAAAAGCAAAAAAAAAUGUGCCCAAUGGGCAUGGCCAAGUAAUUUUCUAAUAGUUUUAUUUGAUUGGCUGCCCAAGUUUGAAUCUUGGAAGGUAGGGUUAAAAAAAUUAAUUUAGAUUUACCGAUUACCCUUAAAAAAAAAAAGCAAAGAAAAUUUUGAUUUUGAUUUAGACUAAAUAUAAACUGAUUUUAAGGGUAUAUUUUUCUUGAGUCCUCGUUUGUAGAAAGAAAUUCACACCAAAAUUUUUAAAAAUACAUUACUUAAGUCCUUGUCAAUACAAAUUUGUCUCCUUCAAGUUCUUGAAUGAAUUUCAUAAUUAAAAAAAAAAAUAGCAUUAUGUCAUUUUACUCAGAUUUAAGCGUUCAGUCUUCUUAUUUUUAAUUUUAUGCAUGACAGUGCCAAGGUUUCAAGCUGACUAAGGUUAGAAAACCUCAGCUUUUAUAUUACUUGUUCUUUCCUAUUUUAACAGUUUCUUGUUGCUCAACCCUACUUCAUAAUUUUACAGGGUCCUUUGCUAUUAUAACCCCUCGUUCAACUUUAAUUUGCCGAUGAAGGAUCUUGAAAGCCAAUAUAUAGACUUGUAUAAAGACAUAAGAUAUUGCGCUGAAAGUGAGAGAAAAAAAAAAUACUCCUGAAGUUAAAAAAAUCUAAAGUAUUUAGUUGAAAGUGGGGACUUAUAUGUAUAGGGAAGAAAAAUAUGUGAUGAUAAAUAAUGUGAAAAACCUUCAAGUAUUUUGGUGUUAAAUCUAUUGUAAUUAUUGAGCAAUUGAAUUAAUUUUUUAAACUGUGAAAAAAUAACAAUUAAUAAACUCAGAUAAAAUAAGCUUUAAACCAUUAAUGUGAAAUAUAAGGUUAUAACUAGCCAGUUGAAGACAUGAAUAAAAUCAAUUUCAAUUUAGAAAAAUUAAAGUGACAUUUUAACAAACUAUGGUCAUGAGUUUCCUUCUUUUUUUCUUUUUUUUUUUCUAUUUUCUCCGCUUUCUCAAAACACAUAAUUAAUAAGCAAGAGCAAACACUUUGUACGCUUUAAUAUACUUGAAUGUAAUUAUGUGACUGCAUGUGUGGUGAAGGAAAUAAAAUCUAUAAUUUUCAAGAAUUAGCACUUAAAGGUCUCAACUAAAUACCCUUAUUUUGUUCCUACAUUACUUCCACUUACGGAUUAUUAUUUUGACAAUAUUGGAAGGCUUCAUUACUUCCAUAUAUGGACUAUCAUUGUACUAUUAUUAGAAGGCUUUUUUAAUUUGUUACCCAAUUAGUCUCACACGUGUAAUUAUGGUACUUCAAUGCUUCUUUUUUUUCAUAUCAAUUAAUCAUUCUUAAAUUUUUUUCCAAAAAUAAUUUUUUUGCUAGAUUUUUUAAGUGAUAAUAUCAUCACUAUAGAUGAUAUAUUAUAAUAUUAACAAUAGUUGGUGUGGCAGACAACCGGGACAAACUCUAUUUAUUUAUUUUUUUUUUAAUUGCACGUACCUUAAUGAAGCUCAAACUCAAGACCUGAGUCCUAAGGAAGCAGCUCCUUACCACAACUUGGCCUCAACUCAAGCGAACUCAUCUCUUCAAACUGGAAUACAACUUUAUCAAAGCCUAAUCAUUUCAUUAAGGUCCAACUGUGUCACCCCAAAGACACCGUAAAAUAAUUUAUUAAUUUUUAAUAAUUUUCUAAUUAUUUAAUAGUCAUUAUUCUUUUCGUUAGCCUUUUGUUUUCAAUUUCCACUGCUUUCAAUUUCCGCUGCGGUAGUCAUAUUCUGUUGAAUAAACAGAAUGAGAGAAUUCUCAUUUCAUAUACCUAUUUUUGGCACGCUCACGAAAAAGAGUCAUUUUAUCACAAAGUACUCACCGAGUAAUUUUCAAAUAAUUUUAUUACACUACCACCAAAAUUUAAAUUCCAGAAGUAAUAGUUGGUGUUGUAAGUCAGGUUUGCGAAGUGCUGGAUGUUCAAGCCACUUCUGACCAUGGGAUGUAUUUAGGUCUUACCUCUUGUAUUGGCAGGAAGAAAAAAGUUGUGUUCCAAAACAUUCGGGACAGAGUUUGGCAGAGAAUUCAAGGAUGGAGUACGAUGAUGCUAUCUAGAGCUGGCAAAGAGAUUUUGCUGAAAACGGCGGUGCAAGCAAUGCCUAACUAUGCCAUGAAUGUCUAUCUCCUCCCUCUUGAUCUUUGUAAAGAGCUUGAGAUCAUGAUGAAUUUGUUUUGGUGGGGUAGUAAACGCAGUGUUAGCCGAAGGAUUUUGGAGGAAUAGGUUUCAAACAACUACAUAUCUUCAAUGUAGCAAUGUUAGGAACUCCAAUGAUGUUUAGGGAUUUAUGCGGUUAUGACUCACCAUCUAUUAUCAAGUAUCUUUAGCAUAUUACCAAUGACUUGUUUACGUAUGCAAUAUGAAUUUCCAUUUUAAUGAGAUAAAAUUUGCCUUGUUAUGAGAGAAAAAGCCGCCAUAUGUGAUUGAUGCAAGCUUUUAUGGCAUGUGACAAAAUUGUCUCAUCUAGAUUAUCGCACUACUCAAAGUGAAAAUAAAGUGUGGAGGAUAAUUCACUUACAACAAUUUUGCAAAUCACUUGUCAAAUGCAUUUAUAGAUGGAUCUAACGUAACCAAGUCAUGUAUACCACAUGUAAAUGUAUCUCACCAAGUAGUUGUUCCUAUUGAAAAUUUUGAUAAAAAUAGCUAAUUGAUUAAUCUAAGGCACACCUAAGGUAUGGUAGACCACUUCGUUUAAAAGAUAAUAUUCAACUAAAAUAAAUAAAAAUAAAAGGUUAGGAUUUUGUUAAUCAGUUGUAAGUAAAAGUGCUACUUCAGAAGAAUAGGUCCUCUCCUAUGUGCCUACAGCGACACUACCUUCUGAAGAGACAAAUACCUCAGAUGUAAGCCAACCUCUUAAUGUAGCUAAGAAUGAAGAAAAGUUUGCAAAUUUUACUCACAAAAUGGAAAGUGUAUAAUCAUAACAAAAAAGCUAUUGACAAUGCUUAUUCAUUUACAAUAGCUACUGAUUUGAUAAAUGAUGAUAUUGACUAAUAGUCCAUUGACGAAUUUAGACUAAGAAAUGAUUGGCCCAAAUAGGAAGAAGCAAUCCAUGUGAAAUUGAUUUUCUUAGCAAAACAUGAUGUUUUUAGACUUAUAAUCCAAAUACCUAUUAUUGUUAAACCAUUGGGUAUAAAUAAAUAUUUUUUUCAAUAACUUAAUGAAAAGAAUGAGGUGGCUAGAUAUAAAGCACGACUUAUUGCACAAGGUUUCUCACAAAAAGUAGUUAUUGAUUAUGAGGAGGUGUAUUUACUAGUAAUUUGUGUAGUUUUGUUCUGAUUCUUGAUUAGUUUGACUAUAUUUGAGAGGUUUAAUAUUUGUUUUAUAGAUGUAGUGACAGUUUAUUUGUAUGAAUCAUUAUUUAUAAAACACACACACACAUAUAUGUAGUGGCGGCGCCACUUGAGAGCCCCUGCUAGAUUUAAAAAAAAUAAACUCAUCUUAUUUUUUAGUGGAUUUACAAUAAAGCCCUUAGUAAAUUUUAAAAAUAACUAAAAGAUCAGUAUUUUAAAUAGUGAUUAGAAUCCAAAAAAAAAAAAUUCAAAAUCAAAUCUAUAACCACCACCAUCAAUCCUUUGCCAAAGAAAACCUCCAUCGGCUACCAUCAGUGAUCAGCUUGUCGUCUAUCUCUGUCCAAUUCCCAUGUCAUCACACCUCUUUGUUUUCAUGUCAUUGCCAUAGACGCUACAACUUGUAGCUCGUAGUCGCAGUCGCAGUCUUGCAUCACCGUAUGGUCCUCGCACUCGCAGCCUUGCAUCACCACAUGGUCCGCAUCUUUGCAUUUUUUCUAGUACUACCAUUGCACCUUUGCAGCUUUUAUAUUAAUUAUCAAGAAUUGAUUAAAUUAUUUUGAUAAUUAAGCACCUCUGUCACUUUAUGAUUUAAUAUUCUAAUUCUUGAAUUAGUUUAUACCUUUUUGAAUUGAAUUGGUUUAUGCCUUUUUUAAUAGAAUAAUAUUAUUAACUUUCAAUUAUUGUGGCGAUGCUUUGUGGAUUGAUAAAGUGGCAAUGCUUUUAACUUUACUGAUUAUAACUAAUAAAAUAAAAAUUCCAUGGCCCAUGGGUGACGCCGUGACGAGUUAGUAACCUAGUGGUUGAGGAUUUAGUCAGGUAGUCGGUUUAUUAAAUUAAUAAUUUGUAAUUUUUUCUUUUUCUUUUUUUUUUGACAUGGAAAUUGUCUUCGGUUUCUCUUUAAAUAAACACAAUUAAUUGUGUUUAUUUGUCACAGUUAUGGAGAAAUAUUACUCAAGAAUGACUGCCACAUGGUUCUCUGCUUGUCUUGUCUAAAUGGGCAACGCCAAUGCGUCGGUGCUUUGCCUUUGUGCCCCAUCUAAUAAUAUAUUAUUAUUAUGAUUAUUAUCUAAUUCAUACAUAAUUCAUGCAUAUCCUUUCUAAGUGAUUGGGUUGCCACUAUUUUACAUCCUUUUUAAUGCAUGUAUUGCUUUAUGCAAGUCUAAAAGAGGUUCUAUGAUAUCAUACAAACUCAAAAAAGUAAGCACCUCUUUCUUUUUAUAUGCAUUUAAUUUUUUACCUACUUGGUGUGCUAGUGUUAUGGUGUAAAGACAAGAUUGAUCUGUAAUCUCAAAACAAAAUUUAGUGGGUGAUGUCAUUGUGCAAUAUCGUCAUGAGCCUUCUGGUUGAUUCAAAAUGUCGGCAUUAUUUAUCGAACAUUAUAGAAUAUAAAAUAAAUUACCAAAUUAUAUUUGAUAGUGAACUGUUUUAUUGAUCUUUGUGCAUGAGACUCAAUUUUCUUAACAGCAAGAGAUUCCAUUUGUCGGCUCAAUAAUUUAUGAAGGUGAGUUUGUAUUUAUAAAUCAUGCGAAUUGCGACCGUCUCUUUAAAGGUGGCAUUUGUUGGAUUCCUUGUACAUUUUAGGUGUUUUUAGUAUGCUGUAUUUUAUUAUAAUGUAUUAUAAUAUAACGUUUUAUAAUGUUUGGUAUUAUAUCGUACAUUAUUAUAUAUAAUAAUUUUUGUAUUAUUAUUUAUAUUAAAUUAAUUUUUUAUAAUUAUAAAUAUCUUAAAAGUUUUAUAGUUUAUAUUUAUUAUUUAAAUUUAUAAAUAUAAAUAAAAUUAUUCACCAACAAUCACCGUGAACCACUGCAAAUUGCUUUGGGCAUUCAUAUAUUGAUAUUUUUUUAACUUCAAUUCUAGUGCUAUUAGAAUCUUUAUCAGCGGAUCUAUACAACGAGUGAGCAAAAGCUUUGAUUCUGAUAUUAUAUAUGCUAUCGAGUAGUUCCAAUGAUAAAGACUCCAUUGGUACCAAAAUUGAUGUCAAAGAAUGCUAAAAUAAUAUUAUUGGUGGUGGAUUGUGGUGGUCAGCGGCGGACAAUAUUUUUAGCAUUCGAAUUUAUUGUUUUAUAAACUAAUAAUAAAUAAAUUAAAUGUGUUGUAAUUGAUUAAAUAAUUCUAUGUUUUAAAAGUCAGCAAUAUAGCUUAUUCAUGGUGGGAUUGUAUAGCAUUACGUUAUGGGCCCAGCAUUACUUUGAUAUUGCGGCAAAAGAUGCAUUAAGGCCUUCGGUUAAUGUUGCUCAAUGCAAAUUUAAUAUAGAAAGCAGAGUCAUUUGAAUCUUUCAUUAAACACAACAUAGCGAGCCAAAAAAAAAAGAUUCAAUGGAUGUACUUGGAGAUUCUCACAUUCAUCAAAAGAAAGGAAGAAGACUGAUACUCUUCCCACUGCCUUUACAAGGCCACAUAAACCCAAUGCUUCAGCUUGCAAACAUUCUCUAUUCAAAAGGCUUUUCAAUCACCAUAAUUCACACCAACUUCAACUCCCCGAAUACCUCAAACUACCCUCAGUCCAGCUUCUGUUCAAUCGAAGACAGCUCUUCAGAAACUGAAGCCUCUACCGCGGAUUUAGUGGCUCUUCUUUCACUACUUAAUGUUCAGUGUGUUGUGCCAUUUCGGAAUUGCUUGGCUAAGUUGUUGUCAAAUGUUGAGGAGGAGGAAAAGGAGCCUAUUGCUUGCUUAAUCACGGAUGCUACUUGGUACUUCACUCAGGCUGUUGCUGAAAGCCUAAAGCUCUCCAGGAUUGUGUUAAGGACUAAUAGCGUCUCUUCAUUUCUUGUUUUUGCCGCCUUUCCAGUUCUAAGCCAAAAGGGUUACUUCCCAAUACGAGGUGCAAUCAAAUUAGUUCUUGCUUCUAGUAUCAAUGAUAAUUUUAUUUGUAGGUAUUAUUUUUAUUUGUAGGUACUGUCUGAUUAUCGAAUCUUGCCCUGGAGAAAUCUCCCCUUAGGAUGAUUGGAAUUCUUAGUACAUCUCAUAAUUUAGUUAUUAUGACAGUAAUUCAUUAUAGUAAUGAGUAAUGAUCAGUGCAAAUGGUACUUGAUAUUAAAAUUAUCUUCUUUUACUAUUUUUGUUCUUCAAUGUUCAGAUUCUCAAUCGGGAGCACCAGUGCCAGAACUUCCACCUCUAAGAGUGAAAGACAUUCCUGUAGUUGAAACCUGUUACCGAGAGACACUACAUCGAUUGGUAACAGAAGCAACCAAUCAGAUGAAGGUCUCCUCCGGAUGCAUAUGGAACUCACUUCAGGAUCUUGAACUUGCUUCUCUAACCAAAUUUCAGCAGGACUUCCCCAUUCCAAUGUUCCCGAUAGGCCCAUUUCACAAGUUCUUUUCAGCUUCUUCAAGUAGCUUACUUGCACAUGACCAAACCUCAAUUUCCUGGUUAGAUAAACAAACACCAAAAUCUGUAAUUUAUGUAAGUUUUGGAAGCAUUGCUGCAAUUAACGAGACCGAAUUUUUAGAAGUAGCUUGGGGCCUAGCCAACAGCAAGGUGCCAUUCCUGUGGGUGGUACGGCCAGGAUUAGUCCGUGGAGCAGAAUGGAUUGAACCAUUGCCACAAGGGUUCCUAGAAACGCUAGAUGGAAGAGGGCAUAUAGUGAAAUGGGCCCCCCAGCAAGAAGUGCUAGCUCAUCCUGCCACUGGAGGAUUUUGGACACAUUGUGGCUGGAAUUCGACAUUGGAAAGUAUAUGUGAAGGUGUCCCCAUGAUAUGCCAGCCUUGUUUUGGUGACCAAAUGGUGAAUGCAAUAUAUGUUAGUGAUGUUUGGAAAGUUGGUUUGCAUUUGGAAAGGAAGCUGGAGAGAGGGGAGGUUGAAAGGACAAUCAGAAGAGUAAUGAAGGAGGCUGAGGGGCAGGAAAUAAGAGUCAGAAUUAUGAUUUUGAAGGAAAAACUCAACCUUUGUCUAAAUCAAGGUGGUUCUUCAUAUCAAUCUCUGGAAAGCUUGAUUAGUUACAUUUUGUCAUUCUAGAUUUUCCAAUAUUUUCAUCACUCUAUCUAAAAGCUGAUUUAGAUAGUGAGUUGUACUCUUUGGCCUUUUCUUGCAUAAACAGUGUCCGAAAUCCGAAUUUUAUAUCUUUGUUGGAGUUUGUGAGCCUUGGUUGUCUUAACUGUACUUCAAAAGUUGGACUUCUAAGCUGAUUUACUAUCUGGGUUCGUUUGUAAUGCUGUUGUUGUUUAAUUCCCCGUUCUUCAUAGAGGAAUUUAGUUGAUUAUAAAUGCCUUGCUCAUUGAAAUAAAGUUUUCAUUCACCAAUAAAAAAUUUAAAGCAGAAGCAUCACAAUGUUCCAUUCACGGUUGAUGAUUAACUCAUGGUGAGAAAUUAACAACAAAAGAAGUGAGAAAUUAAACAGAAAGCAGGAAGCAGAAAGAUUCAAUGGAGAACUAAAGAGAGUUGCAUAUACAACAAAAGAAGCAAAGACGGCUGAUACUCUUCCCACUGCCAUUGCAGGGUCACAUAGAGACCCGUGCUUCAGCUUGCAAGCAUUCUCUAUUCCAGAGACUUUUCAAUCAUUAUAUUUCAAAGCAACUUCAGUGUGAAGCGCGUGGUACAAUUCGGGAUUGGUUGGCUAAGUUGUUGUCAAAUCUUGAGGAAGGAACUACGGCCAAUUUCACAAAUUCUUCCCAGAUAAUUCAUUGUCUUGAGACGAAUCCAUUUCCUGGUUAGCCAAACUGCCACAUGUGCAUAAAUUGGUAAUUUAUGUAAGUUUGGAAAGCAUUGGUGCAGUGCCAUUCUUAGAGAGAGCUUAAGGGCUAGCCAAUAGCGAAGUACCAUUCCUAUGGGUGGUUCGACCAGAUUUAGUCCGUGGAGCAGAAUGGAUUGACCAACUUUCAUUGCUUUUGUGGCUAACCAUUGAUGAUAUAUUGUCACAAGCAGAGUGUUAAUCGUGACAUCCUCAAUUUCCAUCUCUCAUCCUGAAACUCUCAGAUUUUACAGCAGCAGCAUCAUUGAGAAUCUACCAAUUGAUUAUUGGUGACGAUUGGACUUAAUUUCUUUGAUUUAUUUUUACUAUUUAUUUUUUGGUGGUGCAAGUCAUUUCAUUUCCCUGUUGGGGCAUUUUAGGGAACGGUUUGCAACUUUUAACGAACACUAAUCCCUCUCUCAAACCAACUUCAAUUCUUCCGUAACCAGCACUGCUCUUCAUGAAACUCGCAAGAUCCAUUACCCACCAUUUGACUACCUCUUCAACGACCCAAAAACCAAAGCGAGUAAGCACGAAACCAAUCUCCCUCAACUCCAUUAAAGAGCUUCACGCAAAUCUUAUCAGAACCCACCUCCACACGGACCCAUCUUCAAUAUCUAAUGUAAUCAAGUCAUACGCUUUAUCUCCCUCUUAUUUGGACAAAGCCCAUCUUGUUUUUAACCAACUUGAACGACCCACAUUGUUGGUGUUUAACCAUAUGAUCCAAGGUUUGUCACAAAGUGACCAACCAAAUGAAGCCAUUGACAUGUACAAUAAUAUGUAUCAUCAAGGAUUUACUGGUGACAAUUUGACCUUUAUUUUUGUAUUCAAGGCUUGUGCUCGUGUUAAGGAUGUUUUUCAUGGCCAAAAGGUUCAUGCUCAUAUUUUGAAACUUGGAUUUGGAUCGUAUCUCUUUGUUUCAAAUGCUUUGAUUCACUUGUAUGCCUCUUGUGGUCGUUUGGGGUUGGCGCGGAAACUGUUUGAUAUAAUGACUAAUAGAGAUUUGGUUUCUUGGAAUUCUCUAAAUUGUGGUUAUAGUCAGUGCAAAAGGUUUGAAGAGGUAUUGGCUUUGUUUAAUUCUAUGCAAGAAGUUAAUGUAAAGGCUGAUGCGGUGACAAUGGUGAAAGUUAUUUUAGCUUGUAGUAAUUUGGGCAGGUGGGAUAUUGCGGAUUCUAUGGUUAAAUAUAUUGAAGAAAACAAUAUUGAAUUUGAUGUUUACUUGGGGAACACUUUGAUAGAUGUGUAUGGACGGCGUGGUUUGGUGGAUUUGGCACAAGAGGCUUUUAAUCAAAUGCUUGACAAAAAUAUAGUUUCCUGGAAUGCUUUGAUCAUUGGGUAUGCAAAAGUUGGGCAUUUGAUUGAGGCGCAGAAGCUUUUUGAUGAGAUGCCCAGAAGGGAUGUGAUUUCUUGGACUUCUUUGAUCACAGGGUACUCUCGAGGUAACCAAUUUGUUGAGGUGGUGAAGCUUUUUCGUGAAAUGAUGUUAGCUAAGGUGAAACCAGAUGAAAUCACUUUGGCAACUGUGCUUUCAGCAUGUGCCCAUAUUGGGUCACUGGACAUGGGAGAAGCAAUUCACGACUAUAUAAAAGGCAUGGUACAAAAUGUGAUCUUUAUUUGGGGAAUUCGCUUAUCGACAUGUACUGCAAGUGCGGGGUGGUUGAGAAUGCACUAGUUGUGUUUCAUGAGAUGGAAAAGAAGGAUUCUGUUUCCUGGACUUCAAUUAUCUCAGGCCUUGCAGUGAAUGGUUUUGCUGAUUAUGCACUUGAGCUAUUUAUGCAGAUGUUGAGAGAAGGUGUUCGGCCAACUCAUGGAAGCUUUGUUGGCAUUUUACUAGCUUGUACUCAUGCCGGAUUGAUAGAUGAGGGAUUGCAAUAUUUUGAAAGUAUGGAAAAAGUUUAUGGACUAACACCAGAGAUGAAACACUACGGUUGUGUUGUUGAUCUUUUGAGCCGCUCUGGCAAUGUAGAGAAAGCUUAUGAGUUCAUGAAGGCAAUGCCAAUAGCCCCAGAUGUUGUAGUAUGGAGAAUACUGCUGAGUGCUUGUAAACUUCAUGGGAACUUGGUCCUAGCUGAGAUUGCUACCGGCAAGCUUCUCGAAUUGGAUCCUUCUAACAGUGGGAAUUUAUUCUCUUAUCUAAUACUUAUGCAUGUUCAGAUAAAUGGGAUGAUGCUAAUAGAGUUAGAGAAUUAAUGGUGGAGAGUGAUGUGUAUAAGCCAUCUGGUUGGAGUUCCAUUAAUUCUAUGGAACCACAUGUAAUCUAAAGUAAAGAGGAAUCAAUUGAGAGCUGCAACUAAUUACAAUGGACUACUGUAGAUCAGUGUAGUUAGUGCCUGGGUAAUAUCCCUGGAGAAAGAGAAAUGAGCUGUACCUUCACCUCAACCAAUUUGAUAUUGGCUCAAAGAUAAUUGAGAUAAUUGUAAUUGUAGCUCCGAUCCAAAGUUGUACUCAGAAUUUCCUUUUUUUAAUGACAAUUUGAACGUUUAGUAUCAGAGUCCUUGAGACAAUAAAUUAUGUUUGAGGUGCUCAUCUAAGCCUGAAGCUAGAGUGGUUUCAGUAUUGAUUAGAGCUCUAGUGAUGUGGUAAAUCAACUCUAGAAUUGUAUCAGGAGAAAAUUCCAUUGCUUGGAGUGCUAUCAAAAAAAAGUUCAUUACGUUUUCUCUGGGGAUUAUAUAGCUAUGAUGAGCAGGAGAACUGCCCAACGGCAAGACACUGCCUUAUAAGUUCGGAGGAUGUGAGCUGUUCUUCAAGUAAGAAUUAAGCAAAAGUAUUCCAAUUGCAUACUUUCUUCAAAGGAUACUUUUGCAUGAGACAUAAUUGGGUGUAAUUUUUGUGCAUGGAUGACAAAGUUCAUUACAUUUUCUCUGGGGCUUAUAUAGCUAUGAUGAGCAGGAGAACUGGCCAACGGCAAGACACUGUCUUAUAAGUUCGGAGGAUAUGAGCUGUUCUUCAAGUAAUAAUGAAGCAAAGUAUUCCAAUGGCAUGCUUUCUUUAAAGGAUACUUUUGCAUGAGACAUAAUUGGGUAUAAGUUUUGUGCAUGGAUGACAAAUAGAACAGUUGAGUGACAUGAAGUUUGAGGCAACUGUCCAUUGCUAGGUCCUGCUUUGGAGGAGAAUAACUAUCUUAAUUAGGUCUAGUUCAGAUCAGUUUGAAUGUAAAUGCGAGUGAAGCUGUAGAACAUCUUUGCAAGUGUAUAGAGGGAGCCUUUCCUAUAAGAUAUGCAUACCGCAGCAAGUAUAUGAUAUCAUAAUGCUCUUGGCAGAGACCUUCGAAUGUACAAUUGUUUCAUAUGAACUGCAGAGUGAAAACUUUUACUUGGUUAAGCAUCUUAAAUUUAUACUAUUCUGCUCUUGGAUGUGCGAGCCUUCUCUGUCUGUCAAAAUAUUUUUUUCAGAAGAUCUUACAGAGAGGCUAAUGAUAAUGUAUUUAUUUAUUUUUUAUUGGAAUCAAGUUAUUAAAAGUAAAUAGGCAGCAUAUUGAUGCAUUCUGGAAGAAAAAAUUGUUAGCAGAGUGAUAUGGCAUAUACUUUGUGCGUCUUGUAUGCUUUAUCUUCAGCACUUUGCUAUGUGUUUUUCUCCCUAGUGCCUAGAGACUGUCAAUUUUUUUUUCCUUUUUCUUGACAAAACUGAGGAGCUCAAGUUGGGACAGAAUUGUUUCUUAAUUUCUUGCAGACACGGAUUCUCGUUAAUCAAGAUGGUAUAUCAACAUAUAUACUUUGACACAAUACAUAAUAUCAGUUUUCCCCCUUCACUUUUCACAGAUUAAACAUAACCUUGAUGGCAUUUCCACCUUGAGCACUAAUUUCAAAAGCAUCUUCUAUUUCUUUCUGUGUGAAGCCAAACCUGUGGGUUAUCAAUGGCUUAACAUCAAUCUUGCCGCUUCUCAGAAACUCAAUGCAGAGUGGCCAUGUGCUCCUAUACCGAAAUAUGCCAAUUACAUCCACUUCCCUGUCAACCAACAAAACCCUUUAUCAGAAAUUUCCCAAAUUUAUAUUUCAAACGUCGAAAACUGAGGGUGAAUUAUAUAUCUCAUCACCUUGCAGCUGCCGGCGUCAGAGCAACAGUCAUCUCGGUCUUGGCUAAUCCUAUCAGGCAAACUUUGCUUCCUGGACGAGUGGCAUUCAAAGCCGUUGACAUGGUUUUGUCAAACCCAACACAAUCAAAGCUCACAUCAAUGCCUGAACCCAUUGCAUUUUGUAUCUUCCCCACAUCUGUAUCAACAUCCUGCCAAUGUUUUUGCACAGCUUCAAAGUCUAGAAAAACUUGGGAAAGUGAAAACAGAGCGAUAAUCAUCUACAUCUGACAAUUAACCUCGAUAUCUGUUGAGACUUUAACUGUUUCAUCCGAGCCAAGAUUCCUUGCAAUAGAUAGACGCUGAACAUCAACAUCAGUGAUGAUAAUUCUGGGGGCACCAAAUGCUCGAGCAGCUAACAGGGUAACAAGGCCUAUCGGUCCUGAUCCCAUGAUCAUUACAUUGGUUUCAGGUCCAACGUUUGCACGCCGACAGGCAUGGACACCAACACUUAAGGGUUCACACAUUGCUCCUUCCUCCAAGCUCACAUUGUCAGGUAACUUGUAACAUAACUUUGCUGGAUGCACAACCUAGUUGCAGGAAAAAAAAAAUGUCUCCGUUAUUUACAAUUCUUACGUACGUAGACCGCAUGUGAAAUUAAAAAAUUUCUAGUUUGGGAAGCUGAAGACAUCUGAUCAUUGACCUUAUGGGCAAGAGAGCCGUUGGUUGGAGGAGAUCCAAAGAAUCUCAUUUCAGGACAAAGAUUAUAGCUACCAGCUUUGCAGAGACUGCAGUGUCCGCAACUAAUACCAGGUUCUAGAGCCACACGAUCACCCACCUCGAGGGACUUAACUUCACUGCCAACUUAGUCUAUGAUCCCAGCACACUCAUGUCCAAUUACCAUAGGUUUUUUCACAAUAAAAUUGGCACAUCUCAUAGUCUGAUCAUAAACAACAUUUUGCAUACAAUAAGCAGUGACAGCCUUUGGCAUAUUAUACAAUCAUCAAGAUUUUGCAUAGAGACAGACAGAAAGCUUUUUCACCUUGAAGUGAUGAACAUCACUUCCACAUAUUCCAAGAGCCUUAAUUCGUACUUUCACAUCUUGAGGACCUAAAAAUUACACAAUUUUUUUUUUUUUUUUUGGCCAUGGCAUGGCAUGACAAGUGAUCUGAUUAAAUUCAUAGUUGUGCGUAUAGAAUAACAAGAAGAAGAUAAAAAUAUAAUACCUAGGGUAGGCAAAUGAUAUGGCUGAAUUUUCAGAGUUUUGAUUCCAAGCAGCCAGGCAGCCAUGUUCUGAUUCUUGUCUCCUUCGUCAUCUCUGAUUGCUUCAGCCAUUUCAAUGUUUCCCUUUUUUCUUCUCCUCUUGUCUUCUUUUUACACAGUGUUAUUGUGUCUCGUAUUAUCCUAGUUAAAAUUGCCUCUUUUUUUUUUUUUUUUCCCUAUCUCAUUAUAAUUACCUUUUUGAACAGGUAUUCCCUUCCCUCCCAUUAUUGAUUUAUUUAAAUUAUAUGAAUUUUAAAAUAUUAUUUCAUAUGACCAUAUCCAUUAAAAAAAGUCAUGAAAAUCAAAUUAUUGGUUUUCUUUUAAUUCAUAGUAUUAUGGAAUUAUUCUAAAAUAAAACACAAUUAUAAUCGUACAUAUAAAAUGAUAAAUAAUAAAAAUAUAUUAUAAUUUUUUUAUCAUAUAAUUAUAAAAAAUACUCAAUCGCAAAAUAAUUUCAUCGUAACCAAACUCUUUCUUUUAACCUUUUUUAAAAGAUAAAACCAUUCUUUCAUACCAUUUUACAAAAUUAGCCACCACCUACGUACAUUAAGUUGAUUUUGAUUCCUUUGUAAAGAUACAAUUAUUGCACAGUUUGGAUUUCGGGGUCCAUAAAUUCUGAAAAAAAAAAAACAAACAACAAACGGUUCUGAAACCGAUUAAUUCUCUCCACGUAAGCACGUUAUCCUGUUGAAAAAAGAAACCAUAAUCUCUAUCACAAAUUUUUUAAAACUAUCAUUAGUAAUUGGAUUUUUACUUAAAUAAAAAUUAGUCCGAUGAAAACAGAAAUCAAUCAUCUACGCGGAUAAAUACAAAGAACACUUGAUGUUAUGCCUCACUUGUCAUUAAAUAUUCCUGCGGCCGAAUCAAAUCAUAUCCCAUAUCCAGAAUCAGAAUAAAUGGUAGCUUAAAAUAUAGUGUACAGAGUAACGUCUCUGCUGUACACUUGUGUUUUUGAAGGGUAAAAAGCAAAUAUGGGCAAGGGAGGGAUGUCACAAGGAGAAAAGGAAGAUGGAGAAGAAGUUAACAUGGCAGCUUGGCUUCUGGGUGUCAACACCCUCAAGAUUCAGCCUUUUGAGCUUCCUUCUCUGGGUAUUGUUGAUGCGAGAUUCUGGUUACUCUUUCGACCACGACCAGGAUCUCUGUUCGAUCAACUCAACCACGAUCAGGAUCUCUCCUCGUAUGCUUUCUUCUCCAAAUAUUCCUGCGUACACAAAAACAAGUCAGAGCGCACCGGUUGUUUUCCUGAAGUAAACCCUCCGACGCUCAAGUCAGAUAUGAAGGUUUUCUGUUCCUGGGAACGUUAGCCACUAAUCUUAAGGCUCGUUUUUAGUCUCCGUUCCUUAGAGCUUUCUUUUUCUCUGUUAUAAUGUCAAAAAUUCUAACCCUUUUACCUUCGUUGGCUACCUUUUUAUAGGCCUCUUCUGAACCCAGACCUUCCCUCCAUUCGCGCCCGUUAUCCUCCCACCUCUCGAAAGUGGAUGUUCCACUUCUGUAAUCGUGGGUGGUUGUAUGGCCUUCGUGCCUUGAUUCUCGGGUUGGAGAGCACGCCUCGCCAACUGUCGUUGACCGGGUCUCCUCGACUCAAGCUUUAGCUGGAAUGACUUUAUGCUUCUAACAUAGGAUCGGCCUCGCGGAUGGUGCAUUUGUGGAUGAGUAGAAUAUUCCUGCUCCUGCUCCCCUGCUGCCAGAUUCUUACAGUAUAUACUUGCUUGCAAGACCUUGCUACCAGAUGGCUGCUCAUCACAGCUGGUCCUCACCGAAGUACACUCUGCUACCAGGUAUCUGCUCGUCACGGCUGGUCUCGUUGAAGUAUAUCCCCCAAAUACCGGUCCCCCAGUUUCUGGUGUUGGGUAACAUAGUGAGUCGACAACAGAAACUCAACGGUUUUGGCUUGCGUAGGGCAGGAAAAGGUUGCCAAGAGUCGUGUCGCAUUUAAUUACGGAAGAGGUGAUGUGGCAUAAAUCUAUCCCUCCAUUGGAAUUUCAAACCAAGGGUUACGAAACCCUUGGGAUUUGGUGCCGUUAAAUGCUAGCAGCCCAAGGGGUUGUUCCUCAUUAGGAACACUCAAAACCCCCAAACGAGAAACUCGUCGUUUACUCCACGUCUGUUUCUCCGACGAACGAGUUUCGGCAUAAAAGCAUCCAACCAUGUCUCCUUCCGACUGAGCCGUCCCCUCCGACUAAGCCACUACUUCAGGUAUUACUCCUAUUUCCUCACUCAGGGUGUCUCCCGAGCCAGAUGAUCCCUCGUCACCGCUAUUUCGGCCCUAGGAGGUUGUUUGGGCGGACAUUCUCCUAGCACUAGUCCCAACACUAGAUCUAAUGGGUUCUAAGGGGAUCCCGGGGUCAAAGGCAGCAUCGGCGAGCAGACUAGGUAGGAAGUCUAACUCCUCGUCAUCAACCUCAAUGAUUUUCUCUUUACCUUUCGACAUUCCAUAGGCUAUAACCCGAGCACCACCACCAACUAUUACCCAAGAAAAAUAGAGAGAAAAGAGAUAUCAACAACUAUCCAAGACCGCUAUUUCGGCUCGAGGAGGUUGUUUGGGGGGACAUUCUCCUAGCACUAGUCCCAACACUAGAUCUAAUGGGUUCUAAAGGGAUCCCGGGGUCAAAGGCAGCAUCGGCGAGCAGACUAGGUAGGAAGUCUAACUCGUCGUCAUCAACCUCAAUGAUUUUCUCUUUACCUUUCGACAUUCCCUAGGCUAUAACCCGAGCACCACCACCAACUAUUACCCAAGCAAAAUAGAGAGAAAAGAGAUAUCAACAACUAUCCAAGACCGAGGAAAUAGAAGUAAUACCUGAAGUAGUGGGCUCAGUCGGAGGGAACGGCUCAGUCGGAAGGAGACAGGGAUGGAUGCUUUUAUGCCGAAACUCGUUCGUCGGAGAAACAGACGUGGAGUAAACGACGAGUUUCUCGUUUGGGGGUUUUGAGUGUUCCUAAUGAGGAACAACCCCUUGGGCUGCUAGCAUUUAACGGCACCAAAUCCCAAGGGUUUCGUAACCCUUGGUUUGAAAUUCAAAUGGAGGGAUAAAUUUUUUCCACAUCACCUCGUCCAUAAUUAAAUGUGACACGACUCUUGGCAGCCUUUUCCUGCCCUACGCAAGCCAGAAUCGUUGAGUUUUUACUGUCGGCUCACUAUGUUACCCAACACCAGAAACUGGGGGACCGAUGUUUGGGGGAUAUACUUCGACGAGACCAGCCGUGACGAGCAGAUACCUGGUAGCAGAGUGUACUUCGGCGAGGACCAGCUGUGAUGAGCAGCCAUCUGGUAGCAGGUCUCGCAAGCAAGUAUAUACUGUAAGAAUCUGGCAGCAGGGGAGCAGGAGCAGGAAUAUUCUGCUCGUCCAUGAAUGCACCAUCCGCGAGGCCGAUCCUCUGUUAGAAGCGUAAAGUCAUUCCAGCUAAGGCUUGAGUCGAGGAGACCCGGUCAACGACUGUUGGCGAGGCGUGCUCUCCAACCUGAGAAUCAAGGCACGAAGGCCAUACAACCACCCACGAUUACAGAAGUGGAACAUCCACUUUCGAGAGGUGGGAGGAUAACGGGUGCGAAUGGAGGGAAGGUCUGGGUUCAGAAAAGGCCUAUAAAAAGGUAGCCAAUGAAGGUAAAAGAGUUAGAAUUUUUGACAUUAUAAUAGAAAAAAAGAAAGCUCUAAAGAACGGAGACUAAAAACGAGCCUUAAGAUUAGUGACUAACGUUCCCAGGAACAGAAAACCUUCAUAUCUGACUUGAGCGUCGAAGAGUUUAUGCCGGGAAAACAACCGGCGUGCUCUGACUUGUUUCUGUGUACGCAGGAGUAUUUGGAGAAGAAAGCAUACGAAGAGAGAUCCUGAUCGUGGUUGAGUUGAUCGAACAGAGAUCCUGGUCGUGGUCGAAAGAGUAACCAGAAUCUCGUAUCAACAUUUUGGCGCUGUCUGUGGGGAGCUGAUCAAAAAGCUUCUGUUGACAGCAAGAAGAGGAGUAAAGUAAGUGGAAAAACAAUGGAGGCAGGAGAAAGUAGUGCACAAGGGGGUGAUAUGAGGCUUAACGAUUCCGUGACGCUGGGGGAGAUAGCCAGUGAAGCACGGGAAAAAGCCAUGUUUGACCGGAUGGAACGGAUGAAAAAGCAGAUGGAAACCCUGAAAACCAUCCUACAUGAGCUACGGAGUGAACGAAAGGGAACCCAGGAGGAAAGAGUGAGAGGUAGUGGAGUGGCACCAGGUCACGAUAGUACGAGGAGAAGUCAAACCUCCAGGAGAUUUGGUGGUGAGAGAGGUGACUUAUCUCUGCGGGGAGAAAUUCAUAGAGAGGAAGAGCAAUCCCCAGCAAGACAUAUUUUUGAUGAGGACGACGGGGUGGCGAAUGUAGAGGAAACAGAGCUCAGGCAACACUUACAUGAUGUAGAGCAAGAGCGGGAUCAAGUUGCAGCACGUGACCCUGGUCGUGCAGUGCAACUGGAGAAGGAAGUGCGCAGACUAGCGCAGGUAAUUGAUGACAUGCAAGGAAGAAGUAGAGCUCCUGGUUGGAGGAUAAUGCUGAACGGAGAAUCACCGCUCGCAGCAAAGAUCAUGAGGGCAGUCAUUCCAAGAGAUUUUCGCCUCCCAGACCUUAGAUAUUCGAGACGAACUGAUCCGUUGGUGCACAUAGAGCGCUUCAACGACAUAACCGGGGUGCAAGGAUUAUCUCAAGCCCAAAGGUGCAGGGUGUUCCCACUAUCCCUAGAGGGACGUGCACGCGAGUGGUACAUGAAACUUCCUCGAGGGAGCAUUAAAACUUUCGAGCAGAUGUGCAAGGAAUUUGCAGAGCAGUUUCGUGGGGCAAUGGCACCAGAAGAUGACAUGAUGGAGUUGAAAAGCAUGAAGCAGGGAGAGCAAGAAACCCUUCGGGAGUUCAUCAAGAGGUUUCAUCGUGCGGUCCUGGAUUUGGGAGCCUUCAACCAUCCUCAGGCAUUAAGGGGAUUGAAAGAAGGGGUGAAGAUAGGAAGGCUAUGGUACAACUUGAGAAGCCCAGUUAUUCAGACGUAUGCAGCCGCAUACGAGCAGGCUAAGAGGGACAUAGAGAUUGAGGAAGAAAAGACAGUACGGAUUAAGACAGACCAGCUAGAAGGGUUGAGAAAGAAAGAGAAGAGAGCAUUACCAGGAAAUAGGCCGAUCAGGAGGAGGGACCACCAGGCCUCAGGUAGUGGUGCAGGAGGUCGGGUAACCGCUUACCAGCCUCAUCAGAGGUUACCACAGUAUCAGCGCAGCAGGACGCAACCUCCUCGCUCACCAGCUAGGGUGCCUUGGAGAAGGCAUGACUCGGCAUAUGGUGGUCUUCAUCCACACUCCCACGGUAGUAGAGGGAGCAGACCAGAAGCGCUGCCACCGCCUCCAACUCAGAACGGCGCAAAUAGAGAAAGGGCAGUGCACAUGAUCGACCAGAACCAGGACUAUGGGUAGUAUACGUCCUUGAAGAUGCCCCUGGACGAGGUGUACGAGGCCAUAAAGGAUCGGGGGCUACUGUACCUCCCUGCCCCAAUAACAAAGCUACCCAACAGGAGGGAUAGAGGACGCUAUUGUAAGUUCCAUGGCACUCAUGGCCAUACCACUACAGAAUGUAAAGAUCUCAAGACCCAGGUUGAAGAUUUGGUGAGAAAUCGGUACCUGGACGAGUUUAUAGAUGGGACUUUCCUGAUGAUGGCCUCGACAUGUGAAGGGGAGCAGAGUGACAGAAACUUGAGGCGCGAGCAGCCUACAAUAAAAGUGAUAGCUGGGGGCCCAACAUUGGCCGGAGAUUCCAACAGAUUGAGGAAGAAUUAUGCUAGAUACGCCAUGACUAGUAAAGAGGUAUUCUUCAACACCCCAGCAGCCAAACGAGCAAGAGUCAGGCAAGUGCCAAUCAUGUGGACAGAUGAUGAUGAAGAAGGGAUUAUAUACCCCCACGAGGAUGCUUUAGUUAUCAAGGCCACUGUUGCUAGCAAGAAGUUUGACCGGAUACUGGUUGACACAGGGAGCUCAGUUGAUGUGUUGUUUAAGUCAACUCUGGAGGAGAUGGGAAUAGCAGACCUGAAGUUGGAGUACACCAAUACCUCCUUGAAGGGGUUUGGAGGAGGAAAGCUGGUCCCUCUGGGCGUGGUCAAGCUGCCUAUCACGAUUGGGAGCUCCCCGACAGAAAGGACUAUGAUACUAGACUUUGUGGUGGUGGAUGAAGAAGGUCCUUACCAGAUGAUCCUAGGUCGGACAUUUCUGAGGAUGAGCAAAGCAGUACUAUCCAACCAUUAUCUAGCUCUCAAGUACCGGAUGAAUGGGGUAGUUGGAGUGGUACGAGGAGACCAGAGAAUCGCACGAAGCUGUUACUCUUCGGCAGCAAGGGAAGCAAUGCAAAUAACAUCCCUUGAUACCCGAGUGGAAAAUAAGAAUGGCAGACAAGAACUUGUAGAGGAGCUUGAGACAGUAAGCCUGGGACCAGAGAAUCUGGGAAAAACGAUCAGAAUCGGGUCGCGACUUAAAGAAGAGCAGAAGCAGGAGUUGGUGCAAUGCUUGCGGGCUCAUGCAGAUGUGUUUGCUUGGACAUAUGAAGACAUGCUAGGGAUUGAUCCUGAGGUUGCAUGUCAUAAGCUGGCAAUAAAGAAAGGUGCUCGGGCAGUAAGGCAGAAAGAAGGUGCUUCAACUAGGAGAGGUAUGAGGCUAUAAAUGACGAGGUGGAGAAGCUCUUGAAAGCAGGGUUCAUUCGGGAAGUCAAUUAUCCUGAAUGGAUAUCGAAUGUGGUGUUAGUAAAAAAGGCUAAUGGCAAAUGGAGGAUGUGUGUGGACUUCACGGACCUCAACAAGGCAUACCCGAAAGACAGCUUUCCCUUACCAAAGAUUGACCAGCUUGUAGACUCGACAGCUGGACAUGGCCUGCUCAGCUUCAUGGACGCAUUCUCGGGAUACAACCAAAUCCCCAUGUUCGAGUAGGAUGAGGAGAGCACGACAUUUAUUACUAGCCAGGGUCUGUUCUGUUAUAGGGUAAUGCCGUUCGGUCUUAAAAAUGCGGGGGCCACGUACCAAAGGCUGGUGAACAAAGUCUUUAAGCCGUUGAUUGGGAGAACAAUGGAGGUGUAUGUGGACGACAUGAUAACUAAGUCGAAAAUCCCGAAGGAACAUGUCGAGCACCUCGAGGAGACGUUUGCACUUUUGAAGAAGUACAAGAUGAAGCUCAACCCGAAAAAGUGUGCUUUUGGGGUCGAGUCAGGGAAAUUCCUCGGAUUCAUGGUGAGUCAUAGGGGGAUCGAGGCAAAUCCCGAGAAGAUCCAGGCGAUCGUUCAGAUGAGGUCUCUUCGUAACCUGAAGGAGACGCAGAGCCUUACGGGGAAGCUGGCGGCAUUGAGCCGAUUCAUAUCCAAGGCUACAGAUAAGUGUUAGCCAUUCUUUCAAGUGAUAAGAAGAGGGAAGAAAACAGAAUGGACCCCAGAGUGCGAAGAGGCCUUUCAGAGCUUGAAGCAAUACUUGCAGCAAGCACCCCUGCUGUCCACACCAAGGGAUGGGGACAAGUUAUCUUUGUAUUUGGCGGUAUCAGAUCGUGCCACAAGUUCUGUUCUGGUGAGAGAGGAAGAAGGGGUUCAGUAUCCGAUAUACUACACCAGCAAGGCCCUGCUCGACGCUGAGACCCGAUACCCACCGUUGGAGAAAUGGGCACUCGCUCUUGUGGUCGCUGCUCGGAAGCUGAGACCGUACUUUCAAGCAUUCCCCGUCUCAGUAAUAACAAACCAGCCGUUGCGUCAAACCUUACACAAGCCGAAUACCUCUGGUCGGCUCGUGAAGUAGGCUAUAGAGCUGAGCGAGUUCGACAUUGAUUACAAACCCCGAGCAGCGAUAAAGGCGUAAGCAAUGGCCGAUUUCGUAGCAGAAUUUACAGAGCCUGAAACAUGUUUGGACCAGCUGGAUAUUGCUACAGACAACAGCGAAGCCCGAGUAUGGCAGAUGUCUGUAGAUGGGUCAUCAGGGGAGCAGGGAUCAGGAGCAGGAAUUGUCUUGGAAGGCCCAGAAGGGGAGGAGAUCUCUUAUGCUAUAAAGUUAGAAUUCGCAGCCACAAAUAAUCAGGCAGAGUACAAAGCCUUGAUAGCAGGUUUGGAAUUGGCUAAGGCCGUGAAAGCAGAUAGAGUGAAGAUCAAAACUGAUUCCCAGCUGGUUACAAAUCAUGUCAGUGAAAGAUUUCAACCGAGAGAGGAGAAGAUGGAGCAGUACCUGAAGACAGUCAGGUAGAUGAUGGGAAAAUUUGAAGCGGUAAAUGUGAUACAAAUCCCCAGGGAGUAAAAUAAUCGAGCAGAUAUUUUGGCUCGGAUGGCAGCGGUAGCAGACCCAAAAAUGCCAAAGUCGAUCCCUCUGGAGGUGAAGUCUAGCUCGAGCAUCGAGCAGAAUCUGGAGGUGCUGCGGAUAGAACAAAAAUGCUCGUGGAUGGAUCCGAUAAUUUCAUACCUUAGCGACGGGGUAUUACCACCAAAUAAACUACAAGCUCGGAAGAUUAGAGCCCAGGCCUCGAGAUACACGAUGAUUGACGGGGUACUGUAUCGGUGAAGGUAUACGCUACCGUUCCUUCGGUGUUUGGAUGAGGACGACGCGGACUGCGUACUGAGAGAGGUACAUGAAGGAAUUUGCGGAAACCAUUCUGGUGGGAGGUCCCUGGCCCACAAGGUUCUAAGGCAGGGAUAUUUAUGGCCGAUAAUGCACCAAGAUGCGGAGGAGAAGACCAGGAGCUGUGUAAGCUGCCAAAGUUUUGCAAGUUUCUCCAACCAACCACCAGAGAAGCUCACCUCUAUGGCCUCCCCUUGGCCAUUUUCUCAAUGGGGAAUUGAUCUGAUCGGCCCGUUGCCAAAGGGACGAGGAGCAGCAACACAUGCAAUAGUUGCGAUAGACUACUUCACGAAGAGGAUAGAGGUAGAAGCCCUUAGCAGGAUCACAGAGAAGAAGACAACAGACUUCGUGUGGAGAAACCUGGUCUGUCGGUACGGGAUCCCUUAUGCCUUGGUAAUGGAUAAUGGCAGGCAGUUCGAUAAUCACAGCUUCAGGGAUUUCUGCCAGAACCUCGCGAUAGAGUUGAAAUAUUGCUCGCCUGCUCACCCACAGUCUAACGGGCAAGUAGAAGCAACCAACAAGACGAUCAAAAGGCUUUUAAAAAUCAGGCUUGGAGCAAAAAAGGGUGCUUGGGUUGAUGAGCUAUCAGGUGUACUAUGGGCGUACAAGACAACCCAUAAGACAGCAACUGGGGAAACUCCAUUCGCCUUGGCCUUCGGACACGAAGCGGUUGUACCAGCCGAGAUAGGAACAACCACGCACCGGACAGAUCAUUUCGAUGAGCAAGAGAACAACGACCAGAUGUGCUUGAAUCUGGAUCUGCUAACCGAGAAGAGAGAACAAGCGUCGAGGCGAUUAGCCAUUUACCAGCAGAGGGUUGCUCGGUACUAUAACCAGAAGGUAAAUGUACGGCAGUUCAAGGUCGGAGAUUGGGUGUUGAGGAGAGUGAAUCAUAACACGAAAGACUCGGCCCAGGGAGUACUCGGACUAAAUUGGGAGGGGCCAUAUAGGGUCAAGCAGCUAGUUGGACCCGGAGCUUACAAGCUGGUUCGCACGGAUGGCCACGAGGUGAAACGCCCAUGGAACGCGGCACACCUCAGGAAAUAUUUCCAGUAAGACUUGUUCAUGCUUUAAAGUCAUUUAUGUUCGUGCUCGUUGUUUUUAUUUUUUAUUUCUUAUUUCAAAGCAAUCUCAUGUAAGCUGAAUUCAAUAAUAAGUGAAUCAAUGAGGAAUUUCAGUCAACUAUACUGUUGAAAAAUUUUCUAAGGCAUGCAAAGGCUCACCAAGUCUCAAAGCCUGUCUUAUGGCGAGACCAGAAGCCAAGCGUGCCAGGAUCUGCUCGAUCACGCGAAGGCGAGCAGACUCCCAAGCAUUGAAAAAUUUUCUAAGGCAUGCAAAGGCUCACCAAGUCUCAAAUCCUGUCUUAUGGCGAGACCAGAAGCCAAGCGUGCUAGGAUCUGCUCGACCAAGCGAAGGCGAGCAGACUCCCAAGCAUUGAAAAAUUUUCUAAGGCAUGCAAAGGUUCACCAAGUCUCAAAGCCUGUCUUAUGGCGAGACCAGAAGCCAAGCAUGCCAGGAUCUGCUCGACCACGCGAAGGCGAGCAGCCUCCCAAGCAUUUAAAAAUUUUUCUAAGGCAUGCAAAGGCUCACCAAGUCUCAAAGCCUAUCUUAUGGCGAGACCAGAAGCCAAGCGUGCCAGGAUCUGCUCGACCAAGCGAAGGCGAGCAGACUCCCAAGCAUUGAAAAUUUUUCUAAGGCAUUAAAAAGCUCACCAAGUCUCAAAUCCUGUCUUAUGGCGAGACCAGAAGCCAAGCGUGCCAGGAUCUGCUCGACCACGCGAGGGCGAGCAGACUCCCAAGCAUUAAAAAAUUUUCUAAGGCAUGCAAAGGCUCACCAAGUCUCAAAGCCUGUCUUAUGGCGAGACCAGAAGCCAAGCGUGCCAGGAUCUGCUCGACCACGCGAGGGCGAGCAGACUCCCAAGCAUUAAAAAAUUUUCUAAGGCAUGCAAAGGCUCACCAAGUCUCAAAGCCUGUCUUAUGGCGAGACCAGAAGCCAAGCGUGCUAGGAUUUGCUCGACAAAGCGAAGACGAGCAGACUCCCAAGCAUUUAAAAAUUUUUCUAAGGCAUGAAAAGGCCAACCAAGACUCAAAGCCUAUCUUGUGACGAGACCAGAAGCCAAAUAAAUAAAUAAACCAAAACUGCAAUAUGAGAAGGCAAACAAGAACAAUUUUAUUAAGCUUCUAAUAGUCCGCAAAGUUGUUAUAUACAAUGUUCAAAAAGCAAUUACAACACAAGAAAAGUUUAGGAAGACGGCGGGUCAGUUAGCCGAGCAGCUUCAGUUGGUUGUUCCAUCUCAUGUGCAGGGGGUAUCACCAAUUGCGUCCGGGGGGUACUCGCCUCACCAACAUCAGCAGGGACAGCACGAGGAGGAGAGUUGUCCUCCUCAACCACAAUUGGUUCCACCACUUCGACAUCCUCUUUUGCUGCCUCCUCAUCCAUGUGUUGAGCAACACCAGCUGCAAGGUCAUCCAUCUUCAUAUCAGGGUGCUGCUUCCCGAGGACGGCCAUGAUGCAAUGAUAGGAAUGUCGAAGUCCCUGGUCGUAUUUGUUGUCAGCUUCCUUCUCCAAGUUCUCGACCUAACCCGGUGGGAAUCGCGGAGAGAUUCGAACUGAGCCUCGUACAUAGCCUUCUGCCUUUGCAGAUCUUCCUUGACCUUAGUCAGCUCUUCCUCGAGGGUAAUGGCCUUAGCUUGAGCAAGAGAUUCUCGCUCAAUCAACUUCAGAUUCUCGAGAUUCAGGUCUCCUGCUUUCUUCUCAGCAUGGUCAGCUCUGGUCAUCGCUGACUGAAUGUCCUCCUUCAUCUUCCGGUCAUAACGGCCGACCUUGGCCUUAUAGUAAGUGGUCAUGUAGCUGAGAUGGAAAGCGCUAUACUACAUGGCCCUCACCAGCUCACCCAGGGUGCAGCCAUCAAAGUCCUCCAGGUCCUUUUUGCUCACGAGUUUAGAUAGCUCGUUGAGAUAAGGGACCAAGUGCUCUGCUCGGUUGUCAGAUAAACGAGAUCUAGGCCCGACAUGAGGAGAAGAAGAAGCAGGAUCAGUGGCUGCUCCACUAGUUUCUUCGACUUUGGCAGGAGGAGGAGGUAGAGUCUUCAAGGGGGGAACCUGCUGCACAAUGUUCACCCGCUUCGCAGUGGGAGCAUCUUUGUUCUGGUCCCGCUUGGCAGCUUGAGAUCGAGGAUGUUUCCGAGUCAGAGCCCUAAUCACAGCAUCCUCCAUCUUAUGGCCGGGGAACAUCAGACAAGAUUCGACCAGGUUAUAAACAGUUAUCAGCUCUCUGCUUGAGCAGGAAUUGGCCAGUACAGCUUCGACCCGUUUGAGCUGGUCGGGUUUGAGUGGGAAGUGAACACCCCAAGAACCUGCAAUACGAACAGACAUUUGGUUAGAGACAAACCAGUAAAGUGAGAAAAAUUAUGGAGACAAGACAUCUAAAGCGAGCAGGCAACCUGGGACCACGAAACGGGGUGGGACGCGAUAAUCCUUCCCGUCAAUCUGUGCAACCUGACCCCAGGGACCCCCAGCAAAAAAGAACUUUUUCUUCCAAUUCCCACCACCACCAGUUGGUAGAUCGGUUAUGGGUUUCCUGGUUUUAGUAGUUGAUUGGAAAUAAUACCAGCCGGCAUCUUUGGGGCUGCUUUUUAGCUGGUACAGGUGCUUCACCUUAUCAACUGUGGGCUCGCUUUGGCAACAUUUAUCCCACAAUAUGAACAGACCAGAGAGCACUCUCCACCCGUUGGGGUUCAGCUGACCAGGAGUUAAAUUCAACCCGUUAAGUAUCCGGGCAAAGUAGGGUUGCAAAGGACACCUCAGCCCAUACUUAAAACUCUCCAGAAACAGGGUAACAUAUCCCCUAGGGGGCCGGCUAGGAGUAUCCUUCUUUCCUGGGACCUUAAGAGGUAUUUCACCAGGAAUAUUAUACCUAACCCGGAGGUCAGCGAGCUCGUCAAAGGUGGUCGUGCACGUGAUGAAAUCAAUAGCGUAAUCCUAUGAUAGGGCUCUACCUCCUAUUGUAUUCCUCACUUCUGGUCGUGAUGUUUCUGGUGAGGGCAUCUCACCAGAAUCACCUCCCUAGUCCUCACUCGGGGUGUCUUCCGAGCCAUAUGAUCCCUCGUCACCGCUAUUUCAGCUCGAGGAGGUUGUUUAGGGGGACAUUCUCCUAGCACUAGUCCCAACACUAGAUCUAAUGGGUUCUAAGGGGAUCCCGGGGUCAAAGGCAGCAUCGGCGAGCAGACUAGGUAGGAAGUCUAACUCAUCGUCAUCAACCUCAAUGAUUUUCUCUUUACCUUUCGACAUUCCCUAGGCUAUAACCCGAGCACCACCACCAACUAUUACCCAAGCAAAAUAGAGAGAAAAGAGAUAUCAACAACUAUCCAAGACCGAGGAAAUAUGAGUAAUACCUAAAGUACUAGCUCAGUCGGAGGGAACGGCUCAGUCGGAGGGAGACAGGGAUAGAUGCUUUUAUGCCGAAACUCGUUCGCCGGAGAAACAGACGUGGAGUAAACGACGAGUUUCUCGUUUGGGGGUUUUGAGUGUUCCUAAUGAGGAACAACCCCUUGGGCUGCUAGCAUUUAACGGCACCAAAUCCCAAGGGUUUCGUAACCCUUGGUUUGAAAUUCAAAUGGAGGGAUAGAUUUCUGCCACAUCACCUCGUCCGUAAUUAAAUGCGACACGACUCUUGGCAGCCUUUUCCUGCCCUACGCAAGCCAGAACCGUUGAGUUUCUACUGUUGGCUCACUAUGUUACCCAACACCAGAAACUGGGGGACCGGUGUUUGGGGGAUAUACUUCGACGAGACCAGCCAUGAUGAGCAGAUACCUGGUAGCAGAGUGUACUUCGGCGAGGACCAGCUGUGAUGAGCAGCCAUCUGGUAGCAGGGUCUCCCAAGCAAGUAUAUACUGUAAGAAUCUGGCAGCAGGGGAGCAGAAGCAGGAAUAUUCUGCUCGUCCACGAAUGCACCAUCCGCGAGGCCGAUCCUUUGUUAGAAGCAUAAAGCCAUUCCAGCUAAGGCUUGAGUCGAGGAGACCCGGUCAACGACAGUUUGCGAGGCGUGCUCUCCAACGCGAGAAUCAAGGCACGAAGGCCAUACAACCACCCACGAUUACAGAAGUGGAACAUCCACUUUCGAGAUGUGGGAGGAUAACGGGCACGAAUGGAAGGAAGGUCUGGGUUCAGAAGAGGCCUAUAAAAAGGUAGCCAACGAAGGUAAAAGGGUUAGAAUUUUUGACAUUAUAACAGAGAAAAAGAAAGCUCUAAAGAACGAAGACUAAAAACGAGCCUUAAGAUUAGUGGCUAACGUUCCCAGGAACAGAAAACCUUCAUAUCUGACUUGAGCGUCGGAGGGUUUACGCCGAGAAAACAACCGGUGUGCUCUAACUUGUUUCUGUGUACGCAUGAAUAUUUGGAGAAGAAAGCAUACGAGGAGAGAUCCUGAUCGUGGUUGAGUUGAUCGAGCAGAGAUCCUGGUCGUGGUCGAAAGAGUAACCAGAAUCUCGCAUCAACAGGUAUUUUGAUCUUUCUUUCAUCUCUGUCUUGUAUCUUAGAAGUGUUAUGGAAUUUGUUUAUUGGUUGAAGAUAUGAACUUUUGAUAGAUUGAUAGAUAUCUAAAGAGAGAUCUUUGGUUGAAAAACAAUAAAAACACAUCUUCCAAUACAGCUUAUCUCAUACCUCUUACAAUUGAAUUAACUAUCACUCACAAUUAAUGUAAUUCAAACUGAUUGUUUUAACAUCUUUGUUUGUUAUUUGUAAACUGUAGGACCAUAUGAUGUUUUAGUCAGGAUGAAAGCCGUUGGUAUUUGUGGAAGUGAUGUGCAUUAUCUCAAGGUAUUUUUGUUUAUUCCUCUUCAACUUCCUUUAAAUUAUUAUUAUUAUUAUUAUUAUUAUGGCAAUUAAUCUGUCAAAUUGCUGAGAAAUGUUAAUAAUGGAAUAUUUUCACUUUAUGUUAUUCAAAAUAAUACUUGAAUGUUGAAUGUUUGUGUAUUUUCGCAGACCUUGAGGUGUGCCGAUUUUGUUGUGAAAGAGCCUAUGGUGAUUGGGCACGAGUGUGCUGGGGUCAUAGAGAAGGUGGGAAGCGAGGUGAAGACUUUGGUGCCCGGUGACCAUGUGGCCCUGGAACCCGGGAUCAGCUGCUGGCGAUGUGAUCACUGCAAAGGAGGUCGAUACAAUUUGUGUCCAGAGAUGAAAUUUUUUGCAACUCCGCCCGUUCAUGGUUCCCUGGCUAAUCAGGUUGAUUGAAAAUUUACAUUUUGAGCUAAGGUCUAGAGGACUAUGAGAUGACAAAUAUGGUAGACUGACUUUAACACAGUUUAUGCCCUUAUAAAUUUCAGUAAUGAUAUACUUACUACAGUUUUUUUGUUUUUUUUUUUAAUUCUACUACGGUUAGUAUACCAUCACUACAGAACAAAAAAAUUUCAUUACAAGAUAAAAUAAAAUUCCACUGUAAGACAAAUUUUUUUCUUUCUCUUACUGAUUUUGUGCUAACUUUUAUACAUACAUUAUUAUUCUAUAAAUUUUACUGUUUGAUUUUUUUUAGUGUAUUGGAUUAUUACUACAAUAUGAUCUAUGCCCUUGUGAAUUCUGUUGCAUAAAUAGUGGUGUCACUUUACCUGUUCUUCUAAAGGCAUACCGGUUACUGUCAGUUGUGUAGUUCCCAUUUGAUCUUCUGUCCCUCUCGUCGUAUAUUUUUUUAUCUGGCAAUGAUUGUUGAUUCCUUUUAUUUGAAAUGAAAUUGGCUGCUAUCAAAAUUGAUCGGCUACUUGACACAAUGACUAAGAUGCAUUCUCUUGUGUAUAAUAGGUGGUGCAUCCUGCAGACCUAUGUUUUAAGCUGCCCGACAAUGUUAGCCUGGAGGAAGGGGCUAUGUGUGAGCCCUUGAGUGUUGGUGUUCAUGCCUGCCGCCGUGCCAAUAUCGGUCCUGAGACAAAUGUGCUUAUCAUGGGAGCAGGGCCCAUAGGACUUGUCACAAUGCUAGGAGCUCGUGCUUUUGGAGCUCCUAGAAUUGUCAUUGUGGAUGUGGAUGACUAUCGUUUAUCUGUUGCAAAGGAACUUGGUGCAGAUAAUAUUGUUAAAGUUUCAACAAAUUUGCAGGUAUGUUACUGCCCAUUGCCCAGCAGAAGAGUUUAGAAAAGUAAAAGACAUCUCAAAAUCUUCAUGCUCACAAUCCUUCCCUUUCUCUUAAUCAUCAUAACAACAUGUUCUGUUCAACCAACUCUGUUGCAUUAAUACCUUGUUUCAACUUCCUCAGUUCAUUUUUGUUCUCAGUACCUUUUUGUUCUCUGUUUGAAAGUUGACCACUCUAAUCUGCAUUAUUCUUGUUAUCAGAGUAGAGGUGAGCUUGAGCUUUGGUUCGUUUGAAAAUUUUUCAUGUGCUCCUCACGCUUGUUUUUUCUGUUUGAAUAAACCGCUAUGCGUCGAGUAUUUUGCAGGAUAUAGCUGAAGAAGUGGAAAAGAUAGAUAAAGCCAUGGGGACAGGAAUAGAUGUGAGCUUUGAUUGUGCAGGCUUUAACAAAACCAUGUCAACAGCACUGAGUGCUACUCGUGCAGGUGGUAAAGUUUGCCUCGUGGGGAUGGGUCAUCAUGAAAUGACUGUCCCACUCACUCCAGCUGCUGCAAGGUACUUGAUUUAUGGUUUUCUUUUUCAUUUUUUUAUUUAUUGUUUUGGGCUACUCCGUUAUUUACUUUAAGUUUUUAAUUAGUUUCUUGAAAUCUGAAUAAAUUUGAAUUAGUUUGAAUUCAUAAUAUAAUUGAAUAUUUGAAUCUUAAUGAUAUAUUUGUUUUUUUUUUCUGAAUCGCAAAAAAUAAAUUUUAAGUUUUUUUCCUAAAAAAAUAAAAAAACUAAUAUUUUUACAUUUAUACCCCUACAAAUUAUAAAUGUUAAACAAAUAAUAAACAUAUCAAAAAAUAUAAAUAAGAUAAUAUAUUAUCAUAACAUAAAUCAUAUUCAAUUGAAUACAACUCUUUAAUAUUUUAUAUUAUAUAUAUUAAUCAAUUUUAUUAUAGUUUAUGAUGUUUUUAUAUGAAAAAUAUUCAUAAAAAAUUAUGAAAAUAAAUAAUGCUAAUUUGAAGAAAAUAAAAAGAAAAAAUAAUAAUAAUCUACCACUAUAUAUUAUCACAAGUUAUACAAAGAUGGGUAAUGAUGUUAAUUAUUAAAUUUUAUUCAGGUAAAGAUGAAAAUUAAUUAAGGAAAUAGGGAUAUUUUAAAAAAAAAAAACUUGCAAUGAUACCGAUAAGACUUUUUAAAUUAAGCAAAAAAGAUAAAAAAAAUUAACUUAAUAACUUGAUGAAUUAAUGGCUAAAAUUUUUUAUUAAGUUGAAAAAAUAAAAAGACUUAAUGACUUAAUUAAUUAAAAUUAAAUUAAUUAAGUCAAGUCAAAAAAGUAAAUGACCCGUAAGCCUCUAAAAUGUAAAUAAAAAAAUAACACAAAAUUUCGUGGGCGGAGUCAUUUCAUUGUUGGAUUGGGAACAAAUGCAUUUAAGAAAUGAGAGAAUCAAGGAUACCUACCAGAAUGACCAUAAAACCAUCAUUUUUAAGAACAUGUAAAAUGGUAAACAAAAGCUGUUGAAUAAAAGUUGGAAUGUUCUAGAAUCAAUAGACUUGGAAGAAGAAUGUAAACAAAUUCUUGUGCUUGGGUUGUAUGUUUUCCAAUAGAACACGAUGGCAUGUCAAGAACAACUUUCACAAACCAUCUUGUAUGUUGUUUCUGUUUAAUGACUUUUUCUUUCCUUUUCUGGAAACAUAUGUUUAAUGACUUCUUAAGCUGAAUAACACGUUUCGGCUUUUAAUUGGACUAAAAUCCGUCUGAACCUUUUACCCUUAAAUUUAUGAGCAUAAUUGUGAACGCAGGGAGGUGGAUGUGGUGGGGGUGUUUCGCUACAAGAACACCUGGCCACUGUGUCUGGAGUUCCCUAGAAGCGGAAAGAUUGAUGUAAAGCCCCUUGUCACGCAUAGGUUUGGUUUCUCCCAGAAGGAAGUGGAAGAGGCCUUUGAAACAAGUGCUCGUGGUGGUACUGCAAUCAAGGUCAUGUUUAAUCUGUAAAAUACAACGUAAAGUAAACGUUUGGGCAAAAGAUGAAAUAAAAUGGAAUUGUCGCCGAGUAAUAUGAAUCAAAGUGUAGCAUAUUACUUUAUUUCUAUCUAUUACAAAAUAAAAUUCAGAUUUCUCAAGUUUUUUGUUCUUUAUUGUCUGCUCUGUGCUAUAUUUUCUUCAUCCUUUUGUGUAUGCUUAUUUGAAAGCCAAUCAAUAGGUUUCCUGGUUAACAGAUGAUUACCCUGCAAGACAUUUCAGUCACCACUUUCGUUCAGCCGUGAGUUGUGUUUGCUGUAGACAACUGCAGAGUAAUUUCAACAUAGCCGAACUCUUUCCUUUAACCUUCUUAACCUUUUUUAAAAGAUAAAACAAUUCUUUCAAACCAUUUUGCAAAAUUAGCCACCACUCACAUACAUGAAGUUGAUUUUGAUUCCUUUAUGAAGAUACAAUUAUUGCAAGGUUUCGAUUUCGGGGUCCAUAAAUUCUGAAAAAAACAAAAUUAACAAACAACAAACGGUUCUGAAACCGAUAAAUUCUCUCCACGUAAGCACGUUAUCCCGUUGAAAAAAGAAACCAUAAUCUCUAUCACAAAUUUUUUAAAACUGUCAUUAGUAAUUGGAUUUAUCCUUAAAUAAAAAUGAGUCAGAUGAAAACAGAAAUCAAUCAUCUACACGGAUAAAUAAAAAGAACACUUGAUGUUAUGCCUCACUUGUCAUUAAAUAUUCCUGCGACCGAAUCAAAUCAUAUCCCAUAUCCAGAAUCAGAUAGUGUACAGAGUGAAGUCUCUGCUGUACACUUGUGUUUUUGAAGGGUGAAAAGCAAAUAUGGGCAAAGGAGGGAUGUCACAAGGAGAAAAGAAGGAUGGAGAAGAAGUUAACAUGGCAGCUUGGCUUAUGGGUGUCAACACCCUCAAGAUUCAGCCUUUUGAGCUUCCUUCUCUGGGUAUUUUGAUCUUUCUUUCAUUUCAGUCUUGUAUCUUAGAAGUGUUAUGGAAUUUGUUUAUUGGUUGAAGAUAUGAACUUUUGAUAGAUUGAUAGUGUUGGGUGCAAGCGGAAGUGCAGAAAUUUUUUUUAUUUAAGAACAGAGUAUUUUGCUGGAAAUUACUGAAACUUUAUUGCUUAAUUCAUUUUUUCGUUUCUCUCUUACUUUUCAUACAACCAGAGUUCUAUAUUUAUAUGCAUUAUAGACAACUCUAGAGAUUACAUUAAUCAUGCUUUACAUUUCCAAAGCCACAUUGCAAACAUCAAUUCUACCCUUUACUUCACGUUGAAAAACAAACCAAAUAACCCUUCAAACUUCUUGCUCAAUUUACUAGAUUACUAAUUAUAUCUCAACAGAUAGAUAUCUAAAAAGAGAUCUUUGGUUGAAAAACAAUAAAAACACAUCUUCCAAUGCAGCUUAUCUCAUACCUCUUACAAUUGAAUUAACUAUCACUCACAAUUAAUGUAAUUCAAACUGAUUGUUUUAACAUCUUUGUUUGUUAUUUGUAAACUGUAGGACCAUAUGAUGUUUUAGUCAGGAUGAAAGCCGUUGGUAUUUGUGGAAGUGAUGUGCAUUAUCUCAAGGUAUUUUUGUUUAUUCCUCUUCAACUUCCUUUAAAUUAUUAUUAUUAUUAUUAUUAUUAUGGCAAUUAAUCUGUCAAAUUGCUGAGAAAUGUUAAUAAUGGAAUAUUUUCACUUUAUGUUAUUCAAAAUAAUACUUGAAUGUUGAAUGUUUGUGUAUUUUCGCAGACCUUGAGGUGUGCCGAUUUUGUUGUGAAAGAGCCUAUGGUGAUUGGGCACGAGUGUGCUGGGGUCAUAGAGAAGGUGGGAAGCGAGGUGAAGACUUUGGUGCCCGGUGACCGUGUGGCCCUGGAACCAGGGAUCAGCUGCUGGUGAUGUGAUCACUGAAAAGGAGGUCGAUACAAUUUGUGUCCAGAGAUGAAAUUUUUUGCAACUCCGCCAGUUCAUGGUUUUCUGGCUAAUCAGGUUGAUUGAAAAUUUACAUUUUGAACUAAGUUCUAUAGGACUAUGAGAUGAGAAAUAUGGUAGACUGACUUUAACACAGUUUAUGCCCUUAUAAAUUUCAGUAAUGAUAUACUUAGUAUGGUAAGUAUACCAUCACUACAGAACAAAAAAAUUUGAUUACAAGAUAAAAGAAAAUUCCAUUGUAAGACAAUUUUUUUUUUUUUUGUUUUCCCUUACAGAUUUUGUACUAAUAAUUAUACAUACAUUAUUAUUCUAUAAAUUUUACUGUUUGAGAUUUUUUAGUGUCUUAGAUUAUUACUACAAUACGAUCUAUGCCCUUGUGAAUUCUGUUGCAUAAAUAGUGGUGUCACUUUACCUGUUCUUCUAAAAACAUACUGGUUACUGUCAGUUGUGUAGUUCCCAUUUGAUCUUCUGUUCCCUCUUGUCAUAGAUAUUUUAUCUGGAAAUGAUUGUUGAUUCCUUUUAUUUGAAAUGAAAUUGACUGCUAUCAAAAUUGAUCGGCUGCUUGACAUAAUGACUAAGAUGCAUUUCUUGUGUAUAAUAGGUGGUGCAUCCUGCAGACCUAUGUUAUAAGCUUCCGGACAAUGUGAGCCUGGAGGAAGGGGCUAUGUGUGAGCCCUUUAGUGUUGGUGUUCAUGCUUGCCGCCGUGCCAAUAUCGGUCCUGAGACAAAUGUGCUUAUCAUGGGUGCAGGGCCCAUAGGACUUGUCACAAUGCUAGCAGCUCGUGCUUUUCGAGCUCCUAGAAUUGUCAUUGUGGAUGUGGAUGACUAUCGUUUAUCUGUUGCAAAGGAAAUUGGUGCAGAUAAUAUUGUUAAAGUUUCAACAAAUUUGCAGGUAUAUUACUGCUCAUUUCCCAGCAGAAGAGUUUAGAAAAGUAAAAGACAUCUCAAAAUCUUCAUGCUCACAAUCCUUCCCUUUCGGCUUUCUAUUAAUCAUCAUAACAACAUGUUUUGUUCAACCAACUCUGUUGCAUUAAGACCUUGUUCUAACUUCCUCAGUUCAUUUUUGUUCUCAGUACCUUUUGUUUUCUGUUUGAAAGUUGACAACUCUAAUCUGCAUUAUUCUUGUUAUCAGAGUAGAGGUGAGCUUGAGCUUUGGUUCGUUUGAAACCUGUUCAUGUGCUCCUCACCCUUGUUUUUUCUGCUUGAAUAAACCGCUAUGCAUCGAGUAUUUUGCAGGAUAUAGCUGAAGAAGUGGAAAAGAUACAGAAAGCCAUGGGGACAGGAAUAGAUGUGAUCUUUGAUUGUGCAGGCCUUAACAAAACCAUGUCAACAGCACUGGGAGCCACUCGUGCAGGUGGUAAAGUUUGCCUCGUGGGGAUGGGUCAUCAUGAUAUGACUGUCCCACUCACUCCAGCUGCUGCAAAGUAAUUGAUUUACGGUUUUCUUUUCCUUUUUUUUCUUGUUUUGGGCUACUCCGUUAUUUACUUUAGGAAAAUGCUAUAUACCCGGGUCAAACCCCAAAACUAAUUCAAACAACACUGUUUGAUCUUUUUUUCUUUUUCUUUUCAUUCACCUUAAAACGACUCCGUUUUGUUUAGCUAAUGUCAGCCUUAAUUGCUCUCUCUUCAUCUUCGUUUCAACGACAAAAUCGAUUUGGCUUAGACAAAACCGAUUUCAAGAACAUCAGCAACAAAACCGAUUUGGCAAAACCUUUAAGCUUUUAUCUUCCUUCUAGGUGAUUGGAUUUGGCUUAGAUAAGGAAAAAAGGAAAUCUUGAACAAGGUGGCUGCUAGGCGUGAUGGUGGUGCUAAUGGCUAGGUAUGCGUGAUGGUGGCUGCCAGUUGUGGAUCGCGAACGGCUGUGAAACGAAGGGGAAGAUAAAGCAGUUGUUUUACAGAGACAUGGAAGGCGAAUGGCUGGGAGACAAAGAGGAAGAGAAAGCAAUUUUGGGCCGUCGUUGCUUUUGCCUUAACUAAGCCAAAAUGACGUCGUUUUAGGGAGAAUGAAAGGUAAAAAAAAAGAUGAAACAACGUCGUUUGCAUUAGUUUUGGAGUUUGACUCGGGGUAAAUAGCAACGCUAUUUACUUUAAGUUUCUAGUUAGUUUCAGCAAAUUCACUUUAAGAUCACUUUUUUUUUUAAAUAUGAGAAAAUUUGAAUUAGUGAAAUGUUUUUUUUAUCUGAAUUGCUAAAAAUAAAUUUUAAAUUAUUUUUUUAACCUAAAAAAAAUAUAAAAACUAAUAUUUUUACAUUUAUAUCCUUACAAAUUAUAAAUGUUAAACAAAUAAUAAACAUAUCGAAAAAUAUAAAUAAGAUAAUAUAUUAUUAUAACAUAAAUCAUAUUCAGUUGAAUACAACUCUUUAAUAUUUUAUAUUAAAUAUGUUAAUCAAAUUUAUUAUAGUUUAUGAUGUCUUUAUAUGAAAAAUAUUCAUAAAAAAUUAUGAAGAUAAAUAAUGCUAAUUUGAAGAAAAUAAAAAGAUGAAAAUAAUAAUAAUCUACCACUAUAUAUUAUCACAAGUUAUAUAGAGAUGAGUAAUAAUGCUAAUUAUUAAAUUUUAUUCAAGAAAUGAUGAAAAUUAAUUAGUGAGAUAUGAAUAUUUUAGAAAAUAUCUUUUAAUGGUACCAUUAAAACUUUUUAUAUUAAGCAAAAAAAGGUAAAAAAAAAAUAUUAGUUUAAUAACUUAAUGACUUAAUGGCUGAAAUUUUUCAUUAAGUUGAAAAAAAAAAUAGAUUUAAUGACUUAAUUGAUUAAAAUUAAGUCAAUUAAGUCAAGUCAAAAAAGCAAACGACCACUAAGUCUCUAAAAUGCAAAAAAAAAAAAAAACACAAAAUUCGUGGGAGGGGCAUUUCAUUGUUGGAUUUGGGAACAAAUGGAUUUAAAAAAUGAGAGAAUAAAAGUUGAAUACAAUUACCAAAAAGAUCAUAAAGCCAUCAUUUUUAAGAACAUGUAAAAUAUUAAACAAAAAUUGUUGAAUAAAAGUUGGAAUGUUCUAGAAUCAAUAGACUUGGAAGAAGAAUGUAAACAAAUUCUUGUGCUUGGGUUGUAUGUUAUCUAAUAGAACACGAUGGCAUGUCAAGAACAACCUUCACAAACCAUCUUGUAUAUUGUUUCUAUUUAAUGACUGUUUUUCCUUUCCUUUUCUCGAAACAUAUGUUUAAUGACUUCUUAAGCUGAAUAACACGUUUCAGCUUUUAAUUGGACUAAAAUCCGUCUGAGUGUAGUGACUCUAAAAACACAUCUUCUUAGUUAAAAAAAAAAAUCAUUUUCUUUUUCUAUCGUUUUAAGUGUAACCUUUCUAAUUAGUUUUUCUGCAUCAUUUUCACCUUUCUGCAUGCAUAUUUUCUUUUCAUGUUUAGAAUAGGUUAGGGGGUAUAAUGUUGUUUGAAAAAGAAAAUUUGUGAUUUUUUUUAACAUUGGAUGACACGAUGACUUUCAAAUUUUAGUAUUUGUAUUAUCUUUGGUCUUAAGUAAUGUUACGCCAUGUUUUCUACUCUACAUGUUGAUGUUGGAGACAAAUAUGAGUUGCUUGAAGGAAUGUACAUGUCAUAAUAAAUACCAAGUGAGUUUUUUAGCCUGUCAUUUUUCUUGGAGAGUAAUCAUUUUUGCCCAUUCUUCAUACAGCUUAGCAGUUUAUUAUUUUAUACAUGAUCUCUAGAUUUCCUUUGAGUCAAUCCUCUAAAAAAAAAAGAAAAAAAAAUGUGUUACUACAUUUGAAGGUCCAUCUAAUUAGUAGAUAUUGAAGAUUAUUUAGAGCCCUAAAAGACGAUGGAAAUACCAUCUUUGACCCGUUUGAGCUUUUCUAGCCAUCCCUUUUGUAAAAUAUCCAUAGUUAGCCCUUUUAAGCCUUUUAUUUAAUAAAAAAAUUUCUUUAUCAACUUAUCAUCUUGACCCACUUCGAUUUGAUGUCUUACAAAUUCCAUCACAUAUUCAUAUUUGAGAAAAAUGUAAAUAAUUAUCUUGUUCAGUAAAGUUGUGCCAUACAAAAAAAAAAAAACAAAAAUAAAAAAUUUGUUUCAAAAAAAAGGAAAAAAAAAAAAAGAGAAAAAAUUAAUAACAAUAAUAAUAAAUAAGCGAAAUGCACCUUGUAAUUUCCAAAAGAUCUAUUCUUUUUCUCAAACAUAUAUUUUGUUUUCCUUAUUUUCCCUCCUUUGUUAGCUAUAUCCUUAGCCUACGUUGAUUUUAGGGAUCUAUAGUCUGAAGUAGAAACUAGUUAUAUGGGCUAAAAGGAUGUAGUGAUGCAUAUAUAAAAAAAUAGAAAAAAAAAAAAAUUGGGUUGACUAGAAUUUUGUUAGAGUUAAGAUGUACUUUUAUUUUAUUGCUAUUAUUAGUCUGAUUGAAUAAACACGAGUAUUUUAAAAAAAAAUCAAUUUGGGUUUGAAUUUUGUUUUCGCUUAAUUUGCUAGGAACUAGCAAUAAGCUGGUUGGGGGGUGUGUUGAGUGUUAGAAAGUAUACAUUUAUAAAGAAGAAAAUUGUUAUUUUACACUUCAAGUUUCACUAACAUUCGUACUUUUAUGUAUUUAAGUCUCUUGUGAUCUAAUUAUGUGUGUUGUAUUAUAAUUAAGUAUUUUAUGUAUUUUAGGGGUAUUAUGGUCAUUUCAUUAUGAACGAGAGAUCAGGCAGCAAAACAGACAUCACUUUUGAACUCAGGACAAUCGAAAACCUUAGGAGGAGCAUAAAUGGAAAAAUGGCACUGUUCACAUAUACGGUGCUGUCCAUGUUUUUGUUCACGACGCUGUUCACAUAUACGGGAUGAUGAUGUGGCAUUGACCGAUCAGUGUCACAAUCCUAUUGGACUAAAAUUCUUAUGUACUGUUGAUUGGUGACGUGGCAGCACGUUAGUGGAUAAAAAAUUAUGCUUACGGUAUAUGCAUAUACACGGAACUAUUUACAACCAAACCUCGUCACUAUUCAAGCCGCCUCACUGUUCAUACCGCGUCACUAUUCAAACCGCGUGAUCAAACUGCAUAUUGUUGACUGAUGACGUGGCGCAAUCCUGAGCGUCCAAAAUAUUUUUAAUUCGAUGGCCAUGAUUUACUCAGUGUAUCUAUAAAAAGGGGGCUCCCCCCUAAUUUGGCACCCCUGAAUUUAUUUUUGAGUUUCAUUUCUGUAAUUCCUUCUCCAUCUUGUAUUUUCUACGUAUUUUAAUAAAUUCCUAUUUUAAUUUAAAUUUUAGGAUAAUCUAAAUCACUUCCAUCACAAAUCUAAUCGCCCACUUAGAAAAUUAACUCUACACACAAUUAAAAUACACCUCCUCGUGGGAUCGACACUCGUCACCAUUAAUCUAUUCUACAAUAGAUUUCUGCACUUGCGAGUUCAAUAAAAUUUGCACAGUAGAUAUCAGGUCGCUUUAUUUCUUAAUUAUGUAGCUCCUCCUUCAAGUUCUAGCAAGUUUUCAUAUUGGUGGAAGUUCAUUUGGGCAUUGUCCAUUUCUAGCAAAUUUAAGUUACUUUUCUGGCGAGCACUCCAUGAAAUCCUUCCCACCUCUUGCAAUGUUUUCAAAUGUAACCUCUUGUAACCUUUUCAAAUGACUUCUGUAAAUUGAGUACGAUGUGUAUGGAUGGGUCAAAAUAGGUUACUUUGAACUUUUAGAGUCAGUUUGGUAAUACUGCAACUUUUAAAAUAAUUACUGUUAACGGUGUUGUAAAAAUAAUCAGCUAUGAAGAGAAUUAGUUGAAUGGUUGGUAAAAUUUAUUUUUAAAAAUAUUGCUAGUUUUAAAAACAGUCCUAUCUAUUUAGUAAAUCUUAUUGUUAAGCUACUAUAGAAUGUAAAUGACUAGAUUAGGGCAAAAUAUUGAAUAAAAUUUAUUUAUACAUUUAUAAACUUAAAUAUAAAAUAUUUUUUAUUACGUAUAUAGUAAAUUAAUAACUAAAAUAAAUAUUUUAUAUUAUUUUGAGAAUCAAUUUUUUGUUACUUUUCAAAAUCUAUUAUAGGAUAUGGUGAUUUUGCCAAAAAGAUUUCUAAAAAAAUUUAUUAAACACCAAAAUUAUCUUUUAUUUUAAAUCCCCCAAAAGCAAUCUUACUAUAUCAGAAGUAAUUUGAGAAAGAGUUAGGGCUGAUGUGAGUAUUUUCACCUAAAGUUUGUAAAUCCAUGAUAUUUCUUUACCUUCACUUUCUAGUAUGUCAACUAUUAUUUGUGCGUAUGUUUAGCUUUUCAAAAUCACUUAUGAGUUAUGGCCUCCCAAAAGUAAUUUUACUAUAUUAGUAGUAAUUCGUGAAAGGAUUGGGGCUGAUGUGAGUAUUUUUCCCUAAAGCUUAUACAUUAAUAAGUAUUUUUCCCUAAAGCUUAUUCAUUAAGCCAUGAUAUUUCUUUGCCUUUACUUUCUGAUAGGUUGACUAUCAUUUGUGUCUAUGGCUCAUAACAUUCUUUUCUGGAAUAUUUUCCAGCUAUCUAUUAGAUGCUGAAAAUUCUUGUGAGUCAUAUUCAAACUAAAAUUCUUAUAUGGAGUUGCUGGCACUUAUACAAAGUGUAUUUUCAUGGAAGAACUUAGUGCAAAAGAAAGUUUGUUGGACAUUUUGUACCCAAGGUCUAGUUAAUUUUUCUGAGUUACUAUAAAGGUUUCAUCAAAUUUCUAUUUUAUUUUUCCAAUGAAUUUAAUUUUUCCUCUGUCUGUGCAUAAUACGAACAAGAGGACUUUAGAUGAGGGUAUCCAGAUCCUAAUUUGACUUAAGCAAAAAGAAUUGGUUGCUCACAUUGAAUUUUGGGUAAACCAAACACUGAAGAUGAACAACCAUAAUUUGCUACUAUUGAUGUUGUUGCAGAUCAUAACCUAGCCACUAGCUUCCUAUAUAGAUACUAAACUAGUACAAACCCUGUUAGAUUUAGGUGCCCCAUUAUGGGCUGACUUUUAUCCAACUUGAGAGAUAAGAUAAUCUUACAAUUUAUCUAGGAUUCUUAUAAGAUAAACUUAAUGUUUUAUCUAAAUCCUAAUCAUAUAAGUUGUGGCUUAUUCAAAUAACUCUAGAAAGUUUAUUUAAAUUAAAUUACAUUUAUUGUACUAUAUAAGCACUACAUGGGUGGGUGCAAAUACGUAUAAUAAUAAUAAUAAGAAUCAGAGUACAUCAUAAAGUGAGUGAGAGAAAAGAGAAAAUGCAGUGGGUUCUUACUUCAUGAAUUGAGGGAAUUUUCUAACCACGUGAUUGUCCUCCAACCAUCAGUGACAUAAACUCAUUAAGAUCCAUUUGUGAAGGUUCCAGUAAUCAGUUCCUCUUCGUAGCGAUCUGUUCGUGAAGGUUCUAGGAGAUUGGAAGGAAUCUAUUAUUUAUUUCCGCAGAUCCUUGACUAUUUGUUUCUGCAUCAACCAACAAGGUAUGAAUUUGGUUGAUAAAAUAAAAUUGCAUUAUUGAUUGAGGAAAUCAACAUUAGUAUCAUAGCUUGUGUAGCUUAUGUCUUGAUCUUGAGUGCUUAUGUAUGCUGAUAUGCCAUGUUCUUCUAUGAAAAUUUGUUUCUCGCUCUAAAAUCACACAUUAAUGGUAUAUGAUGAAAUACAUACUGUUAAAGAAUGAAAUCCGGACUAUAAGUACAUGAACAUACAUGGAAUAUAUCUAGAAUCCCAUUUGAUCUAAUAUGCUCUUAAGUGAUAAAUAAAUUGAAACUCUAAGUUAUGAACCCGAAUGCUUAUUUUGCUCAUAAAAUUUUUUAUGUUCAUUCAUUCUCUACAAUUUGGUAUCAUUAGAAAGGUCUUUUAAUUAUCUUUACAAUGGUAUAUCAUGUGCAUUAUUUGGCCUUGUAAAUUGAGAGAACGAAGUAUUUGAAUUUCUGGUUCGAAAUUUGAAAUUUUUGUUCAAAUUGAAGAAGAUAAAUAGUAUUCUAUGUGCAAUCUCACUCUCGGGUAUGAUGUGUAAGCUCCAUUUGUACACUAAAAAAAAUUUAAGACCAGAUUUGAAUUCAAGAUGUCAAAUAAGGUCAGUAGGUUAGAAAAUUGAGAGCAAAAUGUGCCCGGAAGCUGGAGCAUGUGUCACACGCGCCAAGAAAGAGAGUUAAGCCGAAUAUGUAAUCGGCUUGGUAGUAAACUGGCUUCGUCAGAGCCGCGCGAACCAGAUCAGACCGAACCAAGUGUCAGCGCUAGUUAGCGUGCCAAGCGUGGCCACAUUGGUCCACGCGUGACAGUAGCGCGCAGCGCACGUCCAACCUUCCUGACCUCGGAUUGCAAUAUUGUGUUACGGCAACUGCACGAGAAUUCAAUUUCCUAUUUUUCUGUAUUUUAAAAUUAAAAUUUUGUUUCUAUUUUUAAUUAUUUUAUUUUAUUUUAUUUUUCUAACAUACUUGAAUUUAGAAAUAAAAAUAGUUUUAUAGAAAUUAAAUUCACACAAUAUGAAUCUUAAUUGUAAAGAAUGUCAUAUCUAGUCGGAGGAAAUAUAAAAUACUUAAAAUAUUAUGAGGAUUAUUAAAGUUUGACGUAGUAAUGUGAAUUUAUGCAUGUCUAGGAAAAUUCUAUCAAAAUGACAAUAAAAGUCUAAGAAAAUGAGGUACUUAAGUGGGACUAUCUUAUCCCUACCUCUUUCUUGAGAAUUUUCCUAAUGCUUAUUCACUUGAAAAUAUGCAUGAAGGCUUUUUUAUCCCUCAAAACUAAAAUGAAAAGUUUUAUUAUUAAAAUAAUAAAAGGAUUAAUAAUAAUAGAAUUAAUAUUUUUUGCACAAAAGGACUAAAUGAUGAUGAUUUAAUUAUUUGGGAAGGAUGAUUAUUAGGAGCUUGGAUGAAUUUUCGAUUCUAAUCCUUGUAUUAAAUAAUCAUGUUGAGUCUUGUGUUUAUGACAAAAUUAUAAAUGUGUAUAAGAAUCAUGCUAAUUAACGUUUUUUCUCUAUGUUUUAUUGUGGCUAUAAGAAAUGGCAUCUUCAAAGAAUAUCGUGGCCGAAUUGAAUAAAGGAGAAAAAUUGAACGGUGACAAUUAUGACAUUUGGCACCAAAAGGUUCAAUAUGUUCUCAAUGAACAAGAGACUCUUGAGACUCUCAAUACAGUAAUUAAGCUGAGGAGCUUGAGAGCAGUCUUUCUGAACAAUACAAUAAGGAUCUUGAGGCUUAUCCGUCUUGGAAAAGGAAGAACAACAGUGCUCGCAUUAUGUUGCUGAGUGUUGGUAUAAAUUUAAAUGCUAUUGGUGUCUAUGUGCAAAUGUACACAAUAAGUAAUAUAAUUAUAAGUAUUCAAGAUCAUUUCCACAGGGAUUGAUGUUAUUGAAAUUGCUACAACAAUCUUAACAGUGCAGUUUGCCUUAAAUGAAAAUAAAUUAACAAUUAAAUUAAUAAAUUGUGUAAUAAAAUGCAAUAAAUAAAUAUGCAGAAAAGAAAAACUUUAACGUCACACACACAAGGAUAAAAUCAAUAGGAAUGAAGUAGUUGAGUGAUUAAACUCUCUUAAUGGUUUUGAUUAUUUCUUGUAAUUCUAAGUUCAGUUGCUAUAGCAUCUGCUACAGUAUUGGGUAGAAUCAUUAUGUAUCAUCAGCUAGCGCAUGUUGGAUGUCUUACAUCUAUAUACAACCUAACAAUGACCAAUUGUUAUACCAACAUAAGAUAUAUCAUUGCAUGUUUAAGGUUUAUUUACCCUACAAGGUGAAUCCUUAUGUCUAGUUCAUCACUAAUUUUAGAUUAAGUAUGACCCUUUUGGAAUUAAGUUAAACUCAACUCAGGAAGCCCAAUCCAAAAUCAAGUAUUGUUCUGAUAUGUUCCACUAAGAUAGGCCUUUUUGUACUCUUUCUUAGCUUGUAUCAUUAUGGGUGGUCAGCCGAAAUAAUGAAUGUAAAUAAGCUUUACUAAAAUAAAAUGCUAUAGCAAACACGCAACAACAUAUAAAUCCAGUCGAUAGCCCAUUAAGAUUAUUUAUCACUCAACCACAAGUAAAUUUAGUUCAUAGUUUGUGAAAGGAAAGUAAACAACAAAGUUUAAGCCAUCGAAUACUUCUUCAUGAUCAAAGAAUAAACAAGCAAACAAGAAAUAAUAAGAAAGAUUGAAUUCCAAUUGAUUCCCACAAAUUUUCCACUGAUUGCAGCCUUGAUUCUUGCUCUUGAAUUCUAUUUUUUCUUUGUUUCUUUUCGGUUUUUGAUCUUAGUUGACAACCCCUUCUUUUCCUUUGCAUGUAUCCUUCCUUUAUAGCUGAAAACUAGGGUAAAUUAAAGUCUAGGGCGUGCAUAUUCCAGAUUAGGAAACUACAGAUCACAAUCUGAUAAGUGCCUCGAGCAAAAUCUUCUCUGUUGUUGUUCCAGGAUUAUUACAACAAUUGAUGCUACAACAACCACUACAGCAUCUACAUUGUUUCAUAUUUGUUUUAAUUUUUUCUAUAACCAAGUCCUGUUCCAUUUUUUGCAAGCCUAUUGCCACAACAUCCUUCCCAUGAAAUUUGAACUUCCGGUUACCUACAAUUAUGCAUAUGUUUUAAGUACACGACUUUUGAAAUCAAACAAACUUUUAUUAAACUUAAACUAAAAUGAAUGUUAAUGUAAACUAUCAUUAAAAUGCACUAAAACACAUCAAUUACUCUCUAAGUAAUCUUGAUUUGACCCUAAAAGUAUCAUGAUAACUCUCAUUUCAUAGAGUUAUCACUGAGCUGCAUGCAAGAUGACCUUAUGUGUAAGUUCGAAGAGUAUUGUAUGCCUCAUGAAAUGUAGCUUGAAUGAAAAGUUAGGUGGUACUUCGACCACUAAAUAAAAAGGGCUCAACAUAAAAAAUGAUGGACAUGUAUUGACUGAUGAGCAAUAUGUUCAGGCAAUCAUACGAUCGCUUCCUAAUAAUUAGGAAUAUAUGAGAGUUAACAUGGCUCAUAAUUAUAGCAUUAAGACAUUUAAUGAUAUCAAGUGUCAUUUGGAACUAGAAAGCUUCUAGCCAACUCUAUAUGGCUAACUCUAAGCCGUAGAAAGCUUUGGGCUUCAAGCGCAAAAAAAGAAGGAAUACUUUUCAAAGGAAAAAGAGAAUUGUGACAGCUCAAGGGAACCCUAAUAAUAGAAAGUGCAUGAAAGGAAAGCGCGUUGGAUAUAAGAAAGACAAGACUAAAAUGAAUUGUUAUAAUUGUGGCAAAUUAGGCCACUUUGCUCGUGAAUGCACUGAGCCAAAAAGGUACCAUUCAUCUCCAUAAAUUUAUGUUCUAACUAUGUGAUAAAUUUUAUUUUUUUAACUGAAUCUCGUCCUUCAAGGACUGUAGACUCAGGACCAACAGACCACAUAGCUGAAGAGCGUGGAGCAUUUGUGAAGUAUCGUCAAAUUAAUCAAGGAACAAAAUGGUAUACGUGGGUAACAACUCAAGGGUUGAGGCAAAAGGAAUUGACACUUGCAAGUUAGAGUUGCGUGGUGGCCAAAUAUUUUAUCUCCAUGAUGUUCUUUAUACUCUAAACAUCCAAUAAAACUUAGUCUCUGUUACUGUUCUUCUUAUGAUGGGAUAUCAAUUACAAUUUUAUAGUGCUAGUUUAAAGAUUGUUCUUAAUUCAACUCUAGUUGCUGGUGGUUAUUUAUUAGAUGGUUUUCCUCUUUUGGAUACUAAUUAUUAUGAUUCCAAUAAUAAUUGUUUUUUGGUAAAUGCAUUUUCCAAUGUGGAUAUAAAUACUUGGCAUGCUAUACUAGGACAUGUAGGGCAAGAAAGAAUGAAUAGAUUAGUUAGAGAAAGCUUAUUAGGCUCACUCGCCAAUAUUGACUUGCCUAUUUGUGAAAGUUGUCUAGCUGGAAAAGCAACUAGAAAACCAUUUGGCAAAGCUACUAGAGCUGAAAGUCCAUUGUAAAUAGUCCAUUUUGACAUUCGUGGACCAAUGAGUGUGAGGGCUAAAUAUGGAACCUUGUAUUUUUAUCACAUUUAUUAAUGACUACUUACGCUUUGGUCAUGUUUAUUUGAUUUCUCAUAAAUCUGAAGCAUUGGAUUGCUUUAGAUCAUACUUGAAUUUAGUAGAGAAUCAAUUAGAAAAAAUAUCAAAGUCUUAAGAACAUAUCGUGGGUGUGAAUACCUUUUAAAGCAGUUCAAGGAAUUGUGCAAUAAUAAAGGUAUUGAGAAACAACUAACUAUUCUAAGGACUCCACAACAAAAUGGUGUUGCAGAAAUGAGGAAUAGAACAUUACUCGAGAUGGUUAGGUCUAUGAUGGCAUUAUUGACUGCCAUUUAUGUACUUAAUUGAGUUCCAAGUAAGUCAGUAAGUUUUACUCCAUAUGAGUUGUGGAUAGUUAGAAAACUUGAUCUUACUCAUUUGCGUCCCUGGGGGUCUGCAACGUAUAUUCACAACUCAUCUCAUAAACAUGGGAAAUUGGGUCCAAGAGGAAAGAAACGUUUCUUUAUAAGAUACCUAAAACACUCCAAAAGAUAUGUAUUCAUAGGUGAACAUGAUGAUGGAAAUAUAACUGAGACAAAGUCAGGAGAUGUUUCAUUUUUGGAAAAUGAAUUAUUAGCAUUUCAGAAGUUGACAAAGAUGUUACAUUUUUGGAAAAUGAAUUAUUAGCAUUUUAGAAGUUGACAAAGACAUUCAUCUAUAUGAGUUGAAUGAUUCAGAGGUUAAUGACACUUCUGAUUUACAAAUUGAGAGAAACUUAGAUAUAACUGGGAAUACUAAUCCUAGUAGGAGUCACCCACAAGAUGAGCCUACUCCACAAGACAACUCAAUUCGUAAAAGCAAUUGCAUACCCAUCCCACGUCGUCGUUUUGAGAUUGAGAAUGAGGCAUUUAUAGUUGCUUUACAUGAUGGUGAUGAGCCAAGAACUUAUAGAGACGCCAUCACAUUAUCAACUAAGGAAUUAUGGAUUGAGGUAAUGAAUGGAUGAAAAAAUAGAGUCUAUGAAAUCAAACCAUAUCUGGGACUUGGGUGAUCUACUGCUUAACUGAAAGGCUAUUGGAAACAAAUGGUUUUUACGUGUUAAACAAAAGGCGGAUGGCAUAAUUGAAUGAUACAAGGCACGCUUGGUAGCGAAAGGAUAUACCCAAUAAAAGGGUAUAAAUUAUGAGGAAAUGUUUUCUUCAGUAGUAAAGUUUGCUUUUAUAAGAUUAAUUUUAGUAAUUGUUGCACACAUGGACCUUGAAUUACAUCAAAUGGAUGUUAAAACAAUUUUUCUCAAUGGAGAACUAGAGGAAGAAAUUUAUAUGAAACAGUUAGAGGGUUAUAUAACCAGUUACCAAGAGCGCAAAAUUUGCAAGCUAAAAAGGUCUAUAUAUGGGCUAAAAUAAUCCUCUAGACAAUGGUAUCUUAGGUUUCAUUAAUCUGUAAUGUCUUAUGGGUUCUCGAUGACAGAAGAAGACCAUUGUGUGUAUGUUAAAAGGUUUGAAGGUAACUUUGUUGUCUUAUCUCUAUUUGUAGACGAUAUAUUGUUGGCUGAAAAUAAUAAGGAGUUUGUCCAAAUCAUCAAGGAAUGGUUAUUUUCAAACUUUGAAAUGAAAGAUAUGGGUAAAGCAUUUUAUAUCUUGGGAGUUAAAAUCCGUAAGGAUCGUUCCAGAAAACUUCUAAUUUUAUCACAAGAGUCUUACAUUAGAAGAAUUCUUAAAAAAAUUAAAAUAGAUAAGCGUAAACCUAUAGAUACUCCCAUCUCCAAAAACACAAACUCUUAGCCUUGAAACGUGUCCAAUGAAUCUAAAAGAACAUAGUGAAAUGACACGAGUUCCAUACUCGAAUGCUAUUGGAAGUCUCAUGUACGCUAUGAGGUGUACAAGGCCAAAUAUUUAUUAUGUUAUGGGGUUGGUAAGCAGAUACCAAUCAAAUCCUGGGCGCAAACAUUGGAAUGCUGUCAAAAGGAUUUUAGCAUAUUUGAAAGGCACUGACUAUUCUUUAUGUUAUCAAGGAGGUGUUUUAUGCUUAAUUACAUACACAUACGACGAUUAAGGAGGCGAUCAUGAUGAGCACAAAUCAAUCUCAUGAUAUGUAUUGCUAUUGAGUCGCGGUGCGAUCUCAUAGAAUAGCAAAAAGCAAACAUGCAUGGCUCUGUCGACUAUAGAAGCAGAAUAUGUGGCAUGUUUAGUUGUAGUAUAAGAGGUUGUUUGGCUUAAGCGUUUCUUAGAUGAUCUUAAGAUUGUUACUGUGAUAGCCAAGCAGCCAUAUCCUUUACAAAGGAUAUAAAAUACCACAACAAGUCCAAACACAUAGAGACCAAGUACAACUUUUUAAGAGAUAUUGUGGUGAAAAAAGAAGUGUUGAUGUAACACAUAUCAACACGCUUCAUGAUUGCAGCCCAUUUACUAAUGCCAUGACAUGAAAUGUUUAUCUCACACAUACGCGAUCUUUGGGGUUAUGUAGAUUGUAAAGUUGUACUUGAUGAGAUUUUGUUUUUUGGAUGAUUUUAAUAACAUUUUUUUUAAUUUUCAACUUAUAUUAGCAUGAUUACACACAUAUAUGAGUACUAAAAGAUGUCUUUAAGUUCCGAUUGGCUUUCUUACACAAGUAGUCGCCUUAGUUGUUAAGAAAAGCAAACUGAGAUGAGACACAAGAUUAAGAAAAAGUACGAGAUACGUUCUAAUGGAGAUUAUAUCUUGAAAAUGUCGCCUUGACUAGAUCAAGAUGAGAACAUGAUUGAGCUAGAUACGAGUUCAUUUGGCGCCUUAUAAAGGCGAGCUUAUUGAGACUCAAUUUGGGCUCUUGAAUAGCGACUAAUUUCAUAUAUGUACAAUGAAUUGUUAAACAUAUGCUCUUAUACAAAGAGAAUUCAAGGUAACGCGUGAUUCAUAACAUGCGUGCUUUUGUGACCAAAAAGAAAAAUGAGUGAAUGAAUCCCUGCUUCCUCAUUGUGUAAGUUCCUUUGAGGUAUAAGAAGGACCUCGACAGUUAUCUUUAGUCACCAUCGACUAUAUCUUAAAGGGAAAGACUGGUGAUAACUACUCUAGCAUGUUUUUCUAUGACCAUGAGGUUAUUCGACCUAUGAAACAUGUCUAAGAAAACAAUGAGCCUAGAACUAAAAGAUAUGAGUAGGAUGGGAAGAUUUAUUCUCUUUACAUCUGACUUAUGCAUUCACCGGUUGAUUGUAUAAUCUACUUAGGGAUGAAUAUAAUUGUGAAUACAUAAAGUGCAUAACGUCAAACAUAAUUUUUGUUAAGGGAUUAAAUAUGCUUGUACCAAUGUAAUGGAAAAUGAAAUCUAGGAUACAUGAUGAACAAGUUAUUUGAAUCUUUUGCAAAUAGUGCAAUUGAGAUUUCUUAUCUCCAGUAGAUAUAUUGUGUUCAUGGGUCACACGUUGCAUUUACCUGUAUGAUACUGUUGUAGUGGCUUUGUGCCCAAAUACCCUACUCUCGUUGCUUUGGUUACUCAGUCAUCCCAUCACAUGCGAGUGGGAGAUGUUAUAUUUAGGCACCCAUGAUGGGCUGACUUUAUCCAACUUGAGAGAUAAGUUAAACUUAUAAUUUAUCUAGGAUUGUUAUAAGAUAAACUUAGUGUUUUACCUGAAUCCUAGUCAUAUAAGAUGCGGCUUAUUCAAAUAACUAUAGGAAGUUUAUUUGAAUUACACUACAUUUAUUGUACUAUAUAAGCACUAAAUGGGUGGGUGCAAAUGCGUACAAUAAUAAUAAUAAUAAGAAUCAAAGUAACAUCAUAAAGAGAGUGAUAGAAAAGGUAAAAGGUAGUGGGUUAUUGCUUUGUGAAUUGAGCGGAUUUUCUAGCCACGUGAUUGUCCUUCGACCAUCAUUGACAUAAGCUCAUUAUGAUGCAUUCGUGAAGGUUCCAGUAAUCAGUUCCUCUUUGUUGCGAUAUGUUCGUGAAGGUUCUUGGAAAUCCGUUCUUGGAGAUUGGAAGGAAUCUAUUAUUUGUUUCUGCAAAUUUGUGACGAUUUGUUUUUGCAUCAACCAACAAGGUAUGAAUUUGGUUGAUAAAAUAAAAUUGCAUUAUUGAUUAAGAAAAUCAACAAACCCAUUAUUUGAAAUGAGCCACUCUAUCAGUUAACAUUGAAUUGUUUUAUGGUUGCUAUAAUAAUUUUAAAAUAAAUUUAAUUUUUAUCUACAAUUUCAUUUCUUAAAUUAGGAGGUGUAAAAUAAGACAUUAAUUUUGGCAAUUAAAAGCAAAAGAAUUGCAGGGAAUAAAUUCGGCAACUAAAGUGGUAGUAAAAUAAUUUUUGAAUUUUUUUGUGGGGAAUUAGUACGGCCAAGUUCCUUGCAAAAAUCAGGGCUUACAUUGGCUGCUAAAAAGGACUUUUUGUGAGGCCACUUAUUGCAACCAUUAAUAUUUUUGUUAAUACAUAAAUUUUGGCUGCAAAUCGUUUUUGCCACCAAAAUUGUUCUUAUAUUUGUGAGGAAAACUUUUGGUGGCAAAAACUAAUUUUUCUUGUAGUGCUUUUGCUCGAAAACCCUUGUUUCUUAUAAUUUGUAGUCUUGAUUCGCACUCUCAUCACAAAAAAUUAGGGGAUUGAUGUUUGGGGAUAAAAUAUGGUGACCACAAUCCAAUGUUUGCUUGAAACCUAAACAUGCUUGACUCCAAUAAAAUAAAGGUUAAUUGCUAAUGAGCUGAGGAGAGAAAAACUAUCAAGAGCAGAUAUCGUGGAAGGAGAAAAGUUAAGAUUAGUCAAAGUGCAAUAGUACUACUUAAGUAGUACUUUCUUUUUCUGUCUGAAACCUGAAUAGGUUUAAAUUUUGUUGAAAUAUGAAUGACAUUUCAUUUAUCUUUUUUAAACAUAUAAGUGGAAUCUCAUUUGUUCUUAUAAAUUAAAAAAAAAUUAACAUAGUUAUUUGAUAUUUUAUGUCCCUACAAGUCAAAUAAAAAGAAAAAGAAAAAAAGGACUGGGUUUUACAUUUUAGGAAAAAAAUAUUUAAUAAAUAUACUUUUGGGAUAUUAUGUUUACUUCCUAUCAAAACAUUUUUUCAUUUAGAUAAAAGUCACAAAGUUUAUAUUUUCUAUUUAGAUGUAAAUGUUUGAAUAUCAGACAUAUGUUAUGAAAACAAAUAAGUAAAUUAAAAAAAAAGAAAAAAAUAAUAAAAUUUUAGACUUCAGACAUUUAGCAAACAGACCUUCAACAAAAAUACCCCGUCUAUUUCCUCUAAAAAAUUAGGGAUGAUGUUUAUCUUCAAACAUUUCACUUUGAGAGUCCAAGGGGAAGAGAAUUCUAACCACUAUAAAGACCUGGAAAUUCAAAAUAAGUUAAACUUUUCUCUCUUUAGACUUCCUUUUACUUUUUAACUGUGUUUACAUUGAGAUUUUUUCUUUCCUUUUCUAUUACACUAAAAAUCGAAAACUAUUUUUUUUUAGUAAACCCAAAAAAUUGACUUGAGUGCCAGAAAUUAACGUCAGAAAAACUUAUAUCACCUCUUAUUGCUUUUUAUGUUGCAAGUAUUUGCGGAGAAUCUGCUUGAGUUCAUGGAUUCGUCCAGAAUUUAAGAGAUUGGCAAACUGCCCUCACACAUAAAAAUUUAAAUGUUGGCUUUGAGGUUUAGUUGCUAGCUAACAAAUCGACUAAACGAGAUUUUAAUGUCAACAACAUGUAUUAAUUAAGAGUUUGAAAACCUUUCAUCUCUAAUGACAUAUUAAUUUCAGCUUAAAUAAACUAGUAUUAAUUAAUUUCCUACUUUUCCAAUUCUCAGAUAAACUCGAAACCGAGCAAUCUUUUGACUCUGGCCAUCUUCAUUCCAAGCAGCCUUAAACUUCUCCAUCACAUUUUCUGUCAAAAGCUCAACACCUUUGUCGUUAGCCUUCUGAUAUGCUGAACAUGACCUUAUGAACUUGAAGUAAUCAUCUAAAUCCAUCAGCUUCUCUACAACAAACUGAUCGAACGGCCCCGUAUUCUCAUAUCCAUCAACAGGCUCAAAUGGAAAAUCAAUGCUCAUGUACUUGUUGUCCACCAAUUUACGUUGUGGUGCCCAAAAUGGCUUACAAUCAAUGGUAUCGAAUGGUUUGAAAACUGCACCGACGGAUUCAUUGAUUUCGGGAUGGUGUAAGUCCAUGCAGCUAUUACUCCACUAGAUUUUUUGAGUACCCAUUUUACUUGUUUGUAAAAUUGACGUAAGUCAAACCAAUGUAGUGCUGAAGCAAUUGUCACUAGAUCUACACUUGAUUGUGUUGCCACAUUUUGCUCAAGCUCAGUUAUGGACAUGGUUGGAGGAGUAAGUUGAUACCGAAUGUUGGGGAGCUUUAUUGCGAAUUUUAGUUGUUUUGGGCUUGUAUCUGUAGCAAUGACGUGUUGAUAGAUCUGUGCUAGCUGAAAACAUAAAAUUGUGAGAAAUCAUAAAAUAUAGUAGGCUAUAACAAAAGUACUCAGAAUUGAGAGGGCCUAAUAGUAAAUUACAUAGGUAUCGUGAAAUUUCAACUGGUACUUCAUUUUUUGGGUAAUUUAACUUUUUUCAUCCCCAAAGUGUUGGGAAAAUAUGCUCUUUUAAAGCAUAUGUGUUUAUUUAAUUGUAAUAAAUAUUUUUUCUGAUUAAUAAAAUUAAUGAGGUAUUUUAUUCAAAUAUCUUAAUUGCAUUAAUAUUUUUAUUAAAGUCCAUUUAAUCAUAUUAUAUGUAUUUAUGUGAUCACCAUGUAGAUUCACAGAAGACAUAAAUACAAGUUAUCUUAUGAUUAAAUAAAUUUAGUUCGCAGUUGAUACAUAAAGUUGGGCACUUUAUUUAGGUAUAGACUGUAAUAAAUUCAUUGAAUGAUUUGUUUUAAUCAUGUAUGAAUUUAUUAAUGUAGUACGACUACAUUGAACAUGACCACAUAUGAGAUUUAAUUAACUUUGUAAUAACUGUCAGACUUAUUAAAUCUCAUAGGCAUUGAUUUUAUUGUAAUCUUAAUCUUGAGUUAAUUAUGAUUUCAUGAUUGUAAUUGUUAUUCCAUUUGAGUUACCAAUGGGCAUGACAUAUACUUGUAGUCUAGAUUACCCGGUAUCUUGGUGGGAGCAUUUAUGAGUAUUGGAGUUAUAGAUUAACAAUAUAGAAUUUGUACAACACAUCUCUUGAUGGGUUUUCGGCACUUGAUCAUAGAAUUUUCUGGCCAGAGUGUGUCAACAUAUUUAGUAUGUUGAAAAUGAUCAUUAGAGAAAACCAGUAAGUAUCAAAGAAUAAGAUGUUAUUAAAUUGAUUGGACAGUUGAAAUAUCAAUUUAAUUAACGAUGUGGUACAAAGGAUUGUGCAGUAAAGAAAUCAAUGUGGCUUGGGACGAAUUAUUAUUUGAGCAUACAAUUAUGGAAGUCAAUUCUAAUCUUUUAGUGGAGUAGAUUUGGAAUUAAAUAAUUGGACUAGUUUAAUUACAGGCCUAAUUAUUGUAGCUACUAUUGUAUGUUCCCAAAUGAUCCCAGGGUUAGCUCAUUUAAUUGACUGCACCACUACUGGAUUAAUAAGCAAGAUAACUAGUUAUUUGGGUCAAAAGCCUAAACAUAUCAUUUAGUGGGAGGCUCCAUUUAAUUAGCUUGUGUGUAAGGGGCCUUAUGUUAUUUUACAAGGUCGGUCCCCUAUAGAAAAAGCAAGUAACGUGAGUUUUUUUUUUUCAUUAUUUGGAGCUUAGGGUUUUCACUAAAAGGAGAUAUAAAAGGCUUAUUUUCUCUAAAGAAAAAGUGUGCAGCCACUUUAUACAGAUCAGAGAAAAAGAUUUUUCUCUCUAUUGUUGAGAGAAAAAUUUUCUCAUGCUAGUUGCUUUGGUAGUGAUAAAGGCGCCCAUACGUCAAGUGCAGAUCAAACCUGAGUCAUAACCUGGAAGAUCAUUGGUGAUAGUUCGUGAUCUAACAAGCGUGGUGGUGACGGAUCGUGGUCUAACAGGCGUGGUGGUGACGGAUCGUGAUCUGGGAGCCUAAAUCACUUCAGCGGAAAAAUCUAAAUCGGAUUUUCAAGGUACGAUUUCUAGAUUACAAAUUCUUAUAUAUUAUAUGAGAGCGAUCUUAAAAAUGUUUUAUAAAAAAUUUAAAAAUCUAAUCGUUCCCCAACACAAAGUGGCUAGGCUACCCUAGGCUUCACCUAGCUCCGCCCUUGGGAGAUAGAUAAGAUUUUUCAUUACUAGUAUUACAAUUAAAUUUUCAAAUAAUUUAGGUACUAAUUUGAAAAUAGUACAUCACUUAAUUGCCCAAUAAAAAUAAUUGUAAUUUAACUGGGGAUGGUAAGGAGGAGGAAAGGGGAUCAAUAUCUCUAUACUCAUUUUCAAUCCUUUGCUUAUAUCUCUAUACUGUCCCUCUUCCCUCCAAAAUUGUUUGAGGGUAGGAGACAAGAUUCCCAAUGGUACCUAAUCUCUAAAUAACUGAUACUUUUAUUUUCUAAACUUUAUUUAAUCGUAUUAAAGUAAAAGUAUAAAAUUAUUUUACAACACAAAAACAUCAAAGUAAACUAAAGUAUUUAAAAUCAUUUCCUUAUUAAGCAAAAGUAGAGCUUCAAAAUUGAACACACGUAAAAAAUCACAUGGUCUAAAUCAUCAACAAGAUUAUCUUCAUCAAUUUUCAAGUGCUCAAAUUAGCUAUUAUUUAUAUUUUCUAUAAAUACUAUGAUAAGGAAAUUAUAUGGUAUUUGUUAUAAUAUUUGUUAUUUAUGCAAUGAUAUUUGUUAUUUAUAUUCUUACCACUAUAAAUUAAAUUUUAAAUAUAUUUAUUAAAAAUGUAAAAAAAAUUAAAAUUAUAAAUUAUAAAUAGAAAUGGAGAAAUGGGGGAUGGAGAUUUCAUCGAACCCCCGUCCCUUCCUCCAAUGAGAUAUUAGGUAUUUAAUUAUACCCUUAUAUAUUUUCCCCGAUCUUUAAACAGAGGAUGUAAAAUUAUUCCUACACCCUCCCCAAAUGGAGAAAACCUUUCAAGACUCGUCCUUGUGGAAAUUUCUACCAUCCGUAAAUUUAGCAGUUAUGUAAUUCAAUAGUCUUAUAACUUGGGACCAUAAUUCUGAAAUAUUCAUUGGGAACUUUAGUAUUAUUCAAUAAUAAAAACUAAAGAUGUGCCGCUUCCGGUGCCGACGUCCCAUGCAAGGUUGCGUUUGGGUGUUUUAGAGUCAAUUAAUUUGAACAAUUCUUUUGGAUAAUUUGGUCGUGCUACCGCGUAUAGGUUUGCCUGCUUAAUGAACAAUUCUGCCAUCUUUUCUGUUUUUUUCCUAAGUGUUGAGAAUGUAGAAUUAAGAUAAAUCUACUCAUUUGGUUUCGUUUCGUUUCUUUUCUUCUUUAUAUAGGUUUUAGAAUUUGAUGAAGUGGACAAAUAGACAGAUUUUAGUUCGAAAUUAAUUUGGUAAUGUUUAUCUCGGGAAGCCGCAAUAGAACUAGGACAAUCUCAUAAAGUCUUAAAUUUCGACCGAAUUUUUCUUUCUUCCCUUAAUUUUCAAAAAUUAAAUACUUAUGUACUUGCCUUUUCGGUCGCAAAAAUGAUUUACCCAUCUCAUCAAUGAGCCCCACCUCAAUUAUACUUUGGCAAAUUUUUUGGGACAAUUUUAUUUUUGAUUCAAGCGUUAAAGGUAUCUACUAGAAUAUUCAACUUUCACUUUAUUCUUUUAUGAGGUUAAGAUGGUGGAGCUACAAGUGAAUCAACCUCAUGACGAGCGGGAGUUCAUGCCCUGUUAGAGAAAAUAAUUUAAAAAAAAAAUUAAAGAGGUGACUAUUUGAGUUACUAAUUAGACCCCAUUAAAUUUUCUAAAAUAACCUGUUAAAUUUAUUAAAAAUUGUCCCAUAAAUUCACAAACGCAUAACAAUUAAAUUUUGAUUUUUGAGAAUGAAAGGAAUUUAGAUCUAUUACAAAUAGAUGUAGGCAGUUAAAACCCUAAAAUUAACAACUUAAUUAAUUUUCAAAAAAAAUUGUUCACCGUUACUGUUUAGUGUUUACUACUAUUGUUUAUUGUUCACAGCUACUGUUCAUCUCCAUAAAAAAUAUUAAUUUUUCAAAAACACAAUAAAUUGCAGAAAUUAAAUGACACGGAGAUUUUUACAUGGUUUGGAUUAAUGAAUCCUACAUCCACGAGGUUACGCCUAGAUAAAAAACAAUUCACUAAGUUGAAAUGUUACAACUUAUGGAUUUACCGAACUUAAGACUCUCACUUACAGUUUAUCACAAUACAAUUUACUCAACCUUCGACUGAAUCUGUUUCUCUUGAAUAAUUGCUACCCCUCUUGAUCAACGAUACUCAAGGCACUUUGCAAAGUGAUAAAUAGCAAUUCUUCAAUGUCUAGUGAUCCAAGAUCCACCACAGAGAUGAAAAGAAGAUAAGAAAACAAAUCAACACAAAAUUGUGCGCCAAAUCCGGAUUCUCUAGGGAGGAGGCUGAAUUUUGCUUCUCUGCUUUAUUCUUUGUAUUGCGUGCUUUCAAUUGUGAAAUAUCUCUCUUUAUAUAGGCACUAGGGUUUCACAAAAAUAACAAGUCUUCAAAGACUAGAAUUCUUUCCAAAUAAAGUUUUUUUCCUCUUAUAAUUCUUAUGAAUCUGAAUAGAAAUGAGUAUGAUAUUUUUGCCUUGCUCGUCUCCCAAGAAAUAUCUAGAGCAUUUAAUAAACUUUUUAUUUGAACCAACUUCUUGCCCUAAUUAAAUCUAAUGUGCCAAUCUCAUCAUUAAUUGACUUGCAAAAUUAGACUUCUAAUUAAAUUAUGAAUAAAAUAUUCCUAAUAAAUUGGAAUCUCAUUAAAUUAGGAAAUUAAUAAAUUAAUCCCUAUUACAAGAUAUGCAAUAAAUAAAAUUCUAAUUUAACUAAAAUUGCUAUAAAAUGCCAAUUCUAUAAAUAAUGGACUUACCAGAGAAUUAUAAAAACUUUCACUUUAAUUGAAAAGAGGAAAGUUUUUACUAUUAUUUAAUUUAGUCUCAUUUUAUCUAUUAAAAUAAUAUCUGCAAACUCAUUAACCCAUAAAAUUUUAAUUUUUACAUUUCAUCAUUAUGUAAUUUAGUCCUUAGUAAUUAUUUUUUCAAAAUUCGCUACUGAUUGGAGUUAGCUCCCUAUCAUUCCUCGUUCUCAUUUAGGUUCUAUCAAAGAUAUCAAAGCAAAGAUUAUUUGGUAUUCAAUUACAUUGCUUCGAUUCAAUGUAAAUGCAUGUAGGUCCGGGUUGCCUUACUUUGUGGUCCAUUGGCGUAAUGAAUUUCAAUGGGAAUUGCAGACAUCUUCAUGUACGGUUUUUCUGAUACUGCACUCCACAUGAUUUUUUUUUAUCUUGCGGUGUACUUUUUUUAUCCGGUAGUUAUCUAUAUUUUGUCUUCUAAUAAUGUGUGCUUGUAUAUAAUUUUUUGUAGAUUUAUCAUCCAUGGUUGCAUUACUAUUAGCAUGCUCCGAAAGAUCUUGUUUUUUUCUUUUCGAAGAUUCCGCAUUUCUUAAUUUCAAAAUCAGCAUGCUCUCCGUCCUUACGCAUUUGUCUUCUGUAAUCAACAUAGUCAUUAACGAAAUUUCAACAAGGUAGAGCAGCAUUCAACAAGGUUAGGCUUCUUUUUGAAUUAGGAGUAGACUUUUAAUUAAUUUUUUAUGGAAGUUGGUGGCUAUCCACAUCAACUUAGACCUAUUUAACUAGUCGUGGUCAAUUAGCUAAGCUAUUUGGGUGAUCACCAAAGAAAAAUUGAAACAGGAACAUAGUACACGCCGUUUGCAUUAAUUGGCCAUUUGACAAAAUAGCUCAAGAGAUCGGAUGGCUAAAGAGCUAUGCACAACAAUAAAUUGUAGAAAUCCUAAUUAAAGUAAAAUUUACAACAUCCAGAAUUAUUUUAAUUAACUUGUAUUCUACUUAAUUUGAUUUUCUAUUUAAAGUUUCAUUAUUUAAGUAUAACUUAUUUAAGUUGUAUUCUUAAUUUAGAUUUAAGUCAUAUGAAAAUAGAUUUACUAGUCAAAUUAGGAUAAAUCAUAAGUAGUAUAAAUAAGUGUUUUUUGUAGUAUUUACAAAAGGUCUUGAUUAUUUGUUAUUGAUUGUUUCUUGGGAUAUACUCAGUUUGAGUUUUACACCCGUUGUCGACAUUAUGUGGAAUCAACAAAUUUUUAACACCUUAGAUUUACGCGUAUUCUUAGAAUCAACGUGAAUUUAGCUUACUUCUUUAUUAUGAUAUUCUUAAGAAUCAACAGAGUACUAAAAAUAUCACUAUUGAUCCGUCACAAUAUAGCUCUUUUCUUUUCAUUGCGUCAGUUUCAUUGCAGACCGUUUUAUUGUAGAGCCACGCUAUACUAGUUUAGUACUAAAGCUAAAAAAAUGGUAUUACAAAUCUGCCCCCCAUCUACCACCAAAACCUUCCCUUUCUCUCUUUUUUUAGCUUUUUUAUUUUUCCGUUUAGCUUUAUUAAAAAAAUCAAAUUAGAAAAAACUAAAAAAAAACACAAAAAAAGAAAUAAAAAAUCCUAAAUUUUUAAAGCCUACCCACCACUGACCGCCACCACUGCCAUCACUCCACCAGCCUUCACCGUUGUUUGACACCACCACCAAACUCAGCAGCCACACUGGACAAAAUACCAACCAACUUCGUCCUUAAGCCACCAUCAGAGCCCAUGUGAAACACCCAAACCCGCAAGCUUUUUGCCCACUCGCCACCACCAAGCCACCAAGCUUUUCCAUCAAUUUACUACACCACCAUAAGCCCAAGCAAUAGGCGACCAUAAUGUCACGGGAUGAGAGUUUUGCGUAGCAAACCAGUGCGGCACUUAGACGACUUCUAACACACAAGUCACUAAGUAAGCCUAGAUCACUUCUCAACCAGUGAAGCAAGAAUGCUUGCGGACAAUGCUAGAGAGAAGUAGAACAAUAUGGCCAAUAAUAUAUUUUAUUACACACUAAAGAAUAAAUUACAAGAGAGCUUUACAAGAGACCUAGAGAGCUUGUGUGUGCUUGAGUGUUUGUGUGUGGUGUGGUUGGUGGGCAAAUGAGGGGGCUCACCCCUAUUUGUAGGUGUUGGAGUGUUAGCUAUAGAGAGUUCCAUGCAACUUGCAUAAAUAUCCUAGGGGUCUAAGUGAAGAGUCCUAGAAACUUCUAACUAUUUACAAAUUGUAAAGAAAUCUAGAUCUUGGGCCGGGCUUGGGUGAUUUGCUAAGCGCACCACGGUUGGCUAGUUGUGUUGGUGGCCCAUUUCUGAGCGUAUCCCGCUUCUAAGUGCAUCCCACCUUGUGUGCUAAGCGUAUCCCACUUCUAAGCGCACUCCACUUCGAGGCGAACUUUUGCUAAGCGGACCCGCGUGCGCGGAAUUAACCUUCGGUUGCGGGAGAUUUGAACGGCCCGUGACAAUAAGCCUAGCUAUCUGCUGUUGUAAAGCCGCCAUAAGCCACCACAAAAAACUCUCAAAACCCAAGAGUUUCACAACUUCAAUAUGCUUCCAUCACCAUGAAUCUAGCCAAUCCACGGCCACCAUCAUGUUCUUUACCACUAACUCUAUUAGGUCUGGCCAUUAUCACACCAAAUCACGGCCACCAGCUGCCAGCAACACCAAACCUUGAAAGUUAGAUUAUUUACAAUUUUGCUAUUAGUUGUAUUUUUAAUUUGAGUGGAUAAAAAAUGAUGAAGACAAAUAAAGGUCCAUAUUGUCUUCUUGAGUUUGAAGAUAUCUUAGAUAUUGUGGUAAUCCUAAUGAUGUUUUUGACUAGAUUUGCAUGAUGUAUAGUUUGGAAGAGGAAUAUGUUUGUUUGCCUAUAAACUCGAAAGUCGAAGAAUUUGUUUAGGAUAUUGGUUGGCCAUUUAUAUCUAUCAUAACCCCUCAACAUCCAACCAUUGAUUUCAAUCAACUCCGAUAUUUGGUGAACCAAUUUUUGAAGAUGAGAAGCCUGAGAUUUUUCAACCUGUGGAAAAUUUUGAGAAAAACUCAUUUAUCCUCAAUAUUAGCUCUGAAGAUUUAUAUGGUCAGUACGAUAAGAUAUGGUUAGAGAGAUUAUUGCUUGAAGAUUUUAUCUCAUGCUAUUGGAUAAGAUGGAUUAAUAUUGUCACCAAGGUUGGAAAGUUCAAGUUUGUUCAUCAAUAUCAAGAUGAAUUUUCUCCAUCUUGACGGGAAUGAUGGAGGGUAAGAAAUUGAAGAAAUCAUAAUUAGAUUGAAAUUUAUAAUAUUUAGGAUUGUUUUAAUUAAUUUAUAUUCUAAUUUAAUAUAGUUUCCUAAUUAGAGUUUCAUUGUUCAUGCAUAACUUAUUUAAGUUGUAUUCCUAAUUUAGGUUUAAUUCUUAUGAAAAUAGGUUUACUAGUCAAAUUAGGAUAAGUUGUAUUCCUAAAUUAGUAUAAAUAAAUAUCUUUUAUAGCUUUUACAAGAGGCAUUUAUUAUUUGUUAUUGAUUUAUUUCUUGGAAUGAAAUCUUUGUUUAAGUUUUAUUCUUGUUACUUCUCGGCGUUCUAUGGAAUCAAUGAGUUUUAACACCCUAGAUCCACGGGUAUUCUUAUAAUCAAUGCGGAUUUAGCUUAUUUCUUUUUUGGUAAUAUUCCCAAGCUUAAAUGGAGUAUUGAAAAUAUCUCUAUCUAUCCAUCACCUUGCAUUUUCUAUCCAUCUAUUGUGUCAGUUCCAUUGCAGAGCAUUCUAUUGCCUUAAAGUAUCAAGAUUUAAACCUAUUCAUUUGAAACCACACAUUUAUAUAUUCUAAAUUUGAAGCCCGCAGUAUUUUCUUGAAAAUUAUUUAUCUUCAAUUUUGCCUUAGUAAUUUAUCUAGAAGCCAUAUGCCUCAAUAAAACAACUAAAAGCCAUAGGACUUAGUACACAAUCAAGCUCAUCCAACUAAAACAAAGCCAUUUGUGGAAUUGAUACGAAGCCUUACUUGAAGACAAAUCUCACCAAAGUAGAAUAAGUUUCAGUUACAAUAUUUCAAAUUAGCCCAUGAUCAUAACUCAGUGCUUACAAAAUCACAUCACAGUCAAAGAUAUGUGGAAACAAAAUUAUUGAAGAAGAAGAUAUGCUCAACAAUUCAUGCUUCCAACAUAAUUCUGCGGCAACAAUAUCGAGCUCGCUAACUGAUAGGCACAUAGUCGGUUCUAAAUCAAAAUGCUAUCACAUAUAAGCAUGGUGAAAAUCAUUGACAUGACAAGGUUACAGCAUGCCAAAAAUAGUGGUUACAAUUAUGAUUGAAGUUACAGUCUUGAAGAAAUCAUUAUUGAUCUCAUAGUGAUAGCAUACAUUCUUAAAUGCAUGAUGCCUAAAUAGUUGAUUAAAUUGUUAAUUAAGAUAUCUAUACCUAUUAAGAUUAGUAUUAAAUUUUAUGAGCUUUUAUAUUCAUAUGUAUUUUAUUUUAUAUGAUGAUGUCUAACAAAUUUAUCUUUUGAAAGGAUGUGGAUCUUUAAAGGGGAUUGCAUGAUAUAAAAUAUUUAACUAACAGUGCAACUACACAUACAAUCCUUUGAAAUUAGAAAUAUUUUAUGAGUUUAUAAUUAUUUGAAGCUAAGUUGAAUACCGUCUUAGGUCCUAUAGAUCUGAUCGAGGGCUCUGAAAGAGCAUGUUCAUAUUACCAAGUGGUACAUAAUUAUAUAUCCAUGAUGCUCUCUGUAUUCACCAAAGACUAGAAGAAAUCUUUUGAGUUUUGUCAUAUAAAGAUAAUAAAUGAGAAUAGUACAGAAUAUCUCUAUAUUACUUCUACUAUCUCAGAAAAAAAAAUUUAUUAAAAAACCUUCCCACUUUGUCAUCUGGCUUAUAUCAUCUGAUGAUGAAAGUAAUUGAGAGUAUGCUGUCAUAAACCAGACACUUUGUGAUCUAAAAGCUUUUCGUGCUUUGGCAUGAUCGUCUUAGUCACGUUAGGUCAGCUAUGAUGAGUAGAAUUGUUGAAAAUUCUCAUGGACAAACUUUAAAGGAUUUAAAGAUUAUUUUAUCCAAUAAGGAUAAUUGCACUGCUUGUUCUCAAGGCAAAUUAGUGGUCAAACUAGCUCGUUCUAAGAUUAGCCUUGAAUCUCCGUCAUUCUUACAAAUAAUUUAGGGAGAUACAUGUUGAUUUAUUAUUCCACUCAAUGGUCCAUUUCUUUAUUUCAUGGUCUUGAUUGAUGCAUUUGUACGAUGGUCAUAUGUCUGAUUAUUAUCCACAUAUAAAAUUGCAUUUGCUAGAUUGUUUACCAAGUUAUCAGAUUACGUGCACAAUUUUAAGAUUAUCUAGAUAAUACUGAUGAAUUCACUUUUAAAGAUUUUAAUGAUUACUGCAUAUUAGUUAGUAUUGACGUAGCGCACCCAGUACCAUAUGUUUAUACUUUAAAUGGAUUGGUAUCAAACAUCUUCAAGUAAUUGCAAGAACUUUGUUUUUAUAUAACCUGAUUACCUAGUUUUUGCAUUACGACAUACUAUUCUGCAUGUUGCCGCAUUGAUUCGCUUGAGGCCUACUGUUAUCACUAGUAUUCGCAUUGCAAUUGGUACUAAGGCAUCAACUAAUAUAUCUCAUUUGUGCAGUUUGGCUAUACUGUACAAGUGCCAAUUUGCACCUCGCUGGCAUACUAAAAUAGAACUCGAAUGAUGUUUAGGGAUUUAUGCGGUUAUGACUCACCAUCUAUUAUCAAGUAUCUUUAGCAUAUUACCAAUGACUUGUUUACGUAUGCAAUAUGAAUUUCCAUUUUAAUGAGAUAAAAUUUGCCUUUUUAUGAGAGAAAAAGCCGCCAUAUGAUGAUUGAUGCAAGCUUUUAUGGCAUGUGACAAAAUUGUCUCAUCUAGAUUAUCGCACUACUCAAAGUGAAAAUAAAGUGUGGAGGAUAAUUCACUUACAACAAUUUUGCAAAUCACUUGUCAAAUGCAUUUAUAGAUGGAUCUAAAGUAACCAAGUCAUGUCUACCACAUGUAAAUGCAUCUCACCAAGUAGUUGUUCCUAUUGAAAUUUUUGAUAAAAAUAGCUAAUAGAUUAAUCUAAGGCACACCUAAGGUAUGGUAGACCACUUGGUUUAAAAGAUAAUAUUCAACUAAAAUAAAAAAAAAUAAAAGGUUAGGAUUUUGUUAAUCAGUUGUAAGUAAAAGUGCUACUUCAGAAGAAUAGGUCCUCUCCUACGUGCCUACAGCGACACUACCUUCUGAAGAGAUAAAUACCUCAGAUGUAAGCCAACCUCUUAAUGUAGCUAAGAAUGAAGAAAAGUUUGCAAAUUUUACUCACAAAAUGGAAAGUGUAUAAUCAUAACAAAAAAGCUAUUGACAAUGCUUAUUCAUUUACAAUAGCUACUGAUUUGAUAAAUGAUGAUAUUGACUAAUAGUCCAUUGACGAAUUUAGACUAAGACAUGAUUGGCCCAAAUAGGAAGAAGCAAUCCAUGUGAAAUUGAUUUCCUUAGCAAAACAUGAUGUUUUUAGACUUAUAAUCCAAAUACCUAUUAUUGUUAAACCAUUAGGUGUAAAUAAAUAUUUUUUUAGAGGUGGCUAGAUAUAAAGCACGACUUAUUGCACAAGGUUUCUCACAAAAAGUAGUUAUUGAUUAUGAGGAGGUGUAUUUACUAGUAAUUUGUGUAGUUUUGUUCUGAUUCUUGAUUAGUUUGACUAUAUCUGAGAGGUUUAAUAUUUGUUUUAUGGAUGUAUUUAUUUGUAUGAAUCAUUAUUUAUAACACACACACACACAUAUGCAGUGGCGGCGCCACUUGAGAGCCCCUGCUAGAUUUAAAAAAAAAUAAACUCAUCUUAUUUUUUAGUGCAUUUACAAUAAAGCCCCUAGAAAAUUUUAAAAAUAACUAAAAGAUCAGUAUUUUAAAUAGUGAUUAGAAUCCAAAAAAAAUUCAAAAUCAAAUCCAUAACCACCACCAUCAAUCAUUUGCCAAAGAAAACCUCCAUCGGCUACCAUCAGUGAUCAGCUUGUCGUCUAUCUCUGUCCAAUUCCCAUGUCAUCACACCUCUUUGUUUUCAUGUCAUUGCCAUAGACGCUACAACUUGUAGCUCGUAGUCGCAGUCGCAGUCUUGCAUCACCGUAUGGUCCUCGCACUCGCAGCCUUGCAUCACCACAUGGUCCGCAUCUUUGCAUUUUUUCUAGUACUACCAUUGCACCUUUACAGCUUUUAUAUUAAUUAUCAAGAAUUGAUUAAAUUAUUUUGAUAAUUAAGCACCUCUGUCACUUUAUGAUUUAAUAUUCUAAUUCUUGAAUUAGUUUAUACCUUUUUGAAUUGAAUUGGUUUAUGCCUUUUUUAAUAGAAUAAUAUUAUUAACUUUCAAUUAUUGUGGCGAUGCUUUGUGGAUUGAUAAAGGGGCAAUGCUUUUAACUUUACUGAUUAUAACUAAUAAAAUAAAAAUUCCAUGGCCCAUGGGUGACGCCGUGACGAGUUAGUAACCUAGUGGUUGAGGAUUUAGUCGGGUAGUCGGUUUAUUAAAUUAAUAAUUUGUAAUUUUUUCUUUUUUUUUUUUAGAUUUUGACAUGGAAAUUGUCUUCAGUUUCUCUUUAAAUAAACACAAUUAAUUGUGUUUAGUUGUCACAGUUAUGGAGAAAUAUUACUCAAGAAAGCCAUUGUCACAACCUUCUCCAAAAAAAACCAAAAUACAGCUCAAAUCAAGAUGUAGAAUUCAAUUUACAAGAUCCUCCUACAGAUCCUGGUUUACAAAUUUCAAUCUCUUGUUAUAGUCUUAAUAUUCAAGAUUAAGUCCGAAGAACAUACUUAUAGAGAGGUUCUGUUCAACCUAAAAAUCACAACUUCAAACUUUUAGAUUUUGGAAACCAAAAAAGGCAGUUUGGUAGUAAUUGGUUUGGGAAAUUUAGAUCUUGGUUGGAAUAUAGUAUAGAAAAAGAUGCGGCAUUUUGUCUCUUUUGUUAUCCUUUUAAAGAAGAGAUUGGUAAUAAAGGGGGUGGUGAUUCAUUUGUUGGUAAUGGUUUUAGAAAUUGGAGGAAACCUGAAAAAUUUGUUGAACAUAGGGGAGAUGUUGAUAGUGCCCAUAACAAAGCUAGAGAAAAUGUGAAAUGUUGAUGAAUCAAAAUUAACACAUUCAAACAGCUUACACAAGACAUUCUGACAAGUAUCUAAGCGAUUAUCGAGCUCACAUGAUGGCUACUAUUGAUUGCAUUAGGUUUUUAUUAAAACAAGGGCUUGCAUUUCGUGGGCAUGAUGAGUCUAGAGAUUCAGGCAAACGAGAGAAUUUUCUUCAGCUUCUAUUUUCUUGUCGAUCAUAAUGAAGACAUUAAUGCUGUUACUUUUGAUAAUGCUCCUGAAAAUCUUCAAAUGAGAUUCAAAAAGACAUUGUAAGUUGUGCUACAGUUGAAACUACCAACAUUAUUAUUAAAGAGAUGGGCGAUAUUUUGUUUUCUAUCCUUAUUGAUGAAUCUCGUGAUAUUUUUACAAAGGAGCAAAUGGCUGUUGUUUUGCGUUAUGUGGAUAAAAAUGGCUAUGUGGUUGAGCAUUUUAUUGGGAUUGAACAUGUUACUAGUACUACAUCUAUUUCACUUAAAGAGGCACUUGACAAACUAUUUUCCAGACAUGGUUUGAGUAUGUCUAGGUUGCACAGACAAGGAUACGAUGAAGCAAGCAAUAUGUAAGGUGAGUUCAAUGAUCUUAAAGCACUGAUUUUGGAGGACAACAGAUGUGCUUUUUUUAUUCAUUGUUUUGCACAUCAACUUAAAUUGGCUUUAAUUUAUGUGGCAAAAAAGCAUGAAUAUGUUAAUUCUCUUUUUCAGUUUAGUUACAAUGUUAGUCAACGUUGUUGGUGCUUCAUGAAAACAUUGUGAUAUUCUUCAAGAGAAACAUGCUCAAGCAGUUAUUAAAGCAUUCAAUGAUGGUGAAAUAUCAAGUGGACGAGGUUUAAAUCAAGAGGUUACUUAAAAGAAAUAUGUUGACACACGUUGCUCACAGUAUGGUAUGUUAUUGAGCAUAAUCACCAUGUUUCCAUCUAUUAUUGACGUGCUUGAGAUAAUUUCGAAUGAGGGAAAUUCUGAACAAAGAUUUCAAGCUACAAUGUUAUUUAAGUGCAUGCAAUUAUUUGAUUUUGUGUUUAGUUUGUUGUUAAUGAAAAAAAUUCUUGGAUUUGCACAUGAGUUAUCACAAGCAUUACAAAAAAAGGAUUAGGACAUUGUGAAUGGUAUAAAAUUAAUUGGAGUGUAUAAGAGAAACUUGAAAAAAAUGAGAGAAAAUUGAUAGGACUCUUUACUUGGUGAAACUUCUUCUUAUUGUGUGAAGCAUGAUAUUGAUGUUCCUAAUAUGGAUGAUUUGUUUCAAACUUAAGGGAGAUCACAACGCAAGGCUCAAAAUAUUACAAAUUUGCAUCGUUUUCGUGUUGAAUUAUUUUAUGCAAUUUUGGACAUGCAACUUCAAAAAUUAAGCAAUCGUUUCAAUGAGACGAAUACUGAGUUGUUCUUUGUGUGGCAUGUCCAUGACCUAAUGACACAUUUGCAGCUUUUUAUAGACAGAAACUACUUCGCCUUGCUGAGUUUUAUCCAAAUGAUUUUUCUCCAGUGGAUCUUGUGGCACUUAAAACUCAACUUGAUAUUUAUAUUAUGGAUGUGGGUGCUGACAACAAAUUUUCAGGAUUGAAAGGGAUUGGUGAGCUAGCAAGAAAAUUGGUUGAGACUAAGAAGUAUCAAUUAUAUUAAUUAGUUUAUUUAUUGGUGACAUUAGUAUUGAUUUUACUAGUUACCACAUCUACAAUAGAAAGGGCAUUUUCAGCUAUGAAUUUUGUGAAAAAUCAUCUUCGAAAUCGGAUGGGAGAUCAAUGGUUGAAUCAUAGUAUUGUUGUAUACAUAGAAAAUGAUAUAUUUUGUAGUCUUGACAAUGAGGUUAUUCUUCAACGUUUUCAACAUAUGAAACCUCAUUGAGGACAUUAUAACUGUAUUGAAUUAAAUACUUUAAGGAACUUUUAUUUUAAUAUAUAUCAUUUAUUGACUACUUUCUUAAAUUAAAUUAUUAUUUAAACUUAGCCUCUACUAAAAUUAAUUUCUGGCACCACCACUUCACAUAUGCAUAUAUAUAUAAAAUGCUUAAACAUCCCUGUCAUCACAUUAUGGCUUGUAUUCUAUAAAGCUUCAAAAAUCUUUAAACAAAUUGAAACAAUCUAGACACAUUUGGCAUAGUCAAUGAAUACUUGAUCAAGGAUACAUGCACUAUAAGAAAAUAGCUCGGAUGUGACGGUGUAUAUGACUGCAAAAUUGGGGGUCGCAAAAGAUACUAAACUACUUUGCCGCGUGUCUCAAAGCUAUUUUCUUGGUAACACGUGACCAUUUUGGGACAUAAAAAACCAGUCACAAAAAAAAUUCUAAAAAAAAAGAGUGAUGAUAAAGCCACAAACUCUUGUACAAACUUAUUUUAUACAAAUUGAUGUGGCAUUAAUUUAUUGGUUGAAUGAAAAUAUAAAAUAAUAUAAAUAAAUCAUGUAGGCCAAGAAAUAUUUAAUUCAACCAAUGAAUUAACGUCACAUCAUUUUGUACAAAAUAAGUUAGUAUAAGAGUUUGUGACUAUAUCAUUACUCAAUAAAAAAGUAGUUUGGCCCUUAACUCCUCGAAACUGUAACCGCCAGAACGCCACACAAUUAAGUCCUUACCAAUGAAGCCAAAAGCAAAAAGCUUGUUGGAAUUUAAAGUUUAAACAUAUUUAAAACAUUUUAUUUUUGUACAACUUAUUCCAUUAUUCAUCAUUUUCACUUGUGCAUUUCAUUUUAUUUCCAAUUCACUAUUUUAGUUACAUUAUCUGUUUGCAUCAUAUUUGACAACUCUGAAAUUAAAUCUCAUAAUUACAUAUUCUCUUUUAAUUAAUUGUGCUUUUGAGUCCUAAUUUGAAUCAUUUGUAUACCUAAAAUUAGAGUUUGAAUCGAUUACAAUAAUUAGGGAUUCGAAAACCAAAAAUGAAUAGGGUUUUGAUUAUCUUUCCUUUUGAAUUUUUAUCCUCAUUUCUAUUUCUAUGACUUAUUUAAUUGGCGAAGCUUUUUCAUAGUCCAUUUAUAUUCAUAGGAUUUAAACGAACAAUUGUUUCCUAACAUUUCCUAACGGCUCUUUUUUUCUUUCUCCCCAAUUAUAAGUAAAUUUACUAUUUAGCUUUUGAAUUUGUUGAUUAAAUGCAGCAUUGAUAAGAUUUUAGAUAUUGUCAUACUUCAUGUAAAGAGCUUGAUUAAUGUUUAACAGUUCAAUUUACUGUAUUAAAUAAUUUUUGUUAAUGUCGAAAUCCGAUCGAGUCGGUUAGCGGCUCGAUACUAGACCCUUGCAUCAGCAUUAAAUUUGUUUGGUGGGGAAGCGGCUUGCCAAACACUAAGAACACCCUCCGACCAUUACCAAAUAACCUAAGAAAACCUGAAAUCACAAAUAAUGGUAAGAGGCACCAAAAGUUUUUUCUGCGAUAACCCUCUAAUGCUCAAGUCACUUUAUAGGUUUACUAGAAUAAAAAUAAAUAAUUUCUAUUUUAAACAAAAACAUAGAUCAAAAAAUCAAAAAUAAAACCAAGUACCAAUAUGAAGAACGGAUUUUUUUUUUCAGCUUGGCUGAAUCCUUCACCCUCAAAAAAAAAAAAAAAAAAAAAAAAAAAAAACAAAGUAGUAGGUAGCAAUGUUGGCAUGGGCAACCCCACUUCCGUUUGAAAUUCUCCAUUUUCCCCACUCCCAAGAGCCCAUUCCUCCUUUUGCUCACCAUCCUUUAUAAUUUUUUAUACUCGUCUCCCCAAAAUGGCCUUUGAAUACAUAAGUGAAUGUCUAGGCUUUGGUAAGGGUGGUUCGGUCAUUGCCUUUUACAAGUAAGAUGGGUGGUGUUGAAAAAUGAGGAGUGCACGUCCUCUUCAGUAAAUCCCACUAACAAUUUCAUUUUCUUUAUUAAUUAAUCUUUUUUUAUCUCCAAACACUAGUCCCCCAAUUUCUAGUGUUGAGAGUGUAACGAAUAAAGACUGAAAACUUUAUAAAAAACUCCCUUGACCGAUUGGGUAGAUCAAGAAAACAGCAGUCGCUGCUGCAACAUAAUUUUAAAAUGACCUCGAGGUGACUUCUAUGAGUCGGCUCAGGGUUGCUGAAAUUAACCUCGCCAUGGGCAAAAGAGUUGAGCGAAUUUUAAGUUUUAUUCCUCACGUCAAGGAGAUUUUGAGCUUACAACCUUUAUUACUAACUUAAGCUGUUUUAAGCAACUCUUAUCAGUUUAAGGAUGUAUGCUUAUCUUGAGCAAAUUUUAAGGCUUUUUUUUUAACUUUUAACUAACUUAAGCAAUUUUAAGCUACUCUUAUUAAUUUAAGGUCUUAUACCUUACUUGGAAUAAGUUUUAAGGCUUUUAACCUUGUACUGACUUGAGCAACUUUAAACAACUCUUGUCAGUUUAAGGUUUUAUACCUUACUUAGAGCAUGUUUCAAGACUUUUAACCUUUUAUCGACUCUCGUUGCUUUUUAUUGUGCCUUAUAAAAUAUUAAUAAAUUUCAUCUAUAAACUUUGUUUGGUUCUCAAUGCUAGCCUACAACUCUCCUUUCAUAAAUUGUUCUCACAUUGAGUAAGUUUCAAGAAAUCAAGUUGAUUAAGUGUUAUCAUUAGCCCUUAUUCGUGCUCAAUCAAUUUGAUAAGUAAAAGUUGUCCCUAUUUCGUAAAUUAUUAGUAGGUAAAUACUAUACCCGCAAAUAAAGGUGGCAAAUGCAUGUUUUGAUAUAGACAGCAAGACAUAAAUUUGUUAGAAUUUCUGACCCGAUUAGCGUGCAACUUUAGCAUCAAUGUCUCCUUCUAGGUGAGCCUGCCUCAUACGCAAAUGUAUCAAAAAUUGACUUGGCCAUUCAAAUAAGAGUUUGUCAAAUACACGACAGACAUAAAUUAUAGAUGUGAUAUCAUUCACUAGGAAUUAUGUAAUUCAAAAACAUAGGUUAAAUAGCAGCGAGUCUAAUGUCCAAGUGUCUAAAGUCAUCAUUGUUACGAAACAACUCAAACCAAACUGCAACUUAUAAAUUAUCCACAAAGUAGCUCACAAAAUCAAACACAGUGGCGGGGCUUCUAGCCAUUUAUGACUGAUGCUUCUAAUCAUUUAUUUAUGCAUCUAGGUUUUUUUUAUGGAUAAGCAUCCUUUGUACUCCAUUAAAAGUCCUCUGUUAAAGGUCCAUAUAGUAUUAUUUAUUAUUGCUAUGAAUAUUGAAAUUUAAAUGAAAAAUAAACCAUAGCAUUUUAGUAUAUGUAAUCACAAAAGAGAUGGCAGUUUAAACCAUUAAACAAAGUCAUAUCAUUAUAUAUGAUGCAAUAUAUAAUCGUUGUAUUAAAAAAUGGCUAAUGAUGAUGAGUUAAAAACCCAAUCUUGCAGAUACCUUAAGUCAAUAAACAGAUUUGAAGAAUAAAAUAAAAUCAUGAUUUUAGAACAAGUGACCUUGUUUGAGUUCUAAGAAUUCUGUACUAUCUUGUAGUGAAAUUGCAUAACAGAAUUCCCUGCAUAUUCUUCACACGAAAACGAGCUGCGUGGUCGAAUUAUUGGGUGUAAAACUAGCAGAAAAUACCCUGAAGAAACCAAAGAUCCAUGGGUUUUUUAUGCUUGUCACCAAAUAGGUUUAACUAUAUAUAUGAGUAACCUUUAUUUAAGAACUUGAACAUUGAUAAUAUUGCAAACCAAUUAUUCUUUUGGGCAGACUUUAUGUCUAGAAUCCAAUGCAACGAGAGUACAAAUAUGUAACCAAAAUAAUGAUGGCAACGACAUUAUGAAUCUAAGAAGCCAGAACAAAGCUAAUUGUUACUUAUUUAAGACAUUAUGCCAAGCAUGUGGUGGGCAAAUUUAAAAUAAAUUUAUUUGUAAGUGUAAUAGAAUGUAAUCUUGCUCAAUCAAUUAUGAAUGAAGCCAGUUCUAGCAAGCUGAUUUUAUAAGAAAAUAUUUUCAAUGAAUUCCAAAAUAUAAUAUUCAGUUCUUUCAUCAAGGAUAUCAUGCAUGUUAGUGAAGAAUUUGCAAACAUCUCAUUUUCGAUAAACUAAUCAUCAUGCCAAUUGUAAUUUAAAUUCUAAUGAACAUUUACUUAGAACACUGCAAAGAUAAAUAAGUGAAAACUAGGGAUGGCAAUGGGGAGGGGAGGGGAGGGGACCAAUCUCCCCGUACGCAUCCCCGAUAUUUUGCGUAUGUCCCCGUCCCCGUCAGAAUUACUUGAGAGAAUCUCCAUCCCCUCCCCGAAUAAUAACAUGGGAUCCCCGAGGGUCCCCGAUCCCCGAAUAACUAAUAUAUUUUUUUUUUCGAUUUUGGGUUAAUGAUAUUAAAAUAAAAAAUUUAAAUAAAAGUAAAGUUCGAAAUAUAUCUUACAUUAAUAUCCAUUACAAAAGUCACAUACAUUAAAUUAAUAAGUAGUGCAGCAUGCAAGGGAUACAAACUUCUUUUACAAACUAUUAUGAACAAAUUAAUAGUCUAAUACAAAAUUGUUACAAAUAAAAUCGAAUUUAGAUUCAAAAUUAACUUUUUCAAUGGUGGCGUGGACACUUUAUAAAUGUGGACUAUUCCCUUUACAACACAAUAGUUAAAUCGGAGAAAAUCAAGAGCAAAUAUUAGAUUAGAUUAGAUUAGAUAUUAAAAUUUUGAUCGCUGUGGGCAAUUAUAAUAUCUAAAAAUAAAUAAAUAAAUAGAUUUAAGUUUAAAAUAUUUAAAUAAUAUUAAAAUUAAAAAAUUUUGGGCUAAUAGAAUCUACUCGGUCUUUUUAAUGUCCUAAAUAAAAAUUUAGGACUUUAAUUAGUUAAUUAGGCCUAAAAGUUUAAUAAUAUAAAUAUUUUGAUAUUUUUUAUUUUUACCAAUAUUUAUAAUUUAAAUUUUAUUAUUUAUUUACUAGUAAUUUUAAAAAAUUAAAAUAAAAUUAAAAAUUAAAAUGGGGAAAUGGGUAGGAGAUGGGGAUUCCACCUCAUCCCCGUCCCCUCCCCGAAUAAGAAAUUGGAUAAAAAAAUUUCUCCGUCCCUUCCCCGAAUAAGAAAUUGGGUAUGAAAUUAUCUCCAUACCCUCCCCGAAUGGGAAAAAUUCCCGAGGGUACCCGUCCCCGUGGGAAUUUUUGCCAUCCCUAGUGAAAACCUUCACAGGCGGCAUUCCAUUUAAGCAUUGGCUUCCUCGUUUGAGCAAGUUCAUCCAUUUAGGCAAUAAGCAUGCUUAAAAUAGGAAAUAACUGAAGAUUUCAGAAGCCAAUUAAUUAACUGAUGCACAUUCAGAAGCUUAUACAAUUUCGUGGAGAUAAAUAAAGACUUUGGAAAUAAGCAUGCUUAAAAUAGGAACUUAUUUGAUGUGCAUGGCUUUAUAAGUUGCAUGCAAGAUUCACUUUACCAAUUCAAAAAGAUUUCAUGCAUAAGUCUUGCCUAAACUAAAUUGCACAUGCAUGGCAUUAUAUAUGGAAACCAAAUUGAAGAAAAAGGAAAUCAAAGUGGACGACAUGUGCGUGGCAAUUAAGGGAAGCAAAUUAAUUGCUUUAAAUUAGAAAUAAAAUCCAAUAAGGAUUUGGCCAAUCUUUGGGCAUUAUAAAAGCCAAUUUUUGGCUUUUGAUUCAGGGAGUGGACAGCCAUACAUAUGCAACACCGGCGGCAAGAAGAGCAGAAAAGGAAAUGAGAAGCCAGAAGAAAGAAAUGGAGAGUUAGCCACUUGAAUUAAUCUCCAUUAUUGGUUUUAUCAAAUUUCUUAUUCCUAAUUCAAUUAUGUUAAGCUAGAUUUUCUAUUUGGUUAAGCGUGAAUUCAAAACCCCAAACAUGUCAUAUGAUUAAUGUUCAAUUUCUAUCAUUCAAUUUAUUUAAUUGAGAUUGUUUAUGUUCUUCUAUAAUUAAUUAUUAUGAUUUUAUUCUUGUUUUAUUUGAGUGGCCAAUUAGAUAGGACUUGAAUGAAUUCUAUUACCAGAUUAAAAUUAUUGAUCCGUAAUUGUCUUGAUAUUUUAAUCAUUAAUAGUAGAUUGGAAUAAGUGAUUUUAAUUGGAGAACAUAACCUAGGUUAAAUAAUCCGAGCUUAUGUGUUUAUUACCUAAAUCAACCUAAUAUCUUUCUCUGCUUAAUGCUUCCAUUAUCUUAAAUUUAAAGAGUUUGUUUUAAAUUAUUUAAUGGUUAGAGAUUAGGUGAAAAACUUAUUUUGCCUAACGACAUACUAAGGAAAGCUUGAGACUAACAGAGCUUAAUGUUGUCUACGGUUGAUAGUUUCAAUAGAAAUUAAUGAUAGAAUUGAUAUAUUAUGUGCAUGUUUGAUGGUGGCAAAUGAUCAUUUAACUAAAGUUUUUAUCAUUAUUAUUUCUUUCUCCUUUAGUUCGAGUUUUUAUUAAAUUAUUUUUUUGUAGUUUUAAUUUCUUUAUUUCUUGCUAUUUAUUUAACAUUCAUAAACCUCCUUUUUUUAUUCAUCAUUGCCAUUUUCUUUAGUUAGAUUAAUUUAUGUUAUUAUUACUACUAUUAUUUUAUUUUAAAUCCUCUUUAGAGUUGAUAAUAAAUAUAACUAGCAUACUUUUUGUGUGAUCGAUCCUUACUCGCCCUGUACUAGUUAUUUAUACUAGUAGUAAAGUUUUAAAUUUGGUGCACUCUAACGACACUACCAUGUUUCAACUGGUUAGCCCGAUUUACUGUAUAUAAAAUUUAUUAGUGUGUGAAAGAGUAUAAAUAGCAGCUAGAGCACAAGACUUUAAGAAGUUACCGUACACCUUAAUAUAGCUGUAAGUUAGUUAACAAUAUAUAUGUGCAUACGACAAUGAAAAUGCUUCACCAGGUUGGCCUAAUUUAUUAUAUAUAUAAUUUAUUAAUGUAUGAAAGAGUAUAACUAGCAACUAAAGUAUUUGAUUUCACUACAAGAAAAUAGGUAAUAGAUGACGGAAAAUAACUAUCAUAAAAAUGGAUGCAUGACAAACAAUCUAUCCGUCAUCUAUGUUACUGUCAUUAAUUUAUGAUAAAAAAAUUUUCCACCAUGAAUUUAUGAUAGUUUUUAAUAGUCAUAUAUAUGUCACACUAUUUUAGUGGGAAUUUCAAAAUUAUUUGAAUUUUUGGCAUUUUUGUAAAUUUUUUGGCAGGAAAAUGGUUAUUAUUUCAAUUAAUAAUAUUUAAAAAUAUUAUUAUAUUCCAUCAAAAAAUAUUAUUAUUUUUUAUUUUGAUUUUAGAUUAUUCUUUCUUAAAUUGCAUUAUUAUUAUUAUUAUUGAAUUUUGGUUAUUCUUAUUUGAAUUGUAUUAUUAUUAUUAUUUCUUCAAAUUUACAAAUUCUACACAUUUGUUUUCAGAAAAUCUAAUGAUAAUAUUUAAAAAAUAAAUAACAAAAUACAUGAAAUUUAAUAUAUAUUAAAACAAGUUUAAUCAUAUACAAACUAUAUUGUUGAAGUAUUUUCAAAUUACAUCGAUCCCAAAAUAAACUACAAUUUCACCAGCCGCAAAAUACUUGCACCAAAAAUCAAAGUCCGCCAAAACCACAGCUAAAAUCUUGAUGCAGCAACAAAAUCCAAAUUGAUAGUACCUGAAAACAAACAUAACACAGAUAACAAACUAUGGCACGUUAAUAGUCUUUAAUGCCACCGUGCCAGAAUAUUUCAUCCAAAUUAAAUUAAGAUGCACAAUCUAUUUUGAGAGGAUGAACAAAUUAUUCUAUGAAUACAAUCUAUGGAAGCCCUACCUUAUGCUGCUCUAAGCCACACCAAGGUUCAACAUUGAUUAAACUUUUAUCACAACCAAUUGUGCAUGAUAUAAAGGAACAAGUUUGACAACAUAAUGCAAAUAAAGCUAACUCGUAAUAUAAAUAAGGCUAAGUCAAUGAGAAGUUUUUAUCAUCUUGGUAUAGACACUUUAUUGAAAUUUGUUUCAGAGGAUAAUUUAUUUACAUAAUCUAAUAGAGAAGCUUGUGCCGACUACAAUUAUUUAUAUAAAAGCUAGAUGAAAGCUAGACAGAAUGAGUUCUAGGUAAUUAUAGACAACAAGUAUUAUUGCAGCAUUUUGCUAAAUUAGAACAAAAAUUCACCUUUGUACAAUUAUGCCUAGACUUGAAACAAGAGCAUGCAUUGUGCAGGUAUGAAGGUCACAUGCAUUUGCCAUAGUCUUGACAAUUGACCUCUUCAAAGCAAAUGUAGCUAGGACGUUUCGGGGGACAUGACACACAACAUGUAUGGCAACGAUUGGAGCAACAAACCCACAUAAGAGCAGAGCAAAAAUUUUCCCUGCUGAGAAUUCAUGUGCAUUAUCAAUUUAUAUAUAAUUCAUUGAAUUUCAUUUUAACAUGCAAAUUUUCAAAAAGAAAGUAAGUUUGAUCAGUGAAACUCAAACAAACAAAAGAUCACAGCAUUUAGCUUUGGGAAAUUUAAAAUUCAUUGAAAGACUAGAAAGCCAAUUAGGGGCAUGGAUGCCUUGCUAAAUAUGCUAGUUAUUUUUAAAAGGUUACAGCCUAAAAUGCAUGCUUAUAGCUAAUAAAGUUAAAGCUAAAGCUACUUUAAUUCAUAUGGAAAAUAAAUAAUUUUCCUGUUUAUGUCUGACAAGAAAGCGAAAGAGAGAGUAUAGACCAAAUAAUAUAAGGCUUGAAGUUUCUAGUUAGCAUAUUACUAAAUAUAAUGCUGCAGAAAUUUUAUUUACCUCUAAAGUACUUCUUGACAUGGCCAAUAUCAUAUUUGCCUACAGCUCCAACUAACUCAAUCUCCAUCAUACUCUUCUUUUGUGUUGUCAUAUGACGAGUUGCACCCUGAGAACAAGUAAAAGAAGAUAUAGUCCCUUUUGAAGGGCAGACCUUGUUGGCUAAUGGAGAUGUGAGGAUUUGUAUACUGAGCAAGCAACGACCUGGAAAUUACCUUUCAAUAUCUAUAAUAGCACCAUUUCUCAAAGGUAAAAAGACCUUGAUUGUAUCCUUGAAUUCACUCUCAUAGCUUUCAUCUUUCUUCCUAUAAUAGACAGAAACCAAUAAUCACUUGUCGAUGAUUAAGCAAAAUAUAACUACUUCCAUUUAGCAUAGAGAUCAACCCAUUAGUUUAGGGAUAUUGACAGAGGAAGGGAACCACAAUUUAAUGCCUCUUGCACCAACAACAGCACCCGAGUAGAACCUAUUGAAUUUUUUUAAGAUAUAAGAAUAAACUUCAAACUACAAAUAAGGGUCAAAAGGAUGAAAUUGAAGAUUAACAAGAUGAAACAGAGACACAGGCAUAUGGAAAUAACUAACAUGUAAUGACCACAGAUUAAACCUUGGUUGAUUCCACCAAUUACCAAAAAGAUCAUAUUCCACUGAAACUAUAAAAAAUGCUUAAGAGUUAAAAUCUAAAUGUAAAAUCACAAAUAACAGUAAAUUUUUACUACCCGUAAAGAAAAUGGUCCCUAGAUAGUGCUAAUGACACAUAAUCCAUAAGCGUCCCUAAGUAACAAGAACCAUUAGUAAAGGUUGUAUUACUAUCAUCAAGCAUAACUAUACUGUAUUAGAUUUACACAUCAUAGGGGUAUACAAUACAAGCAUCUCUUACAACUGAUAAAAGUUAAUAAUAAGAAACAAAAAGAAUAAAAUUCAUCAUUUUCUAAGAAAACUCAUAGCUAUAUUCCUCUUACAGAUUACAGAACCUUACAAGAAUAGUUAACUACUAGAUGCAGCUUAGUUUCUUCAUGCUAAGUCAAAUUCUUAUUGAGUUAACCCAGCAACUCAUAAUCCAACUCUCACCUUCGUGCCUCUUUAGUCAAAUCAGAAAAGACCUGCAAAAAUUAAUCAAUUAAUUAUAGUUGCAUUGAUUCCAAUUUUAAAGCUAAUCAAUUUUAGAAAUCUACUAACUUAUUUUCCUUACAUUUUGGAAUAAAAAUAAAAUAACAAAAACUAAUCAAACAAGCAAAAGCAAACCAACCUGACGGGCAGCCAAUUCAUUGAAGCCACUAGGAUUUCUUUGCAAAUCUUUGAUCAAAGCAAAAGCAACCUUCUCAUCUCCCUUGCUUGGCUCCCUUUCUUAAAAAUUAGAAGUCUAUUUGCUAUCAACAACGUUCGUAGGCACGGCAACAACAAGCGUUCUUUGAGAGAGCGAUUUACAGUUAUUGAGGCUGCGAUUGUGGUUUUUUGCUGUAACUUCAUUCAUGGUGGCUGUAGAUGUGAGCAUUUACCUAGGUCGAUUGAGAGUGGCUGUGGGUUUAUGUGGAUUAACGGUGGCUGUCAGGACGCUAGGGUUUCAAGUGGUUUUGUGAGAGAAGAGUUCAGUGAGAGAGUGUGUGGUAGGGGUGGUAAAAAUAUCCGUCUGGUGCAGAUCCGGAUCAUAUUCAGGUGUUAUGGAUGGGGUAUUAUCCGACCUGGGUAUGAAGUUGGAUCGAUUUUGAAUAUCACUUGAUAAAUUUGGAACUCUAAUUUUAUUAAAAAAAUAUUAUAAAAUAUAUAUUAUUUUAAAUAUUUAUAUUUAUUUGACUCAUUUAUUAUACAGAUAUAAAGUUUUAAACACUUAAACUUUAUAUUUUCAUGUCAAAUUUUGUUGAAAUAAAUUUAAAACUUAUAAAAUUACCAAAAAAUAAAAAAUAUAUACACAUAUAAUAUUAAAAAAUAUAAAAUUUGAGUACCCAAAUUAAAACCCGGCCUGAACCCGGACCCGGACCUAGACUGAUUGCAUCCAGGCAAGGUCCGGUCAUUACAAUACCCGGACCUGACCCGAGGUUUUGCCAUCCCUAGUGUGUGGUGACCUCAACACUUAGGAAAAAAGAUCGAGGGUAUCUUUUUAAUUUAAACUCUUUAUGUUUACUUUUAAUAAUUUAUUUUUAAUUUAUAAUAAAAAAUUCAUAAUAUUAAAUAUUUUAAAUUUAUGAGCAAAAAGUCGUCGUUCUAAUUUACGUGAAAACGACGACGUUUCUUGAGUUAUAUAAAAUUUUAUUUUAAAUAAUACCCAAAAUUUUAUUCAAAGAAGCGCUAAAAUUAAGUAAACAUUAAAAUUCUAUCAUGAAUCAUUGACGUAAUAUAUUCUUUUUGGUUAUAAGGAGCUACUGACUUCGAAAGUAUGUGCAAAAUCAAGCACUUCUUGAGGCUUCAAUUGCUUAAGGGUACCUUAUGGAGGAAAGUAUGAAUUUUUGUUAAAGUUACAUUGACAAGGUAGAAACCAAAAGUAACCGACCAUUUUGUAAUGAUGUUGGUGGUAACAAAAUUGGGUGUCCUCGCAGUAAAGGGGCUAAAUUAUGUCUUAAUAAUGUUUCAUGGGUUCAGGUGCACAAAUAUGUGCUAUUUAACACAGAUACUGUAACCAUUUUUCCCUGAGUAUGUAGUGUAUAUUUUUUGUUCAAAUAUUUUGAUCUCUAGUUUUUAAUUAUCAUUUAUCCAGUGAUUUACUAAGUAAUGAUUGAAUUGACAUAGGGCAACAUCUAGCAAUUCUCAAGCGAGAGAUAUUGCGUGGUGCAAAACAUCACAUUAAAAAAGUUCACAAUGAAGUAUUUCACACAUAGUUUUCGAAUAAUGUAAGUCUCUCAAACAUUGCCAUUGUGAAUUAUUGUUUUAAGUAAUAGCAAUUUUUUAUUUCUAAUAUGUAUUUAUAGGUUAAAACUUUGCAACGAGCGUCAAUUGUAGAAUUCUUUGAAGAAAUUUUAAAUCUAGCCAACGGUCCAAAGAAGUUUGCACAAAGAUCCAAAGGCUACACUGUUAAUAGCUGCUGAUUCUGCACAAAAGAUAAUGAUAAGAAUAAAACAACAUAAAAUUUUGGUGUUGUAUUAAAGGCUGACACAAUGAGCUAUACUGAUGCAAGGGAUAAAAAUCCUCACUUGGGCAAAGUUACAUUUCAUGGUAUGUUAAAAGACAUUAUAGAAAUUCAUUAUAAUAAUGACAUGAAGUUUGUUCUUUUCACGCGUGAUUUGGUUGAUGAUCGAUUCAGAAAGAUACUUGAUGAGUUUAAUUUUACAAUGGUGAAUUUCAACCAUUUGUUAUAUAAAAAUAAUCAAGUUUGGCAUGAACCUUUCAUUCUAGCGGGGCAAGUAGAACAAGUUUGUUAUGUCCAAGACCCUGUAGAUUUAGAUUGGCAUGUUGUUAUGAGUUUAAUUUUACAAUGGUGAGUUUCAACCAUUAAUUCAUAUAAAAAUAAUCAAUUUGGGGGAUGAACCUUUCAUUCUGGGCGGCAAGCAGGACAAGUUUGUUAUGUCCAAGACCCUAUAGAUUUAGAUUGGCAUGUUGUUAUGAAAAUGACAAUUAGGGAAUUGUAUGACAAUUAUUCUUAUAGCCCAUUGAUAAUGCCUCAAGUUGAGUUAUAUCUCAAUAACAGUUGGAUGAGAGUGUGUAUAUGUGUGAUGAAGAUAUUGCUUGGGUUAAGAAGGGGGUUGAUGUGACAACUGUGGAAAUUAAUUCUGUGAAUGAUGAUGAUGAUGAUCUUAGCAUGGAAGAUAUUGAUUAGAUUCAUUAUUUUGACAUCAAUAUUAACAUAUAAUUUGUAAUAAUGUAUGCAUUUUGAGGGGCAAAGUUUAUUAUGUUCCCCCCAUAGAGGUGUUUUUACUUUUUAUCACAUCAAUAAAUCAUGUUACUGCUUUUCAGUAGUAAUUAAUUUUCGCCUAUAUCUAUUGUUAUUGUUGUCGUAUUGACAAGUUUAUUACACAUUAACAAGUUCAUUAUGUAUUUUAGUGUAUAAUUGUAGUUUAUCAUGGUGCCGAAAAGAAAUAGACACUACUACAAAAAUGUAAAACAAUGACACAUACAUUAUGACGGUUUAUUUAAAAAACCGUCAUUAAAAAUAUUUAAUGACGGUUAUUAUAUGAACGGUCAUAAUAUGUACUAUUUAUAAUGACGGUUCUAUUAUAAAACCGUCAUUAAAUAUCAUGCUAAAAAUAUAAUUUUAUUUUUAAUAACGGUUACUUAUAAAAACAGUCAUUAUAAAUUUCAAACUUUUAAUGACGGUUCUAUUAUAUAACCGUCAUUAAAUAUCAAGUUAUUAUUUUUAAUGACGGUUUAUAAAAAAAAUCGUCAUUAAAAAUAAUUACUUUUUAUGACGGUUUUACUAUAUAACCGUCAUUAAGUAUCAAGUUAUUAUUUUUAAUGACGGUUUUUUUUAUAAACCGUCAUUAAAAGUCAUUACAUAUUAAACUAUUAUUUUUUAUGACGGUUCUAUUAUAUAACCGUCAUUAAAUAUCAAGUUAUUAUUUUUAAUGACGAUUUAUAAAAAAAACGGUCAUUAAAAAUCAUUACAUAUUAAAUUAUUAUUUUUUAUGACGGUUCUACUAUAUAACUGUCAUUAAAUAUAAAAUUAUUAUUUUUAAUGAUGGUUUUUAAACAAAACCGUCAUUAAAAAUUACUAAUGACGGUUACAUAUAUAAACUGUCAUUAACUAUAAAAUGUUAUUUUGAAUGACGCCAUUAAAAAGCUACAAUAUUUUUAAUGACGGUGUUUAAUAACCGUCAUCGAAUAGAAAGAAUCAUUUUUAAUACAUUUCAUGACCGUUUUAUAAUAACCGUCGUUAUAUGUUAUUUGCCUUAAAAAAUUUAUAAAAAAAAGCCGAUAAAAGGAAUAAAGGAAACGCGCAAUCCCUAACCACUCACAUUCCUUAUCUUCUUCUUCAAUUUUCACGAAUUACAAUCACAACGACUCACUCAGUCACACACACCAGCCCUAACCCUACCUAAGCUAUCAAACGCCAAUGCCGCUGCCGCUGUCAAAUCGAUUCAAGUGCUCCGGCGCUGAGUCUAGCCGUCCUUGAGCCGAUUUGCUUCCUUUUUCUGCCGCCGCUGUCAAUCUCUGCCAUUUUUGAGCCGAUUCACUUCCGCAAAAUAGCUGCUGUCAUCUCUGCCGACAUUGCCUCUGUGUUCGUUCACCGUCAGAUGCAGUGUUAUUGUGGUGACACUGCCUCCGCUGUCAAGUCAGUUCAAAUUUUCUGGGUGCUAUCUCGAAAAUGUUGGUGAGAUUGUUGCCAAUGAUAUUCUAAAAUUUUGAAUUCAGGGUUAUUGUUUCACCACUGUGAGUUGCUUUCUCCAAUUUUGCAAUUCUUUCCUCUUAAUUUGCUUUGAAAUAUUUGCUCGUUGGAUUUAUUUCCUCUUCAUUUAUAAUCGAUUUGGUGAUUUUGUGUUGUGUAGCUUGUACCUUAGUCUCUCCUUUUCCUUUCAUAAUAUUAUAAAAUAUGUCGUGCACUUUGGCCUUUCGUUUCUUGAUUUUCUUGGUUAAUGAAUUUGGAAAAAGAGUGAAUUAUGGGUAAGGGGAUAGAAAAUCACAUUGACAGAAAAGAGGACUGAAACGCCCUGAUUUUUACUAAGUGGAGUUUACUUAUUUGUUAAAAAAAUAAAUUUUAAAUUAUUAAUGAUUUAAUUGUCUUAUGCUUAUUAUAUUGUUCGUAAAAUUUUUGUUACAAGUCCAGCCCAUGAACCUCUUUAUGUUUUAGCAUUUCUUUAUUUAUUUACGAAACGAAAACCAGCGUUCGAAUUCAAAAGGAACAAAACAGAAAAAGGAAGAAAGGAAACAAGAGGAUAACAGGACGUGAGAGAGGAGAAGAGGGAGAAAGAAGAGAAAGACAAGAGAGGCUAGGUGAAGGAUUUGGAUUUAAAGAGAGAGAAUUCAAUUUCAGAGCAAAAUAUUAAAUAUCUGGCUUUUUAAAUUUGUAAGCCUUAUUCAAUUUCAGGGCAAAAUAUUAAAUAUCUGGCUUUUUAAAUUUGUAAGCCUUCUUUCUCAGUUCACUUUAUUCUUUUAUUUUUCUUCAAAAUUCUUGUUUAAAUUGGCAUGCAUGUUGAUGUUGUUAAGUCAUUUCUAAAUUAACUUGCAUGCAUGAUUAAAAUUCUGUUUAUUUAGGUAUUAUGUCAUUGAAAUUAGUCUCUUUUGCCAUGCUUGUUUCAAGUUCCGAUUCUUAUUUGAAAAAAAAAAAUUUCUAUGUUUGUUCCAUAAUCUGUUUUGGGUAUUAAAGUUGAUACUACCUAGCAAAUUCUAAACUGUAAUGGCUGAUUUCUUCUCUUAUUUUUGUUUAAUCUAUUCAAAUUCAUGUAUAAAUUUACAGGUGUCAGAUAUUUGCCUAAUUAUCAUGUAUGUGUUAAAUUCAUUUUGGGUGAAUUUUUAUACUAUUUAAUCAACUUCAAAGUUACAUGGGUUUGGCCAAUUAUCACAUAAUCUCUUCUUUGACUAUUUGAUUAGAUUUUUGUUCAUGCGUGGCUUAAUUAAUUUCGAAAUCUUCUUACUUGUGAGUGUGGUCAAACCCCAAACAAAUGAAGAAGUCUUCUGGUUUUAUGUCAUAAAUAGAAUGCCUGUAAAUAUAAAAUCGAGAUUGAGCUAAUGAGUGAAAAUGAUGAUACUUGGAUUUUUUGAGGCUCUGUUUUUUUUUUCUUUACUUUAAAAGCUAAUUUGUUUAGCUUUACCUUUGAUUUGAAUUUUUUGCUUCUGUUCUUUGCAGCCAACCUAUGAAAAUGGUGAUAAUCGGGCUCCAAUAAAUAUUGAUUUAAUAGGAACCACAUUGGUAAGCCUAGUUGCAAGACAAGAACUACUUUGCAAAGCAUGCUAUGUGUAUAAUUCUGAGCAUUAAGGAUUCAGUUUCUGAAGGGCAAGCUUGCUGGCUGGGUAUAAAUGUUCCAAGUGCCAAUCCCACCUUAUGUAAGCACAAAAUAUAGUCUCCAUUUCCUUUUUGGAUUAUAUUUGUUUGUAUAGUUAUAUGAUACUGGAUUUUAAUUUAAGAAUUUGUGCAGUACAUUUUUUUACUGUUAGGAGUUAGUUUGAUCAAGGUUAUUUAAGUACUAAACUGUUAUAAUUGAGCUUGUAUGCAUUUAAGUUCUUUAUAUGUAAAUGACAAUUAUAUCAAUGUGUAAUGUAAAUUGAAAUUUGCCAAUGUGGCUUCAAUUGUACAGUUUAGAAUGUGAAAAUAACUAUCUAAAUUUUAAUUUAAAAAAACAAUUGAAGUAUAGUAAUUUUAAAUUGUUAUUUUUUUUUAUUUUUACUCGUGCAAAAGAUGACGGUUCUUAUAUAAGAACAGUCAUCAAAGAGCGAUAUAAGAUGACUGUUAUGAUACAAAACCGUCAUUAAAAAUUGAUAUUUAAUGACGGUUAUUAAAAAUCCGUCAUUAAAAGUAUAUAUUUAAUGACGGUUAUUGGCAAAAAACGGUCAUUAAAACUUAUGUACCUAUAGCAUAUAAUGACGGUUUAUUAGAAUAACCGUCAUAAUAAGUAUACAUUUAAUGACGGUUUUUAAACUGUCAUAAAAAAUGUACCCCUUUUAACGUCGCUGUCUAAGAUGACGGUUUUAAAACCGUCAUCUUAUGUCUUUUAAAACCGUCAUUAAAGGCCAAUUUUGUAGUAGUGAGAGGUUUAUCCAUGGAUAGCUUACUUCAGCAGCAAGCAGAAUAACAAAAACAGUUAUGCUCCUCUUCUCGUUCGCAUUCACAUGCACCACAAGAUGAAGGUGUGUAUUGUCAUGUAUUCUAACAUACAAUCCUUUUUUUUUCCCCUUAUAUUAAUGCAUCAUGUGCUACUUUUUUUUUUGUUUUUGGAUAAUUUUUCUAUUAUUCCUAUUUCUUGAUUGUUUUUUACUAUUUUUAGCCUUUUUUUUCUUGUUUAUGGGUUAAUUUAGAUUAUUAUAUUUUGGUUAAUUUUGUAGUUUGGAGUGAGUCAUCAUUUAUUAGGCAAACUCUUGUCCUGCCCUUGGUCUAGAUAUAUUUGGAAGGAAGUAAAGUUAUGUAAUGCGUACACUUCAUCGUUCAAGUCACUGUCGCAAAAAUAUUGGUUUUAUUUUUAAACUAUCACUAACCUGAUUUGGCUUUCAUGUGUUGCAACAAUAACUAAUUACUUCUUUCUUAGUCUAACCUUUUUAUUUAUUUAUUUUUUUCAAUGUUUUAACGGUUAAAGUUAUAAGACAAUAACUUAUUUUGUAUUGAAUUAUAGGAGAACAUUGAUGCUCCAGAAGCCUAUAAACUUCAUUGUUUAAGGCACAUUAGUAAACUAUGGAAGGCUUGGAGGUCUAGAGUGAAGACUGACUAUUAUGCUGCUUAGACAAAUGAAGAGUCUCUUGCAUCUAUUCUUGAUAGAGUUAUUGAAGAGCAAUGGAGGACACAUGUAGCAUAUUGGGAUAAUGAGGAAGUUAAGGUAUAUGGUUAAUAACAAUAUUAUGAUAAUACUAUCUUAUUAGGAUAGUAAUUUAAGAAUUUACUUCAGUAGUAAUUACAUAUAUAGUAUUUACAGGCAUGUGCUGAACAGAAUAAGAUUAACCAUUCACAACUAUCUUCCCUUCCUAGAACAGGUCGAACUUCGUUUCCCCCAAAAAAGAAAAGAAGAAGAAAUAAAAACAAUACCUAUUUGCGGCUGAUUUUGGGUUAAUGAAAUAAAAUCACAUAACCAAGCCAAGAACAAUAAAUUUAUUUUUUGUUGGGGAGCGGGGUGCCUCGCUUGUUUGGUGCAUGCGGGUUGUUUAGGCUUUUUGUGGAGUGAAGGAAGAUUGAGAUGGCGGUGGAUAUGGCGGAGGUCUGAUUUCAAGUACGGAGGGCUGGUGAAAAUUGCCUUAAACCUGCAAAACAACCAAAAAAGAGGUCAGAGGUGGAGCUGGGGUGGCCCGCGACCACACUUCGACGCUCAAGUCAGAGUUGGGUUAUCUCAGGUUAGAGAGCUUGCAAACUCUCGGUAAUGGAAGUUUUGAGGUUGAAGAAACCUUAGUUUUUGGUGGUGUGUGUGUGAACUUAAUUGAUAAAAAUUAAACCUGAGUAUUUAUAUGGUGUACCCCGGUCGCUGUGCCACCUGGCAUUAUAUUAUUAGCGUUCCCUGCUGCCAUGUCAGGAAUAUUCUUAUUUUCAUGCGUAUGGCAACUUAGGCAUUUCAAAAAUAUUUGUGGAGAGCAAGUUUGAGGCAUUUGCAUGUGCUAGGCGUAGUGGAGUGGUCUCGCGUACCUCUGCAAUUCCGUUGUAAUUUUGCAGGUGUGGCAGGAAAAACUGGUGGUCCCAACUGUCAUAAUAUCAAACUUUUGACGGAUUCGUUGGUUGACAGGCAGCUGUCUCCUCUUUUGUAGCAUGAGAUUUCCUCACCGAUUCUUUAUUUUUUGACACUAUUCAACCGAUCUUUUUGAGAUUCGGGGCCCACCUAUCCAUUGACAUUUUUACGAAGACCUUUUACACUUAUAUAGUGUACCCGAGGUACCCCCAUAGCACUUAGGGUAGCCGGGGUACCUAGGGUACCUGGGGUAUCCAAGGUACCAGAAGUUAGCAAAUUUCUUAAAUAUCGACACGUGGCACUUUAUCAUUGGCCUCAUGUUUCCUUCCCAAACAACAUCCCUCUAGUUUCUUUAUGGCGAAUGUAAUUGAGGCACAAGAAAUUCUUGGAGGAACUGUGUGUGACACGUGGCGAUAUUUACUUUUUUUUUUUUACAAACAUUGAACUGAUGCAUGUCUUCACGUCUCUCCAGCUUCUCUUGGGAAGUGGUAACCGUCUGACACAUAAUUUGAAUUUGAAAACACCUCUCUGUAAAAUUAUUUGACCUCUCGCUUUAUGAAGUACGAUUUGUCAGGUUUAAUUAAAAUCUAUUCCGCUCCUUUUAUGUUACCACUUUACUUUGAAAAUCUCAAAAAAUCUCCUAUUAAGUGUAAUUGCUUCCAGUGGCUUCUUCUUGCUCCCUGGCUUUUCAUCUUUUCCUUAGCUUUAUUUCUUAUUCUUUUUGGCUUAGUCUUUUUCUUUAGCUUCUCAUCUUCUCUUGGGCUCCAUGAACAUUCCAUAAACAGGUUAAAAAAAGUCUUCCUUUACUUUCUCUUUUUUCUUUCUUCUUCUCGACCCACCAUCAUUCUUUCUUUCUCUUUUUUUUUUUGGCCUUUUCACGUGACCUUUUUCAUGGGUUCUUUCUUAUUUUCCCUCUCUUUCUCUUUUCUUCUUUCUUCUUUCAAUCAACUCUCUUUUUCCUCUUUUUUUUUCUCUCUUUUUUUUUCUUUUUCUUUUCUUUCCUUUCUUUUUCUUUUCCUUCCCUCUCGGUUGCAAUUCUUUUUGCGCGUUUUCGGUGGGCUCUUGGCGGUUGUUGCGGCGGUCUUCGGUGCCCGAUCUGUCCGGCGCACGGCUGCGUCUCGCGGCUUCUAGCGAGAUCUCCUUCCGGCGGGUUUGGCUCGGUGCUUCUCUCCCCCACAUUGUCUUCUUCACUUCUUUUUCUUCUCUCUUUUCUUCUCUACUGCGUUUUCUUUGGCUUUUUUUUUUAUCCAGACUUCUUUUUUUUUUUAAUCAUCCUAGCUCCUUUUUUUUUAUCAUCCAGGCUCAUUUUUUUUUUUUUACUUCUUUUCCUUUUUUUUUAAUCCAUGCUCCCUUUUUUUUGUUGAAACCUCUAACGGGUUUCAUUGUGCCUAUUACAGCCUAUGCACAGCUUCAUCUUUUAAGCAAUUUCUGGUGAUCCGCGACUUCUCUUGGCGAUUUACAGUCUAUUCAUCUCCAAACUUGCUUUUUUUUUUGCGACUAAAAUUUGCUGCUCUCGGUGAAAUCUAGGUAUGAAUUUUUAUACUUAUUUUUGGCUUCUUUAUUUUGAAAAAUAUUGUGGCUUUGUUUCUGGAUUUCAUGCAAAGUGUUGGUGCUUUUUUUUUUAUGCUUUUAUUGGUGGAUGUUGGUGUUUGACUUGUGAUGGAUGAGGCCUAGAGUUGUGGGGGCAUGUUUUGAUGUGGAGAUUUUCUUUUUAACUUGUGUCUUGUGUUUUUAGGGGAACAAAAUGGGGAGAAAAAGAGUUGGGAUAAAGGGUCUAAAUAUUGUUGAUGAUUCGGGUGGUGAGGAGGCCCCAUGUUCUAGGUCAGCCCCUUUUGUAUCCAUUAGCGAUGACGAUGGGUCUCCUUCGGGUAGCCCCAAAUUGUCCCAAACUGAUCCUUGUAGUAAAUCUAAAACUAGGGGCAAACAACCGGUUAGGGCAGCCCGUAAGAAAAUCCGUGUAAAACAUUUCAGACGCAAAUCUCCUGCCCCUAUCAGCAUUCCUGAGCCUCCCCUGGUCUCCCCUUCUGUCUCUGUAGCUCGUAGGCUCUAUUCACUAGGGGGUAGGCUAGCUAUUCCAAGAGAUUUAGAAAGGGUUAGAGCUAAAUAUAACAUACAUCCUUCUGUCCGCCUUGGGGUACCUCGCAAGGGCGAGCACCCCCAUUCUGAUAGUGUAGCAAUUCAUAUUGACUUUUUCGACUUAGGUCUCUGUUUGCCUCUUCAGCCAUUUUUUAGAAAAAUGUUCACUGAGAUGCAGAUUGCUCUCGGACAGUUAUCUUUACCCGGUUGGAGAUUGCUCACGGGUUUGGAGGUUCUGUGGCUGGAUGUAUUUGGGGAGAAUAUUUCUUAUGGAGAUCUGAGGGGGCUUUAUCAGUUGAAAAAACUGGCUGGUUUAUCCGUAGCUUAUUUUGCUACUUGGGGGGUUCAUGGUAGCUUGGUGAGACCGGAUCCCUUGCUGAAAAAGGGCUAUAGAUAUGGGUGGUUCGUGGCUAAAGGCGAGUGGGGGAGGAGUAUGCCAGCGGGGAAUGAUGUUGUGUAAGUUCGGAACUUCUUCAAUGAAGAUGGUAUGUAUUUUUCUCCUCCUCUCUCCCUUUUUUUUUAUGUAUAUAUACAUUUCUCGGAUGAAUUUUCUUCUUAUUCGUUGUUUCUUGGGACUUUUACAGACAUUACUUGGACUAAAGGGACAUGCCCAGUUCAUGAAGUGGGGAGAAAAGUGAGUGGUGUCAUAGAGAAGUUUCAGUCUUUGCAGAGUGAGGAUGAUGUUCUGAGCACUACCCGGCUGGCGAGAGCUGGUUUGAUUGAGGAGAGCCUUCCAUCUUCUUUGGGGGGCGAUUUACGUAUGGCUAUGUGGUGUCGCUAGGGUACCCUGCCUUCACUGGUUCUGUGGGGGGUGCCCCCAUCUUUUGCACAAUUUUUUUUUUUGCGGCCAUCUCUUAUUUUUUGUUAAUGUAUCUUUUUGCCAGUGUCGAUUCUGAUGUUUAUUUUUCUGAUCCAUCUCUAUGUUGCACUUUUUUUUUUGUUUGCUUGAUGUUGGAUAGGUAUGGACCCUUUCGCUGAAGAUUUUGAAGCCUUUUUCAGUCGCAUGAGCGGCAGCUCCUCCGCUACCCUAGGUACCUCAGCAAAGGGUGAUUAACCUCCCAUUGUUCCAGGCGCCAAGGGAAAAUUGCUCGUUUCCUCUUUUGGGGGUUCUCGGGGUACCCCGACUACCCACAAGAGGAAGUUUGGCUCCCUUUUCAUGGCUCUUGGAGAUCUUAUGAAGGGUGAGCUGGACCCAGUGGCAAACAAGCGGAUAUCUCACCUGGGCGAUUGCUUCCUCCAUUCCUCUGAGUGUAUUUCUACAGACAUGGCCAUGGAGGCAGAUAAAUUGGACUUAAAUGAGCACUAUAGCCGAGUGCUCAAGGCUUGUCAUGACGUGAGUGCCUCCCUCUUUCUCAUUUUUAUUUUUUUAUAUAUAUCAUCUUGACUCCCUUUUCUUCUCUUUAUUAUUAUUAUAAUUUUUUGUGUGUAGGCGGCCUUCUACCUUAGCCACAGUUUCCACGACUUUAGUGGCAUCUCGGCUGCAUAGGCUGAGGUGGAGAGGCUGCGAGGGGAGGCAGACUCGGUCAGUCUCGGGAAGAGAAGCUCGGAGAGGAGGGCAGGGCUUUGCAGAGGCGUUUGGACAACUACGCCUGGGAGAACAGCCGAAUGUCCAAGAAGUUAGAAGAGGUGGAGUCUAAGCACGGCGAGCUACUAUCUCGCCAAUAGGAGAUUAUGGACAAGGCUUUUACUCUUAUCAUGACUGAGGUCUGGAGCGUCGACCCAGAGCUGGUGGUACCCCGGGUGGAGAAAUGGGUGGACAAGUCGACCAUCCUGAAAGCGAUAGAGGACAAGAGGGUAACCCAGACUCCACCAUCUCACAGCCCACAGCAGUCUUUUGGGAUACCCUAGGUACCCCAGGCGGAUCUCCCUUCUGUUAGCGCUGUUUAUGAGGGUAGCAACUCUUUGACAUUGAGUGUUCCUGUUGAUGCCCCCGUUGAAGGGAGCGGUGGAGAGGAUGUCCCUCUUUCUGCGUGAUCUUACUUACUAUUUAGAGUUUUAUCCCGAGAUGUCUCAGCAGUUUUCUUUCUUUGCUUUUGUACAUUUUGUAGUAUGGUAUCAUCCUUUUGAUGUGUUGGGAUAGUUUUCUUUUGAAAGGUUGCCUCGACAAUCUCGCUACUUGUUCGCAUUAAACUUCUGCAAUAGACUUGAUUUGACAUGCCAUUGAAUUCCUUGCUUAUGAUUGAUUUUGUAUAGACUUAUGGGGGUUCCUCGGGUACCCCAGGUACCCCCUGAUGUAUUUUUGGCGCUUGCGUGGUGAUUUCCGUAGAUAUGCUCGCUGCUCGUCUUAAUAAAGAUUAUGACGUAUCUCAAAUAAUUUAAUAAUUCAUGUAUCAUCAUAAUUUAAAAUUAAAUUCAUAAUUGGCGCAACUAGGAUAUAAAUAAAGAUUAUGACGUAUCUCAAAUAGACUCUUGGAGUUUCCUUGGGUACCCCAGGUAUCUUUUUUUUUUUUGUUCGGGGACCUUCUUGGCCCCAUUUCUUGCAGAAAUGGUAAAAAGCAUGCUUGUUUUGCCAUAUGUUUCUAGUCAAUAUUUAAUGAAAUCAUUCGAAUAGAGGUGCAUGCUUGCCUACCUCAUUUCGUUUAGGCAUCCAACUCUUGUGAUUGCCAUUUGUCUAUUCUUUACUUGGCUCAAGUUAAAGAAUGGAGGUGUGGGUGUGUGCAUACCUUAACGGAGUCUUAUGGCGCUAGGGUAUGCUGGUUUACCUUGCCCAUGGGUCUUCUCUGACCCUCCCUUUUUAAAUUUUUUGUAUUCUUUCUUAUUGGCUUUGACCUCGAACAGAUCUUCACGAUCAAAUCGGGUCAGAUACCCCAGGUUCCUCAGACUAUCUUGAAAUGGAGUAAUUAUAGCUGAAAGGUGCAUACAAAACACGGCGUAAUAAGAUUGAGUCACAUUAAUGGCGAAAGUUUAACCAUAAUCACAUUUGGUAAUCAAAAGAAGAACAUUACAUAAGACUGACUCAUUCUCCCAAUGAGAAUAGGAAACUGUAUAGAUAUCCACUCUCUGGGACUUAGGAAAUUAAAAUUUUCACUUGCACAUGUAGGGUACCCUAAGUACCUUUCAUGACUUUACCAUAUUACACACAUAGUAAAGAAAAUAGGAGAUAGAUAAAGUGAACGAUAGGGUUUAAGACACUGUCCUCAUGUUAGUAGUACUUCCUUAGCAUUGCGGCGUUCAGGGAUGCUUGACGAUUGUUCCAUCUAUGUGGAGUAGGCUGUACGCCCCCGAUCCUAUUGGCUUGUCUAUGCGAUAUGGGCCUUCCCAAUUUACUCUGAAAGAGCCCUCCAAGGGUAUUCGGGUGUUCUGAGUUACCCAUCGUAUGACUAAAUACCCUUUCUUGAAUGAUUUGGGGCGUACCCUCUUGUCAUAUAAAUCUAAAACGCGAUGCUGGUAUAUUGCAACCUUCAAUUCUGCUUUGGCCCUUUUUUCUUCAACAAGAUCAAGACUGGAUGCAAUGAAAGAGGCAUUCUCGGCUUCAUCAAAGUAUGUGGUUCUGUGAGAGGGUAUCCUGAUUUCUGCUAGAAUGAUUGCAUCAGUCCCGAAUGCCAGAGAAAAUAGGGUUUCCCCAGUUGAAGUAUUCUGAGUUUUCUGAUAGGCCCAAAGAACGCCGGGUAACUCGUCAACCCAAGCUCAUUUCCUUUCCUCCAGCCUCUUCUUUAGGAUACCCUUGAUGAUUUUGUUGAUGGCUUCCACCUGUCCAUUAGAUUGCGGGUGAGCCGGAGAAGUAAAUCGGUUGGCUAUCCCAAGCUCCGAGCAGAAACUCCGAAAUUGAAUUACUUCCUGUUGCCGCUGACAAUUGCAUUAGGGAUACCAUAUCUGCAUAUGAGGUUCCUCCAAAAAAAAUCAAUGGUUUUUCUCUCAGUAAUACUUGCCAACGGCUCCGCUUCUCCCCACUUUGUAAAAUAGUCAACGACUACAAUUGCAUAUUUAGCUUGCCCUCUCCCGGUUGGCAGUGGGCCAAUGAGAUCUAUAUCCCAAACAGCAAAUGGCCAUGAAGAAGACAUGACAGUUAACUUUUUUGGUGGAAGGUGGGGUACCUUGGCAAAUCUUUGGCACUUGUCACAACUCUUGACCAUAUUUUUAGUAUCCUCCCGCAUCGUAGGCCAAUAAAAUCCUUGACGAAGGGCCUUUUGUGCCAAUGAUUGUGCUCCAUAGUGGUUACCGCAAAUUCCUUCGUGUAUCUCUCUCAUGACAUAUUCGGCAUGUUCAUCUCCCAAAUACUUUAAGUAAGGGAGGGUAAACCCUCUUCUGUAUAAGGUAUCCUCGAUGAGACAGUAUCGUGCAUCUUUAUACUUUAGCCUCCUUACUUCACUUUUGUCUGAGGGCAUAUCCCUACUUCUGAGGUACCUUAUGAUUGGUUGCAUCUAGGGUACCCCAGCAGUUAUCGACCCUACUUCUUCUGGCUCAAGUAGAUUAACACUGGUUGUAGGUAUAUACUCAGUAGUGAUUGGACCAACCGACAGAGUUGAGCGUGGCUUGAAAAUGUUGUCGAACUCACUCAAUUCAAGAGACCAGCGAAGAAAUCUUCCAGACAUGUCCAACUUCUGGAGGAUUUGUCGAAGGGGAAGGUUUGUUACAACACCAAUGGUGUGGGCCUGAAAAUACGGCCGAAGUUUCCUUGCAGAGAUUAUCAAAGCCAAAACCAGCUUCUCUGUGGCGGGGUACUUAUUUUUCGCAUCCACCAUUGCCCUACUAGUGUAGUAUAUAGGCCGUUGCACCCCAUCUUCAUUUUCUCUAAGCAUCAUCGAGCUAGUGGCGUGCUCGGAAACGGCAAGGUACAAUAAAAGCACUUCUUUGGGCUUACGCUUGGCGAGCAACGGCGAAUUAACGAGGUACUCCUUUAACUUCUAAAAAGCCUCUUCGCACUCGGCGGUCCAUUGGAGCUUUUUCCCCGCUUUCAAAGCUUUAAAAAAUGGCUUGCACCGGUCGGUGGCCUUGGAGAUGAAACGACUCAAGGCGGCUAUCCGGCUAGCUAAGUUCUGGACUUCUUUGAUAGUACUUGGUGACUUUAUCCCAAGAACCGCCUGGAUUUUGUCGGGGUUAGCCUCAAUCCCCGCUGUUGCACAAUAAAUCCAAGGAAUUUACCCGAAGUCACCCCGAAUGCACAUUUCUCAGGAUUUAGGCGCAUCUGAUGCUUUCUCAAAAUAUUGAAGGUGUCUUUGAGGUGCCCAGCGUGAUCACUGGCGUACACCAACUUUAUUAUCAUAUCAUCGAUAUACACCUCCAUGGUACGACCGAUUUGCUGUUUGAAGACCUUGUUUACGAAACGCUGAUAGGUGGUGCCUGCAUUCUUCAAACCAAAAGGCAUAACCUUGUAGCAGUACAACCCACGGUUGGUGAUGAAGGUCGUUUUAUCUUGAUCGGGCUCGUAUAUUGGAAUUUGGUUGUACCUGAAGAAAGUAUCCAUGAAACUAAGCAUCUCAUGUCCCGUCAUAGCAUCGACCAGUUGGUCUACCCAGGGAAGCGGGAAGCUAUCCUUAGGACAUGACUUGUUUAAAUCCGUGAAAUCUACACACAUGCGCCAUUUUCCGUUGGACUUCUUAACCAAGACAACAUUUGACACCCAGUCGGGAUACACCAUCUCCCUAAUAAACCUCGCUGCUAGUAAUCGGUCCACUUCUUGUUCAAUGGCGUCAUAGCAUUCCUGGUUGAAAGUUUGACGUUUCUACUUAACAGGCCUAUGAUGUGGAUCGACAUUGAGCUUGUGACAGGCGAUAGAAGGCGGUAUACCCGGUAUGUCCGCGUGAGACUAAGCGAACACAUCAAUAUUUUCCUUUAAAAACUCAAUAAGUUGCUCUCGGUGUUGGUCAGGGAGGUUGGAGCCUACCUUGACCAUCUUGGUUGGGUCAUUAUUACAGAUCAAAAUAGACACAAGAUCCUUAACCAGUGCUCCUCACUUUUCAUCUUUCGGUAUCCGGGGAUCCAAGGGUACCUCAACCUCUCCUAUUGAUGCAGAACUGGGACUUUGGGGUACAUGUGGUGCCCUAGGAGCUAUUACAUCCACUUCCAUUGCCCAAAAUUCUUGUGGCGCUUGGGAUAUUUAGGAAUUCGUGGACCGUUGAGCUUUCUUACGUGCAGCUCUCCCGAGUCUAGCGAGUGCCCGCUUGGAUAUACUGGCAAGUGGCCUUGUGCUGACGGGCUACCCCUCCAAGAGCAUAUUGGAGGCAAUUUGAUAACUCAUCUUCAAGGCGACAGAGUAACAUCCUCGAGCCGAUUAUUGAUCCCCUUUGAUUGUGAUAAUUUCCCCGGCGGUUGGAAUCUUCAUGGUGAGGUAAUGCAUGGAGAUUGUUGCUUUAGUUGUUGCUAAAAAUGGUCUUCCCAAGAUGAUAUUAUAGGCACUGGGAUGAUUAACAAUAAGGAAGUCGAUCAUAUGGACCACUCGGUAGGGUACCUUGCCGAUUGUAAACGGGCAAAGUGAUGAUACCCUUGGGAAUAGCCAUGUCUCCUACAAAACCAACGAGUGGCGUGUCACAUGGAGUGAUCCUUGGCCAUUCGAUUAGUAGUUGAUCUAGGGCGCUUUUAAAGAUGAUGUCCACGGAACUGUCGGUGUCCACCAGAGUCCUCGCGACCUUACCGGUGGCGACUUUUAAUGUUAUAACCAGAGCAUCAUCAUGGGGGUAUGAGACACUUUCCGCAUCUUUCUCUGUAAAGAGAAUUGGGACGGGAUGGUCGGGUACCCGGGGUACCCUAAAGUGAUUUUGACAAGUGAAGUUCACUUCUUUUCCAAGGCGAUCCAAAAUUGGCGACUUGCUAUAACGUUUGAUGGCCCGUCUAGAUUCCCCCGCGACGAUAGGACCUUCUACUAUGACCGCCAUAACUUCCCCAAACACAAAUUCUUUUCAAAAUGAGUGAGAGUAUGUUAGUGACCAAACGUACCGGUACGCAACACCUCUUGGUGGAAGCGGGUUACGUACUCGGCUAAAGACUCCAAUUCCCCUUGCUUGAUGAAAGCAAGCUUGGAAGAUGCUAUAUCUUGGGAGGAUGCAUAACCAAACUCAUGAACAUAAUUUUUUAGGAGUUGGUCUAAGGAAGAUACACUACCUUCCUUCAACGAUCGGAACCAUGAUUUGGCAGGUCCAGUGAGGGUAUGCAGGAACAUCCGGCACAUAGCAUUGUCACCCACUCCUUUAAUCAUCAUCUGGUCACGAUACAACUCAGUAUGUUCCACGGGAUCUGAGGUAUCAAAGUAUUGUUGUAUUUGAGGCAUGGUGAACGCUUUCGGGAGAACCGCUGUCCGAAUCUCCAUGGUGAACGGCGAGUUACAUUCUGCUGGCGCUAGAGUAUUGGUGGGGUUUUGUUUUCCAGAAAUGAGCUUCACUUGAGCUUCGAGGUACUCCAUUUUUUCCAGGAACUCGCAGGGUACCCCAGGUGCAUCUGAGGAUGCCGUAGUUGUUUGGGAAGCUCUUUUAGCGUUCAACUUGUGCCGGAGAUCUUCAUGGACUUUUUGUUUAUGUUUGGUACCCUGGCUACUACGGGAAUAGCAAGAGGCAGUGGAGCAUUCUUCCCGAGAGCCGCAGGUUUGAAACUUUGAACAGGUGCCCGAUGGCCCGUGCUUUGGUAUACUUCCCUUCGGUAUUUUAGAUCUUUGUAUGAUCUGUUUCUCACCGUAUGGAGGCAGGACAUCUUGAAUUACCGAGGAAGUGGCUGCCUCGAGUACCCGAGAUCCUACUGCUCUGAGAAUCGUGUGAGCUAAAUCCUCAAAGUGUUUAUGAGUAACGGGCUCCUCGUCGGGUUGAAUACCAGUUGAUUGCUUAACUGAUUUGCUUUUCUCUAGGCGGGAUGCCCUCUUUGUUGAGUCACCCCUCUCAUCACUGUUGUGGUCCUUCGCUCUAUCAUGACCUAGCAUUUGGUUAUCAGCGGGUACGUCGGGUGCCAUAGUGGCACAAGCACAUGUACUGACAAGCUCAGCACCGUGUGGAGGCUUUUUGCUCGCUCCCCACAGACGGCGCCAAUUGUUUGCGGUUGAUUUUGAGUUAACGAAAUAAAAUCACAAAACCAAGCCAAGAACAAUAAAUUUAUUUUUUGUUGGGGAGCGGGGUGCCUUGCUUGUUCGACGCAUGCCGGUUAUUUAGGCUUUUUUUGGAGUGAAGGGGGAUUGAGAUGGCGGUGGAUAUGGCGGAGGUCUGACUUCAGAUACAGAGGGCUGGUGGAAAUUGCCUUAAACCUGUAAAACAACCAAAAAAGAGGUCAGAGGUGGAGCCGGGGGUGGCCGGCGACCACACUCCGAUGCUCAAGUCAGAGUUGGGGUAUCUCAGGUUAGAGAACUUGCAAGCUCUCGGUAAUGGAGGUUUUGAGGUUGAAGAAAUCUUAGUUUUUAGUGGUGUGCGUAUGAACUUAAUUGAUAAAAAUUAAACCUGAGUAUUUAUAUGGUGUACCCCGGUCGCCGUGCCACCUGGCGUUAUAUUAUUGGCAUUCCCUGCUGCCAUGUCAGGAAUAUUCUUAUUUUCAUGCGUAUGGCGGCUUAGGUGUUUCAAAAAUAUUCGUGGAGAGCAAGUUUGAGGUGUAUUCACAUGCUAGGCGUAGUGGAGUGGUCCCACGUACCUCUGCAAUUUCGUUGUAAUUUUACAGGUGUGGCAGGAAAAGCUGGUGGUCCCAACUGUCAUAAUAUCAAACUUUUGGCGGAUUCGCUGACGUGACAGACGGUUGUCUCCUCUUUUGUAGCACGAGAUUUCCUCACUGAUUCCUUAUUUUUUUACACGUAUUCAACCGAUCUUUUUGAGAUUCGGGGCCCACCUAUCCCUUGACAUUUUUACGAAGACUUUUUACACCCUUAUAUGGUGUACCCGAGGUACCCCCAGAGCACUUCGGGUAGCCGGGGUACCUAGGGUACCUAGGAUAUCCAAGGUACUCGAAGUAAGCUAAUUUCUUAAAUAUCGACACGUGGCGCUUCAUCAUUGGCCUCAUGUUUCCUUCCCAAACAAUACCCAUUUUCUUAAUAUAAUGCUAGACUGUGUUCUCCUUUUUCAGUUUAUCUUUGAGCAACAACUUACUUAAUGUAAUGCCAAAUUGAGGUUGUCGAUAACUUGUAGGAAUCUGCACUUAUACUUAUUUUAUAAUCUAGAUUUAAAUUCAUGUGUCUGAUGGAGCUGAAUCAUUUUUGUUUCUUUCGGAUAGUAAAUGAGACAUUGUUUUCACUAAAAUUAAUGUCAAGAAUUUCUUGCCCUAACUAUUUCUAUCUUAUUGCAUAUUUAGGUAAUUUUCUAAAAAAAAAAAAAGAAAGAAAAAAGCAACAACUGAGAUAUGAAUCUUAUGUCUAUUAUGAAGAGAUAUAAGCUUAUUUGUCACUCUUAUGUCUAAAAUUUUUAGAUGAAGAAAAAUAGGAAAAAGACAGAUCAGAUAAGUGCGUUCGUAGAGGCUCGAACAAGAUCUUAUGGUAGCAUAAGUGAUGUGGAGAGUGAACAAAUAAUUGCAAGUGAUUUUUUUUUACAAUAUUAUAAUUCCUUACUUUUGUAAAUGCUAUAAUUAAUAUUGUCAAUUUACGAGGUCAAUUCAAUAAAAAUCUGUCUAAAAUACCCAUUAAGCAACAAACAAAAUUUGUUAGAGAGCAAGUAUUCACUCAAGUGAUGGGAACUGAUGGUCAUGGAUGUGCUUGAACUUAUGGUCAAAGUCCAUCAACUUCAUAUGUCUCACGUCAGAAUGUGACUCACGGUUAUAAAAUGUUACAAAAUGAGUUAAUUCUUCUCCAGUCGAAUCACAGAGAAUUAAAAUCCAAAUACAAUGACUUGCAAUCCAAAUAUAGUGACUUGCAAUCUAAAUAUCUUGAUUGCAAUCUAGUUAUGGUAAGUUCCAAUUGGUGACAUGCAAGUCAAGUAUGAUCGACUAUGUUCAUUUUUACAGCAGUAUUUCAACUAUUGUGAUGAUAAGAUGAGUCAAUUCAUAAGUGAUCAGGUAUAACUAUUUUAACUAACAUAAUUUUUAGCUAAAACUUUACACUGCAAUCUAUUUAAUAUGUGUUCUUUGUUAAUAGGUUCCAUACACAUCCAAUCCGCAUCAUCAUAAUACAACUGCUAGUUCUAAUUACGACCUCGAGUUAUAGGUAACUUUGUAUUUUUAAUAUUUCCUUUUUUAUAUUUUGUCUAAUUCUAAAUAUUUUAUUGGUUGAUUUCUUGAUAUAUAUUUGCUCUCAAUUACUUGUUCGCUAGACAUUUGUUAAAGAAACGUGAUGAUAUGCGAACUUAGAGCAUGAAAUGAAUCUCAUUAUGUAUUUACUUGAUUAGAUUUUGUUGAGUUACACUAUUGCUUUAACUUUAGAUAUCUAAACUGCAUUGAUUAAGGUUAAAGAAGAGUAUAAAAUCAUUAUACUGAACUGCAUGGAUAUCACAGUCUAAAGAUUUAUUCUUAAUCCUUCCCAAAGUCAUUUCUGUUAUUCAUGGACAUUGGUUGUGUUUAAUAUUACUUAUACUUUUUUAACUUAUUAUUUUCUACAGACUCUUGAGAGAGAGCAGGCAUUGGGUUCUCUUUAGACUUGCUGUAGGCAUUAGAUUCUAGAGAGAUAGAUUUCAUUGUCUAUGUGUCAAUUCUAUUUUGUAUUGACUAAUAAACAAACUUAUGAUUAAUGCUUUGUUUUAGAGGACUUAAUAUUAUAAAGUUGAAUCUGUUUGUAACAAAUGAUGAUGUUUUCAUAUAAUUUUGUAUUGAUUUUUUUUCAUUUUAAUUGAAAGUAUUGCAUUAUCAUUUUAAUUGAAGAAAAUUAGAUUUGUCAAAUAUUUUAAAUUUGAAACUGCUUGAACCAGUCACCAAGGUUUUAACCUAAUGAUAUGUGUGAUUACUUAAAGCUUUCUGACAUGCUUCAAUUUUAUUUGUUUAUGUGACUACUUAAAGCUCUAUUUGUAGGUUUCAAUUUUUGUUAUUUAUGUGAUUGCUUAAAGUCAUCAUAAAAUAUGGUGACCCAUUCUAUCUUUUGUGGUGGUAGGUUCACAAUCACAAAAGACACUUUGUGAUGCCAUGUCACCAGUAAUAUAAACUCUAGGAGGCUCAUAUAUGUUAGUGCUACCUGCCAUCUCAAAGAGGUCACAAGAGGUCAUAUGUGAUGGCAAAACAACGGACAUAUAAACUACUUUUUUUUUUUGUAGUGGUAAAUGAUCUUAUUUGUCCUUCAAUAUUUAUAAAUAAGCUAAAAUUUUGAUUUGCUAUCAUAGCAGUCUAUGUUGAAGAUAUGAAUUUGAUUGCAAUUCUCAGAGAUCUCCAAAAGACUACUGAUUAUUUGAAAAAAAGAGUUUAAAAUGAAAGAUUUUGAGAAACAACUAGAUACUAUUUAGAUAUAUAGACGGAGCACAUGUCUAAUCGUAUCCUUUUCCAUCAGUCAAUUAUACUAAAAAGAUUUUGAAAUGUUUCAAUAUGAAUAAAGCUUACCCAUUAAGUACCCCAAUGAGAGUCUAAUUCUUGUCCAAAGACAAACCUAUUUUGUCCUAAACAGGAUGAUGAACAGGUACUUAGUCCUAAAUUACCAUAGUUGAAUGUCGCUCCGAUGUAUUUAGCCCAAUGUACUAGACUAGACAUAUUUAGUUUUAAACUAACUAGACAACAUUAGGAUGGUGUUAAACAUCUAUUUUUGUAUCUUUGUGGAACUAUUUAUUUGGGUUUAUUUUAUUCUAAUCUACUAACUGUUGACUUUCAUUCAUAUUCAACAUAAAAUUAGUGGGAGAUCCAGAAGUGUAAAUUUUGAUAUCUAAUUACAAAAGCGGAUCACAGUGAGGUUAUGUCACUGUAGAGAUAGAAGACAAUCUCAUGGAAAAUCUUCAUGCCACUGUAUGCUUAUGGUUGAAGGAUAAUCAUAAUUAAAGAAAAUCCUCUUAGAUCAUAUUGCAAGAGCUCACUGCCUUUUCUCUCAUUUUCAAUCUCUAUACUCUUUAUUAUGUUAUUAUCCAUACUUAUUUUAGACACAAUAGGUAUGUUGAUAUAGAAGCUAAAAAGGGUGAUUGAUGUUAACUGAAAGACUUCAUAAGACUUAAAAUCCAAUUAGAUUUACAAUAGUCAUAUGAAACUCUAUUUAAAAUAAGCUUUUAGAUGUUUCUUUUUGUUGGGCCAGUCUAGCCUAUUAUGGGGCGCCAAUUCCAACAUCUCUCUCGCACGUGAUAGGUGACACUAUAAACAAAGUAACGAGAGUAAUAAGGCUUGAAGCCUUAAAUACAAUAUCAUAUAGGCAAAUGCAACAUGUGACCUAUGAACAAGUUGGAGCUAAAAUAUCAAGAAAUAUUAAUUGUAAACAAAUGCAAAAGAUUAGAAAUUUUGUUCUUUAUGUAUCCUAGAUUUUAUUUUUACUACUUCAAUCUAAGCAUAUUUUAUCCUUUAGUAAAAUAUAUGCUUGACUCAAUAAGCUCUAUAUAUCCACAAUUGUAACUAUCUCUAUAUGGAUUACAACUGGGCAACUGGUGAAUAAACUAGUCAGAUGCAAGAAAAAAAAUCUUUUGAUUCUACUCAUAUUUUGAAAAUUCUAGACCAAUUGGUUUCUUAGACAUUUUUCACAAGCAGCAUAACAUCAAAGCCAUAAAUAACAUUCUAAAGUGGCAAACAUUAAUCUUUUACCCCAAAAUAUAGUUGACGUUGACUAAGGAUACCAACCAAGGUUCAUUUUUAUCUUGAAGGAACUUACAUAAUGAGGAAGUAAGGAUUCAUUAAGUUUUUUCUUCACUCAUUUUCCCUAUUGACCAUAAUAAGCGCGCACGAUAUGAAUCACAGUUAUAAUGAAUUCUAUUCUAAUAAACAGCAUAUGUCUAAUUAUUCACUGUACAUAUCGUUGUUCAGUCAGCACUAAAAGUGCCUGGCUUGAAUUUUAAUAAGCUUGCCUUCAUAAGGUGUUAAACUCAUAUCUAGUUUAAAUUAAGUUUCCAUGACAAUGGAGUGUAUUGUAGUUGGUCUAAUAACUUACUUAAUGUGACCUCAUCUUGACCUAGUUGAGGCGACACAUUAUUCAGAAUUACAAAACUCCAAGACAAUAUACCACAUAUCUAAUUGUUUUGUAAUUCUAUAUGUCUCAUCCCAGCUUGCUACUAUAGCAACUGAGGCGACCUCUCGUGUAAGAUAGCUGGUCUUAACCUGACGACAUAUCUUUUUACAACCUUAUAUAUGUGGUUAUGCUAGCUACACAUUUUAAGUAUUAAUUGGGUACUUCAUUGUUAACAAUUUGGUGUUAUAAGAAUAUCUAGCAAUGACAUUCUUAAUCUAUAACAAUAAGCCUGCAAAUCUGAAAUGCAAGUUAUGCAACGCAAGAGGGGGGUGAAUUGGGAUUUUAAAACUUAUGCUAAACAAUUCGCACAACAAUUUAAUCUAUUGCCUUAAUCAAAUCAAAAACAAUAAAUUCAAUAAAGUACAAUAAUAAAAGAGUAAGGGAAGAGAGAGCAAACACAACAAUUUUUACGUGGUUCGGCAAUCCCCGCCUACGUCCACGCCUCCAAGCCAACCAAGCUUGAAGAUUUCACUAUCCAAGCCUCCCAAGGCUUCAAGUUCUUUACAACUGACUUCUAAAGUGUUAAUAAACCUUUACAACCAAGAGAUUAUCUUCCAAUCUCUUCACUCAAGUGUUUCUCACACUUAAACACUCACAAAUUUGAUGAUGAAAUAAAGAUUACAACAAUGAACUCUCUUUUAGAGUAAAUGUACAAAUGAUAGCAUAAUAAAGAGUUAAUUUAUGAUGAUUUUCGAAUUUGGAAGCUCAAAAUAUGUUGUUUGCCCUUUUUUAUGCUUACAAGAGUCUCAAAAUUGAAGUUGGAGUUGAGUUUUUAUAGUUAAAGCCCGAAAACUAGCCGUUAUGGGCAAAUUUCAGCAAGCAAGCAACUAGCCGCUUAAUUUAUCUGGCUCGCCGCUUCCGAGCAGUAAAGUUACCAUUAAAUUUCAAUUUUACUACAGUAACAUUGUUCAUGAAAUUAUAUUUGUGCCCAAAAAUUUUUGUAAUUAUACUAUGGCCCAACACGUCAUAAAACUUUACUAACAUGUCCAACUUUAGAAUUUCUACAUAAUACUUGCUAUUCUCAAAAUUUUUUGAAAUUAUGAUAUGGUUCAAUACAUGAUAAUAUUUUUUAAAAUAUUCCUAUUCAAAAUUUAACAUAAUACUUAUAAAUUUCAAAGUUUUCAAAAAAUUUUCAAUUUAGUCCAAAAUUUGAAAGUGCGAAGUUUUCCUCAGGCGGCUAGCCGCUAGCCCUCAGGCGGUUAGCCGCUAACUCUCUGUCCACUUAUGAUAUUUACACUCAGGCCCUUAAACUUUUAUAAAUUAUAAUAUAGCUAAAAAGUUUCAAAUAUUUGCAAAUAAGUCCAACUCCGGAAUUCAAAAUAAUACUUAUUAAAAUCAAAGAUUGCAAAACUUUUUUAUUUACUCCACAUCUUGAAAAAUAACUAACUUCAUAAGAUACUUAGCUUAUACUUGUAAAACUUUUUAUAUGUGAAAAAAUAAUGAUUUAUUAAACAAAAUCUUGAGCUUCUCAAAUACUAAACCAUUCAUAUACUAAAUUAUACUAGCUUUACAAGAAUUGUUGCAAUAAUGAGUCUGUUGAGCUCUAAACUUUAUUCGUGAUCGCGCCGUUGUCCGUUGAGUGUCUUGAGCUUGAUUUCACGUGAUUCACUUCAUCGUAAAUAUUAUCCUUCAAGAACUAGUGAAAAUGUGAAAUAUAAUAUUUUUCAAAUUACUUAAGACACAUGUUUGUUAUUAUCAAAAUUACAAUACGUAUAGCCCUUUAGGCUAACAAAAUCUACAAUAGGUCAAGCUUAUACCACUAAACAUCUCUACUCACCUCUUUGUACUGAUCUAUACCAUAUUGUGUAUUAUAAAAUUGCAAUAUUUUAUUUAUCAAUAUGGUACAUAAAUGUCCUCUAUAUGUAAAACCUUUUUGUUUGGUUUAUCAUUUUCAAUCAUUAGUCUUUAAUUACUUAUGACAAUCUCAAGAUAUUAUAAAGAUUACUUAACAAAAUAUGCGUAUAGAAAUAUCCUCGUUAUGGACAAAGCUAUGCAUGUUUAUUAUCUGAAUAUCGUAUGUAAUAGCACUAAUGUUUUGCUAAGAUAUGUGCAUUUUUCUAGAGGUCAAUUUUCACUCAUCUAGAUUGCCAUACUUGUUGGUAUUCAAGUGCAAAUUUUCCCAUUGGUACAAAGUGUAGUUCACAGUGCCAUAAAAGUAUGCUAAAUACCUAUUUGAGAAACUCAAUGCUUUAUUCAGGAUUCGAUUAGUAUUUCUUACCCAUCUCAUAGCAUAUAUCAAGUGUUGUACAUCUCAGUGUACCUGAGACCAUUAUUGGCAUUGAAAUAAAGAACACUAGCCAUUUUAUUUUUUUGUAGAGGACUCUUCAAGGCCAUACAUUUUUCAUAUCUACAGGAGUAUCCAUUUAGCUUUCAAUUUGUCAUUUUGAAUCUUUUAAGAAUGUUUCUAAUCUAAAUAUAACUCUUAUGAUAGUGUUAAAAAUUUCUUAAAGGAUUCUAUUUAGAUUUAAAUUCCUAAAAUAUAAGCAGCUUUGCCCAUAUUUCAUUGGAUAAUCAAUACCAAUGGUUUUGACAAGAUCCUUUUUUUUAAAAAAAAUUCUAGUCAUCUAAAAAUAUCAUCUACAUGUAUAAAUGCAUUGGCUAUCUUAAAUCAUCCAAUAUUUGUAAUUAAAUAAGGCUUGAUGAAAAUUAAGAUUCCAUUAUUAAGAGAAUGUUGUAGAUAAUAUAGAUAUAUAGACUUUUUAGAGCAAGCCGACUAUGCACUUAAGGUCUUUAGCAAAAGCCUUCUAAGCAUGCAAUCUACGCACUCAAAAUCUUUAAUAAAAUUCUUUUGAGCAAGUAAACUAUGAGCUUAAAAGUUUUGGCAACAUUAUUUAGAGCGUGCAACUAUGCGCUUAAAAGCUUUAGCAACGACACCUAGUAUUUGUUCCAUAUAUAUAUAUAUAUAUAUAUAUAUAUAUUUCUUCCUCUGAUUUUUUACUGAGAUGCAUUUAUUACAUCUAUUGAUAUGAUGAUGAAUGCAUGUGCAAGUUGACCAGAAAUAAUUGCCUUAGAGAAACCUCUAAGCCAAACGUUUUUUCUAAUUUAAACUCCUUAGAUAUAACUUUUAACAGUCCAUAUUGUACUUAUGCCUAUCGCUUUACACAUGCACAACCUUAUUAUUUGCAAUGGUUUAUUUAGCAAUUGACCAACUGUGACUCGGACAUAAUUGUUAUUUAAUGACUUUAUCUAUUAAUCAUUGCUUUUAUCUAUAGUUCCUUAGAAUUUAGAGUGACAACUCUAUACAAAUAAUCCUAGCUUAUGACCAUAGUAUGAAAUAAUUGUUAAGAAAUUCCUUUCAAUCUCUAAAAGACAAUAUAGGAUUCAUUUUCAAUUAUUCCAUUGAAUUGAGUUAUCUGGUAGAGCUAUCUCAUUAGGCGUUUGUUCAUACUUGAAUCAAGAUUUCUUAGUAAAUCUAACCUAUACUCAAUUCUUAACUCAAAAGUGAUAUCAUAAAAAUGAUAAUCCAAAUCAUGAUUUAGGAUAUAUAUUUAUCAACUUCUAUGACGCUUAGGAAUUCAAAAUUUUCAAGUUUGUGGUUUCUUAUCUAGCCACUAUCUUAGCCAUUCAUUUAACAUUAAACACAUGUUUUAUUUGCUUAUUUGAAUUUUGAAGUAAGGUUAGAUACUUUACCUAUAGCUGGAGUACUUAAGUGACUCAUUAUAUGAGAAAUUAUUUAAGUAUUUAAGGUGCAAUUAAAUAGAGUAUCUCCAAAUAACAUAUUGGAAAAACUUAUGUGCUACUAUUACUUUAUCAAUUGUCUUAAUGCCUUAUCCCUUAAUUUCCACUACUCCAAGUAGUGCGUUACUAUAAGAAUCAUCAAUUAUCUAUCUAUAUCUUUCUUAUAUAUAGUGCUGAUACAACUUUUCCCGAGAUUAAUGACAAGUUAGCACUUGAAACAGAGGAAGAAGCCCAGCUGGUCGAGGAGCCCAUAAAAGGUCCAGCUCGUAUGCGCAGGGCACCAACAUACCUCAAGGAUUACAUUACCUAAGGAAUAUUCGAGAAGGAACAAAAAGAGUGAGAAAGAUGGCAGCUGUGAUUUUGGUUAUUUUGUUGUGACUGUUUUUUUUGCCAAUCAUUACAUAGUUGGUUAGUUACGCGUGUAUUGUUGAGGGCUAAAAGAUAUAUGUAGAGAGAAACACGUCAUAAAAGGGAAUGAAAUGGAAAAUAUUCUUCUUCUCUCUCUGUCUCUCCUGUUAUCUCUGUUUCUCAUCUAAUUUCAAUUCUUUUUUGCUUCUUUUUGCUGGAGUCAGCACUUACUCGAAAAGUGUAAAUCUACGAUAUAAGCUCUGAGUUGCAGAGUUGUACAAUUGGUACUUUCAUUGACUUCUUCUUCUUAAAAAAAAAUCCACCAUGACUGAGAAAACAAAGACGAUUGAUUCUGAGGUUCUUUCCGCUAUUAAGGAGCUUCUUGAGAAGCAAACGCUCUCUGUUCAUCAGACCUUACAACAAUACAUGUCCACUGUAGAUUCCCGUUUUGAGGAAUUCCAAGCUCAAAUCCGUGGUUUUGUUGGCGUUUUGAGUGGCCCUUUACGAUCAUCAGAGCCGAUGUCAGCGUUUACAGAGGGUUCUGCUGGGGGCACAAACUUUUCAGCGCUUUUACGUUCCAUGAAAAUGGACAUCCCCAAGUUUGACGACUCGGAUUCGACCGGGUGGGAUUUUCGCAUCAACGAGUUUUUUUACCUCCAUGGGACCCCAGAUAAUUUGCGUUUUGCAUUGUAUCGUUUCACAUGGAAGGGAGAGCCGUUGCUUGGUAUCAAUGGAUGAAAGCUAACAAUCUAUUAACCACUUGGUGAAGUUUUUUUGUCAGUCUUAAGAGUCGCUUUGGAGCUUCCAUGUAUGAAGACCAUCAAGGGAAUCUUUCAAAGUUAACGCAGACCUCCACAGCUGCUGACUUUCAGUCUGCUUUUGAAGACCUAAUGAACAAAGUUACUGGUAUAUCUGAGCCUUUGUUAAUUAGUUUCUUUAUCACGGGUUUAAAACCCGAUAUCCGUCGUGAGUUGUUGUUUACUCGACCGACUUCUCUGAUGAAAGCCUUUGCUCUUGCUAGAGCUUAUGAGGCUAGAUCUGAUGAAGUUAAAACAACCAGUCGUUCUUGGUCAAAAUGGCCUCCUACUACACCUCUAGCUCCACAAAAUUUCCCCCCUGUUUUACCAAAUACUUCCACUUUAAAAAUACCAAUACUCUGGCUGCCCUUGUUAUUACUACACCAAAACCACCAUCUCAACCUCCAUUAUUACCAACCCCAAAUUUACCAAUCCGUCGCCUUACUCCAGCUGAGUUACGGGAUAAAAGAGAAAAAUGGUUAUGUUAUAAUUGUGAUAAAAAAUAUAGUGCAAACCAUCGUUGCCGCAACAAAUUCUUGUUGUUGAUGGGUACUGAUGAUGAGGAGUGUGACCCGGGGGAGGAUAUGAAUGUCAUUGAGCAAACUGAGGAAGUGGUUACCGCAGACAUUUCAAUCUUGAAUGCCUUGGCUAGACAGUCCAAUCCGCGGUUUCUGUGUGUCUUGGGUGAAAUUAACGGACAUCAAUUCCAUGUUCUUAUAGACAGCGGCAGUACUCACAAUUUCAUCAAACCGCAGCUAGCUGAACGGGUUGGACUUUCGAUUCAAUCCACCUCAACUUUUCGAGUUUAUAUCGGCAACGAGGAUUUUCUGGUUUGUCGAUUUCACUGCCCGGAUGUGCCAAUUGUUAUUCAAGGCCAUGAGUUUCGCUUGGAUUUCUUUGUUUUACCAAUUGAGGGACCGGAGGUAGUUUUGGGCAUCCAGUGGCUUCAACGCCUUGGGCGUGUCUCCACAGAUUAUUCAGAGAUGACUAUGGAAUUUUUUUGGGAGGGUAAGCAAGUCCUUUUACGAGGUGAUCCUAUUCAACUCCCUAAUUUGAUCUCUUUUAAUCAAUUUCAAGCAUUGUUACACAGCGAAGAAGUUGACACUUUAUUCGAGCUACAUUCCCUCUCCAGUAACACAUCCGAAUCCCAUAUUCCUAACUCCACAUCCUCAACUUUUGAAAUCGACUUACCCACUUCCUUGUCAAAAUCUAUUUAUCUUCUCCUCCAUAAAUAUAAGGCAGUCUUUGCUCCGCCAACUGGCCUCCCUCCCCAGAGAAAUAUAGACCACAAAAUUCACCUCACUCCUAAUUGCAAACCCGUCAAUGUCAGGCCAUACCGUUAUCCUCAGUUUCAAAAAAAUGAGAUGGAGAAAUUAGUUCAUGAAAUGCUUGAGCAGGGAAUUAUUAAACCAAGUCAUAGCCUUUUCUCCUCACCAGUGUUGUUAGUAAGGAAGAAAGACGGUACAUAUCGCUUCUAUGUUGACUACCGUGCUUUGAAUGCGGUAACAGUGAAGGACAAAUUCCCAAUCCCUACCAUCGAUGAAUUAUUUGAUGAACUUGGUGGCGCAAGGGUAUUUAGCAAACUGGAUUUGAGAGCAGGAUAUCAUCAGAUCAGAGUCCAUAAACGUGACACUUACAAGACAGUGUUUCGCACGCACGAAGGGCACUACAAAUUUCUUGUCAUGCCAUUUGGAUUGACCAACGAGCCGUCCACCUUCCAAGCGACAAUGAACCAAUUAUUUACUUCUUUUUUUAGCAAAUUUGUUAUAGUCUUUUUUGAUGAUAUUUUGGUAUAUAGUUCUUCUUUGGCUGAUCAUGUGUGUCACUUGGAGCAGGUUUUAUUGCGUUUACAAUCACAUCGAUUUUCUGCCAAACUCUCUAAAUGUUUAUUUUGUCAAGAGACCAUUACUUACUUGGGACAUAUAGUCUCUGCUCAUGGUGUUCAAGCCGAUCUUCAAAAGAUUACCGCCAUGGUGGAUUGGCCCUUGCCCAAAAUAGUGAAGCAACUGAGGGGAUUUUUGGGGCUCACUGGGUAUUAUCAGCGAUUUAUACAGGGUUAUGCAACUAUUGCAGCUCCACUUAUAGAAUUAUUAUGCAAGGAUGUCUUCCGUUGGAAUGCGGCAGCCACUAAAGCCUUUAAUAAAUUGAAAGAUGCCAUGGUAAAAGCUCUUGUAUUGCUCCUACCUAACUUUGAAUUAGAAUUUGUCAUUGAAACUGAUGCAUCAAAUGUGGGAAUUGGGGCGGUAUUAAUGCAAGUGGGUCACCCCAUAGCUUAUUUCAGUAAAAUAUUGGGACCUUGGUUGCGGGCAUCGUCGACAUACAUCAAAGGACUACAUGUCAUUGUGUGUGCCGUGCUAAAAUGACGACAAAAUCUCCUCGGCAUAUUGUUCAUCGUCCAUACAGAUCACAAAAGCAUUAAAGAAUUAUUUCAACAAGUAAUCCAAACUCCUGAUUAGCAAGCUUACGUCCAAAAGUUAUUAGGAUUCCAUUUCAGAAUUGACUAUAAGGCUGGAAGCUCGAAUCAAGCUGCGGAUGCACUGUCACGUAUACAUAAAGAUACACCUCCUGAAUCACAAAUGGUUCCAGCACUCUGUUUAGCAAUGGUUAGUCAACCCUCUAUUGAUUUAUUACAAGCCUUGCUAAAGGAAAAUCCAACCUUAGAUGACAUGUUACUCUCCACAAGAAGUUGGCGGCGGGAACCUGUUGUGCAAAUUUUAAUGUACUCGCAAGCGCACGAAUCUAUUGUAGUAUAGAUCAAUGGUGACAAGUGUCGAUCCCACGAGGAGGUGGAUUUUAAUUAUGUGUAGAAUUAAUUUUGUAAAUGGGUGGUUGGAUUUAUGGUGGAAGUUAUUUGAAUUAUCCUAAAAUUGGAAUUGAAAUGGCGAGAAUAAAUUCUAAAAUUAGAAUUGCAAUGGCGAGAAUAAAUUGAAGAGAAAUGUAUUGAAAUGACGUACUUGGGUAUCUGGAUCCGUAUCAACAUGCAUCAUGGGCUAAAUAUUCCUUAUUAAUGCCAAUUAAAUCAUGAAGGGGGAAUCCACACCUCAUGAACCACGCUCUAAUCAAUAUGGUGCUAAGGGCUUAUCGUGCCAAAUAAUAAUAACCUUAUACUAGAGAGCCGGUGUAACCAAGGCGGUAUCUAGACAAGAUUAUUAUUAUUUGUCGACAAGAAGUCAAAACAUCCACAAAAACUAGAGGGGAAGUGAAAAUAAAUUUACCAAAUUAAGCCCAUGACACAUGUUGAGACUUCACCUUCAACCCAAGCUUGAAAGAAAAUUAGCCACUCAUAAUUGAAAUAGGGGCAAAAUGGGAAUUUAUUAAAAUACAUAGAAAAUACAAGAUGGAGAAGGAAUUACAAAAAAUGGAUUCAGAGAUAUCAAAUUAGGGGGAAGGCCCCCUUUUUAUAGAUACAUGGAGUAAAUCAUGGCCAUCGGAUUAAAAACAGUUUGGACGCUCAGGAUUGCGCCACGUCAUCAGUCAACAGUCCACGGUUUGACCACGUGGAUGAACAGUAACACGGUUUGGUUGAAAAUAAUCCUGUGUGAUGCAUGCACCGUACGCGAGAUUUUUCGUCCACUGAUAUGCUACCACGUCACCAUCAACAGUACAUAAGAAUUUUAGUCCAACAGGAUCGUGACACCUCAUCAGUCAAUACCACAUCAUCGGUCAAUGCCACGUCAUCGAUCCGUCUAUGUGAACAGUGCCGUGAACAGUAACCUAUACAGUACCGUAUACGCGAAUAGUACCGUACAUGUGAAUAGUGCCAUUUUUCCUUUUAUGCUCCUCCUAAGGUUUUCGACCGUCCUGAGUUCAAAAGUGAUGUCUGUUUUGCCGUCUGAUCUCUCUUUUAUUGUGAAAUGACUAUAAUGCCCCUAAAAUACAUAAAAUACUUAAUUAAAAUAACACACACGUAAUUACAUCACAAGAAGGUUAAAUAUAUAAAAGUAAGAGUUGUUAGUAAGACUUGAAAUGUAAAAUGAUGGUUUUCUCCUUUAUAAAUAUACAUUUUCUAACACUCAACACACCCCCCAACCAGCUUAUUGCUAGUCCCUAGCAAAUAAAGCGAAAACAAAAUUUAAAUUCAAAAUGAUUUUUUUUUUUUUUUAGAAACACUCGUGUUUAUUCAAUCAGAUUAAUGAUAGCAAUCAAAUAAAAGUAUAAGCAUUAUCUCCAGUCUAAAGCAACAUCACACCCACAUCAACCAUCCACAUGAAUUGGCCCAGUAGACUUUGUUAUAGCUACUUUCAAGAAUGACAUGUCAAACCCCAAAAUCUCACUGGAAGUAGUGACACUCUCACAAAGAAAUUAAACCCAAAAAAUAGUCACUCCAAUGAAUGGUAAUUGAGAGAAAAUAAUGAAGAAGUGAUAUCACAUGCUCUUACCAAGAUGAAAUAAAUAUGUCCUCAGCUUAGAAAUAAUACGAUCUCAAGUCAAAUAAAAAAAUGUUAGUCAACCCAAUUUAUUUAUUUAUUUUUUAUAUGCACCACUACAUCUUUUUAGCCCAUAUAACUAGCUUCUACUUCAAACUAUAGUUCCCUAAAAUCAAGAAGGACUUUUAUUAGGACGUAACGUAGGUUAGGGAUAUGGCUAACAAAGAAAGGAAAUAAGGAAAACAAAGUGUAUGUUUGAGAAAAAUGCAGAGAUUUUUUUUUUUUUUUGAAGUUGCAAGGUGUAUUUCACCUAUUGUUGUUUAUUUUUUAUUCUUUUGAAACAACAACUUUUUUUUUUUUUGUUUUUUGGCUUUUAUUUGGCAUAACUUCACUGAACAACAUAAUUAUUUACAUUUUCUCAAACAUAAAUAGGUGAUGGAACUUAUAAGACAUAAGGUAAUACUCCAAAUCGGAGUGGGUCAAGAUGAUAAGUUGACAAAGAAAAGGUUUUUUUUUUUUUUUUAAAGGCUUAAAAGGGGUAACUAUGGAUAUUUAAUAAAAGGGAUGGCUAGAAAGGCUCAAACAGAUCAAAGAUGGCAUUUCCAUCGUCUUUUAGGGCUCUAAAUAAUUAUCCAUACUACUAGUUAGAUGGGCCUCCCAAUGUAGCAACACACAUUUUUUUCUUUUUUCUUUUUUUUCUUUUUUUUAAUUUACAAUUUUUUUUUUAAGGGUUAACUCAAAAGCAAUUUAGAGAUCGUGUGUAAAAUAAUAAACUGCUAAGCUGUAUAAAGAGUGGGCAAAAGGGUUAUUCUCCAAGAAAAAUAAUAGGCUCAAAAACUCACUUGGUAAUUAUUAUGACAUGUUCAUUCCUUCAAGCAACUCACAUUUGUCUCCGACAUCAACAUGUAGAGCAGCAAACAUAACGUAACAUCACUUAAGACCAAAGAUAAUACAAAUACUAAAAUUUGAAAUUAAUCAUGUCAUCCAAUGUUAAAACAAAUCACACAAUUUUUUUUUUUCAAACGAUAUUCUACCCCCCAACCUAUUCUAAGCAUGAAAGGAAAAUAUGCAUGCAGAAAUGUGAAAAUGAUGUAGAAAAAUUAAUUAGAAAAAGAAUUGUUUUUUUUUAAACUAAGAAGAUGCGUUUCUAGAGGCACUAUACUCCAUAUUCAGCCAUCUUCGACUAAAAAAUUUGAAAAUAUAUAUUUAUAAAGGAGAAAGAGGAAGAAAACGGUUUUUUUUUUUUUUAAAACGAUGAAGAUACGUUUCUAGAGUAACUACACUCCAUAUUCAGCCAUCUUCAACACAAAACGUUAGCAACAGGUAGUUUCUACAACAAAAAAUCAGUAAAAACUUAACCAAGAUUCCACAAUUGUCGACUAUUCCCUCCCCCCAACCAGAACGAAACAUUGUCCUCAAUGUUUUAAAGGAAAGAAGUAGAGUUUAGAAGACAUCACCUAGGUGGUGUAAUGCCCCUAAAAUACAUAAAAUACUUAAUUAAAAUAACACACACGUAAUUACAUCACAAGAAGGUUAAAUACAUAAAAGAGAGAGUUGUUAGUAAGACUUGAAAUGUAAAAUGAUGGUUUUCUCCUUUAUAAAUAUACAUUUUCUAACACUCAACAGAACCCUUUCCCCUGAUUUUUUUGUUCACAAUGGGUUCUUAUUAUUCCGCCACCGCUACUAUAUCAGUCCAUAUUCAUCUUUGAAACCAUUAUUGCUCAAAGAAUUUCAUGACACAGCAAUGGCGGGUCACGCGGGCAUCAAAAGAACUUUGAUUCGACUGUCAUCUAAUUUUUAUUGGCCCAAAAUGCGAGCUAAUGUGGAACAAUAUAUUGUUGCUUGUCUCACCUGUCAACAAAUCAAAUAUUCCACCCAAGCCCCUGCAGGACUACUCCAGCCUUUUCCCAUCCCUUCACUUGUUUUGGAUGAAUUGCCUAUGGAUUUUAUUACGGGGCUACCCAAUUCUAAAGGAUUUGAAGUUAUUUUGGUUGUGGUCGAUCGUUCGACGAAAUCAGCCCAUUUCGGAGCAUUGCCAUCUCAGUUCACUACCCAAAAGACAGCCAUGUUAUUCACUGAAUUAGUAGUGAGAUUACAUGGUUUUCCCAGUUCAAUCAUUUUAGACUGAUAUCUAGUAUUCAUGAGCCAUUUUUGGCAAAAAUUAUUUAAAUUGAGUGGCACCACAUUACGCCACAGCAUCGCUUAUCAUCCACAAACCGACGGCCAAUCCGAGGUGGUAAACCGUGGCCUAUAGCAAUAUCUCCGUGCCUUCACUCAAGACAAACCUCAUUCUUGGUCAACUUUUUUGGGAUGGGCCGAAUUUUGUUACAACACCAGUUAUCAUAGUAGCUUGCGAAUGACACAUUUCCAAGCUCUUUACGGACGCUUACCGCCUACAAUUCCUAGCUAUUCCAAGGGCUCUACUUUAAUCCAAGCAUUAGAAGACCUGUUGUUCGAAAGAGAUGAAUUGUUGCGUUGUCUGAGAGCAAACUUAUGUCAAGCUCAGCACCGAAUGGCACAAAAAGCUAACAAGCAUCGAAGGGAAUUGCAACUGCAGAUGGGUGAAAAAGUACUGGUAUGCUUACAACCUUAUAGGCAAUCAUCUGUUGCCAACCGCACUUCUCACAAGCUGGCAAAGCACUACUGUUGGCCAUUUCGGGUAUUGGAGAGAAUUGGUUCUGUUGCUUAUAAAUUAGAAUUGCCCGCUGGUAGUAAAAUUCACCUUGUUUUCCAUAUAUCCUUACUCAAGCCUUAUGUUGGGGAUUCUCAUGUUAACAUUCAUUCCCUGGAUCCUGCAAGUGUGAACAACAAGACCCUUUCUUCCCCUAUAGCUAUUUGUGCUAAGCGCUCGGUGCUUAAACAAGGGAAGGAGUUUCGUCAAGUUUUUGUACAAUGGUCUGAUUGUGCCCCCAAAAAUUCUACUUGGGAAGAUUAUGAUGAUUUUCGCAAGACAUAUCCCGAGCUUCACCUUGAGGACAAGCUAAACUCUCAAGGGAUGGGGAAUGAUACAACCUUACCCGAGAUUAAUGACAAGUCAGCACUUAAAACAGAGGAAGAAGCCCAGCUGGUCGAGGAACCUAUAAAAGGUCCUGCUCGUAUGCGCAGGGCACCAAUAUACCUCAAGGAUUACAUUACCUAAGGAAUAUUCGAGAAGGAACAAAAAGAGUGAGAAAGAUGGCAGUUGUGAUUUUGGUUAUUUUGUUGUGAUUGUUUUUUUUAUCCAAUCAUUACAUAGUUGGUUAGUUAUGCGUGUAUUGUUAAGGGGUAAAAGAUAUAUGUAGAGAGAAACACGUCAUAAAAGGGAAUGAAAUGGCAAAAAUUCUUCUUCUCUCUCUGUCUCUCCUGUUAUCUCUGUUUCUCAUCUAAUUUCAAUUCUUUUUUGCUUCUUUUUGCUGGAGUCAGCACUUACUCGAAAAGUGUAAAUCUACGAUAUAAGCUCUGAGUUUCAGAGUUGUAUCAAGUGCCCAGAAUUACUUGGAAAGAUAUGCAUAUUUCGGUUCAUCUUUAUUCCUUACAAUAUUCAAGAAAAUCCUAAAGUAACGUAAUAUAACUGAUUUAUAGGAGAUCAUAAAGAUUAGUUCAAACUUGAUAUAUGCAUAAACAUAGUCACUAUAGGCUUCAUUCUUACCCUUUACAUUCUUUUUACUAUAAGUGUCAAAAUGGACAUUUACUAUUUUCCAAGUUAUUCUUCUACAUUAAACAACUAUUCAAUAUAUGCUUUAUCAUUGUAGCGAGUGAGCCCAAUGUUCUCUGUCUAGCGAACUUAGCCAUUUGUCUCAGUCCAAUAUGCAAAUUUUAACAUGUACAUUAUCACCACAAAAUGAUGCAUAAUGAUCAACUUUUCAUAAAACCUCUUUUCAAAAGUGGUUAGAAAACACUCAAAUGUAAAAAUCUUAGAUGGUUAAUGAUAAAGACUAAGUUUUUAUUGUAUAUUUGUCAUUGGAAAAAUAAGGACCACGCAAUACCAACUUGCAGGUGCUUAUACUUUUAACUUCUACAGCGAGUAUAUUCCCAUAUGUACUUUCUUUUCCUUUGACAAUUAUAAAAGAAAAAAAAUUCAAAAACUUUUUGUUAUCUCUAGUCCCAAGGCAUGGCUACCUAGUCUAUUUAUGUUCGAUGCAAUCACGAGUGAAUAACUGAAAUACAUGGUGAGUAAGCAUCUUUGUAUUGUCCUUCUAUUUUCUAUUUUCUAAGCAUGCUUGCCUCAUUUGGCAAUUUCUAGCAUUUGAUUGCUGAGAUUAGGAUUAAGUCCUAAACUCCCACUAGAAAAGAUUACCCUUUCUCUUAUGCUCAAAGCUUGAAGCUUUCCACAAGCUAAACUCUUUCUUGUUAAGUUGAUUUAGAAAGCAUUACUGGUUCUAUGCACUUAUUUUCUCAAACUAGUAUCAAUCACAUGAUGUUUGCUAAAAGUAUUAGCUGUCUCUAGGUGCCUAUUUUCUAUAUAUAUUUGAUUAGAAGUUCUAGUAGUCUAUUGGCACCAUUCUUCAAAUCCUUAAGGUUAUGCAUUAUAUAAACUCUCAUAUUGUCACAACUAUUAGGGUUGGACAUUUUAUUGCCUGGACCUAACAUUGACAUUUACAAUGUGUCUAGCAUAUUUGAACUCUAUUAUAUGAGCAACCUAAUACAUCUUAUUAAUAAGCUCAUAAAAUAUGUUACUCGGCAACGAGAUGCGAGAAUGCUCUUAUCUUCUAAAGAGAAGAUUUAAAGUCUCAUGAUUUAAUUCCAAAUCAUAAAAUAAAUUCAAUCAAUGUUAUAUAGUAUUCAUUUGAUACACAUUUAAUAUAUUUUGCCACAACCAUAUACCAAAUUAAUGAAAAUUUCAUAUAAGGAUUGGAAUCAAAAAGUCAUUGAGGCUUUCAAUCAUCAUCUUUUCCAAACAUUAAAUCAAUUUAAUUAUAUUUUAUUGCUCAAAACAUUUAGUUCAAUUAUUAUUUUUUCCUAGAAUCUUAAUAUUAGAACUCUCACUAUGAAUUUAUAAAUAUAAUGGGAAUAAAGUAGCCUUCAUACAUUUGUUCAUGUGAAUAAUACACCAGAAAUUUUCCUAGGAAAUCGAUGGGGUCUAAUAGUCCCACUUAAAUACCCAAUUUUCUUAGAUUAUUAUCGUCUUUUUGACAAAAUUUUUCUAGAUAUAUCAUACAUUCACAAUACUACCCUAUGCUGUAGAUUUAUUAAUCCCAAUACAUUUUAAUCUUCUUGUGUUCUCAUUAAAAUGAUUACAUUUGACAAGAAAAUAUAAUUCAUAAAUCAGCUCAUCAUGAUCAUCAUAUGGAUUAAUAAAAACAUUCAUGCUUGUCUUAAAACAAACAGUAUAAAUUAUCUCUACAAGUAUUAGAUAAUUUACCAAUAUGCAUUAUUAGGAGAGCACAUAUAUUAACGUGUUGAAACAGCUCUCAUAGAAGCAUAAUACUGUCAAUCGCAUCUCAAAAUAUUUAAAAAAUUAUUUUUCUCAAAUUUUAUCUCACUUUUAAAUUAUUAUUUUAUUUAAACAUCUUCAAAAGAAUUUAAUUCAAAAAAAUUUAAUAUAAGCAGUAAAUUAUUUUUAGAUCACAAAAUAAAAGAGGAUAAAAUUACAAGUCAGUUACCGUAAAUAGCGCCAAAAUAGAAGUUAAGAUAAUCUCUUGUUGUAAAGGUCCACUUUUAAAACUUUGGGAGGCUUGGAUAAUGAAAAACUCAAGCUUGGUUUGCUUGGAGGCGUGGACGUAAGUGGGGAUUGCCGAACCACGUAAAAAUCUUUGUGUUUACUCUCUCUUCCUUUACUCUUUUAUUUUCAAAUUUUGUUAAAUUUAUUGUUUUGGAUUUAUUAAGGCAUUAGAUUAAAUGGUUGUGUAGUUUCAUAGCUUAAAUUUUAGAAACCCAAUUCACCCUCUCUUGGGUUGCAUAACUAGUAUUUCAUUUGGUAUCAGAGCUUGGUUCUCUUAUUAGGACUUAACCGUCUAGAGUAAAAGAUCCAUGGCAACGCAAAAUGACUCAAUCUUUAGGGAAGGACAAUCCAUAACUAGACCACAUUUCUUUGAAGGUAAUGACUACCCAUAUUGAAAAACUAGGAUGAGAAUUUAUUUGAAAGCUUUAGGUUAUGAAAUUUGGCAAGUUGUUUGUGAUGGUUCAUCCAUGCCUAUGACUAAAAAUGAAGUACAAGAUGAUAUUCCAAAACCUUCAAGUCAAUAAAUUGAGUUAGAAAAGAAAAAGAUAUUUUUGAACUCUAAGGUAAUAAAUGCUUUGUUUUAUGCUCUUGAUAAGAAAGAUUUUCGUAGAGUGUCUAGUUGUAAGAGUGCUCAAGAAAUAUGAAACAAACUUGAAGUUGUCUAUGAAGGGAAAAAUCAAGUUAAAGAGUCUAAGAUUAGUAAAUAUACUCGACAAAAUGAAUUGCUCCAAAUGGAACAAAAUGAGAGCAUGUAUUGUAUGUAUACUAGGUUUACGGAUAUUGUGAACACAUUAGGAGCCCUAGGAAAAAUGUUUUCGAAUAGCAAAAAAGUUAAGAAAAUUAUUAGGUCUUUACCAAUGGAAUAGAGACCUAAAAGAACUGUCAUAGAGGAAGCUAAAUAUUUAAACGCUUUGCCUAUUGAUGAUUUAAUUGGUUCUCUAAUUUCAUAUGAGAAAGAUUUGACAGCAGAAAAUGGCAAUGAGGAAAAAAAGAAGAAAAACAUUGCACUUAAAGCAUCAAAACGUGAGAGUGAUGAGGAAAGCGAGCUUGAUGAUGAAGGCAUGGCUAUGAUGUCCAAGAGGUUAAAAAAAUUCUUCAAGAAAGCCAGUGCGCGGAAAAGAUUCAGAAACUACAAGAACUAAAAGGAGAAGAAGGAGCCAAUUACUUGUUAUGAGUACAAGAAUCUUAGAAACAUGCGAUCAAAAUGUCCUCUUCUCAACAAACUUAAGAAGAAGGCAAUAGUAGCCAUAUAAGAUGACAGGGAUAAGAAAACAAGUGAUGAUAAAGAGCAACAAGAGAUGUAAAAUCUAGCUCUCAUGGAAAUUGGGGAUGAAUUGUUUGACGAACUUGAUGAAGUAAGCGAUCUUACCUAUGAUUAAUUAUAUGAUGCUUUUAAGGAAUUGCAUGAUGAUUGGAUAAAAAUUAGCAAAAAAAUACAUGCCGUAAAAAGAAAAUGCUAGAACUUUCAAAUGAAAACGAUGCCUUGCAAAAUACAAUGAUUCAUUGAAUGAAAAGAUCAAGGGAUUAGAAUUAGAUAAUGAAAUGUUGUAUGGUAGGAUUACAACAUUUAAAUGUAAACAAAGUACUUCAUAUGAGUAUGAAAAAUCACAUGUUGAUGAAUUGAUAAAAGAAAAUGAAGUGCUUAAGAAAAAGAGUAAUGGACUCAAUGAAAUUAUGUUAAAAUUCACAAGUGGUCAAAAGAAUUUAGAAAAAUUGCUGAACUCUAAAAAAUGUAUAUUUUAUAAAGGAGGACUUAGGUAUAAGCCUAACUUGAAGCAAAAGUAUUAUAGGAAUUACUUUGUUAAAGUUACCUCCACUAGUGAUCAUAAAAUUAUUUGUCAUUAUUGCAAUCAAAAUGGUCAUAUAAAAUACAGAUGUCCAAUGAAAAGAAAUGCAUACAAUGGAGUCAAAUGUGUUUGGGCUCCAAAAGGAACCAUUGCUAACACUCAAAGACCCAAAAAGAUUUGGGUACCUCAGACUUGAAAUUUCCUCUGCAUGGUUUUAAGAAAAAGAAGAAUAAAUGACACUUGGACAGUGGUUGCUCAAGGCAUAUGACUGAAAAUUAUUCAUGGUUUUCAAGUUUUACCAAGACUUGAAAUUUCCUCUGCAUGGUUUUAAGAAAAAGAAGAAUAAAUGACACUUGGACAGUGGUUGCUCAAGGCAUAUGACUAAAAAUUAUUCAUGGUUUUCAAGUUUUACCAAGAUUGAAAAUGGUGGAGAUGUGUCAUUUGGAGAUAAUUCAAAAGGAAAGAUUAUCGGUAUCAGUAAUGUUAGUAAAGAAUCCUCUACUCUUAUUGAAAAUGUGUGUUUGGUUGAAAACUUGAAACACAACUUACUUAGCAUUAGUCAAUUGUGUGAUAAAGGCUAUAGAGUUAUCUUUGAUAAAUCGAAAUGUGUUAUUGAGAAUGCAUAUGAUGGCAAGAUUUUGUUUGUAGGAAAUAGAUGUGUUAAUGUUUACACCAUUAAUAUAGAUUGUGCAUCUACUAAUGAUAAAUGUUUCUCUGCAUUGCAUGAUGAUGGCUGGUUAUGGCAUAGAAGACUAGGUCAUGCAAGUAUGAAUUUAAUUUCAAAGAUUUCAAAAAAUGAUUUGGUUAAUGGUCUUCCAAAAAUUAGUUUUCAAAAAGAUAGAAUUUGUGAAGCUUGCUAAUUUGAAAAAUAAAUCAAAACUUCUUUAAAAAAAAGAACCAUGUCUUAACUUCAAAAUCACUUCAACUACUUCACAUGGAUUUGUUUGGACCUUCUAGAUAUGCUAGUUUAAGUGGCAAAUAUUAUGCAUUUUUUAUUGUGGAUGAUUAUUCUAGAUACACAUGGAUAUUGUUCUUUGCUAAUAAGGAUGAUGUUUUUAAUGCAUUUAGAAUUUUCUAUAAAAAGGUUUAAAAUAAAAAGGGAUAUGUAAUUUCUUGUAUUAGAAGUGAUCAUGGUAGAGAAUUUGAAAAUCAUGCAUUUGAGAAUUUUUGUAAUGAUUUUAGCAUUGAGCAUCAAUUUUCAUCACCUAGGACUCCACAACAAAAUAGAGUUAUUGAGAGAAAGAAUAGGUCUAUCCAAGAAAUAGUUAGGACUAUGUUGAAUGAAAAUAUUUUAUCUAAGUAUCUAUGGGCCGAAACCGUCAACACCGUUUGUUAUGGCUUAAAUCGUGUGUUAAUUAGACCUUAUCUCAAUAAGACUCCCUAUGAGCUUUGGAAAGAUAAAAAACACAACAUUGGUUAUUUCAAAAUUUUUGGAUGCAAAUGUUUUAUCUUGAAUGCAAAAGAUAAUCUUUGCAAAUUUGAUCCAAAAUAUGAUAUUGGUAUUUUUCUUGGUUAUUCAAACACAAGCAAAGCUUAUAGAGUGUAUAAUAAAAGAACUUUGGUUUUGAAAGAAUCUAUGCAUCCGAUAUUUGAUGAGUCUAAUCCUUCCUCUACAGAGAAAGUUGUUGUCGAUAAUGAUGUAGAUGAAGAGUCAUAACAAGGAUUAUCAAAAGAUAAAAAAGAUGAUGCAUCACAUGAAAAUCAAGAGGAUAGACAAUGAGAACAAAUAAAUAUGGAGCAAUAAGAAGGUAUGUCUCAAACACUCCCCAAGGAGUGGAGGUAUGUUUCCCCUCAUCCUAAGGAUUUAAUUUUAGGUGAUCCUUCAAGAGAUGUUACCACUAAAUUAUUAUUUAGAAAUACUUGUGAGCAUGCUGCAUUUAUAUCUAAAAUUGAACCAAACUUCUUUGCGGAUGCGGAAAAUGAUGAAUCUUGGAUCAUGGCAAUGUAAGAGGAGUUGAAUCAAUUUGAGAGAAAAAAUGUGUGGAAAUUAGUUUCUAAACCGGAAUAUCAAUCUAUUAUAGGCACUAAAUGGGUAUUUAGAAAUAAAAUGGAUGAAUCCGGUGUGGUUGUAAGGAAUAAAGCUAGAUUAGUGGCUCAAGGAUACAACCAAGAAGAAUGAAUCGAUUUUGAUGAAACAUUUGCACCUGUAGCUAAAUUAGAAUCCAUUAGGAUAUUGUUAGCAUUUUCAUGUCAUAAAGAUUUCAUUUUAUAUCAAAUGGAUGUCAAAAGUACUUUCUUAAAUUGUUAUAUUAUGGAGGAAGUUUAUAAGUUGUCUAAAGCAUUGAAUGGAUUUAAAACAUGUACCUAGAGCAUGGUAUGACAAGCUUAAAAAUUUCUUGGUGGAUAACAAGUUUUCAAUGGGAAAAGUAGAUGCUACUCUCUUUGUUAAGUAUAAGAACCAAGAUAUACUUGUUGUUCAAAUUUAUGUUGAUGAUAUUAUCUUUGGUUCUACUAAUGAGUCUUUAUGCAAGGAGUUUUCAUCUUGUAUGAAUAAGGAAUUUGAAAUGAGCAUGAUGAGAUAAUUGAAGUAUUUCCUUGGACUUCAAAUCAAACAAAACAAUAAGGGAAUAUUCAUCAACCAAGCUAAAUAUGUCAAAGAUCUACUCAGGAGAUUUGACAUUGAUGACUCAAAGUCUAAGAGACCUCCAAUGAGCACAACAAUCAAACUUAACAAAGAUUAAAAAGGUAAUAAGAUUGAUAUCAAAAUGUAUCCAGGUAUGAUCGGCUCUUUACUUUACUUAGCUGCAAGUAGACCCGAUAUCAUGUUUAGUUGUAUGUUUGUGUGCAAGAUUUCAAUCAUGUCCCAAGGAAUCUCAUUUGCUCGCUGUGAAAAGAAUUUUUCGUUAUUUGAAUAGAUCUAUAGAUCUUGGUGUUUGGUAUCCUAGAGGAAUCCAUAUAGAUUUAACUUGUUAUUCGGAUGCCGAUUUUGCCGAUUAUAAAAUCGAUAGGAUAAGCACUAGUGAAAUGUGUCAUUUCUUAGGUCAUUCUCUUGUUUCAUGGUUUAGUAAGAAACAAAAUUUGGUUUCACUCUCAACCACUGAGACAGAAUAUAUUGCCGCAGGUAGUUGUGCACAAACUCUUUGGAUGAAACAAACAUAUAGAGAUUAGACAUCAUUUCUUGAGAGAUUAUGUUCAAAAGGGAGAUAUUGCAUUAGAAUUUAUCUCUACAGAAAAAAAAAUUGCCUAUAUUUUUACAAAACAUCUUUGCGAAAAAUAAUUUUCAAAAAUUCGACAUGAACUUGGGAUAAUGACAUUUUUACAUUAACAUCUCUAAUCAUAUUAUUGAAUCUAUUAAAAUUGAUUGAUUGAUGAUUUUUUUAUGAUAAUGAAGUUUUUAAGCAUGAUAAAUGAGUGAUGUAUUUGAAUCAUUAAUCUAUGAAUGCUUACAUGUCUCAUGAUUGUGUGAUGUAUAAGCAUGAUAAAUGUGUUACAUAUUUAAAUUUAUAAUCUUUGAAUAUUUAUAAUUAUGAUUCAUGCAUUAAAAUGACUUUUGAAAGUGUUCGCGAUCACGAAAUGGUCUUGGAAUAGAUCAAAAUUAGCCGGAAAGCAAACAUUUGUGCAAAAAGGUAGGAAAAAGGCGGCUACCCGCCUGCCCCAAAUGGCUAGCCGCUUGGGCACUGCCCCAAACCCGAGAGCAAGCGGCUAGCCGUUUGCCUCCAAGUGACUAGCUGCUUGGUCACGGUUUUUAUACAUUUCUUCCCCCUUUCUCUUGCUUUCUUCAACCUUUCUCUACUCUCUCUCAUGGUUGUUCAUCUCUUCUCCAUUUCCUCCUAAAUUUUCUUCAUUUCUCACUCAUUUUCAUGCCAAAAUCAAUCUUUCAAACCAUUACCCAUGCAUUUAACCUUCAUUAAACACUUCCCAAUCAUCAUUUCAUCAUUUGUUUCUCCAAAUCUACAAAUUAAAACCUAAGUUUACCUAUUUCUCUUUCUUCUAUUUUAAGCUCUUUUUAGCUCAUUUUUUGUCCAAUUAAUACCAUACAUUGCCUUAAAUCAUCUCUAGGAUCAAUUUUAUUGAUUCAAGCACAUCCAUUUCACUUAAAAUCUUGAAAAUCCGAAUUUGGGUAUUUAAACUUGUUCUUGUUUUCAACAAUGGUUGGUGGUGAAAAAUCCAAGGAAAAACAUGUAGCCAAGAAGCACAAGGAAGAUCAUGGAGACCAUCUGGAGUUCAUAUUAACCCAUUUUCCGCAACCACCUUUUCAGAAACAUUUUCACGACAAAUUUAUGUCGAGGUUAGUGCUUGCCCCCUAUUUUGUCAAUCUUCGUCAUUUGGAGAAUUUAGCAAUUUUUCAUAAAUCUCUUAGUGAUUUUCUUAUUGAUAUGGGCUGGGAAAAUGUUUUAGUUCUUAAGGAACGAUAUUAUGAAAAUUUAGUCAAAGUUUUUUAUUCGAAUAUGGUUAUUUCUUCGCAAACUAUAAAUAAAAUUGUUACAAGUGUUGGGGGAAUACAUAUUGAGUUUGAUGUUGUGGAUUUAAAUCAUAUUCUUAGAACUCAAAUGAAAGGUUGGAACAUUAUACUGCUAGAAGCAAAAUAGAUUAUCCGUGGUAUUCAGUUGAGGAUAUUGUUCGGAAAAUUUGUAGACGUUUCGAUUUGUCUUCUAAGUUUUGUAAAUCUACCUUGAAAUCUCAAGCCUUACCCUUUUAACUUAGGAUCCUUCAUUAUGUUCUUUAACAUGUCAUUAGUCCUAGGUCUAGACAUGGGGAUGAAGUUACCCGAUUAGAUGUGGCCUUAUUGGAUAGCAUUCUAUAGGGUGGGGUGCUAAAUGUCGGUUAUAUUAUUAUUCAUCAUAUGCUUAGCACUCUAUGUAUAGCUAAACAAUCCCUUCCUCAUGGAAGCAUUAUUUCCUACAUUCUCAAACAUUUUCGGGUACCCAUAAUCGAACCAACCUUUUUGAAUCCUAAGGAAUUAAGAGAUGAAGCUAUAGCUAAUUUAGGGUUUAUAUGGGUGGAAGAUAAAUGGUGUAAAGACCAGAGAUGCAAAAACAAGGGUACUGCACUAGCUCCUACAGAUCAUUGUUUCUUUAACGAUGUUCUUCCACCAAACCAACUCCCUUGAUCUCAGAGCUCCACAGCGCUCACAUCCUUCGCCUUCCGAGGGUCCUUCCCAUUCUAUUUCAGCAGACCCUGAGGAUCCAAUGUAGCAGCUAUUGACUGAAGUGCAUUCUCUUUCCGAGCAGCAGAGCCAACUUUAGUCCCAGUUUGAGGCCUUUCAAAUUCAGUCCACUUCGGAGCAACAACGCCUUUUUAAGCAGUAGCAGCGUUUAUUUGAUCAACGGCAUCGACUCUUUGCUCAACAAUAGUAGCUUCUUGAUGGCCAGCAAUGACUUUUCACUGCUCUUAGGUUUCCACCACCAUCCUCCUCAUCACAUCCACCAUCUCCAUAGUGUUCUAUAAUUUUUUAUCUUGAUUUCAGUUCUUCGUUUUAUUUUGCACUACAUUUUCAUAUGCAUUGUUGUUUUACUUAUGGAUUAAAGAUGAUUGUUGUUUGAUAUUUAAAUGUUUUAUAUUUGGAUGAUAUUUUAUGGAUUCUGGGAUAACUCUUUGGUUACUUGCAUGCUUGAUUUUAUAUGUUUCUUGAUUAACUAUUGAGAUGUUAUUUUUGGUCUGAGCAUGGAGUUAUAGUAAUUGUUAUGAUGAAGAGGGAGAAGUCAUGUAUUUUGAUUUUGAAAUAUUGAUGCAUGAUUUUGAAAUAUCUAGGGGGAGCAUACAUUUGUUAAAGAUCAUGUAUUCAGGGAGAGUUCAUAGUUCAUUUAUAUGUUGAAUUAUGUAUAUCAUAUAUUAAGGGGGAGUAUAAAUGUCAAAAUACAUUAAAUGUUUAUCAUCAUAAAAAAGGAAGAGAUUGUUAGCCUAAAGGGCUACACAUAUUUUAAUUUUGAUGAUAAAAAAACAUAUGUCUUAAGUAAUAUGAUAAAUAUUGUAUUUCACAUUUUCACUAGUUCUUGAAGGACAAUAUUUAUGCAAAUGAAUCACGUGAAAUCAGGCUCAAGGCACUCAACAGAUAACGGCUUGAUCAAGAACAAAGUUUAGCUCAUUGGAGUCAUUAUUGUAACAAAUUCUUAUAAAGCCUGUAUGAUUUAAUAUAUGUAUGGUUUAGCAUUUGAGAAGCUCAAGAUUUUAUUUAAUAAAUCAUUACAUCAUUGACAUUAAGUGUGAAAUGAUCAAAAAAAUGUGUAAAUCACACAUAAAACUAGUAAAUUGAUGGAAAAUAGAGUAAAUUAAUGUUGAAGUUGUCAAUUACACGAAGAAAUUGUAAACAAAACAAAAACUUAGAAAAAUGACAUAAAACUUGUAAAUUGACAUUAAGUGUGAAAUGAAACAAAAAAUUUAUAAACCACACAUAAAACUAGUAAAUUGAUGAAAAAAAUGGGUAAAUUAAUGUUGGAGUUGUAAAUUGCAAGAACUAGUAAACAAAACAAAAACUUAGAAAAAUGACAUAGAAAUUGUAAAUUGACAUUAAGUGUGAAAUGAAACAAAAAAAAAGUGUAAAUACACAUAAAACUAGUAAAUUGAUGGAAAGAGAGGUAAAUUAAUGAUAAAGUUGUAAAUUAGAAGAAAAAAGUGUAAACAAAACAAAAACUUAGAAAAAUGACAUAAAACUUGUAAAUUGACAUUAAGUGUGAAAUGAAACAAAAAAAAAGUGUAAAUACACAUAAAACUAGUAAAUUGAUGGAAAGAGAGGUAAAUUAAUGAUAAAGUUGUAAAUUAGAAGAAAAAAGUGUAAACAAAACAAAAACUUAGAAAAAUGACAUAAAACUUGUAAAUUGACAUUAAGUGUGAAAUGAAACAAAAAAGUUGUAAACCACACAUAAAACUAGUAAAUUGAUGGAAAAAUAGAUAAAUUAAUGUUGGAGUUGUAAAUUAUAGGAAGAACUUGUAAACAAAACAAAAACUUAGAAAAAUGACAUAAAACUUCUAAAUUGACAUUAUGUGUGAAAUAAAACAAAAAAUUUGUAAACAACAUAUAAAACUAGUAAAUUGAUGGGAAAAUUGAUAAAUUAAUGUUUGAGUUGUAAAUUGCAAGAACUUGGGAACAAAACAAAAACUUGUAACUAUUGCAUAAAACUUGUAAAUCAACAUUAACUUGUAAAUGUUGUGUAAAACUUGUAAAUCACACAAAAAAUGUAACUUGUAAAUGUUCCAUUUUAAAGUGGGGUCAUUCUAUAAUGCCGUAAUCUGCACUCAUUUAAUUAAAAAAGAAUUCAAAGCAAAACUAAAAGACACAAAUUACAUACAUGUCUAGGAGCCAUAUCAAAGGUGUUAUAUAACUUGUCCAAUUAAUAAAUUCUCUUAGGGGUCAGAACGUGCUCACUCAUUUCCAAAGCUAUUAAUGAUAAGAACUUUCAUCAUUAAUUGAUAUGGCCAGUGUAGAAAAAAAAUGAAAAAUCCCUCCAACAUCAAAGCGCAAGGAUAAGUUUAGAAUUACACUUUUUAAAUUUUGGUUAAUAUAUAAACGUCUAUAUGAAAAUAGAAAAUCGUUUGGGAAUAACUUUUUUUUUCUUUUUUUAAUGAGUGUAGAAAUAAAAUUUUAAAAUCGCCAAACCGAAAAGAAAAACAGGGGAAUGAAAAGAGAGCCCACGUUUCUCCUCUGUUUUGUUUUUAUUGUUAUCAAACAUGGGAAUGAAGAGAUCAGCUCUUGUCGCAAGCGCAAAUUUUUUUAUCUACCUUUUAAAUGCAGUUGAUUGUAAGUAUAUCCUCGAUCCCAAGUACUUAGAAGUAAAUUACGCAGGGGUCGUGGAUUGUGCGCGAAAGUGCUGGAAGCACCCAUUGUUUAUUAGGAAAAGCAGUUGAUUGUAACUAUAUAUAUCUGCGGUCCCAAGUACUUAGAAGUAAAUGCUCUUGGAAUUUCUAUUGCAGUUCAUGAGAUGUUUCCCUUUCAAAUAGCUCGUCUGAUACCAUUAACAUGUUCAUCUUUCUGUAGAUUGAUGUUGACAUAGGUUAUUCUACUGUUGCUAGUGUAGUUUUGGGCCUUGCCGUAAUUGGUGUAAUUACGACAUUGAUAGUUGACAUGGCUUUCCUUGUACAGGUAUGCAUGAUUGUUUUUUUUGCACUUGUAAAUGGACACCACGGAAAAGACAUGAUUUUGAGAUAUUGCAGAAUAAUUUGCAUUUUUGCAUGCUGGAAUGUUCUCAGAAUGGUAUAACGCUUCGCGUCUCUUCUUUAUCUUGCUCUUUUGUAUGCAGGCAAAUACUACAGAUGAAUUACCGGAGCGACUGAUUGGUGUUAUACGUGUUUCUCAUAUAGAACUCAAGUCUGCUAUUGUCCCAAAGUUGGAACCAGAAACAUCAUGACUCUGGCUCCUUUUCACCUCAACUUUUUUUUUUUAAAUUUAAAAAAGCAUUUGUUUUAGGUAUACAUACAUGUAUUUUGAUCCCAUUUUCAUUGUAAUUUCUCAUUUACUUUGAAUGAAAGUCAUUGGUGUUUCCAAAUGGGAAUUUUGCAUUAAAAACAGAAGAAUAGUUAAUAGGAAAUUUUCUGAUUCUUUAGUUACUAUUUUUGGAAUGAGUGUGAUAGCAUUAAAGUUGGUUACUUGGUUUCUUAAUGUUGUACUCGCAAACAAGUAAACUGCUCGAUUCCCAACUGCGACUUAACUGGUUUCUAACUUUUUUGUAUACACUAAUUUUUCUUAUUUAAUAAGUACUACUAUUAAAACUCAACAACUAACAAAGAUACUAAUAAAAAAAAAUGAUUUUCUUGUGAUGUUGUAGAAAUAAUUAUGGGUUUACUUAUUUCCACAAGAUCUGUAACAAAGUCUUGACUUCACGAAAUUCUUUUAAUUUAAAGCGCGCUGGUCUGAGAAGGUCAGUUUGAUGGAUUAAUUCCUUUUAAUACUGGUCGAGAUAAUUUUAGUAUACUCAUAAAAAAUCUUACUCUGAUAAUGCAUGCCACAAAUGUUAUCAACAUUGUCUUGUGCUGUUUCCUUUACCUAAAGAUCCUCUAUUAAAACAGGUUAGAAAUCAAAUGCUUAAAAUACCAAUUGAACAUAAAAUACAGAGGUUUAAACAAAAUCUAAUUGAAUAUUGCAUGAAACAUGAAUCAUCAAUUCAAGUCGUUCCUUAAACGGAGAAUCCAUCAAACAAAUCCAAAGUGUCUUGCAAGUCUGUAGCAUGACAAAAAAAUUGUAAAUAAGUUUAUAACCAAAUUAUUCCGGUACAAGAGAACGAGCAAGAUGAAUCAUGUACAAGAGAUUGGCCUGGUUCGAGAUAGCUUUUUCACUGUACCUAAAGGUUUGGCUCAAUCUCUUCUUUAGAAUUCUGUACAUUUUGUAAUUACUCGUGUAAGCAGGCAUACAUCACCACCAUAACAAUAAUAAAGCAAGAGUAAUGAUACCGCCACAACCUCUUGUGCACAAACAAUAUUGUAUAAAUUAAUGUGACACAAUAUGAUUGCUUAAACAAAAAUAUCACAUGACCGUCAUAAUUUAUUUAUUAGUAUUAUAUAUUUUCAGUAAACCAAUCAUAUUAUGCCACAUUAGUUGCUAUAAAAAUAAUUUGCUAGAUAGCGCCAACACUUAAUUGAUACUCACCAUUUCAUUGAACAAGUUUUUUAUGGUGUCAUUGAGGUUGCCUUCCCAACAUCCUUCAUCAUCAUAAUCUACUUCGUCAUCAUCUUCUUCUUCGGUGAGUUUCACUUUGUUUAGCUUUGGUGUAUCUAUGACUCCUUGAGAGAAAAUCAUCAUCUUUGGGCAUCGCCUCGCAAUUACUUGUUUCAAGGAUGGGAACUUGAGAGUGUAAUUACCCGAACAAAAGCUUGUUAGCCUUGGCAAACAAUCAAGUGUCAAGCACUUCAAUUUCUUGAAAACAAUGCAAUCUUUCGUUUCUUCUCCAACCUGCGAUUGUAUGAUUUCUUCUAUCAUUUUGCAAUCUAGCAUUAUCCUCCACCCUGGUGCUCUGCUCCUUCCUUGCAUGUCAUCUAUUACCUGUGUUAAUCUGCGCACUUCUUCUUCUAAUUGUACAGCACGACCAGGGUCACGUGCUGCAACCUGGUCUCGUUCUUGCUCAACGUCAUGCAGGUGUUGCCGAAGUUCUCUUUCCUCUGCAUUCGCCAUUCCAUCAUCGUUGUCAAAGUUCUGUCUCCCUGGGGAUUGAUCUUCUCCUUUGUGACUUUCCCCCCGUAGAGAAGAGUUACCUCCCUCACCACCAGAUCUUCUGGUAGACCGACUUCUCAUCAAGUUAUCGUGUCCUGGUGUCAUUCCGCCACUUCUCACCCCUUCCUCAUGAACUCCCAUUCGUUCACUCCUCAUUUUGUGUAAGAUGGUUGUCAGGGUCUCCAUCUGCUUUUCCAUCCGUUCCAUCCGGUCAUACAUGGCUUUUUCCCGUGCUUCAUUGGCUAUCUCUCUCAAUGUCACGGACUCGUUAAGCCUCAAGUCACCUCCUUGUGCACUACUUCCUCCCACAUCCAUUGUUUCUUCACUUGCUUUCUUCUUCCUCUUUCUAUCAAUAGAAGCUUUUUUAUCAGCUCCCCACAGACGGCGCCAAAAUGUUGAUGCAAGAUUUUGGUUCUCUGCUAGACCACGACCAAAUCCUCUCCUCAACUAACUCGACCACGAUCAGGAUCUCUCCUUGUAAGACUUCUUCUCUACAGACUCCUGCGUACACAGAAACAAAUCAAAGCACGCCGGGUGUUUCCCGGCGUAAACCCUCCUACGCUCAAGUCAGAAAUGAAGGUUUCGAGUCCCUGGGAAAGUUAGCCACUAAUCUUAUGGCUUAUUUUCAGUAUCAAUUAUUCAGAGCUCUCUUUAUCUCAGUUUCAAUGUCAAAAAAUCUAACCCUUUUACCUUCGUUGGCUACCUUUUUAUAGGCUCCCUCUGAAUCUCGGCCACUACCAUUACCUCCCCCAACUCUCGGACGUGGGCGCUCCGUUAUCUUAGUCGUGGCUGGAUGGACUUCGUGCCUUGAUUCUCGGGUAGGAAGGCACGUCCUGCCAACCGUCAUUGACCGGGUCUCCUCACCUCGACCUCUAGCAGGAAUCGUUUUAUGCUCCUGGCAGGAGGCCGGCUCCCGCUAUGGCCCCUUGGAGGGUGCAUUCGUGUACGAGCAUAACAAUCCUGCUCGUAUUCCUCUACUACCAUACCUCUGCGGAAUAUACAUGUUCGUGGCAUCCUACUACCAGAUACCUGCUUAUCAUGGCUGGUCUUAACGAGGUAUUACCCCCAAACAGUUAGUAUUAUUGUGCAUCGUCACUUAUCAUCCGUUCUUUCUUUCUCAACAUUCCUAGAAGGAAUUCCAAUUUUAUCAAACUCGAGUUUUGUCUAAAUAUUAUCCAAUAUAAUUAGGAUCCGCUUCUCUUUCUUCAAUCUUUGACAUAGUUGAUGUGCUCUGUGGAAUAUACUAUCAUUCAAGUCAAAUUUCAUCCCUAAAUCAGAAGCUAGCUGGUCUUGAAUUUUCUGAGGAUCUGGGUUCUGUGUUAGCUCAGCCAUAACGACCUCAUCGAACAAGUUAUCUUCCAUCACUUGCUUUGCAACUUGCUUGACUAGCGUGGUUUUACCCACGUCGCCCAUCUCGUAGACCCCAAUUAUGUUGUGCUUAUUAUCCUUCAACGCCUCGACAACAUCCUGAAAUACUUUCAUUCUUGAAUCAAAGGCCGCGAAAUCUUUCACUUCCAUAUGUUCUGCCCGCUUUGGAGUAGGACGGUAGGAAACAUUAGAGAAGUUGCCUUUUCCCACGAGACUAGCGGCAGCUUCUGCGGCCUUUGCUGCUUGUUUACUGAGCUUGUAACGAGAAAUCAAGUUUGGGCACAAUCCUUGAAACAGAACUUCUUAGCUCUAUCUUCAUCAUCAGUGAUGGAUUUUGCAGCUCCCGGAGUGAAUUCCUUGACGCUAUUAAGCAGCCAGUCUGCAACAUCCUUGUAAAUCUCAUCUCCUUGUUCAGUAACCUGAUGAACGGGUAUUUCCACCCUUUCUCUUUUAUAUUCCAGCCGCUUCACUUUAUCUUUUAGCUCAUCUAUGUAGCUCUGGUACUUGAACAUAUAAGAUAUCUGCCGUAUAAUCGGUUUGAACAGCGACCUUGCACCUUCUGAUACGAUGCUGGAAAAAGCAGCCAGACCCACUUCUGCCAUUGCCUGCUGCUUAACAAAUCUAAUAAAAUGUCAAAGAAAGGAAUACAAAUAAAUUAAAAUGAACUAGAGGGAAAGACAAAAAAGGAAAAGAUGGUGAACAGUAUCACUACAUUGAUCUUGAAUCAACUGACACAUAAACAGAGUAUUUUUUCUUCUUUGUUAAGGAUCAGAGUUUUUGCUAUUAACAAAAACGUACUUCAAGUGUCUAAAAAAAAAACAACCAUAAAUUUACCAUAAAUGAACAAUAACUAUAAAACUCAAGCAAAACAAGCCAUAGAAUUUUUUUCUUGGAAAGUGGAUGGAAAUUAAGAAAGAAAUGCUAUAAAGAUCAAGCAUCAGAGAUUAUGCUAUUAAAAGAAAUUAAUUGAAGGUUUUAGAACAAGUGCACCUGUUUAAUUAUGUGGGAUCAGAAAGCUGAUAAGCUUUUGUAAUCGCCUUGAAUAUUUAAGAACAAUUUCAAUGAGUAAAAAAUUUAUGUUACCUGCAGAGGAAUGUGAUUAUAGAGAGCUUAUGAGAGCAAUGACAAUGAUUUGCAAAAGAAGAAGACUUAAUCAUGCAGCCCUUAAUAUUUAUUAAAUGACUUGUGAUCAUUUCUUUUAUGAAUAAAAUGCCAACAGCAAAAACAGAAAAAAGAGCCAAAUUUACUAGGGUGGCGUUUGUUUUUUAACUUAAUGACUUAAAGUGACUUAACUUAAUUAAUUAAGUUAAUUAGAGGUGUUUGUUUUUAUAACUUAAUAAGACUUUUUAGAUAAUUUUGACUUAAUAAAAUAAGCUAAUUUUUUUGGCUUUUUACUUAAUGGAAAAAUCUGAAUUAAGUCAAUUACUUGCUAAUGUAAAAAAUAUCCCUGUUUUAUAAUUUAUUUUUCAUGUCUAUCCCAAAACUCACCCAUAUAUAUUUACCCCACAUAAAAAUAUCUCUGUUUUUUCUUUCUUAUAUUAUAUACGAUAAAAUUUGAAAUUUAUGGUAUUUUAUAUAUUAAAAAAUCAAAAUAAUUAUGUAUUCACUUGAAUAUAGUUUUACUUAUAAAUGUUAAAAUAUUGUGGUAUUUAAUAUAUUAUUUAUUUGACAUUCAAAUUUAAUAAGGAUACAAAUGUAAAAGUACAUAUUUUUAGCUUUUUAAGUUGAAAAAAACAAACAACUUAAUACUUAUUUUUCAAGAUUCAGACAAAAAAACAAACAUAUUAUUCAGAUUCAGACAUUCAGACCUAUUCAGAAUUCAGACUAAUUCAGAUCUAUUCAGAUUUCAGACAAAAAAACAAACGCCACCUAAGUCUUAUUUUAUUUUUAAUUUCUUUUAUUUUCAUUUGCCGAAGAGGGAAUCUCUCUCUCUUCUUCUUCUUUUUUUUAAGGGAAUCUCCUUACCUAAUAUGACAAAAUGAAAGCAAUCUGUAAAUAGUACAAUAAUCAUAUAAUAUAAUAAGUAAAAAUACCCAUAUAUUUAUAAUAUUAAUGAUGGGAUCCAUAUGUUAAUACUAAUUAAAUUGGUGGACCAGAAUUUUUUUUACCAUACUUGUUUUCUAUAUAAUUAAAAUUGAAACGACAGAGAAAAAUUGUCGUAUUGAUUGUUUCGAAUUCGAUUGUGGAGUUCCGUUGUGGAUAGCACUUCCAAUAUUGAAAAUGAAGCUUUCAUCAACUUUCUCUCACGGACACGUACCGUCAUGCAUAUUGCAUUAUUUCCCUAGAAAAGCAAGAUUAAUUCUUUUAAUAAGCAAACGCGUAGGUGGGAAUCCAUUGACUAAACGAGUGGAACAACAAUAUCAAACCAAUGAUAAGCAUGCUCAAGAUGCUUAAGUGGGAAAACAAAUUAUGACAGAUAAUUCAAAAUCUGAAUCCGCCUGAUGGACGGGUUUGACCACCCAGAUCAAGAUAAGCGAGUCCAGGCAACUAAUCUGAACCAUUCUCCUUUAGUAACAGGGGAAUGAAAUUAUAUCGAUGAUAGAUAAUUUCAAAACAGGGGAAUGAAAACAGAGGAACCUGUUUUUCCUUCCUUUUCUUCCCCCCCCCCCCCCCCCCCCCCAACUCUUCUUCUUUUAUAUAUUUUCCUUGGAAUUUUUGGCAAACGAAAAAAAAAUUGAGAAUGAUUUCAGGAAAACAGGUGGAUAAUAACUAAAAUAUAUAUUUUUAUAUCAAUAAUGCUACACAUCCCAAAUUUCUUAUCCCAAAAAGUUAUCCCAAAUGAUGUGUCAUUAAUUGAGUGGUUGAUAAUUAUUUACAAUAUCCAAGUGAAUUAAUUGUAUUAUCUCACCAACCAAUUGAUAAAUGCCACAUCAUUUGGGAUAACUUUUUGGGAUAAAAAAUUUGGGAUGUGUAGCAUUAUUGUUUUUAUAUAUUUGAUAAACGCGCUCACUAUUAAUAGAAUUCAUUAAAUAUCAUAAUUUAAAUAACUUCUUGUCAUUGAUUGAGGGUACAUUUGAGAUUUCUUUUACUUCCCAAUAAUUAACUUCUAUGUUGAUUCUCAGAAAAUUAAUUUUACGAAUAAUUUAGUAGGGUGUUUGGUAAAUGAUGAUUAUUUGACAGUCAAUUUUCAAAUAAUCUACUAUACAAAUUUGGUAAGUGAAAAUUAAAAGUGUAAUAUUCAUGUGCAAUGAUAAAAAUGUACUUGUUUGCUUAAUUGUACUUUAUUUAGAAUAUUAUUAUUUACAUCAUUUUUUUUAUUUACUGGAUUUUUUUAAGAGUAUAUUCUAUUUUCUUUAUUGCAUAUUUAUAUCAUUUUUUAUUAAAUAUUUUAAUUUACAAUAAAACUAACUUUAAUAUUUUUUUAACUAAAAAAUUUGUUAUGCAGUUUGUAAUGUGCACAAAUGCUAACAUAUUAUUAAAUUGAUUAAUAAAUAAGUGCAAAAAGAAAAUGCAAAAAUUUAAUCUUUAUAUAAACUUUUAUGUACAUAUAACUAUUGCAAUCAAAGUAGUUCAUAAAAAUAAAAUAUUAUAGACAUGUGUGUAAAAAAAAUAUAUAACUAUAAUAUUGUCCACUCACUAAACUUGCAGCACUAUUAUUUCUCAAUGUCCCCAUCUCUCGACCUUUAGGAACAUUAAUACCAUGAUCUUCUUCUUGAAUUCGACCUCCAUUUCCACAGUAUCAACAAGGCGAUCAAUUUGCUGUGACAGCCUUUCAACUCCUCCCACUUUCCUCCAUUUUGCAGCCGCUCUUUUCCUUUUCUUUCUUUGAUAGCUUCAAUAGGAACAAACUCAUCUAACGACAAGUACAUUCUUCAACCAGAGUGGAAUUGGUAGUUGAUAUUUUACUACUCUCAGAUGGUGUCUAAAGACUCUAAACAUGGUCACCAGUGAUUGUUAUAUUAAAAAAAAUUCUAUUCAAUUUUUCCUCUGACUUUUUGUCGAUACCUUUCAUGCAAAAUCUACUUGCUUCAGAAAUUUCUUACGUAUGUUGAUAUCAUAUUAAAGUGAAUUCACGAUCCUAUAUUAUUUUGCAUGACAUCAAAAUUUAGCCGAAUGGUAAAGAAUUUCCCUUUUUGUUUGUCCCACAACUAUAUAGUCUCAUUUCUGGCAAUAAGCUCACAAUAUGCACGGAAAUGAAGAUUUAUUAAAAACUUCCCUGUAAUAUUAAACACUAAACAAUAUCACUAUGUUGUGCAAAUGGUGCCUCGUCAACAAUUUGAUGUUCAUUUUGUUGCUCGGGUGAAUAUGACUACUUGCUUUGCGAAUCCAUGCUUUGUCGUUUGGAUGGAGGACGGGCCAUCUUUUUAUUUUAGAUGCUUUGAGAGACUUUUGAUUUAAUGAUUGAAUGCAGUCAAUUAACAAAAGCUUACAUAUUAUGUAGGUGCUGAUAUGUAUGUUCUUGAUAAAGUAGAUUUAUUUACAUCCAAGCCAACGGAGCCAAAGACAUUUCGUUAAUAAUAUACACGAUAAUUAUUUUUGUUAAACUGAUUUCUGGUUAAUAAGACCUAUGAAAGCAAUCAAAGAAACCAUUGAACUCAGAGGAAAGCCAUGAUUAAAUAUACUGCGGAGCAUAUGAGCUCGUUUUUUGAUCUCUUGAUCACUCAUAAGCUUUUCUAUACCACUCACUAUAUCAUCCUUUUGAAUCGAUUUUGAUUGAUCAUCAGAGAUCAUGUACCCCACCUUGAGAUGAUUGAUCACAAAUUUGGCAUUGUAAUGUUGAUCACCUCUAAUUGGCCAUGCUAAAAUUGGGACUCGACAACCAAUUGCUUCUACUGUUGAAUUCCAUCUACAGUGAGAUAAAAAUCCACCCGUUGAUUGAUGACUCAAUAUCAAUAAUUGUGGCGCCCAUCCAUCUAUUAUCAAACCCUUCUUACCGACUUUAUUAUCCAAACCACUACGAAAAUAACUGUCUUCUGCUGGUUUGUCCAAAUGACGUAGAGGAUCCAAUCUACCUGCACCACCUUGAAUUACCCAAAUAAACAGUCGAUUUGAUGCCUCUAAAGCAUUGGCUAGUACUAAAUACUCAUCUAAGGUCGGAUCCACUUCAGUACCAAAUGACACAUAUAACACAGAUCCGCAUGAUUUUAAAUUCAACCAUUGAACGAUCUCAUCUUCCGUCACGUUAGAACUCCGCCGGUUGGUUCUCAUCUCAUGAUCACGAAGCAUUGAACCGGCAGAUUUGUAAAAUUGUUCAGGUAACAAUGGGCCCACUCCCCACACCGGCUUUCCCAAUUGAUUGGCUAAAUAAUUAAGAAAUGGUCCCUCAAGACCAUCACACGUGUUGAACAUCAACGCCAUUGAUCUCUCCACUUCCUUCAUCCAGUGUGGUUGAUCACCAGCUUCUGGUGGACCUAUUUUCUCGGAACCGGGUGCACCUCGCAGAGGUGGUGGACCACCAGGAGGGGGCCCAUGAGGCCUGUGUUUAAGGUCUGAUUCAAAUAAAGCCAUGUCCACGGGUAACCCAGGAAGUAAACGGGCCUCUCCCGGUUUGACAUCUUGGAUGCGAGCCUGCCACAUGGCACACUCCACAGCUGCCGAGCAAGCACCAGAAGUGAAGAACCCAACAAUGGGAACUUCAAAAAUCUUGAAAACAUCAGCCGUCCAGCCCAUCAUAACGUCGAUGACUGCACAAACGGGUCGGCUUUCGGGUUCCCGGGUUGAAAGGAGGUUUCGAAGGCCUUGAAGCAUUUGGCUGUGCAUGACAACAUGGGGGUGAGGAGGCGAAGGUGGUGGUAGUGGCGGAGAUGAGGAGGGUAUUUCAGUAACUUCAAAGAGAGGGUAUUGGUGAAACGAGGAAGGGAUGAUGCUGGUGGCGGAAAUGUGAGAAGGAAUGAUGAGGGUAGAUUUGUAAUUACGAGAAGCGAUUUGCUUGCAUAAUUCAAUGCAUGGAAAUAGAUGUCCCUGACCGAAGAAUGGGACAAUCCAAAUCUCGGCCUCAGCAGCAGUAGCAACAGAGCUUGACAUCUUUUUGAAUUAUUUUAUACUUAAUUGUACUGUUUGCUUUUACCAUCAUUCAUAAAACACUCUUUGUUAUAUAUAAAGAGAUGACUUAAUGGAGAAGUAAGUUUUUUAGUUUUACAGUUUUACUAGUAGGUGAGCUCUGAGUUUGAUAAUUUGAUUGUUAGUUUUGGUUGGUUAGUUAUUAGAAAGCAUCUUUAAGAAAAUUCAUUCCAGUUUCAACUCAAAUUAAUAAUAUUGUUCAAAUUAAUUACUCGAUAAAUAAAUAAUUAGAGACAAAUCUAUUCCUAAUCUCACAUUUAUAAAAUAAGGAUUGAAAUAAGUUCUUGUGGGUUCGAACUCAAGCCCUCAAGCCGAGUGGCUGGAACUUGACUACUUUAUAUAUAUAUAUAUAUAUAUGUAUUCCUUCUUUCAUUGAACGUCUUCUGUUAUAUAAUGAAAAAGAUAAGUUGAUAAAGAAGGGUUCUACUUUUACUAGUAGAUGAGCUUUAAGUUGAGAAGGUUAGCCCUCAAAUGUUCCUUGCUAAGUUAAAUAUCUACCAUUCAAAUCAACAUUCCUUAGACUAUUAUUCAAGUGAGAUGUCUGAGUAACAUAUGCUUGAGUUCGGUGCCUAGCAAUUCGUGUGAUACAUGAAACCAACCAAUAUGAAAACCAAAUCAAGUUGGUAGGUUUACAUUAAUUUAAAUUAACUUUCAAGUUUCAACAUUAUAACAUAAAUAAAUAGCAUAAGCUAAUUUUUAUUUUCAAGUAAAUAUGUUUAUCGUUUAAAAUUAAUUUUUCUUGCGGUAAAUGCAACACUAAGAAGGAGUGAAGAGGGUAUUUUGUAGGGUAUACCCCCACCUUUUAUUUCAUUUCAUUAUUAAAAAAUAAAGGCUCGAUUCAACAUUCAACUAAAAUUAACAAUUGCAUGAUAAAAUUACUUGAGAAUAAAAAUUAAAAUAAAAAAGAAUCAGCAACUAAAAAACGACGUAAAAAUACCGCAUAGAAGUUUUUCGUCACGAGAUAUUUUUGGGUUGAGACAACACUUGUAUAACAGAGCAUAAAGAUUGAAUGACGGUGAGAAUAAGAAGGAAAACGGCACCGCAGACCGAAAUGCCAGCCCAUGGAGUAUUGACGUAAUUUUAUUUCAAGUUUGCCUCUCAUUUGUAGCACGUUCUUUUGCAGUGAUCAUUCAAUCCUUUGCUGCUUUGCAUAGCCCAGAAAAAUAGAAGCUAUCAGCCAGCAGAGUGGUACCUCUGGAAAGGUUAUUUAUAAGCGUUGACGCUGCCUCCUUAUCCGGCAACCAGUUCUCAAUGAUUCCGUUCUGAACAAGCAACUCGACGUCCUUCGCUGUGUUCACGAGAUGAUGAAUAAGGAACACGUAAUCAUUUAUGUAAUUCUCUGAGUAAUGCCGUUGUUCAAAGGCAAUGAGAUUACGAAAUAAGGAUUCCGUUUCCAGCUGUAGCUUCAGUUUCGGAAUAUGCAAUGUCCUGUUUUUGAAUUCUAUGGCGAACAAAUCAUUGCUCUUGCUCAAACUGAAGUGGACUCCAGCUUGGUGGAGAUCAGUCACACUUGGUGCGGUUUUACCUUUGUGGUAUUGCUGACCUUCUUGUUUUUCCUGAUCCCUCGAUGAAGGUAGAUGACAAAUCCGUAGAAAAUCAAAGAAAUGCUCUACCCUAGCCUCAGUUUAAGGAGGGAAUUUUUGCUGAUUACCUUGUACCGCCUCUAAACCCUUGAAGUACUCAUAUGUGACUGUGAUGAUGGUUGGAUUUUCAUGUUGGUCAGGGAUUUCAAUUGCCGCUAGAGCAAAAAGAUCCUCAAGAAUGAAGAAAGGAAGCUGAUUCUCAAGCAACCACAUAUCAUACCAUAUAUCCUCUAUUAAAUAUGGUUUAUGAAAUAUAUGAUCAUCUUUUUUUUGAAGUUGACGGAAAUGAUACCUCAAUAAGAGUUCAAUGAUGAAGGCAGCAUCCAGCAGAAUCAUUUCAAUGAAUUUAUCACUACUUAAAUCGAUUUUUUCUGCAUAAGAACCUCGUAAUUCUGCUCCUCUGAACUUUAUAACUUGAACAAACUCAUCAAAGCUUAUUUUGAUCCAUUGAAGAAGUAACGCAGGUACCGCUGUUGAUGUUCUUCCAUGAACUGUAAGUUUGCUUUGCCAUGGUGAAGAGGGCCAAUUGAGACUACCUGAGGUGUAUAUGCCUUUUCAUUUAUCUGAUGUAAUCGCUCUGGAACUCUGUAGAUGCAGCAGUUUCAGGGUAAGGGUGAUAAUUUUUCCAACUUAACUUGCAAGCACUCUUCCAUGUUAUAAACUGAAAACACGGUGCGAAAUUUGAUCAAUUCAACAGUUAAUAAGGCAUAGUGAUUUAAAAAGAAUUUAAAAAAAAAAUACAAGAGCAUUCUUACACGCACAGAAGCCCCUCAAUCCCUACUACUUGCAGGGCUGUAGCCACUAGCCAGGAUUCAAUGAUAUACCGGACUGAACUAAAAGGAACAACAUUCUUAGGAAUAUGUUAUCGGCAUUUCUCAGGCCAUCAACAAAGCAGUUUCAAUGCUUCUUAUAUAAUUCCAUGGAUUAUUCCUUGCCUUCACAGAUGAUAUAAUCACAAUUCAUAUAUUCAUUUCUCCAGAUUCUGUAUAAGUGGACCAUAACUAUGGAAAACUUGAACCAUUUUUUUAAGAAUGCAACAGCCAUUUGAUUGGUCCAUGUCAGAAGUUAAUCUGGGGAAAGAAGCUUGAUCUAGCUGCAAAAUUCUCUCCUUCAAUCAGUCAGUUUGGGGCAGCAACAAGAUCAAAGCCACCAUGCAAACUUUCACUAAAGUUUAUAUAAUAUUCACUAAAGUUCAUAUAAUAUUCUUGAACCUCAUCUUAAGUAAAGCAACAAAAGCCUUCACUGUUUCUUGACACCUUUAUUUCUCUAACACAUAGCAUAACAUUUUUAAAUUGCAUAAAGCACACAAGUACUUUAGUUUGUAACAACACAGAUAAUAAAUACCAUUUUAUAGCUUUAACAAAAGCAUACAAAAUUCUUAAACCUUGUCUCAAGCAAUUCAUUAAUGCCACAAGGAUAUCUUUUUGCCUCCUACAGUUUUUAUUGUUCCAGAAAUUCAUAUAUUCUUCUUUAUCAAAUUAAGUAAUUUUCCUUUUUCAGAAACUCAAGAAGGUUUCAACCGCAUGGAAAUACAACACAUGAUUACUACUAUUCCCGGAUUAAGAAAUUCAUCAAUGCAAUAUAAACAUACAUUUUCAUUAGACAUCAGAAUCAAAGAAUCAUUGAUGCAUCAAAUCUGUACACCCAAAAAAAAUGAAAACAUCAAGAGAAAAUACCAUAUGGACCCUUUACAACCCUUAUAAUGAGUUCAGACCCCCUAAUCCAAUUUAAUAGAUUUGAGGAUCCCUACAAUGUGCAAUACAAAAUUUCCCAAUACUAAUUAGAGCAAAGUCUAGAAAACGAAACUUACAUAUUGUACAAAAUCAUGAAAACCAGAAAUGACAAAAAAAACUGCAUAUGUAAUUUUUGGGUCUCUUCAACAUAUCUUCCAUCCAAAUCAAACAAGAAUCGAUAAAUCAACAACAUUCAUUUUAAACGACAUAUUACCACAAUAAAAAUUGUCAACCAAGCCUCAUAUUAACCUCUUUUGCAUUAUUUGGUAAAUAUAUUUGUUCUUCUCAAAAAAAAAAAAAAAAAACGCUUUCUUAAUCAAGAAUCAAAUAAUAUAUAUGAAUCUAAGUUGAAGUCAGUCUUGGGUUUGAUGAAAUAGCUUGCAUUGUGAUUUAGAUUGGAAAGGGAGUUGAUUUUUGCUGACUGAGAGAGAGAGAGAAAGUUGAGACUUAAGAGAGUGUUGCUAAUUUUCUAUGGUGCAAACAAGGGUAACUGGGUCAUAGUUCAAAAUGAAGGUCCAAAAUUUACUAAAGCUAUUAAGGAGCCGAAAACCCAUAAUGGCUUCCCUCAAAUAAAUAAAAUUUUCAAGCAUAGAGUUUUUGUUUCUUCUUAAGAUUUCCUUGUCAUACUUACCCAUAAUUUGAAAAUGCCUGAUAUUGCCUGCAAAUAAACUUAUAUAUAUUGAUUAACAAUAUAAACAAGCACUAUGAGGUUUUAGGCCUGAAAGAACAUUAGGGUUGAAAUGACAACCAUCUAUUUAAGUAACAAAAUCUUCUGAUAAUUUGAUGCUUAAUAAAUUGAGCAGAGAUGACAUAUCAAUCAUGUUAUGAUGUGGAAGUUAUGAUUAUAUUCAUCUUAAGAAUAAGAUCUUUCAGACACUGGCAGAUUAGUAUCAAAAUACUCAGCAUAAGACCUACAAACUAGAAAUCACGCACUAAUUAUUGAACUCAGCACAUAAGUUGAUCUUUUAUAAGCUAUAAAACAAAUCUGCUAUAACAUAAGAAAGUGGGAUUUAUCACCAGACAAAUAUUUCGGUGAAACUCAAGCUGAUGGAAGGAUAUCCAAAGCAACCUCCUUAAGGGAAGGCAUCACUUCCUGCUGAUGCAAACAUAUAUAUUUAUUACUCACUUUCUUGAGGACCUUCCAGGAACCUGGGUAGCACCUAACAGGAAGUGGAAAAGAAAAAAAUGUAAAAUAUAAGUUAAACAGCAGGAAAACAGUAAGUGACUCUAGGCAAGCAUUAAUAUGUUGCCGCAGGAAAAGCGUCAGUAACUAGCCAGCAAACCUGAAAAGGGUUCCUCCAUUGCGACCCUUAAAAUUGUGAAUGUAAUAUAUGGUCUCCAUCACAGGAAAAAGUGUUUUGGAUAGUGCAGCCAGCUUAGGGUAGAAGAAUGAUGGAUAAUCUUUAGCUCAUUUAAGGAAAUUCUCUCUGAUCCUUUCAUUGCACAUGCCAAAACAACUCUACUACAACCAACUCACCAAUUCUUUUUGUUAAGUCAUUGCUAUUUAUUUAUUUUUUUUAAAAGUCUUCUUUGCAACAUUUUAGUGAAAGAUAUAACAUUAAUUCCCCUUCUAGAUUUCUGUGAGUGAAUCUCAAAUUAUUGUAUUCAUAAAUAGAAGCAAAAAACCCACUUUACUUUCAAUUUUUGCAAAAAAGAUACCAAUUGAAGGACCAAAAAGUUGUAAACAAGCAAUUCAAUGGAUGGGUAUCUAGAAACUGUUAUAUAGCAUCAAAAUCAUACUAAAUUUACAGAAAGUACAAUAAUAAUGAAAGAAUGGUGAAGGAUACACCCAGACCUUAUCCGGUCAAGCUCUCCAUUGAAUAUAAUUAGUUUCCGGGCAGUAUUGAAGACAGCUUCUUUGUAAAGCUCUUCAACCACAAGCAUUUCUACAAGACAAAAGAAAAGCAAAAUUAAUGACCUUAAGGAAUGAAUGUCAAUGAGAAGACAAGGUGUAAGACUACCAUUGACAUUAAAAUAUGGAUAGGCGACUAGAAACAAUUCAUCUUCCGGCUUCACACGGUCAGCCAUUUUGACCUUCUCAGUGAAUCCAAAAUCCUCAAAGAAUGAAGGUUUUGUUAGAUAGUCCAACUUAAAUGAUGCUCCUUCAAAGACCGAUUUUCGUGCAAAUUUGACUUCAUUUGCCUCUGGGAAAAACUAAAAACCAAAUGACAGACUAAGAUCACGAAACGAAUCAUGAACACAGAUAUCAGAUAAUCAGAAAUGGGCCUUAAACAGACUACUAACAGAGUAGGAAAUGCAUACAGAAAACAUUAUUCAUACACCUUAUGCACAUGAAAUAUAUAUGUAGAGGGAUCCUCUUAUGAAUUUAGCUUAUAUCCUAAUAUGAGACAAUGAACAAUUGGAUGCCAUCUAAGGGCUAACAUUUGUUUGAUUUAUUAUAUGAAAAAUAAAAAUAAAAAACAAAACAAAACAGAGUUGAUUGAUGGCCUUUGAUGGAUUGCUUACACUCCUAAAGUGCAGAGCCUGAUUGAUGCCAUGCUUUAACUGCCCCACACACACUUGAUCUUAUUAUCUCUCUUUUCGAAUAUAUAAUCGUUGCCUUUCAUCCUGAACCAGCUGUCCUUCCAGGCACCAGCUGUGUUUUCUUCAAUUCAGUGAAACAUUCACUUUCUGGUAAGAAUAAACUUGUCCUUCCUCAAAAAUUCAGCUUCUGAAAUUCAGCUUCUGACUAUGAAGCUUUCUUUUUUAAAACAAUUACUAUUCUAGCAUAAUGCAUCUAAUUGAAGACAACUCAGAAUUGAAAAAGCCAUAUUUUAAUGUCUGCUGUUGGGACCUCAAGACCAGGAACAAAAAGCUUUUUUCUAACAGUUGCGUUAACAAGUGGAAAUAGCUUUUUUCUGAAGGACCCAACAUUGCAUUGAAAGAGUCAACAAAAGGAUUGGCGUCAUAUUUAGUCCAGCAAGAAUUUUGUGGACUUAACACAAUGGUUAAUAAUUCGCCCAGCGGUCACUUUGUCCAACUACUGGCAACCUUGACGGUGGAAAUGCAUCUUUCAAAUGUUGGCAGGCUCUAGCUUCUUGAUGUACUGUUGAUAGAAAUGCAUAUUUCAAAAGUUGGCCGGCUCAAAUUGCCGAGACUUUGGUUUCUUGCAUUUCAAACCCACAAAUAAAACUUUGGUAGAACCCCAGAAAGAGCUACACCUCCCAAAUGUGAUGACAAAUGAAGAGACCAUGCCUAGUGCUUGGUUCGGCAAAUGAGUAAGUCUGAAAGAAAUUGAGGGAAACCUUUCCCACAGAGAGUCAUAUUGAACGUUACAAUUUGAUGACUUUGUCCCUCUGUUGCCCAUAACCUUCUUUAUCUCUUUUCUUGGUCAUAAAUAAUCAAACAUAUAUUAGUCGUUAGAUGCAAUCCACUCACUGACAUCUCAUGUCCACAAUCAAUCAGCCAUAUUUUAAUAGAAAUGAAAACAUUUUAAUAAAAAAGAAUGAGAUGGGAACAAAAUCAAACUUGACAGACAAGGGUCUAUGUGAUUUUAAAGAUGCUUGGUGAAAGUCAUAUUCAAGAGUUCAACAGUCAGUUCUAUCACCUAUGGCAAAGUAACCACCACAACUAAAGCAAUUACAAAACAUCAAGAAGCUUGAACUUGGCAAGAGUUCUCAUUAACAGUAUACUUCAGAAAUUAAGACACACUUAAAGUGCAAGCUUUUGGAAUUAUUUAAGGGGUUAAAAUCUCCUAUGGUCACAGCUAACAAUUACUAAUCACAAAUCCCAAAAAACAGAUAUGCAAAAAGCUGCAAAAGAACAAUAUUAGCAACUGAUGUCUCCUUUUGCUCGGACAAAGGUUCUCAUAACAAAGGACUUAGUGAUUGUCUGUCACAUGUUUAUGUUAAGGGGAAAAUGGAAGUUUGUUUUAGUCAAUCUCAUGUCUAAUGGCAUUCAUAAGGAACCCAAAAAUAAAAGAAAAAAUAAAGAGUUAGUACGUGUUUCUUGCAGCAUAAAGAAAAUUUAUCAUCCAUGAAAAAGGUAGUAUGGAAAAAGCUAACUCAUUUAUACGCCAACGGAGAAAAACUUGUCGUCCACCCACUAAGGACCCACCAUUGGCAGGUCUGAUGGAUCCCAUGGAUGGGAACCACAAACUUUUUUUUAUUUUAAAUGACAUCGGUAUUGUACCCAUAUCAUUUAGUUUGUCGAUUCCACUGAUGGGACUCGUCAAACUUGCCAAAUGGCAGGUCCUCAGCGGGCAGGCGCAUCGCUUUAGCAUCCUUCUCCACCGAUGACCAAAUCUGGACUCAUUUAAAAAGAAUACAAAGCAAAACCAACUGACACAAAUUGCAUAGAGGUCUAGGACCCAAAUUAAUGCCGUUAACUCAUCCAAUUAAUACAUUCUCUUAGGGAUCAUACCAUGGUAUGACAUUUCAAAAGAAACUAAAAGGAAAACAACUGCACAAAUUGCACUGAACUCAAAAAGACCUGUUGAAGGUGUUCACUGGUCCAACUAAUAAAAGUCAUCAAGGAUUGUAUCGGGGACUUGGGACCAAUCCUGCCUUUACUAGAGAAAGGGGGUUUAGGAUAAAGAAGAUAACCUCUUUUCCUAGUGCCCUUUUGGACAAAAAUGAAUUCCUGCUACAUUCUGAGAAUAAAACCAUAGACAUCUAACUUCUGAUAUCUAGUAAAUCUGGUAAAACCUUGGCAGUUGCACUUGCGGCAGAAAUUAGUUCCACCUUGGUUUACAGAACAGAAAUUUUUCGUAUGCUUGUAUUUAUUUGUUUUUUAUACACACAUAUACACAUACACACAAACAGUACCUUCACUUUGAAGGAAAGAUUAAAAUAACACUGCUCACAUACACAAUACUUACUAUUCUAGUUCGUGUCACUUUCUCCGGAGUCACAAACAGAUCACAGAAUUCACAUAUUAACCGCAUACUUCCAGUCAUUUCUAUUCCUCCUUCACCAUCACCUGCCGCACAAUUACAAAAAGUGAGAGGUAAUAACCAAGAUAUUUGGGUUGCUCUUGGGUGGGGGUGGGAGGUAAGGGUUAGUUGUGGAGGGCACCUGGUACAGAAUCAAGGCCAGCUGUCGGGAAUUCAAUCUCCUGAAACAUAUACUUGUUCAUCAUAAAGUAUAUACGUAUUCUGCAGUCAAUGCGUGCUUAUAGUUCUUCAAUUAUCCAGCAAUAACUCACCAUCAACUUCCUGCCAUCCUUCACGGCUAAUUCAGCAGCCAUUUUUGCCUGUUUAAAGGCCAAAAGCCCAAAAUAAGCGGAUGCUGCUACUCCUAUACUUAUUAUCUAACUACUACAGAACAGAUGAUACGCAUCAAGUUGUAUCAAGAGAGACACCAAGUUGUGUUUUCCAAGAGUUUCCAAAGCAGUUCUGUUCCUUUGUCUAAUUUUUAGACUGCUUUGACAACUCAUCUCAAAGGUGCCACUCAUCCAAUGUGAAGUGGUGACAGUGGUUUAGAGUUUUAAACUAAAUGCAGAACUAGUAGUACUUUGAAAGUAUAUUCAUCCUAAGAUACCAUAACACAGGGAUUCUUACACAAAAACAAUAACUUUGAUGUCGAGAGCAGAUGAUUUCACAAAAGCAGAUGUUUUGAUUUAAGUCUCCAAACCCCCACCAAGAAAAUGUUCAACGGAUAUAGAAAUAUGAUCCAUAUAUCUGUAACUUAAAUUGUGAAAGUCGCUGAUCAACCCCGUGAAUGUUUUUGGAUUAAACAACAAGCAGGACCCAAUGCCUGGUUUCUAAUAGCUUCAAAAAGGCCAAAUUGGUUUUAAAUGUCUCCCGCUUUUCAUUUAACAAGUUUAAGCAUCCCUUUGGCAUUGCAAUUGGGGAUCUCAGAUAUAUAGACUGUUUGGUAAACUCUUAAAGCCGCAGCUCUUAAGCAAAAAUAAUUUUAUCUCAUAAUUGAUUGAUUAAAAACUUUUAUUAUGUUUAUUAGUUUUAUAAAAAAUAUUAUUUAUAAGUCAUAUUUACCUAACACAGUCAACUUUUACAACACAGCUAUAACUUUUCUUUCUUUUUUCACCACAUACAUAUAGUUAAAAACUACAAGACCUCGAUAUCAAACAGAUCCUAAAGGUUAAUGUAAUAAAAAGAUAAAUAAACAAAUGUAAAAGCCAGCGUACUUGAUCAAGAAGCUCUGAAUAGUCACUGGGAAAGGGAACAUCGACGUUAAUGGAGUUAUUGCCAUCGCUUGAAACCGAAUUGGUGAGACAACUGCGUUUUCUUCUAUACGGCGAAAAUGUGAUGAUUCUUUGACCACUGAAAUUUUCAUUACUACAUUUUAUCGAAAAUUUUCUACAAUUUGCCUGUAAUUAGUGGCAAUCAAUCGGUUAAGAAACAAUCUAAAAAAAUUUUAAAACAAUGAUUACAGACUCAGAGUAUACCUGUCGACGUGGAAUUGAAGGAACCGGGAUAGGAACCGUAGGGAGGGCGAUGGCUGAAUUGGAGGAUAACGGCAUUUUGAAAUUGGGUAAUUUUUAGGGACCUCCCCUGAGGUUUGACGUAUUGACACUUAGAUAGAAAGUAUAACUGUAAUUACAGAGACCUCCCCUACAGUCUGUACUCAGUUUCCUUGACUGUUAGUUGACUGGUGAUAUGUCAAAAAUACCCUUGAUUCGAGAAAAGACCUCAACACCCUUAGUGCUAACUAUCAAAUUAAUCAUUACACUUUAACACGCUUGGGAAACAAAUAUUUGACAUCAAAUAUUCAUCAAUUGUAAAAAGCAAAAAAAAAAUUACUAGGAAACUAGGGCUAGCGAUAGUAUACAGUGAAAAAAAUUUUAAAAAUUAAGUACCCUUGGUGCUAAAUAUCAAAUUAAUCAUUACACUUUUAACACCUUUGGGAAAUAAAAAAUUGACAUCAAAUAUUCAUCAAUUGUAAAAAGAAAAAAUAUAUAGUAGGGAAACUAGGACUAGCAAUACUAUAUAGUGAAUUAAAUUUUAAAAAUUUAACAUAAUACAACAGUUCAAAGCCAAAUUUGGUAUAUCCAAUAGACAACAACCUAUUGUUAACAUUUGUUUAAUUCCAUUGAUCAUUAAAGUGCUCUUAGUUACACCGAUUUUUUCAACCAUCUCCUUUGACUCAAGAAUUCAAUCUCCACCACUAACUUCAACUGUUGCCCUUUCCUCUUCCAUUUCUUUGUGACGUAUAGCUACCUUAUUUUUCAGAUUUUCAGCAUAUUCUGCCUUCUUUCCUUCCAAUUAUUCCUGCCAAUUACUAGAUGUGUUGAAGAUGAAAUGGGAAGUAAAACAAAGAAAGAAAAAAGAAUCUAGAAUAAGAAGAGACAGGUUACCUCAAUCUUUUUCAGUUGGGCUUACAAAAUUCCUUCUUGCUAUUUGUCAUUAAUAAAACAAAUUUCUUCAAAAUUUAAAUCUUUUACACAAACAUCAUCCAAAAUUUCUUCAUUUUAUUUGUCACUAAUGCUUUUUUUAUCAAGCAACUAAAAAUUCUCCAUAUUAAGGAGCACAAGCAAUAUCCUUUUCAGCUUCUUCAAAGCAUCACAAACAAACCCUUAUUUUCCAAUAUUAUUAAUGCAUGUAACUUCACUAAUUUCUAAUAUGCAUUGGUAUUUUUAGUUCAAGCACAUGUUAAGAAGUUAAUUCCUCCAAAUAGCAUCCAUAUUCUUCAUAACAGUGCUAACCCGUUUUCAUUUGACAAAGAAGUCACAUAAAAAUCACUAAUUUCUAACACAUAUGUUAUUAUUAGCUCUUAACUUGACAAAUCCAGAUAGCUAAGGUCUGAAAGUAAUAAACAACAUGCAUCUUCUCCAAUACAUCAACAAAUUGAUAUCAUUUUUUUUUAUGAACAACACAAUGCCAACCGUUCUCCAACACUUCAGCCCAUUUUCAUUUUCAAACAAUAAAAAAAAAACCCAAUCUAUGAUUAAAAUAAAAUAAAAUUUCAAUUUUAUUUUAAAACAUAAUAAAUAUUAAACCAAAAAAAUUAAAUCCGAAAUUGUUUCAAAGACUAACCUUCUUUGAAUUCAAGUUAAUAACAGUCAUGUCCGACGCCGAAUAGUCAGCUAUUUUCACCUGACACCACCCUUAGGCCACCAUCGAUGCUUUUCUUGUUAAUAAAUCUAAGUUAAAGUUGCGGAACUUGGCAAUAAAAAUCUGAUUUUUUCAUCUUCAAAGCAUUUAGAGAUGAGGAGUGCAUGUGGGCCUCGGUUGAUUGAAAGAGAAAAUGGUUUUGUGAUGAGUUAGGUUGAUGAAAGAGAGCAAGCAUUCUUCCAUCCUCUAGUUAGUGGUUACUGAUUUUCAUCGGGAUUGUUUGAGUGUUUCAGUGGGUUUAUCUUGAAAUUAGCUUUUUACUUAGGGUGGGGCUUUUUGAACCCACUAAUUUACUCAAUAAAUCCACUUUUAAAAAUAAUUUUUUAUCAUUAAAAUACCCCUAAAUUAAAUUACAGUUAUGGACACUAGAAUAUAAUUAAAAAAAAAAAACAGAAUUUUUACUCUUUAAACCCAUCUUUAUAUUCAACAUAGUUUUAUAGAACCCUAAUCAAAUUUUCAUUAAACCCUAAUCAAUCAAGAGGUGGGAUUCUUCUCUUAAGCCAUAUAUAUUGUUAAAUAGGCACAUGUGAGUUGAUUCAAAGUAACAAAAUUAAUUGUUAUUGAUUUGAUGGAUAUUGAUUUUAUGGAGGAUUAAUUGUUUAAUUGUUAUGAUUCGUUUGGGAAUGACCCCUCACUCAAAAUUGUUUAAUUAAUAUUGAUGAUUAAAUUUUCAAUUAAUAAUCAAUUAUUGUUUUUUCCCAAAUUCUGAAAAAAAUUAUUUUUUCUCAAAUUCCUCAUAUUAGAUUUUCAUACCAUCAUACAAGAUUUUUCUCACCACUAUAAUAUAACUCAAAAAAAUAAUUUCAUGAUGACAACUAUUUUCUCCAUUUAGAAUGUUUUGAUUCAUUUGUCCUUGAACGAGGGCCAUUCACUCAAAAUUGAUUAUUAAAUUUUCAAUUAAUAAUCAAUUUCCAAUCUAAUGGGUUUAUAAAUGAAUAUUAUGGGUUUAAUGAGUAAAAUCACUAUUAUUAUAAAAAUUGGGUUUAGAAAGGGCAUAUUAGGUAUUUUAGUGGGUUUACUGAGUAAAAUUUAAAAUUUUAAAAUUUAAAGAUGGGUUUAUUUAGUAAAUAUGUUUAUUGAGUAAAUUGGUGGGUUCAAAUAGCCCCACCCUUUUACUUAUUUCAAUUUUAAAUGCGUUUUUACUAAUUUACCCUCCUAUACUGACAAUAUACGAAACUGAGUACAGACAGUAGGGGAUGUUUCUGUAAUUACGGACAUACUUCUAUCUAAGUGUCAAUACAUCAAACCUUAGGGGAGGUCCCUAAAAAUUACCCUUUUGAAAUUUGAACCGCAAAGUAAAGAGAGAAUAAACGCGCCCCUUUCAAAUACCGUGCUCUUUUGUGCCUGGGAAUUUAACUAAUUUAUGCGAAUAAUAAAAUUUAUGAAUUUAGUAAAUUAUUCAUUAUAAUAAUAUUGAGAGGUUGUGCAUUAUUUUAUUAGUAAGGAUACAGUAAUUAUAAAAUUAAUUGAAUUAAAAUAACUGGUCCGCGAGAUUUAUUUUUUUAUUUUAUAUUUUUAUUUAAUCAAUGAAUUAAUGUUAUAUCAUUUGUAUAAAAGUUUGUGAGACAAUUGCAUUUUCUUCUAUACGCCGAAAAUGUGAUGAUUCUUUGACCACUGAAAUUUUCAUUAGUACAUUUUGUCGGAACAUUUCUACAAUUUACCUGCAAUUACUGACAAUUAAUCGGUUAAGAAACAAUUCAAUUUUUAAAAAUAAAAUUACAGAUUCAGAGUAUACCUGUCGACAGGGAAUUGAAAGAAUUGGAAUGGAACCGUAGGAAGGGCGAUGGCUGUAUUGGAUGAUAACGGCAUUUUGAAAAACAAACUAAAGAGAGAACAGAGAAGUAACGUGCCCCUUGCAAAUACCGUGCUUUUUUUAAGUUGGGAUUUAAAUAAUUUAUACGAAUAAUAAAAUUUAUAAAUUUAGUAAAAUAUUUAUAAGAAAAUAAAUAUUGCAAGAAUGUGCAUUAUGUUAUUAUUAAUGAUAUAGUAACAAUAAAAUUGAUUGAAUUAAAUAAUUAUUCGUCUGCGUGAGUUAUAUUAUUAUUUUAUACUUUAUUUUGUCAAAAAAUUUAUGUUACAUCUGUUUGUAUAAAAAAAAUUUAUUUUUAUUAUUACUCUUUUUUUAUUUUUUAGAAAAUGAUCCGCAUUAUCAAGUAAAGGGUGACUCAGAAUUCCGUUUAUUUGAGUGUCUAAAAUCUGAUAAAUAUCCGCCAACUCAAAUAUAUAAAUAGAGAGAGUGAAAAUAUAAUUAUUAUUAAAUAAAAUUUUUGAAUAUAAACAAAACAAAUUGAUCGGAUCUAGUUUCUUGAAGUACCUCAUCCGAACAUUACCUUUAAUUGAACAUAAGCACAGUUAACUAGCACAUUCGCCAAAAAAGCCUCGGCCCAGUGUUGGGCUUAUUAAAAUAAAAUGGAAAAAUGACACAGAGACCCCUAACAUUUGAAUAAGGGACACAAAACUUCUUAAUGUUUCAAAAAAGACACUCAGACCCCUAUUUCUUAAUAGUAAAUUAUAAUUUUACCAUUAUACCCUUAUAGCAUAUUAAAAAAUAAUUGUUCAUUAUCCAAUUUAUUUCUAUAUUAUUAAAAAAAUUACGAAUAUAACUUUAUUACCCAAUUUUUCCAUUUAAUUUUUAUCAAAUUUUAUCUUCAAACUAAAUAAAUUUAAUCCAUUGCUCAAAAAUAAAAAUAAAUUAAAUUGAUUAUUAAUAUAAAAAAAUAACAUAUAUUAAAUUAAAAUAAAUUGAAUUUACAUAUGGAGAAUUGUUAUUUUUAGAAAUUAUCAAUUUAAUUUAUAUAUAAGAAAUUAUAAGAAAUAACAUAUGAAGAAUUGUUAUUUUUAUUAUAUUAAUAAUCAAUUUAAUUUAUUUUUAUUUUUGAGCAAUGGAUUAAAUUUAUUUAAUUUGAAGAUAAAAUUUGAUAAAAAUUAAAUGGAAAAAUUGGGUAAUAAAUUUAUAUUCAUAAUUUUUUUAAUAAUAUAGAAAUAAAUUGGAUAAUGAACAAUUAUUUUUUAAUAUGCUAUAAGGGUAUAAUGGUAAAAUUAUAAUUUACUAUUAAGAAAUAGGGGUCUGAGUGUCUUUUUUGAAACAUUAGGGGGUUUUGUGUCCCUUAUUCAAACGUUAAGGGUCUCUGUGUCCUUUUCCCAAAUAAAAUUAAGGUCAUAAGUUUGAGUCUCAGACUCUCAGUAGGAAUUACUAGUCUCUGUAUUACUUUUAGACUACAGUAUUAAUAGGGACGUAUGUAGUAUAGAGCAGCUAACUUUUAAAUUUUUUUAUAAUCAUUACAAAAAAAUUUAUUUAAAACAGUGUCUCAACUGAAUUAUAAAAUUAUGAAAGUGCGUUAGUUAAUUUAAAAAAAAAAAUUCAUGUUGCCCCAAAUAAAAUGUCUAAUUUUAAAUAAUUUGAUCAAUUAUUAAUAUAUUAUGAAACUUAAAUAAAAACAAAAGACAAUAGAUUAUUAUGAUAAAACCAAUUGAAAACAAAAAGAUUAAAAUUUCACUUUAUUGUUUUUAUUUUUAUGGUUUCUUUCCAAUGCUUUGAAUAGAAAACACGCUUUCUUUAUUUGUUUGUCAUAUUGUCAAUGUGUGGAUUUCAUUCCAAUUCUCUAAAUCAAUAGUACUUUCCUUCAAUUAUUUAAUAUUUCAACAUUGAUCCAUAAAUUGUAAGUCUAGCUAAUUUAAAUUUUCAAUUUUUUGAUCAAACUUUUAUCUAGUUUUAAAAUCCCUAACUUUAUCAUUUAUUCAUAUUUGCUCUUUAUUGCACUGUAUGAAUAUUUUUGUUAUUAUUAAAAGAUUUUGAAAACAAAUUAAGUGAUAACUUAGUUUUAUAUAUAGAAAUCUAUACUUUUGAUUAUAUUGAAAAUGAAACUAUCAUAUAUUCUUUUCAACAUAUAAAAUCAUGUCAAGGAGUUUUCAAUAAGAACAAUUAUAUAUAAGUAAAUUUAUUAUCAAUGAAUAUUAUAACUGCAAUGUUAUAUGUUGCUAUCUAAAUUUUUAGAAAUGUAUUAUAUUUUAAAUACGGUGUUAAUCAAAUACAUGCAGUCAGACUCGACAAGGAGCACAGCUGUGCAUGUGGUAUGUUCCCAUUUGGAGGUUUUGGGGUCCACAACACAAUUCCCCAAAUGAGAAUUUACCACAUGUGCAAUUGUGAACUCAAAUCAUGUUUAAUUUUAAAUGUGUCCCAACUUGAUCAAUAUCGUGGUUGCGUCCUUGACUAUAAAUACAUGUAUUUUAAUUCUCACAGGUAUUGCUUCUACAAGUAAUCCUUCCUAGUAUAAAGCUUUGUAGCUUUUUAAAUUAACUAAAAAAAAAACUUGUAAAAGAAAGUGUGAUCAGGCCCGGACUUUCAAAUAAUUGGGCAUUUUUAGGCUUGAAAAUUUUAUUUCAAUUAUAGAGUCAGGCUCGGAAAUGGCUAAGCACGGGCCUGACUCGACCCACUGCCAUCCUUGCGAAUAUACUAUUGAUCCAUUACGAGCUCAUCAGUUAAAUUCAUAAUCACUAUAAAUGUGUUCCUAUCAUUCAAAACUCAUACAAUCUAAAAUUGUAAAUACACAAAAAGGUUUUCAAAGACCUCCAAAAGAAUGCCAAUAGUCUAACUCUCUAAUUUAUUUCGCAUAGGAUAUGAGUCAGGUCAACUAAGCUAAACUAAUGUUGAAAAAAAGAAGCAAAUUAAUGUUGGAGUGGUCAAUUGGUCUUCAGAAUUGUAAGAAUAAAAAACUUUGAAAAAUGACAUAAAACUCAUAAAUUAACAUUAACUGUAAAUUAAACAAACAAAUUGUAAUCCACACAUAGGAUAGUUUGACAGAAAAAUAAGUAAAUUAAUGUUGGAGUUGAAAAUUGGCCUUCAGAAUUAGAAGAAAUACAAAAAAUUAAACAAAACAACAUAAAACUCGUAAAUUCACAUUAAGUGUGAAAUGAAACUAAAAAAUUGCAAAUCAUUGGUAGUGUCGUUAAGGUGCAUCAAAUUUAAAACCUUACCACUAAUAUAAAUAAUUAGUACAGAGCGAGUAAGGAUCAAUCCCACAAAGACUAUGUAGUUAUAUUUAUUAUCAACUCUAAAGCAAGAUUUAAAAUAAAAUAAUAGUAGUAAUAAUAAUAGUAAUAAUAAUAUAAAUUAAUCUACCUAAAGAAAAUGCCAAUUAUAAAUAAAAAGGGGGUUCAUGAAUUUUUAACUAAAUAGUAAGAAGUAAAGAAAUUAAAACUACGAACAAGAAUUUAAUAAAAACUCUAAUUAAAGGAGAAAGAAAUAAUAAUGAUGAAAACUUUGGUUAAAGGAUCAUUCGCCACCACCAAACAUGCACAUAAUGUAUCAAUUCUAUUAUCAAUUUAUAUUGAAACUAUCAACCGUAGACAACAAUAAGCUCUGUUAGUCUCAAUCUUUCCUUAGUGUGUCGUUAGGCAAAACAAGCUCUUCACCUAAUCUCUAACCAUUAAAUAAUUUAAAACAAGCUCUUUAAAUUUAAGAUAAUGGAAGCAUUAAACAAAUAAAGAUAUUAGGUUGAUCUAGGCAAUAAACACACAAGCUUGGAUUAUUUAACCUAGGUUAUGUUCUCCAAUUGAAAUCAUUGAUUCCAACCUGCUACUAAUGAUUAAAAUACCAAGACAAUUACGGAUCAAGAAUUUUAAUCUAGCAAUAGAAUUUAUUCAAGUCCUAUCUAAUUGGCCACUCAAAUAAAACAAGAAUAAACCAUAAACAUUAAUUAUAGAAGAACAUAAACAAUCUCAAUUAAAUAAAUUGAAUGGUAGAAUUUAAAUUUAAUUGCAUAGCAUGUUUAGGGUUUUGAAUUCACCCUCAACCAAAUAAAAAUUUAGCCUAACAUAAUUGAAUUGAGAAUAAGAAAAUUGACAAAACCAAUCAUGGAGAUUAAUUCAAGCGGCUGCCCUUUUCUUCAAUUCCUUUUCGGUUUCUCCCUUGCUUUUCUUUCUUCCGGCUGCUAGUUCCUUAAAUCCUCUUGGCUGCCGAAUAUCUUCCAGUGUUGCUUCCGCUUGAUCCUAUUUAUAAUGCUUCAAUUGUGGCUUUUUAAAUCCUUGCUUGGAAAGAAUUAAUUUCAAAGCCCAAAACCGCCACUUUCAUGCUUCAAUUAAUAAGCCAAUAAUGAUUUCCUCAAGCCAAAAGGCUUUAUUCUCUUUCCUUUCACGUGGCCACUUUUGGUUUGCAAUCUUUGUUUUCCAAUUUUGCUUUCAUGUGAUGGCUUGGCUUGUUGGUUGGCUUGGCUUCCUUUUUGACUUUCAUUUUCUAAUUUUAGCUCCAUGUGCAACAUUAAUUUUGCUUGGCCCAUACAAGCUUUAAUUAAAUUUAUUUUCUAAUUCCUUCCAAUUCUUGAUCUCUUGUGCACUUUUGUCUCUCAAUCUUCAAUUAAAUUUCUUUCCUGAAUGCUCCGAUUUAAUUUCUCUUUAAUUCCAGAAUAUACCUAAAAUAACAAAAUAAAUAAAACUAAGAUAAAAAUUAACACAAUAAAAUAUAAUUUACUAAAUUAAAAAUUAACUAAAAUAACUAGAAUAUUUAAGACCAAAACAAGAAAAAUAUAGAGAAAUUAAUAGCAAAAUAUAUGGAAAAUAUGCACUUAUCAAUCAUACAUAGGACUAGAAGCAUGACAUAAAACUCGUAAAAUGACAUUAAGUGUGAAGUAAAACAAAAAAUACGUAAACCACACAUAAAACUAGUAAAUUGAUGAAAAAAUAGGUAAAUUAAUGUUAGAGUUGUAAAUUGCAAGAAGAACUUGUAAACAAAACAAAAAUCUAGAAAAAUGACAUAGAACUUGUAAAUUGACAUUAAGUGUGAAAUGAAACAAAAAUUUUGUAAACCACACAAAAAACUAGUAAAUUAAUGGAAAAAAUUGUAAAUUAAUGAUGGAGUUGUAAAUUAAAAAAAGUGUAAAAAAAAAACAUAGAAAAAUGACAUAGAACUUGUAAAUUGACAUUAAAUGUGAAAUGAAACAAAAAAUUUGUAAACGACACAUAAAACUAGUAAAUUGAUGGAAAAUGGGUAAAUUAAUGUUGAAGUUGUAAAUUACAAGAAGAACUUGUAAACAACACAAAAACUUCGAAAAAUGAUAUAGAACUCAUAAAUUGGCAUUAAGUGUGAAAUGAAACAAAAUUUUUGUAAACUACAAAUAAGACUAGUAAAUUAAUAGAAAAAAUGGUAAAUUAAUGAUGGAGUUGUAAAUUAUAAGAAGAAAGUGUAAACAAAACAAAAACUUACAAAAAUGACAUAAAACUUAUAAAUUGACAUUAAGCGUGAAAUGAAAUAAAAAAUUUGUAAACCACACAUAAAACUAGUAAAUUGAUGGAAAAAUGGGUAAAUUAAUGUUGGAGUUAUAAAUUGUAAAAAAAACUUGUAAACAAAACAAAAACUUUAAAAAAUGACAUAGAAUUUGUUAAUUGACAUUAAGUGGAAAUGAAACGAAAAAUUUGUAAAUGACAUAUAAAACUAGUAAAUUGAUGGAAAAAUAGGUAAAUUAAUGUUAGAGUUGUAAAUUGUAAGAAGAACUUGUAAAAUAAACAAAAACUUAGAAAAAUGAUAUAGAACUUGCAAAUUGACAUUAAGUGUCAAAUGAAACAAAAAAUUUGUAAACGACACAUAAAACUAGUAAAUUGAUGGAAAAAUGAGUGAAUUAAUGUUAGAGUUGUAAAUUGUAAAAAGAACUUGUAAACAAAACAAAAACUUAAAAAAAUGACAUAAAACUUAUAAAUUGAUAUUAAGUGUGAAAUGAAACAAAAAAUUUGUAAACCACACAUAAAAUUAGUAAAUUGAUGGAAAAAUAGGUAAAUUAAUGUUGGAGUUGUAAAUUGCAAGAAAAACUUGUAAACAAAACAAAAACUUAGAAAAAUGACAUAGAAUUUGUAAAUUAACAUUAAGUGUGAAAUGAAACAAAAAGUUUGUAAACCACACAUAAAACUAGUAAUUUAAUGGAAAAAAUGGUAAAUUAAUGAUGGAGUUGUAAAUUAGAAGGAGAAAGUGUAAACAAAACAAAAACUUAGAAAAAUGACAUAAAACUUGUAAAUUGACAUUAAGUGUGAAAUGAAAUAAAAAAUUUGUAAAUCACACAUAAAACUAGUACAUUGAUGGAAAAAUGGGUAAAUUAAAGUUUGAAUUGUAAAUUGUAAGAAGAACUUGUAAACAAAACAAAACUUUGAAAAAUGAUAUAGAACUAAUAAAUUGACAUUAAGUGUAAAAUGAAACAAAAAAUUUAUAAACCACACAUAAAACUAGUAAAUUGAUGGAAAAAUGGAUAAAUUAUUGUUGGAGUUGUAAAUUGGAAGAAGAAUUUAUAAACAAAACAAAAACUUAGAAAAAUAACAUAGAACUUAUAAAUUGACAUUAAGUGUGAAAUGAAACAAAAUAUUUGUAAACCACACAUAAAACUAGUAAAUUAAUGGAAAAAAUGGUAAAUUAUUGAUGGAGUUGUAAAUUAGAAGAAUGUGUAAACAAAAGAAAAACUUAGAAAAAUGACAUAAAAUUUGUAAAUUGACAUUAAAUGUGAAAUGAAACAAAAAAUUUGUAAACAACACAUAAAACUAGUAAAUUGAUGGAAAAAUGGGUAAAUUAAGGUUUGAGUUGUAAAUUGCAUGAAGAACUUGUAAACAAAAUAAAAACUUGUAAUUGUUGCAUAAAACUUGUAAAUCAACAUUAACUUGUAAAUGUUGUAUAAAACUUAUAAAUCACACAUAAGAUUAUUAAAUAUAACUUGGAACUUGAAUAAAAAUGAGUAAUUAUCUGCAACUUAGGUAACAAGUUACCUAUUUAUUUAGAAUUAGUGAUGGAUUUUUAUUCAAAUCUAACGGUUCACGUCAAUUAUGGCAUCAAUGUCGUAACUUUAGUUACAGCAUUAUAGAAUGACACAUAAGAUUAUAGUGACACAAUUCUUUCUAUAUUAGAUAGAAAGAAUUGUGUAUGGCGAGGUCGGGUACUUGUUGAUAUAUAUAUAUAUAUAUAUCUUCCUUUCCGAUCAAAUAAAUCCAUAAUUUUUUUUCUACUCUAUGCACCUAGACAAUAAUGAUGAAUAAAUUACAAAUAUAGACGUAGAUUCAAAGAUCAUAAUAUUUUUACACGUGUAAACACAAUUUUCUAAUCAUUUGAUUAGAAAAAAAAAUGAAGGGUCAAGAUUAUAUGGCAUAGGUUAUUCAUAAUUCUCUCAUUAAUACUCUAUCUCCAUCCUCUCUCUCUCUCUCUCUCUCAUUUGAGCUAAAUUUUUUAUCUGUUCUCUUAUUUAUUUUUUUAAUUCUAUCCGUAAUUUUAUAUCACUAUAAUUACCAUGAUAAAAUUUGGAUAAUUUCAAUGAAAAUAAUUUUUUUUUUUAACAAUACGAGGUGAUCACCGAACUUUUCAUUUAAUAUCAUUAACUAGAACAAAGCCACAAAGCCAAUGUUCCAAACAUAAAGUGAUAAAGGUAUGUGUUCUUGUCUGAGUGGCAAGGGAUAGUAUCUUCUUGGGGUAAAAGCUCAUUUAGUCCCUAUAUUUUAAUAUUAGUGUCCAUUUAGUCCCCGUAUUUUUAAAAAUACCUCGAAACAUGCCUACCGUUAAAGUAUUGAUACCCCUAUCGUUACUUUUUAUUUUUUUUAGCUUACUUUUACAAUAUUACCCUUUUAUAAUAAUUUUUUUGUUUGGACAUUAAUAAAAAUAAAAUAAUUAAAUUACCAAUUUAACCCUAAAAAAUUAUAUUAAUUUUUAAUUGUCAAAAAUUAAAUUGUCAAAAAUUGUAUGCAAACUAUCAAGUGUGCAAAUGGUGCUUGCAAAAAAAUUAAUAUAUAUUUUUUUAUUUUUUAGGGUUAAAUUGAUAAUUUAAUUAUUUUAUUUUUAUUAAUGUCCAAACAAAAAAAUUAUUAUAAAAGGGUAAUAUUGUAAAAGUAAGCCAAAAGAAAUAAAAAGUAAUGGUAGGGGUAUCAAUACUUUAACAGCAAAGAUGUUUCAAGGUAUUUUUAAAAAUACAGGGAUUAAAUAGACACUAAUAUUAAAAUACAAGGACUAAAUAGGUUUUUACCCCAUCUUCUUGCAUAAAAGAUUAAUGACAUCAGAAUUACCGUAUUUAGGAAAGUGGAACAUUUAUACGGACAACCUAUAAAAAAUUUCAAAAAGCUAAUCAGCAAAAAAUAAGUAUUUUAAUUCAAAAUUUUGUACUUGGAUUUUCCUGUCCUUUUAUACAGCAUUGAUAAUGGGGUUGCUAUAAAUCCUUUGAUUUAAAUAUUUUAAUUUAUAUAAUUAAUUUAAUUAAGUGAAUAAAUAAUUAGUUAAUUAAUGGCGUUACCUUUAAAAUAAAGUUGAUAAUUCAAAUUAAAUAGAGAUAUUUAUGAAUUUAACACGAAGAAAGAGAAGUUGUAGUGACAGUUGUAGUGUCAAUUACAUUUAUAAUUUCAUUUGUAGUGAAAGUGAGAGUUCCAAUAUGCAAUAUACAAAGAGUGUGUGUGUGUAAAAUUGUGCGUAAGUGAGAUGCUGCCGUUGGAUGAAUUGAAUGGACAUGAUUCAUUGUCAAUGUGGGACCCACAACUGAAGGAAAAAAACUUAGUCAUAGGCUUUACAUACUGGCCCACAAAUAAAAUGCAAGGAAAAGGACAAUCAACCCCUAAUGUUUGGGAAAAAAAAUAUAAACCUCUUUAGCAUCCCAAAAAAGAUGGGAAAUUUACGAAAAUAACCAUUAAUAUUUUAUUAUUUUCGCAAUUAACCUUCUCAACUUUUUUCUAUCAACAUUAGCCAAACACAAGCCUUUCUUCCCAAAUUACCCUUCUUUACAGAACAAAACCAACAUUGUUUCUCCCAUAUCGCCAAACUAAAAGCAGCUUUUCACUCUUGAAUCAUCAGCCAACGACGACCGCAAAAGACAACGGUAAAAGUGAUAUCCGAUCAUAAUCUAUCUGGAUCUAACACAAAUCGACAUCACUUAGUGGUAUGAAUUAUUUUCUGAACUUACUGAACUGAGUCGGGUGAAUCUGAAUCUGGCGACAGGUUGCCUGUCGCACCCACUCUAGAGAUUCAUUAAAAUUGUAUUAUUUUAAUAGGACUCAAAAUUUUUUUUUUUAUAAUUUCAGGCUUAAUGGAUUCAGUUGUACUUGAAUUGUGUUACGAUGGUUGGUGGGAGACAUUAGAGAAUGGCCGUAUGGAGUACGUGAAUGGUAAAAAUCGAGCUUUUUUGGUUGGAAAAAAUUAUCUGUUUGAUCAGUUAUUGGCAAGAGUAUACGAGGUGUUACAAAUAAACCCUAAUGACUAUAGUAUCACAAUGAAGACAACUUUGAGGUCUAGUAACACAUUAUAUCGUAUAUGUGCAAUGCCCAUGGAUAUAUGUGAUGAUGAAAUGGUGAGGAUUGUGUUGCAUAUGGCAUCUGACGUAGCUAAUUUUGGAUGCAUUCCUAUAUUCGUGACCACAUCACCUCGAGUUCCGAGCGAAGGUAUUGAGCCACAUGUCGAUACAGAAACUUCGUUUAGAGCAAAUAUGUCUGGCCCUGAUAAUGAUGAAGAGGUGUUGCUAAGGACAAUAUCGCUGCAGCAAUAUUACUCUUUAAUCCACGACAAUUAUGACAACAUUGAUGAUAAUGGCGUUACGUUACAGGAUGUUGGAGCAACGGUAUUUCCAAUAACAACGUCGUUGGAGCAACGAUAUUCUCCGUAUCACAGCAAUGAUUUUCGGGACAAUGAUGAUUUUCAUAAUGAGACAGAGGGGGAUAAUGUUUGUGCAAAACCUUCUAAUAAUAUGAGGCGGGGCACUCGUUUCAAUAAUGAUGGUGAUGAUGGAGGAGCCGGUCCUUCGAAUGUUCCGUCGUUUCAGCAUGAGGAUGAGUGUGAAGACAAUACUCCUGUGAAUAACAGAGGCAAUAGACCUAUUCCUUCUAUGGUUCGAUCGAGAAGGAGAAUUGACCCCCUUACAAGUCUUGCUCCAACUUUGCCUUCGAACAUGGUUGCUCCAAGCUUUGUUAGCAAUUGUGACUCAGAUGAUAUCAGCGUGGGUAAGCUAUUUGCUGAGAAGAAUGAGCUUAUAUUACAACUACGCAAGGUGGCCUUUAGAGAUAAGUUUGAUUUCAAGAUUGCACGGUCUACUACGACACGUUUCGAGGCUCACUGUUGUUCAGAAUCAUGUAAAUGGCGUAUUCGAGCAACUAGAAGUUCGAACGAGCAAAAUGUUCCUUGGGUGGUGAAGAGAAUUGAUAAUGUACACACUUGUCAUAAUGAGGUAUUGGUUGAUGGACGUCAUCAAGUAAGGAGCCGGGUUGUCGGUCAUAUUAUCGCAGAAAAAUAUAUUCAAGAUAAGAGGAUUUAUACUUCCAAUGACAUAAGAGCAGAUAUGCAACAAGAAUACGGUGUUCAGUUAACAUACCAGCAUGCAUAUAGGGCGAGAGAAGUUGGUCUUGAAAUAGUUCGCGGCAACCCUGCAGAGCCAUACAACUUGCUCCCUAAAUACUCUCACGUACUAACUACAGCGAAUGAGGGUACAGUCACUCACCUCGAGCAGGAUGGAGAUGGUAAUUUCUUAUACUAUUUUGUAGCACUCGGAUCUUCCAUCAAGGGGUUUAUGCAGUACAUUCGGCCUGUCAUUGCUGUAGAUGGUACUCAUCUGAAGGGACUAUAUUGUGGAAGCAUGUUCGUGGCAACAUGUCUUGAUGGUAACAAUCAAUUGUAUCCGUUAGCCAUUGGGAUCAUGGAUUCAGAAAACAAUGAUGCUUGGGAAUGGUUUAUGAUGAAGUUACACGGAGUGAUUGGUGAUAGACCUAAGUUGGUAAUUAUCUCUGAUCGAUGCACUGCCAUAAGGAGAGCCGUUCUUAAAGUAUUUCACAAUGCAACUCAUGGCGUUUGUUUUUACCACGUCAAAGGUAACAUUAAGUCACAAUUUAGAAUGUCCAAAGCUCUUUGGGAUGAAUUUGAGCCUGUCUUUAUUAAUGCAGCAAAAGCAUAUGGCCACGAGGAAUUUAAGAGACAACUUGAGGGGUUGUGGAUGAUCCACUCGGGUGCGGCUGAUUACCUAGAAAAUAAUGUCGGUACGUGUAAUUGGGCAAUGUCUCAGUUUAAAGGUAGGAGGUACAACAUUCUUACCACCAACAUCGCGGAGAGUGUUAAUGCUUUCAUGAGGGAACCUCGAAAAUUUCCUGUUACUCAUCUUGUUGAUCACUUUAGGAAAACAUUGCAGCAAUGGUUUUAUGAUAGAAAAAUUGUGGCUGAAUCAAUGACUACUCGGCUAACAACAUGGGCGGAUGAAAUAGUAACUGAGAGGAGAACUAUAGCUGAAAGAAUGAUAGUUCGGCCGGUGUCUCCGCAUCGCUUUCAAGUUAUAGGCGGUGGGCUUAAAGAAGUGUUGGUUGACUUGCAACACCGCAAUCGCCAGUUUCGGGCUCUUGUUGCGGCGCUCUCUUAACUGCGAUAACUUUCCACGGGUCUUCACUUCGCAACUCAGGUCGGAUAUUGUAGAAGCCAACAUAUUCCAACCAUCGAGGGAAUAUAACUUCAAGUGGCUUGAAUUUCAACUUGUACCUUUUGUCGUCGCGAAAUGUGAGUAAUGAGUCAUAAAUCCAGACUUUAUUUUUCCGAAAGUCAACUCGUGCUAGUACCCAAUGCGCGCCGUCCAAGUUAACAGGGAUGAGUAACUGCAUAUAAAAAUUGAAAAACAUGUUCGUUAUAUAUGCAAUUGAAAUACAACAAAGAAAAAGCAACAACUCGAAUAUUUUCAUUAUAGAGCAUGUGAAAUGUAAUAAAAUACAUACCAUAUCGACAUCCGUCAUUGUGUGCUGUUACCCACAAAGAUAACUAUUCAAGCGGUCGUCGAAUACCAUUGAAUCGACUGCACAAUUCUCGUUAUUCCAUAACUGAUUCAAGAACACCUAGUACAUAGAUAACCAAGAAACUGCCGCUUUGUUAAUUUUUCCUCUUUGGCUUUUACGACCGAAGAUAACAUACACAUGCUCGAAAUUCGACUAGGAAAGUGAUCAGCAUAACAAAAAUACAUCUUGCCUACUUCAAUAUCCGGUGAUUCUGAUUUCGCCAUGUAUCUGUAAUAUUUAUAAAAUUAUUACAUUACAUUUACAGAAAAAAAAAUUGACUCGUUAAAAAAAAAAAAACUCUAAUUUUUGGUGCGACAGGGCCUGUCGCACCAGAUUUGGUACGACAGCGUGUCGCGCAUGGGCCCGCGCUGCUGCCCAGCGAUGGGCGCGCGCGCGCGCCCUGCCCCUCCCUCCCCACCCCUAAAAUUAAGCGCAAUCACUCCAAAAUCGAAAACAAUACUCCCAAACACCACCAACCACCACAAACAUCAUCACCACCACUAUUAUUCUCAAGCUAUAACUAUUAUUAUUCUAAAAUCUCACUUUAAAUUAAGGAAAUUAAGAAAAAUGACUAACCUAGGUUUUGUUAAAGGUUGUAGAUCGUAGAUAGGAUGCCGUUGAGAGAUGGAGCCGCCGCCGAUGAGGGUUGAUGUCGCCGCCGAUGAUGGGAGUUGGAUCGGUUUGGGAGAGAUGAGUGAAAGGGAGUGUUGGGGGAGAGAUGAGGGAGGGGUAUUUUAGUCUCAAAUGUUGUUUUAUGGCUAAUGUUGAUAGAAAUAUUUUUGGGGGGUUAAGAUGAAAAAAAGCAAAUUUUUUUUGGUUAUUACUGUAAAUUUCCCAAAAAAGAUACAUAACUCCAUUCUUAUUAAUAAAUUCCAUUUGUUUUAAUGAUAAAUUUAAUUUUAAUCACUGCUAUAUCCCUAUAAUAAAUAAAUCAAGAUAAUGACCUAAGGCAUGUUAUUGAUGACGUGUAUAAUGAAAUCAAUAAUUUUUUAUUUAAAACUUAAAAUUGAGAUAUAAUUAUUUUUUACCUAAACUAUUCACUUUAUAAUAGUAAUUACAAAUUAAAAAUAAAUUUACUAUUAAAACAAAUAUAAUUACUAACAAAAAGGAGGGUUAUUUUCCUUUUUUGAAAUGAUUUGCAAGCAUUUGGGGCUCAGAGUCCUUUUAAAGAAAAUGAAUUCAAUCCCUCCUCUCUCAUCUCUAUCUCUACACCUUACCCCCUGCAGAUGGCUUAUUCUUCAUUUUUCCUUGGUAGAGGAUAUAAGGUUCUUUAAAUCCCACAUAAAUUCCACCAAAAAAUACAAGAUUUACAUAUCACUACUAGGUAAACGCAAAUUAAUGAUAGAAAUUUUACGACACAUAUCAUUGGGUCACUGGUGUAUCAUAAAAGCAUGACAUAUUCAUGACUUUUAUCACACUGACAUUUAUAAAUGAUGGAUGUAUGUUAUGCAUGUAGUUUACAUAUAUGAGCAUGACAAAUUUAUGUCAUGAUAAGAAACGACGUCGUUCUCUAUUAUUGAAUUAUUGAUUUUAACUACUUUUAUUUGUACACAUGUCAAAUUUUGAUUGAAUAUUUCAUUAGACUUAGAAAAAAGCUUACCUGCACUAUAUUUCAUAGUAUAAAAAUAAGAGAAUAAAACCCUAAACCAAAAAUUUGCUUAAAUGUAAAACUCUUCUCUGCUCUCAUCACGCUCAACAACCUUAACUCUCACUGCCCUAACAGCAGUUGAAAUGAUCAUCUAGCAAAAUGAGAUAUAUGAUGCGUUGCAUACCGUGGCAAUCUAAGCGAGAAAUCCUUUGACUUUGGCAAGCACGAGAUCGCCGACCUUCCAUUGGCGACGAGUAGCAGUCAUGGCUAUGGCUUUGCUUUCUCCUUUUCUCAAACUUAGCACCAUUAUUGGAGAAUUGCACCACACUUAAUCGAUAAAAAUGUACGACAACAAACAAGUUGAAGCUAACAAAAUAGAUGGAUUGAGAGAAGCAUGCCAAAAUUGCUCUUGUGAGGGUUCUGUUUAGCUGUCUAGGGGUCUCAAGGCACGAUUUGGCAAUGAAAUUUGCAGGCAUUGAAACACAUAAAUCGGACAAAAGAAGGGUGAGUAUCUCAAAACCCUAAUUUGUGCAAGAGUGAGCAAGUGAUUGUGUAUGUUAAUAUGAGUGUCUGAUUGUUUCUAUGUAAUAUUGGGGGUUAUUGUGGUUGAAGAUGCACGAAAAUUCAAUCAUGUGACUACUUGACAUUACAAAAAUUCAAGAGAUGAUCUCUACUGUCAUCUUUAAAUUCAAAUCUCGGUAGCGGCAGCGAGCAAACAUCGCGCGUCAUCUUGUGUCUUUCUUUUCCUCUCCAAAGCCAAACACCAAAGUAAACAUGUUGUGGUGAGUCCAAUUGCUCAUUUAUUUUGUUGAAUUUGGUGUCUAAUUGAUUUAAUCUUUGAGAUCUACGGUUUGUUUCUCUUUUUAGGUUCUGAAAUUAGAAAACAAUUGAAUCUUUAUUACAGUGAUGAGAGCCGAGUUCAACAAUAAUUAAAAAGUUAAAAAUAAGAUUCUAUUUCAUGAAAUUUUAUAGCUGAUUAAAAGAGAGAGGGCAUUGAUUGUUCAGCGAAAACCAGUUGAGAAAUAAAGCGUUAUGAGCAAUGAAGAUGAGGCUAAAUCUGAAGAGAUGAUGAAGAAUGAGAGUGCUUUUCUUCUUGCUUGGUUGGGUAUUGGUGGAAUCAUUCUUUUUCAAAGUAUUGCUCUUGUGGCUUCGGGUAUGUUAAUUGAUGAAAAAUAGAGCCCUCGUUGUUAAAUUUUGUUGAUGCAUAUAUUGCUUUGCUUUUCAAUUCCAGAUGAGUAAUUUGGUAAUUUAGUUGAAUUUUUGUGAUUUUUUUCCCUUUUGCCUGGAAGAUUCCUUGAAUUGAAUAAUUAGUACACUUGAUUAGAUUGAUUUCAUAGACUAGUUAUUAGUUAAAAACUAAUGUGCCAAUUGUUAUCCUUAAAAGUGUAAAUUUUAGAGUUUAGGAGUAGACUUGAUUGUUCAAAUUCAGCGAACAAAGAUUAAUUUUUAAAUAACAACUUCGCAAAAUUAUAAUCUUUGUUGCCAAUCAGUUGCUUUUGCAUGCUAUAGAAGUUUAAGCCGUCACAGGAAGUGCCUAGUGCUGGAGUUUUUCUAGAUUGUAUUUUCCUCUCAUUUCUCUUGACAAUUGAGCUGAAGUCCAAACAAAUGACAUGCCAUCAGAUUUCUAAACAAAAUCUCUAUUUAAUAGCUAAGAUAUUUAGGAUCUUGGUCUAAUGAACUUGAGACCAACCUCCAAGUCCACAUGAAAGUGCAGUUGCAUACAAACAUAUGAUGAACUAGUUGGUAAAAUGUAUCAAAACCUUGCCUGUCAGCCUAAAUCUUAGGUACACGAUCAUGUAAAUAUACUCAAGUUGGCUAUCUUUUGUAAGAUUUGCUGGCCCUGCAAAACGAACCAAAUUAAAAAUUGAGUUCUUAACUGAUGUGCAUGUGCUCCAGAUAGGUUUCAGAUAUUUUAUGAAGCUCAGUAUUUAUUAGUUGUUUCCUCGAUUAUUGAAUCAUUCAAUGGUAGUUGCAUGUCUCAUUGAUUGCUAUUGAUAAUGCUUUAAUUCUUUGUUGCUGUUUUUUUACUUUUUCUGCAGUUGUUAACUGCAGUUUCCUGUUGUUUUCCUGCUGUUUUCUACUAUUUUAGUUGUUGUUUCAUGUUGUUUUCCUGAUGUUUCCUAUGAUUUUACUUGUUGUUUGCUGCUAUUAGUGUCGAUAGCUGCUGUUUUAUCUAAUGUUUGGUGUUGUGUUUCGCCACUUUUCUUUUUGUUGUUUUACAAUAUUUUCGUUCAUUAUCCAUUACCUAAUUUUGUAGUGGGGACAAAUUUAUUAGGUACUAGGUUAAUGGCAACAUGUUGACAAUGGAUCCAGCGACUCAAAUGUAUAGAAUUCUUAAGCAUACAAACCAUGAAUACCUUUUUCAGGUUGUUUAAAUUGUGAAAAAAUAUGAAUUUUUUUGUGGGUUUUUUUUAGACUAUCGUUUACAUGAAUACCUCUCAAGCAACUGGAUAUGUUGGUGUUCUUAUAAUAACAAGGUAUGUAUGUUCCAUUCUGCUAUUUUUGUGCUCUUUGGUACAUGGUUUGAGGAAAUUAAAAUAAUCUUUGUUGAUUAUCCGCUAAUAAAUUUUGGUAUGCGACAUAAUAUUUAAUGACCUAUGUGAGAAUUAAUAUUGUGACAUUGUGUUUGAAGCAUCUGAUUUCUGUUGAUUGGUGCUAUUCAUUGUAUGGUUUUUUAGAAAUAAAAUUUUAGUUGCAAGAGACUUCAUCUAAUUUUGAUUUUGUAGCUACACUUGAAUCUUAUUCAUGUAGUUGUGUAGCUUCGAACAUCAAUGGUGGUUUUUUAAAUCUGGUGGCUAAAACAGGAAGAACAAUGUUGUGGCGAAGAUUUUUUGUUAAAUUAAAAGAAUUUAAGUAAGUUAAAUAUAUUGGCUCAUCGAAGAAGGCAGAAUUUUUUUCCUCACUGUUAUAUCAUGCUCCAGAUCUACUGUAUUUGAGAUGGAUUAUACAAGCAUAGGGAAUUGACAAUUGAUCAUUAUGGGAGCAUUUUAAACAUGCCCAAGUUAGAAAGUAAAAGUCAGCAUACUCAUUUUCGUUGUUGCAUGUAUAUUGAUGAAGUGUUGUUCAUUAAUUGCUAUGCUACCAUCAUGGAAAGCAUAUACUGAUGAAGUGUUGAUUCAACUAUGAAUUGUUGUACUUAUUUUAUUUGAUAACUGAUAGCUGAUAGUGUUGUAGAUGGAUUUGCUAAUUAUGAUAUAUGAAUUUGAAUUAUGAAUUAUGGUUUAUGAAUUAUGAGAUUGUGAGUGUAUUGUAGAAUAUUAGUUGUUUUUUAGCUGCUGCUGCUAAAACUAAAAAAUUCAAUUCUAAAAAAAAUUAAUAUUGAUAAUUCAAAUUUGGCACCAAUAAUAUAUUUUAAUUUUAAAAUUAAUCUUAAUAAAUCUUGCCAAAUAAUAUUUAAAAUAAAUUUAAUUUCCUGCCAAAUAUAUUUUAAAAAUUGUCAAAAUUCCCUCUAGAUUUAAUAAAGUUUAAAAAAUUAAAUAAUUUUAUUAUUUCUAGACUAAUUAAUUAAAUGUCAUCUUUGUAUGGCAUAUAAUAGUCAUGCAUCAAAAAUGUUUAUGAUAUAAACUAGUCAUGCGCGAAUUUUUUUAAUUAAAAUGAUUAUGACACAAUUGUGACAGAUAAUAUGUCAUGUAUUAGAUGAAGUAUAAAAAUUGUUAUCUAAUUUUCUUAACAUUAUAAUCAAGGACGGUUAUUCAACCGUCAUGCUCUAUAGCACAUGAUGGGUAAAAACCGUCAUAAAGCUCUUUUUUUUUUUUCUAAUAGUGUGUGUAGGCGCCCACUUUGAUUUAAUGUCAUAAGUUUCGCAGAGCCAUUCAUUACCAUCCAAUUUUGGAUGUCAUCCUUCCACCUUGUUUUAAUUCGAACUCAUCAGUAGUCUUUGAAUCCUAUAUAUAUUUUUAGAAUUUUUUUUUUUAACAAGAAUUUAUGAGAUGAUAUAUACCUUCACUCAACCUUCGAAAAAAUUAAUUCAAAAUGUGCAAUCCUAAUUCCUACGACUAAAAAGAAAAUCACAAGCAUUGUUUUGGGGGGGGGGGGGGGGGGGGAAGGAAGAGUGAUUGAAUUCUUCCACAUUUUCUUUUUCAUUUAUAUGUGGGUCCCACGAUGUAAAGUGCUUGACUUAAGUUAUUUUAUUCUUUAGCUGCGGGUGACAGCAAAUUCUAUUCAUACAAUUCAUGUCACAGAUAGCAUCUCAUAUCCACGCAAUUCACAAUUUCCGGAUAUCCGCAUGUAUGCUUAUGUAUACUUUUCAGUUUACACUCUAUAAAUGAGAAGCCGAUAAUACGUUGAAUUUUUUUGAUCUACAAUUGUAUUCAACAAAAUGUCUUUCAAUGAUAUUAAUCAAGAAUUAUAAAAGAAAAAUUCUAUAAUACAGUGAUUAAAACUGUAGUAUCAAUGACAUGAUAAACAUAAAUUUUAUAAAUUUCACAUAAAACUAGUUAAUGAAAGGUAAAAUAAAUAUAUUAGUAUAAGAGUGGUAAAUUUGUGUUUUAACAUCACAAAUAAAAUAAAAACUUAUAAAAAUAAUAUAAAACAUUAAAUCAAUAUUAAAAUUUCAUUAAACAAAAAAUAAUUUAUUUAUUUAAUUAAAUUAAACAAAGAAAAAAUUCAUUCAUCAAUUGAAAAAAAAAGUGAAAUAAAAACAAUUGGAAUAAGUUUUAUUGAUUUUGAUUAACCAUAAAUUCUAUAUUUAUUCUAAGAUAUUCAUACUUUUUUUUUUUCAUUUUCUAUCAUAGUAUUAUUUACUGCACAAGUCCAUUAAGCAAAAUUAUUUUUCUUGAUGUGGAUCAAGGCAAAAUAAAAUAAAAAGAUAUACUUAUAUUACUAGAUAUAUAUGAUAUAUCAAUAAAAUUAGAUCUAAUUUUCUGUUUUAUACAUACUUCAUUCAGCUUUUAACUAUUCUUCUCACUUUUAUUUAAAGAUUAUUUGGGGUUAUUGCCGAGGAAGUUUUGAAGGAUGUAAAAUUACCUUAUCUUAUAAACAGCUUUGAAAAAUAUGAAAAGAAUAGUUAUUCAAAUUCCAAUUUUGAGAAUAAAUUUUAUCCUUAAUAAAAUUCACAUUUAUCAUCACAUGUGUUAAAUAAACCCAAAGCUUCGUUAUUCAAUUUAGAAACAAAAUCAGCAAAUAUAUAAGGUGAUCAUUAUUAUAAUGAGUUUUUAUUUUAUACUUGUAAAGUUUUUAAUAAUUCUUAUGUUAAUUUACUUGUUUUACAUUGAAUUUACAAGUUUUAUGUUUUAGUUAUCUAAUUGAUGUUUUAUUUUACAUUUAAUGUUGAUUACAAGUUUUAUGUUAUAUUAGAGUUUUUUUUUAUUUACUAAUGAUACACCAAUUUACUAUUUUUAUGUUAAUUUACUUAUUUUACUUUCUAUUUACAAUUCUUAUGUUUCAUUUACAUAAUUUAUAUUUUAUUUUACAUUUGAAGUUGAUUUAAAAGUUUUAUGUUACAUUUGUAAGUUUUUAUUUUGUUUAGUAAUAAUACUCCAAUUUACCUCUCCUAUGUUAAUUUACUUAUUUAAUCUUUGUUUUACAAGUCUUAUGCUCCAUUUUCACAAUUUUAUGUUUUGUUUUAUACUUAAUGUUGAUUUAUAAGUUUUAUGCUACAUUUAUAAGUUUUCUUUUUCAUUUACAAAUAUACACCAAUUUAUCACUCUUAUGUUAAUUUGCUUAUUUUACCUUUCAUUUACAAGUCUUAUGUUCUAUUUACACAAUUUAUGUUUUAUUUUGUACUUAAUUUUGAUUUACAAGUUUUAUAUUACAUUUCCAAGUUUUUGUUUUGUUUACCAAUAGGACACCGAUAGCCACUAAUUGACAUUAAAAAGUGUACAUUUAAUAGGGAUAAAACUAUCAAUUUUUUACUUACAGUGUCGAUUAAUGCAUUCAUUAUUCCUAAAUUAUCUUAACACUCUCCAAAUAUAUAUGUAUGUUAAAUUAAUUUGUAAUAUGUUAAUUUUAUUUUAAUUUUAUAUUGUAGAUAUAUUUUAAGAAUAAAGAGGAGUUGGAACUUGGAAGCGAGAAACAAAUAAGAAUUGUUGGAACCAUUUGGAAUGCAUUAUUGAGGAGAUGUAAUAAAUUAAAAUAUUAAAUAAAAAAAAGUGAGCAAACAUGCUCGUAAUGGUCAAGUUGCUAUUUUGCCAAUUGACCAUCACACUUCUCUCUCUCUCUCUCUCUCUCUCUCUCUCUUUAUAUAUAUAUAUAUAUAUAUUAUAAAAAAUUAAAAAAAAUAAAGAAUAAUAAAAUAAAAGAAGAGGAUGCAUUGCUCACCUAUGAAAGGCGAGCGGAAACAAGUAGUAGAGUGAGGGAGAGAACAAGAGGGAAGUUGAGGAAUUCUUUCCUUUUUUUUUAGAAGUUUGUUAAAUAAAAUGAAUGUUUUUCUUUUCAAUAUAACUGUGGCACAUUAGGUAUUUGAUCCCAUAUUUAUCCACACAAAUGGUUAGUUGAAAAUUAAAUGGAAAAAUAAGUAACUGGCAAAAGAAAUGCAAAAUAUAAAUUUGGGAGAGUAUUGUAACCAUAAUUUGAAAUCCGAGAGUGGAUCUCGUAACCUUAGCAUAUUUUUAGAUUGAUUCCUAUUAAUUUCUUUUCCAACAUUUAAUUUUCUUUGUGAAAUAAAUUAAGUAGUAGAUUUUAAAUUUCAUGUGGUUUGACCUUGGACUCACCGGAUUAUAUUAUAAUUAGACACUCUUAUACUUAGGAGUAAUAACACUUUUGACUCGUGUCAACCACUCUUAUGUUAAUUUACUUAUUUUACCUUUAAUUUACAAGUCUUAUAUUCUAUUUACACAAUUUAUAUUUUAUUUUAUACUUAAUGUUGGUUUGCAAGGUUUAUGUUCCAUUUGUAUGUUAUCAUUUUGUUUACCAAUAACACCCUAAUUUACUAUUCCUAUGUUAAUUUAAUUAUUUUACCUUUCAUUUAUAAAUCUUACGUUUCAUUCACACAAUUUAUACUUUAUUUUGCACUUAAUAUUGAUUUAUAAGUUUUAUGCUACAUGUGUAAGUUUUUAUUUUGUUUAUUAAUAAUACACCAAUUUACCAUUCGUAUGUUAAUUCAAUUCUUUUACCUUUCAUCUAUAAGUCUUAUGUUCUAUUUACACAAUUUAAGUUUUAUUUUACACUUAAUAUUGAUUUACAAAGUUUACGUUACAUUUGUAAGUUUAUAUUUUGUUUAUCAAUAAUAUACCAAUUUACCAUUUCUAUGUUAAUUUAAUUCUUUUUCCUUUCACUUAUAAGUCUUAUGUUCUAUUUACACAAUUUAUGUUUUAUUGUACACUUAAUAUUGAUUUACAAGUUUUAUGUUACUUUUGUAAGUUUAUAUUUUGUUUACCAGUAAUUCACCAAUUUACCAUUCCUAGAUUAAUUUACUUUUUUAACCUUUGAUUUAUAUGUCUUAUGUUCUAUUUACAUAGUUUAUAAUUUAUUUUACAUUUAAUGUUGAUUUACAAGUUUUAUAUUAAAUUUACAUGUCAUAUGUUUCAUUUACAUAAUUCAUGUUUACAUACGGUAUUGAUAUCGUGAUUUUAAUCAUGGCAUUAUAGAAUAACCCUAAAAUUGAGAGGAAAACUAAAUUUUAUAAACAAGAGUUUUCCAAAUUAAUGACAACUUAUAAUUAUGCAAGUAAUAUAGUUUUCAUUGAUUUAACUAUUCCAUUUAUAGAUUUACAGGAGAGAGGAAAGAGAAAAUUGGAAUAGGAGAAAAAAUAAAAUUAAACAUUAAAAAAAGAAGAGAGAAAAAUAUUAAUGAAGUUAGAAAUUCUUAUCAUCUAAUGUUAACGCUUCAUUCUUAUUUCCAUUUUACAACACUCAAUCAUCUGACAUUAUUAUUAUUGUUGUUGUUGUUGUUGUUGUUGUUGUUAGUACUACUACCACCAUCUUCUUUACCAAUCCCGAGAUAAAUUCAUACUGAACGAUCUUUUAGCCAAAAGUUUCAACACACUUAUCCUUAGCCAGACCUGACUUUAAGUAUGCAAAAUGAAUUUAGAUUUAGUGUUGAACUGAGUUUUUUACUAAUUCUUUAAAAAGAUACAAUUAGUAGUUAUUAAAUAAGAAUAUAAAACUAAUUAAAUCUUAAAUCUUAAUUAUGUAUUGUUGUACAUGCAUGUGAGGCAGCUCGGGUCAACAUUGGAUCCAAAUCCAUGGCAAAUAACUCUCCAAAUCCAUCAUUUCCUCUAUGACAAAGUGAUCAAAUGGCCCCUUAUUCUCUGCUCCAUGAUGUGCUAAUAAUUUAUAUAUUAAUUUAAUAUUUCAUUAACUUAAUUUUAUGUCAAAUUAUAUUCUCUUAUGUUAAUUUUUAUCUUAAUUUUAAUAUUUUGUUGUUUUAGGUAUAAUCUAGGACUAGAGAGGAGUUAAAUCAUAACAUUCAGAAAAAAAUCUAAUUGAAAGAAUCAGAAAGGGAAAAAAUAAAGAAAUUUAAUUGAAACAAAUCAAGGAAGAUUUACCAUCAUGCAUGCAAUCACGUGGGGGAGGGGGGGAGCAUUUAAGAUUUAGUUGACAAAUAUGGCAUGUACGUGAACUUGGGUUUUUGAAUUUGCAAUAUAAUGGCCUAAGAACUUAAAGGUAGCUUGGCUUACUUUUGUGAGUUUGUCUUUUUAAUCCUUUUGGGUUAAGGAUUUAAAGGUCACCGAUUGAGCAUUACAAAAAGAAGAAAACAGGGCAAAAGCCGAAGUAGCCUCACGAAUAGAAUCAGGUAGAAGCACCCGCAAGACAUCCAGAGAGAAGCCAGAUUAAUUCUUGAGUUUUUCUUUCCCUCUUCUCUAUUGCUGUGCUUGAAUGUUCCCUACAAUGUUUAUGAAUUCUUUUUAUAUUCCAAUGAAAUAAUUUAUUUUGCUAGGGCUACAACAUAGCCUAACUAUGAAAUUUAAUUCCAUAAAUCUAUGUUAUUUUUAGUUUAUUAUUCCAUGAUUGGGUGUUCAUUAUUGUGCUUAAUGCUUUUAAAUAUUUGGCCAAUAUUUGAAUGAUUUGAGGAUAUAUAAUGAGAGCAAGAGGAGAUUUAUGUAUUUUUCCUGUAUGUAAUGGAUGUCAUGAAUUGAACGAAAGACAGAGAUGUGCCAACGUGAUUUAUGCAGUUUUAUCUAAGAACUUCCAUAGAACUUAAUGAAUUUUUACAUAUUUAAAUUCACUUAGAGAUAUAGUUAGUUAAUAUAUGAGGGUAUUUUUUUUAUAUUAUUCGAGAUAAGAUAUUGAAUAGAUUAGGGAAAUUUACUAUCAAUAUGCAUGAUAAUCUUUAAUAGUAUCGAUGGAGGAUUAAAUUGGAUUGGUUAUAGGGAAAGCAUAUGUCCUAAUUUCUAAAUCUCUUGGUGAUUUUUAUUACUGCUUGCAUCUUUAUUUAAUUUUUAGUUAUUUUGUUUUAUCUAGUUUUUAAUCGAAAUUCACUUAUUCAGUUAUUCAAAUAGAAUAGGGUUAGAAUAAUUGAAGUAACUAAUAGAAUAUACAAUCUCUAUGGGACGAUACUCUACUCUUCAUUAUAUUACUCGUGUUGACUACUACACUUGCUAAUACGCAACAAGUUUUUGGCUCCGUUGCUGGGGAUUUUUUGGAUUAGUAUUGAUACCAACUAACCUUAGUUUAAUUUCAAUUUUAUUUUUAUUUUUAUUUUUUUUAUUUUAUUUUCAUUUUCUUGUUUAAUUUUAUAAGACAUUCAAGAAGUUUUGAUUUAUUGCCUUUUGAUGCAGAGAUUGAAUGUACCUAUAGAAGGCUCAAUAGGGAAAGAAGAGAAGCUUUGCAGGAAUAACAACUAAUUAUGGCUGAAAAAACAAUACAAGAAAAUAGAGAUGCAAGACUUUUACGAGAUUAUGUUGUGCCUACAAUUAGUGGUACUCGCUCAAGCAUUGCAUGUUGUGCCGUUCAAGCCAAUAAUUUUGGGACUCUUCAUUAUAUUACUCAUGUUGACUACUACACUUGCUAAUACGCAACAAGUUUUUGGCUUCGUUGUUGGGGAUUUUUUGGAUUAGUAUCGAUACCAACUAACCUUAGUUUAAUUUCAAUUUUAUUUUUAUUUUUAUUGUUUUUAUUUUAUUUUCAUUUUCUUGUUUAAUUUUAUAAGACAUUCAAGAAGUUUUGAUUUAUUGCCUUUUGAUGCAGAGAUUGAAUGUACCUAUAGAAGGCUCAACAGGGAAAGAAGAGAAGCUUUGCAGGAAUAACAACUAAUUAUGGCUGAAAAAACAUUACAAGAAAAUAGAGAUGAAGGACUUUUACGAGAUUAUGUUGUGCCUACAAUUAGUGGUACUCGCUCAAGCAUUGCACGCUGUGCCGUUCAAGCCAAUAAUUUUGGGAUAAUCCAGAUGAUUCAGAUGUCAGUACAAUUUUUUGGGAUGCCGAGUGAUGAUUAAAAUGUUCAUAUUGCAAAUUUCCUAGAAAUUUAUGACAUAUUUCAGUAAAAUGGUGUCUUAGACAAUGUUUUCAAGCUAAGGCUUUUUCCCUUCUCACUUAGGGACAAAGCAAAAGAAUGGUUGAACUCGCUCCCUGCUGAUACAAUCAUAACAUGGGAUGACUUAGCGCAGUAGUUUUAGCAAAGUUUUUCCCUUAGUAAAAGCAACCAACUUAAGGAAUGACAUCACAACAUUUGCUCAAUUUGAGAUAGAGUCACUAUAUGAAGCAUGAGAUAGGUACAAAAACCUACUAAGAGAAUGUCCACAUCACGGUCUACCAAUUUGGCUUCAGGUAUAAACAAUUUACAAUGGUUUGGGAUCUACUACUAGAACAAUGAUUGAUGCUGCAGCAGAGGAACUUUAAUGGGAAAAACACCACAAGCAGCUUAUGAAUUGCUGGAGGAGAUGGUCUCUAAUAAUUACCGGUGGUCUUCAGAGCGAUCAAUACCAAGGAGAACUAUAAGAGCCCAUAAUGUUGAUGUUGUCACAAUUUUAACUGAACAGAUGACUGCUUUAUCUAAUAAGCUGGAACAUCUGAAUAUUAGUGCUAUUCAAACGCAAGUGUGUGAAUUAUGUGGGGGAAAUUACACCAUUAUUAACUACCAAGUUAGAAGUCCUUUUGCGUCGUCAUCUAUUGAACAAGCUCAUUAUGUGUCAAACUUCUAGAGGUAACAAAACAACCCGUAUUCUAAUACCUUCAAUCCUGGCUAGAGAAACCAUCAAAAUUUGUCAUCGAAAAACACUCAAAAUACAUUGAAGCCACCUAUAGGAUUCCAAUAAUAAGAAAAGAAGUCAAAUUUAGAAGAUGCUCUUACCCAGCUUAAAACGAAUAUGUCUCAAUUCAUGACCAAAAUACAGACAACUUUUGAAAAUCAAGCUGUAUCAAUCCAGAACCUCGAGGUACAAGUAGGUUAGAUUGCAAACUUACUAUCCAACAUACCACAAGGCUCCCUGCCAAGCAACACUGAGACAAAUUCAAAGGAAAAAAAUGAAUGCAAUUAUGGUUCGAAGUGGUAAACAAUUUAAAGAGUCUCCAAAAGAAGUAAAGGAAGUUGAAGAAGAUAACAUGGAGCAAAAUAAGGACACUACUAGAACACUUGAGACAACAAGUUCAAAAAUUCCCCUAUCACAACAAUCGACACUAGUCAAAGCCUAUGUCCCUCCAAUCUUGUUUCCUUAGUGUCUUCAGAAAAAUAAAUUAGAUAAGUAGUUUUCUAAAUUUCUUGAUGUUCUUAAAAAGUUGCAUAUUAAUAUUCCUUUUGCAAAUGUAUUAGAACACAUGUCGAGCUACACUAAAUUCAUGAAAGAAAUUUUAUUUAAACAAGAGAAAACUAGAAGAGCAUGAAACAAUGUUGUUAACUAAAGAGUCCACUGCAAUUUUACGGAAUAAAUUACCACCGAAGUUGAAAGAUCCAGAGAGUUUUUCUAUUAUUUGCAGUAUUGGAAAUUCUUAUUUUGAUAAAGCUUUAUGUGAUUUAGGUGUAAGUAUUAAUUUAAUCCCUCUAUUUGUUUUUAAGAAAUUAGGACUUGGUAAACCAAAGGCAACAACUAUUUCUCUUCCAUUGGUAGAUAUGUCUAUAAAGUAUCCAAGAGGUAUGAUUGAGGACGUACUUACUAAGAUCGACAAUUUUAUAUUUCUUAUAGAUUUUAUUAUUUUGGAUAUGACUGAAGAUUAGGAAUGCAAAUCAUUUUAGGCUGACCAUUCUUGGCCAUGGGAAGAACUCUUAUUGAUGUCCAAGAAGGAAAACUAAUCAUUAGGGUGCAAGAUGAGCAAAUCACUUUCAAUGUAUUCGAAGCAAUUAAAUGUCCAUCUAAAAUCGACACAUGCCUUUAAAUAGACAUCAUUGACAAAAAAAAAAAAGUAAUUGAAAGCUUUCACAAUAUAAUGUUGAAUGACUCAUUAGAAUGAUGUAUUAUUCACUCUGGGACUACUCAAUUAGAAGAGCUUGGUAGGAGUCCUUAUCGACCAAAACCUUCAAUAGAGGAACCUCCAAAACAUGAGCUUAAGCCUCUACCCUCUCAUUUGAUAUAUGCUUAUUUAGAUGAUAACUUUAAGCUACCAGUUAUUAUUAUUUUUACCUUGACAGAUCUUGAACAGGAAAAGCUACUUCAUGUUUUAAGAGACCACAAAACUGCUCUAGAAUUGACUAUUGUUGACAUCAAGGAAAUAAACCUUUCAAUUUGUAUGUACAAAAUUCUAAUGAAGGAGAUUUAUAAGCCUACAAUGUAGCCACAAAGAUAGCUAAAUCCAAACAUGCAAGAAGUGGUUAAGGCAUAGGUGCUUAAAUUGAUGGAUGCUAGGAUAAUUUACCCAAUUUCUAAUAGUUUACGGGUGAGACUAGUGCACAUGAUACUAAAGAAGUGCAAAAUGAUAGUCAUGAAAUAUAACACCAAUGAACUUAUCCCAACAAAGACAACCACAGGUUGGCGGGUAUGCGUGGAUUAUAGGAAACUUAAUGUUGUUACUAGAAAAGACCACUUUUCACGGCCUUUGUUUGAUUAAAUGUUGGAGAGACUUGCUGGCCAUACUUACUAUUGCCUUUUAGAUAAAUAUUCAGGCUAUAAUCAAAUCUUUAUAGCACCAGAAGAUCAAGAGAAAACCACCUUCACAUGUCCUUAUGGAACAUUUGCUUAUAGAAGAAUGACAUUCGGUUUAUGCAAUGCACCCACUUUUCAGCGUUGUUUAAUGGUUAUAUUUUUUUUAUAUGGUGGAGAGAUUCAUUAAUGUGUUUAUGGAUGAUUUCUCGAUUUUUGGAUCUUCAUUUGAUCAUUGUUUGAACAAUUUAGAUCUAGUUUUGCAGCGAUGUGAAGAGACCAACUUAGUUUUAAAUUAGGAAAAAUGUCACUUUAUAGUGUAAGAAGGCAUUAUACUAGGUCAUCAUAUUUCUACUAAAGAAAUUGAAGUGGAUAGAGCAAAGAUUGAAGUCAUUGAGAAGUUACCACCACCGACUUCCGUGAAAGCUAUAAGAAGUUUUAUAGGCAUGCCGGGUUUAAUCGACGUCUUAUUAAAGAUUUUUCAAAGGUAACGAAACCUUUAUGCAACCUUUUACUCAAGGAUGUUCUUUUUAAUUUUACUGACAAGUGUUUGCAGGCUUUUAAUACUUUGAAAGAAAAACUAACCUCAGCUCCAAUAAAUAUGGCAUCUCAUUGGGAUCUAUCUUUUGAGCUUAUGUGUGAUGCGAGUGAUUUUGUUGUUGGAUAGUUUUUGGGUAGUGGAAUAAAAACAUGUUGCAUGUCAUUUAUUAUGCAAGUCAAUCUCUGACAGACGUGCAAUGGAAUUAUGCUACUACUGAGAAAAAGUUUGGCUGUUGUGUUUGCACUAGAAAAAUUUCGCUCACAUUUGAUUUGCUCAAGGGUGAUAGUUUACACUAUUCAUUCCGCUCUAAGUAUCUAUUCACAAAGGUAAAUGUAAAAUCAAGACUGAUCCAUCGGGUGCUUUUACUAUAAGAAUUUGAUUUAGAGAUUUGAGACAAGAAGGGAUUGAAACUUUGGUGGUGGAUUACUGUUGUGCAAAUUUUAAUGUACUCGCAAGCGCACGAAUCUAUUGUAGUAUAGACUAAUGGUGACGAGUAUCGAUCCCACGAGGAGGUGGAUUUUUAAUUAUAUAUAGAAUUAAUUUUGUAAAUGGGUGGUUGGAAUUGUGGUGGAAGUGAUUUAAAAUAUGCUAAAAUUGGAAUUGUAAUGGCGAGAAUAAAUUGUAGAGAAAAUCGAUUAAAUUGACGUACUUGGGUAUCUGGAUCCGUAUCAACAUGCAUCAUGGGCUAAAUAAUCCGUAUUAAUGCCAAUUAAAUCAUGAGGGGGGAAUCCACACCUCAUGAACCACGCUCUAAUCAAUAUGGUGCUAAGGGCUUAUCGUGCCAAAUAAUAAUAAUCUUAUACUAGAGAGCCGGUGUAACCAAGGCGGUAUCUAGACAAGAUCAGUAUUAUUUGUCGACGAUAAGUCAAAUCAUCCACAAAAACUAGAGGGGAAAAGAAAAUAAAUUUACCAAAUAAAGCCCAUGACACAUGUUGAGACUUCACCUUCAACCCAAGCUUGAAAGAAAAUUAGCCACUCAUAAUUGAACUAGGGGCAAAAUGAGAAUUUAUUAAAAUACAAAGAAAAUACAAGAUGGAGAAGGAAUUACAGAAAAUGGAUCCCAAAAAUGGAUUCAGAGAUAUCAAAUUAAGGGGGGGGAGGCCCCCUUUUUAUAGAUACAUGGAGUAAAUCAUGGCCAUCGGAUUAAAAACAGUUUGGACGCUCAGGAUUGCGCCACGUCAUCAGUCAACAGUCCACAGUUUGACCACGUGGAUGAACAGUAACACGGUUUGGUUGAAAAUAAUCCUGUGUGAUGCAUGCACCGUACGCGAGAUUUUUCGUCCACUGAUAUGCUGCCACGUCACCAUCAACAGUACAUAAGAGUUUUAGUCCAACAGGAUCGUGACACCUCAUCAGUCAAUGCCACAUCAUCGGUCAAUGCCACGUCAUCGUUCGUCUAUGUGAACAGUAUCAUGAACAGUAACGUAUACAAUACCGUACACGUGAAUAGUACCGUACAUGUGAAUAGUGCCAUUUUUCCUUUUAUGCCCCUCCUAAGGUUUUCGACCGUCCUGAGUUCAAAAGUGAUGUCCGUUUUGCCGUCUGAUCUCUCCUUUAUUGUGAAAUGACUAUAAUGCCCCUAAAAUACAUAAAAUACUUAAUUAAAAUAACACACACGUAAUUACAUCACAAGAAGGUUAAAUACAUAAAAGUAAGGGUUGUUAGUAAGACUUGAAAUGUAAAAUGACGGUUUUCUCCUUUAUAAAUAUGCAUUUUCUAACACUCAACACACCCCCCAACCAGCUUAUUGCUAGUCCCUAGCAAAUAAAGCGAAAACAAAAUUCAAAUUCAAAUUUUUUUUUUUAGAAACACUCGUGUUUAUUCAAUCAGAUUAAUGAUAGCAAUCGAAUAAAAGUAUAAGCAUUAUCUCCAGUCUAAAGCAACAUCACACCCACAUCAACCAUCCACAUGAAUUAGCCCAGUAGACUUGGUUAUAGCUACUUUCAAGAAUGACAUAUCAAACCCCAAAAUCUCACUGGAAGUAAUGACACUCUCACAAAGAAAUUAAAACCCAAUAAACAUAGUCACUCCAAUGAAUGGUAAUUGAGAGAGAAAAUAAUAAAGAAAUGAUAUCACAUGCUCUCACCAAGAUGAAAUAAAUAUGCCCUCAGCUUAGAAAUAAUACGAUCUCAAGUCAAAUAAAAUGUUAGUCAACCCACUUUAUUUAUCUUUUUUUUUUUUAUUAUGCAUUACUACAUCUUUUUAGCCCAUAUAACUAGCUUCUACUUCAAACUAUAGUUCCCUAAAAUCAAGAAGGACUUUUAUUAGGACGUAACGUAGGCUAGGGAUAUGGCUAACAAAGAAAGGAAAUAAGGAAAACAAAGUAUAUGUUUGAGAAAAAUGCAGAAUUUUUUUUUUUUUUUUUAAAGUUGCAAGGUGGAUUUCACCUAUUAUUGUUAUUUUUAUUCUUUUGAAACAACAACUUUUGUUUUUUGUUUUUUUUUCUUUUUGCGUUUAUUUGGCAUAACUUCAAUGAACAACAUAAUUAUUUACAUUUUCUCAAACAUAAAUAGGUGAUGGAACUUAAAAGACAUUGGGUAAUACUCCAAAUCGGAGUGGGUCAAGAUGAUAAGUUGACAAAGAAAAUGUUUUUUUUUUUUUUUUUUUUUUUAAAGGCUCAAAAUGGGUAACUAUGGAUAUUUAAUAACAAGGAUGGCUAGAAAGGCUCAAACGGAUCAAAGAUGGCCUUUCCAUCGUUUUUUAGGGCUCUAAAUAAUUAUCCAUAUCUACUAGUUAGAUGGGCCUCCCAAUGUAGCAACACACAUUUUUUUCUUUUUUCUUUUUUUUCUUUUUUUAAUUAUUACCAUUUUUUUUAUAGGGUUAACUCAAAAGAAAUCUAGAGAUCGUGUAUAAAAUAAUAAACUGCUAAGCUGUAUAGAAAAUGGGCAAAAGGGUUACUCUCCAAGAAAAUGAUAGGCUCAACAUCUCACUUGGCACUUAUUUAUGACAUGUUCAUUCCUUCAAGCAACUCAUAUUUGUCUCCGACAUCAACAUGUAAAGUAGCAAACAUAGCGUAACAUCACUUAAGACCAAAGAUAAUACAAAUACUAAAAUUUGAAAUUAAUCAUGUCAUCCAAUGUUAAAACAAAUAACACAAAAUUUUUUUUUUUUUUUUAAACAACAUUCUACCCCCCAACCUAUUCUAAACAUGAAAGGAAAAUAUGCAUGCAGAAAUGUGAAAAUGAUGUAGAAAAAUUAAUUAGAAAAAGAAUUGUUUUUUUUUUUUUUUUAACUAAGAAGAUGCGUUUCUAGAGGCACUACACUCCAUAUUCAGCCAUCUUCGACUCAAAAAUUUGAAACUACAUAUUUAUAAAGGAGAAAGAGGAAGAAAACGAGUUUUUUUUUUUUUUUUUUUUAAAAACGAUGAAGAUGCGUUUCUAGAGUAACUACACUCCAUAUUCAGCCAUCUUCAACAUAAAACGUUAGCAACAGUUAGUUUCUACAACAAAAAAUCAGUAAAAACUUAACCAAGAUUCCACAAUUGUCGACUAUUCCCUCCCCCCAACCAGAACGAAACAUUGUCCUCAAUGUUUUAAAGGAAAGAAGUAGAGUUUAGAAGACAUCACCUGGGUGGUGCAACACAGAAGAAAAUAUUUACAGGCGGAGAGUUAAAUCUAAUUUGUACUUCUUAUUGCGGCUACUGUUACCAUCAUUAUUUGGUCGCUCCAACACAAAGGUCCAGGGGUCUGGCUCCGGUUUAUAAGCUUGUAACAUAUCAAGUAGCUCAUUAGCAGUGUGAGCACAAAGAAAGAGUUUUUUCACAUUAGAAGGAAUGAAAUAGUUUUUUAUUGCAUGGUUAAGAAAUGCGAUAAAGCUAUCAUAAAAGUUAUUGACAUUUAACAAACCGAUGGGUUUCUGGUGAAUGUGUAGAUGGGCCCAAGAUGCUGGUGUCAUAAGUGCCUCUAGUGUUGCAAGAUCUCCUGGAAGGAAAAUAAAAGCAUCAGCAUGAUUAAGCAUUUCAGUUAUUCUUUCUUGCAUACCUGAGACGACUAACUCUUCUCCAGUUGAUGAGUCAGACGAACUGCCCAAUGGUUUUAGGACUCUUGGGAUGAUGCCUAACACUUGACUUCCUCUGAUAAAAGCUGCUUCUGAGACCAUUUUUGAUAACCCUCGGUUAUCUCCUCCAUACACCAAGUGUAAUUUUCUCGCUGCUAUGCUUCGACCAAGAUCUAUGGCUGCCUCCACGAACUCUUUAUGUUUGCCAUAGGUAAAUCCAGAAAGCACACAAAUGUUCUUGAAUUGUCUAUUGGGAGUAGCUGUCAUUGUGAUACUUCUCAAAAACAAUUUGUGAGUGCUUGACAAAAGAUAAAUCACAUUUAAGAGUCUUGGUGACAGUGGGUCACAGCUGUGUAUGAGGUAGCAUGUCAGUGUCAAAUAACGCGUAAAGCACGUGGCUCGCGAGUCAAAAAGGAAACAGUAAAAAAAAAAGAAAAAGCAAACAGUAACAAAAUUAUUAAAGACAAUAAUAAAACAACAGUGAAAUGAAAUAAAAUAACAGUAAAGUAAAAGGAUAUUUACACGUAGUUGCGACUGUGGCUCACAUCUUCCUCUGGUUUUACGUCCAGAAACGGCUUGAACGCCCUCUAUGGGUCGAGGAUAGGCUUCCUAUCCAGUUUUCUUAUAAACUGGCAAACAGGGUCGUUUAUAGUCAGAUUCCCGAGACUAUAUCGUGCAUGCUCUUUCUGGAAUAAUGGCCAUAACUGGAGAAUCGCUCCUUGCACAUAUCCACUAGGAUGCGUUUCAAGAGACAAAAGGAUAUCAUCCAAUGACUCCUUAUUCAAGCCAUCCCUAAUGAAUUGAAUCUUAUCUUCCCUGUUAUCAGACACCAUUCCUAAAGAACAUGGGUUUCUAUCGCAACUCAUUCUGGCACACUUAUGACAAGCAACAGAAAUUCUUCGAGCUCGUUGUUUUCUUGCAUAAUUUCCUUUACCACAACCAGGCAUGAAUGCAAUAAAUUUUGGAGGUAUCUCACCUGCCGAUCGUACUUUAGCCUCGAUUAACCAACGGAUGUCAGCAGGUAUGUUAUUCUUCAUGAGUAAUCGCAUGCGUUCGGACCGAGCUUUAUAGAUCGUAAGGAGGGCAUUCUGAGGAAGUGAAGGGAAUCGCUUGUGAAGCUUCGCUAGAAUCUCGUUUCUGUCCAUACUUUCGCCUCAGAAUGUUAGUUAUUAUGGGAAACUGAAGUAACCGACUUGAUUGUCACGGAGUACCGUUAUCCGCCACUUCACCGCGGUAACAAACUAAAGCACACAAACAGAAAAAUAAAUUAAAACACACAAAGAAAAUUAAAAUCGUCCUCUUAUUGAAUUUACCUCAAGCUCCAACUGGAUGUCGUAAACACUUCUCUCAAUGUCUCUGAGUUGGCGUUCUAAACCCUCAACAUAGGCUACUAACUCUGGUGGUUGUAGAGCCCAAAUGCGUUGUGUUUUACAAAAUUGAAUCUGCUUUUUGAGAUGAGUUUUGACACGUUGAAGUGGUUUAAGAAUGUUCAGGAGGAACGGUCUAAGUAUGGUACUCAUGAUUAACAAUGAUAAGAAAAAAAGAAAACUUAAUGGUAAAACAAACACACUUAUGCAAAAAUAAUUUCAAUUAGCAAAAGACUAAUAAAAAGAAAGAAAGAAAAAUCAAAUCAACAAAAAGAAAAAAUCAAUUCAAAUCUGGUGGGUCACUCAAAUUUAUUUCGGUGUCUUCUCCAUGUGGUUGGUACUCAAGAUAUGGCUUUAAUCUUUGACCAUUAACUUUAAACGUGACACCGUUCUUUGGGUCUUUAAUUUCAAUUGCCCCAUGUGGAAAAACAGUAUGAACAAUAAAGGGACCAGACCAUCGAGAGCGUAACUUACCUGGGAAUAGGUGCAAGCGAGAAUUGAAUAAAAGCACUUUCUGACCUGGAGUGAACGAUUUUCUCAUAAUGUGCUUGUCAUGAAAGAUUUUCAUUCGUUGCUUGUAAAUCUUGGCAUUUUCGUAUGCAUCAUUGCGAAUUUCUUCAAGUUCUGCCAGUUGUAAUCUUCUUUCUGAGCUGGCUUGCUGCAUGUCAAAGUUGAAUUUCUUGAUGGCCCAAUAUGCACGAUGCUCGAGUUCCACAGGUAGGUGGCAAGCUUUUCCAUACACUAGCCUGUAGGGUGACAUCCCAAUCGGGGUCUUGAAAGCCGUUCUAUAUGCCCAUAAUGCAUCAUCAAGUCUUAAUGACCAAUCUUUUCUGUCUGGCCUCACCGUUUUUUCUAAUAUGUGCUUGAUUUCUCGAUUGGAGAUCUCAACUUGGCCACUGGUUUGCGGAUGAUAUGGGGUCGCCACUUUGUGUGUGAUUGAAUACUUUGUCAAAAGAGCCUUGAAUGCUUUGUUACAAAAGUGGGCACCACCAUCACUGAUUAUCGCUCGAGGGAAUCCAAAGCGUGAAACAAUGUUGCUUUUCAAAAAUCCUAUCACCACUUUGUGAUCAUUGGUUCUGCAUGGAAUUGCUUCCACCCAUUUCGAUACGUAGUCAACAGCAACCAAUAUGUAUUGAUGACCAAAAGAUGGAGGAAAGGGUCCCAUGAAGUCGAUACCCCAUACGUCAAAAAUCUCAACCACUAAAAUUGGAUUUAGUGGCAUCAUGUUCCUUCGUGUAAUGCUCCCCAUUUGUUGACACCUAUCACAUGAAGAACAGAAAGUGUAAGCAUCUCGAAAUAUAGUUGGCCAAUAAAAACCACAUUGUAAAACUUUAGUCGCGGUUUUCUUAGCACUGAAGUGGCCUCCACAAGCUUGUGCAUGGCAGAAUGAAAGAAUAUUCUGAAUUUCAUUUUCAGGGACACAUCGUCUAACAAUUUGGUCUGCACAAUACUUGAACAAAUAUGGGUCAUCCCAAAAGAAAUUCUUUAUUUCCGCAAAGAAUUUAGCAUUGUCUUGCUUGGUCCAAUGCUCUGGAAGUUUACCUGUAACAAGAUAAUUAACUAUAUCAGCAUACCAAGGUAAUACUUCCACAUUCAUUAAUUGUUCAUCUGGAAAUGACUCAUUUAAUAUUAAUGGCUCUGUAAUUGUGUCAAAAUGGAGACGAGAGAGGUGGUCCGCCACAACAUUUUCUGUGCCUUUCUUAUCCUUGAAUUCCAAGUCAAAUUCCUGCAAAAGUAACACCCAACGAAUUAGUCUAGCUUUUGCAUCUUUCUUUGUGAGAAGAUAUUUAAGAGCAGCAUGAUCUGUGAAUAUAAUUAUUUUACAACCAAUGAGAUAAGAUCGAAAUUUCUCUAAUGCAAACACUACUGCUAGCAUUUCUUUUUCAGUAGUUGAAUAGUUCAACUGUGCAUCAUUCAAUGUCAUACUAGCAUAGUAAAUAACAUGAGGAAUUCGAUCAACUCUUUGUCCUAAAACUGCUCCUACUGCAUAAUCAGAUGCAUCACACAUAAGCUCAAAUGGUAAGCUCCAGUUUGGGGCCUGAAUGAUGGGUGAUGAUGUCAACAAUUGCUUUAAUUUUUCAAAAGCCAUAAGACAUGAAUCAUUAAAGAUAAAAGGUACAUCCUUAGCAAGUAAAUUACAUAAGGGUCUAGAAACUUUGCUAAAAUCUUUAAUGAAACGUCUAUAGAAACCAGCAUGCCCAAGGAAAGAUCUUACUUCUCUAACUGUUUUGGGUGGAGGAAGAUUAGAAAUGAGAUCCACCUUGGCUUUGUCAACCUCAAUACCUUUGCUUGAAAUGAUGUGACCGAGAACAAUACCUUGUUUUACCAUAAAAUGGCACUUCUCCCAAUUUAAGACUAAGCUCUUCUCGGUACAUCUCUGCAGAACUAGCGUUAGAUGAUGUAAACAUUGAUCAAACGAGUCACCAAAGACAGAAAAAUCAUCCAUAAAGACUUCAAGGAAUCGUUCAACCAUAUCAGAAAAAAUGCUCAACAUGCAUCGUUGAAAUGUAGCAGGUGCAUUACAUAAUCCAAAUGGCAUUCUCCUAUAUGCAAAUGUGCCAAAAGGGCAAGUGAAAGUGGUCUUCUCUUGAUCUUUUGGUGCUAUGGGAAUCUGAUUAUAUCCUGAGUAGCCAUCUAGAAAGCAAUAAAUUUCAUGGCCUGCUAAUCUAUCAAGCAUUUGAUCAAUAAAUGGUAAAGGAAAAUGGUCUUUACGUGUGACAGAAUUCAACUUUCUAUAAUCAAUGCAUACACGCCAUCCUGUAGUUACUCUAGUUGGUAUCAAUUCAUUAUCAGCAUUGGUAACUACUGUGACUCCUGACUUUUUGGGGACAACUUGUACAGGACUGACCCAUGAACUAUCAGAAAUUGGGUAAAUGAUACCUGCAUCUAAUAGCUUAAGGACUUCAGUUCUAACAACUUCUUUCAUGUUAGGAUUUAACCGACGUUGCAUCUCCCUAGUAGUUUUAGCAUUUUCAUCAAGGUGAAUGUAAUGCAUGCAGUCUACUGGGUUUAUACCUUUUAUGUCUGCUAUGGUCCAUCCUAAUGCCCCUUUGUGCUCUUUUAAAACAUCCAACAACUUACCUUUUUGUUCGUCAUUUAGGGAUGAUGAGAUGAUUACCGGCAGAGUACUUUCUUCUCCCAAAAAUGCAUAUUCCAGAGUGUUGGGUAAUGGUUUGAGCUCGAGUUUCGGUGGUGAUUUUGAUGAUGGAAUGAGUUUCUUCUCUGAUGGUGCUAGUUGUUCAACUCUUGACUUCCAUUUAUUAGUGUCCAUGGAUGGUGCUGAGUCAAGUAGGGCGUUGACCUCUUCGACCGAUCUGUCAAUAUCAAAAUCCAAACCAAAGUGAGUUAAACAUGUUUGUAAAGGAUCAUCACUAAGGUUUGAAAGAAAAGUAUUAUCAACUAUUGUUUCUAUUAAAUCCACAUCAACAAUUCCAUCAUCUGCACUGUGAGGUUGUUUGGCAAUGUUGAAAAUGUUUAGCUCCAUAGUCAUGUUGCCGAAGGACAAUUGCAUAUUUCCGGUCCUACAUUGAAUAUGAGCAUCUGCAGUUGCCAAGAAAGGUCGGCCUAGAAUAAUGGGGAUGUGCUUCCUUGAGUCCUGUAUUGGUUGAGUGUCAAUUACAAUGAAAUCAAUAGGAAAAUAAAACUUGUCUACCUGGAUAAGCACGUCCUCUACAAUACCUCGAGGUAUUUUCGUGGACCGAUCUGCAAGCUGUAACACCACUGGAGUUGGGUGUAAUUCUCCCAGUCCAAGUUUCACGAAUACAGAGUAAGGCAACAAAUUUACACUAGCUCCUAAAUCCAACAAAGCAUUCUCAAUUGUGUGGUUCCCUAUACUACAUGAGAUAGUGGGGGAGCCUGGGUCUUUGCAUUUUAAAGGAAUUUUAUGUUGGAGUAUAGAACUAACGUUUUCUGUUAAAAAUGCCUUCUUUUGAACAUGCAUGUUUCUCUUUUUAGUACAAAGGUCUUUAAGAAACUUGGCAUAAGAUGGAACUUGUUUAAUAGCAUCAAGUAAAGGGAUGUUAACACUUACCUGUUUGAAGAUUUCGAGAAUCUCACUUGUGGAUUUUCCCUUUUUUCCUUUCGCUAACCUAUGAGGAAAUGGAGCUUUGGGAACAUAUUCUCGUGGGUUGGUUUUUUCUUUUUCCUCCGGUGGUGAGUCCUCAGCAUUUACAGGUACAAUUUGAUUUUCUUUUGUCACCGGCAUCUCCACUUUAUUGUCGACUUCUUUUCCUUUUCGCAAGGUCAUGAUUGCUUUGACCUCUCCAUGCUGUUGUGGUGAACUGGUACUUGCUUCAUGUACUCCUUUAGGAUUAGGCAUUGGUUGACUUGGAAAUUUUCCUUUCUCAACAGUCAUUGCCAAGGUCUGAACUGAAGAAGCAAGUUGUCCCACCAUCUUCUCGAGGCUUGAAACUGAUUGGGCUUGUGAGUUAAAGCCCGCUCUCAAUUCAUUUCGUAGUCCAUCAAUGGUGCGGUUCUGUUGCUCAAUCGUGGAGUCAGUAACAUUCUUGAAAUUCUGGAAUGAAUCCUCCCAUGGUCUGGGUUGAGAGUAGUUCUGGUUCUGAUUGAAUGGUCUAAAUGGGGGCUGAGAGGCUUGAGGAUUUUGAGGAAUUUGUUGCAUUGGUGGAGCUGGAGCUGCUGGUCCAUUCUGUUGGAAUCCUUGAGACCAUGAAAAAUUGGGGUGGUCUCUCCAUCCAGGGUUAUAUGUGUUGGAGUAUGGGUUGUAAUUAGAUGGCUUUCUCAUUACACCUAUGGCAUUGGCUUGAUCUGGAUAUGAGUCAGGGUCAUGUGAUUCUGUUGAUUUAGCAGUCGAUAACGAUGCUAUUUGUCGAGCAAGACCUUCAACCAUCUCCUUGACUUCUUUGAUUCCCGAAGUUGACUCGCCAAUGUGAACCUCAUUCACUCCUUUAAUUCUUCUAGUAUUCCUGAGUGAUCGACUCCGUUGUUGGGAAUUAUCCGCUUGUCGCUGGAAGAAUUCCCAAAUCUCUGAUGCACUUUUUGACAUUAGCUCUCCUCCACUUGUUGCCAUUAGCCAUUCUUGCACAUUCGGCAAUAAUCCCUCCAAAAAGUAUUGGCAUUGGUGCCAUUUUUCGUACCCAUGAUGUGGACACUUCAAGAGCAGCCCAUUGAAUCGCUCCCACGUUUCGAAAAAUUGCUCGUCAUCUCUUUGGGUAAACUCUGAAAUUUCCCUGCGAAUAGCAUUUGUUUUAUGCACUGGGAAAUAUUUAUUCAAAAAUUUCGUUACCAUUUGUUCCCAUGAUGAAAUGCUAUUGGCAGGCAAUGUAUUAAGCCAUGAACGAGCUCUAUCCUUUAAAGAAAAUGGGAAUAAUCUGAGUUUAACAUCAUCGUCUGAAAAAUUCUCAUAUUUAAAAGUUUGACAAAUGGCAUGAAAAUCAUUCAGAUGAUUAUAUGAGUCCUCAUUUUCUAAGCCAUAAAAUGUGGGGAGACAAUUUAGCACACUAGGUUUUAAUUCAAAACUCCUAGCAGCUACAUUUGGGUAUCUUAUGCAUGAUGUGCUCAAAUUAGCUAAGGGACUAAAAUAGUCCUUAAAUGGCCUCUCCUGUGGUGCUUGUAAAUCCAUUCCAAAUUUAUUUUUAAUGUGCUUUUGUGUGCGAAGUGUUUUUUCUAAUUCAAGGUCUAUAGGUUCAAGAUUAGGUAAUAAUGACCUACGACCAUGCAUGCAAAACAAAUAAAAUAAAAAUAAAGAUGGGAACAAAACAAAUAAAAAUAAAGAAGAGGGAGAAAUUACGAUACUAACCUUAUUGCGCUAUUACAACCUUUCUAUAAAAAUACACAAAAACAAAUACGUGAAAUAAAUUAACUAAAAAUUAAAUUAAUAAGAUAAAGAAAAAAAAUUAUAAAGAAAAAUAAAUUGAAAAUUAAAUUACAGAAUUUUAAAGAAGAGAAAAAGAAAAGAAAUACUAACCUUUAAAUGUAGAUUAACUUUUUUAUUUCUUUUUUAUUUUUUUUUAAAGAACAAAAAAAAAAAACAAGAAAACAAUUAAAUGAAAUUAUUCACAAAAAUUAAAUCUAUGAAUUAAAAUUACUUACCUCCCCGGCAACGGCGCCAAAAACUUGUUGUGCAAAUUUUAAUGUACUCGCAAGCGCACGAAUCUAUUGUAGUAUAGACUAAUGGUGACGAGUGUCGAUCCCACGAGGAGGUGGAUUUUUAAUUAUAUAUAGAAUUAAUUUUGUAAAUGGGUGGUUGGAAUUGUGGUGGAAGUGAUUUAAAAUAUGCUAAAAUUGGAAUUGUAAUGGCGAGAAUAAAUUGUAGAGAAAAUCGAUUAAAUUGACGUACUUGGGUAUUUGGAUCCGUAUCAACAUGCAUCAUGGGCUAAAUAAUCCGUAUUAAUGCCAAUUAAAUCAUGAGGGGGGAAUCCACACCUCAUGAACCACGCUCUAAUCAAUAUGGUGCUAAGGGCUUAUCGUGCCAAAUAAUAAUAAUCUUAUACUAGAGAGCCUGUGUAACCAAAGCGGUAUCUAGACAAGAUCAGUAUUAUUUGUCGACGAUAAGUCAAAUCAUCCACAAAAACUAGAGGGGAAAAGAAAAUACAUUUACCAAAUAAAGCCCAUGACACAUGUUGAGACUUCACCUUCAACCCAAGCUUGAAAGAAAAUUAGCCACUCAUAAUUGAACUAGGGGCAAAAUGGGAAUUUAUUAAAAUACAAAGAAAAUACAAGAUGGAGAAGGAAUUACAGAAAAUGGAUCCCAAAAAUGGAUUCAGAGAUAUCAAAUUAGGGGGGGGAGGCCCCCUUUUUAUAGAUACAUGGAGUAAAUCAUGGCCAUCGGAUUAAAAACAGUUUGGACGCUCAGGAUUGCGCCACGUCAUCAGUCAACAGUCAACAGUCCACGGUUUGACCACGUGGAUGAACAGUAACACGGUUUGACCCGGAUGAACAGUAACACGAUUUGGUUGAAAAUAAUCCUGUGUGAUGCAUGCACCGUACGCGAGAUUUUUCGUCCACUGAUAUGCUGCCACGUCACCAUCAACAGUACAUAAGAGUUUUAGUCCAACAGGAUCGUGACACCUCAUCAGUCAAUGCCACAUCAUCGGUCAAUGCCACGUCAUCGUCCGUCUAUGUGAACAGUAUCAUGAACAGUAACGUAUACAAUACCGUACACGUGAAUAGUACCGUACAUGUGAAUAGUGCCAUUUUUCCUUUUAUGCCCCUCCUAAGGUUUUCGACCGUCCUGAGUUCAAAAGUGAUGUCCGUUUUGCCGUCUGAUCUCUCCUUUAUUGUGAAAUGACUAUAAUGCCCCUAAAAUACAUAAAAUACUUAAUUAAAAUAACACACACGUAAUUACAUCACAAGAAGGUUAAAUACAUAAAAGUAAGGGUUGUUAGUAAGACUUGAAAUGUAAAAUGACGGUUUUCUCCUUUAUAAAUAUGCAUUUUCUAACACUCAACAAUUACUUAUUUCGGUUAGAGCAAAGAGAGCAAAAAGAUAAUGUAGUGGUUUCAAUUAUUGAAGAAUUUUCUAAUGAAAAGUUACUAGUUCUUUAAAAUUUUGAAUGUAUAAUUUUCUAAUAAAAAGUUACUGGUUCUUUAAACUUUUGAAUGUAGAAUUUUCUAAUGAAAAGUUUCUGGUUCUUUAAACUUUUGAAUGUAGUGGUUUCAAUUAUCGAAGAAUUUUCUAAUGAAAAGUUACUGGUUCUUUAAACUUUUGAUGCACCAUGGUAUGCAAAUUUUGUAAACUAUUUGGUGAGCAUCAUUGUUCCUUUUAAUUUAUCAUAUCAACAGAGGCAAAAAGUCCUCUCAUAUGCCAAAUCUUAUUUUUGGGAAGAUCCAUUCUUAUAUAAGUAUUGUUUAAACCAAAUCAUUCAAUGAUGAGUUCUAGAAGAAGAGAUGAGAUGCAUUCUAUAGCACUGUCACUCCUAUGAGGUUGGUGGACACUUUGGUGUAUCCAGAACUUCAGCAAAGGUGCUUCAAUCAAGUUUUUAUUGGCCCAUCUUAUUUAAAGAUGCUUACAUUUUUGUUGCUACUUGUGACUAAUGUCGAAGAACUGGUAACAUUUCAAGGAAGAAUAAAAUGUCGUUAAAUAAUAUUCUUGUAGUAGAAUUGUUUGAUGUUUAGGGAAUCGACUUCAUGUGUCCAUUUCCAUCUUUCUUCAAGAAUAAAUAUAUUCUAGUGGCUGUUGAUUAUAUUUAUAAGUGGGUCGAAGCUGUUGCUUUGCCUUCAAAUGAUGCGAGGGUCGUUGUGAAUUUUUUAAAGAAAAAUAUUUUCUCACAAUUUGGCACUUCAAAAGCCACUAUAAGUGAUGGUGGGAAAUAUUUUUGCAAUUGGCAAAGCCCUCUUAAACAAAUAGGGAGUUACACGUCGAGUUGCCACUCCUUACCAUCCACAAACCAGUGGCCAAGUUGAAGCCUCUAAUCGGGAAUUAAAGAGAAUUUUGGAGAAAACUGUAAAUGUGUCAUAGAAUAAUUGGUCGAAAAAAACUAGACGAUACACUUUAGAUUUAUCAAACAACUUUGAAAACACCUAUUGUUAUGUCUCCUUAUCAUCUAGUAUUUGGAAAAGCAUGCCAUCUGGCUGUUGAACUUAAGCAUAGGGCAUAUUGGGCUAUGAAGAUUUUGAACUUUGACAUGCAAGCUGCAGGAGAGAAGAGAUUGUUGCAACUUAAUGAAAUAGAUGAAUUUCUCAAUGCAACUUAUGAGAAUGCUCAAAUCUGUAAAGCCUGUACUAAAAAUUUGCAUGACAAACAUAUCCUCUGACGUCAAUUUUAGGUUGGUCAAAAGGUUUUAUUAUAUAAUUCUUGACAUUGAUUCUUCCUAGGCAAGUUGUGAUCAUUUUGGUUGGGCCCUUUUACAAUAACACAAGUCUUUCCGUCUGGCGUGGGAGAAAUUUCUCAUUAGGGAUGGCAAAAAUCCCCACGGGGACGGGUACUCUCGGGGAUUUUCUCCAUUCGGUGAGGGUAUGAGGAUAAUUUCAUACCCAAUUUCUUAUUUGGGGAAGGGACGGAGAAAUUUUUUUACCCAAUUUCUUAUUCGGGGAGGGGACGGGGAUGAGGUAAAAUCCCCAUCCCCUACCCAUUUCCCCAUUUUAAUUUUUAAUUUAAUUUUUAUUUUUUAAAAUUACUAGUAAAUAAAUAAUAAAAUUUGAAUUAUAAAAUUAUAAGUAUUGGUAAAAAUAAAAAAUAUCAAAAUAUUUAUAUUAUUAAAAUUUUAUGCCUAAUUAACUAAUUAAAGUCCUAAAUUUUUAUUUAAGACAUUAAAAAGACCAGACAGAUUCUAUUAGCCCAAAACUUUUGUUUUAAUUUUAAUAUUCAUUAAAUAUUUUAAACUUAAAUCUAUUUUUUAUUUAUCUUAAAUCUAUUUUUUAUUUAUUUUUAGAUGUUAUAAUUGCCCACAGCAAAUCACAAUUUUAAUAUAUAAUUUAAUCUAAUAUUUGCUCUUGAUUUGCUUCGACUUAACUAUUGUGCUGUAAAGGGAAUAAUCCACAUUUAUAAAGUGUCCACGCCACCAUUGAAAAGUUAAUUUAGAAUCUAAAUUUGAUUUUAUUUGUAACAAUUUUGUAUUAGGCUAUUAAUUUGUUCAUGAUAGUUUGUAUCCCUUGCAUGCUGCAUUACUUACUAAUUUAAUGUAUGUGACUUUUGUAAUGGAUAUUAAUGUAAGAUAUAUUUCGAACUUUACUUUUAUUUGAAUUUUUUAUUUUAAUAUGAUUAACUCAAAAUCGAAAACAAAAAAAAUGUAUUAGUUAUUCGAGGAUCGGGGACCCUCAGGGAUCCCUUGUUAUUAUUCGGGGAGAGGAUGAAAAUUCUCUUAAAUAAUUUUGACGGGGAUGGGGAGGGGACGGGGACAUACGCAAAAUAUCGGGGAUGGGUAUGGGGAGAUUGGUCCCCUCCCCUCCCCUCCCCAUUGCCAUCCCUAUUUCUCAUGAUACAAACAGGUCAACGGUCAUUGAUUGAAACCCUUUUGGAUGAUUCAUUUGAUAAACACAAGAUAGCUAUUGGGCUGUCUAAUCCUGAAUGACGACCAAAGACAGUCAAGCUAAUGACUAUAAAUUAAGCGCUUCUUAGGAGGCAACCCAAGCUUUCAAAACUUCACUUAUUAUUAUUUUUAUUUUGUAUUUUCAUUUUUCCUUAUUUCAUUUGUUAUUCUUUUCUUUUACUUAUUUUAUUUUAUCUAGGUUUCUGCAUAAGUUUGAGGGUCGACGAUCAUCAACUUUGCACAUGCCUUUCAACGACUCAACUACAAGUUCACAUCUUCAAGUGAAAAACUAGGGAGUUUCUCUUUCCUUUUCUAUCUAUUUACAUUAAGGACAAUGUUGAUUUUAAGUUUGAGGGUGGGAAUAUUUGCUUUCAUUUAAAAAUAAAUAAAUAAAUAAAUAAAAUUUUGUGUUGUUUGUAUGUUGUUUUUAUGCCAAUGAUGAGUAUAUGGUUGAAAAUGAAUAUGGUUCUCAGAAACGGAUGAAUAUUGUCUUAGUUUAUAAUUGAUUCUUGUAUUAAUUUCUCUUGAUUGUGAUUAUUUAAAUAUCUGGAACACUUAUAUUGAUUCUUUCAGAUUGUUUACCUCGAUUCUACAUUACUUGUGGUUACCCUGGCACCACAGUCAGAAAUAAUUACUUAUAACCCUUAAGAGUGAAGCUAUCCUUUAAUAAUUUGGGCCUAUGUACCAUCAACAUGUAAAGGAUAAUCUAUCAUGAAAAGAAGGCUACCUUAUGGGGUAGAGGUAAAAGCUCCUUACUAUAUAUAUAAGAAAAGCAAAAGCAUGUGCUUUACGAGAAAUCCCAAGAAAAUACAAAUUUAGGCAUGUGCAUUUUUAUUUUUUAUUUUUAAAAAAUCAAGAUGAUGAGGUUAGUUUGACCUACUUUGUUUAUUAUUUGAUACAAGGGCUGUUGAUAUUGAAAAUUUUUAGAAUGAGUUUUGAUUGAAUCAAUUUACACACAACAAAAGAAUCCAAUGUGGGAUGAGGCUGACUAUUGAAUUAAAGUUAGAGCUUUGCCGAUAUUUAUAAUUUUCUUUGAGCUAUAUACUUUAUGCAAUCUCUGAGACAUUUUUGAUGAUGUUUAUGGGUACCAUUGCUGAAAACCCUCAUGAGACUUUAACUCGUCCACUAGAGCAGCCUAGGGGUUUAAAAGUUUGUUGCAUAUGCUAAAUGCAAUCGUGAUCACCAGCAAAAGUGGUUCAAUUAGGAUUUUCUUCUCGUAGUUUCCGUUUUAGUUUUUACUCGAGAACUAGCAAAAUGUUAAGUUUGGGGGUAUUUGAUGUGCUAAUAAUUUAUAUAUUAAUUUAAUGUUUCCCUAACUUAAUUUCAUGUCAAAUUAUAUUCUAUUAUGUUAAUUUUUUUCUUAAUUUUUAUAUUUUGUUAUUUUAAGUAUAAUAUGGGAUUAAAGAAGAAUUGAAUUAGAAUAUUCAGGAAAAAAAUCUGCUUGAAAGAAUUAGAAAGGGAAAGAAAUAAAGAAAUUCAAUUUAAACAAAUCAAGCAAGAUUUACCAUCAUGCAUGCAAUCGCGCGCCGGGCGGGGGGGAGGGGGUUGGGGGAUGGUGGGGGUUGUGGAGAUUGAAGAUUUAGUUGACAAAUAUGGCAUGCACGUGAACUUGGGUUCUUGAAUUUGCAAUAUGAUGACGUAAGAAUUUAAAAGCGGUUUGGCUUACUUUCAUGAGUUUGUUUUUUAAUCCUUUUGGGUUAAUGAUUUUAAGGCCAUCGAUUGAGUAUUAUACAAAGAAGAAAACAGGGCAAAAGCCAAAGCAGGCGCAAAAACAAAUCAAGGAGAAGCAGUUACAAGGCAUCCAAAGAGAAGCCGGAUUAAUUCUUGGGUUUUUCUUUUCCUCUUUUCUAUUGUUGUACUUGAAUGUUUCUUAAAAUAUUUAUGAAUUCUUUUAUAUUUCUAUAAACUAAUUUAUUUCGAUGGGGCUACGAUGUAGCCUAAUUAUGAAAAUUUAAUUUCAUAAAUUCAUGUUACUUUUAAUUUAUUAUUUCAUAAUUGAGUGCUCAUUAUUGUGCUUAACACUUUUAAAUAUCUGGCUAAUAUUUGAAUGAUUUGAGGAUACGUAAUGAAACCAAGAGGAGAUUUAUAUAUUUUUGCUCUAUGUAAUGAAUGCCGUGAAUUGAAUGAAAGACAAACAUGGUCUGGUUGCAAGCCGACAAAUCAACUCGACUAGAUUCAUCAUCAACAAUAUUUAUUAAUUUGAGCUUGAAUAAACUAUUAUUAAUUUCCUACUUUUCCAAUUCUCAGAUAAACUGGAAAUCGAGCAACCUUUUUACUCUGGCCAUCUGAAUUCCAAGCAACUUUAAACUUCUCCAUCAUAUUGUCUGUCAAAAGCUCAACACCCCUGUUCUUAGCCGUCUGAUAACCUGAACUUGACCGUAUGAACGUUAAGUAAUCAUCUAAAUCCAUCAACUUCUCUAAAACAAACUGAUCAAACGGCCCCGUAUUAUCCACCCCAUCUACAGGCUCAAAUGGAAAAUCAAUGCUCAUGUACUUGUUCUCCACCAAUUUAUGUUGUGGUUCCCGAAAUGGCUCAUAAUCAACGGAGUGAAAUGACUUGAAAACUGCAUCUACGGACUCGUUGAUUUCGGGCCAGUAGUAGGUCCAUGCCGCUAUUACUCCAUUAGGUUUUUUGAGUACCCAUUUUACUUGUUUGUAAAAUUGAGGCAAGUCAAACCAAUGUAGUGCUGUAGCAAUUGUCACUAGAUCUACACUUGAUUGUGUUGCCACAUUUUGUUCAAGCUCAGUUAUGGACAUGGUUGGAGUAGUAAGUUGAUACCGAAUGUUGGGGAGCUUUAUUGCGAAUUCUAGCUGCUUUGGGCUUGUGUCUGUAGCAAUGACAUUCUUGUAGAUUGGUGCAAGCUGAAGACAUAAUUGAGAAAAAAUAUAAAAUAUAGGAGGCUAUAACAAAAGUACACAAAAUUGAGAAGGCCAUAUAUAAAAAUUACAUAGACAUGGUGAAAUUUCAACCCAUACUCAGUUUUUGUGUUUUUUUUUUUUUCAUCCUCAAGGUUGCCGGGAUACUCUAGUUCCCCCCUCGGUAGUUAGAUAAGAUUUUUCUGUACUAGUCUCACGACUAAAUUUCCAGAUAAUGUGGAUAUUGAUUUGUAGAUAAUACAUACAUAAUUAAUCAAUGAAAAUAAUAGGGAUUAACUAGGGAUUGGCAAUGGGAGGAGAUCGACAUUCCUGUAUCUAUUUCUGAUACUCUACUUAUAUCCUUGUACUCUCCCCGUCCUUUUUAAAAUUGCUUGAGGAUAGGGAUGGGGAUAUCCAAAGACACCCGAUCCCGAACAACUGAUUUUUGAACUUGAUUUAAUCAUAUUAAAGUAAAAAAAUAAAUCAUUUAACAACACAAACACGUCAAAACAAACUAAAAUCAUUAAAAUCAUUUUCAUCAAACUAAUUAAGUUAAUGUCAUCAAAAUUACAAGAUAAUCGAUGAAAUUAAGUAAAAAUAGAACUUCAGGGUUGAACACAUACAUAAAAGUCACAUGGUAUAAACCAUUAAGAAAAUUAUCUUCGUCAAUCUUCAAGUGUUCAUAUCUAUUAUGAUAUUUUUUUUAUUUAUAUCCAUACCAUCACAAUUUAAAUUUUAAAUAUAAUUACUAAAAAUUUUGACAGAAAUAAAUUAAAAUAAAAAAUGGGGAAAUGAGAGAGAUGAGGAAUUCACUGAAUCCUCAUCUUCUCCCUGUAUAAGAUAUUGAGUGUUAAGUUAUCUCUGUUCGUUCCCCGAAUUUUAAUUAAGAUAUAAAAUUGUUCCCACACCCUACACAAAUGGGAAAAAUCCUUCAAGACUAUCCCAUGAGAAUUUCUGCUAUCCCUGAAUUUAACAGUUAUAUAAUUCAACUUUCUUAUAGCUUGGGAUCAGAAUUCUGAAAUAUUAAUAUGGAACUUUUGUAUUAUUCAAAAAUUAAAUCUAAAGAUGUGAAAAGUAAACUUACGGAUGCAGCGGCCUGGCCGCUUCCGGUGCCGACGUCCCAUACAAGCUCGUGUUUGGGUGUUUUAGAGGCAAUGAAUUUGAACAAUUCUUCUGGAUAAUUUGGUCGUGCUUCCGCGUAUUGCUUUGCCUGCUUAACGAACAUAUCUGCCAUCUUUUCUGUUUUUUUCUAAAUAAGUGUUGACAAUAGAAUUGAGAUAAAUCUACUGAUCACUUGUUUCGCUUCUUCUUUAUAUAGGUUUUAGAAUUUGAUGUAGUAGACGAACAGACAAAUUUUAGUUAGAAAUUAAUUUGGUAUGGUUUAUCUGGGGAAGCCCAGAACGAGGACAAGCUCAUAAAGCGUUAAAUUUUGACCGAACUUUUCAUUCUUCCUUUAAUUUUCAAAGAUUCCCUUUUCUUCGCAAAGAUGAUGGUAUGGACUUCAUCAAUGAGUCCACAUCAACUCCACUUAGAGAAUUUUUUUGGGAUAAUUUUGUCAUUAAUUUAAGCUGUUAAAGGUAUCUAAAGAAGUAUUGAACUACUACUUUGCUCUCUUAUGGGGUUAAGAUGGCGGAGUUUAAAGGCAGAUUCACCUCAUGACCAUUAGGAGUUCAAGCUUCCAAUGGAGAAAAUAAUUUUAAAAAAAAGUAAUGAGAUAAUUGUUUGAAUUGUUAAUUAGAACUAUUAAAUUUAUUAAAAUAAUCGUGCUAAAUUUAUAAAAAUAGGUCCAUAAAUUCAUAAACCUAUAAAAUUUAAAUUUUGACUUUGAAACAUAUAAAAGCUCAUGCUUUAAUUAAAAAAAUAAAUGUUCACAGUAGUUAAAUUUAUUAUUAUUUAAUUUAGCCCUAUUAAAUUUACUAAAGUAACCUCUACAAACUCAUUAAUCUAUAAAAUUUUAGUAUUGAUUACAUUUUGUUAUUAUGUAAUUUAAUCCUCUGAAUUCGCUACCAUUUGGAAUUGGCUCUCUAUUAUUACUCGAUCUAGUCCAAGUUCAAUCAAAGUUGGCUCUCUAUUAUUACUUGUUCUAGUCCAAGUUCAAUCAAAGUUGGCUGUCUAUCAUUGACAGUUCUCGUUCAGGUUCAAUGAAAGAGAUCAAAGCAGAGUUUGUUUGCGAUUCAGUUUGUGUAAAUGCAUGUAGGUCCAGGUUGUCUUAUUUUGUGGUCCACUGGUGUAAAGAAUUUAAAAAGUAAUUGGAUAAGAGGAUGCGUCUUGGAUGAUGAAAUGAAGCAAUAACACAUCUUCAUGUGCAGUUUUUACGACGUGCACUCGGUAUGAUUAUGAAUAGUGAUAUAUGCAUAGAAAAUAAUACAAAAUUUAAUAAAAAUUAUAUAAAAAUAAAAAAUUAUUAUCCUGUGGUGUAUUUUUUAUCCUGUAAUUAAUUUUGUUUGUCUUUUAAUAUUGUGUGCUUUUAUAUUAUUUUUUGUACACGUGUCAUUCAUUGUUUCACUACUAUUACCAUGCUCCUAAAAACCUUACUUUUUUUUUUUUUCGGAAGAUGCCGCAUUUGCUUGAUUUCAACAUUGGCAUGCUCGUCCUUCUUACGCUUUUGUCUUUCAAUAAUCAUCAUAUUCAAUGGCAAAAUUUCAACAAGAUAGAGCAAACAUUCAACAAAGAUAAGUCUUCUUAUUGGAUUAGGCAUAGAUUUUUAUUUAAUUUGUUAUGGAAGUUGGUGGCUAUCCACUAUCAGCUUAGAUCAAUUUAACUAGCUAUACUUAAUUAGCUAAGUUAUUUGGGUGAGCAAAGUCAGUUAGUAGUAAAGCUCGGAAAAUCACCUAAGAAAAAUUGAAACAGGACCAUCAAAUUUACACAGUUUGCUUUGAUUGGCCAUUCAACAAAGCAUCUGAAGAGAUUGGAUGGCUAAAGAGCUAAGGCUUGGCUUUGUUUUGAUUGGCUAAUGGAUCCUAUAAAUAGAGAGCACUGCUCUUCGUGAUUUGUAUCCUAAAUUGAAACCUCAUCAAUUACAAAAAUAUCACCUUCCUUUGUAUCAUGUAUUUAUUAAUUUAUACUUUCUACAUAUAUGUUGUCAAUGAUUAUAACACGUUAUUAGUUAGCAUGACAAUCAUUUUGGUACAGGAAGUAUCUUAUCCCGUGCUCUUUUAUUUUAUCUAUUUAAUUAAUAAAGCUAUCUUUAUAAAUAUACUCUGAAGUUGUCAUUAAUUUGGAUCUUCCACAUAAAAAAAAAAAAGACUAGCUAUUGUAUUUCUUCUUGUUUAUUUUAUUUAUUUUUUAUAAUAGAGGGGCUCUACAACGAGCUAAGGUAAAACAUAUCGGGAGUAAGUAAUCCCAUACAAAUCAUUUGCAAUAAAACUAACAACCCCUGGAGGAGGAAUAGAAAAAAGAUGCAAUCCCAAGGGCAGCUCCAAGGCAUAAUUUGUUAGGAAGUCCGCUGCGAAAUUUGGUUCACGAUAUAUGUGGUUGAUGGUUAUAACCCAAUUUCGCUUGAUGAGAUCUCUAAUGGAGCGGAUGAGGUGGGUAUACUCGUUGAUGCUCUCCAUGUGGCUGUUAACCAUCAGAACAACACAGUGGCUAUCCACUUCCACGUGUAAAAACCAAGCACCAUGUUGCCAUGUUAAAAUUAAUCCUUGGUAAAGGCCCCAAAGUUCUGCUGCAAUAACUGAACAGACGCCUAUGUUGAAGCCAAAGCCAGUGAGCCACAUGCCUUGGUGGUUGUGUAUGAGACCUCCAGCACUUGAUGCCCCCAACUCUUUUCUUGCUCCGUCUGUGUUUAGCUUGCACCAGGGCCAGUUAGGUAACUUCCAGGUGAUCAAUCUCUCAAUUUCUCUUGAUCUCAACAACCAAAGAUGAGUUGUUGAUGUUCUGAAUCUCCUCAACUCUAGCUUUAAUAUCUUGUAUUAUACUAAUACUGUCCAUAUUUUGUUGGUGGAAUAGGAACUGAUUCCCCCAGAACCACAAACUCCAAAUAGUAACUCCAAAGUAAAUAUUCCAUUCAAUACUCGAGUCCAUUUGCCCUUUGCUUAGUAAAUUCUGACACAUCCAUUCUUUUAGAUCAAUCGUGAAAAACCAAGGACGAAAGCUCCUAGGAAUUAAGCGAUUUCAGACCGUUUUCGCGACCACACAGUCUCAAAUCACAUGUAUGGUAUUCUCAAGAGUUGAGCCACAUCGAUCACACCACUCGUCCACCAGCAAAUGACGCCUUGACAAUUCAAACCUUGUUUUUCGUUUAUCAUGCAACACCAACCAGAUGACAAAAUGAAUGCUCUGGGGGCCUUUCCAACUCCAUGCAAGACUCCAUAGCUUCUCCUCGUCGCUUAAAAUGGUCUUUGAUAGAGCAUGGUAAGCUGACUUCACGAUAAAACACCCCUUUGCUGAUUCAGCCCAGAAAACUUGGUCUGCACCAUCAUCUGCCAAAGGAGGCUUAUAGGAAGCAAUCCUCAAAAGGAUAUUAUGUGGUAAUAAGAAACUAAAACUCUCCCACAACCAAUUUCCAGCAUUGUCAACAAAGUCCACUACUUUCCUAUGUACUAAAUGGUCUGGAACUGGAGCAAUCUCAUAAUUAAUCAGGGGUUGAUUUUUAGUCACCCAACAAUCCCACCAGAAACGAACCGUUUUACCAUUCCCAACAUUCCACCGAAUCCCCCUCUUAACAGCAUGCCAAAUUUUCCCAAUAGACUUCCAAAGGUAAGAACCAUAUCUGGUUGGCAACUCAUAUGGAAAAUUUUUUGGGUUCACUCCAUAUUUCAUAAGCAGCACUUGAGACCACAGACGUUUUGGAUUGACAGUAAGGUUUCAGCCCACUUUCAUCAACAAAGCUUGAUUCAUUAUGUCCAUGUUCUUAAAACCCAAGCCGCCACAACUUUUUGGACGACAAAUCAUCCCCCAACUAACAAGGCUCAUCUUCCUUUGAUUAUUAGCAUCGCUCCACAUAAAUUUCCUGCAAGCUUGGUCAAUUUUACUUUUAACACUAGCCGGCAAAUUCGUAGUUUGCAUUGCAUAGAUCGGAAUAGUCUUCAGCACUGACUGGACAAGAGUGGCUCUUUCUGCUAAAGAUAAAUGAUUGGCAUUCCACCCAGAGAGGCGUUACUCAACCUUGUCAAUAAUGCUCUGAUAAGUCCGCUUUGAGACUCUAAAAUGUAGGAGAUGCAUUCCAAGAUAAGUUCCCAGAUCUUUUAUUACUGAAAACCCAAGAAAUUCACCUAUUUGUUUAGCCUCAUUUGCUUUAACAUUCUUGGAGAAAAAAAAUUUAAGUUUUAUCCUUGCUGACCUUGGCACCUGAGCUUGCACAGAAAGCAUCAAGGAAACACCAAAUAAAUCUAGCUUGAUCACAAGUUGCCUCAGCAAGUGGGAGAAGAUCAUCAGAAAAAAAAAAGAUGGGUGAUAGGGGUCCCAUUUUGAACUAGGCGCAUUGGUCUCCGAUCUCCCAUAUUUACAGCGUGAGCAAUGCCAUGGUUGAGUCUCUCAAUGCACAAAAAAAAUAUAUAUGGGGAAAUAUGAUUCCUCUACCUAAUUCCCCUAGAUGGCACAAAAUUCUCGGUUAUCUCCCCCUCUCAUAAAACAUUCAUCUAAACUUGAGUAAUACAAUCUAUGAUUAGUUGAACUAAGUCAGAAGGAAUUACAGCCUCUAGGAGAGUGUCAUGGAUGAAACUCCAAGUGAGCUUGUCAUAGGCCUUUUCUAAGUCCACUUUAAUUGUCAUUUGCCCUCUCCUACCAGUUUUCCGCCGCAUGGAGUGAAUCACCUCUUGAGUAAUAACAAUAUUCUCGGUUAUAUGACGUUCUGGGAAAAAACUUAUUUGUUGAGGACCAACAAAAUGAGGUAGGAUCAUUUUUAGCUUGUUGGCAAUCAUCUUGGUGAUUGUCUUAUAAACUAAUGUACAUAAGCUAAUGGGGCGAUACAUUUUUAAAGUCUGAGGAUGAUCAUUCUUAGGAAUCAGAACUAAUAGUGUCCUAUUAAUCUCUGGGGGAACUUUGCCUUGACUGAAAAUGCUCUUAAUAAAACGACAAAAGGAAGGCCGAACCACCCCCCACUGAGACUAGUAAAAAAUGGCAUGCAAACCAUCAAUCCUUAGGGCUUUUAAGGGCUUCAUACUAAAAAUAGUGUUUUUAAUCUCAGCUUCAUCUAAAGGCCCUUGUAAGAAAGACAAAUUUUCUGCAUCUAUCACUGGAAAAUAGCCCCAGAUAUGGUAUUGCUGAGACGGGAUGUUAUCCUCAAAGUAUAACUUGGAAAAAAAAAGUUGUACAGUAUGGCAUUUGAUAUCUUCAACUUCAUACAACCAUUUCACAUUCUCAUCUUUAAUAGCCAUGAUCUUGUUUCUCCUUCUUCUAGUUAGUGUCUUAUAGUGAAAGAAAGUUGUGUUUCUAUCGCCGUGCAUAAUCCAAUCUUUUCUAAACUUUUGCUUCCAAAGCAGCUCUUCUUGAGUAAGAACUGCUUCAAGUUCUCUUUUCAAUUUUAAUUCAAGCCGAAUGAGACCCUUUGUAGUAUAGUCCUCGAGAGCUUUUUUAAUACCACCAAUGCGAGCCAUAGGUCUUCUUUACCUUUAGAAGGUAUUACCAAAAGAAUUUAUGUUCCAGUGUGAGACAUUGCGAGUGAAAGAAAGGGCUGAUUAGAGGUAGGGUUCCAUAGGAUUCCAAUUCGAAGCAACAAAAUUAUCAAAAUCUUUGGUGUGAGCAGAGCCGCCAAGAAUCAAAAUGGUCUCUGUCCCUGACCCCGUCGCUCUUCUUUAUCAAAACGAACUGAUACCGGUCUAUGGACUGACUGAAUUUUCGGUAAAUGAAGCAUAGAGCUAUCUACAAAUUUAUUUAGUCAAUCCUCAUUGCACAUUGCCCUAUCUAGCUGUUUGAAGAGAGCCCCACGAGACCAAGAGAAUCUAGGACCCGUGAACGGAAGGUCAUAUAAAUUGCUUGAUUGGAACCAGUUUAAAAAACUCUUACAAAUCCCACUUUUAUGUAAGGAGCCACCUUUCUUUUCCGAAGUAUAAAUGAUAGCGUUGAAAUCACCAACGAUGAGCCAAGGUCUGCGAGUGCUGUUGGCUAGUAUUCCAGGAUGACCAAAGGUUUUGUCUAUUAGUUUGAACAGGGCUUGCAUAAACAGCAGUCACCCAUGACAAAAAGCCACCAUUGUUAAACAAGUCUCUCCAAUGAAAAUGAAUGAAUUGCUUGUGAUUUAAAGACACUUCGACCUCCAACAAGUCUCUCCACAAAAGCCAGAUUCCCCUAGAGAAACAAAUUGCAUCCACCCUGUGGGACUUGACAAAACCACUUUUCUUGAUGAAACCAUCCGCUCUUAUCCCACUAAUUCUUGGUUCCAAUAGAACAACCAUGGUCGAUUAUAAGUCUUUGUCAGAGACACAAAAGCACUGUGAAAUUUUCGUGAGCUAGCCCCUUGGGCUUUCCAAAACAUUAUAGAAAUAAGCAUAAAAAAAAAGAUAAAGAUAAAAGGGAGAGAUAAGGAGCCUUACUCAACCAAGGUCUCAUCUUCUAGAGAAAUAUCAUCCUAUGAAGAAUCAGUACCCUUACCACUGUCUCCCAUAUAGUCACUGUCAUCUUCAUCAUCAUCUAAAGUCAUCGUUCCUGCUGAUAAGAAUAUGUGUUGAUGAUGACAGUUUGAAUUAGUUAAGUUAGUUAUAGUGACGUGGCAGUCCAGUCAGCAAAUCAUUUGUUAGCUUGUUUAAGUUUGUUAUUCUGUUUCUUAGGAAGUUAACAAACACGUGAAAAUGAUGUAUGUGUUAAGAAGAUUCUGGGAAGCAGUAUAUAAACUUGUAAUCUCAUUCUGUUAGUGAGUUAAUAAAAACAAAUUCUCUUUAAUGAAUUUUCUCUCACUUUCACUUGAAUUUUCUCUGUAAACAAACACUCUAAAUCAGCUGAUCAAUUUCUAAUUUGGUAUCAGAGCCUUGAAUAAUUUCUAGUUCAUGGCUUCUUCAAGUCUGAGUACAAAUGUUUCUUCCGCAAUUUCAACAUUUACUUUCGCAACUCCACUCAAGCUUGACAGAUCAAAUUACACUAUAUGGAAGUCUCAGAUCCUCUCAGCCAUUCGAGCAAAUGAUCUGGAAGGAUUCCUUGAUGGAUCACGUACCUGUCCAAAUCAGCUACGGCCUGGUGAAUCAACAAGCACAGAGGCUGAAAUCAUCUCAGAAAAUUCUGCUUACACUGCUUGGAAAAGACAAGAUCAGAUGAUCCUGAGCUGGAUGAGCAUUGUGGUAAAUUCUAAAACCUCUCGAGAACUUUGGAUGAGUUUAGAGGAACAAUUUGGAUCUGAAACAAUAGCUAAGAAAGUGCAUUUAAAGAUGUUGCUAAAUAACCUUAAGAAAGGAUCCAUGACAAUCACUGAAUACUUUUGUAAACUAAGGUCAGUAACUAAUGAAUUAGCAAUGGCUGGAAGUCCAGUUAGUUCUCUUGACUUCGUUACACAUUUGAUCUCAGGUCUAGGACAGCCUUAUUAUCCUGUUGUGGUCUAUAUUGAGGCAAAUGUUCUUAAAAUGAGCAUCAAUGAAGCUUAUUCUAUGUUGCUAUCUCAUGAAGCUAGACUUGAGAGUAAUCAUUCGAGUGCAGCUAAGGAAACUAAGUUGAAUUUUACUGCUAAUAUGGCUCAAACUGGUAAUAAUCAGAAGAAGUCAGGAAAUAAUGCUAAUUGGAAUACCAACAACCAGGGAAAUUGGAAUGGAAAUUUUGUGAAUAGAAAUGGGAAUGGUAACUUUAACAAUAGAGGAGGUUAUGGAUCUGGCAGAGGUGGCUUUAUGGAACAAAACUCAGGGAGAGGCUGGUUUGGAAAUCAAGGAAGAGGAGGUGGUUCUAAUGGAAAUACUGGUGGAUAUAAUGGAAAUACUGGUGGAUUUGCUGGAAAUGGUGGUUUUAAUGGUGGAAAUCUGGGAUUCUCUGGUGGCUUUGGUAGAGGAGGUGGCAGAGGACACAUUACCUGCCAAAUUUGCUUUAAACCAAAUCAUUCAGCUGUUGAUUGUAAGAACAGAUUUAAUAGAAAUUUUAUUCCACAUUCACAAAUGCAGAAUCAAGGGCCGAGAGCUGCUUAUGUGACUACCUCAGAAGGAGUUGCUGACCAGGGGUGGUAUCUAGACAGUGGAGCCACUCAUCAUCUCACCAACAAUGUGCAAAAUCUGGUUGAAGGUAAUCCUUAUAAUGGCACUCAAUUAUUGUUUGUUGGAAAUGGUCAAGGUCUCACUAUCACACAUAUUGGCUGCACUUAUCUUUCCACUUCUUUUGGCACACAUUUAUCCUUAACCAGUACUUUGUGUGUUCCUAAAAUAACCAAAAACCUCAUCAGUAUAUCUAAGCUUCUUUUAGAUAAUAACAUAAUCAUUGAAUUUUGUUCCACCAUGUGCUUUAUUAAGGACAAGAAGGAGGGAACUUUGCUGGCACAGGGGAUUGUUGAAGGUGGUCUUUACAAGCUACUGUCACUUGAUGUCUCAUCGCUUUACUCUACAGCCUACAAUUCAAAUCUCUCUAAACCGAGUUCCAUGUUGUCAUUUUGUUUUGAUAAUAAAGUUGUAAACUCUCUACAAGAGUCAAACAAUCAUGUGUCAAAAUUGAAUAAUGAAGAUACUUCUGAAGCUUUUUCAUGUUCUGUCUCUGGAAAUUCUUCUAGAGUUGGAAAAAUAUCAGUUCAGUUGUUGUAUAAUAGAUAUGGUCAUCCAAAUAAACAUGCUUUGCAAACAAUUGUGAAAAAUCUUCCCUCACAUUGUCUCUCGAACCAAGUUAUUAGUUUUUGUGAUGCUUGUCAAUAUGGCAAAAUGCAUCAGCUUCAUUUUUCUAUUACUACUAUUAAAACAAAAGCCCCACUUGAACUCUUAUACACAGAUUUAUGGGGACCAGCCCCUGAAUUUUCAAUGAAUGGAUACAGAUAUUACAUCUCAUUUGUGGAUGAUUUUACACGUUAUUCUUGGAUCUUUCCUCUCACAGCAAAGUCAGAAGCCUUAGAAACCUUCAAACACUUCAAACUUCUUGUUGAAAAACAAUUUUCUUUACCUGUCAAAACAUUACAGUCAGAUAUGGGGGGUGAGUUUUUAGCCUUUAAAACCUUUCUUCAGCAAGAGGGUAUAUGUUUUAGGCAUAGCUGUCCAUACACACACCAUCAAAAUGGUGUUGUUGAGAGGAAACACAGGCACAUUGUUGAAACAGGCUUAACACUUCUAGCUCAAUCUCAGUUGCCUCUUUCUUUUUGGUGGGAAGCUUUUCAUACUGCCUCCUUUCUGAUCAAUACGAUGCCCACAUCAGUUCUAAACAAUCUAUCUCCAUUUCAGAAACUACACAAUCAACUACCUGACUACCAAUUUCCUAAAGUGUUUGGUUGCUCCUGUUUUCCAUUUCUCAGGCCUUAUAACCAGCAUAAACUCAACUUUCAUACCCAAAAAUGCAUCUUCAUUGGUUACAGUCCACUUCAUAAAGGUUAUAAGUGUUUAGAUCCCUCUGGUAAAGUGUUCAUUGCUAGGCAUGUUAUCUUCAAUGAAACUGAGUUUCCUUAUAAAGAUUUAUUUUCUAAACACUCAACCUCAAAAGUCUCAGAUGUUACUGGCUUAUCUUCACCAGUACAACUCCCUUUCCUUCAGAAUUCUGCUCGUGUUGACAGUAGCAAUGUAGUGUCACCAUCUACUAAUCUUCCUUCAGCAAUGUCUCCUUCAUCAAGUUCCAGCUCAAUACAGACCUCUUCUUUUUCCCUUCCUUCAGCUGAGCCAACUCACUCAUCUUCAUUACCAUCUUACCAUAUGAUUACCAGAGCUAAAGCUGGUAUUUUCAAACCCAAGUCCUAUCUAGCAGCUACUGCAGAUCUUAAACCAGCUAGUGUUAAAAGUGCCUUGCAAGACCCCAAGUGGUUUCCUGCUAUGAAGGAGGAAUUUGAUGCCCUUCAACGAAAUCAAACCUGGACUUUGGUACCCUCUGAAAGUGCUGCUAGAGUAGUUGGCAACAAAUGGGUAUAUAGGGUAAAAUAUAAUCCUGAUGGGAGCAUUUCUAAGUACAAAGCCAGGUUGGUUGCCAAGGGUUACCAUCAAACUCAAGGGGUGGAUUUCUUUGAAACCUUCAGCCCAGUUGUGAAACCUUGCACAGUCAGGGUUGUUUUAAGUCUAGCAGUGAUGCAUCAUUGGCAGAUUCGGCAGCUGGAUGUCAAUAAUGCUUUUCUAAAUGGUGUGCUAGAAGAAGAUGUGUUCAUGCAUCAGCCACAAGGUUUUAUAGACUCUGCACAUCCAUCUUAUGUUUGCAAAUUAAACAAAGCAUUAUAUGGACUCAAACAAGCUCCUAGAGCUUGGUAUGAGAGGUUAAAAAGUUCCUUACUCAAUAAGGGAUUUCAAUCUUCAAAGUCUGACACCUCUUUGUUCCUUCAACAUUUUGGGCAUGAUAUUGUGCUCAUUCUUAUAUAUGUUGAUGACAUUUUAGUCACUGGUUCUAAUUCUCACCAUAUUGGGGCUGUCAUUCAAUACCUCCAUUCUGAAUUUGCUCUUAAGGAUUUGGGAGAGUUUAACUACUUUCUUGGCAUUGAAGUGACACCUUCAGUUCAGGGGUUGCAUCUAUCUCAAACCAAAUACAUUGGUGAUAUCCUUAGCAAAGCUAAUAUGCUUGAUAGCAAAGGUUUUAACACUCCUAUGAGUCCAGGUGAUAAGCUUAAAAAGAACAGUGGUGCAGCUUUUGAUAAUCCUUCAUUGUACAGAAGUAUUGUGGGUUCUCUUCAAUAUGUGUUGUUGACAAGGCCUAACAUAGCUUAUCCUGUCAACAAGCUCAGUUAAUUUCUGGCUCAUCCAACCAUUUCUCACUGGCAAGCUUGUAAAAGGGUUCUUCGAUAUCUACAAUCCACUUCACACUUUGGCAUUCAGUUUUUCAAUUCAAGUUUUGAGACUUUAACAACAUUUUCUGAUGCUGAUUGGGCAGCAGAUCCAGAUGAUCGGAAGUCCACUGGAGGGUAUUGUGUAUUCUUAGGCUCCAACAUUAUUUCUUGGUCCUCUAAGAAACAAACAAUUGUUUCCCGUUCCUCAGCAGAGUCUGAAUAUCGAGCUCUUGCUUCAGCAACCUCUGAAAUUCUUUGGCUCACUUAUUUGCUUCAAGAACUGAGGAUUCAACUAGAUCACAGUUCUGUUCUGUAUUGUGAUAAUCAAAGUGCUGAGGCCUUAGCUAGCAAUCCCAAGUAUCACUCUCGUACAAAGCACAUUGAGUUGGAUCUUCAUUUCAUCAGAGAGCACGUUGCAAAGAAACAACUCACUGUCAGUCAUGUUUCUAGCUCAGAACAAGUUGCAGACAUUCUCACCAAGCCCCUCUCUUUUGAUCAGUUUGCUUAUCUUCGUACCAAGCUUAAUGUUCUUCCCAGAACUUAAGCUUAAGGGGGGAUGAUAAGAAAAUGUGUUGAUGAUGACAGUUUGAAUUAGUUAAGUUAGUUAUAGUGACGUGGCAGUCCAGUCAGCAAAUCAUUUGUUAGCUUGUUUAAGUUUGUUAUUCUGUUUCUUAGGAAGUUAACAAACACGUGAAAAUGAUGUAUGUGUUAAGAAGAUUCUGGGAAGCAGUAUCUAAACUUGUAAUCUCAUUCUGUUAGUGAGUUAAUAAAAACAAAUUCUCUUUAAUGAAUUUUCUCUCACUUUCACUUGAAUUUUCUCUGUAAACAAACACUCUAAAUCAGCUGAUCAAUUUCUAAUUCCUGCCAUAAUCAGGAGGUUCGUCUUGGGCUUUGGCAAGCUGACCGUUAUCACCACCCACAAGGAAUCCGUGUUGAGGCUCAGCCAGGGUGGGGUUUGUGGAAUUUGUGGGAGAAGCAUGUGUGCCCUUUUGAUUUAAAAAAAAAAUGGUGGUAUGGAACAGGGGGUUUAAGCUAGUUGAUACGAAAAUAAGAUCUAGGUUCAUUGCAACAUGUGCAUGGGUUUUGCUUGAAUUACGUACACUUUGCAUGGCUUUUGUUUUGGUGGACUAGAACAUGUAUGUCACUUAAAUACGGUCCCUCACGUGACAAUAACUUUGGGCUGGAACUAGUAUUAGGUUUUAUCGUUUUCGAAGCUUGCUUCUUUUGUUUUGUUUCAACUCUAAGGUUAUACUUGGCUGGCCCUUGUUUGUUUGAGCUCGGAUUAGUAGGUUCUAUGUUUGUGGCAUUAUUGGAAUCUCCUUCCUCAAAGUUCGCUAACACUGCAAAAUGAGAAUCCUUUCCAUAAUUGCUCCAUUGACCUUGCCCCGAAUCCUGUUGAAAUUCAUUUCCUUUCUCCAAGUGAUCCUUACCCUUUCUGGUGACCACCAUCAAAGGGCCAAAUAUAGGAUAACCACCGGGAGCUAAAGCAUCACCCUUUUCUGCCAUCGCAACCACCAUGUCACCGCUAAUAUCACGAUCCAAAUCUUCUGUUGCACGGUCAGGACAUAGCUAACUGGUAUGCCCAUAUUUGCCACAUGUGAAACAUAUAUGGGGAAGACAUUUAUACUCCAUUUUUUUAACUUUGCCAUCUAGUAGGAAUUGAGAUACAAGAGGCUUGUUAAGUGCUAUAACAACCACAAUACGUGCAAACUUACCCCCCAUGGCUGAUUCAGUAUUGUAGUCUAUUCGAACGACUGUUCCAAUAAUCUAACCAAGCAUCCGAAGGAUUCUUUUGUGGUAGUAAUGCAGGGCUAUACCAGGAAGCCUGAUCCAUGCAAUAAUUGUAUUAAUUGACUCUGUAAAACUAUCAAAGUGAGGAGUCCAUGGCUGCGUGACUAGGCAGUGACCCAUGAUUGUCCAUAGUCCUUGAGUCAAAGCAAAAUCUGCAUCACCCUCUGAACGAAAUCGAACGAGGUAGUAACCGUUAUCCAAAUCAAUGACCGAGAAACCUAGAGCCGACCUUUAAAGAUUUUCCAAUCUAUUACAUAGGACCUUGUAGCCUAUGUGACGUCCUAGAAAUUUAACUAUCACUGAAUUCUGCCAAGGUUUUACGAGUUGCUCAUGGAUUAUUUUUAAGAAAGAGAUAGAUGGUAUGUUGCCAUCAUCCCCUACAGUGAUAUCCUCUGGUCCAAAGACUAGAUCAUCCUCCACACCAAUCAUCUCCUCUUCAUUCCUCUUCUCUGACUCCAUUAACUUAUCUCUAAAUGAAAAGUGCUCAGGGUUGUCACCAUCGUCGCCCUGGGCUAUAAACUUGGCCUUCUUCAUAGCAUGGCCAUCAUUGAUCGAAAGGGUUAGGUCCUUCUCCAUCUCUCUACUUAUAGUAUCUUAUAGUAAACUAAGAAAUAUUAAAGAUCUUCUAGCGUAUUUUGAGUUGUAAAAUGUUUAUUGUUUAUUUUAUAUUACUAAAGUUAAAAGCAAUGGCCAAAUCGUACGAGACAAAAGCAUAAAUCAAGACCAAAGUGUACAAAACCAAGAUUGAAGCAUAAAAAAUUCUGAUUGGAUCCUUAAAGUAUCAAGACUGAAGCCUACUAAUUUGAAGCCACAUAUUUGAAUAUUCUAAAACCCCAGAAGAUAAAUUGAAGAUGACAAAUCCAAUGAAGCAUGAAUUUAAAGCCUACAAUAUUUUUGGUAAAAAUUAUUUAUCUUGAAUUCUACCUCAGUAAUUAGAAGCCAUAUGUCUCAAUAAGUCAUCUGGAAGCUAUGAGACUCAGUAACAUAAUCAAGCUCAUCUAACUGAAAGGAAGUCAUUGCUUGAAUUGAUAUGAAGUCUUAAUUGAAGACAGAAUUCUUCACUCAAUUAAAAUAAGUUUUGAUAGUAAUUUUUCAAAUUAGCCCAACAUCACAACUCUGGGCUUUACAAAAUGACAUCACAGUUGAAGAUAUGUGGAAAGAAAAUGAUUGAUAAAGAAGACAUGCUCAACAUUUUAGGCUUUAAACAUGAUUUUGCAACAACAAUCUCAAGCUCGCUAACCUAAUAGGCACAAAACGUGCUAACCUUACAGGCACAAAGUCGAUUUUUGAAGAAAAAAUUUAUCACAUAGACACAUGGUCAAAAUCAUUGUCAUGAUGAAGUUAUAGACAUGCUAAAAAUCGUGGUUACAAUUAUGAUUGAAGUCACAUUCUUGAAGAAAUCAAGCAUUGGCUAAUAUUAUGCAGAGACAAACUAGGUUGAUUGAGGGGAUGGCUCAAGGUGGUGGUCCUGCUCAGAAUGCUAGAGUCGAAGGGUAAGGUGUUGCUGCUAGAGGCAGAAUGGUGGCAACUUUAGAGCAAUUCCAAAAGUUGGGGCCUCCUGUGUUCCGUGGGACAACUGACCCUAUGGCAGCUGUUGGUAUGAAUUCAAAUGCUAUUGGUGUCAAUGUGCAAGUGUACACAACAAGUAAUAUAAUGAUGACUAUUCGAGAUCGUCUCCACUGGGAUUGAUGUUAUCAGACUUACUACAGCAAUCUUAACAGUGCAGAUUUUGUUCUGAAUUAAGAUAAAACAAUUAAUGAAAUUAAUAUACUAAUUAAAAUAAAAACGCAAUAAAUAAAAUGCAACAAAGUAAACUAUCACAUUAAGCUCAAGGAUAAAACCAAUGGAAAUAUAGAGUAGUUGAGUGAAUAAACUCUCUUAAUGGUUUUGACUAUUUUUCUAAUGUUUGACUCGGUUGCUACAGCAUUUGCUACAGCACUAGGUAGAAUCCUUAUGUAUUCUCAGCCGUCGCAUGUUGGAUAUCUUAUAUCUAUAUGCAACCUAAUAGUGAUUAGUUGUUAUACCAAUAUAAGAUAUAACAUUACACGCUUAGGUUCUAUUUACUCUACAAGGUGAAUCCCUAUGUCUAGUUCAUCACUAAUCUUAGAUUAAGUAUGGCCCUUUUGGGAUUCAAGUAAAACUCAAUCUAGGAAACCCAAUUUAAAACCAAAUAUUGCUCUGAUAUGUUCCACUAAGAUAGACCCUUUUGUGGCUCUUCCUUAGCUAAUAUUAUUAAAAAACUUGAUUUAUAUUAUAAAAUCUUUCAUUUCAUAUUUAAAUAUUAUUAUUACAUAUUAUAAAUUCCAAAUACUUCAAGAAACAAGAUAUGAGAUAAUCCACCCUUAUAACUGAAUAAUCUAAAUUAAAUACAUAAAACUUUCUACUGUCCAAUCAUAUGCCUACUAGUUGUAACUAAAUUUAACAUUUCUAAAAGCUAAAAUGAGAAGGAUGAUUGCCUUCACUCUUUCAAAAUAAGUAGUGCAAUUGAGUUAUCAUAACACCAGAUUCUUCAUUCUCCAUUCAAUAAUGGAUGGGUUAGGAUACAAGUGAAGUUGAGGAUGAAACACUUCAAACAUAUUGAUCAAAUUUGCAUAUGAAUACAUGGAAAAAGGAAAAAAAAAAUUGCUUGUCAAUUUCCAACCAUUAGAGAAACAAUGGUUAACAGAAAUAAACUUUUGUCAUAUUUGUGUUUUUGGCUAAUUUCUAUGUUUGAAACCAUCAUGUCCCACAUAUCUUCAACUGGAAACAGUGGCAGUUGGAUUCCAAGAUUUUUAGAAUAAGAAAACCGAACCUAGUAAGCUCGUGGAUAUUUGUAUCUUUACUAAAUGUACAUAAAUCAUUUAACAAAGUAUUACCAAGAUAAUAAAAAUAGUUAAUGCAGUAAAGUGCAUCACAUAUUUUAAAUACAUAUAUACUUUAUUCGCUCAAUGUAAUGCUAAUAAAAAAUUCAAACUGAAAAUGAAAGCAAAGCAAAGUGAUAGUGUGUGCAUUAGAAAAAAACUCAAAAAUCACAGCAUUUGCAAUUUCAUUUGAAAAUUUUACAUUUGCAACACAAAACUCAAGCAUCAAAACAAAACUUGAUUUAAUGAGAAUAAAAAAUGAUGUAAUUACCAUUAAAUUAAGCCUGAGAUACAUAAUUAAAAUUAAAAAAUAAUGAAACAAAACAGUGAGGGAGAAAGGAAGUACCGUUAGGGAAAGCAAAAAGCUGAGAUUAAGGAAACAUAGUGAGUCUAAAACUUGAAGCUUUUUCGCUUUUCCUUUUCACAACCAGAAAUGGUUUAUGCUUUUCCUAUCUGUGUUCGUUUUAAAUUAAAUUAAAUUAUUUUAUUAUAUUUGGCUAAGAAGAAAAGAGCCAGCAAAGUGAAAAGUCUCCAACAGUCCAAGCUACGCAAGCUACAUUUGAAGGCUGGACCCUGCCUACACAUCUACUUAGGGGUGGGCAUCGGAUCAUAUUCGGGUCAAUUCGAUCCGAUCCGAACUGAUCUGAAUAUGUUCGGAUCGGAUUCAGAUUGACCUCUAAAUCCAAUCGGAUAGAAACUUUGCAAUCCGAUCGGAUUUGAUUCAGAUCGGAUCGGAUUUGGAUCAAUCCGAUCAAUCCGAUCAGAUUGCACUUAAAAAAAAACUUAAAUAUAAAUAAAUUAAAAGCUUAAAAGACAAACCUCUUCUACCCUAAAUUCCCAAAUCAUAAACGAAUUGAACCUAGCCAGCCACAAAGGCACGUAUUCAGCCAACCCAGCCAUCAAGCUUCGCGCCUGCCGGCUAGCCGCAUGUCGAUGACGCCCCUUUCCAUGCGCCGAUGACGUCCCAGGCAACAACAACCAAUCGAAGAUGACAGCAAGUACUGCUUGUUGUCUGCUACUGUCAUCUUUAGUUCUUGCUAUCUGCUGUCAUCUUCUCGCUUGAUGCUUGCUAUCUGCUGAUCUUCAGUUCUUCUUCUUCUGUUAUUUUUCCUCUUUCUUAACCUUAACAGUUGGUGCUGGGUGUUUGCUUUUGUUUGUUUAACUAGUUUUUUUUUCCUUUACAUAUACAUAUAAUUCGAAUUUAAUCCCAAGAUGACAGCAAGUACUGCUUGUUGUCUGCUACUGUCAUCUUCAGUUCUUGCUAUCUGCUGUCAUCUUCCUGCUUGCUGCCUGUUGUCUGUUGAUCUUUGAUUCUUCUUCUUCUGCGUUCCCCCCCUUUAAUCUUAACAGUUGGUGUUGGGUGUUUGCUUUUGUUUGUAUAACUAGUUUUCUUUUUUCCUUUACAUAUUCAUAUAAUCCGAAUUUAAUCCGGAGCUAUUAAUCCGAUCCGAAUCCGAAAUAAUCAUCCGAUCCGAAUCUGAUCCGAAUAAUUCGGAUCGGAUUCGGAUCGGAUGAUUAUUUCGGAUUAAUUCGGAUGGUUUUUAUCCCAAUCCGAACAAUUUGAAAUCCGAUAGGAUUGAUCCGAAUCCGAUCCGAAUCCGUUUUUGCCCACCCCUACAUCUACUGAAAGAUUUGUUAGUGACCAUGACUUCCAUUAAUUUCUAAGCACUCAAAUUGUGUUUUUGCCAUUAUUUCAAGUAAAACAUUUAAAUUUUAAAAUGUAUUAGAUUUUAAAAAAAAAAAUUGAUUUUUUUAAUUAUAAGCACUAAGAUUGUGUUUAUCCUAAUUUAUUCCCCACAAUUACAGUUAUGGUUGCAUCUAAAUUAUUGUAAAAUUUAUUAACUUAAACUUUAUAAUUUGUAAUCUGAUUAUGGAAUGUUUAUUUUUUUGAAUAUUGGCUUAUAAUCCUUUCUUUGCACAUGGAGACCAUUUGAAUUAUUAUUUUUUUCUAUGAGAUAUAUAACACAACUAAUAUAUCUAUAAUUAGAAGGCAAUGGAAACUAUGAGGAAGAAGUUAGCUCCACACACAACCUAAUAAGAGAAAAGAUAACUCUCAUCCAAAAAUAUAUUAAAAACAUAUUUAACUCUUAUAAAUUACUAAAAAUAGUAGCUCAACCACAAUUUAACGAGGGAGAAGACAACUCCACCCACAAACUACUAACGUGAGAAAAGACAACUCUUAUCCAAAUAUAUUAUUAAGAAUAUUUAGAAAGAGAAAAGAGUUUGUUGGGACAUGAAUCUAGACUCUUUAGUUUAAAUUGAGAUUUUUGGACCAAUACCCACAAUUAUUUGAUCGAAUUAAAUGGAAAGUAAUUUAUAUUUUCAUCAAUUUAACACAAAAAUCGGCUUUCCCAAAUCCACUUAUCAUAUCCUAGAAGGCUAAAACAUCACAAAACAUAAUGAACUAUCUACACAUAAAGGCCAAAUGACAAACUAGAUUUGAAAUCAUAUCACUCAGAGGAAUAAUAUAUUGGCCUAUAACUAGCGCUCUGACUCUUAGACUAAAAUAAAGAAAACCAAUUAUCAUUGCCAUCUUGAAUCAAUUCUUCUAAUUUUCUAGUUUAUCACUAAAUUCUCUAACAAAAUAGAAUCUUUAAGAUAACCAAUACAACUCAAACAAGCUUAAUUCAUAAUAAAAUUACAAAAUGAAGAAUGAACCAAUUGAUAACGAAAAUAUCACAAGAAGUCAUCUUAGUUUCAAAAUCACUAAUAAUUAAAAAAAAAUAUUGCCUGAUUAAUUCGAUCGAGAACCUCUUCUCUCUUCGCUGCUUCUUCUUUGCGUUCAUAAAGCCCAACUUCAAUCGAAAACUUCAACCCUAAAGGAAUCAAAAUCAGGGUUUCAUGUAGAAAAAAAAGUAAUUAUAAAUAAAGAUAAAACAAAACCUUUUUCAAGUCACGGGUUCUUUGUAUAUCAGCCUAUGUGGAUCCCACGAUUGAUAUUGGUUUCGUCUAAUUAGCUGGCGACAGUGACGAACUCAUUCUCUUUUUUUGAAUCAAACUUUCAAACCCUAACUUUAGCCAAGUUCUUCACAAAAAUUUGAGGCUUAUUUCCAGGGGUAUUUUAGCUCAAGGAUGGUGGCUUUGAAGGUUUAUAGAAGCAGCUUGUGAGGUAGAUCAUUGUUAGAUAGAGAGAGAGGUAGAGACAAAGAGAGAGAGAGAGAGAGAAAGAGAGAGAGAAGAGAGCUUCAGUUCAGAGAAGAAAAUGGUCAUGGGGAUAGAUUUUUUGCUCAUCAAAAUUUUUAGAUUUUAGGUUUCCAUGUACACCUCAUUAAAACGGCAUAGUUUCUAGAUAAUUUAAUUUAAUUUAUAAUAAUUACUACAUCAAGCGAAAAUACAACUUGUGGUCUAGUUGUUUAACGUUUAAAAUUAAAAAGCUAAAGCUUAGAAGUCUGCGGUUCGACUCCUAGCAUAUACAAAAUGAAAAUUUUAUUUUUUUAAUUACUGAUACUUUAAUGUCACAUAUCUUUGAUACUUAUCUAUUAAAUGCAGAAAAUGUCCCAAAUGCAUGUAAUUACUGAUACUUUUUAAUAUAGUGUCACAAGAUAAGUGUCAACAAAUACCAUUUUUCUUGUAGUGUUAAUUAAAAAAAUUCGAUUUUACCCACAAUGAAUUACACAGUAAACAACAGUAAAUUAACGGAAGGGUGUUUUGAGCUUUUUUUUUUUUAAAGUAUGGAUGAAAUGAACUGUUGUUUGAAUAAUAAGGAUGAAUUAGGCUAUUGCAACAAAUUCAAGGGACGAAAAAAAAUUUUUUCUUUUACUUAGGUGCUGUUUAUUUUUUAGUUUGAAGUUUGAAUUUAAUUUUUUUUAGACAUUUUUUUAUUUUAGAUUAUUUUUUUUAACUUAUCACUUAUUGUCAUAUAGUUUUAUCUGAAUAGAAAAAGUGGAAAAAGUUCACUUUAUUUGAAGUCUGAAGUCUAAAUAUAAAUUUUUAAUUUCAAAUCUCAAAAAUACCCUUAACAAUUCAUGUAUUUCCAAUAUUAUGUAUAAACCUUAUAUUUUUGUAUUAUUCUUGAAGUUGUUUUUCUAAUUGCUUUAAAUUUUUAUUCACAUGAUAAUAUUAACUAAACUGAAAUAUUGAACAAAUCAAAUUAUGUUAAUUGUGAUGAAUCAAAAAUAAAAUAAUAGUGUUGACUUUAUAAUAAAAUUUGAUGUUAUAAUUACAUCUUUCAUUAAAAAAAUAAAAGAAGAUCAAUAAUGAUAAUAUUUUUUUUAAUGUUACCAAACUAAUCAACCUGUGAAAAUUAUAACUGUGAAGAACAAAUAUAUGCACCACUCAAAAUGAUAUUUAUGCCAAAUUACUAGUUUUUAGGAUUUUCUCUUUAGAUGUUGAAAAAGAAAAACAAAGAUGUCAUUCAGAUAUUUUCAUUCAUAUUUAUUCAGAUUUUAGUUAAAUUCAGAUCUAUUCAUAUUUCAGAUAAAAAAACAAAUGCAAUCUUAGUUUAUAGGUAUAGGACUCCACUCAAGCAUGGUUUUUAAUAUAAAGAGAGAGAGAGAGGAGAGAGAAAAUUGAUAAAAGAAAGAGUAAUGAUAAAAAUUAAAAUAAUGCUCGUGGGCAUUUUAGUCAAUUCAAGUUGAGAUGAAUGGAAAUAAAAAAAUAAAGAGUAAACCUAUUUGAAGUUUUAAACCCAUAAAAAAAAUAUUUUAUGUUGUGUUUCUCCCAGUACCCAUUAAUUAAAUUUUAAAUUUAUGAUUAUCCUUUAAACAUCCCUCUUAAUUUCAAAAAUAGCCCUUUAUUCUUUUCCACCAUAAUGGUGUUUUAAGCGAUACAUAAAAUGUUUUUCUACCAUAACUUUGAAUUUCAAAAACUUGCUUUAGUGUUGGUUAAAAAUAGUUCUUUUUCAGGAUUAAUUAAAGUUUCUUAUCAUAAACUCAUUGUAAUUUUUUCUUAGUUGACGAAACUUUACAAAACUGAAUUUGUGUCCCUAGCAAUGCCACUUUGAAGCUUUUACAAAAUUAAUUGUGAUGUCACUGAUGUGUCUAUUAUUUUCAACUACAAUCAAGCCAUAAAACCUUGUCAAUCUUGUAAUAUGUUGGGGUUGGGGAUUUGGCGAGGGUAUUGUAAUUAAAAACUUCAAUUACAUUAAAAGAUUUAGGAAUAAUGUUUUAAUUAUAGAUUCAUAGUGGAAAUCCUUUUUUGGGAUCCUUUUAUUAAGCUGUAGUCACAGUCAAAUAAUCAUUUGGCUUUAAGUUUUUGAUAUAUAUAUAUAUAUAUAUAUAUAUACAUGCACACAUAUACAUACAUACAUAUGUAUGUAUAUAUAUUCAACAGAGAAGAUUGAAACUAUAUGUAACACAUUGGACUGAACUUGCCCAUGAGCUAUCUGAUCUAAAAUUAUUGAUGAACUAGACAUAGGGGUUCACCUUGUAUGGAAAAUAGAAUCUAGAUAGUUUAAUGCUAUAUUUAAUAUUGGCGUAACAAUUGGUCACUGUUAGAUUGCAUUAGAUAUAAGAUAUCCAACAAGCGACAGCUGAGGAUGCAUAAGGGAUUCUACCCAGUGUUGUCGCAACAGUUUCUCAAUUAGAAAGACAGUAAACACCAUUAAGUCACAUUGCUUUUAUCCCUCUGUCUGAAGUGAUAAUUUUCUUUACUACAUUUUUUAUUUAUUGUAUUUUUAUUUUAAUUAGUUUAUUAGUAUUAUUAGUCGAUUUAUUUCCAAUUAAAACAAAACUGCGUUGUUAAGAUUGUUAUAGCAAAUAUGAUGACAUAAAUCCCUAUGGAGACAAUCUGGAUACUCAUCAGUAUAUUACUUAUUGUGUACACUUGCACAUUGACAUCCAUAGCAUUAAAGAUUUUACACACCACAUAUUUACAAAUUAAAGAAGGCUUUGUAUAGUUUAAAAUAAGCACUUAGAGCUUAGCUUGCUAGAUUCAAGUAUGUAAGGCUUUCUCAGUGGCAUUUUCAGCACUCCAAGUCUGAUAACUCUCUUUUCCUCAAAUGGGAUAGAGGUCUUUUGGUUCUAGUUUUGGCAUAUGUUUAUGACAUGAUCAUCACUAGCUCCAGCUCUUUUAUAGUUCAACAGGUUAUUCAAGAAAUGCGUUACACAUUUGCUUUAAAAGACUUGGCAAAGAUCCAUUAUUUUCUAGGCAUUGAAGUCAUAAAGACUCAAAAUAUAGUUCAUUUAUCUCAAGCCAAAUAUAUUGUCGACAUUUUAGAAAAACAUGGACAUGGCUAGUUGUAGUCCAAUGCCUAUACCUAUGUGAACUGGUCAUAUCUUAAAGACUUAGGUGAUGAAAUUGAUAAUGCAUCUUAGUGUAAAAGUGUUAUUAGAGCUUUGUAAUAUGCCACUCUCACAACGCGAGAGCUAGCCUUCUCAAUUAACAAAUUAAGCCUAUUUUUCUUAUGUCCAAGGACUCAUCAUUAGGAAGCAUGAAUAAGACUCUUGAUAUACUUGAAGGGUACUUUACAUUUUGGAUUGCAUUUCUAUAGUUGUCGUGCUAUGCAGUUAAACUAUUUUGUAUAAUAUUAUUGGGCUUGUGAUAGAGACGAUAAGGAUUUGCAAUAUAUCCAGGUCCCAACUUGGUUUUAUAGUUAUCUAAGAACCAAUCAGUGGUCUUUCGAUCAAGAACAAAGGCUGAGUAUAUAGCUUUAACUCAUUCAACCUAGCACCAUGCCUAUAAUCUGAAUCAAGAAGCAACUGCUUUGGCGUAUAACCCCAUUUAUCAUGCUAAAACCAAACACAUUGAGCUGGACAUACAUUUCAUUAGAGACAAAGUUGUAGCCAAGCAAAUUCAAGUUUGUUUUAUACUAAGUGCAGACCAAACAACUAAUUUGUUAACCAAAGCACAUACUUUUAAACGGCUCCAUUACUUGCGUAGCAAGUUGAAUGUUCAUUCUAGACAUUUUAACUUGAGGGAGGUUGCAAGUGAAUCAGAUUUUACUUGAAUGCAGAGCAUAUGGUGCAGCCAACAGCAGCAGAUCAACUACUAAGCUAAUGUAGCAGAAUUAGCUAUUUGGUUUAACUUGUAUUAAGCAAAGCUCACGUGAGCAUAACAGAAUAAAAAGCAUUUAUAACGGAAUUAGAAGCAUGUAGAAUUCAACACUAUAAAUAUGUAAUGUGCUUUCAUUUCAAUUAAUUAAUUAGAAUCUUCUACAAGUUUCUUCAAAAUAUUCUCUCUCGUUUUCUAGUAUUUCUUGCUACUUUCUUACUUGCCAAACAUCUUCCAAUAUUCUAAUAUUGUACAAGUCAAAAUGUCAAACCAGUGCAUGGCUUGAGCAUUAAUUGUUGACACGACUCAAAAGUAUAUUACUCCCAAGUAUAAGAUUAUCUAGUUAUAAUAUAACCCGGUAAAUCCGGGAUCAAAUCACAGAGAAUUUAAAAUCUAGUUGUCAAUUUAUUGGACAAAGAAAAUUAAUUGUGGUAAAAGAAAUCACUAGAAAAAAAAUUAAAAAUAUGCUAAGGUUACGAGAUCCACUCUUAAUAUUCAAACUAUAAUUUUAAUACUUUCUCAUUUAUAUAUUUUUCUCACUUUUACCAGUUAAUUAUAUCAUUUAAUUCUAUAUGUGUGGAUAAAUAUGGAAUAAAGUACCUAAUGUGCCACAACUGUAUUAAUGUAUCGACAUUAUGUCAAAAUACCAUAUAAAUCCAAAAGAAUGUAUAAAUUAACAUGACAUAAAAAUAACCAGAAAAGAAUAAAAUAAACUUAAAAACUCACUUUGAGAAAGUAAUAAAUUUAAUAGUUUGAAACUUUGAGCUUUACCAUUCACCUUAGCUUAGUAAAAUUAGCCACUCAUAUUGAAAGAAAACACAACAUUCUUUUUAUUUGAUAAACUUUUAAAAUAUGUUAUAAAGAAAAUUGAUACAGAUGGAAACAAGAAAAGAAAAGUAAGAAAGAAAGAAAUUCUUCAGCUGCACCCUUGGCUACCACUCUCUCUCUCAGCUCUUGGCUCAACUCCCCCCUAAAUUGCUUGCAUCCCCUUGCCUUUUAUAGGUAAGGGAAGCAUCUUCUUUUCUUUUCUUUUAUUAAUAUUAAUAUUUUAUUUUAUUUUUAUAUUAUAUAUACAUAUUGAAAGGGGUGAUGGCCAGGAGGCGUGAUGGCCUCUUGACCAUCACAAGCAACCAAAUCAUAGUUGCCUUUUGUUCUUUUGUUCUUUUUAUUAUUAUUAUUUAUUACAUCUCCUUAAUGAUGCAUUCUAAAUUGCUCCAACAAUCCUUCUUUGUUCCCGCUUUCGAUUCCAAUUCCAUCUUUAUUCCUGAAAAAUAUUUACAAGAUAAAAAUUAACGUAUUACAAAUUAAUUUUACAUAAAAAUAUAUUUGGGGAGUAUUAAGAUAAUUUAUAAGUAAUGAGCACAUUAAUCGACAUAAUAAGUGAAAAACUAAUAAUUUUAUCGUUAUUAAAUGUACACUUUUUAAUGCCAAUCAAUUGUCGCUUAGAUCAAAGGUUGAUUGUGCCGCCAUGUUUUAUUCAAGCUUAAAAAUGGACAUAGGACAUUGCUGGUGUAGUGAACUGUAUCGAUUGUUGGUGGCUUUGUCGCAAAUUCUAAUUGUUUUGGGCUUGUAUUCGUGCCUGUGACAUUUUUCAAGAUCCUAGGUCUGAAAAUUUAUGGAAUGACUUAAAAAUGUUUGAUUUACUCUCAAGUAUAAGAGUACCUAGUUAUAAUAUAUCUCGGUGAGUCCGAGGUCGAUCCACAGAGAAAAGAUUUAAUUUGUUUAUUUUAUUUUAUCUAAAAUUUGAAAAUAAAACUUAAAUAUAAACAACUUAAUUUAAAUAAAACUAUGAAAUUGAAUUAGUUAGGGUUGUGGAUUCACUCUUAGUUGUAAAUAAAACUUAAUAAAUUCUUUUUGCCAUUUUUUUAGAUUUAUUGCCCAAAAGAUUCAUUAUAUAAAUUAUUAUUAUUUUCCCUUUAAUUUUAUAAUGGAUUAAGUAUUCAUUGUGCCAAAAUUUAAUUUGUCUACAAUAAGUCAAAAUACCAUUUUACCAUACCUUAUAUUAAGAUAAAAAGAAUUUAUUGUGCCAAACUCCCUUGUUUGUCUACAAUAAAUCAAAAUUUCAUAAUAUAAAAUACGUAUAAAAUUAAAUAGAAAAUAACUUAAUUUAUAAAAUUAAAAAUAGAAUUUGAUUAAAUCAUAUUUAUUUCCUAAGAGUUUCACCUUCCCCUAACUAUUAAUAUUUAGCUAAACAUUUUUUUAAUAAAGGAAAUUACUAAAAUUGAAAGACACAUAAUUAAAAAUGGAAUUUGAAAAUUGAAAUAAAACUAAUUUUAUUGAUUGAAAAUAAAUUACAAAGAGAGAUGAAAAGAAGAAUUUGGGGGGAAAGAAGAGAAGAGAAGGUGUGGAGAGGUGUGUUCACCCCCCUCUAUUUAUACUAAUACAUGGUAAAUUCUCACCACACAAAUAAAAAAUCUAAUUACAUCUUAACCUUACAUUUGUCCCACUAAUAAUCCCACUAAUGAAACAUAAACCUAACUUAUCCACUCAAGCAUAUCCAAUACAUUUCACUAACAAUUACCAUACCUAACAUGAUAAAAACUUAUAAUUUUACAAUUGCCACAUUUACCUUGGUAAAAACGUAAAAAUUUACAACAAAAGUCUUGGAUCCUCCUCGACAAUGACGUAAUUUCUCGGACUUCCGGAAUCCAAAUUUGACAUCCAUACAUUUGUUCGGAGCCUCAAAUUGCAUGAAAUUAUUAUUUUUACCUAAUAAACAUAAAAUACAUAAAAUCAAAUAUUUAGAAAAAUAAUUAGAAAUUCACAAUAUGUUGCACAAUUACAAAUAUAAAUUACAUUAAUAAAACAAUAUAACAUUUUUACCCUUAAUAAACAUGCAAUUUUUAACACUAAUCACACCCCCCCAACUAGCUUAUUGCUAGCCCCUAGCAAUUAAAGCGUUAUAUUAAAUUAAGAUUUACAAAAUUCACAUGCAAGUUAAUAGUUGUUCAUCUAUCCUCUAAAUUACCAAAUAAAUAAACUCUCCCAAAUUUUUUUUAACUCUUGGUCGUCCACUCAUUAUCCAGAAUAUCAUAAACCUUAUUUCCUGCUCAAGUAAUUAACACAAUACUUAUGGGGUUUCAUUAAAAGAAAACAACAUUUUCGUUCUAAAACUCAUUAGAAAUUCUAUCUUUAGGCGGUAGAUUAUUCAAGCUUUUUUUUUAAAUUGCAUUUUUAACCCAUGUAGCGAGCUUUAGGUCAGUGACUCCCAGACCAGUUGACCUUAGGACAAUCCAUAAUUAGGCCACCUUUCUUUGACUUUAAUGAUUACCCAUAUUGAAAAACUAGGAGAAUUUAUUUGUAAGCUUUAGGUUAUAAAAUUUGGCAUGGUUCAUUCAUGUCUAUGACUAAAAAUAAAGUGGGAGAUGAUAUUAAAAAACCUUCAAGUCAAUGAAGUGAGUUAGAAAAGAAAAAGAUAUCUUUAAACUCUAAGGCAGUGAAUGCUUUGUUUUAUACUCUUGAUAAGAAAGAUUUUCUUAGAGUGUCUAGUUGUGAGAGUGCUCAAGAAAUAUGAAACAAACUUGAAGUUGUCUAUGAAGGGACAAAUCAAGUUAAAGAGUCUAAGAUUAGUAAAUAUACUCGACAAUAUGAAUUGUUCUAAAUGGAACAAAAUGAGAGCGUGUAUUCUAUUUAUACUAGGUUUACAUAUAUUGUGAACACAUUAGAAGCCCUAGGAAAAAUAUUUUCGAAUAGCAAAAAAGUUAAGAAAAUUAUUAGGUCUUUACCAAUGGAAUGGAGACCUAAGAGAACUGCCAUAGAGGAAGCUAAAGAUUUAAACACUUUGCGUAUUGAUGAUUUAAUUGGUUUUCCUAUUUCAUAUGAGGAGGAUUUGACAGCAGAAAACAACAAUAAGGAAAAAAAAAAAGCAUUGCACUUAAAGCAUCAAAGCAUGCGAGUGAUGAGGAAAGCGAGCUUGAUGAUGAAGAUAUGGCUAUAUUGUCCAAGAGGUUUAAAAAAUUCUUCAAGAAAGCCGAUGAGCGGAAAAGAUUCAGAAACUACAAGAACCAAAAGGAGAAGAAGGAGCUAAUUACUUGUUAUGAGUGCAAGAAUCCUGGACACAUAUGAUUGGAAUGUCCUCUUCUCAAAAAGCUUAAGAAGAAGGCAAUAAUAGCCAUAUGGGAUGUUAGUGAUAAGGAAACAAGUGAGGAUAAAGAGCAACAAGAGAUGUAAAAUCUAGCUCUCAUGGAAAUUGGGAUGAAUCGUUUGAUGAACUUGAUGAAGUAAGUGAUCUACCUAUGAUUAAUUAUAUAAUGCUUUUAAGGAAUUGCAUGAUGCAUGCCUUAAAAGGAAAAUGCUAGAACUUUCAAAUGAAAAGGGUGUCUUGCAAAAUGCAAUGAUUCAUUGAAUAAAAAGAUCAAGGGAUUGGAAUUAGAUAAUGAAAUGUUGUAUGAUAUGAUUACAUCAUUUAAAUGUAAAUAAAGUACUUCAUGUGAGCAUGAAAAAUCACAUGUUGAUAAAUUGAUAAAAGAAAAUGAAGUGCUUAAGAAAAAGAGUAAUGAACUCAACAAAAUUGUGUUAAAAUUCACAAGUGGUCAAAAGAAUUUAGAAAAAUUACUGAACUCUAAAAAAUGUGUAUUUGAUAAAGGAGGACUUGGGUAUAAGCCUAGCUUGACUUGAAGCAAAAGUAUUAUAGGAAUUACUUUGUUAAAGCUACCUCCACUAGUGAUCAUAAAAUUAAUUGUCAUUAUUGCAAUCAAAAUGGUCAUAUGAAAUAUAGAUGUCUAAUGAAAAGAAAUGCAUUCAAUGGAGUCAAAUGUGUAGCUCCAAAAGGAACUAUUGCUAACACUCAAGGACCCAAAGAAAUUUGGGUACCUAAGACUUGAAAUUUCCUUUGCAUGGUUUGAAGAAGAAAAAGAAUAAACGGCACCUGGACAGUGGUUGCUCAAGGCAUAUGACUGAAAAUUAUUCUUGGUUUUCAAGUUUUACCAAGAUUGAAAACAGUAGAGAUGUGUCAUUUGGAGAUAAUUCAAAAGGAAAGAUUAUCAGUAUCGGUAAUAUUAGUAAAAAAUCCUCUACUCUUAUUGAAAAUGUGUGUUUGGUUGAAAACUUGAAAUACAACUUACUUAGCAUUAGUCAAUUGUGUGAUAAUAGAGUUAUCUUUGAUAAAUCGAAAUGUGUUAUUGAGAAUGCAUAUGAUGGCAAGAUUUUGUUUGUAGAAAAUAGAUGUGUUAAUGUUUAUAUCAUUAAUAUAGAUUGUGUAUCUACUAAUGAUAAAUGUUUCUCUGCAUUACAUGAUUAUGGUUGGUUAUGGUAUAGAAGACUAGGUCAUGCAAGUAUGGAUUUGAUUUCAAAGAUUUCAAAAAAUGAUUUGGUUAAUGGCCUUCCAAAAAUUAGUUUUCAAAAAGAUAGAAUUUGUGAAGUUUGCCAAUUUGAAAAAUAAAUCAAAACUUCUUUAAAAAAAAGAACCAUGUCUCAACUUCAAAACCACUUCAACUACUUCACAUGGAUUUGUUUGGACCUUCUAGAUAUGUAGUUUAAGUGGCAAAUAUAUGCAUUUGUGAUUGUGAAUGAGUAUUCUAGAUACACAUGAGUAUUGUUCUUUGCUAAUAAGAAUGAUGCCUUGGAUGCAUUUAGAAUUUUCUAUAAAAAGGUUCAAAAUGAAAAGGGAUGUGCGAUUUCUUGUAUUAGAAGUGAUCAUGUGGAGAAUUUGAAAAUCAUGUAUUUGAGAAUUUUUGUAACGAUUUUGGCAUUGAGUAUCAAUUUCAUCACCUAGCACUCUACAACAAAAUAGAGUUGUUGAGAGAAAGAAUAGGCCUAUCCAAGAAAUAGCUAGGACCAUGUUGAAUGAAAAUAGUUUACUUAAGUAUCUUUGGGUCAAAAACGUCAACAUUGUUUGUUAUGUUUUAAAUCAUAUGUUUAUUAGACCUUAUCUCAAUAAGACUCCCUAUGAGCUUUGGAAAGAUAAAAAACCCAACAUUGGUUAUUUCAAAAUUUUUGGAUGCAAAUGUUUUAUUUUGAACGCAAAAGAUAAUCUUGGCAAAUUUGAUCUAAAAUCUUAUAUUGAUAUUUUUCUUGGUUAUUCAAAUACAAGCAAAACUUAUAGAGUGUAUAAUAAAAGAACUUUGGUUGUGGAAGAAUCUAUGCAUGCUAUAUUUGAUGAGUCUAAUCCCUCUAUGGAGAGAGUUGUUGUCGAUAAUGAUAUAGAUGAACAGUCACAACAAGGAUUAGCAAAAGAUAAACAAGAUGAUGCAUCACAUGAAAAUAAAGAGGAUAGACAAUGAGAAUAAAUAAAUGAGGAGCAACAAGAAGGUAUGUCUCAAACACUCCCCAAGGAGUGGAGGUAUGUUUCUCCUCAUCCUAAGGAUUUAAUUUUAGGUGAUCCUUCAAGAGAUGUUACCACUAGAUUAUCAUUUAGAAAUACUUGUGAGCACGCUGCAUUCAUAUCUCAAAUUGAACCAAAUUCUUUGCGGAUGCGAAAAAUGAUGAAUCUUGGAUCAUGGCAAUACAAGAGGAGUUGAAUCAAUUUGAGAGAAACAGUGUGUGGAAAUUAGUUUCUAAAUCGGAACAUCAAUCUAUUAGGCACUAAAUGGGUAUUUAGAAAUAAAUUGAAUAAAUCCAGUGUGGUUGUAAGGAAUAAAGAUAGAUUAGUGGCUCAAAGAUACAACCAAGAAGAAGGAAUUGAUUUUGAUGAAACAUUUGCACUUGUAGCUAGAUUAGAAUCCAUUAGGAUGUUGUUAGCAUUUGUAUGUCAUAAAGAUUUCAUUUUUAAUCAAAUAGAUGUCAAAAAUACUUUCUUAAAUGGUUAUAUUAUGGAGGAACUUUAUAAGUUUUCUAAAGCACUGUAUGGAUUUAAAACAAGCACCUAGAGCAUCGUAUGACAAGCUUAAAAAUUUCUUGCUGGAUAAUGAGUUUUCAAUGGGAAAAGCAGAUACUACUCUCUUUGUUAAGCAUAAGAACCAAGAUAUACUUGUUGUUCAAAUUUAUGUUGAUGAUAUUAUCUUUGGUUCUACUAAUGAGUUUUUGUGCAAGGAGUUUUCAUCUUGUAUGAUGGGAGAAUUAAAGUAUUUCCUUGGACUUCAAAUCAAACAAAACAAUGAGGGAAUCUUCAUCAACCAAGCUAAAUAUGUCAAAGAUCUACUCAAAAGAUUUGACAUUGAUGACUCAAAUCCAAGAGACCUCCAAUGAGCACAACAAUCAAGCUUGACAAAGAUGAAAAAGAUAAUAAGAUUGAUAUAAAAAUGUAUCGAGGUAUAAUCAGCUCUUUACUUUACUUAGCCGCAAGUAGACCUGAUAUCAUGUUUAGCGUAUGUUUGUGUGCAAGAUUUCAAUCAUGUCCCAAGGAAUCUCAUUUGCUUGCUAUGAAAAGAAUUUUUCGUUAUUUGAAUAGAACUAUAGAUCUUGGCCUUUGUUAUCCUAGAGGAACCUAUAUAGAUUUAACUUAUUAUUCGGAUGUCAAUUUUGCCGGUUAUAAAAUCGAUAGGAAAAGCAUUAGUGGAACAUGUCAUUUCUUGGGUCAUUCUCUUAUUUCAUGGUUUAGUAAGAAACAAAAUUCGGUUUCACUCUCAACCACCGAGGCAGAAUAUAUUGCCGCAGGUAGUUGUUGUCCACAAACUCUUUGGAUGAAACAAACACUUAGAGAUUAUGAAUCUUGAACAAAUUCUUAUCAUGUAUAAUAAUAUUAGUGCUAUAAAUCUAUUAAAGAAUCCCAUUUAGCACUCUAGAACCAAGCAUAUAGAGAUUAGACAUCAUUUCUUGAGAGAUUAUGUUCAAAAGGGCGACAUUGCAUUAGAAUUUAUCUAUACAGGAAAAAAAAAACUUGCCUCUAUUUUUACAAAACCUCUUUGCGAAAAAUAAUUUUCAAAAAUUUGGCAUGAACUUGGGAUAAUGAAAUUUUCGCAUUAACAUCUCUAAUCAUGUUAUUGAAUCUAUUAAAAUUGAUUGAUUGAUGAUUUGUUUAUGAUUACAAAGUUUUUAAGCAUGAUAAAUGAGUGAUGUAUUUGAAUCAAUAAUCUUUGAAUGCUUACAUCUCUCAUGAUUGUGUGAUGUAUAUGUAUGAUAAAUGUGUUAUAUAUUUAAAUUUAUAAUCUUUGAAUAUUUAUAAUUAUGAUUCAUGCAUUAAAAUGGCUUUUGAAAGUGUUCGGGAUCACGAAAUGGUUUUUGAAUCGAUCAAAAUUAGCUGGAAAGCAAACAUUUGUGCAAAAGGGCAGCAAAGAGAUAGUUACCCGCCUGCCCCAAACUCGAGAACAAGCGGCUAGCCAUUUGCCUCUAAGCGACUAGCCGCUUGGUCACGGUUUUUAUACAUUUCUUCCCCCUUUCUCUUGCUUUCUUCAACCUUUCUCUACUCUCUUUCAUGGCCGUUCAUCUCUCCUCCAUUUCCUCUUAAAUUAUUUUCAUUUCUCAGUCAUUUUCAUGCCAAAAUCAAUCUUUUUAACCAUUACCCAUGCAUUUAACCUUCAUUAAACACGUCCCAAUCAUCAUUUCAUCACUUGUUUCUCCAAAUCUAAAAAUCAAAACCUAAGCUUACCUAUAUCUCUCUCUCUUCUAUUUUAAGCUCUUUUUAGCUCUUUUUUUUUUUUAUCCAAUUAAUACCAUACAUUGCCUUAAAUCAUCUCUAGGAUCAAUUUUAUUGAUUCAAAUACAUUCAUUUCACUCAAAAUCUUGAAAAUUCGAAUUUAGAUAUUAAAGCUUGUUCUUGUUUUCAACAAUAGUUAGUAGCCAAAAAUCCAAGGGAAAGCAUAUAGCCAAGAAGUGCAAGGAAGAUCAUGGAGACAAUCUGGAGUUCAUAUUAACCCAUUUUCUGCAACCACCUUUUCAGAAAUGUUUUCACGAUAAAUUUAUGUCGAGGUUGGUUAUUGCCCCCUAUUUUGUCAAUCUUCGUCAUUCGGAGAAUUUAGCAAUUUUUGAUAAAUCUCUUAGUGAUUUUCUUAUUGACAUGGGUUAGAAAAAUGUUUUAGAUUUCAAGGAACGAUGUUAUGAAAUUUAGUUAAAGUUUUUUAUUCGAAUAUGGUUAUUUCUUUGCAAACUAUAAAUAGAAUUGUUACAAGUGUUGGGGGAAUACAUAUUGAGUUUGAUGUUGUGGAUUUAAAUCAUAUUCUUAGAACUCCAAAUGAAAGGUUGGAACAUUCUACUACUAAAAGCAAAAGAGAUUAUUUGUGGUAUUCAGUUGAGGAUAUUGUUCGAAAAAUUUGUAGAUGUUUCGAUUUGUCCUUUAAGUUUUGUAAAUCUACCUUGAAAUCUCAAGCCUUACCCCUUCAACUUAGGAUCCUUCAUUAUGUUCUUUAACAUGUCAUUAGUCUUAGGCCUGGACAUGGGGAUGAAGUUACCCGAUUAGAUGUGGCCUUAUUGGAUAGUAUUCUAAAGGGUAGGGUGCUAAAUGUCAGUUAUAUUAUUCUUCAUCAUAUACUUAGCACUCCAUGUAUAGCAAAACGAUCCCUUCCUCAUGGAAGCAUUUUUACCUACAUUCUCAAACAAUUUUGGGUACCCAUAAUUGAACCAACAUUUUUUAAUCCUAAGGAAUUAAGAGAUGAAGCUAUAGCCAAUUUAGGGUUUAUAUGGACGGAAGAUAAAUGGUGUAAAAACCAGAGAUACAAAAACAAGGGUACUACAUUAGCUCCUAUAGAUCAUCGUUUCUUUAACGAUGUUCUUCCACCAAACCAGCUCCUUGAUCUCAAUGCUCCACAGCGCUCACAUCCUUUGUCUUCUGAGGGUCCUUCAUAUUCUACUUCAGCAGACCUUGAGGAUCCAAUACAGUAGCUAUUGACUGAAGUGCAUUCUCUUUUUGAGCCGCAGAGCCAAUUUCAGUCCCAGUUUGAGGCCUUUCAAAUUCAGUCCACUUCGGAGCAACAACGCCUGUUUAAGCAGUAACAGCGUUUAUUUAAUCAAUGACAUCGACUCUUUGCUCAACAACAGUAGCUUCUUGAUGGUCAACAACAACUUUUCGCUGCUCUUAGGUUUCCACCACCAUCCUCAUUAUCACAUUCACCAUCUUCAUAGUGUUCUAUUCUUUUUCAUCUUGAUUUCAGUUCUUUGUUUUAUUCUGCACUACAUUUUCAUAAGCAUUGUUGUUUUACUUAUGGAUUAAAGAUGAUUGUUGUUUGAUAUUUAAAUGUUUUACAUUUGGAUGAUAUUUUAUGGAUUCUUGGAUAACUCUUUGGUUACUUGCAUGCUUGAUUUUUAUAUGUUUCUUGAUUAUCUAUUGAGAUGUUAUUUUUGGUCUGAGCAUGGAGUUAUAGUAAUUGUGACGAUGAAGAGGGAGAAGUCAUGUAUUUUGAUCUUGAAAUAUUGAUGCAUGAUUUUGAAAUAUUUAGGGGGAGCAUACAUUUGUUAAAGAUCAUGUAUUCAGGGAGAGUUCAUAGUUCAUUUAUAUGUUGAAUUAUGUAUGCCAUAUAUUAAGGGGGAGUAUAAAUGUCAAAAUACAUGAAAUGUUUGUCAUCAUCAAAAAAAGAAAGAUUGUUAGCCUAAAGGGUUACAUAUAUUGUAAUUUUGAUGAUAAAAAACAUAUGUCUUAAGUAAUAUGAUAAAUAUUGUAUUUCACAUUUUCACUAGUUCUUGAAGUAUAAUAUUUAGGCAAGUGAAUCACGUGAAAUCAGGCUCAAGGCACUCAACGUACAAUAGCUCGAUCAAGAACAAAAUUUAGUUCAACGGAGUCAUUAUUGCGACAAAUUAUUGUAAAGCUAAUAUGAUUUAAUGUAUGCAGGGUUUAGCAUUUAAAAAGCUCAAGAAGUUGUGGGUAAAAAUAUAAUUUUUAAAAUAAUAUUAUUGUAGCAAAAUUCAAAUUGCAACGGUAACUUGCAUUGUAUUAAGUGGUGAGCCGGCUAGUUAAGAGGCUAAUCGCUUGCUUGCAGGUUUUGUCCAUAAUGGCUGGUUUUUGUAUCAAAACUAUAUAAAAUCAAAUCCAGUUCAUUUUUAAAGACUUUUACAAGUAUAAACAAGUGUAAACAACAUAUUUUAAGCUUCUAAUUCGCAAAUCAUCAUAGAUUAAAUAUUCAUUGAGUUAUUAUUAAGAGGUUAAUAUCGUAGAGGUUACCGGGCGAAGCCAAAUUGAACUUGGAGAAUCUUAGUAAGUGUUCAAUUUUGACCAGAAUUUUUCAUUUUCAAUCUUUAAUUUUCAAAGAUUAACCAUUAUGGACUUGCUUUUUUUUGUUUGUGCUUCAAUAAGCUAGUCUUCUUUCACAUUGCUUAAUUACAAAAUUUUACUAUUAAUACAUCAAUUUAUUAAUUUUUUAUUAUUUUACUUAUUUUACUUUAUAUUUACAAGUCUUAUACUCCAUUUUUAAAUUUUAAAUUUUAUUUUACAAAUAACGUUGAUUUAUAAAUUUUAUAUUAAAUUCACAAAUUUUCUGUUUGAUUUACAUAAUCUAAGUUUAAUCACAGUAUUGAUACCAUGGUUUUAGUCACUACUUUAAUUAACAACUAGAUACGGAAAAAAUUAUAUAUUUUCAGGGGCGGACCCAGAGCUUUAUAUUACCCCGGGCUAAAUUAAAAAUUUUAUAUUAUGGAGUGAACAUAAACAUUUAUAAGUAAAAAAAGUACAUCAAAUAAGGGGAUGCAAAAAACCCUAUAAAUAUGUACUUUAAAUAAAAAUAAGUAUACAAAAAGACUAGAAAAUAAAAGAUAAUUCAAAUAUAAAAAUACUAUUUUUUAAUUAUGGAAUAUAACAUUGAAACAUAUAUUAACAUCUAAUUAUAUAAGAAUUAAAAAAUCAAUUAAGAAUUUCAAGUUUGAAUAAAUCAAUACAUGUAAUUAUAAUCAAUUAAAAUAUUGCAAAUAGAACUUUAUGUUUGAAAAGUACUUAAUUACCAAGCUUAAAUAAAUUAAACAAUUAAAAUUUAUUCAUCUUUUUAAAUUAUAAAAAUAUUAGUUGUCAAGAGUUUCAAUAAUAAACUAAACUCUAACCUAGUAAAAAGGUAUUUGUGCGCCAUUAUUUAUUUGCCAGGCACUCUGACUCACUUUUAAAAAUCAGAUCAAAAUACUCAAAUGUUAUUUUCUAACUUAUCCUCUUAGUUAAUGUAACUAAUAAAUAAAAUCUCAACAUUCACAUAAAAAUUUUAUGAAAUUGUUAAUAAUUUUUAUUAUAUAUCUUUUUAGUAUUUUUAAUACUAGUGACAAUGUUAUAUUACAUUGACAUACUUUUUUAAAUUAAAAUUUUAAAAACAAAUUAAAGUAGUAAUAACAUUUUAGACCCCUAAUGUUUUCAUUCUAUUCAAUAAGUAUAUAAUUUAAUCAUUUUAUAAAAUAAGCCACUAAUAAAAAAAUAUAAUUGAAUUAGGGAUAUAUUUAAAAAUAAAGUAAAAACUCUAUUGUUUUAUGAAAUUGGAUGAAAACAUAAAAACAACUGAAUUAGGGACUUAUAUAAAAAUAAAGUAAAAACUCUAUUCUUAUAUAGAAUAAUCUAAAGACAAGGGGUUUAAAUGAUUGUUUCUGGACUAGACCGGGCUACAGCCCGAUCUAGCCCAGCUGUAGGUCCGCCACUGUAUAUUUUAACUAACUCAUUACAUGAAGCUUUUAAUAUAUUAUAUUCUAAAAUAAUUAAAAAAUAUAGGACAAAAAUCCUGACAUUCUUGCUGUUUUUGGAACGUUAUAGUGGCAACUUUUUAUUUUAUUAGUAUAUAAGAGUGAAAAUCAAAUCUCAUCCCUAUCACUAAGUAGUAUACUUCCCAAAAAAAAAAAAAAAAAGAAUUUGACUGUCAUUUAAUUACAUUAAAAAAAAUGUCAUAGAAAGUGUUGUGUCAGUUUUAAUCAGAGGAUGGGAGUGCAUUACGACUAUUGUAUAUAUGUUAUGUUUUCAUGAUGAUGUUGUUUAAAUAUUUAGUGCUUGUUUGGUAUGACUUAUUUAAUAACUAUAAGUGCUUAUUUAAUCUCAUAAGUUCAUAUCAUAAUUUUUAUUGUUGUUUGGUUGUUUUUCUAAUAGAGCUUUUAAAACUUAAAUAAGUUAUUUUACCUCUACUACUAAAAGCUCCAAUUUUGAGCUUUUGAGAGUAGAGGCUGAGAAGUUUUUUUUUUUUUAAAUGUCAAAAUAUCUAAAAUAUCCUCUACUUAUUUAAUAAUUGUAUUUAUUAUUUUUAUAAUAUAACUUUAAAAAACUUGCCUAUUAUAAUAACUUCAUAAAUUUUUAAUAAAAAUUUUUAUUGACAACCAAACAACUAAAUAUUUUUUAGUAAAAACUCGAUUUACAAAAGCUCUAUUAACAAAAACUCUAUUUAAAUAAGCUCUACUUUAAAAGCUGUACUAAACAGAGCCUUAAACCGAUACCUAAUAAUAACACAAAGCAGCUCGAGCCUAGCUCACCCAACUAAUGAAAAAGAAAAUGAUUUAGCCUCCUGCUAUUAGAUAGGUGUAAUGCAUGCAUGUAAUACACACAUUUAUUCAAAAGAAAAUACAUUUAUUUAUUCAAAAGGAAAUACAUUUGUAUGACAGAUGUAUGAGUAAUGCAGUGCCAAAAGUCUUCACUUAAAAGUUGAAGGCAUAUCAUCAAAACACGUGACCCCUAGAGAUAGAAACUUGAACAUUCACAAUGAUCAAUGCAACUUGUCCUUCAUUGUUCCAGAAGAUAGCUAGGCACAUUAAUCCUCCAACAUUUCUCAAUGGAUUUCAAAAUCAUCGACAAUAUAUAGCUUUAUGGUUCCCUUUUUUUUAUUCUAAUAUUGAAAUUAAUUGGUAACUUCACAGAACUGACAAUUUCUUGGCACUCAUUUUGUAGGGAAUUGAGAUUGUAACUUACAAAUUUAAUAGCAUUUUGAAGCCAAGGAAAUCUAGUCUCAAUUAAUAUGACUCUAGCUUCAGGAGAUUAUGUCUCUAGACAAAUACUGAUGAUCAUGAAGUGACGGAUGCAUUCUAGUGAUAUAUUCCUUAAAUCGCUUAUAUAUUAUGAUUUUUUUCAGAUCUAAUGACCCAGUAAUUAUUUUUGAGCACAUAUAACACCUAGAUCAUUAAUAAUGGUGAUCAGCAUUGUUUUAAGAUUUAGAGCAAAUUAUGUGAUAGCCUAGGGACACUUGGCCAAAUGUUUCCUACAGUUAAAACAAGAUGUUUGUUAAAGUAUCUCAAUAAAGAGUAAGAUGGCGGGAAAGCUGUAGUUCAAUAUGCAGAGAUCUUUUGGCAUUUGGAAACAAUAAUCUUGAAGGUUCUAGAUCCUCACCAGGAUGAAAAGGCCAGAAAUUGAUCAACAAAAUGAAGGGUGCAUAAUAUGCAGCAAGUGAAGACAACAGUACACAACGGUCUUAUCAUCAUUGUGCAUAUUCAUCAAUUAGUCUCAGUCAUAAAUCAACAAUUGUAACAGUUGUAAGUAUAGUACAGAGACCUUAUGUAAAAAGCAAGUGAACUCAUGAAUAAAGAUGUGCUGGUUACAUCAAAUUAUUCUGUGCAUUGCUUUCGUAUUAUUCUCUGCACAAAAUAGCCAUCAUUUUAUGUAAUUUAAACUUGGUAUCGGAGCUCUCAUUCCAGAAAUGGGCGUGAUUCAAUAUCGUAGUUCAACUGAGGAGGUUGACCUUAGUGAGCAAACACUUGAAACACCAGCAGUAACACAACAGUCAUCAUCCUUAAUUAUUGGGCAAAACUCCUCUCAAAUUUUCCUUUUCAGUGUCCACAGAACUUGACAGAACUAUGUCAUCUAGAGGACCAAGGUCAUGCCUGCCAUACGUCGCAAUGGUCUGGAGCACCUCAUUAGUGACUCACAAGACAUACCAACCAAAUAUAUCAUCAGUACUGAGGAUGACGGCACAACCAAAUCAAAACUAAGACCAAAUUUUGUGAUGUGUUGCAAACCGGACCAACUACUCCUUAGUUGGCUUCUUUCUACAAUCACAGAAAGUAUUAUUUGUGCUGUGACUCAUUGCACAGCUUCUCAGUUGUUGACAGUGCUGGAGAAAAUUUACUCUUCACAGUCCAUGGCUAGGUCAAUAGUGCUAAGGAUGCAACUGCAUAGCACUAGAAAAGACAAUAUGAUUAUCAGUGAAUACUGCACCAAGAUGAGAAAUCUGGUAACGGAACUUGUUACUGCUAGAAAGAUUGUCUCAAAUGAAGAUCUCUGCAACCACAUUAUCACAGGACUUGACAGAAGCUAUGAGUCUGUGUUGGGGAGCCGGACUUCAAUGCUUUAAAACAUUCCUUUUUGAAGAACUCUGCUCAAUCCUCUACAGCCAUGAAGCAAGACUUGAACAGCAAGCCACUGCUGAAGCACAAGCUGCCUAUGAGGCAAAUGUCACCAUGAAACACAAGUGUGGGAUGAAUGAGAAGAAGGAAGGUCAUGGGAAAGGAUACAAUCCAAACCAAGGACCUGGAAAGUCUCAUGGAGGCAGAGGAAGCAACAAUAACAGCUUAAGAGGAAGGGGCAGAGGUAGAUAUGGAGGAAAGAAAACAGUCUUUAAGCCUGAUGUCACCUGUCAUAUUUUGCUUCAAAGUUGGUUACACUACAGUGAGUGUUGGCACAUACGUGAGGAAGACUUUGUGCCCAGAAACAAUGAGCAACAACACCAAAGAGCGGCCUUUGUUGUAGCUAAUGAAGGAGUGCUUGAAACAGGGUGGAACCUAGACAGUCGUACGACAAACUAUGUGACUAAUGACCUCAACAACUUGAGCAUGAGAUCUGAGUAUAAAGGUAAUUCCUUUCUCAUGGUUUGAAAUGGACACAAAUUAAAAAUAUCACACACUGGCACAAUACUAUUUCCUUUAUCUUUUGGUUAAAAAAGAAGAUACUUGACUCUUAAGAAUGUUUAAUAAUGUUCUAUAUGUACUUGAUAUAACCAAUAAUCUCCUUAGCAUGUCAAGUUUGAUCUCAGAAAACCAUCUUAAUAUCUUGUUUACUGAAAAACAUUGUUGUUGUAAAGGACAAGCUGGGGAGUGCUCUUCUUCAAAGAACGAAUCAUGGAGGACUGUUUGUGGUCAGUAGAACUGCUGAAAAUAAAGCGGGAAGUGUUGCUGUCAAUUCUCUUUUAAGUUCACAGUCUUUUUUUGCAAUUAUAAUAGAGUCAAAUUCAGUUGAGUUUGAUUCUAAGUCGGCAGAGUUUGAAUGUGUUCAGUCUAUUGAGUCAAAUAAAAAUCGAGUUGGAUAUGUGAAGCAAUUAGACCUUUUAGAUAGAAAGUUUGGUCAUCCAAGUGAUGCUGUACUCAAAAUAAUAGUGUCAAGCUGUAAUAAUAUCUCAGCCUUAAAUAAAAAAGAAUCAAGUUCCUUUUGUUCAGCCCAUAUAUAUAGAAAGAACCAUAAGCUAAGCUUCAAAAAAAGCUCACGGACUAAAACGCAAGCAACAUUAGAAUUAUUGCACAAUGAUAUCACCUAUUCCAUUAGGAGAAAGAUACAAAUACUAAGCAUAGUAGAUGACCACACUAGGUACACUUCACUAGGACAUUUCCACUCAUUAACAAAUCUGAAACAACAAAAAUCUUUAAAAAAUUUAAAGAACAAGUGGAAAGAACAUCAGAAAAGAAAACUUAAGUGCUUAAGUGACUGAGAGGUGAAUUUAGGCCAUUAAAGGGUAUGUAGAGAUAUGAGGAAUAGUCUUUAUAUAUUCAUGCCCUUACACUUCAAUGAAGAAUUGAGUGGAACUGUAUAUAUGCCACAACCAGAUGAAUUUGAAAGCAAGGAAAAUUGGAAAAACCAAGCUAUGUCUGUGAUUGGAAAAAGCACUAUAUGGCUUAAAGCAGGCACAAGGAGUAUGGUAUAAGAAGCUGAGAGGAGUUUUGCUGACUUGCGGAUUCAAAAAGCAAUCUCAGACAAAUCGCAGACACAUUAUUAUUUCUCGGGAAGAAUAAGGGAAAGUCAGUAUAUGUACUUAUAUAUGAUGAUGACAUAUUGAUCACAGGAAGUGACCAAAGAACGACUGAAGGCGUUAUCAAACAAUUGAAUGAAAGUUUUGCUUUUAAAUUACCUCGCAUACCCAUCUAUUUUAUGCAAAUUGAAGCAAAAAGAGACUGUGGAGGGAGGCACUCGUGCUAAGAAAAGUAUAUACAGGAUCUACUAAAGAAAACCAAAAUGUUACAGCUAUAAGAAUAGUACGGAGACCUUGUAUGAAAAGCAAGUGAACUCAUGAAUAAAGAUAUGUCGGUUAUAUCAAGUUAUUCUAUGCAUUGCUUUCAAAUUAUUCUCUGCACGAUAGCCAUCAUUUUCAGUAAUUUAAACUCUUACGCUAAUUGGAAAAUGCACUGGCUUGCUUCUGCAGUAAUGUGGUUGUUGGAUUGGACCAUUGAUUUUAAGUGAUGAAGACAAAAUUCAACAAGGAACUCAUACGAGCCACAUGGAAAAAUUCAUUUUUAAUCAUUAUUAAUCACAUAAUAUGAUCCAUGUAGCAAAAAUUAAAUUUAUUAUUAAUAUGAGCCAAGGACUAAUUAUUUCAUACAACAAAGACAACAUUAUGGUAUUUGUUAUUUAGCUUUAUUAUAUGUUGUUCCCUUUCUAUAAAUAAGACUUCGAGCCGUAUUGAAUAAAUAAGGUGAAAGUUAAUUAUCUGCAAUCAUGACAUAUUCCCAAGAUUCAAAAAUCAAUUCAAAUGCCACCUAACAAUAUUUAUUAAAAAUUAAAAAAAUAAAUAUAAAUAGAAACAAAUUAAUGAUUUUCGACUACCCCAAAAUCUAACACAUUUUUUAUCCUGCUGAUAUCUAAAAUCUUGAUUCUCUCAAACUAACAAGAGUUAGAAACAAAACCUAGUCAAAGCAGUGGAUUUAAUUAUACAUUUGUAAAAAUUAUGGCAUCAUCCAUUUUGGAUGCCACAUUAUUUUUAUAUCUAUCGCAAUUUGAUGAGGCAAAGGAAAAAUGAUGACUUUUUUCGAUGAGAAAAAAGAAAGAUGGCUUGUUUUUUAAUGAAGAACAAAAAAAUGACUUCAUUUUAGUGAGGCAAGAGAAUAUUGAUUGCUUCUUUUAUCUUCUUCACUGCUUGUUUCGGUUGCAAUAUUUCAAAUUAGUGCAUGAUUAAAAUUCUGUUUUUUAUAAAAUCACAUCACAGAUGAAGAUAUGUGGAAAGAAAAUUAUCGACGAAGAAGACAUACUUAACAUUUCGUGCUAUAAACAUGAUUCUGCAGCAAUAAUAUAGAGCUCACUAACUUGAUACACAUAAAGUUGGUUUUGAAGCAAAAUGCUAUCACACAGAAUCGUGGUGAAAAUCAUUGACAUGACAAGGUCAUAGUCGUGCUAAAAAUCAUGGUUACAAUUAUGAUUGACGUCAUGAUCUUGAAGAAAUCAUUAUCAACCUUAUAAUGAUAGUAUACAUCUGGAUAUCUUAGAUACAUGAGGCGUAAACAGUUGAUUUAAUUGGUUAUAAAGAUAUCUAUACCUGUUAAGAUUACUAUUAAAUUUUAUUAGCUUUUAUAUUCCUAUCUAUUUUAUUUUUUAUGACGAUGCCUAACAUAUUUUACUCGUGAAAGGAUAUAGAUACUCAAAGGGGAUUGCAUCAUAAAGAAAUGUGUUUAGCUGGCACUAUAACUACACUAACUAUCCUUUGAAAUAAUAAAUAUUUUAUGAGUUUGUAAUCAUUUGAAGCUAAGAUAAGUGCCAUCUUAGGUCCUGUUGAGAUCUAGUUGAAGACUCCAGAACAUUCACGUUCAUAUUACCAAGUUAUAACAAAAUUACAUAUCUAUAAUGCUCUGUAUUCACUAAGAGUAGAAGAAAUCUUUUGAGUUUCAAAUAUAUUCGCAGUAAUGAAUUUCAUAUAGAGAAAAUAAAUGAGAAUAAUACAAAAUGUCUCUAUAUUACUUCUAGUGUCUUAGGUAAAAAUGUAUAUUGGAAAAGCUUUCUACUUUCUGAUCUGACUUAUAUUCAUACAACGAUAAAACUAGUUGGGAGCUACACAAUCAUGAACCAAAGACUUUGUGAUUCAAAAGUUUUUAUAUCUCAGUCACCUAGGCCAUGAUGAGUAGAAUUAUCGAGAAUUCUUAUGGACAUCAUUUAAAGAAUCUAAAGAUUAUUCUCUCCAAUGAGAAUAGUUGCACUACUUGUUCCUAGGGUAAAUUAGCACUUAGACCAUCAGAUUCGAAGAUUGGUCUUGAAUCUCUAUUGUUCCUACAAAUAAUUCAGGCAGAUAUAUGUGGACUUAUUAGCCCAUCUAGUGGUCUAUUUCAUUAUUUUAUGGUCUUGAUUGAUGCAUUUGACAGUAGUCAUAUGUUUAUUUAUUAUUUAUAUACAACAUUGUAUUUACUAGAUUGCUUGCACAAGUUAUUAAGUUACCUGCACAAUUUUAAGAUUAUCUAGACAAUGCUAGUAAGUUUACGUCUAAAGUUAUUGGUGAUACUACAGUUCUUUGGGAUUGAUAUAGAGCACCCAAUAUCACAUAACUUAGAAGGGAUUGGUAGAAUCCUUCAUCAAACUGCUUUAGCUGAUUAUAAGAACUUUAUUGUUUCAUGCUCAAUUACCUAUUUUUUGCAUAUGGACAUACUAUUUUGCAUGCUAUGGUACUAAUACCUAGAGGCAUACUGCCUAUCACCAAUAUUCCUCAUUGCAAUUAGUACAUGGCAUCAACCUAAUAUAUCUCAUUUGUGCACUUUUGGCUAUAUUGUGCAAGUUCUUGCGACACCCCCCUAGUGUACUGAAAUAAGACUUCAACGAUAUUUUGAAUUUUAUGUGCAUUUUGACUAUCUAUUAUCAGAUGUCUUAAACCUAUUACCAAUAAUUUUUUUACCGCAUGCUUUUACGAAUUUCCAUUUUAAUGAGAUAAAAUUUCCUUUGUUGGAGAAAAAAAAAAAGCCACCAUAUGCUGGGAAUGAGCUUUUAUAAUAAGUGACAAAAUUGUCUCCUCUAGAUUACCAUACCACUCAAAGUGAAAAUGAAAUGUGGUGAAUAAUUCUCUUACAAAAAAUUAUAAAUCGCUUGUUAGUUGUAUUUACAAAUGUAUCUAAAGUAAUCAAGUCAUAUGUACUGGCUGCAAAUGUACUUGGCCAAUUAGUUGCUCCUAAUUUUAAUAAAUAAAUAAAACUAUUUGAAUCGUCUAUGGCACGCCUUAAGUAUUGUAGACCCAUUGGCUCAAAGGACAACAUUCUGCUGAAAAGAAAAACAAAAAGUUAGGAUCUGUUAUCAUGAAUGAUCAGGCUCUAAGUGAAAGUGGUCCUUCAAAGCAAAAGGUCCUUGAUGAGAACUAUGUGCCUACAGUAACACUACCUCCUAAAGAGACAAUUACCUUAAAUAUGGCCAAGCACUUGAUGUGGCUUAGAAUGAAGAAAAUACACAAAUUUUGCUCACAAAAAAAGGUGUGGAAUCUUAAAGAAACAAUCAUCGAUGAUAAUUUGCGUUUACAGUAGCCACUGGUUUAAUAAAUGAUGAUAUUGAACUGUAAUCCAUUGAUAUGUAGAUUGAGACAUGAUUGGCCUGCAUAGGAAGAAGCAAUCCAUAUGAAGUUGGCUUCUUUGGCAAAAUGAUUAUUUUUUAAUGUAACCUAAAUACCUACUUGUAUUAAAUCUGUUGGAUAUAAAUAGAUAUUUUUUAAGAAAUGUAACUAAAAGAAUAAGGUCAUUAUAUAUAAAGCACGACUCAUUACACAAGGUUUUUUUACAGAGACUAGGUAUUGACUAUGGGAUACCUAUUUAUUGGUAGUGCAUAUAGUUACAUUCCAAUUCUUCUAUUUGAGAGGCUUGAUACGCAUUUAAUAGAUAAGUGAUAGGUUUUUGUGUGUAUGAAAACUCCUAAAGGAUUCAAAAUGCUUAAAGCAUUGUAGUCACCACAUUGUAGCUUGUAUUCUACAAAGCUAUAGAAAUCUUUAUAUGAAUUGAAACAAUCUUGACAUAUCUGAUAAAGUUUCCUUAGUGACUACAUGAUCAAGGAAAGAUACAUGAAUGAUCUUAUUUGUCUUCGUGUAUCUAUAAACAAGCUAAAAUCUAGAUUUGCUAUUGCAGUAGUCUAUGUUGAUAAUAUGAAUUUGAUUGGAACUCUCAAAAAUGUCCAAAAGCCUACUGAUUAUUUAAAAAAGAGAGUUUAAAAUGAAAAUUUUGGGGAAAACUAGAUACUAUGUAAAGUUAUAGAUCGAGCACAAAUCUAAAAAUAUCUUCAUUUUUUAGUAAAAUUAUUAUGAAAAGAUAUUAAAAUGUUUUAAUAUGGACAAAACUUCUCUAUCAAUUACCCCAAUGGUAGUUUCAUCUCUUGAUCUUAAAAAGAUUCAUUUAAUCCUAAAGAGGAUGAUGACCAAGUGCUUGCUUCUUCAAAUACCAUAAGUUGAAUGCCCGUUGGUGCUUUAAUAUAUUUAGCCCAAUGUACUAUAGCUGUGUUCAAUAACUUGUUAGCAAGGUUUAAAUCUUGAAUUGAGCUAGACGACAUUGGAAUGGUGUUAAACAUCUUUUUCAUGAUCCUCUUGGAAUUAUCAAUUUCAGUUUAUUUUAUUCUAGUAAAUUAACCAAAAAUCUAAGUCUUAUUAGUUUUGCAGAUAUCCUCAUAAAGCUCGUUCUUAGAGGGGUUAUGUUUUUACUUAUAAUAAAUAUUGAUUUCUUAAAAAUAUGUGAAGUUGACUCUUGUACUUGCAUUUUCCAAUCGCUUUGAGAUCCUUGUAUUGCAUGAAGCAAGUAGAGAAUACUUAUGGUUGCGGUCCAUUAUGCAUCAUAUCCAGGAUGCUGAUAAAUUAUCUUCAAGUGCAGACAUCCAAACGGUAAUAUAUGAAAAUAAUGUUUCUUGUAUAGCUCAAUUCAAGAGAGCAUAUAUCAAAGGAGAUUGAACAAGGUUACCUCACCAAAGUUCUUCAAUACUCAUGAGCUCCAACAAAAUAAGACGAUCGAUAUCAAGCAGAUACAUUACACAAAUAAUUUUGCAUAUAUAUUUAUUGAAGCUCUAUGCAUAUCAACAUUUUAGAAAAUAGUAUAUGGCAUCAGAAUGUGCCAUUUAAACAGAAUAUCGAGACGAUCAUUAGUGGAAUGCUCAUCAGGAGAAGAAAAAUUUUACCAAAGAAGAAUUUCAAUAAUUAAAUUGGAUACAUCUGCACUAUUCUCGUUUUUUUCCCUUUGAAUAGAUUUUUCUACAAGAUUUUAGUGGCAAAGGUUUUUAAUUAGAUAAUUUAAACCACAUGCAGCCCACUUUAUGGUUCGCUAAAUUAUAUUUCUUUUGGUUGAGCUUUUUUUCUAUUGAGUUUUUCCAUAACAAAAGUCAAAUACAAUUAUCGUGAAGUGGUGGAUACCAAAGUGGGGGUGUUAUGGAAAUUAGUGAUUUAAAAAACAAUUCAAGAGAUUUGACGGCUAAAGAGCUAAACAAGUCAAUCAAUUCUGGGUAUUAAGAUCACGAUGUGUCCUAAGGCUUGGCUGUGUUUUAAUUAGCUGAUGGAUUCGCUGAAUAGAGAGCACUACUCUUUGUAAUUUGUAUCCGAAGGCUUGGCUGUGUUUUAAUCGGUUGAUGGAUCCUAUAAAUAGGGAGCACUGCUCUUUGUAAUUUGUAUCUGAAAUUGAAAGCGUUAUCAAUUACAAUAAUAUCAUCUUUCUUUAUAUCAUCUAUUUAUCUAUUUAUACGUCUUACCUAUAUUCUCAAUAAUUAUAUUAUAAUUGAUAUUUUUAUUGUUUAUUGUUCACUGAAUAAUUCUUUUUUUAACCUUUGCUUACUAAUGGAAUUCUUUUUUUUUUUUAAUAUUCUCUUUAGCGUAUGAAAUUGAUACAAUUUAUUUUUUUCGAUUUUAGUACUUUUUUCGUUCAACUACUUAGGAAUUGUUUGGUAAUGAGAUGAUGUGGUUUUUAAUAUACAGUUGUUGGGAUACAAGCUAAAUUUGUCAAAGAAAAGCUUAUAGAUUAGGGUAAAUAAUAAGUUUUGUAUUAAUUUUUAUAUUUAACAAUUAUUACAAAAAUUAUGAAAUAAAAAAAAAACCACCAGCUAGGCAGUGGAGCCACAACGUAGUGUGUUUUACCAAACACCCUAAUAACUGAACUUUGGCAACCUCGCUGUUGGAAAUCAGGCCCAAACAGAUCCCUAACUAGGGUGUUUAAAUGUCUACAAUUAAGAUUAGUUUAGAAAAUAAGUUCCUAUUUAGUAUUGAGGGGCUAUCUACAGCUAAUGUCGAACAAAAUUGUAACUAUGAAAUAAAAGUUAAUAAUAUAUAGUAAAUAUAAUUUUUAAACAAUAAUUUUGAUAAAAUUAAUAAAGGCAUAAUAUUUUUUUUUAUCUUAUAUGUAUAAAAUCAAAUAAACUUAACUUCUAAACUACAACAACUAAUAUUUAUCAAACACUUUAAUGUUGUAUCUUAAAAUCUAUAACUAUCCAACCUCAAUUUUAAAUAGGGCCCAAGUAUGGGUAAUGCGUGGGAUUUAGCAUCUCACAACUUACCUAGCAUGUUAUUAGUGAAAUUACAUUUACAAUAUUUUUAGCCCACUUACGUAGAUGGAUCAACUGGCUGUUAACAUGUUCUCCACCAUGGUCAUCAGAGUUCAAGAAAAGGAUUUAUACUGUUUAGUAGGUGAAGUUUCACAUUUCCAUCCAAAUAAUUUAUUAAAAAAAUAAAUCAAGAGUAUUCAUUGUGAAAAAGAAGUUUUUGUCCAAACAUUAAAAGGAUCUUCCAAAUUAAUGUAAAACAUAGAGCACAAACGAGUUAAUACUCAUUUAUAUAUCAAGUUAAACGGGUUAAUUUUGUGUUAAUUGUGUUAUAGAUAGGCAAGAGUAAGAGACACAAACAAGAUCAAAAGGAUUAUCUUAGAUGGAAAAUUCUAUAGUACUGUAACAAAAAUUACGGUAUUAAUGCCGUAGUUAUUUUAUACUGUUGGAUGAGAUCAACGGUGUACAAUAAUUAAAAUAUAAUAAAAAAUGUAAAUUUUUUUUCUUUAACCGGUUUACAGCCGGUUAUUUAUUUAUAAAAAAAUAAAUUUAACUGGCUAAAACAGUGGCGAAAAAGAAGUGGUUUUUGUUUGCCUCCAAUACUCUUUUCCUACUGAUAAUUGCUUUGGAAGUUGCUCGAAGCAAAAACCGAGGCAAAAACAAGCGAAAAAGAAGAAGCCCUACAACGACGUCGUUGAGGAGAACCGAGCUGAGUUCUUGAUCGUGAAGCGGUUUUGAGUCGACGAUAACGACCCGAAGUUGGCGAUUGAUACCGUAAUCGGCGCCAGCGAUUAAUAACCAUAUAAUCCUCUGCUGCCCUUAAUCUUGUUGAGGGGAAGAGAACCAUGGCAAAUUACUAAUAAAAAUAAGGCAAGUUGCAGGCCACUGAUUCUCCUCUACCACAUUUGCAUUGUCGUUAAUUUCAACAUGUGUUUUUUUUUUUUACAAUUUAUUUGACCAAGACACACAAAUAUAUAUAGAGGAGAGAGCAUGCACUAGACUUUGAUAUGAUUUUUUCUUGUUAUUACAAGUAUUACUUGAAUACAAGUAAUAUGUCCUGUUCUGAAAACACAUAUUGUCGAAUUAUGUAAUGUUCAUUUGGUUUGUAUCUUAUAAUUUCUCUAGUUUAUUCAAUCUGAUUUGCUGACACUUAUGCCCAAUAGCCGUAGUUUCCUUUUUUACAAAUCCACUUAGAAAAAUUUCUUUGUUAGUGGUUCUAUUUUUAUUUAUUUAUUUUUGAGUGAUUUGCCAAUGAGUUAAAUUUGUGCUUGGAUCCUACAUAUUGGUAGUUAACGUUGAUGCUUUGUUGGAAUUUCUAAUAGAGUGAGUAAAUUUUGUUGAAAUUUCUAAGUAGAGUCUUCAAGUUAUUUGUUGAAAUGCCCGAGAGAAAUAAUGUGUUUGUAUAUGUUCUAUUAUUCAAAUAUGAGGUAUGAAAAUGAAAAUGAAAAUAAAAAUUUUGCGUUUGGGUAAAUUUUCUAUUGUAUUUGGAAUGAUUUGCUGUUGUUUUUUAGUUAAAUUUUUCUAGUGUUUUGGGUUUCAUUUGCUACAGUUUUUAGGUUAAAUUUUCUACUGUUUCUGGGCCAAUUGGCUGUUGUUUUUCAGUUUAAUUUUCUACUAUUUUUAGAUAAAUUUACUGCUGUUUUUGGGUUAUAUUUUUUGCUGUUUUCAAGUAAAUUUUUUGGUGUUUUGAGCUUCAUUUGCUAUUGCUUUAGGUUAAAUUUUAUACUGUUCCUGGGUCAAUUGGCUGCUGUUUUCAGUUUAAUUUUUUGCUAUUUUUAGAUAAAUUUACUACUAUUUUUGGGUUAUAUUUUCUGUUGUUUCUUGGUAAAUUUUUUCUAGUGUUUUGGGCUUCAUUUGCUGCUGCUUUUAGAUUAAAUUUUCUGUUGUUUUUGGGUCAAUUGGCUGCUUUUUUCAAUUUCAUUUUUUGUUCUUUUUAGAUAAAUUUACUACUAUUUUUGGGUUAUAUUUUCUGUUGUUUUUAGAUAAAUUUACUAUUAUUUUUGGGCUUCAUUUGCUGCUGCUUUUGGGUUAAAUUUUUUGUUAUUUCUGAGUCAAUUGGCUGUUGUUUUUUAGUUUAAUUUUUUACUCUUUUUAGAUAAAUUUACACCGGUUUUUGGGUUAUAUUUUCUGCUGUUAUUAGAUAAAUUUAUUGUUGUUUUUGGGUUUAAUUUGUUGUUACUUUUGGGUUAAAUUUUUUGCUAUUUCUGAGUAAAUUUGCUGUUGUUUUUCAGUUAAAUUUUCUGUUGUUUUUGGAUAAAUUUACUGUUGUUUCCAGAUAAUUUUUUUUGCUGUUUUGGGCUUCAUUUACUGCUGUUUUUAUGUUAAAUUUGUUGCUGCUUCUGGGGUAAAUUUGCUGUUGUUUUUCAAUUAAAUUUUUUGUUGUUUUUAGAUUAAUUUUUUUUUUGUAUAUUGGGCUUCAUUUGCUGCUGUUUUGUGUUAAAUUUUUUGUGUUCUAGGUAAAUUUAUUGCUUUUUUUAGUUAAUUUUUUUGUUUUUUUUGGAUAAAUUUACUACUAUUUUUUGGGUUAGAUUUUUUGCUAUUUUCUGGUAAAUUUGCUGUUGUUUUGUGCAUAGAGCUGGCCGAAAAAUGGUCAUGAUGCAUUUUGAAUGCGGAAUGAUGGAGAUUGGUAGUAAAAGUUGCUUGUGUUGUUUUUGCUGCUACUUGCUCUAUUUGAGCUUCUAGAAAUUGUUAAGGGUAGCUGGGAAGAAGAAAGAGAUGAUGAGAAAUGCAAAUUGUUUGUGAGCUUUAGAUUGAUGUACCAAGCCAAUAGUUAUAUUGCAAAAUAUCUGUUUUUUUUUAGUUUGUUAAUUUUAUUUUUUUGGAUUAUAACUAAUGCUAUAAAUAGUUAUUGUUUGUCACUGUUCUGGAAGCAAAUACUAGUCUAACUUUCUAGGAAAGGUGUUCCUAAUUCUUGCUUGGGUGAUUGAAUUUUGUAUUGAAAUGUUUAUUUCUAAAAUAUUUUUAGAGGAUCCAAAACUUGUGAUAUUUGACAUUUCUUUUUGUGCUUAAUAUCUUCAUGUACAGGUUCUUGUAAACUUGAAAAUGGCAGAAAAUGUAGAAUGAGAAUGAUUUCAAGGAGAAUGAUAAUGUGAACCAAGAAAAUGAAAUUUUAAGAAAAAAUCGGCCUUUCAUUGAGCAUAUUUGCACCUCGGAUUAUGAUGAAUGGUUGCACGGCCUACGUGCUAGCAGAUUUAGAUGUGGAUUUGGUGAAUAUUGGCUUUGCAUGUUUGGAGAAUUGAGAGAGAGAGAUUCAUAUUUGGGGAAUGACGAAUAGGAACUACGUUUUAAUUUUUCAUUUUGUCGUUCUCGUCUUCUAUGUUGCCAUUGAGACUUGAGAGCCGAGCCUUUUUUUUACCGCUUUCACUUAAAAAGGAAAAUGAAUAUUAUAAGGAAACGACGUAGUUUUUUGGUGAAUUUUAAAUGUUAUAAUUUUUUGUUGUUGUUUAUAUCUUAAUUAUAUAACAUUAUUUUUUAAAAUAAGUUAAAGAUAAAAUUUAUAACAUUUAUAUAUAUACCUAAAAUAUAUAUAGAACCACUUAUGUUAUGAUUUGUUUUUGGGUUCAGAUUUAUCAUUUUUAGUUAAAUUUUAAAUUUAUGAUUUUAUACCUAAUUUUUCAUUUGGGAAAGGGACAUGGUCGAUUUUUAUAAACUAAUUUAAAGAAAAAUGAUAGGUUUAUGGUUUUAUUAAUAUAUUAUAAUUAAUAAUAAUAAUAAUUUUUGAAUAAAUAAUCACUAUAAUUAAAAUAUAAAAUAAUAAUUAUGAUAAUAAUUCAUUAAGUACAUAUAUUACAUGCAAGGAAGACUAGGCUCGACUUUUAGUCUAAUUGACUUGACCUGAAUUUUUUGGCCUUUGACUGGAAUUUAAUGGUUAGGCUUGGGUCUAAAUAUUAGAGCCCAAUUAAAUUCAUAUUAGGGUUCGGGACCUAUAUGCCCGACCCGACCUGACUUGACCUGACCAUAAAACCUAAAAAAAAUGUAAUAAUAUGAUUACGGCCUUGAAUAAUCUUUAUUUUUAUGUUACUUCAAACAAUUUCUAAAGCUUUUAUAUUUUACUGUAUAUGGAGAGGCUAUGUCCAAUUUUUAAAUUUUAAAUUAACUAAAAAUAAAAAAAAAACUUUAAAAGAAAGUGUGAUCAGGCCUAGGCUUUCAAAUAAUAGGGCCUUUUUGGGCUUGAAAAUUUUAUUUCAGUUAUAGAGUCAGGCUCAGAAAUGGCUAAGCACAGGCCUAACUCGACCCACUGCCAUCCUUUCGAAUAGACUAUUGAUCCAUUAUGAACUCAUCAAUUAAAUUCAUGAUCAUAGUAAAUGUGUUACUAUCAUUCUUUUGUUUGCAAGAACAACUUGUAAACAAAUAAAAACUUAGUAAAAUGACACAGAAUUUGUAAAUUGACAUUAAGUGUAAAAUAAAAUAAAAAAUUUGUAAACCACACAUAAAACUAGUAAAUUGAUGGAAAAUUGGGUAAAUUAAUGUUCGAAUUGUAAAUUGCAAGAAAAACUUGUAAAUAAAACAAAAAUUUAGAAAAAUGACAUAAAACUUGUAAAUUAACAUUAAAUAUAAAAUGAAACAAUAAAUUUGUAAACCACACAUAAAACAGGUAAAUUUAAGGAAAAAUGGGUAAAUUAAUGUUGAAGUUGUAAUUUGCAAGAAGAACUUGUAAGCAAAAUAAAAAUUUAGAAAAAUAACAUAAAACUUGUAAAUUGAUAUUAUGUGUGAAAUAAAACAAAAAAUUUGUAAACCACACAUAAAACUAGUAAAUUGAUGAGAAAAUGGGUAAGUUAAUAUUUGAGUUGUAAAUUGCAAGAAGAACUUAUAAACAAAACAAAACCAAACCUUAGAAAAAUGACAUAGAACUUGUAAAUUGACAUUAAGUGUGAAAUGAAACAAAAAAUUUGUAAGCCACACAUAAAACUAAUAAAUUAAUAGAAAAAUAGAUAAAUUAAUGUUAGAAUUGUAAAAUACAAGAGGAACUUGUAAACAAAAUAAAAAUUUAGAAAAAUGAUAUAGAACUUGUACUUUGACAUUAAGUGUGAAAUGAACUAAAAAUAUGUAAAUCACAAUUAAAACUAGUAAAUUGAUGGAAAUGAUCCCCGGGUUAGCUCAUUUAAUUACUGCACCACUACUGGAUUAAUAAGCAAGACAACUGGCUAUUUGGGUCAAAAGCCUAAAUAUAUCAUUUAGUGGGAGGCUCCAUUUAAUUAGCUUAUGUGUAAGGGGUCUUAUGUUAUUUUACAAGGUGGGUCCCCUAUAGAAAAAACAAGUAACGUGAGUUUUGAUUUUCAUUAUUUGGAGUCUAGGGUUUUCACUAAAGGGAGAUAUAAAAAGGCUUAUUUUCUCUAAAGAAAAAAGAGCAGCCCCUUUAUACAAAUCAGAGAAAAAGAUUUUUCUCUUAGUUAUUGAGAGAAAAAUUUUCUCGUGCUAGUUGCUUUGAUAGUGAUAAAGGCAUCCACACGUCAAGUGCAGAUCGACCUUGAGUCAUAACCUGGAAGAUCAUUGUGACAAUUUGUGAUCUAACAAGCGUAGUGGUGACAGAUCGUGAUCUAACAUGAGUGGUGGUGACGGAUCGUGAUCUGGGAGCCUAAAUCACUUCAACAGAAAAAAGCCAAAUCGGAUUUUCAAGGUACGAUUUCUAGAUUACAAAUUCUUAUAUAUGAUAUGAGAGCGAUCUUAAAAGGUUUUAUAAAAAUUUAAAAACUAUAUUUUUCUCCAACAAUUGGUAUCAGAGCCAUCUCAUAUUAAUAUAUAAGAAUAUUGUAUGAAAUCAAUCUUGAAAUUUAUAUAUUAGAGUGGCACAAUUUAUUCAAAUAUAUAUUAUUAUUUUAAUAUAUGAAUAAAGCAUGGUUUUGGUUUGUCUUAAUUCAUGGUUAGAUUUUACACUGUAUUUUUUCUUCGGAUCUGUAACAAGAGGGGUGACUUUUCAUCACGAUGUUUCCCUCUUGAUUUAUUUUACUGUUAUAGAAUUUUUGUAAGCCAAAAUUGGCCUAGGAAAUUUGUAAAUCAAUCAUGGAUGUCAGAUCAUAGGAAACGAAGGCCGGAUAUUUUGAUAGCACCAAUAAACCAGCGCGUGCGGCCAGCAAUGGCCAGCGGCCCGCGCUGCACGUGCUGCAGCUGCAAGCAACGCUGCCAGCAGCGUGUAGCUCACGGGUUCCAUCAUUUGGUGGCUUUCCGGCGUGGCGGCAAUGGUUAAAUCGGCGUCGAACUUGGAUGAACAGUGACUGGCUUUGUGGUGAUGGCGGCUGGGGAGAGUAAAAGAUGGAUUUAGGGUUUCAAUGGUUUUUAUCAUUGAGAUCCCUAUGGCUCCAUAUUUUUUUUCUUUUUGGGCAGACACGUUUAAAUUUUUGCAGUUAAGUCCAAAAACAGUUUUGGGCUUAAGGAAUCAUAGUUUAUGCUCAAUUUCAAUUGGGCUUAAUGGAUUAAAAUGCAUAGAUAAAAUUGAACACAUUAAAUUUAUUUUUGGUCCAAAAGUUUUAUUUUAAUAAAAAAAAUUAAUUAUUUAUUUAUUUCCUUUCAAAAUUAAAGUUGGACCAAUAAUAAAUUUAAAAGCCCAAUUUCCCCUAGUCCAUCAACAAAGACAAGCUUAUGAAGAUGGACAUUGACAAGAAGCCCAAUGAAGAUUAGGCUUAGGGUUAAUGUAUUUUUCAUUAUUAGGAAAACCAUGAAUUAAGAUUAUUUAAUUAUUUGUUUUAUAUGUUAUGUUUUGGAUGAUAACAUGCCAUAAUAACAUGUCAUAUAGAAUAGGUAGUGUCACUCUAUGCAUAAUGAUACAUGUCAUUCAUUAAUAAUGAAUUUCAUUAUAUUGUUUGAAAUUUGUGUAUGCUUAAUAAUAUUGGAUAUCAUCUAGAUAAUAUUAUAGGAAGCAUGCAAUUAACAAUAUGUAUGUUUUAAAAGGAAAAACCAAUUUUAAAAUAUUGAGUGGGAGAGGGAAAAUUCAAGAUAAUUUUCCCACGGACUCCAUUGUUAGUUCAAUAAUAAAAUUAUAUAUAUACAUCGACUUCAUGAUACGGUGAUGCUCCCUUCGGAGGGUAUAUAUAUUAGAUAUUUUACUUGAUGAACUUCUUCAAAGAUAAAAUUGAAAUAUUUUUCAAUCGAUUGUUCACCCCAACGAUGACUAUUGAUAUGAAAAAUACGUAGAUUGAAACAAUGGUUAUACACUCAACUAAAAUUUGUUAUUAACCUUCCCAACGAAGUUCUGUUAACAAAUUUAGGCCAAAAAAGGAUAACGAUAAUUAUUUAUCAUGUCUCUACAUGAAAGUAAAUAAUCCAAUGGGUAAUUGGGUCUAGUAAGUAUAGACAUGACUUCCCCAACGGAUAGCUUGUCAAAGCAGAACUAGAUUAUCGUUACAAUAAAUUAAAAUGCAUUUAUGGUUUUAUGCAUUUAAACAAACUCACUGGAGAGAACUAUAUAGAUUUGAAAAUAAAUCUAUUCAUUGUCCUGACUGCUAAAAAUUAUAAAUAUGUCUUAACCCAGCCAUGCCCUCCAGUUCCAGCGGAUGAUGCUCAUAGAAAUCAGAGGAGGCUUUAUGAGAAAUGGCAAAAGGCCAAUGAAAUGGCAAAAUGCUACAUUUUAUCCUCGAUUUCUAACAUUCUGCAGACCAAACAUCAGAACUUGGAGACUGCCACUGAAAUAAUGGAUAGUCUCCAACAGAUGUUCGGGCAGAGUACUCGCUCCGCGAGACAAGCAGUGCUGAAAGGAAUUAUGAACAGUAAAAUGGGGAAGGGCACAAGAGUUCGUGAUUAUGUCCUCAAAAUGAUGGAUUAUUUGAAUGAGGCUGAGAUUCAAGGAGCACAAAUCGAUGAUAACUCAAAGAUUGACACGGUGCUAGAAUCUCUGCCAGAAACAUUCAAGGAGUUUAAGGUCAAUUAUAGCAUGAACAAAAGAAACAUGACCUUAACUGAAUUGAUGAACGAACUCCAUUAUGCUGAAGAGAUCUAUCGUGCUGAGAAAUCUCUGGGAAGUAUAAAUAUUGCUGAAAAAGGUUCUUCUAGAUCUAAGCCGAAAGGCAAAUGUAAGAAGAAAGCUGGGAAAAAGAGACCGUCUACCAAGCAAUAUGGCGAGCCAAAAGGCAAAUGCUUCAAGUGUGAACAGAAAGGUCACUAAAAAAAGGAUUGCCCUAAGAUUGUGAAAUCAGGUAUGGGAAAUCUUUUUGUAAUUGAGGCUUGUUUAGUUCAGAAUCCUAUUGACACUUGGGUGUUGGAUUCAAGAGCAACUAAUCAUAUUUGUAAUUUACUUUAUUGGUUUCAGGAAACUAGGAAAAUAAGUGAAGGAAGCGUAAAGCUGCAGUUAGGGACAGGACAAUUCGUGUUGCAGUGAAGACUGGAUCUAUUUUAUUAUCUUUUAAUAAUGAGACUUUAGUUUUGAAUAAUUGUCUUUAUGUUCCAGACAUUAAGAGGAAUUUAAUUUCAGUAGCUUGUUUGUCAAAGCAAGGGUACACUGUAAACUUUGGAUCCUCUAUUUCUAUUUUUCAUAAUAAGAGACUUAUUUGUUCUGGUACAUUAGAAGAUAAUUUAUAUCAUUUAAGUCCAACGAUCCAUUCUAUGCAUGACACAAUGAUCAAUAAUGAUGAGCAUACACAUUUUUCUAAGAAAAUAAAUAUUUCUUCCAACCAAUGUUACCUCUGGCAUUUACGUUUGGGUCAUAUCAACCAAAAUAGGAUACAGAGAAUGAUCAAAGAUGGGCUCUUAGGUCCAUUAGAAAAUGAAUUAUUGCCACUCUAUGAAUCCUGUUUAGAAGGAAAAAUGACCAAAAGGCCAUUCUCGGCCAAAGGAGUACGUGCAACAGUACCACUUGAAUUGGUACAUACAGAUGUAUGUGGACCAAUCAAUAUACAAGCUCGAGGAGGUUAUGAGUAUUUCAUCACUUUCACUGAUGAUUACUCGAGAUACAGUUAUGUUUAUCUGAUGCGUCACAAGUCUGAAGCUCUUGAGAAAUUCAAAGAGUAUAGGGCUGAGACAGAAAAGCAAUUAGAUAAGAACAUAAAGAAACUUCGAUUUGAUCAAGGUGGUGAAUUUCUCUCAGGAGAUUUCAAAGAGUAUCUGGUUGAAAAUGGGAUUAUAUCUCAAUUGACUGCCCCGGGAACACCACAAAAAACUGAGGUAGCUGAAAGAAGAAAUAGAACUCUUUUGGAUAUGGUGAGAUCUAUGCUUAGUUAUUCGUCAAUACUAAUCUCUUUUUGGGGACUAGCACUGGAAACUGCAGUUUACCUCUUGAACUUAUUUCCAUUUAAGUCAGUGCCUAAAACCCCAAUAGAAUUAUGGUCAGGUCGCAAACCAAGUUUACGACAUGUCGGUAUUUGGGGAUCACCAGCACAUGUGCUGAAACCAAAGGCAGACAAAAUGGAUUCACGUUCUGAGGUUUGUAUGUUUGGGGGGUAUCCCAAAGGAAUAAGGGGAAGUUUAUUUUAUAGUCCUCAAGAUAGGAAAGUGAUUGCGAGCACACAUUUCACUUCCCUCAAGGAAGACUAUAUGAAUAACUUCAAACCUAAGAGUAAUGUAAUACUUAAAGAACUGUCAGGUGAUCAGGUUGAUGCUCAGCUUUCAACGCUUCAACGCCUGUUACAGAACAAGAAGAACAACAACAACCAGAUGAUCAACACAGGAUUAUUCCUGAACAACCAUCACUUUUAGAAUCUCGUUGUAGUGGGAGGGUAACUAGGUUACCUGCGAGAUACAUGCUUUUGGGAGAAACCUAUAUUGCUAUCUCAGAUGAACAUUUACAAGAUCCCACUAGUUACAAUGAAGCUCUAAUAGAUAGAGAUGUUGAAUUUUGGAAAAAGGCAAAGAAUUAAGAAAUGGAAUCUAUGUAUUCCAAUAAAGUCUGGGAACUUGUAGAGGCACCAAAUGGGGUAAAACCUAUAGGGUACAAGUGGAUCUACAAGAGAAAAAGAGGAGUAGACGGAAGGGUGGAAACAUUUAAAGCAAGAUUAGUAGCCAAAGAGUUUACUCAGAAAGAGUGAAUCGAUUAUGAGGAAACCUUUUCUCCGGUUGUUAUGCUUAAAUCCAUCAGGAUUCUGCUCUCCAUUGCUGCAAUGCUAGAUUAUGAAAUUUGCCAAAUGGAUGUCAAGACUGCCUUUCUUAACGGGCAUCUUGAAGAAACAUCUACAUGCAACAACCAGAUGGAUUUAUACAAAAAGGCCAAGAACACAUGGUAUGUAAGUUGCAGAGAUCCAUUUAUGGAUUGAAGCAAGCAUCCCGGUCAUGGAACAUCAGAUUUGAUCAAGUGAUUAAAUCAUUUGGAUUCAUUCAGAACAUUGAUGAACCAUGUGUGUACAAGAAAAUUCAAGAAAAAUCUGUAGCCUUCCUAAUUUUUUAUGUAGACGGUAUUCUCUUAAUUGGAAACGAUAUAGGAGUAUUGACUACAAUAAAGAGUUGGUUAGCAAAACAAUUUGAUAUGAAAGACCUGGGAGAGGCAAGUUAUAUUUUUGGUAUCAAGUUACUACGAGACCGGAAAAAUAAAACUUUAGCCUUGUCUCAAGCGGUCUAUAUCGAUAAGAUAUUGGCUAGAUUUAGCAUGGAAAAUUCCAAGACUGGUUUAUUACCAUUCAGACAUGGAAUUACAUUCUUUAAGGAUCAAUCACCUAAAACAUCUGAAGAGAUAGAGAGAAUGAGACGAGUUCCCUAUGCAGAAGCUGUGGGAAGUCUCAGGUAUGUCAUGCUUUGCACUAGGCCAGACAUCUGUUUUGUGGUAGGGAUGGUUAGUAGAUAUCAAUCUAAUCCUGGACCUGAACACUGGACUACGGUCAAGCAUAUAAUGAAGUAUCUGAAAAGAACUAAAAAUUAUAUACUUGUGUAUUCUGGUGAUGAACUCAUUCCAGUGCGUUAUACUGAUUCUGACUUUAUGUCAGAUAAGCAUUCCAGAAAAUCAACUUCCGGCUAUGUGUUUACAUUGGGAAGUGGAGCUAUUAGUUGGAGGAGUGUGAAACAAUCUUGUAUCGCAGACUCCACAACUGAAGCUGAAUAUGUGGCUGCAUUCGAAGCUGCAAAAGAAGCUAUAUGGCUCCGCAAGUUCCUAUAAGAUCUUGAGGUGGUACCUGCUGUAACUGCACCCGUUAAACUAUUUUGCGAUAAUAGUGGUGCAGUAGCUCAAUCUAAGGAACCAAGGAACCAUAAGAAACAAAAACAUAUUGAGAGGAAGUAUCAUCUUAUAAGGGAUAUAGUGCAGAGAGAUGAUGUGGAGGUUACUCAAAUUGCGUCACAGUAAAACUUGGCAGAUCCUUUUACUAAGGCCAUACCUGGGAAACCUGUUAACUUUCACUUAGAAUCCAUGGGCAUGCGUGAGAUGCCAAAUAUGCUUUGAGAGAUAGUGGGAGAUUGUUGGGAAAAUAUGUUCUUUAAAAGCAUAUGUGUUUAUUUAAUUGUAAUAAAUAAUUUUCCUGAUUAAUAAAAUAAAUGAGGUAUUUUAUUCAAAUAUCUUAAUUGCAUUAAUAUUUUUAUUAAAGUCCAUUUAAUCAUAUUAUAUGUAUUUAUGUGAUCACUAUGUGGAUUCACAGAAGACAUAAAUACAAGUUAUCUUAUGAUUAAAUAAAUUUAGUUCGCAGUUGAUAAAUAAAGUUGGACACUUUAUUUAGGUAUAGACUGUAAUAAAUUCAUUGAAUGAUUUGUCUUAAUCAUGUAUGAAUUUAUUGAUGUAGUACGACUACAUUGAACAUGAUCACAUAUGAGAUUUAAUUAACUUUGUAAUAACUGUCAGACUUAUUAUAUCUCAUAGGCAUUGAUUUUACUGUAAUCUUAAUCUUGAGUUAAUUAUGAUUUCAUGAUUGUAAUUGUUAUUCCAUUUGAGUUACCAAUGGGCACGACACAUACUUGUGGUCAAGAUUACUCGGUAUCUUGGUGGGAGCAAUUAUGAGUAUUGGAGUUAUGGAUUAACAAUAUAGAAUUUGUACAACACAUCUCUUGAUGAGUUUUCGGCACUUAAUCAUAGAAUUCUCUGGCCAGAGUGUGUCAACAUAUUUAGUAUGUUGAAAAUGAUUAUUAGAGAAAACCAGUAAGUAUCAAGGAACAAGAUGUAAUUAAAUUGAUUGGACAGUUGAGAUAUUGAUUUAAUUAAUGAUGUGGUACAAAGGAUUGUGAAGUAAAUAAAUAAAUGUGGCUUGAGACGAAUUAUUAUUCGAGCAUACAAUUAUGGAGGUCAAUUCCAAUCUUUUAGUGGAGUAGAUUUGGAAUUAAAUAAUUAGGUUAUUUUAAUUACAGGCCUAAUUGUUAUAGCCACUAUUGUAUGUUCUCAAAUGAUCCCCGGGUUAGCUCAUUUAAUUGACUACACCACUACUGGAUUAAUAAGCAAGAUAACUAGUUAUUUGGGUUAAAAGCCUAAAUAUAUCAUUUAGUGGGAGGCUCCAUUGAAUUAGCCUGUGUGUAAGGGGCCUUAUGUUAUUUUACAAGGUGGGUCCCCUAUAGAAAAAGCAAGUAACGUGAGUUUUGAUUUUCAUUAUUUGGAGCCUAUGGUUUUCACUAAAGGGAGAUAUAAAAAGGCUUAUUUUCUCUAAAGAAAAAAGAGCAGCCUCUUUAUACAUAUUAGAGAAAAAGAUUUUUCUCUUAGUUAUUAAGAGAAAAAUUUUCUCGUGCUAGUUGCUUUGGUAGUGAUAAAGGCGCCCACACGUCAAGUGUAGAUCAACUCUGAGUCAUAACCUGGAAGAUCAUUGGUGACAGUUCAUGAUCUAACAAGCGUGGUGGUGACGGAUCGUGAUCUAACAGGAGUGGAGGUGAUGGAUCGUGAUCUGGGAGCCUAAAUCACUUCAACAGAAAAAACUAAAUCGGAUUUUCAAGGUACGAUUUCUAGAUUACAAAUUCUUAUAUAUUGUAUGAGAGCAAUCUUAAAAGGUUUUAUAAAAAUUUAAAAACUAUAUUUUUCUCCAUCAGCAGGAAGUGCCAAGUGCUGUAGUUUUUCUAGAUUGUAUUUUCCUCUCAUUUCUCUUGACAAUUGAGCUGAAGUCCAAACAAAUGACAUACCAUCAGAUUUCUAAACAAAAUCUCUAUUUAAUAGCUAAGAUAUUUAGGAUCUUGGUCUAAUGAACUUGAGACCAACCUCCAAGUCCACAUGAAAGUGUAGUCGCAUACAAACAUAUGAUGAACUAGUUGGUAAAAUGUAUCAAAACCUUGCCUGUCAGCCUAAAUCUUAGGUACACGAUCAUGUAAAUAUAAUCAAGUUGGCUAUCUUUUGUAAGAUUUGCUGGCCCUGCAAAAUGAACCAAAUUAAAAAUUGAGUUCUUAACUGAUGUGCAUGUGCUCCAGAUAGGUUUCAGAUAUUUUAUGAAGCUCAAUAUUUAUUAGUUGUUUCCUCGAUUAUUGAAUCAUUCAAUGGUAGUUGCAUGUCUCAUUGAUUGCUAUUGAUAAUGCUUUAAUUCUUUGUUGCUGUUUUUUUACUUUUCCUGCAGUUGUUAACUGCAGUUUCCUGUUGUUUUCCUGCUAUUUUCUACUAUUUUAGUUGUUGUUUCAUGUUGUUUUCUUGACGUUUCCUAUGAUUUUACCUGUUGUUUGCUGCUAUUAGUGUCGAUAGCUGCUAUUUUAUCUAAUGUUUGGUGUUGUUUUUCGCCACUUUUCUUCUUGUUGUUUUACAAUAUUUUCUUUCAUUAUCCAUUACCUAAUUUUGUAGUGGGGGCAAAUUUAUUAGGUACUAGGUUAAUGGCAACAUGUUGACAAUGGAUCCAGCGACUCAAAUGUAUAGAAUUCUUAAGCAUACAAACCAUGAAUACCUUUUUCAAGUUGUUUAAAUUGUGAAAAAAUAUGAAAUUUGUUGUGGGUUUUUUUUAGACUAUCGUUUACGUGAAUACCUCUCAGGCAACUGGAUAUGUUGGUGUUCUUAUCAUAACAAGGUAUGUAUGUUCCAUUCUGCUAUUUUUGUGCUCUUUGGUACAUGGUUUGAGGAAAUUAAAAUAAUCUUUGUUGAUUAUCCGCUAAUAAAUUUUGGUAUGCGACAUAAUAUUUAAUGACCUAUGUGAGAAUUAAUAUUGUGACAUUGUGUUUGAAGCAUCUGAUUUUUGUUGAUUGGUGCUAUUCAUUGUACGGUUUUUUAGAAAUAAAAUUUUAGUUGCAAGAGACUUCAUCUAAUUUUGAUUUUGUAGCUAUAUUUGAAUCCUAUUCAUGUAGUUGUGUAGCUUCGAACAUCAAUGGUGGUUUUUUAAAUCUGGUGGCUAAAAAAGGAAGAACAAUGUUGUGGCGAAUAUUUUUUGUUAAAUUAAAAGAAUUUAAGUAAGUUAAAUAUAUUGGUUCAUCGAAGAAGGUAGGAUUUUUUCCCUCACUGUUAUAUCAUGAUCCAGAUCUACUGUAUUUGAGAUGGAUUAUACAAGCAUAGGGAAUUGACAAUUGAUCAUUAUGGGAGCAUUUUAAACAUGCCCAAGUUAGCACUACAAGAAAAAUGACCUACCAUGACAGUCCUCUGUGUGACAGUUUUUGGUCUGCAGAGCUACUACGAUAGAUGGAUGAUAAUUUUUUUUUCUAUCAUUCAUUUAUGACAUACUUGUGAUAGAAAUUUCAUCUAUCAAGCACUUAUGAUAGACUGAUGAUAAAUUAUUUGGUUAUCAAGAAGUAAUGACAAGUUUGUGAUAUAAUUUAGAUCAUCAAGUAGCUUUUUUAUUUUGACUUUAUUUCACAAGGUUGACUGAAAAUUUUAAAAUGAAUGAAAAAAAUAAAUAAAGAAUAAACGGUACCGUUUGGAUUAAAAGUUUCUCUUUGGACAAGAAACGACACCGUUUAGAUUGAAGCUAAAUAAAAACAAAACCCUCUUCAGUUUUCACUAAUCGAAUUUUUUUUCCCUAAGUGUCGGCACUCUCACUCACUCUCAUCUCUCGCUCAGUCACUCUCGUCAAUCUCACACUCACAAAGCCCUUUUCACCCGAAAUCUUUGCAUGGGCACUGAACCACUGCCGCCAUUCUCUUAUAUUUGACUAUCAAUUUUGGCUCUCACCGAGAACUAUAUGGAAUACCCACCAAACGCAUGUGCUUCUACUAUUGAAUUUCAAUACCCUAACUGAGAGCCCACGCUCACCCACUAUUGUAACCGUUCGAUCAAUACAGGUAAAUAAUAUUUCUAGUGUUGUGUUCCAUUUCAAUUUUAAUGUUCUUGUCAAACUCGAACCCUAUAUAUGUAAACUUAAAAACCCUAGAUGUGUUCUUGUCAAAUUCGAACCCUACACACCUAAAUCUUGUAAAACCUAGAUGUUUUCUUGUCAAAUUUGAACCCUGUACGUGUAAAACUUGAAAAUCCUAGGUGUGCUCUUGUUAAAUUUGGAUCUAUUUGAUUGGUCUUCUAUGUUUCUUUAUUUAUGGAAUUUUAAACAUUUAUUUGAUUUUUUUGGAAUUUAAUUAUUAUAGUUUUAUUGUUAAAUUAAUUUGAUUUAGGCUGUAAAGAUCCUUGCCAAUUUAAUCGUGAUGGGUGUUGGGAUAUUGUCUAGGCUGCUUUAUCUUUGGGGUUUUCUAAUAACUAAUUUUUUUUUUCACUUUUUUGUGGAUGCAUGGAACUAUAUAUAUAGAUAAUUCUCAAAUUCGUUCACUGUGAUGCAAAGUCUUUUUUUUUUCAAUUUCAUUGGUUAAAUUCACUAAUUCGUUGAAAUUAGUGGUGAUUGUGGGCCGAGUCGCAUGUGCAGGAAGUGGUGUCAGGUCUGGGCGCACAUUGAGUCAUGCACUUGGUGGGCAAUUGGUAUUGUUUCUAUUGUGUGGGUUGGAAAUAAUGUCAAUAUCAUCCAACCAAUGUGUGUUUCUAGUGGCUGUUUUUGCACCGAGCAGAUAAUUUAUUAUUACAUCAGAGUUCCCCAUCCCUUGUUUCUCUUUUGGGUAAUGCAGGUAUUGACUAGUUCAUUUCCAUUUUCAUUUGUCUUGAGGGAAUGUUAUCAAUUUUUCGAUCUUACAAGAUAUUGAUUGAUACAUAUGUGUACAAUACAUUAAAAAUCGUUAAACAUUUUGCUCUUAGUUACAAUUUUGAAUGAAUGUCACAUGGAAAGAUCCUCUAAGAAUAUCAAUAGUAUUGUGGUUUCUACUCAAUUUCCACUCUCCGCACUCAUAUGAGCAUGGUUUGAAUCUCAAGCCUUUUGUACCAUUCAAAAAUUUAUACCAAUUAACAACAUAGCUUGCUAGCACCACAAAUUAUUUCAACUCCAAGGCAGAGAAUUCCUAGAAGAUAUAUACAUAUUGAUAUAUACUUGCAUGUAGCCGUAUGCUCACUACCUUCGAAUUGGGGAUAUAGUCACUAUUUUUGUAUUCCCUCCAAGUGUUUGAUAAAAAGCAUGAAUGAAUCUUGGCUCUUUAAUUGUUGCAGGCCAUUUCUACCUAUGAGGAGCAAAGGAAUAUGAAGCUUAUUAUAUUCAUUCACAAAGCAAAGCUGAUACAAUUCAUGGCAAAGCUUGAUGAGGUGUUGUAUUUAAUCUUGCUCAUGAGAUCAAUUACCUAUCUUGUUGGACUUUAUUCUUGUAAUUAAGGUCCAUCCAAAGUUGAUGGCUUGUUUGUCAGAAAGAUAAUCUGAAGGCUAUGAUUGAUUACUUGCGGGCCGAUGGAAAUGUCUCCAUGAUUGGUUUAUGAGGUUGUUAAAUUACUAAAUAGGUAUAUUUACUUUUCAUGAGCUUUAUCUUCGUUUUUCCUUUAUGGAAAUGUCUCUAUGAUUGUAACUUUUAACACGUGGAACUCUUGAACCCUAUGUUUAGUUAUAUACUUAUAUUGGGACUUGUAUAAAUUAAUAUGAUGGUUUUAUUAUUAUUAUUAUUAUUAGUAGUAGUAGUAGUAGUAGUAGCAGCAGCUACAAAAGAUCAAAAGAACUUAAAGGUGUGGCUUGUGGCUUUCUUGCUGUUUGGGCUUUAACUGCUGCCUCACUUGUCAUUGUUGCUAAUCUGGUGUGCCACGUCCAUUUCAGUGUAAUUACAUAAGUUAGUUUGCUUGAUUAAUUAAUUAAUUAGUUAGCGGAUUGAAUAGCCAGAGUACUACAUUUUGCAUAGGUCUGAUGCUGGAUGAAUUUUCAUGUCUUGGCUUUGGGGCUGCUGGAUUUUGCUGCUGGAAGACUAGAUUUUGCAAUUUUGUUGCUGGAAGACUACAUUUUGUGUAGGUUUGUUGCUGGAUGUUGCUGAAUGCGGAGUACUUUGCUUGGUUUUGGAUUGGUCUUUGUUGUCUAUUGGCUCGACUUUGGAAUAUGGAUUAACUAAUGUAAUGUACUUUGGAUAUUUUUAUGGUUAAUAAAGUUCACUAAUUUAGUUCAUUAGUUUUGGAUUUAAUUGCAUUUAGUAAUUUAUUUUCUUUCAUAUAAUUUUAAUAAUUUUAAUAAUUUAAAUUUUUAAAUUUCAUAAUUUUUAUUUUAAAUUAAUAAAUAAAAUAAAUAAUCAAUUUUUUCAAAAAAAAUGUGAUAGAAAAUACUAGUCAUACACACAAUUGAUAUCCCAAAAAAAAAAUACAAUCCAAAAAUUUCUAAAAAAAUGAAAAUAUAAAAUAAAAAAAUAAUUUCCCUCUUCUAAGUAGUAUGACAUAAUUAUGAUAGGUAAAAUCUAUCACAACUUGUGACGCGAUUUUAUCUGUCAUCUUUUCUUGACGCUGGCUAUAAUGACAGUAAGGAUAACCGUCAUCUACCCCCUAAGAUGAAAGUUUUUACCUAUCAUAAUAGGUCAUUUUUCUUGUAGUGUAGAAAGUAGAAGUCAGCAUGCUCAUUUUCGUUGUUGCAUGUGUUGUUCAUUAAUUGCUACGCUACCGUUGUGGAAAGCAUAUACUGAUGAAGUGUUGAUUCAACUAUGAAUUGUUGUACUUAUUUUAUUUGAUAACUGAUAGCUGAUAGUGUUGUAGAUGGAUUUGCUAAUUAUGAUAUAUGAAUUUCAACUAUGAAUUAUGGUUUAUGAAUUAUGAGAUUGUGAGUGUAUUGUAGAAUAUUAGUUAUUUUUUAGCUGCUAAUAAUAAUAAUAAUAAUAAUAAUAAUAAUAAUAUAUUCAAUUCUCAAAAAAAUUAAUAUUGAUAAUUCAAAUUUGGCUCCAAUAAUAUAUUUUAAUUUUAAAAUUAAUCUUAAUAAAUCUUGCCAAAUAAUAUUUAAAAUAAAUUUAAUUUCCUGCCAAAUAUAUUUUAAAAUUUUUUCAAAAUUCCCUCUAGAUUUAAUAAAGUUUAAAAAAAAUUAAAUAAUUUUAUUAUUUGUAGACUAAUUAAUUAAAUGACAUCUUUGUAUGACAUAUAAUAGUCAUGCAUUAAAAAUGUUUAUGAUAUAAACUAGUCAUGCGCGAAAUUUUUUUAUUAAAAUAAUUAUGACACAAUUGUGACAGAUAAUAAGUCAUGUAUUAGAUGAUAUAUAAAAAUUGUUAUCUAAUUUUCUUGACAUUAGAAUCAAGGACGGUUGUUCAACCGUCAUACUCUAUAGCACAUGAUGGGUAAAAACCGUCAUAAAAUCCUUUUUUUCUAAUAGUGUGUGUAGGCGCCCACUUUGAUCUAAUGUCUUAAGUUUCGCAGAACCAUUCAUUACCAUCCAAUUGUACUUUUUGGAUGUCAUCCUUCCACCUUGUUUUAAUUUGAACUCAUCAGUAGUCUUUGAAUCCUAUAUACAUUUUUAGAAAACUUUUUUUUAAAGAAGAAUAUAUGAGAUGAUAUAUACCUUCACUCAACCUUCGAAAAAAUUAAUUCAAAAUGUGCAAUCCUAAUUCCUACGACUAAAAAGAAAAUCACAAGCAUUGUUUUGGGUGGGGGUGGGGGUGGGGGUGGGUGGGGGAAGCGGCGGGGAAGGAAGAGUGAUUGAAUUCUUCCACAUUUUCUUUUUCAUUUAUAUGUGGGUUCCACGAUGUAAAGUGCUUGACUUAAGUUAUUUUAUUCUUUAGCCGCGGGUGACAGCAAAUUCUAUUCAUACAAUUCAUGUCACGGAUAGCAUCUCAUAUCCGCAAUUCACAAUUUCCGGAUAUCCGCAUGUAUGCUUGUGUAUACUUUUCAGUUUACACUCUAUAAAUGAGAAGCCGAUAAUACGUUGAAUUUUUUUAAUCUACAAUUGUAUUCAACAAAAUGUCUUUCAAUAUUAAUCAAGAAUUAUAAAAGAAAAAUUCUAUAAUACAGUGAUUAAAACUGUAGUAUCAAUGACAUGAUAAAUAUAAAUUCUAUAAAUUUCACAUAAAACUAGUUAAUGGAAGGUAAAAUAAAUAUAUUAGUAUAAGAGUGGUAAAUUUGUGUUUUAACAUCACAAAUAAAAUAAAAUUUUACAAGUUUUAAUGUUAAAUAAAUUUUACAUUUAAUGUUGAUUUACAAGUUUUAUAUUAAAUUUACAUGUCAUAUGUUUCAUUUACAUAAUUCAUGUUUACAUACGGUAUUGAUAUCGUGAUUUUAAUCAUGGCAUUAUAGAAUAACCCUAAAAUUGAGAGGAAAACUAAAUUUUAUAAACAAGAGUUUUCCAAAUUAAUGACAGCUUAUAAUUAUGCAAGUAAUAUAGUUUUCAUUGAUUUAACUAUUCCAUUUAUAGAUUUACAGGAGAGAGGAAAGAGAAAAUUGGAAUAGGAGAAAAAAUAAAAUUAAACAUUAAAAAAAGAAGAGAGAAAAAUAUUAAUGAAGUUAGAAAUUCUUAUCAUCUAAUGUUAGCGCUUCAUUCUUAUUUCCAUUUUACAACACUCAAUCAUCUGACAUUAUUAUUGUUGUUGUUGUUGUUGUUGUUAGUACUACUACCACCAUCUUCUUUACCAAUCCUCAGAUAAAUUCAUACUGAACGAUCUUUUGGCCCUGUCCAUCUUCAUUCAAAGCACAUUUAAACCUCUCUAGCAUAGUUUUAGCCUAAAGUUUCAACACACUUAUCCUUAGCAAAAUGAAUUUAGAUUUAGUAUUGAACUGAGUUUUUUACUAAUUCUUUAAAAAGAUACAAUUAUUAGUUAUUAAAUAAGAAUAUAAAACUAAUUAAAUCUUAAAUCUUAAUUAUGUAUUGUUAUACAUGCAUGUGAGGCAGCUCAGGUCAACAUUAGAUCCAAAUCCAUGGCAAAUAACUCUCCAAAUCUAUCAUUUUCUCUAUGAUAAAGUGAUCAAAUGGCCCCUUAUUCUCUGCUCCAUGAUGUGCUAAUAAUUUAUAUACUAAUUUAAUGUUUCAUUAACUUAAUUUUAUGUCAAAUUAUAUUCUUUUAUGUUAAUUUUUAUCUUAAUUUUAAUAUUUUGUUGUUUUAGGUAUAAUUUAGGAUUAGAGAGGAGUCAAAUCAUAACAUUCAGAAAGAAAUCUAAUUGAAAGAAUUAGAAAGGGGAAAAAAUAAAGAAAUUUAAUUGAAACAAAUCAAGGAAGAUUUACCAUCAUGCAUGCAAUCACGUGGGGGAGGGGGGAGGGGGGAGGCAUUUAAGAUUUAGUUGACAAAUAUGGCAUGUACGUGAACUUGGGCUUUUGAAUUUGCAAUAUAAUGGCCUAAGAACUUAAAGGUUGCUUGGCUUACUUUUGUGAGUUUGUCUUUUUAAUCCUUUUGGGUUAAGGAUUUAAAGGUCACCGAUUGAGCAUUACAAAAAGAAAAAAAAAAAAAUAGGGCAAAAGCCGAAGUAGCCUCACGAAUAGAAUCAGGUAGAAGCACCCGCAAGACAUCCAGAGAGAAGCCAGAUUAAUUCUUGAGUUUUUCUUUCCCUCUUCUCUAUUGCUGUGCUUGAAUGUUCCCUACAAUGUUUAUGAAUUCUUUUUACAUUCAAAUGAAAUAAUUUAUUUUGCUAGGGCUACAACGUAACCUAACUAUGAAAUUUAAUUCCAUAAAUCUAUGUUAUUUUUAGUUUAUUAUUCCAUUAUUGGGUGUUCAUUAUUGUGCUUGAUGCUUUUAAAUAUAUGACCAAUAUUUGAAUGAUUUGAUGAUACAUAAUGAGAGCAAGAGGAGAUUUAUGUAUUUUUCCUAUAUGUAAUGGAUGCCAUGAAUUGAACGAAAGAUAGAGAUGUGCCAACGCGAUUCGUGCAGUUUUAUCUAAGAAUUUCCAUAGAACUUAAUGAGUUUUUACAUAUUUAAAUUCACUUAGAGAUAUAGUUAGUUAAUAUAUGAGGGUAUUUUUUAUAUUAUUCGAGAUAAGAUAUUGAAUAGAUUAGGGAAAUUCACUAUCAAUAUGCAUGAUAAUCUUUAAUAGUAUCGAUGGCGGAUUAAAUUGGAUUGGUUAUAGGGAAAUCAUAUGUCCUAAUGUCUAAAUCUCUUGGUGAUUUUUAUUACUACUUGCAUCUUUAUUUAAUUUUUAGUUAUUUUAAUUUAUCUAGUUUUUAAUCGAAAUUCACUUAUUCAGUUAUUCAAAUAGAAUAGGGUUAGAAUAAUUGAAGUAACUAAUAGAAUAUACAAUCUCUACGGGACGAUACUCUACUCUUCAUUAUAUUCCUCGUGUUGACUAAUGCACUUGCUAAUACGCAACAAGUUUUUGGCUCCGUUGCUGGGGAUUGUUUGGAUUAGUAUUGAUACCCACUAACCAUAGUUUAAUUUCAAUUUUAUUUUUAUUUUUAUUGUUUUUAUUUUAUUUUCAUUUUCUUGUUUAAUUUUAUAAGACAUUCAAGAAGUUUUGAUUUAUUGCCUUUUGAUGCAGAGAUUGAACGUACCUAUAGAAGGCUCAACAGGGAAAGAAGAGAAGCUUUGCAGGAAUAACAACUAAUUAUGGCUGAAAAAAUAAUACAAGAAAAUAAAGAUGCAAGACUUUUACGAGAUUAUGUUGUGCCUACAAUUAGUGGUACUCGCUCAAGCAUUGCACGUUGUGCCGUUCAAGCCAAUAAUUUUGGGAUAAUCCAGAUGAUUCAGAUGUCAGUACAAUUUGUUGCACUAUUCAUUCCGCUCUAAGUAUCUAUUCACAAAGGUAAAUGUAAAACCAAGGCUGAUCAAUUGGGUGCUUUUACUAUAAGAAUUUGAUUUAGAGAUUUGAGACAAUAAUGGAUUUGAAACUUUGGUGGUGGAUUACUUAUUUCGAUUAGAGCAAAGAGAGCAAAAAGAUAAUGUAGUGGUUUCAAUUAUCGAAGAAUUUUCUAAUGAAAAGUUACUAGUUCUUUAAACUUUUGAAUGUAGAAUUUUCUAAUAAAAAGUUACUGGUUCUUUAAACUUUUGAAUGUAGAAUUUUCUAAUGAAAAGUUUCUGGUUCUUUAAACUUUUGAAUGUAGUGGUUUCCAUUAUUGAAGAAUUUUCUAAUGAAAAGUUACUGGUUCUUUAAACUUUUGAUGCACCAUAGUAUGCAAAUUUUGUAAAUUAUUUGGUGAGCAUCAUUGUUCCUUUUAAUUUAUCAUAUCAAUAGAAGCAAAAAUCCCUCUCAUAUGCCAAAUCUUAUUUUUGGGAAGAUCCAUUCUUAUAUAAGUAUUGUUUAAACCAAAUCAUUCAAUGAUGAGUCCUAGAAGAAGAGAUGAGAUGCAUUCUAUAGCACUGUCACUCCUAUGAGGUUGGUGGACACUUUGGUGUAUCCAGAACUGCAGCAAAGGUGCUUCAAUCAAGUUUUUAUUGGCCUGUCUUAUUUAAAGAUGCUUACAUUUUUGUUGUUACUUGUGACUAAUGUCGAAAAACUGGUAACAUUUCAAGGAAGAAUAAAAUGUCAUUAAAUAAUAUUCUUGUAGUAGAAUUGUUUGAUGUUUAGGGAAUCGACUUCAUGUGCCCAUUUCCAUCUUUCUUCAAGAAUAAGUAUAUUCUAGUGGCUGUUGAUUAUAUUUCUAAGUGGGUCAAAGCUGUUGAUUUGCCUUCAAAUGAUGUAAGGGUCGUUGUGAAUUUUUUAAAGAAAAAUAUUUUCUCACAAUUUGGCACUCCAAAAGCCACUAUAAGUGAUGGUGGGAAAUAUUUUUGCAAUUGGCAAAGCCCUCUUGAACAAAUAUGGAGUUACACAUAGAGUUGCCACUCCUUACCAUCCACAAACCAGUGGCCAAGUUGAAGCCUUUAAUUGGGAAUUAAAGAGAAUUUUGGAGAAAACUGUAAACGGGUCACAGAACAAUUGGUCAAAAAAACUAGACGAUACACUCUAGGUUAAUCAAACGGUUUUGAAAACACCUAUUGUUAUGUCUCCUUAUCAUCCAGUAUUUAGAAAAGCAUGCCAUCUACCUGUUGAACUUAAGCAUAGGGCAUAUUGGGCUAUGAAGAUUUUGAACUUUGACAUGCAAGCUGCAAGAGAGAAGAGAUUGUUGCAACUUAAUAAAAUAGAUGAAUUUCUCAAUGCAAAUUAUGAGAAUGCUCGAAUCUAUAAAGCCUGCACUAAAAAUUUGCAUGACAAACAUAUCCUCAGACGUGAAUUUUAGGUUGGUCAAAAGGUUUUAUUAUAUAAUUCUUGACAUUGACUCUUCCUAGGCAAGUUGCGAUCAUGUUGGUCGGGCCCUUUUACAAUAACACAAGUCUUUCUGUCUGGCAUGGGAGAAAUUUCUCAUGUACAAACAUGUCAACGGUCAUUAAUUGAAACCCUUUUAGAUGAUUCAUUUGAUAAACACAAGAUAGCUAUUGGGCUAUCUAAUCCUGAAUGACGACCAAAGACAGUCAAGCUAAUGACUAUAAAUUAAUCGCUUCUUAAGAGGCAACCCAAGCUUUCAAAACUUCACUUAUUAUUAUUUUUAUUUUGUAUUUUUAUUUUUCCUUAUUUCAUUUGUUAUUCUUUUCUUUUACUUAUUUUAUUUUAUCUAGGUUUCUGCAUAAGUUUGAGGGUCGACGAUCAUCAACUUUGCACAUGCCUUUCAACGACUCAACUAUAAGUUCACAUCUUCAAGUGCAAAACUGGGGAGUUUCUCUGUUCCUUUUCUAUCUAUUUACAUUAAGGACAAUGUUGAUUUUAAGUUUGAGGGUGGGAAUAUUUGCUUUCAUUUAAAAAAAUAAAAAAAUAAAAUUUUGUGUUCUUUGUAUGUUGUUUUUAUGCCAAUGAUGAGUAUAUGGUUGAAAAUGAAUAUGGUUCUCAUAAACGGAUGAAUAUUGUCUUAAUUUAUAAUUGAUUCUUGUAUUAAUUUCUCUUAAUUAUGAUUAUUUAAAUAUCUCGAACACUUAUAUCGAAUCUUUCAGAUUGUUUACCUCGAUUCUACAUUACUUGUGUUUACCCUAGCACCACAGUCAGAAAUAGUUACUUAUAACCCUUAAGAGUGAAGCUAUCCUUUAAUAAUUUGGGUCUAUGUACCAUCAACAUGUAAAGGAUAAUCUACCAUGAAAAGAAGACUACCAUAAGGGGUGGAGGUAAAAGCUUCUUACUAUAUAUAUAAGAAAAGCAAAAGAAUGUGCUUUACGAGAAAUCCCAAGAAAAUACAAAUUUAGGCAUCUGCAUUUUUAUUUUUAUUUUUAAAAUAUCAAGAUGAUGAGGUUAGUUUGACCUACUUUGUUUAUUAUUUGAUACAAGAGCUGUUGAUAUUGAAAAUUUUGAGAAUGAAUUUUGAUUGAAUCGAUUUACACACAACAGAAGAAUCUAAUGUGAGAUGAGGCUGACUAUUGAAUUAAAGUUAGAGCUUUACCGAUAUUUAUAAUUUUCUUUGAGCUAUAUACUUUAUGCAAUCUCUGAGGUAUUUUUUAUGAUAUUUUUGGAUACCAUUGCUGGAAACCUUCAUGAGACUUUAACUCGUCCACUAGAGCAGCCUAGGGGCUUAAAGGUUUGUUGUAUAUGCUAAAUGCAAUCGUGAUCACCAGCAAAAGUGGUUCAAUUAGGAUUUUCUUCUCGUAGUUUCCAUUUUAGUUUUUACUCGAGAACUUGUAAAAUGUUAAGUUUGGGGUAUUUGAUGUGCUAAUAAUUUAUAUAUUAAUUGAAUGUUUCCUAACUUAAUUUCAUGUCAAAUUAUAUUCUAUUAUGUUAAUUUUUAUAUUUUGUUAUUUUAGGUAUAAUAUGGGAUUAAAGAGGAAUUGAAUUAGAACAUUCAAGAAAAAAUCUACUUGAAGGAAUUAGAAAGAGAAAGAAAUAAAAAAAUUCAAUUUAAACAAAUCAAGCAAGAUUUACCAUCAUGCAUGCAAUCGCGGGGAGUGGGUGGGGGGAGCAUUGAAGAUUUAGUUGACAAAUAUGGCAUGCACGUGAACUUGGGCAUUUGAAUUUGCAAUAUGAUGACCUAAGAAUUUAAAAGCGGCUUGGCUUACUUUCAUGAGUUUGUUUUUUAAUCCUUUUGGGUUAGUGAUUUAAAGGCCAUCGAUUGAGUAUUAUCAAAAGAAGAAAAUAGGGCAAAAGCCAAAGCAGGCGCACAAACAGAAUCAAGGAGAAGCAACUAUAAGACAUCCAAAGAGAAGCCGGAUUAAUUUUUGAAUUUUUCUUUUCCUCUUUUCCAUUGUUGUACUUGAAUGUUCCCUAAAAUGUUUAUGAAUUCUUUUAUAUUCCUAUGAAAUAAUUUAUUUUAUUGGAGCUACGAUGUAACAUAACUAUGAAAAUUUAAUUUCAUAAAUUUUCUUCGUGUAGUUUCCAUUUUAGUUUUUACUCGAGAACUCGUAAAAUGUUAAGUUUGGGGGUAUUUGAUGUGCUAAUAAUUUAUCUAUUAAUUGAAUGUUUCCCUAACUUAAUUUCAUGUCAAAUUGUAUUCUAUUAUGUUAAUUUUUAUGUUAAUUUUUAUAUUUUGUUAUUUUAGGUAUAAUAUGGGAUUAAAGAGGAAUUGAAUUAGAACAUUCAAGAAAAAAUCUACUUGAAGGAAUUAGAAAGAGAAAGAAAUAAAAAAAUUCAAUUUAAACAAAUCAAGCAAGAUUUACCAUCAUGCAUGCAAUCGCGGGGAGUGGGUGGGGGGAGCAUUGAAGAUUUAGUUGACAAAUAUGGCAUGCACGUGAACUUGGGCAUUUGAAUUUGCAAUAUGAUGACCUAAGAAUUUAAAAGCGGCUUGGCUUACUUUCAUGAGUUUGUUUUUUAAUCCUUUUGGGUUAAUGAUUUAAAGGCCAUCGAUUGAGUAUUAUCAAAAGAAGAAAACAGGGCAAAAGCCAAAGCAGGCACACAAACAAAAUCAAGGAGAAGCAACUAUAAGACAUCCAAAGAGAAGCCGGAUUAAUUUUUGAAUUUUUCUUUUCCUCUUUUCCAUUGUUGUACUUGAAUGUUCCCUAAAAUGUUUAUGAAUUCUUUUUAUAUUCCUAUGAAAUAAUUUAUUUUACUGGAGCUACGAUGUAGCAUAACUAUGAAAAUUUAAUUUCAUAAAUUUAUGUUACUUUUAAUUUAUUAUUCCAUGAUUGAGUACUCAUUAUUGUGCUUGUUGGUGCAAAUUUUGUCUCAACUUAUGAUAUAGAAAUUUCGACUGAGGACAACCCCCUUAGGACUUGGGUUCCUCUUUGUUAGAUUUUAUGAUGGUGAGUUCAUUCUUUGGGCUGAUUUUUAUGGGCCUUUAUAUAUGCUCUUCUGAGUCCACUUCCUUAGGCAAUCAGAAGGUCCUUAUCUUGUGAUGCUCUAUAAAUACAAGAAAAUGAUCAGAGGGCCGGCGGUCAAUUCAAGUUACUGGACUUUUGGAAAUAUAAAUUUAGAAAGAGAAAGAUUAGAGGGAGAAAGUUAGCAUUUUCUCAUUUUGAGUCUCUUUUUUGUCUUACCUUUUAAUGAGAAUGAAAGACAUAUUUAUCGACCAAACUGAUUUGACUUGGGUCCUAGUUAUUUUGAUGACAAAUGUCAUUGUUCUUGUGACAUUUGACAACACUUGUCCUCUAGUGCCCAUGUGGAUUGAUACAUGGAUAUACAAACUUAUCUACAGAUUAGAGGAAGGAACGUUUUAUCCUUAGAUUAUUUUUACUAAGACCUUGGGAUCAGAAGAGCCUUCAAACUUAGGAGGUUUGUCCUAGGAUAAGAGCCUAGAACCUUAGCACGUUUUGGACUUUAAAUCCUUGCCACCUAGUUGAUUUAUCCUAGGUGAUUUGUCUCAGGAUAGGAAUCUAGGACCUUGGCUCCUUUUGGACUUUGAAACCUUGUUACUUAGGAGGAUCAUUCUAGGUAAUUUGUCCACCACUUCGUGGGCUUAAUUGGGAGGAAAUUUAUUAGAUAUGCCUUAUUGAGAUUAAAUUUAUUUGGGCCUUAUUAGACUUAUUUUAUUUUUGGUCCAAUAGUGCUUAAUGCUUUUAAAUAUCAGACCAAUAUUUGAAUGAUUUGAGGAUACGUAAUGAGACCAAGAGGAGAUUUAUGUAUUUUUGCUCUGUGUAAUGAAUGUCGUGAAUUGAAUGAAAGACAAAGAUGCACCAGCGUGAUUCGUGCAAUUUUAUCUAAGAAUUUCUAUAGAGCUUAAUGAAUUUUUACAUAUUUAAAUUUACAUGGAGAUAUAGUUAGUUAAUAUGUCACUACUACAAAAUGAGUCAAUAAUGACGGUUUUAAAAGACAUAAGAUGACGGUUUUAAAACCGUCAUCUUAGGCCGCGACAUUAAAAGGGGUAUACUUUUUAUGACGGUUCAUAAACCGUCAUAAAAAGUCUAUUUAUAAUGACGGUUAAUUUCUUUAACCGUCAUUAUUGGCCAAUUUCCAUUGGUUUUUAAUGACGGUUUUGGUAUUAAACCGUCAUUAAAAAGUGACAUUUAAUGACGGUUAUUUAGAAAACCGUCAUCAAAUAUAACUUUUAAUGACGGUUGUUAUAACAAAACCGUCAUUAAAAGUUAAUAUUUAAUGACGGUUUAUUUUUAAAACCGUCAUUAAAUAUUGAAAUAACAUUUAAUGACGGUUUUAAAAAGGAACAGUCAUCUUUGUUGGAGAACACUACAUUUAAUGACAGUUUUUUUCAAAUAACCGUCAUCUUUGUUGUUGAUUUAAAAAAAAAAAAUAAAUAUGGCAAUUUUAAAACCAUUCCAAGCCCCUAUUUUAAUUCUAAUUUCCUUUCGAGCUCUUUACAAUUAACUUUUAACAAAUGUUUCAUAUACAAAAAGAUAGCUCUACAAAAUACUUUAACAAUAAUAAAACUUUAACAAUAUAUACCAGUUAGCUUUCACAUCAAAAUUCUUGCAACUCUUUAAUAUCUACUAAUGAAUCUACUAGCAACCAACAAGAUUGGCACAAUGGGAGAACCUUUUCUGCCCUAAUCAUAGAUUUGGCAAGUCUUCAACCAACAUGAGAUCUAAACCAUAGAUUUGGCAAAACUAGGGAACUGAAGCUCCAGAUUGGACUGAACCUUUUCUGCCCUAAUCAUAGCAGGAGACUUGGGUUCAAUGGGAGAACAUUUCCCAUCAAUCAAGCUGCAAAUUAAGCCCAAAAGCAUUCAUUUAGUCAUAAAUCAAAUUAAUUCAAAUCAAGUCAAAUCUACAAUAAAGUUAAAAAAUAAAAAGUGGUCACUAACAUCCUAAUCUUCCCUCCUCCUAGAAUCAGGCUCGACCUGUUCAAAUUCAUAAUUUUUUCUAUUAAAACAAUUUAGCAGCUCAAGAAUAAAAUAUGAUAGCCAGUAGCAAAAGUAAAAUGAGAAUAAUAUUGUUUGAGGUGAAGAACAAUAAAGGCAGCUUACGGUUAUAGGAACAGGGGUGAUUCAUCAUUACAGAAGGCUUUGCUACAGAGCUAUCUUUUUUAUUAGAGAUUACAGUCCGGAACAGAAUGAGGAUAAUGAAUUGGCAAGAUUGAUUUUUCAGGUGGACUCUUCUUGAACUUUAAUAUAAUCAAACAAAUUUGUACUAAGACUUUAAGGUUUUGAAGAAUAGUCCAUGGGUAAUUGCUCUGGCCACUCAAUAUCAUUCAAAACUUGUGAAAUUGAGGUGAAAUCAUUUCAGCUUUCACAAUAAAUAAUGUUCCCAAAAGACAAAUCAAUAUAUUUUUAUUUGGCUGCAUAAUAAUUUAUCAGCACAUCAUCUAUAUGUUGUACAUCUAUUUUUUUUUUCAAAUUCAAAGAUUUAUAAGUUGAGAGAGCACUUUAAAUAAAAGAACUAGAGGAUACUCAAAGCCCCAUAGAAUACCAUCUUUAUCUCAUCUCCCCUAGCUUGUAUCUCUAAAAAAUACUAGUCUAAUUGUAUCUGCAAAUUAAAUUCCUCAUAGGCAGCCCUGCAUUAUAGCAUGUAGAGAACAAUGUUAACACACUACUUUUUUUUCUUUUUUUUUUUCCAAUCAAAGAAGCCUACUACAAGAAAAAUAGUUGAGUAUUAUAAUAAUCAACAUGAACAUAUUUUGCUACUCAACCUUUUAUUAAACUUCAAAGUAAUAUUGACCAACCUCAAGUAAUCAUCCAAAUCCUUGUACUUGAUAACCUCAACAAUUUUUCCCAUUCGCUCCUCCAUCUUUGAAUCUUACCCAUUGUUCAUUUUCACUAUAUAUAUAAAUCAUCUACAAUUUUAUUAGCUACAAAUACAGCGCAUAUGCUCAAUUUAAAUCAUUGAUCCUAUUACAUUUAAGAUGUUUAAACAAUUUUUCUACAUUAUCUACUUAGAUUUGUGUACAAACCUAGCAAUUUCCUUGAUAGAAGCAAACUAAGAAUAAAUGUAAGAAAACUGUAAAAUAUUAAAGACCAAGGAUCCAGUACAGUCAUCCAAAUUGACUAUAUAAUCAACAAAAAUGCAAGACCCAAAAAAUGGGUAGUUGACAUCAAAUUAAUUUUCAACAGAAUGCUACCACCACAAAAUUAAAUCCAACUCCUAAAUACAACAAAUCAAAUUAACAAAGCCAUACCCAACUCAGGCAGAGACUGUGUCAGGUAUCAUCGAAUGGACCCGCAGCUCGCGUUUUACGCAUCUCUGAUCAAAUCAACAAAAGCCUACAGAAAUUAAAUGAUUAGAUAAAGGAAAUUACAAAUUGUGAGGAAACUAGUUUAGGAAGAAGAAAGAGGGAAAUCGCAUUUGAAAAGAUUUACACAAUUUCCCCGCUUACCUGACAGGAAAAUCCAAAAUUUAAACCCCACCCCCCCCCCCCCCCCCCCCCCCCGGAAAAGAGAAAAGAGAUCACGCAAGAGUACCCAAUUGAAACAAAGUUGAAAACAAUAAUUUGCAUACCUUAAAUGAAAAGAAAAAAAAAAAGAACUGGUAGUUACUAAUAAUUUUGAUUUUUAUAGAACAAACCCCUCAACAAUUAAGGCUCAAAAUUGACAAAAAUUUAAAUUUCAUAAUUCAAAACCCCCUGCAAAUUGACAAGCACUAGAAUACCCAAAUCAAAACGCACCCACAAAACAAAAAAUAUUACUAGAAAUCUGUGAAGAUUUACCAAGUGUAGAAGCAACAGCAACCGAGCUAUGGCUUUUCAGGCAACUACGCCAUUAUUCUCACUGAAGGUAGCAACAAAAGCUACGGAAAGUGAAACUCUGGUGCAACAGCAACAAUGGAUACGAUUCAAAUGAAAACUCCAAAAUAAUGGCGGCUAGGGUUUUGAUCGUUUUCAACAAUAGCAACUAGGUCAAGUGAAAAAGUCGUUGACAAGGGAUAGGACUAGCGAUAUAGGUGUCGACAACGUAAGAACGACAAUAAAUUCGGCCUUCGGUAUCUGGUUGUUGGAGAUCGAUUUCGAUGAGUUCGAAGAGUCGAGAGUGAUAAGUUUGUAAACACUCGGAGAAAAUUUUGAGUUCAUAAACUCUCAAAACUCACCGUUUGCAGACUAAAUAUAAUUUUGUAGUUGUGACUUUUAAUGACGGUUUUAUCUAAAAACCGUCAUUAAAAGUAAUAGAUGUUUUAACGACGGUUGUUAAAUAAAACCGUCAUUAAAAGUAAUAGUUGAAUAUUUAAUGACAGUUAUAUAAUAAAACCGUCAUGAUAAAUUUUGAAUAUUUAAUGACAGUUAUAUAAUAAAACCGUCAUAAUAAAUUUUGAAUUUUUAAUGACUGUUUUUAUAAAUAACGGUCAUUAAAAAUAAGAUUGACAUUUAAUGACGGUUAUAUAACAGAACCGUCAUUAAAAAUUUAAAAUUUACAAUGACUGUUUUUAUAAAUAACCGUCAUUAAAAGUAAUACUAUAUAUUUAAUGACGGUUAUAUAACAAAACCGUCAUUAUAAAUUUCUAACUUUUAAUGACCGUUUUUAUAAAUAACCGUCAUUAAAAAUAAAAAUAUAUUUUAACAUAAUGUUUAAUGAUGGUUCUAUAAUAGAACCGUCAUUAUAAAUGUUAGAUAUUAUGACGGUUUUUCUAAGAACCGUCAUCAAAUAUUUUUAAUGACGGUUAUUAAAAAUAACGGUCAUAACAUAUGGGUCAUUAUUUAGCAUUUUUGUAGUAGUAUGUGGGGGUAUUUUUGAUAUUAUUCGGGAGAUGAUAUUAAAUAAAUUAGGAAAAUUCACUGUCAACAUGAGUAAUAAUCUUUAAUAACAUCGAUGGAUGAUUAAAUUGAAUUGGUUAUAGUAAAACCGGAUGUCAUAGUGUCUAAAUCUCUUAGUGAUAUUUAUUACUACUUGCAUCUUUAUUUAAUUUUUAGUUAUUUUAUUUUAUUUUAUUUAGUUUUUAAUUUAAAUUCACUUAUUUGGUUAUUCAAAUAAAUUAGAGUUAGAAUAAUUUCAGUAUUUAAUAAGACAUACAAUCUUCGUGGAAUAAUACUCACUCUUCAUUAUUUUACUUGAGCCAACUAGUACGUACACUUGCUAAUUUACACAACACUCCAUCCGAAGGCUCAAACGAAAAUCUGUCAUGUGCUUGUUUUCCACCGAUUAACGUUGUCCCAAUAUGGUUCAUAAUCAACGGUGUAAAGCGGUUUGAAAACUGCAUCGAUGGAUAUGUUCACUUCUGGGACUGUGCCGCUCCACCGUAGCUAUUACACCAUUGGAUUUUUUGAGUACCCCUUUUACUUGAUUGUAAAACUAAAAAUGACUCGGUCGAACCAGUGCACGGCUUGAGCAAUUGUCACUAGAUCUAUAGUUGAUUGUGCUGCGACAGUUUGUUCAAGUUCAGGACAUUGGUGGUGCAGUGCAGCGAUAUCAAAUCGUCGGUAGCUUUGUUGCAAAUUCCAAUUGUUUGGGGCUUGGGUCCGAGCCUAUAACAUUUUUUAACAUCCCAGCUAGUUGAAAAUUUACAUUCAAAUAUAAAGUUAGGGUAGGUAGCAAUGCAGGGUUUUGGUUCUACGGGGGACCAUUAAAGAAAAUAAAAACUAAAGCUGGCUGUAACAUUAUAUCAGUAAAAUUAAGAUGCUAAUAUCGUAGGAGUUAUCAGGCGAAGCCAAAUUGAACUUGGGAAACCUUAGAAGUGUUCAAUUUUGACCCCGAUUUUUCAUUUUUAACUUUUUAAAACUUUCGAAGAUUAAAUAGGCAUGGACUUGGCUUUUUUCCUUUGUGCUUCAAUUAUUGUAAAUGUUGGUCCGGGUUGUCUUACCUUGUGGUUCAUUGUUGUAAAGAAUUUUAAUAUUAAUGGAAACAGAGGAUCCAUCGUGGUCUCUUUGGAACAUCCGAUAAAAUUAGAACCGAUACAGAGAAUGAAGAGAAUGCACCAUGGAUGAUGAAAUGAAGCAACAAGACGUUCAGUUUUCACAACUUAUACUCCAAGCUUAGUAUCUAAAUUUUCAUAAAAAUGAAGUAAUUCAUUGCAAAUUCAACUUUUCUCUCUUUAGACUAUCUUUUACUUUUCACUCUCUUUAUGGACGUGUUUUCUUUCAUUUUCUGUUAUACUAAAAACCAGGGACUAUUUCUAUUUUUUUAAUAAAUCCAAAAAAUUAAUUUCAACGCCAGAAAAACUUCUUGCCUAUUAUUGAUUUCUGUUAUAGUAAGUGUUCGUGGAGAAUUUUGUUCGAGUUCGUGGAUUCCUGCUGAAAAUUCAAGAGAUUGACAAACCGCUCUCCUAUAUAUAAAUUUAAAUACUGACAUGGAGGUCUGGUUGCAAGCCGACAAAUCAACUCGACUAGAUUCAUCAUCAACAAUAUGUAUUAAUUUGAGCUUGAAUAAACUAUUAUUAAUUUCCUACUUUUCCAAUUCUCAGAUAAACUGGAAAUCGAGCAACCUUUUUACUCUGGCCAUCUGAAUUCCAAGCAACUUUAAACUUCUCCAUCAUAUUGUCUGUCAAAAGCUCAACACCCCUGUUCUUAGCCGUCUGAUAACCUGAACUUGACCGUAUGAACGUUAAGUAAUCAUCUAAAUCCAUCAACUUCUCUAAAACAAACUGAUCAAACGGCCCCGUAUUAUCCACCCCAUCUACAGGCUCAAAUGGAAAAUCAAUGCUCAUGUACUUGUUCUCCACCAAUUUAUGUUGUGGUUCCCGAAAUGGCUCAUAAUCAACGGAGUGAAAUGACUUGAAAACUGCAUCUACGGACUCGUUGAUUUCGGGCCAGUAGUAGGUCCAUGCCGCUAUUACUCCAUUAGGUUUUUUGAGUACCCAUUUUACUUGUUUGUAAAAUUGAGGCAAGUCAAACCAAUGUAGUGCUGUAGCAAUUGUCACUAGAUCUACACUUGAUUGUGUUGCCACAUUUUGUUCAAGCUCAGUUAUGGACAUGGUUGGAGGAGUAAGUUGAUACCGAAUGUUGGGGAGCUUUAUUGCGAAUUCUAGCUGCUUUGGGCUUGUGUCUGUAGCAAUGACAUUCUUGUAGAUUGGUGCAAGCUGAAGACAUAAUUGAGAAAAAAUAUAAAAUAUAGGAGGCUAUAACAAAAGUACACAAAAUUGAGAAGGCCAUAUAUAAAAAUUACAUAGACAUGGUGAAAUUUCAACCCAUACUCAGUUUUUGUGUUUUUUUUUUUUUCAUCCUCAAGGUUGCCGGGAUACUCUAGUUCCCCCCUCGGUAGUUAGAUAAGAUUUUUCUGUACUAGUCUCACGACUAAAUUUCCAGAUAAUGUGGAUAUUGAUUUGUAGAUAAUACAUACAUAAUUAAUCAAUGAAAAUAAUAGGGAUUUAACUAGGGAUUGGCAAUGGGAGGAGAUCGACAUUCCUGUAUCAAUUUCUGAUACUCUACUUGUAUCCUUGUACUCUCCCCGUCCUUUCUAAGAUUGCUUGAGGAUAGGGAUGGGGAUCCCCAAAGACACCCGAUCCCGAACAACUGAUUUUUGAACUUGAUUUAAUCAUAUUAAAGUAAAAAAAUAAAUCAUUUAACAAAACAAACACAUCAAAACAAACUAAAAUCAUUAAAAUCAUUUUCAUCAAACUAAUUAAGUUAAUGUCAUCAAAAUUACAAGAUAAUCAAUGAAAUUAAGUAAAAAUAGAACUUCAGGGUUGAACACAUACAUAAAAGUCACAUGGUAUAAACCAUUAAGAAAUUUAUCUUCGUCAAUCUUCAAGUGUUCAUAUCUAUUAUGAUAUUUUUUUUAUUUAUAUCCAUACCAUCACAAUUUAAAUUUUAAAUAUAAUUACUAAAAAUUUUGACAAAAAUAAAUUAAAAUAAAAAAUGGGGAAAUGAGAGAGAUGAGGAAUUCACUGAAUCCUCAUCUUCUCCCUGUAUAAGAUAUUGAGUGUUAAGUUAUCUCUGUUCGUUCCCCGAAUUUUAAUUAAAAUAUAAAAUUGUUCCCACACCCUACACAAAUGGGAAAAAUCCUUCAAGACUCGUCCCAUGAGAAUUUCUGCUAUCCCUGAAUUUAACAGUUAUAUAAUUCAACUUUCUUAUAGCUUGGGAUCAGAAUUCUGAAAUAUUAAUAUGGAACUUUUGUAUUAUUCAAAAAUUAAAUCUAAAGAUGUGAAAAGUAAACUUACGGAUGCAGCGCCCUGGCCGCUUCCGGUGCCGACGUCCCAUACAAGCUCGUGUUUGGGUGUUUUAGAGGCAAUGAAUUUGAACAAUUCUUCUGGAUAAUUUGGUCGUGCUUCCGCGUAUUGCUUUGCCUGCUUAACGAACAUAUCUGCCAUCUUUUCUGUUUUUUUCUAAAUAAGUGUUGACAAUAGAAUUGAGAUAAAUCUACUGAUCACUUGUUUCGUUUCUUCUUUAUAUAGGUUUUAGAAUUUGAUGUAGUAGACGAACAGACAAAUUUUAGUUAGAAAUUAAUUUGGUAUGGUUUAUCUGGGGAAGCCCAGAACGAGGACAAGCUCAUAAAGCGUUAAAUUUUGACCGAACUUUUCAUUCUUCCUUUAAAUUUCAAAGAUUCCCUUUUCUUCGCAAAGAUGAUGGUAUGGACUUCAUCAAUGAGCCCACAUCAACUCCACUUAGAGAAUUUUUUUGGGAUAAUUUUGUCAUUAAUUUAAGCUGUUAAAGGUAUCUAAAGAAGUAUUGAACUACUACUUUGCUCUCUUAUGGGGGUUAAGAUGGCGGAGUUUAAAGGCAGAUUCACCUCAUGACCAUUAGGAGUUCAAGCUUCCAAUGGAGAAAAUAAUUUAAAAAAAAGUAAUGAGAUGAUUGUUUGAAUUAUUAAUUAGAACCAUUAAAUUUAUUAAAAUAAUCGUGUUAAAUUUAUAAAAAUAGGUCCAUAAAUUCAUAAACCUAUAAAAUUUAAAAUUUGACUUUGAAACAUAUAAAAGCUCAUGCUUUAUUUAAAAAAAUAAAUGUUUACAAUAGUCAAAUUUAUUAUUAUUUAAUUUAGCCCUAUUAAAUUUACUAAAGUAACCUCUACAAACUCAUUAAUCUAUAAAAUUUUAGUAUUGAUUACAUUUUGUUAUUAUAUAAUUUAAUCCUCUGAAUUCGCUACCAUUUGGAAUUGGCUCUCUAUUAUUACUCGAUCUAGUCCAAGUUCAAUCAAAGUUGGCUCUCUAUUAUUACUUGUUCUAGUCCAAGUUCAAUCAAAGUUGGCUGUCUAUCAUUGACAGUUCUCGUUCAGGUUCAAUGAAAGAGAUCAAAGCAGAGUUUGUUUGCGAUUCAGUUUGUGUAAAUGCAUGUAGGUCCAGGUUGUCUUAUUUUGUGGUCCACUGGUGUAAAGAAUUUAAAAAGUAAUUGGAUAAGAGGAUGCGUCUUGGAUGAUGAAAUGAAGCAAUAACACAUCUUCAUGUGCAGUUUUUACGACGUGCACUCGGUAUGAUUAUGAAUAGUGAUAUAUGCAUAGAAAAUAAUACAAAAUUUAAUAAAAAUUAUAUAAAAAUAAAAAAUUAUUAUCCUGUGGUGUAUUUUUUAUCCUGUAAUUAAUUUUGUUUGUCUUUUAAUAUUGUGUGCUUUUAUAUUAUUUUUUGUACACGUGUCAUUCAUUGUUUCACUACUAUUACCAUGCUCCUAAAAACCUUACUUUUUUUUUUUUCGGAAGAUGCCGCAUUUGCUUGAUUUCAACAUUGGCAUGCUCGUCCUUCUUACGCUUUUGUCUUUCAAUAAUCAUCAUAUUCAAUGGCAAAAUUUCAACAAGAUAGAGCAAACAUUCAACAAAGAUAAGUCUUCUUAUUGGAUUAGGCAUAGAUUUUUAUUUAAUUUGUUAUGGAAGUUGGUGGCUAUCCACUAUCAGCUUAGAUCAAUUUAACUAGCUAUACUUAAUUAGCUAAGUUAUUUGGGUGAGCAAAGUCAGUUAGUAGUAAAGCUCGGAAAAUCACCUAAGAAAAAUUGAAACAGGACCAUCAAAUAUACACAGUUUGCUUUGAUUGGCCAUUCAACAAAGCAUCUGAAGAGAUUGGAUGGCUAAAGAGCUAAGGCUUGGCUUUGUUUUGAUUGGCUAAUGGAUCCUAUAAAUAGAGAGCACUGCUCUUCGUGAUUUGUAUCCUAAAUUGAAACCUCAUCAAUUACAAAAAUAUCACCUUUCUUUGUAUCAUGUAUUUAUUAAUUUAUACUUUCUACAUAUAUGUUGUCAAUGAUUAUAACACGUUAUUAGUUAGCAUGACAAUCAUUUUGGUACAGGAAGUAUCUUAUCCCCUGCUCUUUUAUUUUAUCUAUUUAAUUAAUAAAGCUAUCUUUAUAAAUAUACUCUGAAGUUGUCAUUAAUUUGGAUCUUCCACAAUUAAAAAAAAUAUGACUAGCUAUUGUAUUUCUUCUUGUUUAUUUUUUAUUUUUUUUAUAAUAGAGGGGCUCUAGAACGAGCUAAGGUAAAACAUAUCGGGAGUAAGUAAUCCCAUAUAAAUCAUUUGCAAUAAAACUAACAACCCCGGGAGGAGGAAUAGAAAAAAGAUGCAAUCCCAAGGGCAGCUCCAAGGCAUAAUUUGAUAAGAAGUCCGCUGUGAAAUUUGCUUCACGAUAUAUGUGGUUGAUGGUUAUAACCCAAUUUCGCUUGAUGAGAUCUCUAAUGGAGCGGAUGAGGAGGGUAUACUCGUUGAUGCUCUCCAUGUGGCUGUUAACCAUCUGAACAACACAGUGGCUAUCCACUUCCACGUGUAAAAACCAAGCACCAUGUUGCCAUGUUAAAAUUAAUCCUUGGUAAAGGCCCCAAAGUUCUGCUGCAAUAACUGAAUAGACGCCUAUGUUGAAGCCAAAGCCAGUGAGCCACAUGCCUUGGUGGUUGUGUAUGAGACCUCCAGCACUUGAUGCCCCCAACUCUUUUCUUGCUCCGUCUUUGUUUAGCUUGCACCAGGGCCAGUUAGGUAACUUCCAGGUGAUCAAUCUCUCAAUUUCUCUUGAUCUCAACAACCAAAGAUGAGUUGUUGAUGUUCUGAAUCUCCUCAACUCUAGCUUUAAUAUCUUGUAUUAUACUAAUACCGUCCAUAUUUUGUUGGUGGAAUAGGAACUGAUUCCCCCAGAACCACAAACUCCAAAUAGUAACUCCAAAGCAAAUAUUCCAUUCAAUACUCGAGUCCAUUUGCCCUUUGCUUAGUAAAUUCUGACACAUCCAUUCUUUUAGAUCAGUCGUGAAAAACCAAGGACAAAAGCUCCCAGGAAUUAAGCGAUUUCCGACCGUUUUCGCGACCACACAGUCUCAAAUCACAUGUAUGGUAUUCUCAAGAGUUGAGCCACAUCGAUCACACCAGUCGUCCACCAGCAAAUGACGCCUUGACAAUUCAAACCUUGUUUUUCGUUUAUCAUGCAACACCAACCAGAUGAAAAAAUGAAUGCUCUAGGGGCCUUUCCAACUCCAUGCAAGACUCCAUAGCUUCUCCUCGUCGCUUAAAAUGGUCUUUGAUAGAGCAUGGUAAGCUGACUUCACGAUAAAACACCCCUUUGCUGAUUCAGCCCAGAAAACUUGGUCUGCACCAUCAUCUGCCAAAGGAGACUUAUAGGAAGCAAUCCUAAAAAGGAUAUUAUGUGGUAAUAAGAAACUAAAACUCCCCCACAACCAAUUUCCAGCAUUGUCAACAAAGUCCACUACUUUCCUUUGUACUAAAUGGUGUGGAACUGGAGCAAUCGCAUAAUUAAUCAGGGGUUGAUUUUUAGUCCCCCAACAAUCCCAUCAGAAACGAACCGUUUUACCAUUCCCAACAUUCCACCGAAUCCCCCUCUUAACAGCAUGCCAAAUUUUCCCAAUAGGCUUCCAAAGGUAAGAACCAUAUUUGGUUGGCAACUCAUAUGGCAAAUUUUUUGGGUUCACUCCAUAUUUCGUAAGCAGCACUUGAGACCACAGACUUUUUGGAUUGACAGUAAGGUUUCAGCCCACUUUCAUCAACAAAGCUUGAUUCAUUAUGUCCAUGUUCUUAAAACCCAAGCCGCCACAACCUUUUGGACGACAAAUCAUCCCCCAACUAACAAGGCUCAUCUUCCUUUGAUUAUUAGCAUCGCUCCACAUAAAUUUCCUGCAAGCUUGGUCAAUUUUACUUUUAACACUAGCCGGCAAAUUCGUAGUUUGCAUUGCAUAGAUCAGAAUAGUCUUCAGCACUGACUGGACAAGAGUGGCUCUUUCUGCUAAAGAUAAAUGAUUGGCAUUCCACCCAGAGAGGCGUUGCUCAACCUUGUCAAUAAUGCUCUGAUAAGUCCGCUUUGAGACGCUAAAAUGUAGGAGAGGCAUUCCAAGAUAAGUUCCCAGAUCUUUUAUUACUGAAAACCCAAGCAAUUCACCUAUUUGUGUAGCCUCAUUUGCUUUAACAUUCUUGGAGAAAAAAAUUUAAGUUUUAUCCUUGCUGACCUUGGCACCUGAGCUUGCACAGAAAGCAUCAAGGAAACACCAAAUAAAUCUAGCUUGAUCACAAGUUGCCUCAGCAAGUGGGAGAAGAUCAUCAGAAAAAAAAAGAUGGGUGAUAGGGGUCCCAUUUCGAACUAGGCGAAUUGGUCUCCGAUCUCCCAUAUUUACAGCGUGAGCAAUGCCAUGGUUGAGUCUCUCAAUGCACAAAACAAAUAUAUAUGGGGAAAUAGGAUUCCCCUACCUAAUUCCCCUAGAUGGCACAAAAUUCUCGGUUAUCUCCCCCUCCCAUAAAACAUUCAUCUAAACUUGAGUAAUACAAUCUAUGAUUAGCUGAACUAAGUCAGAAGGAAUUACAGCCUCUAGGAUUAAUUGUCAUUUGCCCUCUCCUACUAGUUUUCCGCCGCAUGGAGUGAAUCACCUCGAGUAAUAACAAUAUUCUCGGUUAUAUGACGUUCUGGGACAAAACUUAUUUGUUGAGGACCAACAAAAUGAGGUAGGAUCAUUUUUAGCUUGUUGGCAAUCAUCCUGGUGAUUGUCUUAUAAACUAAUGUACAUAAGCUAAUGGGGCGAUACAUUUUUAAAGUCUGAGACGGGAUGUUAUCCUCAAAGUAUAACUUGGAAAAAAAAAGUUGUACAGUAUGGCAUUUGAUAUCUUCAACUUCUUACAACCAUUUCCCAUUCUCAUCUUUAGUAGCCAUGAUCUUGUUUCUCCUUCUUCUAGUCAGUGUCUUAUGGUGAAAGAAAGUUGUGUUUCUAUCACCGUGCAUAAUCCAAUCUUUUCUAAACUUUUGCUUCCAAAGCAGCUCUUCUUGAGUAAAAACUGCUUCAAGUUCUCUUUUCAAUUUUAAUUCAAGCCGAAUGAGACCCUUUGUAGUAUAGUCCUCGAGAGUUUUUUUAAUACCACCAAUGCGAGCCAUAGGUCUUCUUUACCUUUAGAAGGUAUUACCAAAAGAAUUUAUGUUCCAGUGUGAGACAUUGCGAGUGAAAGAAAGGGCUGAUUAGAGGUAGGGUUCCAUAGGAUUCCAAUUCGAAGCAACAAAAUUAUCAAAAUCUUUCGUGUGAGCAGAGCCGCCAAGAAUCAAAAUGGUCUCUGUCCCUGACCCCGUCGCUCUUCUUUAUCAAAACGAACUGAUACCGGUCUAUGGACUGACUGAAUUUUUGGUAAAUGAAGCAUAGAGCUAUCUACAAAUUUAUUUAGUCAAUCCUCAUUGCACAUUGCCCUAUCUAGCUGUUUGAAGAGAGCCCCACGAGACCAAGUGAAUCUAGGACCUGUGAACUGAAGGUCAUAUAAAUUGCUUGAUUGGAACCAGUUUAAAAAACUCUUACAAAUCCCACUUCUAUGUAAGGAGCCACCUUUCUUUUCCGAAUUAUAAAUGAUAGCGUUGAAAUCACCAACGAUGAGCCAAGGUUCGCGAGUGUUGUUGGCUAGUAUUCCAAGAUGACCAAAGGUUUUGUCUGUUAGUUUGAACAGGGCUUGCAUAAACAGCAGUCACCCAUGACAAAAAGCCACCAUUGUUAAACAUUCGAAAAUGAAUGAAUUGCUUGUGAUUUAAAGACACUUCGACCUCCAACAAGUCUCUCCACAAAAGCCAGAUUCCCCUAGAGAAACAAAUUGCUUCCACCCUGUGGGACUUGACAAAACCACUUUUCUUGAUGAAACCAUCCGCUCUUAUCCCACUAAUUCUUGGUUCCAAUAGAACAACCAUGGUCGAUUAUAAGUCUUUGUCAGAGACACAAAAGCACUGUGAAAUUUUCGUGAGCCAGCCCCUUGGGCUUUCCAAAACAUUAUAGAAAUAAGCAUAAAAAAAAAGAUAAAGAUAAAAGGGAGAGAUAGGGAGCCUUACUCAACCAAGGUCUCAUAACCCAACUCCAUAUCCUUCUCAUCUUCUAGAGAAAUAUCAUCCUCUGAAGAAUCAGUACCCUUACCACUGUCUCCCAUAUAGUCACUGUCAUCUUCAUCAUCAUCUAAAGUCAUCGUUCCUGCCAUAAUCAGGAGGUUCGUCUUGGGCUUUGGCAAGCUGACCGUUAUCACCACCCAUAAGGAAUCCGUGUUGAGGCUCAGCCAGGGUGGGGUUUGUGGAAUUUGUGGGAGAAGCAUGUGUGCCCUUUUGAUUUAAAAAAAAUGGUGGUAUGGAACAGGGGGUUUAAGCUAGUUGAUACGAAAAUAGGAUCUAGGUUCAUUGCAACAUGUGCAUGAGUUUUGCUUGAAUUACGUACACUUUGCAUGGCUUUUGUUUUGGUGGACUAGAACAUGUAUGUCACUUAAAUACGGUCCCUCACGUGACAAUAACUUUGGGCUGGAACUAUUAUUAGGUUUUAUCAUUUUCGAAGCUUGCUUCUUUUGUUUUGUUUCAACUCUAAGGUUAUACUUGGCUGGCCCUUGUUUGUUUGAGCUCGGAUUAGUAGGUUCUAUAUUUGUGGCAUUAUUAGAAUCGCCUUCCUCAAAGUUCGCUAACACUACAAAAUGAGAAUCCUUUCCAUAAUUGCUCCAUUGACCUUGCCGACCUUGCCCCGCAUCCUGUUGAAAUUCAUUUCCUUUCUCCAAGCGAUCCUUACCGUUUCUGGUGACCACCAUCAAAGGGCCAAAUAUAGGAUAACCACCGGGAGCUAAAGCAUCACCCUUUUCUGCCAUCGCACCCACCAUGUCACCGCUAAUAUCACGAUCCAAAUCUUCUGUUGCACGGUCAGGACAUAGCUAACUGGUAUGUCCAUAUUUGCCACAUGUGAAACAUAUAUGGGGAAGACAUUUAUACUCCAUUUUUUUAACUUUGCCAUCUAGUAGGAAUUGAGAUACAAGAGGCUUGUUAAGUGCUAUAACAACCACAAUACGUGCAAAUUUACCCCCCAUGGCUGAUUCAGUAUUGUAGUCUAUUCGAACGACUGUUCCAAUAAUCUAACCAAGCAUCCGAAGGAUUCUUUUGUGGUAGUAAUGCAGGGCUAUACCAGGAAGCCUGAUCCAUGCAAUAAUUGUAUUAAUUGCCUCUGUAAAACUAUCAAAGUGAGGAGUCCAUGGCUGCAUGACUAGGCAGUGACCCAUGAUUGUCCAUAGUCCUUGAGUCAAAGCAAAAUCUGCAUCACCCUCUGAACGAAAUCGAACGAGGUAGUAACCGAUAUCCAAAUCAAUGACCGAGAAACCUAGAGCCGACCUUUAAAGAUUUUCCAAUCUAUUACAUAGGACCUUGUAGCCUAUGUGACGUCCUAGAAAUUUAACAAUCACUGAAUUCUGCCAAGGUUUUACGAGUUGCUCAUGGAUUAUUUUUAAGAAAGAGAUAGAUGGUAUGUUGCCAUCAUCCCCUACAGUGAUAUCCUCUGGUCCAAAGACUAGAUCAUCCUCCACACCAAUCAUCUCCUCUUCAUUCCUCUUCUCUGACUCCAUUAACUUAUCUCUAAAUGAAAAGUGCUCAGGGUUGUCACCAUCGUCGCCCUGGGCUAUAAACUUGGCCUUCUUCGUAGCAUGGCCAUCAUUGAUCGAAAGGGUUAGGUCCUUCUCCAUCUCUCUACUUAUAGUAUCUUAUAGUAAACUAAGAAAUAUUAAAGAUCUUCUAGCGUAUUUUGAGUUGUAAAAUGUUUAAUGUUUAUUUUAUAUUACUAAAGUUAAAAGCAAUGACCAAAUCGUAUGAGACAAAAGCAUAAAUCAAGACCAAAGUGUACAAAACCAAGAUUGAAGCAUAAAAAAUUCUGAUUGGAUCCUUAAAAGUAUCAAGACUGAAGCCUACUAAUUUGAAGCCACAUAUUUGAAUAUUCUAAAACCCCAGAAGAUAAAUUGAAGAUGACAAAUCCAAUGAAGCAUGAAUUUAAAGUCUACAAUAUUUUUGGUAAAAAUUAUUUAUCUUGAAUUCUACCUCAGUAAUUAGAAGCCAUAUGUCUCAAUAAGUCAUCUGGAAGCUAUGAGACUUAGUAACAUAAUCAAGCUCAUCUAACUGAAAGGAAGUCAUUGCUUGAAUUGAUAUGAAGUCUUAAUUGAAGACAGAAUUCUUCACUCAAUUAAAAUAAGUUUUGACAGUAAUUUUUCAAAUUAGCCCAUCAUCACAACUCUGGGCUUUACAAAAUGACAUCACAGUUGAAGAUAUGUGGAAAGAAAAUUUUUGAUAAAGAAGACAUGCUCAACAUUUCAGGCUUUAAACAUGAUUUUGCAACAACAAUAUCAAGCUCGCUAACCUAAUAGGCACAAAACGCGCUAACUGUUGAGUGUUAGAAAAUGUAUAUUUAUAAAGGAGAAAAUCAUCAUUUUACAUUUCAAGUCUUACUAACAACCCUUAUUUUUAUGUAUUUAAGGUUCUUGUAAUUUAAUUAUGUGUGUUUUAUUUUAAUUAAGUAUUUUAUGUAUUUUAGGGGCAUCAUAGUCAUUUCACAAUAAAUGAGAGAUCAAACGGCAAAACGAACAUCACUUUUGAACUCAGGACGGUUGAAAACCUUAGGAGGAGCAUAAAAGGAAAAAUGGCACUGUUCACAUGUACGGUACUGUCUACGUUACUGUUCACGACACUGUUCACAUAGACGGAUUGAUGAUGUGGCAUUGACUGAUGAGGUGUCAUGAUCCUGUUGGUCUAAAAUUCUUAUAUAUUGUUGAUGGUGACGUGGCAGCACAUCAGUGGACCAAAAAUCUCGCGUACGGUACAUGCAUCACACAAGAUUAUUUUCAACCAAACCGCGUCACUGUUCAACCCGGGUCAAACCGUGUUACUGUUCAUCCACGUGGUUAAACCGCGUACUGUUGAGUGAUGACGUGGCGCAAUCUUAAGCGUCCAAACUGUUUUUAAUCCGAUGGCCACGAUUUACUCAAUGUAUCUAUAAAAAGGGGGCCUUCCCCCCUAUUUGAUAUCUCUGAAUCCAUUUUCUGUAAUUACUUCACCAUCUUGUAUUUUCUACGUAUUUUAAUAAUUUUCGUUUUGCCCCUAGUUCAAUUAUGAGUGGCUAAUUUCCUUUCAAGCUUGGGUUGAAAGUGAAGUCUCAACAUGUGUCAUGGGCUUUAUUUGGUAAAUUUAUUUUCUCUUCCCCUCUAGUUUUUGUGGAUGUUUUGACUUCUCGUCGACAAAUAAUAAUAAUCUUGUUUAGUACCGCCUUGGUUUCACCGGCUCCCUAAUACAAGGUUAUUAUUAUUUGGCACGAUAAGCCCUUAGCACCAUAUUGAUUAGAGCGUGGUUCAUGAGGUGUGAAUUCCCCCCUCAUGAUUUAAUUGGCAUUAAUAAGGAUUAUUUAGCCCAUGAUACAUGUUGAUACGGAUCCAGAUAUCCAAGUACAUCAUUUCAAUAGAUUUCACUUCAAUUUAUUCUCGCCAUUUCAAUUCCAAAUUUAGAAUAAUCUAAGUUACUUUCACCACAAAUCCAACCACCUUCAUACAAAAUUAAUUCUACAUAUAAUUAAAAUCCACCUCCUCGUGGGAUCGACACUCAUCACCAUUAAUAUGUCCUACAAUAGAUUCGUGCACUUGCGAGUUUAAUAAAAUUUGCACAACACUAACCUUACAGGCACAAAGUCGAUUUUUGAAUAAAAAAUUUAUCACAUAGACACAUGGUAAAAAUCAUUGUCAUGAUGAAGUUAUAGACAUGCUAAAAAUCGUGGUUACAAUUAUGAUUGAAGUCACAUUCCUGAAGAAAUCAAGCAUUGGCUAAUAUUAUGCAGAGACAAACUAGGUUGAUUGAGGGGAUGGCUCAAGGUGGUGGUCCUGCUCAGAAUGCUAGAGUCGAAGGGUAUGGUGUUGCUGCUAGAGGCAGAAUGGUGGCAACUUUAGAGCAAUUCCAAAAGUUAAGGCCUCCUGUGUUCCGUGGGACAACUAACCCUAUGGCAGCUGUUGGUAUGAAUUCAAAUGCUAUUGGUGUCAUUGUACAAGUGUACACAACAAGUAAUAUAAUGAUGACUAUUUGAGAUCGUCUCCACUGGGAUUGAUGUUAUCAGACUUACUACAGCAAUCUUAACAGUGCAGAUUUUAUUCUGAAUUAAGAUAAAACAAUUAAUGAAAUUAAUAUACUAAUUAAAAUAAAAACGCAAUAAAUAAAAUGCAACAAAGUAAACUAUCACAUCAAGCUCAAGGAUAAAACCAAUGGAAAUAUAGAGUAGUUGAGUGAAUAAACUCUCUUAAUGGUUUUGACUAUUUUUCUAAUGUUUGACUCGGUUGCUACAGCAUUUGCUACAGCACUAGGUAGAAUCCUUAUAUAUCAUCAGCCGUCGCAUGUUGGAUAUCUUAUAUCUAUAUGCAACCUAAUAGUGAUUAGUUGUUAUACCAAUAUAAGAUAUAACAUUACACGCUUAGGUUCUAUUUACCCUACAAGGUGAAUCCCUAUGUCUAGUUCAUCACUAAUCUUAGAUUAAGUAUGGCCCUUUUGGGAUUCAAGUAAAACUCAAUCUAGGAAACCCAAUUUAAAACCAAAUAUUGCUCUGAUAUGUUCCACUAAGAUAGACCCUUUUGUGGCUCUUCCUUAGCUAAUAUCAUUAAAAAACUUGAUUUAUAUUAUAAAAUCUUUCAUUUCAUAUUUACAUAUUAUUAUUACAUAUUAUAAAUUCAAAAUACUUCAAGAAACAAGAUAUGAGAUAAUCCACCCUUAUAACUGAAUAAUCUAAAUUAAAUACAUAAAAAUUUCUACUGUCCAAUCAUAUGCCUACUAGUUGUAACUAAAUUUAACAUUUCUAAAAGCUAAAAUGAGCAAGAUGAUUGCCUUCACUCUUUCAAAAUAAGUAGUGCAAUUGAGUUAUCAUACCACCAGAUUCUUCAUUCUCCAUUCAAUAAUGGAUGGGUUAGGAUACAAGUGAAGUUGAGGAAGAAACACUUCAAACAUAUUGAUCAAAUCUGCAUAUGAAUACAUGGAAAAAGGAAAAAAAAAUUGCUUGUCAAUUUCCAACCAUUAGAGAAACAAUGGUUAACAGAAAUAAACUUUUGUCAUAUUUGUGUUUUUGGCUAAUUUCUAUGUUUGAAACCAUCAUGUCCCACAUAUCUUCAACUGGAAACAGUGGCAGUUGGAUUCCAAGAUUUUUAGAAUAAGGAAACCGAACCUAGUAAGCUCGUGGAUAUUUGUAUCUUUACUAAAUGUACAUAAAUCAUUUAACAGAGUAUUACCAAGAUAAUAAAAAUAGUUAAUGCAGUAAAGUGCAUCACAUAUUUUAAAUACAUAUAUACUUUUAAAUCUAUUCGCUCAAUGUAAUGCUAAUAAAAAAUUCAAACUGAAAAUGAAAGCAAAGCAAAGUGAUAGUGUGUGCAUUAGAAAAAAACUCAAAAAUCACGACAUUUGCAAUUUCAUUUGAAAAUUUUACAUUUGCAACACAAAACUCAAGCAUCAAAACAAAACUUGAUUUAAUGAGAAUAAAAAAUGAUGUAAUUACCAUUAAAUUAAGCCUGAGAUAAAUAAUUAAAAUUAAAAAAUAAUGAAACAAAACAGUGAGGGAGAAAGGAAGUACCGUUAAGGAAAGCAAAAAGCUGAGAUUAAGGAAACAGAGUGAGUCUAAAACUUGAAGCUUUUUCGCUUUUCCUUUUCACAACCAGAAAUGGUUUCUGCUUUUCCUAUCUGUGUUCAUUUUAAAUUAAAUUAAAUUAUUUUAUUUUAUUUGUCUAAGAAGAAAAGAGCCAGCAUAGUGAAAAGUCUCUAACAGUCCAAGCUACACAAGCUACAUUUGAAGGUUGGACCCUGCCUACACAUCUACAGAUCUACUGAAAGAUUUGUUAGUGACCAUGACUUCCAUUAAUUUCUAAGCACUCAAAUUGUGUUUUUGCCAUUCUUUCAAGUAAAAACAUUUAAAUUUUAAAAUGUAUUAGAUUUUUUAAAAAAAAUUUGAUUUUUUUUUAAUUAUAAGCACUAAGAUUGUGUUUAUCCUAAUUUAUUCCCUACAAUUACAGUUAUGGUUGCAUCUAAAUUAUUGUAAAAUUUAUUAACUUAAACUUUAUAAUUUGUAAUCUGAUUAUGGAAUGUUUAUUUUUAUGAAUAUUGGCUUAUAAUCCUUUCUUUGCACAUGGAGACCAUUUGAAUUAUUUUUUUUUUCUAUGAGAUAUAUAACACAACUAAUAUAUCUAUAAUUAGAAGGCAAUGGGAACUAUGAGGAAGAAGUUAGCUCCACACACAACCUAAUAAGAGAAAAGAUAACUCUCAUCCAAAAAUAUAUUAAAAACAUAUUUAACUCUUAUAAAUUACUAAAAAUAGUAGCUCAACCACAAUUUAACGAGGGAGAAGACAACUCCACCCACAAACUACUAACGUGAGAAAAGACAACUCUUAUCCAAAUAUAUUAUUAAGAAUAUUUAGAAAGAAAAAAGAGUUUGUUGGGACAUGAAUCUAGACUCUUUAGUUUAAAUUGAGAUUUUUGGACCACAAUUAACUGGAAAGUAAUUUAUAUUUUCAUCAAUUUAACACACAAAUCGGUUUUCCCAAAUCCACUUAUCAUGGCCUAGAAGGCUAAAACAUCACAAAACAUAAUGAACUAUCUACACAUAAAGGCCAAAUGACAAACUAGAUUUGAAAUCAUAUCACUCAGAGGAAUAAUAUAUUGGCCUAUAACUAGCGCUCUGACUCUUAGACUAAAAUAAAGAAAACCAAUUAUCAUUGCCAUCUUGAAUCAAUUCUUCUAAUUUUCUAGUUUAUCACUAAAUUCUCUAACAAAAUAGAAUCUUUAAGAUAACCAAUACAACUCAAACAAGCUUAAUUCAUAAUAAAAUUACAAAAUGAAGAAUGAACCAACUGAUAACGAAAAUAUCACAAGAAGUCAUCUUAGUUUCAAAAUCACUAAUAAUUAAAAAAAAAUCUUGCCUGAUUAAUUCGAUCGAGAACCUCUUCUCUCUUCGCUGCUUCUUCUUUACGUUCAUAAAGCCCAACUUCAAUAAAAAACUUCAACCCUAAAGGAAUCAAAAUCAGGGUUUCAUGUAGAAAAAAAAGUAAUUAUAAAUAAAGAUAAAACAAAACAUUUUUCAAGUCACAGGUUCUUUGUAUAUCAGCCUAUGUGGAUCCCACGAUUGAUAUUGGUUUCGUAUAAUUAGCUAGCGACGGUGACGAACUCAUUCUCUUUUUUUGAAUCAAACUUUCAAACCCUAACUUUAGCCAAGUUCUUCACAAAAAUUUGAGGCUUAUUUCCAGGGGUAUUUUAGCUCAAGGAUGGUGGCUUUGAAGGUUUAUAGAAGCGGCUUGUGAGGUAGAUCAUUGUUAGAUAGAGAGAGAGGUAGAGACAAAGAGAGAGAGAGAGAGAGAAAGAGAGAGAGAGAGAAGAGAGCUUCAGUUCAGAGAAGAAAAUGGCCAUGGGGAUAGAUUUUUUGCUCAUCAAAAUUUUUAGAUUUUAGGUUUCCAUGUACACCUCAUUAAAACGGCAUAGUUUCUAGAUAAUUUAAUUUAAUUUUUAAUAAUUACUACAUCAAGCGAAAAUACAACUUGUGCUCUGGUUGUUUAACAUUUAAAAUUAAAAAGCUAAAGCUUAGAAGUCUGCGGUUCGACUCCUAGCGUAUACAAAAUUAAAAUUUUAUUUUUUUAAUUACUGAUACCUUAAUGUCACAUAUCUUUGAUACUUAUCUAUUAAAUGUAGAAAAUGUCCCAAAUGCAUGUAAUUACUGAUACUUUUUAAUAAAGUGUCACAAGAUAAGUGUCAACAAAUACCAUUUUUCUUGUAGUGUUAAUUAAAAAAAUUCGAUUUUACCCUCAAUGAAUUACACAGUAAACAACAGUAAAUUAACGGAAGGGUGUUUUGAGCUUUUUUUUUUUUUAAAGUAUGGAUGAAAUGAACUGUUGUUUGAAUAAUAAGGAUGAAUUAGGCUAUUGCAACAAAUUCAAGGGAUGAAAAAGGAUUUUUCUCUUUUACUUAGGUGCUGUUUAUUUUUUAGUUUGAAGUUUGAAUUUAAUUUUUUUAGACAUUUGUUUAUUUUAGGUUUUUUUUUUUAACUUAUCACUUAUUGUCAUAUAGUUUUAUCUGAAUAGAAAAAGUAGAAAAAGUUCACUUUAUUUGAAGUCUGAAGUCUAAAUAUAAAUUUUUAAUUUCAAAUCUCAAAAAUAUCCUUAACAAUUCAUGUAUUUCCAAUAUUAUGUAUAAACCUUAUAUUUUUGUAUUAUUCUUGAAGUUAUUUUUCUAAUUGCUUUAAAUUUUUAUUCACAUGAUAACAUUAACUAAACUGAAAUAUUGAACAAAUCAAAUUAUGUUAAUUGUGAUGAAUCAAAAAUAAAAUAAUAGUGUUGACUUUAUAAUAAAAUUUGAUGUUAUAAUUACAUCUUUCAUUAAAAAAAAUAAAAGAAGAUCAACAAUGAUAAUUUUUUUUUAAUGUUACCAAACUAAUCAACCUGUGAAAAUUAUAAAUGUGAAGAACAAAUAUAUGCACCACUUAAAAUGAUAUUUAUGCCAAAUUACUAGUUUUUAGGAUUUUCUCUUUAGAUGUUGAAAAAGAAAAACAAAGAUGUCAUUCAAAUAUUUUCAUUCAUAUUUAUUCAGAUUUUAGUUAAAUUCAGAUCUAUUCAGAUUUCAGAUAAAAAAACAAAUGCAAUCUUAGUUUAUAGGUACAGGACUCCACUCUAGCAUGGUUUUUAAUCUAAAAAGAGAGAGAGAGAGGAGAGAGAAAAUGGAUCAAAGAAAGAAUAAUUAUAAAAAUUAAAAUAAUGCUCGUGGGCAUUUUAGUCAAUUCAAGUUGAGAUGAAUGGAAAUAAAAAAAUAAAGAGGAAACCUAUUUGAAGUUUUAAACCCAUAAAAAAAAUAUUUUAUGUUGUAUUUCUCCCGAUACCCAUUAAUUAAAUUUUAAAUUUAUGAUUAUCCUUUAAACAUCCCUCUUAAUUUCAAAAAUAGCCCUUUAUUCUUUUCCACCAUAAUGGUGUUUUAAGUGAUACAUAAAAUGUUUUUCUACCAUAACUUUGAAUUUCAAAAACUUGCUUUAGUGUUGGUUAAAAAUAAUUAUUUUUCAGGAUUAAUAAAAGUUUCUUAUCAUAAACUCAUUCUAAUUUUUUCUUAGUUGACGAAACUUUACAAAACUGAAUUUGUGUCCCUAGCAAUGCCACUUUGAAGCUUUUACAAAAUUAAUUGUGAUGUCACUGAUGUGUCUAUUAUUUUCAGCUACAAUCAAGCCAUAAAGCCUUGUCAAUCUUGUAAUAUGUUGGUGUUGGGGAUUUGGCGAGGGUAUUGUAAUUAAAAACUUCAAUUACAUUAAAAGAUUUAGGAAUAAUGUUUUAAUUAUAGAUUCAUAGUGGAAAUCCUUUUUUUGGGAUCCUUUUAUUAAGCUGUAGUCACAGUCAAAUAAUCAUUUGGCUUUAAGUUUUUGAUAUAUAUAUAUAUAUAUAUAUAUAUAUACAUGCACACAUAUACAUACAUAUGUAUGUAUGUAUAUAUAUUCAACAGAGAAGAUUGAAACUAUAUGUAACACAUUGGACUGAACUUGCCCAUGAGCUAUCUGAUCUAAAAUUAUUGAUGAAUUAGACAUAGGGGUUCACCUUGUAGGGAAAAUAGAAUCUAGAUCGUUUAAUGCUAUAUUUAAUAUUGGCGUAACAAUUGGUCACUAUUAGAUUGCAUUAGAUAUAAGAUAUCCAACAAGCGACAACUGAGGAUGCAUAAGGGAUUCUACCCAGUGCUGUAGCAACAGUUUCUCAAUUAGAAAGACAAUAAACACCAUUAAGUCACAUUGCUUUUAUCCCUCUGUCUGAAGUGAUAAUUUUCUUUACUACAUUUUUUAUUUAUUGUAUUUUUAUUUUAAUUAGUUUAUUAGUAUUAUUAGUCAAUUUAUUUCCAAUUAAAACAAAACUGCGUUGUUAAGAUUGUUAUAGCAAAUAUGAUAACAUAAAUCCCUAUGGAGACGAUCUGGAUACUCAUUAGUAUAUUACUUGUUGUGUACACUUGAAUAUUGACAUCCAUAGCAUUAAAGAUUUUACACACCACAUAUUUACAAAUUAAAGAAGGCUUUGUACAGUUUAAAAUAAGCACUUAGAGCUUAGCUUGUUAGAUUCAAGUAUGUAAGGCUUUCUCAGUGGCAUUUUCAGCACUCCAAGUCUGAUAACUCUCUUUUCCUCAAAUGGGAUAGAGGUCUUUUGGUUCUAGUUUUGGCAUAUGUUUAUGACAUGAUUAUCACUAGCUCCAGCUCUUUUAUAGUUCAAUAGGUUAUUCAAGAAAUGCGUUACACAUUUGCUUUAAAAGACUUGGCAAAGCUCCAUUAUUGUCUAGGCAUUGAAGUCAUAAAGACUCAAAAUAUAGUUCAUUUAUCUCAAGCCAAAUAUAUUGUCGACAUUUUAGCAAAACAUGGACAUGGCUAGUUGUAGUCCAGUGCCUAUACCUAUGUGAACUGGUCAUAUCUUAAAGACUUAGGUGAUGAAAUUGAUAAUGCAUCUUAGUGUAAAAGUGUUAUUAGAGCUUUGUAAUAUGCCACUCUCACAACGCGAGAGCUAGCCUUCUCAAUUAACAAAUUAAGCCUAUUUUUCUUACGUCCAAGGACUCAUCAUUAGGAAGCAUGAAUAAGACUCUUGAUAAACUUGAAGGGUACUUUACAUUUUGUAUUGCAUUUCUAUAGUUGUCGUGCUAUGCAGUUAAACUAUUUUGUAUAAUAUUAUUGGGCUUGUGAUAGAGACGAUAAAGAUUUGCAAUAUAUCCAGGUCCCAACUUGGUUUUAUAGUUAUCUAAGAACCAAUCAGUGGUCUUUCGAUCAAGCACAAAGGCUGAGUAUAUAGCUUUAACUCAUUCAACCUAGCACCAUGCCUAUAAUCUGGUGUGCCAAUCAAGAAGCAACUGCUUUGGCGUAUAACCCCAUUUAUCAUGCUAAAACCAAACACAUUGAGCUGGACAUACAUUUCAUUAGAGACAAAGUUGUAGCCAAGCAAAUUCAAGUUUGUUUUAUACUAAGUGCAGACCAAACAACUAAUUUGUUAACCAAAGCACAUACUUUUAAACGGCUCUAUUACUUGCGUAGCAAGUUGAAUGUUCAUUCUAGACAUUUUAACUUGAGGGAGGUUGCAAGUGAAUCAGAUGUUACUUGAAUGCAGAGCAUAUGGUGCAGCCAACAGCAGCAGAUCAACUACUAAGCUAAUGUAGCAGAAUUAGCAAUUUGGUUUAACUUGUAUUAAGCAAAGCUCACGUGAGCAUAACAAAAUAGAAAGCAUUUAUAACGGAAUUAGAAGCAUGUAGAAUUCAGCACUAUAAAUAUGUAAUGUGCUUUCAUUUCAAUUAAUUAAUUAGAAUCUUCUACAAGUUUCUUCAAAAUAUUCUCUCUCAUUUUCUAGUAUUUCUUGCUACUUUCUUACUUGCCAAACAUCUUCUAAUAUUCUAAUAUUAUACAAGUCAAAAUGUCAAACCAGUGCAUGGCUUGAGCAUUAAUUGUUGACAUGACUCAAAAGUAUAUUACUCCCAAGUAUAAGAUUAUCUAGUUAUAAUAUAACCCGGUAAAUCCGGGAUCGAAUCACAGAGAAUUUAAAAUCUAGUUGUCAAUUUAUUGGACAAAGAAAAUUAAUUGCGGUAAAAGAAAUCACUAGAAAAAAAAUUAAAAAUAUGCUAAGGUUACGAGAUCCACUAUUAAUAUUCAAACUAUAAUUUUAAUACUUUCUCAUUUAUAUUUUUUUCUCACUUUUACCAGUUAAUUAUUAUAUCAUUUAAUUCUAUGUGUGUGGAUAAAUAUGGAAUAAAGUACCUAAUGUGCCACAACUGUAUUAAUGUAUCAACAUUAUGUCAAAAUACCAUAUAGAUCCAAAAGAAUGUAUAAAUUAACAUGACAUAAAAAUAACCAGAAAAGAAUAAAAUAAACUUAAAAACUCACUUUGAGAAAGUAAUAAAUUUAAUAGUUUGAAACUUUGAGUUUUACCCUUCACCUUAGCUUAGUAAAAUUAGCCACUCAUAUUGAAAGAAAACACAACAUUCUUUUUAUUUGAUAAACUUUUGAAAUAUGUUAUAAAGAAAAUUGAUACAGAUGGAAACAAGAAAAGAAAAGUAAGAAAGAAAGAAAUUCUUCAGCUGCACCCUUGGCUACCACUCUCUCUCUCUCAGCUCUUGGCUCAACUCCCCCCUAAAUUGCUUGCAUCCCCUUGCCUUUUAUAGGUAAGGGAAGCAUCUUCUUUUCUUUUCUUUUAUUAAUAUUAAUAUUUUAUUUUAUUUUUAUAUUAUAUAUACAUAUUGAAAGGGGUGAUGGCCAGGAGGCGUGAUGGCCUCUUGACCAUCACAAGCAACCAAAUCAUAGUUGCCUUUUGUUCUUUUGUUCUUUUUUUUAUUAUUAUUUAUUACAUCUCCUUAAUGAUGCAUUCUAAAUUGCUCCAACAGUCCUUCUUUGUUCCCGCUUUCGAUUCCAAUUCCAUCUUUAUUCCUGAAAAAUAUUUACAAGAUAAAAAUUAACAUAUUACGAAUUAAUUUUAUAUAAAAAUAUAUUUGGGGAGUAUUAAGAUAAUUUAUAAGUAAUGAGCACAUUAAUCGACAUAAUAAGUGAAAAACUAAUAAUUUUAUCGUUAUUAAAUGUACACUUUUUAAUGCCAAUCAAUUGUCGCUUAGAUCAAAGGUUGAUUGUGCCGCCAUGUUUUAUUCAAGCUUAAAAAUGGACAUAGGACAUUGCUGGUGUAGUGAACUGUAUCGAUUGUUGGUGGCUUUGUCGCAAAUUCUAAUUGUUUUGGGCUUGUAUUCGUGCCUGUGACAUUUUUUAAGAUCCUAGGUCUGAAAAUUUAUGGAACGACUUAAAAAUGUUUGAUUUACUCUCAAGUGUAAGAGUACCUAGUUAUAAUAUAUCUCGGUGAGUCUGAGGUCGAUCCACAGAGAAAAGAUUUAAUUUGUUUAUUUUAUUUUAUCUAAAAUUUGAAAAUAAAACUUAAAUAUAAACAACUUAAUUUAAAUAAAACUAUGAAAUUGAAUUAGUUAGGGUUGUGGAUUCACUCUUAGUUGUAAAUAAAACUUAAUAAAUUCUUUUUGCCAUUUUUUUAGAUUUAUUGCCCAAAAGAUUCAUUAUAUAAAUUAUUAUUAUUUUCCCUUUAAUUUUAUAAUGGAUUAAGUAUUCAUUGUGCCAAAAUUUAAUUUGUCUACAAUAAGUCAAAAUACCAUUUUACCAUACCUUAUAUUAAGAUAAAAAAGAAUUUAUUGUGCCAAACUCCCUUGUUUGUCUACAAUAAAUCAAAAUUUCAUAAUAUAAAAUGCGUAUAAAAUUAAAUAGAAAAUAACUUAAUUUAUAAAAUUAAAAAUAGAAUUUGAUUAAAUCAUAUUUAUUUCCUAUGAGUUUCACCUUCCCCUAACUAUUAAUAUUUAGCUAAACAUUUUUUUAAUAAAGGAAAUUACUAAAAUUGAAAAACAUAUAAUUAAAAAUGGAAUUUGAAAAUUGAAAUAAAACUAAUUUUAUUGAUUGAAAAUAAAUUACAAAGAGAGAUGAAAAGAAGAAUUUGGGGGAAAAGAAGAGAAGAGAAGAGAAGGUGUGGAGAGGUGUGUUCACCCCCCUCUAUUUAUACUAAUACAUGGUAAAUUCUCACCACACAAAUAAAAAAUCUAAUUACAUCUUAACCUUACAUUUGCCCCACUAAUAAUCCCACUAAUGAAACAUAAACCUAACUUAUCCACUCAAGCAUAUCCAAUACAUUCCACUAACAAUUACCAUACCUAACAUGAUAAAAACUUAUAAUUUUACAAUUGCCACAUUUACCGUGGUAAAAACGUAAAAAUUUAUAACAAAAGUCUUGGAUCCUCCUCGACAAUGACAUAAUUUCUCGGACUUCCAGAAUCCAAAUUUGACAUCCAUACAUUUGUUCAGAGCCUCAAAUUGCAUGAAAUUAUUAUUUUUACCUAAUAAACAUAAAAUACAUAAAAUCAAAUAUUUAGAAAAAUAAUUAGAAAUUCACAAUAUGUUACACAAUUAAAAAUAUAAAUUACAUUAAUAAAACAAUAUAACAUUUUUACCCUUAAUAAACAUGCAAUUUUUAACACUAAUCACACCCCCCAACUAGGUUAUUGCUAUCCCCUAGCAAUUAAAGCGUUAUAUUAAAUUAAGAUUUACAAAAUUCACAUGCAAGUCAAUAGUUGUUCAUCUAUCCUCUAAAUUACCAAAUAAAUAAACUCUCCCAAAUUUUUUUUUAACUCUUGGUCGUCCACUCAUUAUCCCGAAUAUCAUAAACCUUAUUUUCUGCUCAAGUAAUUAACACAAUACUUAUGGGGUUUCAUUAAAAGAAAACAACAUUUUCGUUCUAAAACUCAUUAGAAAUUCUAUCUUCAGGCAGUAGAUUAUUCAAGCUUUUUUUUUAAAAUUGCAUUUUUAACCCAUGUAGCGAGCUUUAGGUCAGUGACUCCCAGACCAGUUGACCUUAGGACAAUCCAUAACUAGGCCACCUUUCUUUGACUUUAAUGACUACCCAUAUUGAAAAACUAGGAGAAUUUAUUUGUAAGCUUUAGGUUAUAAAAUUUGGCAAGUUGUUUGUGAUGGUUCAUUCAUGCCUAUGACUACAAAUAAAGUAGGAGAUUAUAUUCAAAAACCUUCAAGUCAAUGAAGUGAAUUAGAAAAUAAAAAGAUAUCUUUAAACUCUAAGGCAGUGAAUGCUUUGUUUUAUACUCUUGAUAAGAAAGAUUUUCUUAGAGUGUCUAGUUGUGAGAGUGCUCAAGAAAUAUGAAACAAACUUGAAGUUGUCUAUGAAGGGACAAAUCAAGUUAAAGAGUCUAAGAUUAGUAAAUAUACUCGACAAUAUGAAUUGUUCUAAAUGGAACAAAAUGAGAGCGUGUAUUCUAUUUAUACUAGGUUUACAUAUAUUGUGAACACAUUAGAAGCCCUAGGAAAAAUAUUUUCGAAUAGCAAAAAAGUUAAGAAAAUUAUUAGGUCUUUACCAAUGGAAUGGAGACCUAAGAGAACUGCCAUAGAGGAAGCUAAAGAUUUAAAUACUUUGCGUAUUGAUGAUUUAAUUGGCUUUCCUAUUUCAUAUGAGGAAGAUUUGACAGCAGAAAACGACAAUAAGGAAAAAAAAAAAGCAUUGCACUUAAAGCAUCAAAGCAUGCGAGUGAUGAGGAAAGCGAGCUUGAUGAUGAAGAUAUGGCUAUAUUGUCCAAGAGGUUUAAAAAAUUCUUCAAGAAAGCCGGUGAGCGGAAAAGAUUCAGAAACUACAAGAACCAAAAGGAGAAGAAGGAGCUAAUUACUUGUUAUGAGUGCAAGAAUCCUGGAAACAUACGAUCGGAAUGUCCUCUUCUCAAAAAGCUUAAGAAGAAGGCAAUAGUAGCCAUAUGGGAUGUUAGUGAUAAGGAAACAAGUGAUGAUAAAGAGCAACAAGAGAUGUAAAAUCUAGCUCUCAUGGAAAUUGGGAUGAAUCGUUUGACGAACUUGAUGAAGUAAGUGAUCUACCUACGAUUAAUUAUAUAAUGCUUUUAAGGAAUUGCAUGAUGCAUGCCUUAAAAGGAAAAUGCUAGAACUUUCAAAUGAAAAUGAUGUCUUGCAAAAUGCAAUGAUUCAUUGAAUAAAAAGAUCAAGGGAUUGGAAUUAGAUAAUGAAAUGUUGUAUGAUAUGAUUACAUCAUUUAAAUAUAAAUAAAGUACUUCAUAUGAGCAUGAAAAAUAACAUGUUGAUAAAUUGAUAAAAGAAAAUGAAGUGCUUAAGAAAAAGAGUAAUGAACUUAACAAAAUUGUGUUAAAAUUCAUAAGUAGUCAAAAGAAUUUAGAAAAAUUGCUAAACUCUAAAAAAUGUGUAUUUGAUAAAGGAGGACUUGGGUAUAAGCCUAGCUUGACUUGAAGCAAAAGUAUUAUAGGAAUUACUUUGUUAAAGCUACCUCCACUAGUGAUCAUAAAAUUAAUUGUCAUUAUUGCAAUCAAAAUGGUCAUAUGAAAUAUAGAUGUCUAAUGAAAAGAAAUGAAUUCAAUGGAGUCAAAUGUGUAGCUCCAAAAAGAACUAUUGCUAACACUCAAGGACCCAAAGAAAUUUGGGUACCUAAGACUUGAAAUUUCCUCUACAUGGUUUGAAGAAGAAAAAGAAUAAACGGCACCUGGACAGUGGUUGCUCAAGGCAUAUGACUGAAAAUUAUUCUUGGUUUUCAAGUUUUACCAAGAUUGAAAACAGUAGAGAUGUGUCAUUUGGAGAUAAUUCAAAAGGAAAGAUUAUCAGUAUCGGUAAUAUUAGUAAAAAAUCCUCUACUCUUAUUGAAAAUGUGUGUUUGGUUGAAAACUUGAAAUACAACUUACUUAGCAUUAGUCAAUUGUGUGAUAAAGACUAUAGAGUUAUCUUUGAUAAAUCGAAAUGUGUUAUUGAGAAUGCAUAUGAUGGCAAGAUUUUGUUUGUAGAAAAUAGAUGUGUUAAUAUUUAUAUCAUUAAUAUAGAUUGUGUAUCUACUAAUGAUAAAUGUUUCUCUGCAUUACAUGAUUAUGGUUGGUUAUGGUAUAGAAGACUAGGUCAUGCAAGUAUGGAUUUGAUUUCAAAGAUUUCAAAAAAUGAUUUGGUUAAUGGCCUUCCAAAAAUUAGUUUUCAAAAAGAUAGAAUUUGUGAAGUUUGCCAAUUUGAAAAAUAAAUCAAAACUUCUUUAAAAAAAAGAACCAUGUCUCAACUUCAAAACCACUUCAACUACUUCACAUGGAUUUGUUUGGACCUUCUAGAUAUGUAGUUUAAGUGGCAAAUAUAUGCAUUUGUGAUUGUGAAUGAUUAUUCUAGAUACACAUGAGUAUUGUUCUUUACUAAUAAGAAUGAUGCCUUUGGAUGCAUUUAGAAUUUUCUAUAAAAAGGUUCAAAAUGAAAAGGGAUGUGCUAUUUCUUGUAUUAGAAGUGAUCAUGUGGAGAAUUUGAAAAUCAUAUAUUUGAGAAUUUUUGUAAUGAUUUUGGCAUUGAGUAUCAAUUUCAUCACCUAGCACUCUACAACAAAAUAGAGUUAUUGAGAGAAAGAAUAGGCCUAUCCAAGAAAUAGCUAGGACCAUGUUGAAUGAAAAUAGUUUACUUAAGUAUCUUUGGGUCGAAACUGUCAACACUGCUUGUUAUGUUUUAAAUCAUAUGUUUAUUAGACCUUAUCUCAAUAAGACUCCCUAUGAGCUUUGGAAAGAUAAAAAACCCAACAUUGGUUAUUUCAAAAUUUUUGGAUGCAAAUGUUUUAUUUUGAACGCAAAAGAUAAUCUUGGCAAAUUUGAUCUAAAAUCUUAUAUUGAUAUUUUUCUUGGUUAUUCAAAUACAAGCAAAACUUAUAGAGUGUAUAAUAAAAGAACUUUGGUUGUGGAAGAAUCUAUGCAUGCUAUAUUUGAUUAGUCUAAUCCUUCCUCUACGGAGAGAGUUGUUGUCGAUAAUGAUAUAGAUGAACAGUCACAACAAGGAUUAUCAAAAGAUAAACAAGAUGAUACAUCACAUGAAAAUAAAGAGGAUAGACAAUGAGAAUAAAUAAAUGAAGAGCAACAAGAAGGUACGUCUCAAACACUCCCCAAGGAGUGGAGGUAUGUUUCCCCUCAUCCUAAGGAUUUAAUUUUAGGUGAUCCUUCAAGAGAUGUUACCACUAGAUUAUCAUUUAGAAAUACUUGUGAGCACGCUGCAUUCAUAUCUCAAAUUGAACCAAAUUCGUUGCGGAUGCGAAAAAUGAUGAAUCUUGGAUCAUGGCAGUACAAGAGGAGUUGAAUCAAUUUAAGAGAAACAAUGUGUGGAAAUUAGUUUCUAAAUCGGAACAUCAAUCUAUUAGGCACUAAAUGGGUAUUUAGAAAUAAAAUGAAUAAAUCCAGUGUGGUUGUAAGGAAUAAAGAUAGAUUAGUGGCUCAAAGAUACAACCAAGAAAAAGGAAUUGAUUUUGAUGAAACAUUUGCGCCUGUAGCUAGAUUAGAAUCCAUUAGGAUGUUGUUAGCAUUUGCAUGUCAUAAAGAUUUCAUUUUUAAUCAAAUAGAUGUCAAAAAUACUUUCUUAAAUGGUUAUAUUAUGAAGGAACUUUAUAAGUUUUCUAAAGCACUGUAUGGAUUUAAAACAAGCACCUAGAGCAUCGUAUGACAAGCUUAAAAAUUUCUUGCUGGAUAAUGAGUUUUCAAUGGAAAAAGCGGAUACUACUCUCUUUGUUAAGCAUAAGAACUAAGAUAUACUUGUUGUUCAAAUUUAUGUUGAUGCUAUUAUCUUUGGUUCUACUAAUGAGUUUUUGUGCAAGGAGUUUUCAUCUUGUAUGAUGGGAGAAUUAAAGUAUUUCCUUGGACUUCAAAUCAAACAAAACAAUGAGGGAAUCUUCAUCAACCAAGCUAAAUAUGUCAAAGAUCUACUCAAAAGAUUUGACAUUGAUGACUCAAAUCCAAGAGACCUCUAAUGAGCACAACAAUCAAGCUUGACAAAGAUGAAAAAGAUAAUAAGAUUGAUAUAAAAAUGUAUCGAGGUAUAAUCAGCUCUUUACUUUACUUAGCCGCAAGUAGACCUGAUAUCAUGUUUAGCGUAUGUUUGUGUGCAAGAUUUCAAUCAUGUCCCAAGGAAUCUCAUUUGCUUGAUGUGAAAAGAAUUUUUCGUUAUUUAAAUAGAACUAUAGAUCUUGGCCUUUGUUAUCCUAGAGGAACCUAUAUAGAUUUAACUUAUUAUUCGGAUGUCAAUUUUGCCGGUUAUAAAAUCGAUAGGAAAAGCAUUAGUGGAACAUGUCAUUUCUUAGGUCAUUCUCUUAUUUCAUGGUUUAGUAAAAAACAAAAUUCGGUUUCACUCUCAACCACCGAGGCAGAAUAUAUUGCCGCAGGUAGUUGUUGUCCACAAACUCUUUGGAUGAAACAAACACUUAGAGAUUAUGAAUCUUGAACAAAUUCUUAUCAUGUAUAAUAAUAUUAGUGCUAUAAAUCUAUCAAAGAAUCCCAUUUAUCACUCUAGAACCAAGCAUAUAGAGAUUAGACAUCAUUUCUUGAGAGAUUAUGUUCAAAAGAGCGACAUUGCAUUAGAAUUUAUCUAUACAGGAAAAAAAAACUUGCCUAUAUUUUUACAAAACCUCUUUGCGAAAAAUAAUUUUCAAAAAUUUGGCAUGAACUUGGGAUAAUGAAAUUUUCGCAUUAACAUCUCUAAUCAUGUUAUUGAAUCUAUUAAAAUUGAUUGAUUGAUGAUUUGUUUAUGAUUACAAAGUUUUUAAGCAUGAUAAAUGAGUGAUGUAUUUGAAUCAAUAAUCUUUGAAUGCUUACAUGUCUCAUGAUUGUGUGAUGUAUAUGUAUGAUACAUGUGUUAUAUAUUUAAAUUUAUAAUCUUUGAAUAUUUAUAAUUAUGAUUCAUGCAUUAAAAUGGCUUUUGAAAGUGUUCGGGAUCAUGAAAUGGUUUUGGAAUCGAUCAAAAUUAGCCGGAAAGCAAACAUUUGUGCAAAAGGGCAGCAAAGAGACAGUUACCCGCUUGCCCCAAACCCGAGAGCAAGCGGCUAGCCAUUUGCCUCUAAACGACUAGCCGCUUGGUCACGGUUUUUAUACAUUUCUUCCCCCUUUCUCUUGCUUUCUUCAACCUUUCUCUACUCUCUUUCAUGGCCGUUCAUCUCUCCUCCAUUUCCUCUUAAAUUAUUGUCAUUUCUCAGUCAUUUUCAUGCCAAAAUCAAUCUUUUAAACCAUUACCCAUGCAUUUAACCUUCAUUAAACACUUCCCAAUCAUCAUUUCAUCACUUGUUUCUCCAAAUCUAAAAAUCAAAACCUAAGCUUACCUAUAUCUCUCUCUUCUAUUUUAAGCUCUUUUUAGCUCAUUUUUUUUUAUCCAAUUAAUACCAUACAUUGCCUUAAAUCAUCUCUAGGAUCAAUUUUAUUGAUUCAAAUACAUUCAUUUCACUCAAAAUCUUGAAAAUUCGAAUUUAGGUAUUAAAGCUUGUUCUUGUUUUCAACAAUAGUUAGUAGCCAAAAAUCCAAGGGAAAACAUAUAGCCAAGAAGCGCAAGGAAGAUCAUGGAGACAAUCUGGAGUUCAUAUUAACCCAUUUUCUGCAACCACCUUUUCAGAAAUGUUUUCACGAUAAAUUUAUGUCGAGGUUGGUUAUUGCCCCCUAUUUUGUCAAUCUUCGUCAUUCGGAGAAUUUAGCAAUUUUUUAUAAAUCUCUUAGUGAUUUUCUUAUUGACAUGGGUUAGAAAAAUGUUUUAGUUUUCAAGGAACGAUGUUAUGAAAUUUAGUUAAAGUUUUUUAUUCGAAUAUGGUUAUUUCUUUGCAAACUACAAAUAGAAUUGUUACAAGUGUUGGGGGAAUACAUAUUGAGUUUAAUGUUGUGGAUUUAAAUCAUAUUCUUAGAACUCCAAAUGAAAGGUUGGAACAUUAUACUGCUAAAAGCAAAAUAGAUUAUUCGUGGUAUUCAGUUGAGGAUAUUGUUCAAAAAUUUUGUAGAUGUUUCGAUUUGUCCUUUAAGUUUUGUAAAUCUACCUUGAAAUCUCAAGCCUUACCCCUUCAACUUAGGAUCCUUCAUUAUGUUCUUUAACAUGUCAUUAGUCUUAGGCCUGGACAUGGGGAUGAAGUUACCCGAUUAGAUGUGGCCUUAUUGGAUAGCAUUCUAAAGGGUAGGGUGCUAAAUGUCAGUUAUAUUAUUCUUCAUCAUAUACUUAGCACUCCAUGUAUAGCAAAACGAUCCCUUCCUCAUGGAAGCAUUUUUACCCACAUUCUCAAACAAUUUUGGGUACCCAUAAUCGAACCAACAUUUUUGAAUUCUAAGGAAUUAAGAGAUGAAGCUAUAGCCAAUUUAGGGUUUAUAUGGACAGAAGAUAAAUGGUGUAAAAACCAGAGAUACAAAAACAAGGGUACUACAUUAGCUCCUAUAGAUCAUCGUUUCUUUAACGAUGUUCUUCCACCAAACCAGCUCCUUGAUCUCAAUGUUCCACAGCGCUCACAUCCUUCGUCUUCUGAGGGUCCUUCCUAUUCUACUUCAGCAGACCUUGAGGAUCCAAUACAGUAGCUAUUGACUGAAGUGCAUUCUCUUUUUGAGCCGCAGAUCCAAUUUCAGUCCCAGUUUGAGGCCUUUCAAAUUCAGUCCACUUCGGAGCAACAACGCCUGUUUAAGCAGUAACAGCGUUUAUUUAAUCAAUGACAUUGACUCUUUGCUCAACAACAGUAGCUUCUUGAUGGUCAACAACAACUUUUCGCUGCUCUUGGGUUUCCACCACCAUCCUCAUUAUCACAUUCACCAUCUUCAUAGUGUUCUAUUCUUUUUCAUCUUGAUUUCAGUUCUUUGUUUUAUUCUGCACUACAUUUUCAUAUGCAUUGUUGUUUUACUUAUGGAUUAAAGAUGAUUGUUGUUUGAUAUUUAAAUGUUUUACAUUUGGAUGAUAUUUUAUGGAUUCUUGGAUAACUCUUUGGUUACUUGCAUGCUUGAUUUUUAUAUGUUUCUUGAUUACCUAUUGAGAUGUUAUUUUUGGUCUGAGCAUGGAGUUAUAGUAAUUGUGAUGAUGAAGAGGGAGAAGUCAUGUAUUUUGAUCUUGAAAUAUUGAUGCAUGAUUUUGAAAUAUUUAGGGGGAGCAUACAUUUGUUAAAGAUCAUGUAUUCAGGGAGAGUUCAUAGUUCAUUUAUAUGUUGAAUUAUGUAUGCCAUAUAUUAAGGGGGAGUAUAAAUGUCAAAAUACAUGAAAUGUUUGUCAUCAUCAAAAAAGGAAAGAUUGUUAGCCUAAAGGGUUACAUAUAUUGUAAUUUUGAUGAUAAAAAACAUAUGUCUUAAGUAAUAUGAUAAAUAUUGUAUUUCACAUUUUCACUAGUUCUUGAAGGAUAAUAUUUAGGCAAGUGAAUCACGUGAAAUCAGGCUCAAGGCACUCAACGUACAAUAGCUCGAUCAAGAACAAAAUUUAGUUCAACGGAGUCAUUAUUGCGACAAAUUAUUGUAAAGCUAAUAUGAUUUAAUGUAUGCAGGGUUUAGCAUUUAAAAAGCUCAAGAAGUUGUGGGUAAAAAUAUAAUUUUUAAAAUAAUAUUAUUGUAGCAAAAUUCAAAUUGCAACGGUAACUUGCACUGUAUUAAGUGGUGAGCCGGCUAGUUAAGAGGCUAAUCGCUUGCUUGCGGGUUUUGUCCAUAAUGGCUAGUUUUUGUAUCAAAACUAUAUAAAAUCAAAUCCAGUUCAUUUUUAAAGACUUUUGCAAGUAUAAACAAGUGUAAACAACAUAUUUUAAGCUUCUAAUUCACAAAUCAUCAUAGAUUAAAUAUAUGUUAUGUUUUCAUGAUGAUGUUGUUUAAAUAUUUAGUGCCUGUUUGGUAUGACUUAUAUAAUAACUAUAAGUGCUUAUUUAAUCUCAUAAGUUCCUAUCAUAAUUUUUGUUGUUGUUUGGUUGUUUUUCUAAUAGAGCUUUUAAAACUUAAAUAAGUUAUUUUACCUCUACUAGUAAAAGCUCCAAUUUUGAGCUUUUGAGAGUAGAGGCUGGGAAGUUUUUUUUUUAAAUGUCAAAAUAUCUAAAAUAUCCUCUACUUAUUUAAUAAUUGUAUUUAUUAUUUUCAUAAUAUAACUUUAAAAAAAUUGCCUAUUAUAAUAAUUUCAUAAAUUUUUAAUAAAUAUUUUUAUUGACAACCAAAUAACUAAAUAUUUUUUAGUAAAAACUCUAUUUAUAAAAGCUCUAUUUAAAUAAGUUCUACUUUAAAAGCUGUACUAAACAGAGCUUUAAACCGAUACCUAAUAAUAACACAGAGCAGCUCGAGCCUAGCUCACCCAACUAAUGAAAAAGAAAAUGAUUUAUCCUCCUGCUAUUAGAUAGGUGUAAUGCAUGCAUGUAAUACACACAUUUAUUCAAAAGAAAAUACAUUUAUUUAUUCAAAAGGAAAUACAUUUGUAUGACAGAUGUAUGAGUAAUGCAGUGCCAAAAGUCUUCACUCAAAAGUUGAAGGCAUAUCAUCAAAACAUGUGACCCCUAGAGAUAGAAACUUGAACAUUCACAAUGAUCAAUGCAACUUGUCCUUCAUUGUUCCAGAAGAUAGCUAGGCACAUUAAUCCUCCAACAUUUCUCAAUGGAUUUCAAAAUCAUCGACAAUAUACAGCUUUAUGGUUCCCUUUUUUUGAUUCACAAUUUUUUUAUUCUAAUAUUGAAAUUAAUUGGUAACUGCACAGAACUGACAAUUUCUUGGCACUCAUUGUGUGGGGAAUUGAGAUUGUAACUUACAAAUUUAAUAGCAUUUUGAAGCCAAGGAAAUCUAGUCUCAAUUAAUAUGACUCUAGCUUCAGGAGAUUAUGGUGGCGUUUGUUUUUUAACUUAAUGACUUAAAGUGACUUAACUUAAUUAAUUAAGUUAAUUAGAGGUGUUUGUUUUUAUAACUUAAUGAGACUUUUUAGAUAAUUUUGACUUAAUAAAAUAAGCUAAUUUUUUUGGCUUUUUACUUAAUGGAGAAAUCUGAAUUAAGUCAAUUACUUGCUAAUGUCAAAAAUAUCCCUGUUUUAUAAUUUAUUUUUCAUGUCUAUCCCAAAACUCACCCAUAUAUAUUUACCCCACAUAAAAAUAUCUCUGUUUUUUCUUUCUUAUAUUAUAUACGAUCAAAUUUGAAAUUUAUGGUAUUUUAUAUAUUAAAAAAUCAAAAUAAUUAUGUAUUCACUUGAAUAUAGUUUUACUUAUAAAUGUUAAAAUAUUGUGGUAUUUAAUAUAUUAUUUAUUUGACAUUCAAAUUUAAUAAGGAUACAAAUGUAAAAGUACAUAUUUUUAGCUUUUUAAGUUGAAAAAAACAAAUAACUUAAUACUUAUUUUUCAAGAUUCAGACGAAAAAAUAAACAUAUUAUUCAGAUUCAGACAUUCAGACCUAUUCAGAAUUCAGACUAAUUCAGAUCUAUUCAGAUUUCAGACAAAAAAACAAACGCCACCUAUGUCUCUAGACAAAUACCGAUGAUCAUGAAGUGACGGAUGCAUUCUAGUGAUAUAUUCCUUAAAUCGCUUAUAUAUUAUGAUUUUUUUCAGAUCUAAUGACCCAGUAAUUAUUUUUGAGCACAUAUAACACCUAGAUCAUUAAUAAUGGUGAUCAGCAUUGUUUUAAGAUUUAGAGCAAAUUAUGUGAUAGCCUAGGGACACUUGGCCAAAUGUUUCCUACAGUUAAAACAAGAUGUUUGUUAAAGUAUCUCAAUAAAGAGUAAGAUGGCGGGAAAGCUGUAGUUCAAUAUGCAGAGAUCUUUUGGCAUUUGGAAACAAUAAUCUUGAAGGUUCUAGAUCCUCACCAGGAUGAAAAGGCCAGAAAUUGAUCAACAAAAUGAAGGGUGCAUAAUAUGCAGCAAGUGAAGACAACAGUACACAACGGUCUUAUCAUCAUUGUGCAUAUUCAUCAAUUAGUCUCAGUCAUAAAUCAACAAUUGUAACAGUUGUAAGUAUAGUACAGAGACCUUAUGUAAAAAGCAAGUGAACUCAUGAAUAAAGAUGUGCUGGUUACAUCAAAUUAUUCUGUGCAUUGCUUUCGUAUUAUUCUCUGCACAAAACAGCCAUCAUUUUAUGUAAUUUAAACUUGGUAUCGGAGCUCUCAUUCCAGAAAUGGGCGUGAUUCAAUAUCGUAGUUCAACUGAGGAGGUUGACCUUAGUGAGCAAACACUUGAAACACCAGCAGUAACACAACAGUCAUCAUCCUUAAUUAUUGGGCAAAACUCCUCUCAAAUUUUCCUUUUCAGUUUCCACAGAACUUGACAGAACUAUGUCAUCUAGAGGACCAAGGUCAUGCCUGCCAUACGUCGCAAUGGUCUGGAGCACCUCAUUAGUGACUCACAAGACAUACCAACCAAAUAUAUCAUCAGUACUGAGGAUGACGGCACAACCAAAUCAACACUAAGACCAAAUUUUGUGAUGUGUUGCAAACCGGACCAACUACUCCUUAGUUGGCUUCUUUCUACAAUCACAGAAAGUAUUAUUUGUGCUGUGACUCAUUGCACAGCUUCUCAGUUGUUGACAGUGCUGGAGAAAAUUUACUCUUCACAGUCCAUGGCUAGGUCAAUAGUGCUAAGGAUGCAACUGCAUAGCACUAGAAAAGACAAUAUGAUUAUCAGUGAAUACUGCACCAAGAUGAGAAAUCUGGUAACGGAACUUGUUACUGCUAGAAAGAUUGUCUCAAAUGAAGAUCUCUGCAACCACAUUAUCACAGGACUUGACAGAAGCUAUGAGUCUGUGUUGGGGAGCCGGACUUCAAUGCUUUAAAACAUUCCUUUUUGAAGAACUCUGCUCAAUCCUCUACAGCCAUGAAGCAAGACUUGAACAGCAAGCCACUGCUGAAGCACAAGCUGCCUAUGAGGCAAAUGUCACCAUGAAACACAAGUGUGGGAUGAAUGAGAAGAAGGAAGGUCAUGGGAAAGGAUACAAUCCAAACCAAGGACCUGGAAAGUCUCAUGGAGGCAGAGGAAGCAACAAUAACAGCUUAAGAGGAAGGGGCAGAGGUAGAUAUGGGGGAAAGAAAACAGUCUUUAAGCCUGAUGUCACCUGUCAUAUUUUGCUUCAAAGUUGGUUACACUACAGAUGAGUGUUGGCACAUACGUGAGGAAGACUUUGUGCCCAGAAACAAUGAGCAACAACACCAAAGAGCGGCCUUUGUUGUAGCUAAUGAAGGAGUGCUUGAAACAGGGUGGAACCUAGACAGUCGUACGACAAACUAUGUGACUAAUGACCUCAACAACUUGAGCAUGAGAUCUGAGUAUAAAGGUAAUUCCUUUCUCAUGGUUUGAAAUGGACACAAAUUAAAAAUAUCACACACUGGCACAAUACUAUUUCCUUUAUCUUUUGGUAAAAAAAGAAGAUACUUGACUCUUAAGAAUGUUUAAUAAUGUUCUAUAUGUACUUGAUAUAACCAAUAAUCUCCUUAGCAUAUCAAGUUUGAUCUCAGAAAACCAUCUUAAUAUCUUGUUUACUGAAAAACAUUGUUGUUGUAAAGGACAAGCUGGGGAGUGCUCUUCCUCAAAGAACGAAUCAUGGAGGACUGUUUGUGGUCAGUAGAACUGCUGAAAAUAAAGCGGGAAGUGUUGCUGUCAAUUCUCUUUUAAGUUCACAGUCUUUGUUUGCAAUUAUAAUAGAGUCAAAUUCAGUUGAGUUUGAUUCUAAGUCGGCAGAGUUUGAAUGUGUUCAGUCUAUUGAGUCAAAUAAAAAUCGAGUUGGAUAUGUGAAGCAAUUAGACCUUUUAGAUAGAAAGUUUGGUCAUCCAAGUGAUGCUGUACUCAAAAUAAUAGUGUCAAGCUGUAAUAAUAUCUCAGCCUUAAAUAAAAAAGAAUCAAGUUCCUUUUGUUCAGCCCAUAUAUAUAGAAAGAACCAUAAGCUAAGCUUCAAAAAAAGCUCACGGACUAAAACGCAAGCAACAUUAGAAUUAUUGCACAAUGAUAUCACCUAUUCCAUUAGGAGAAAGGUACAAAUACUAAGCAUAGUAGAUGACCACACUAGGUACACUUCACUAGGACAUUUCCACUCAUUAACAAAUCUGAAACAACAAAAAUCUUUAUAAAAUUUAAAGAACAAGUGGAAAGAACAUCAGAAAAGAAAACUUAAGUGCUUAAGUGACUGAGAGGUGAAUUUAGGCCAUUAAAGGGUAUGUAGAGAUAUGAGGAAUAGUCUUUAUAUAUUCAUGCCCUUACACUUCAAUGAAGAAUUGAGUGGAACUGUAUAUAUGCCACAACCAGAUGAAUUUGAAAGCAAGGAAAAUUGGAAAAACCAAGCUAUGUCUGUGAUUGGAAAAAGCACUAUAUGGCUUAAAGCAGGCACAAGGGGUCUGGUAUAAGAAGCUGAGAGGAGUUUUGCUGACUUGCGGAUUCAAAAUGCAAUCUCAGACAAAUCGCAGACACAUUAUUAUUUCUCGGGAAGAAUAAGGGAAAGUCAGUAUAUGUACUUAUAUAUGAUGAUGACAUAUUGAUCACAGGAAGUGACCAAAGAACGACUGAAGGCGUUAUCAAACAAUUGAAUGAAAGUUUUGCUUUUAAAUUACCUGGCAUACCCAUCUAUUUUAUGCAAAUUGAAGCAAAAAGAGACUGUGGAGGGAGGCACUCGUGCUAAGAAAAGUAUAUACAGGAUCUACUAAAGAAAACCAAAAUGUUACAGCUAUAUGAAUAGUACGGAGACCUUGUAUGAAAAGCAAGUGAACUCAUGAAUAAAGAUAUGUCGGUUAUAUCAAGUUAUUCUAUGCAUUGCUUUCAAAUUAUUCUCUGCACGAUAGCCAUCAUUUUCAGUAAUUUAAACUCUUACGCUAAUUGGAAAAUGCACUGGCUUGCUUCUGCAGUAAUUUGGUUGUUGGAUUGGACCAUUGAUUUUAAGUGAUGAAGACAAAAUUCAACAAGGAACUCAUACGAGCCACAUGGAAAAAUUCAUUUUUAAUCAUUAUUAAUCACAUAAUAUGAUCCAUGUAACAAAAAUUAAAAUUUAUUAUUAAUAUCAGCCAUGGACUAAUUAUUUCAUACAACAAAGACAACAUUAUGGUAUUUGUUAUUUAGCUUUAUUAUAUGUUGUUCCUGAAAUUCUAGUUAUGCAACCCAAGAGGGGGGUGAAUUGAGAUUCUGAAAAUUAUUCAAUUCUAAAACAAAAUAUCAUGUAAAUCUAAAACGAAUUUAAAUCAAUAACAAUUAAAUCAAUCACAAUAUAAAAAGAUAAGGGAAGAGAGAUUCAAACACGAAGAUUUUUACGUGGUUCGGCCAACCUCGCCUACGUCCACGCCUCCAAGCUUUCCGGGCUUGAGGAUUUCACUAAGCAAGCCUCCAAGGCUUCAAAUGCUUACACUUGACUUCCAAGGCUUCAAUGAACCUUUACAACAAGAGAUUAUCCCCAAUCUCUUAACCCAAGUGUAUCCCAACACUUACAAUCACUCAAAGUAAAAGAUUACAAAUUGUUUUUCUCUCACACAAUAUUUAAGAUUACAAAUCAAUGCCCAAUGUGUGAAUAGAUGAAGCAAGAAUGUGUUUAAAGCUCUAUGAAGAUUGUAUUCUCGAAUAUAAGCUCAAUGGUCGUGUUGUGAUCAAUCUUGUUUGAAUUUGAAUGAGCUUAUUUAUAACUGGAGCUAAAAAACUAGCCGUUAUAGACUGUCUGCACGAAAACGGUUCGCCGUUAACCAUUAACGGUUAACCAUUUAGGCUGGUCAAAAGUUACCGUUGGGCCAAAUUUCAAAUAAACGGUUUGCCGUUUAGGCUUACCCUUUCGCCGUUAAAUUCCAGAGACCUGCAAAACAAAUUUGGUUUAACUGUUCUUACUAAACGGUUCAAGGUUAGCAAUCUGGAAAUAAUUGGUUAAUCGUUUUCAAUAAACGGUUCACCGUUAUUUUCCAGAAUCAUCAUUUUAACAAUAUUUUGCAGAACAUGCUUUUUGGAAAUAAUCAGUUAGCCGUUGCUACAGUAACUGCUACAGUGAAAUAUUUUUUAAAUUUAUAGUUUGACCUCAAAACUUUACAAAACUAUACUAUGGCCCAGAACGUUAUGAAAGUUUGCAAAUAGGUCCAAUUUUAGAAUUUCUAAAUAAUACUUUGUUAAUCCCAAAAAUUUCUGAAAUUAUGAUAUAGCCCAAAAUGCUAUGACACUUUUCAAAUAAGUCCUCCAAAAUUUCAAGCAAUACUUGUUGAUUUCAAAGUUUUCAAAACUCUUUCAAUUAAAUCAUAAACUUGAAAAACAACCAAUUUCAUAAAAUCAGUUUUCCAUUAAAUAUAAAACAUUUAUAAUGUAAAAAUAAUGAUUUAUUUAAAAUGUAUAAAAAUAAUAAUUUGAGCUUAAAAGAUUAAUCAUUCUUAAUCUUGUUUGUUAUCAUCAAAAUCAACAUUAUGAAAACAUAUAUGUUAACAAUUUCCCCCUUUUUGAUGAUGACAAACAUCUCAUGUAUUUAAAGCAUGAUUCCACAAAUUGCUCCCCCUAAAUAUAAUCUUCUCUUACAAUUUUCCUAAAUUAACAAAUUUAAAUACAUGUAUUCUUCUCCCCUCAUUAUCAAAAAGAAAACUUAGUGGAAAUGAAAAAGAGUAGCAAAUUUGUUACCCAUGUUGUCCGAGUAGAAAUUGGGAUAGAUACUCCCCCUAACAACAAGCAUCACCUCAAAUACAAGUUUAGUAAUAUUACUCCCAAAUUAUUAUAAAUUAUGAUACACACCAUGUAAUCAAAUCAUCAUCAUAUCUCAAAAUCAUCACCAUAAUCACAUAUUAAUCACUAAAACAAUAUUCAAGAGUCCAUAUUAUUCUCCUCCUUUUGACAACAUCAAAAUGGUAUAUUACUUUGUCUCCCCCUUUGGACAAUAAAAAAGUUCAAAAUGCAUAUUAUCCAAAAUCAUAUUAUAUGCUCCCUAAAUAUAUGGCCAAUUUAAAAUUUUAACCGAAAAGAUUUUAUCCAAAAACAUAUCAUAUGCUCCCCUUAAAAAUGAACAAAUCCUCAAAUUCACAACAUGGUUAAAAACACUUCCAUAUAAGUUUAAACAAUUAUAACAAACCAACAACUCCUUCAAUUCAUCAAGCAACGCACAUAUAAUCAUCAAUCAUCAAAAUCAUCAAGAAAUCAAAUCAUCCCAAGUUUAUGCCAAAUUUUUGAAAAUUGCUCUUCGCAAAGAGGUUUUGAUUUCUUUACCAAAUUGGCAUGCAUAUUAUCAACUAUCCAAGCUCCAUAAUUACCAAUCACAUUUUAUAAAUCAAGACAACUAAACUCAUCAAAGAUCUAAUGUGACAUUGUUGUGCAAAUUUUAUUGAACUCGCAAGUGCACGAAUCUAUUGUAGUGUAGAUCAAUGGUGACGAGUGUCGAUCCCACGAGGAGGUGGAUUUUAAUUGUGUGUAGAAUUAAUUUUGUAAAUGGGUGGUUGGAUUUCUAGUGAAAUUGAUUUGGAAUAUUCUAAAACUUAAAUUAAAAUGGCGAGAAUAAAUUGAAGAUAAAUCUAUUGAAAUGAAGCACUUGGGUAUCUGGAUCCGUAUCAACAUGCACCAUGGGCUAAAUAUUCAUUAUUAAUGCCAAUUAAAUCAUGAGGGGGGAAUCCACACCUCAUGAACCACACUCUAAUCAAUAUGGUACUAAGGGCUUAUCGUGCCAAAUAAUAAUAACUUUGUACUAGAGAGCCGGUGUAACCAAAGCGGUAUCUAGACAAGAUUAUUAUUAUUUAUCGACGAAAAGUCAAAUCAUCCACAAAAAUUAGAGGGGAAAAGAAAAUAAAUUUACCAAAUAAAGCCCACGACACAUGUUGAGACUUCACCUUCAACCCAAGCUUGAAAGAAAAUUAGCCACUCAUAAUUGAACUAAGGGCAAAAUGGAAAUUUAUUAAAAUACGUAGAAAAUACAAGAUGGAGAAGGAAUUACAGAAAAUGGAUCCCAAAAAUAGAUUCAGAGGUAUCAAAUUAGGGGGGGAGGCCCCCUUUUUAUAGAUACAUGGAGUAAAUCAUGGCCAUCGGAUUAAAAAUAGUUUGGACGCUCAGGAUUGCGCCAUGUCAUCAGUCAACAGUACGCGGUUUGACCACGUGGAUGAACAGUAACACAGUUUGACCCGGCUUUGAACAGUAACGCGGUUUGGUUGAAAAUAAUCCUGUGUAAUGCAUGUACCGUACGUGCAAGUUUUGGUCCACUAAUAUGCUGCCACGUCACCAUCAACAGUUCAUAAGAAUUUUAGACCAACAGGAUCAUGACACCUCAUCAGUCAAUGCCACAUUAUCGGUCAAUGCCACGUCAUCGAUCCGUCUAUGUGAAUAGUGUCAUAAAUAGUAACGUAUACAGUACCGUACAUGUGAAUAGUACCGUACAUGUGAACAGUGUCAUUUUUCCUUUUAUGCUUCUCCUAAGGUUUUCGACCGUCCUGAGUUCAAAAGUGAUAUCCGUUUUGCCGUUUGAUCUCUCGUUUAUUGUGAAAUGACUAUGAUGCCCCUAAAAUACACAAAAUACUUAAUUAAAAUAAAACACACAUAAUUAAAUUACAAGAACCUUAAAUACAUAAAAAUAAGAGUUGUUAGUAAGACUUGAAAUGUAAAAUGACGAUUUUCUCCUUUAUAAAUAUACAUUUUCUAACACUCAACACACCCCCCAACCAGCUUAUUGCUAGUCCCUAGCAAAUAAAGCAAAAACAAAAUUCAAACACAAAUUUUUUUUUUUUAAACAAUCUUGUUUAUUCAAUCAGACUAAUGAUAGCAAUCAAAUAAAAGUAUAAGCAUUAUCUCCAGUCUAAAGCAACAUCACACCCAUAUCAACCAUCCACAUGAAUCAGCCCGGUAGACUUUAUCAUAGCUACUUUCAAGAAUGACAUGUCAAACCCCAAAAUCUCACUGGAAGCAGUGACACUCUCACAAAGAAAUUAAGCCCAAUAAAAAUAGUAACUCCAAUGAAUGGUAAUUGAGAGAAAAUAAUCAAGAAGUGAUAUCACAUGCUCUCACCAAGAUGAAAGAAAUAUGCCUUCAGCUUAGAAAUAAUACGAUCUCAAGUCAAAUAAAAAUGCUAGUCAACCCAAUUUAUUUAUUUUUAUUUAUUAUUUUUUUUAUGCACCACUACAUCUUUUUAGCCCAUAUAACUAACUUCUACUUCAGACUAUAGUUCCCUAAAAUCAAGAAGGACUUUUAUUAGGACGUAACGUAGGCUAGGGAUAUGGCUAACAAAGAAGGGAAAUAAGGAAAACAAAGUGUAUGUUUGAGAAAAAUGCAGAGAAUUUUUUUUUUCUUUAGGGAAGUUGCAAGGUGGAUUUCACCUAUUAUUGUUAUUUUUAUUUUUGAAAAAACAAUUUUUUUUUUAAACAACAGUAUCUCUUUUUUUUUUGCAUAACUUCACUGUACAAAAUGUUUAUUUACAUUUUUCUAAAACAUAAUAGGUGAUGGAACUUGUAAGAUAUUGGGUAAUACUCCAAAUCGGAGUGGGUCAAAAUGAUAAGUUUAACAAAGAAAAUGUUUUUUUUUUUUAAAGGCUCAAAAGGGUUAACUAUGGAUAUUUCAUAAAAGGGAUGGCUAGAAAUGCUCAAACGGAUCAAAGAUGGCCUUUCAAUCAUCUUUUAGGGCUCUAAAUAAUCUUCCAUAUCUACUAGUUAGAUGGGCCUCCAAAUGUAGCAACACAUUUUUUCUCUCUUUUUUUUAUUUUUUUUUAUUUUAUAAUUUUUUUUAAGGGUUAACUCAAAAGAAAUCUAAAGAUCGUGUAUAAAAUAAUAAACUGCUAAGCUGUAUAAAGAAUGGGCAAAAGGGUUACUCUCCAAGAAAAAUAAUAGGCUCAAAAACUCACUUGGUACUUAUUAUGACAUUUUCAUUCCUUCAAGCAACUCAUAUUUGUCUACGACAUCAACAUGUAAAGUAGCAAACAUAGCGUAACAUCACUUAAGACCGAAGAUAAUACAAAUAUUAAAAUUUGAAAUUAAUCAUGUCAUCCAAUGUUAAAACAAAUCACACAAAUUUUUUUUUUUUUAAGCAACAUCCUACCCCCCAACCUAUUCUAAACAUGAAAGGAAAAUAUGCAUGCAGAAAUGUGAAAAUGAUGCAGAAAAACUAAUUAGAAAAUGAUAGAAAACGAAAAUGGUUUUUUUUUUUUUUUAACUUAAGAAGAUGCGUUUCUAGAGGCACUACACUCCAUAUUCAGCCAUCUUCGACUCAAAAAAAAUGAAAAUGUAUAUUUAUAAAGGAGAAAUUAAAAAGAAGAAGAAAAAUGAACAUCAAAACAUAAUAAAGAAAAAGAAAAUGUCUGAAUUUUGUUUUUGUUUUUUUUUGUUUUUCAAACGAUGAAGAUGCGUUUCUAGAGUCACUACACUCCAUAUUCAGCCAUCUUCAACACAAAAAGUUAGCAACAGUUAGUUUCUACAAUAAAAAAUCAGUAAAAACUCAACCAAGAUUCCACAAUUGUCGACUAUUCCCUCCCCCCAACCAGAAUAAAACAUUGUCCUCAAUGUUGUAAAGGAAAGAAGUAGAGUUUAGAAGACAUCACCUGGGUGGUGCAACACAGAAGAAAAUAUUUACAGGCGGAGAGUUAAAUCUAAUUUGUACUUCUUACUGCGGCUACUGUUACCGUCAUGAUUUGGAUGCUCCAACACAAAGGUUCAGGGGUCUGGCUCCGGUUUAUAAGCUUGUAACAUAUCAAGUAGCUCAUUAGUAGUGUGAGCACAAAUAAAAAAAUUUUUCGCACAGGAAGGAAUGAAGUAGUUUUUUAUUGCAUGGUUAAGAAAUGCGAUAAAGUCAUCAUAAAAGUUAUUGACAUUUAACAAACCGAUGGGUUUCUGGUGAAUGUGCAGAUGGGCCCAAGAUGCUAGUGUGAUAAGUGCCUCUAGUGUUGCAAGAUCUACUGGAAGGAAAAUAAAAACAUCAGCAUGAUUAAGUAUUUCAGUUAUUCUUUCUUGCAUACUUGAUACGACUAACUCUUCUCCAGUCGAUGAGUCAGACAAAUUGCCCAAAGGUUUUAGAGCUCUUGAGAUGAUGACUAACACUUGGCUUCCUCUGAUAAAAGCAGCUUCUGAGACCAAUUUUGAUAACCCUCGGUUACCUCCUCCAUACACCAAGUGUAAUUUUCUCUCUGCUAUGCUUCGACUAAGAUCUAUGGCUGCAUCAACGAACUCUUUAUGUUUGCCAUAGGUAAAUCCAGAAAGCACACAAAUGUUCUUGAAUUGUCUAUUGGGAGUAGCUGCCAUUGAAAUACUUCUCAAAAAUAAUUUGUGAGUGCUUGACAAAAAAAAUCACAUUUAAGAAUCUUGGUGACAGUGGGUCACAACUGUGAAUGAGGUAACAUGUCAGUGUCAAAUAAUGCGUGAAGCACAUGGCUCUGAGUCAAAAAGGAAACAGUAAAAAGGAAAAGCAAACAGUAAUAAAAUUAUUAAAGACAAUAAUGAAAACAAUAAAACAAUAGUGAAAUAAAAUAACAGUAAAGUAAAAGGAUAUUUACAGGUAGUUGCGACUGUGGCUCACAUCUUCCUCUGGUUUUACGUCCAGAAACGGCUUGAACGCCCUCUAUGGGUCGAGGAUAGGCUUUCCAUCCAGUUUUCUUAUAAACUGGCAAACAGGGUCAUUUAUAGUCAGAUUCCCAAGACUAUAUCGUGCAUGCUCUUUCUGGAAUAAUGGCCAUAACUGGAGAAUCGCUCCUUGCACAUAUCCACUGGGAUGCGUUUCAAGACACAGAAGGAUAUCAUCCAAUGACUCCUUAUUCAAGCCAUCCCUAAUGAAUUGAAUCUUAUCUUCCCUGUUAUCAGACACCAUUCCUAAAGAACAUGGGUUUUUAUCGCAACUCAUUCUGGCACACUUAUGACAAGCAACAGAAAUUCUUCGAGCUCGUCGUUUUCUUGCAUAAUUUCCUUUACUACAACCAGGCAUGUAUGCAAUAAAUUUUGGAGGUAACUCACCUGCCAAUCGUACUUUAGCCUCGAUUAACCAAUGGAUGUCAGCAGGUAUGUUACUCCUCAUGAGCAAUCGCAUGCGUUCGGACCGGCUUUAUAGAUCGUAAGGAGGGCAUUCUGAGGGAGUGAAGGGAAUCGCUUGUGAAGCUUUGCUAGAAUCUCGUUUCUAUCCAUACCUUCGCCUCAGAAUAUCAGUUAUUAUGGGAAAACUGAAGUAACCGACUUGAUUGUCACGGAGUACCGUUAUCCGCCACUUCACCGGGGUAACAAACUAAAGCACACAAACAGAAAAACAAAUUAAAACACACAAAGAAAAUUAAAAUCGUCCUCUUAUUGAAUUUACCUCAAGCUCCAACUGAAUGUCGUAAACACUUCUCUCAAUGUCUUUGAGUUGGCUUUCUAAACCCUCAACAUAGGAUACUAACUCUGGUGGUUGCAGAGCCCAAAUACGAUGUGUUUUACAAAAUUGAAUCUGCCUUUUGAGAUGAGUUUUAACACGUUGAAGUGGUUUAAGAAUGUUCAGGAGGAACGGUCUAAGUAUGGUACUCAUGAUUAUCAAUGAUAAGAGAAAACUUAAUGGUAAAACAAACACACUUAUGCAAAAAUAAUUUCAAUUAGAAAAAGAAUAAUAAAAAGAAAGAAAGAAAAAUCAAACCACCGAAAAGAAAAAAAAUCAAUUCAAAUCUGGUGGGUCACUCAAAUUUAUUUUGGUGUCUUCUCCAUGUGGUUGGUACUCUAGAUAUGGCUUUAAUCUUUGACCAUUAACUUUAAAUGUGACACCAUUCUUUGGGUCCUUAAUUUCAAUUGCCCCAUGUGGAAAAACAGUAUGAACAAUAAAGGGAUCAGACCAACGAGAGCGUAACUUACUUGGGAAUAGGUGCAAGCGAGAAUUGAAUAAAAGCACUUUCUGACCUGGAGUGAACGAUUUUCUCAUAAUUUUCUUGUCAUGGAAGACUUUCAUUCGUUGCUUGUAAAUCUUGGCAUUUUUGUAUACAUCAUUGCGAAUUUCUUCAAGUUCUGCCAGUUGUAAUCUUCUUUCUAAGCUAGCUUGCUGCAUGUCAAAGUUAAAUUUCUUGAUGGCCCAAUAUGCACGAUGCUCGAGUUCCACAGGUAGGUGGCAAGCUUUUCCAUACACUAGCCUGUAGAGUGACAUCCCAAUCGGGGUCUUGAAAGCCGUUCUAUAUGCCCAUAAUGCAUCAUCAAGUCUUAAUGACCAAUCUUUUCUGUCUGGCUUCACCGUCUUUUCUAAUAUGUGCUUUAUUUCUCGAUUGGAGAUCUCAACUUGGCCACUGGUUUGCGGAUGAUAUGGGGUCGCCACUUUGUGAGUGAUUGAAUAUUUUGUCAAAAGAGCUUUGAAUGCUUUGUUACAAAAGUGGGCACCACCAUCACUAAUUAUUGCUCGAGGGAAUCCAAAGCGCGAAACAAUGUUGCUUUUCAAAAAUCCUAUCACUACCUUGUGAUCAUUGGUUCUGCAUGGAAUUGCUUCUACCCAUUUCGAUACGUAGUCAACAGCAGCCAAUAUGUAUUGAUGGCCAAAAGAAGGGGGAAAGGGUCUCAUGAAGUCGAUACCCCAUACAUCAAAAAUCUCAACCACUAAAAUUGGAUUUAGUGGCAUCAUGUUCCUUCGCGUAAUGCUCCCCAUUCAUUGACACCUAUCGCAUGAAGAACAUAAAGUGUAAGCGUCUCAAAAUACAGUUGGCCAAUAGAAACCACAUUGUAAAACUCUAGUCGUUGUUUUCUUAGCACUGAAAUGGCCUCCACAAGCUUGUUCAUGGCAAAAUGAAAGGAUAUUUUGGAUUUCACUUUCUGGGACACAUCGUCUGACAAUUUGAUCUGCACAAUACUUGAACAAAUACGGGUCAUCCCAAAAGUAAUUCUUUAUUUCUGCAAAGAAUUUAGCCUUGUCUUGCUUGAUCCAAUGCUCUGGAAGUUGACUUGUAACAAGAUAAUUCAUGAUGUCAGCAUACCAUGGUAAUACUUCCACACUCAUCAAUUGUUCAUCUAGAAAUGACUCAUUCAAUGUUAAUGGCUCUGUAAUUGUGUCAAAAUGGAGACGAGAGAGAUGGUCAUCUACAACAUUCUUUGUGCCUUUCUUAUCUUUAAAUUCCAAGUCGAAUUCCUACAAAAGUAAUGUUGAGUGUUAGAAAAUGCAUAUUUAUAAAGGAGAAAACCGUCAUUUUACAUUUCAAGUCUUACUAACAACCCUUACUUUUAUGUAUUUAACCUUCUUGUGAUGUAAUUACGUGUGUGUUAUUUUAAUUAAGUAUUUUAUGUGUUUUAGGGGCAUUAUAGUCAUUUCACAAUAAAGGAGAGAUCCGAUGGCAAAACGGACAUCACUUUUGAACUCAGGACGGUCGAAAACCUUAGGAGGGGCAUAAAAGGAAAAAUGGCACUAUUCACAUGUACGGUACUAUUCACGUAUACGAUACUGUCUACGUUACUGUUCAUGACACUGUUCACAUAGACGGAUCGAUGACGUGGCAUUGACCGAUGAUGUGGCAUUGACUGAUGAGGUGUCACGAUCCUGUUGGACUAAAAUUCUUAUGUACUGUUGAUGGUGACGUGGCAGCAUAUCAGUGGACGAAAAAUCUCGCGUACGGUGCAUGCAUCACACAGGAUUAUUUUCAACCAAACCGUGUUACUGUUCAUCCGCGUGGUCAAAUCGUGGACUGUUGACUGAUGACGUGGCGCAAUCCUGAGCGUCCAAACUGUUUUUAAUCCGAUGGCCAUGAUUUACUCCAUGUAUCUAUAAAAAGGGGGCCUCCCCCCCCUAAUUUGAUAGCUCUGAAUCCAUUUUUGGGAUCCAUUUUCUGUAAUUCCUUCUCCAUCUUGUAUUUUCUUUGUAUUUUAAUAAAUUCUCAUUUUACCCCUAGUUCAAUUAUGAGUAGCUAAUUUCCUUUCAAGCUUGGGUUGAAGGUGAAGUCUCAACAUGUGUCAUGAGCUUUAUUUGGUAAAUUUAUUUUCUUUUCCCCUCUAGUUUUUGUGGAUGAUUUGACUUAUCGUCGACAAAUAAUACUGAUCUUGUCUAGAUACCGCCUUGGUUACACCGGCUCUCUAGUAUAAGGUUAUUAUUAUUUGGCACGAUAAGCCCUUAGCACCAUAUUGAUUAGAGCGUGGUUCAUGAGGUGUGGAUUCCCCCCUCAUGAUUUAAUUGGCAUUAAUAAGGAAUAUUUAGCCCAUGAUGCAUGUUGAUACGGAUCCAGAUACCCAAGUACGUCAUUUCAAUAGAAUUCUCUUCAAUUUAUUCUCGCUAUUUCAAUUCCAAUUUUAGAAUUUAUUCUCGCCAUUUUAAUUUAAGUUUUAGCAUAUUCCAAAUCAUUUCCACCACAAAUCCAAUCACCCAUUUACAGAAUUAAUUCUACACACAAUUAAAAUCCACCUCCUCGUGGGAUCGAUACUCGUCACCAUUGAUCUACACUACAAUAGAUUCGUGCGCUUGCGAGUUCAUUAAAAUUUGCACAACAAGUUUUUGGCGCCGUUGCCGGGGAGGUAAGUAAUUUUAAUUCAUAGAAUUAAUUUUUGUGAAUAAUUUCUUUUAUUUGUUUCCUUGUAUUUUUUAUUAAAAAAAAAAAGUGAAUCCGCAUUUAGAGGUUAGUAUUUCUUUUCUUUCUCUCUUCUUUAAAAUUUUGUAAUUUUUAAUUUAUUUUUAAUUUAUUUUUCUUUGUAAUUUUUGUUUAUCUUAUUAAUUUAAUUUUUAGUUAAUUUAUUUCACGUAUUUAUUUUUGUGUAUUUUUAUAGUAAGGUUGUAAUAGCGCAAUAAGGUUAGUAUUGUAAUUUCUCCCUCUUAUUUAUUUUUAUUUGUUUUGUUCCCAUAUUUAUUUUUAUUUUUAUUUUAUUUUGCAUGCAUGGUCGUAGGUCAUUAUUACCUAAUCUUGAACCUAUAGACCUUGAAUUAGAAAAAACACUUCGCACACACAAACACGUUAAAAAUAAAAUGGAUUUGCAACCACAGGAGAGGCCAUUUAAGGACUAUUUUAGUCCCUUAGCUAAUUUGAGCACAUCAUGUAUUAGAUACCCAAAUGUAGCUGCUAGGAGCUUUGAACUAAAACCUAGUGUGCUAAAUUGUCUCCCCACAUUCUAUGGCUUAGAAAAUGAGGACCCAUAUAAUCAUCUGAAUGAUUUUCAUGCUAUUUGUCAAACUUUUAAAUACGAGAAUUUUUCAGACGAUGAUGUUAAACUUAGAUUAUUCCCAUUUUCUUUAAAGGAUAGAGCUCGUUCUUGGUUAAAUACUUUACCUGCUAAUAGCAUCACAUCAUGGGAACAAAUGGUAACUAAAUUUUUGAAUAAAUAUUUCCCAGUGCAUAAAACCAAUGCUAUUCGCAAGGAAAUCUCGGAGUUUACCCAGAGAGAGGACGAGCAAUUUUUCGAAACAUGGGAGCGAUUCAAUGGGCUACUCUUGAAGUGUCCACAUCAUGGGUACGAGAAAUGGCACCAAUGUCAAUACUUUUUGGAGGGAUUACUACCGAAUGUGCAAGAAUGGCUAAUGGCAACAAGUGGAGGAGAGCUAAUGUCAAAAAGUGCAUCAGAAAUUUGGGAAUUCUUCCAACGACAAGCAGAUAAUUCCCAACAACAGAGUCGAUCACUCAGGAAUACUAGAAGAAUUAAGGGAGUAAAUGAGGUUCAAAUUGGCGAGUCAACUUCGGAAAUCAAAGAAGUCAAGGAGAUGGUUGAAGUUCUUGCUCGACAAAUAGCAUCGUUAUCGACUGCUAAAUCAACAGAACUACAUGACCAUGACUCAUACUCCGAUCAAGCCAAUGCCAUAGGUGUAAUGAGAAAGCCAUCUAAUUACAACCCAUACUCCAACACAUAUAACUCUGGAUGGAGAGACCACCCCAAUUUUUCAUGGUCUCAAGGAUUCCAACAGAAUGGACCAGCAGCUCCAGCUCCACAAAUUCCUCAAGUUCCUCAAGCCUCUCAGCCCCCAUUUAGACCAUUCAAUCAGAACCAGAACUACUCUCAACCCAGACCAUGGGAGGAUUCAUUCCAGAAUCUCAAGAAUCUUACUCACUCCACAAUUGAGCAACAGAAUUGCACCAUUGAUGGACUACGAAAUGAGUUGAGAGCGGGCUUCAACUCACAAGCCCAAUCAGUUUCAAGCCUCGAGAAAUGGUGGGACAACUUGCUUCUUCAGUUCAGACCUUGGCAAUUACUGUUGAGAAAGGUAAAUUUCCAAGUCAACCAGUGCCUAAUCUUAAAAGGGUACAUGAAGCAAGUACCAGUUCACCACAGCAGCAUGGAGAGGUCAAAGCAGUCAUGACCUUGCGAAAAGGAAAAGAAGUCGACAACAAAGUGGAGAUGCCGGUGACAAAAGAAAAUCAAAUUGUACCUGUAAAUGCUGAGGACUCACCACCGGAGGAAAAAGAAGAAACCAACCCACGAGAAUACGUUCCCAAAGCUCCAUUUCCUCAGAGGUUAGCUAAAGGAAAAAAGGGAAAAUCCACAGGUGAGAUUCUCGAAAUCUUCAAACAGGUAAGUGUUAACAUCCCUUUACUUGAUGCUAUUAAACAAGUUCCAUCUUAUGCCAAGUUUCUUAAAGACCUUUGUACUAAAAAGAGAAACAUGCAUGUUCAAAAGAAGGCAUUUUUAACAGAAAACGUUAGUUCUAUACUCCAACAUAAAAUUCCUUUAAAAUGCAAAGACCCAGGCUCCCCCACUAUCUCAUGUAGUAUAGGGAACCACACAAUUGAGAAUGCUUUGUUGGAUUUAGGAGCUAGUGUAAAUUUGUUGCCUUAUUCAGUAUUUGUGAAACUUGGACUGGGAGAAUUACACCCAACUCCAGUGGUGUUACAGCUUGCAGAUCGGUCCACGAAAAUACCUCGUGGUAUUGUGGAGGAUGUGCUUAUCCAGGUAGACAAGUUUUAUUUUCCUGUUGAUUUCAUUGUAAUUGACACUCAACCAAUACAGGAUUCAAGGAAGCACAUCCCCAUUAUCCUAGGCCGACCUUUCUUGGCAACUGCGGAUGCUCACAUUCAAUGCAGGACUGGAAAUAUGCAGUUGUCCUUCGGCAACAUGACUAUGGAGCUAAACAUUUUCAACAUUGCCAAACAACCUCACAGUGCAGAUGAUGGAAUUGUUGAUGUGGAUUUAAUUGAAGCAUUAGUUGAUGACACAUUUAUUUCAAACUUUAGUGAUGAUCCUUUACAAACAUGUUUAACUCACUUUGGUUUGGAUUUUGAUAUUGACAGAUCGGUCGAUGAGGUCAAUGCUCUACUUGACUCAGCACCAUUCAUGGACACUAAUAAAUGGAAGUCAAGAGUUGAACAACUAGCACCAUCAGAAAAGAAACUCAUCCCAUCAUCAGAAUCACCACCAAAACUCGAGCUCAAACCAUUACCCAACACUUUGGAAUAUGCGUUUUUGGGAGAAGAAAGCACUCUGCCGGUAAUCAUCUCAUUAUCCCUCAAUGACGAACAAAAAGGUAAGUUGUUGGAUGUUUUAAAAGAGCACAAAGGAGCAUUAGGAUGGACCAUAGCAGAUAUAAAAGGUAUAAACCCAGUAGACUGCAUGCAUUACAUUCACCUUGAUGAAAAUGCUAAAUCUACUAGGGAAAUGCAACGUCGGUUAAAUCCUAAUAUGAAAGAAGUUGUUAGAACAGAAGUCCUUAAGCUAUUAGACGCAGGUAUCAUUUACCCAAUUUCUGAUAGUUCAUGGGUCAGUCCUGUACAAGUUGUCCCCAAAAAGUCAGGAGUCAUAGUAGUUACCAAUGCUGAUAAUGAAUUGAUACCAACUAGAGUAACUACAAGAUGGCGUGUAUGCAUUGAUUAUAGAAAGUUGAAUUCUAUCACACGUAAAGACCAUUUUCCUUUACUAUUUAUUGAUCAAAUGCUUGAUAGAUUAGCAGGCCAUGAAUUUUAUUGCUUUCUAGAUGGCUACUCAGGAUAUAAUCAGAUUCCUAUAGCACCAAAAGAUCAAGAGAAGACCACUUUCACUUGCCCUUUUGGCACAUUUGCAUAUAGGAAAAUGCCAUUUGGAUUAUGUAAUGCACCUGCUACAUUUCAACGAUGCAUGUUGAGCAUUUUUUCUGAUAUGGUUGAACGAUUCCUUGAAGUCUUUAUGGAUGAUUUUUCUGUCUUUGGUGACUCGUUUGAUCAAUGUUUACAUCAUCUAACGCUAGUUCUGCAGAGAUGUACCGAGAAGAGCUUAGUCUUAAAUUGGGAGAAGUGUCAUUUUAUGGUAAAACAAGGUAUUGUUCUCGGUCACAUCAUUUCAAGCAAAGGUAUUGAGGUUGACAAAGCCAAGGUGGAUCUCAUUUCUAAUCUUCCUCCACCCAAAACAGUCAGAGAAGUAAGAUCUUUCCUUGGGCAUGCUGGUUUCUAUAGACGUUUCAUUAAAGAUUUUAGCAAAGUUUCUAGACCCUUAUGCAAUUUACUUGCUAAGGAUGUACCUUUUAUCUUUAAUGAUUCAUGUCUUAUGGCUUUUGAAAAAUUAAAGCAAUUGUUGACAUCAUCACCCAUCAUUCAGGCCCCAAAUUGGAGCUUACCAUUUGAGCUUAUGUGUGAUGCAUCUGAUUAUGCAGUAGGAGCAGUUUUAGGACAAAGAGUUGAUCGAAUUCCUCAUGUUAUUUACUAUGCUAGUAUGACAUUGAAUGAUGCACAGUUGAACUAUUCAACUACUGAAAAAGAAAUGCUAGCAGUAGUGUUUGCAUUGGAAAACUUUCAAUCUUAUCUCAUUGGUUGUAAAAUAAUUAUAUUCACAGAUCAUGCUGCUCUUAAAUAUCUUCUCACAAAGAAAGAUGCAAAAGCUAGACUAAUUCGUUGGGUGUUACUUUUGCAGGAAUUCGACUUGGAAUUCAAGGAUAAGAAAGGCAUAGAAAAUGUUGUGGCGGACCAUCUCUCUCGUCUCCAUUUUGACAUAAUUACAGAGCCAUUAAUAUUAAAUGAGUCAUUUCCAGAUGAACAAUUAAUGAGUGUGGAAGUAUUACCUUGGUAUGCUGAUAUAGUUAAUUAUCUUGUUACAGGUAAACUUCCAGAGCAUUGGACCAAGCAAGACAAGGCUAAAUUCUUUGUGGAAAUAAAGAAUUUCUUUUGGGAUGACCCAUAUUUGUUCAAGUAUUGUGCAAACCAAAUUGUUAGACGAUGUGUCCCAGAAAGUGAAAUUCAGAAUAUUCUUUCAUUCUGCCAUGCACAAGCUUGUGGAGGCCAUUUCAGUGCUAAGAAAACAGCAACUAAAGUUUUACAAUGUGGUUUUUAUUGGCCAACUAUAUUUCAAGAUGCUUACACUUUCUGUUCUUCAUGUGAUAGGUGUCAACGAAUGGGGAGCAUUACACGAAGGAACAUGAUGCCACUAAAUCCAAUUUUAGUGGUUGAGAUUUUUUACGUAUGGGGUAUUGACUUCAUGGGACCCUUUCCCCCUUCUUUUGGCCAUAAAUACAUAUUGGUUGGUGUUGACUAUGUAUCGAAAUGGGUGGAAGCAAUUCCAUGCAGAACCAAUGAUCACAAAGUGGUGAUAGGAUUUUUGAAAAGCAACAUUGUUUCACGCUUUGAUUCCCUCGAGCGAUAAUCAGUGAUGGUGGUGCCCACUUUUGUAACAAAGCAUUCAAGGCUCUUUUGACAAAGUAUUCAAUCACACACAAAGUGGCGACCCCGUAUCAUCCGCAAACCAGUGGCCAAGUUGAGAUCUCCAAUCGAGAAAUAAAGCACAUAUUAGAAAAGACGGUGAGGCCAGACAGGAAAGAUUGGUCAUUAAGACUUGAUGAUGCAUUAUGGGCAUAUAGAACGGCUUUCAAGACCCCGAUUGGGAUGCCACCCUAUAGGCUAGUGUAUGGAAAAGCUUGCCACCUACCUGUGGAACUCGAGCAUCGUGCAUAUUGGGCUAUCAAGAAAUUCAACUUUGACAUGCAGCAAGCCAGCUCAGAAAGAAGAUUACAACUGGCAGAACUUGAAGAAAUUUGCAAUGAUGCAUAUGAAAAUGCCAAGAUUUACAAGCAACGAAUGAAAGUCUUCCAUGAUAAGCAAAUUAUGAGAAAAUCGUUCACUCCAGGUCAGAAAGUGCUUUUAUUCAAUUCUCGCUUGCACCUAUUCCCAGGUAAGUUACGCUCUCGAUGGUCUGGUCCCUUUAUUGUUCAUACUGUUUUUCCACAUGGGGCAAUUGAAAUUAAGGACCCAAAGAACGGUGUCACGUUUAAAGUUAAUGGUCAAAGAUUAAAGCCAUAUCUAGAGUACCAACCACAUGGAGAAGACACCGAAAUAAAUUUGAGUGACCCACCAGAUUUGAAUUGAUUUUUUUUCUUUUCGUUGAUUUGAUUUUGUUUUCUUUCUUUAUAUUAUUCUUCUGCUAAUUGAAAUUAUUUUUGCAUAAGUGUGUUUGUUUAACUAUUAAGUUUUCUCUUAUCAUUUUUAAUCAUGAGUACCUUACUUAGACCGUUCCUCCUGAACAUUCUUAAACCACUUCAACGUGUCAAAACUCAUCUCAAAAAGCAGAUUCAAUUUUGUAAAACACAUCGCAUUUGGGCUCUACAACCACCAGAGUUAGUAGCCUAUGUUGAGGGUUUAGAACGCCAACUCAGAGACAUUGAGAGAAGUGUUUACGACAUCCAGUUGGAGCUUGAGGUAAAUUCAAUAAGAGGACGAUUUUAAUUUUCUUUGUGUGUUUUGAUUUGUUUUUCUAUUUGUGUGCUUUAGUUUGUUACCCCGGUGAAGUGGCGGAUAACGGUACUCCGUGACAAUCAAGUCGGUUAACUUCAGUUUCCCAUAAUAACUGAUAUUCUGAGGCGAAGGUAUGGAUAGAAACGAGAUUUUAGCAAAGCUUCACAAGCGAUUCCCUUCACUUCCUCAGAAUGCCCUCCUUACAGUCUAUAAAGCCCGGUCUGAACGCAUGCGAUUGCUCAUGAGGAAUAACAUACCUGCAGACAUCCGUUGGUUAAUCGAGGCUAAAGUACGAUUGGCAGGUGAGUUACCUCCUAAAUUUAUUGCAUACAUGCCUGGUUGUGGUAAAGGAAAUUAUGCAAGAAAACGACGAGCUCGAAGAAUUUCUGUUGCUUGUCAUAAGUGUGCCAGAAUGAGUUGCGAUAGAAACCCAUGUUCUUUAGGAAUGGUGUCUGAUAACAAAGAAGAUAAGAUUCAAUUCAUUAGGGAUGGCUUGAAUAAGGAGUCAUUGGAUGAUAUCCUUUUGUCUCUUGAAACGCAUCCCAGUGGAUAUGUGCAAGGAGCGAUUAUCCAGUUAUGGUCAUUAUUCCAGAAAGAGCAUGCACGAUAUAGUCUCGGGAAUCUGACUAUAAACGACCCUGUUUGCCAGUUUAUAAGAAAACUGGAUAGGAAGCCCAUCCUCGACCCAUAGAGGGCGUUCAAGCCGUUUCUGGACAUAAAACCAGAGGAAGAUGUGAGCCACAGUCGCAACUACGUGUAAAUAUCCUUUUACUUUACUGUUAUUUUAUUUCAUUUCACUGUUGUUUUAUUGUUUGCAUUAUUGUCUUUAAUAAUUUUAUUACUAUUUGCUUUUUCCUUUUUACUGUUUCCUUUUUGACUCGCGAGCCACGUGCUUUACGCGUUAUUUGACACUGACAUGUUACCUCAUUUACAGCUAUGAUCCAUUGUCACCAAGAUUUUUAAAUAUAACUUUUUGUUACGAACUCACAAAUUAUUUUUGAGAAGUAUCACAAUGGCAGCUACUCCCAAUAGACAAUUCAAGAACAUUUGUGUGCUUUCUGGAUUUACCUAUAGCAAACAUAAAGAGUUCGUGGAGGCAGCCAUAGAUCUUGGUCGAAGCAUAGCAGCGAGAAAAUUACAUUUGGUGUAUGGAGGAGGUAACCGAGGGUUAUCAAAAAUGGUCUCAGAAGCAGCUUUUAUCAGAGGAAGUCAAGUGUUAGGUAUCAUCCCAAGAGUCCUAAAACCAUUGGGCAGUUCGUCUGACUCAUCAACUGGAGAAGAGUCAGUCGUCUCAGGUAUGCAAGAAAGAAUAACUGAAAUGCUUAAUCAUGCUGAUGCUUUUAUUUUCCUUCCAGGAGAUCUUGCAACACUAGAGGCACUUAUGACACUAGCAUCUUGGGCCCAUCUACACAUUCACCAGAAACCCAUCGGUUUGUUAAAUGUCAAUAACUUUUAUGAUGGCUUUAUCGCAUUUCUUAACCAUGCAAUAAAAAACUAUUUCAUUCCUUCUAAUGUGAAAAAAACUCUUUCUUUGUGCUCACACUGCUAAUGAGCUACUUGAUAUGUUACAAGCUUAUAAACCGGAGCCAGACCCUUGGACCUUUGUGUUGGAGCGACCAAAUAAUGAUGGUAACAGUAGCCGCAGUAAGAAGUACAAAUUAGAUUUAACUCUCCGCCUGUAAAUAUUUUCUUCUGUGUUGCACCAUCCAGGUGAUGUCUUCUAAACUCUACUUCUUUCCUUUAAAACAUUGAGGACAAUGUUUCGUUCUGGUUGGGGGGAGGGAAUAGUCGACAAUUGUGGAAUCUUGGUUAAGUUUUUACUAAUUUUUUGUUGUAGAAACUAACUGUUGCUAACUUUUUGUGUUGAAGAUGGCUGAAUAUGGAGUGUAGUUACUCUAGAAACGCAUCUUCAUUGUUCGAAAAAAAAAAAAAUUCUUUUUCUUUAUUAAGUUUUGAUGUUCAUUUUUCUUCUUCUUUUUAUUUUCUCCUCUAUAAAUAUACAUUUUCCAACUUUUGAGUCGAAGAUGGCUGAAUAUGGAGUGUAGUGCCUCUAGAAACGCAUCUUUAAAAAAAAAAAAAAAACCAUUUUCUUUUCCUAUCAUUUUAAGUGUAACUUUUCUAAUUAGUUUUUCUACAUCAUUUUCGCAUUUCUGCAUGCAUAUUUUCCUUUCAUGCUUAGAAUAGGUUGGGGGGUAAAAUGUUGUUUAAAAAAAAAAAAAAAAUUUGUGUGAUUUGUUUUAACAUUGGAUGACAUGAUUAAUUUCAAAUUUUAGUAUUUGUAUUAUCUUUGAUCUUAAGUGAUGUUACAUUAUGUUUGCUACUCUACAUGUUGAUGUCGGAGACAAAUAUGAGUUGCUUGAAGGAAUGAACAUGUCAUAAUAAGUACCAAGUGAGUUUUUUAGCCUAUUAUUUUUCUUGGAGAAUAACCUUUUUGCCCACUCUUUAUACAGCUUAGCAGUUUAUUAUUUUACACACGAUCUCUAGAUUUCUUUUGAGUUAACCCUUUAAAAAAAAAAAAAAAAAAAGCGUGUUGCUACAUUGGGAGGCCCAUCUAACUAGUAGAUAUGGAUAAUUAUUUAGAGCCCUAAAAGACGAUGGAAAGGCCAUCUUUGAUCCGUUUGAGCCUUUCUAGCCAUCCCUUUUAUUAAAUAUCCAUAGUUACCCCUUUUGAGCCUUUAAAAAAAAAAAAAAAAAAAACCUUUUCUUUGUCAACUUAUCAUUCUGACCCACUCCAAUUUGGAGUAUUACCCGAUGUUUUAUAAGUUCCAUCACCUAUUUAUGUUUGAGAAAAAUGUAAAUAAUUAUUUUGUUCAGUAAAGUUAUGCCAAAAAAAAAAAAGAGAAAAAAACAAAAAAAAAAACAAAAGUUGUUGUUUCAAAAGAAUAAAAAUAACAAUAAUAGGUGAAAUCCACCUUGCAACUUAAAAAAAAAAAAAAAAUUAUCUGCAUUUUUCUCAAACAUACACUUUGUUUUCCUUAUUUCCCUUCUUUGUUAGCCAUGUCCCUAGCCUACGUUACAUCCUAAUAAAAGUCCUUCUUGAUUUUAGGAAACUAUAGUUUGAAGUAGAAGCUAGUUAUAUGGGCUAAAAAGAUGUAGUGAUGCAUAAUUAAAAAAAAAAAGAUAAAUAAAGUGGGUUGACUAACAUUUUAUUUGACUUGAGAUCGUAUUAUUUCUAAGUUGAGGGCAUAUUUAUUUCAUCUUGGUGAGAGCAUGUGAUAUCACUUUUUCAUUAUUUUCUCUCAAUUACCAUUCAUUGGAGUGACUAUUUUUUGGGUUUAAUUUCUUUGUGAGAGUGUCACUACUUCCAGUGAGAUUUUGGGGUUUGACAUGUCAUUAUUGAAAGUAGCUAUAACAAAGUCUACUGGGCCGAUUCAUGUGGAUGGUUGAUGUGGGUGUGAUAUUGCUUUAGACUGGAGAUAAUGCUUAUACUUUUAUUUGAUUGCUAUCAUUAAUCUGAUUGAAUAAACACGAGUGUUUCUAAAAAAAAAAAAAAAUAUAUCAUUUUGAAUUUGAAUUUUGUUUUCGCUUUAUUUGCUAGGGACUAGCAAUAAGCUGGUUGGGGGGUGUGUUGAGUGUUAGAAAAUGCAUAUUUAUAAAGGAGAAAACCGUCAUUUUACAUUUCAAGUCUUACUAACAACCCUUACUUUUAUGUAUUUAACCUUCUUGUGAUGUAAUUACGUGUGUGUUAUUUUAAUUAAGUAUUUUAUGUGUUUUAGGGGCAUUAUAGUCAUUUCACAAUAAAGGAGAGAUCCGAUGGCAAAACGGACAUCACUUUUGAACUCAGGACGGUCGAAAACCUUAGGAGGGGCAUAAAAGGAAAAAUGGCACUAUUCACAUGUACGGUACUAUUCACGUAUACGAUACUGUCUACGUUACUGUUCAUGACACUGUUCACAUAGACGGAUCGAUGACGUGGCAUUGACCGAUGAUGUGGCAUUGACUGAUGAGGUGUCACGAUCCUGUUGGACUAAAAUUCUUAUGUACUGUUGAUGGUGACGUGGCAGCAUAUCAGUGGACGAAAAAUCUCGCUACGGUGCAUGUAUCACACAGGAUUAUUUUCAACCAAACCGUGUUACUGUUCAUCCGCGUGGUCAAACCGUGGACUGUUGACUGAUGACGUGGCGUAAUCCUGAGCGUCCAAACUGUUUUUAAUCCGAUGGCCAUGAUUUACUCCAUGUACCUAUAAAAAGGGGGCCUCCCCCCCUAAUUUGAUAGCUCUGAAUCCAUUUUUGGGAUCCAUUUUCUGUAAUUCCUUCUCCAUCUUGUAUUUUCUUUGUAUUUUAAUAAAUUUCCAUUUUACCCCUAGUUCAAUUAUGAGUAGCUAAUUUCCUUUCAAGCUUGGGUUGAAGGUGAAGUCUCAACAUGUGUCAUGGGCUUUAUUUAGUAAAUUUAUUUUCUUUUCCCCUCUAGUUUUUGUGGAUGAUUUGACUUAUCGUCGACAAAUAAUACUGAUCUUGUCUAGAUACCGCCUUGGUUACACCGGCUCUCUAGUAUAAGGUUAUUAUUAUUUGGCACGAUAAGCCCUUAGCACCAUAUUGAUUAGAGCGUGGUUCAUGAGGUGUGGAUUCCCCCCUCAUGAUUUAAUUGACAUUAAUAAGGAAUAUUUAGCCCUUGAUGCAUGUUGAUACGGAUCCAGAUACCCAAGUACGUCAUUUCAAUAGAAUUCUCUUCAAUUUAUUCUCGCUAUUUCAAUUCCAAUUUUAGAAUUUAUUCUCGCCAUUUUAAUUUAAGUUUUAGCAUAUUCCAAAUCAUUUCCACCACAAAUCCAAUCACCCAUUUACAGAAUUAAUUCUACACACAAUUAAAAUCCACCUCCUCGUGGGAUCGAUACUCGUCACCAUUGAUCUACACUACAAUAGAUUCGUGCGCUUGCGAGUUCAUUAAAAUUUGCACAACAAGUAACACCCAACGAAUUAGUCUAGCUUUUGCAUCUUUCUUUGUGAGAAGAUAUUUAAGAGCAGCAUGAUCAGUGAACACAAUUAUUUUACAACCAAUGAAAUAAAAUCGAAAUUUCUCUAAUGUAAACACUACUGCUAGCAUUUCUUUUUCAGUAGUUGAAUAGUUCAAUUGUGCAUCAUUCAAUGUCAUACUAGCAUAGUAAAUAACAUGGGGACAUCGAUCAACUCUUUGUCCUAAAACUGCUCCUACUGCAUAAUCAGAUGCAUCACACAUGAGCUCAAAUGGUAAGCUCCAAUUUGGGGGCUGAAUGAUGAGUGAUGAUGUCAACAACUGCUUUAAUUUUUCAAACGCCACAAGACAUGAAUCAUCAAAGAAAAAAUGUACAUCCUUAGCAAGUAGAUUGCAUAAGGGUCUAGAAACUUUGCUAAAAUCUUUAAUGAAACGUCUAUAAAAACCAGCAUACCCAAGGAAAGAUCUUACUUUUCUGACUGUUUUGGGUGGAGGAAGAUUAGAAAUGAGAUCCACCUUUGCUUUAUCAACCUCAAUACCUUUGCUCGAAAUGAUGUGACCGAGAACAAUACCUUGUUUUACUAUAAAAUGGCACUUCUCCCAAUUUAAGACCAAAUUCUUCUUGAUACAUCUCUGCAGAACUAGUGUUAGAUGAUGUAAACAUUGAUCAAACGAGUCACCAAAGAUAAAAAAAUCAUCCAUAAAGACUUCAAGGAAUCGUUAAACCAUAUCAGAAAAAAUGCUUAACAUACAUCGUUGAAAUGUAGCAGGUGCAUUACAUAAUCCAAAUGUCAUCCUCCUAUAUGCAAAAGUACCAAAAGGGCAAGUGAAAGUAGUUUUCUCUUGAUCUUUUGGUGCUAUGAGAAUCUGAUUAUAUCCUGAGUAGCCAUCUAGAAAGCAAUAAAAUUCAUGACCUGCUAAUCUAUCAAGCAUUUGAUCGAUAAAUGGCAAAGGAAAAUGGUCUUUACGUGUGACAGAAUUUAACUUUCUAUAAUCAAUGCAUACACGCCAUCCUGUAGUUACUCUAGUUGGUAUCAAUUCAUUAUCAGCAUUCGUAACUACUGUGACUCCUGACUUUUUGGGGACAACUUGUACAGGACUGACCCAUGAACUAUCAGAAAUUGGGUAAAUGAUACCUGCGUCUAAUAGCUUAAGGACUUCAGUUCUAACAAAUUCUUUCAUAUUAGGAUUUAACCGACGUUGCAUUUCCCUAGUAGGUUUAGCAUUUUCAUCAAGGUGAAUGUAAUGCAUGCAGUCUACUGGGUUUAUACCUUUUAUGUCUGCUAUGGUCCAUCCUAAUGCUCCUUUGUGCUCUUUUAAAACAUCCAACAACUUAUCUUUUUGUUCGUCAUUUAGGGAUGAUGAGAUGAUUACCGGUAGAGUACUUUCUUCUCCCAAAAAUGCAUAUUCCAAAGGGUUGUGUAAUGGUUUGAGCUCGAGUUUCAGUGGUGAUUCUGAUGAUGGGAUGAGUUUCUUCUCUGAUGGUGCUAGUUGCUCAACUCUUGACUUCCAUUUAUUAGUGUCCAUGGAUGGUGCUAAGUCAAGUAGGGCAUUGACCUCAUCGACCGAUCUGUCAAUAACAAAUUCCAAACCAAAGUGAGUUAAACAUGUUUGUAAAGGAUCAUCACUAAGGUUUGAAAGAAAAGUGUCAUCAACUAUUGUUUCUAUUAAAUCCACAUCAACAGUUCCAUCAUCUGCAUUGUGAGGCUGUUUGGCAAUGUUAAAGAUGUUUAGCUCCAUAGUCAUGUUGCCGAAGGACAACAGCAUAUUUCCAGUCCUGCAUUGAAUGUGAGCAUCCACAGUUGCCAAGAAAGGUCGGCCUAGAAUAAUAGGGAUGUGCUUCCUUGAAUCCUGUAUUGGUUGAGUGUCAAUUACAAUGAAAUCAAUAGGAAAAUAAAACUUGUCUACCUGGAUAAGCACGUCCUCCACAAUACCACGAAGUAUUUUCAUGGACCGAUCUGCAAGCUGUAACACCACUGGAGUUGGGUGUAAUUCUCCAAGUCCAAGUUUCAAAAAUACUGAGUAAGGCAAUAAAUUUACACUAGCUCCUAAAUCCAACAAAGCAUUCUCAAUUGUGUGGUUCCCUAUACUACAUGAGAUAGUGGGGGAGCCUGGGUCUUUGCAUUUUAGAGGAAUUUUAUGUUGGAGGAUAGAACUAACGUUUUCUGUUAAAAAUGCAUUCUUUUGAACAUGAAUGUUUCUCUUUUUAGUACAAAGGUCUUUAAGAAACUUGGCAUAAGAUGGAACUUGUUUUAUAGCAUCAAGUAAAGGGAUGUUAACACUUACCUGUUUGAAGAUUUCAAGAAUCUCACCUGUGGAUUUUUCCUUCUUUCCUUUAGCUAACCUCUGAGGAAAUAGAGCUUUGGGAACGUACUCUCGUGGGUUGGUUUCUUCUUUCUCCUCCGGUGGUGAGUCCUCAACCUUCACAGGUACAAUUUGAUUUUCUUUUGUCACCGACAUCUCCACUUUGUUGUCGACUUCUUUUCCUUUUCACAAGGUCAUGACUGCUUUGACCUUUCCAUGCUGCUAUGGUGAACUGGUACUUGCUUCAUGCACUCCUUUAGGAUUAGGCACUGGUUGACUUGGAAAUUUUCCUUUCUCAACAGUCAUUGCCAAGGUUUGAACUGAAGAAGCAAGUUGUCCCACCAUCUUCUCAAGGCUUGAAACUGAUUGGGCUUGUGAGUUGAAGCCUGCUCUCAACUCAUUUCGUAGUCCAUCAAUGGUGCGAUUCUGUUGCUCAAUCGUAGAGUGAGUAACAUUCUUGAAAUUCUGGAAUUCAUCCUCUCGUGGUCUGGGUUGAGAGUAGUUCUGGUUCUGAUUGUAUGGUCUAAAUGAUGGCUGAGAGACUUGAGGAUUUUGAGGAAUUGGUGGAGUUGGAGCUGCUGGUCCAUUCUGUUGGAAUCCUUGAGACCAUGAAAAAUUAGGGUGAUCUCUUCAUCCAGGGUUAUAUGUGUUGGAGUAUGGGUUGUAAUUCGAUGGUUUUCUCAUUACACCUAUGGUAUUGGCUUGAUCUGAGUAUGAGUCAUGGUCAUGUGGUUCUGUUGAUUUAGCAGUCGAUAACGAUGCUAUUUGUCGAGCAAGACCUUCAACCAUCUCCUUGACUUCUUUGAUUCCCGAAGUUGACUCGCCAAUGUGAACCUCAUUUACUCCCUUAAUUCUUCUAGUAUUCCUGAGUGAUCGACUCCGUUGUUGGGAAUUAUCUGCUUGUAGCUGGAAGAAUUCCCAAAUCUCUGCUGCACUUUUUGACAUUAACUCUCCUCCACUUGUUGCCAUUAGCCAUUCUUGCACAUUCGGCAAUAAUCCCUCCAAAAAGUAUUGGCAUUGGUGCCAUUUCUCGUACCCAUGAUGUGGACACUUCAAGAGUAGCCCAUUGAAUCGCUCCCAUGUUUCAAAAAACUGUUCGUCAUCUCUUUGGGUAAACUCUGAAAUUUCCCUGCGAAUAGCAUUGGUUUUAUGCACUGGGAAAUAUUUAUUCAAAAAUUUUGUAACCAUUUGUUCCCAUGAUGCAAUGCUAUUAGCAGACAAUGUAUUAAGCCACGAACGAGCUCUAUCCUUUAAAGAAAAUGGGAAUAGUCUAAGUUUUACAUCAUCAUCUGAAAAAUUCUCAUAUUUAAAUGUUUGACAAAUAGCAUGAAAAUCAUUAAAAUGAUUAUAUGGGUCCUCAUUUUCUAGGCCAUAAAAUGUGGGGAGACAAUUUAGCACACUAGGUUUUAGUUCAAAACUUCUAGCAGCUACAUUUGGGUAUCUUAUACAUGAUAUGCUCAAAUUAGCUAAAGGACUGAAGUAGUCCUUAAAUGGCCUCUCCUGUGGUUGCAAAUCCAUUUUAUUUUUAACGUGUUUGUGUGUGCGAAGUAUUUUCUCAAGUUUAAGGUCUAUAGGUUCAAGAUUAAGUAAUAAUGACCUUCGACCAUGCAUGCAGAACAAAUAAAAUGAAAAUAAAGAUGGGAACAAAACAAAUAAAAAUAAAGAAGGAGAAAUUACGUUACUAACCUUAUCACGCUGUUAAAAUCUUUCUAUAAAAAUAUACAAAAACAGAUACGUGAAAUAAAUUAACUAAAAAAAAAUAGUAAGAUAAACAAAAAUUACAAAGAAAAAAAAAUAACUUGAAAAUUAAAUUACAGAAUUUUAAAGAAGAGAAAAAGAAAAGAAAUACUAACCUUUAAAUGCAGAUUCACUUUUUUUCUUUUUUUUUAAUAAGAAAAAAAAACACAAGAAAACAAAUAAAAGAAAUUAUUCACAAAAAUUAAUUCUACGAAUUAAAAUAACUUACCUCCCCGGCAACGGCGCCAAAAACUUGUUGUGCAAAUUUUGUUGAACUCGCAAGUGCAUGAAUCUAUUGUAGUGUAGAUCAAUGGUGACGAGUGACGAUCCCACGAGGAGGUGGAUUUUAAUUGUGUGUAGAAUUAAUUUUGUAAAUGGGUGGUUGGAUUUCUGGUGAAAUUGAUUUGGAAUAUUCUAAAACUUAAAUUAAAAUGGCGAGAAUAAAUUAAAGAUAAAUCUAUUGAAAUGAAGCACUUGGGUAUCUGGAUCUGUAUCAACAUGCACCAUGGGCUAAAUAUUCAUUAUUAAUGCCAAUUAAAUCAUGAGGGGGGAAUCCACACCUCAUGAACCACACUCUAAUCAAUAUGGUGCUAAGGACUUAUCGUGCCAAAUAAUAAUAACCUUGUACUAAAGAGCCGGUGUAACCAAGGCGGUAUCUAGACAAGAUUAUUAUUAUUUGUCGACGAAAAGUCAAAUCAUCCACAAGAAUUAGAGGGGAAAAGAAAAUAAAUUUACUAAAUAAAGCCCAUGACACAUGUUGAGACUUCACCUUCAACCCAAGCUUGAAAGAAAAUUAGCCACUCAUAAUUGAACUAGGGGCAAAAUGAGAAUUUAUUAAAAUACAUAGAAAAUACAAGAUGGAGAAGGAAUUACAGAAAAUGGAUCCCAAAAAUGGAUUCAGAGAUAUCAAAUUAGGGGGGGGGGAGGCCCCAUUUUUAUAGAUACAUGGAGUAAAUCAUGGCCAUCAGAUUAAAAAUAGUUUGGACGCUCAGGAUUUCGCCACGUCAUCAGUCAACUGUACACGGUUUGACCACGUGGAUGAACAGUAACACAGUUUGACCCGGCUUUGAACAGUAACGCGGUUUGGUUGAAAAUAAUCCUGUGUGAUGCAUGUACCGUACGCGCAAGUUUUGGUCCACUAAUAUGCUGCCACGUCACCAUCAACAGUUCAUAAGAAUUUUAGACCAACAUGAUCAUGACACCUCAUCAUUCAAUGCCACAUCAUCGGUCAAUGCCACGUCAUCGAUCCGUCUAUGUGAACAGUGUCGUGAAUUGUAACGUAGACAGUACCGUACAUGUGAACAGUGCCAUUUUUCCUUUCAUGCUCCUUCUAAAGUUUUCGACCGUCCUGAGUUCAAAAGUGAUGUCCGUUUUGCCGUUUGAUCUCUCGUUUAUUGUGAAAUGACUAUGAUGCCCCUAAAAUACACAAAAUACUUAAUUAAAAUAAAAUACACAUAAUUAAAUUACAAGAACCUUAAAUACAUAAAAGUAAGGGUUGUUAGUAAGACUUGAAAUGUAAAAUGACGAUUUUCUCCUUUAUAAAUAUACAUUUUCUAACAUUCAACAGACAUUUCAAUAGAACUUAAAAAAUGCUUAAAAUUCUCGAAGGAUAUGUAUUUUUCCCUUUUUCGAUAUCAUUUAAAACAAGUAAGACAUAUUCAAUAAUACAUCGAUAAAGUACAAAAAAUGCAUUCAUUUACUAAUCAUAGAUUGCAUAAGAUCAAAGCUUCAUCAAAUAUAAUGUAAUCAUCAAUGCACAUUUUUUAUCAUCAAAACUUAAGUAAAACAUAAGUACAUAAUGACAAUAGAAAAUCAUCAAAAUCAACAUAGCUAUUAAGAAAAGCCAUCAUUAUAAGUAAAGAACAAGUGAUCAAAUUCAUAAGUGCAAUAAGUCAUUUGUACGAAUUUUAUAAAUGAUAUAACACAAUUAAUGGCAUAUGAAUUCACACAUACAUAAGAGAUGGACAAUGAUGAUAGACAAUUAAGAAGAUGAAAUCAAAGACCAUACAAUCAUCAAAAUCAAACAAAUCUAUCAUGAUGAGUUGACAAGCUAUCAUCAUAAAUAUAUAAUCAUGCAUCAUGAUAAAGCACUCAAUGUUAAACACAAUGAUAAUUCCACCAUACAAGCAUACUUUCACAAAUUCAUUUAUCAUGAUUCAUUCAACAAAAUUAAUAUGGCAAGAAUUGUUACCAAAACAAUUAAAUCAUCUUGCCUCAUCUUUUUCUCCUAGAUCAUACUCAAGUGAUUAUCCUCACAAGCUUUCAUCAAGGAACUUCUCCACCAUUCCUUGAUUGUGGUACCUACAAAGAAAAUAUUCAAGUUGUGCAUUUUGGUACCCAAAUACUCUUGGGUCCUUGAGUGUUAGAUUUGGUUCCUUUUACCCAAAUACACUUGACUCCAUAAUAUACAUUUCUCUUAAUUGGACAUCGAAAACUCAUAUGACCAUUUCCAUUACAAUAAUGACAAACAAUCUUAUGAUCACUUGUGGAGGUAGCCUUUACAAAAUAAUUUUUAUAAUAUUUUUGUUUCAAGUUAGGCUUAUACCCAAGUCCUCCUUUCUCAAGCACACAUUUUUGAGUGCUUAGUAAUUUUUCUAAGUUCUUUUGACCACUUGUGAAUUUUAAUACAAUUUCGUUGAGCUCAUUACUCUUUUUCUUAAGCACUUCAUUUUCUUUCAUCAACUCAUCAACAUGUGAUUUUUCAUGCUCAUAUGAAAUACUUUGUUUACCUUUAAAUGAUGCAAUUCUAUCAUGCAACAUUUUAUUAUCUAACUCUAGUCCUUUAAUCUUUUCAUUUAAUGAAUCAUUGCAUUUUUGUAAAGCAUCCUUUUCAUUUUUCAAGUCAUCUACAUAUGAUUCUAGAUGCUCAUGUGAAGUACUAGGUUUCUCAUUUGAUAAUGCAACUCUAUCAUGCAAUGUUUUAUUCUCUAAUUCUAGGCAUGUAAUCUUUGCACUUAGAGAUUCAUUUUCAUUUGUGAGCUUUACCAUUUUCUUUUUAAGAAAUGCAUUCUUUUUACCAAUUUUUAUCCAAUUAUCAUGCAAUUCUUUAAAAGCAUCAUAUAAUCAUCAUAAGUAAAAAGAUCAUUUACCUCAUCAAGUUCAUCAUCCGAUUCAUCUCCAAUUGCCAUGAGAGCUAGAUUUGUCAUUUCUUGAUGCUCUUCAUCAUCACUUGUUUCCUCAUCGCUAUCAUCCCAUGUGGCUACCAUUGCUUUCUUCCUGAGCUUGUUGAGAAGAGGGCAUUUCCGUUCUUAUAUGACCAGGCUUCUUGCACUCAUAACAUUUGAUUACUUCCUUCUUCUCCUUUCGGUUCUUGAGGUCUCUAAAUUUUCUUCGCUUACCGGAUUUCUUAAAAAGUUUUCUGAACCUCCUAGCCAGCAUAUCCAUCUCCUCCUCAUCCAGCUCGCUUUCCUCAUCACUCUCAUGUUUCGAGGCUUUGAGAGCAAUGCUUUUCUUCUUCUCCUCAUUGCCUCUUUCGGCUGCCAUGUCUUCCUCAUAAGAAAUAAGAGAACCAAUUAAAUCAUUAAUAGGUAAGAUAUUCAAAUCUUUAGCUUCCUCAAUGGCAGUCCUUUUUGGUCUCCAUUCCUUAGGUAACGACCUAAUGAUUUUAUUAACUUUCUCGCUAUUUGAAAAGGUCUUUCCUAGGGCUCCUAGAGUGUUCAUUAUGUCCGUAAAUCUAGUAUACAUAGAAUACACACUCUCAUUUUGUUCCAUUUGGAACAAUUCAUAUUGCCGAGUGUACCUACUAAUUUUAGACUCUUUCACUUGAUUCGUGCCUUCAUAAACAACUUCAAGUUUGUGUCAAAUUUCAUUAGCACUUUCACAACUAGACACUCUAUGAAACUCUUUCUUAUCAAGUGCACAAAACAAGGCAUUCAUGGCUUUGGAAUUUAGGGAAGCUUUUCUCUUUUCCAAUUCAUUCCAUUCCCGUGAAGGUUUUGGAAUAUCUUCCCCGACUUCGUUUUUAGUCAAAGGAAUAAAUGAACCAUCACAAACAAUUUCCCAAAUUUCAUAAUCUAAAGCUUGUAAAUAAAUUCUCAUCCUAGUUUUCCAAUAUGGGUAGUCAUUACCGUCAAAGAACGGUGGUCUAAUUGUGGAUUGUCCUUCCCUAAAGGUUGAGUCAUUAUGGGUUGCCAUAGAUCUUUAACUCUAGAUGGUUAAGUCCACAUAAGAGCACCUCGCUCUGAUACCAAAUGAAAUUCUAGUUAUGCAACCCAAGAGGGGGGGUGAAUUGGGAUUCGGAAAAUUAUUCAAUUCUAAAACAAAAUAUCAUGUAAAUCUAAAGCAAAUUUAAAUCAAUAACAAUUAAAUCAAUCACAAUAUAAAAAGAUAAGGGAAGAGAGAUUCAAACACGAAGAUUUUUACGUGGUUCGGCCAACCUCGCCUACGUCCACGCCUCCAAGCUUUCCGGGCUUGAGGAUUUCACUAAGCAAGCCUCCAAAGCUUCAAAUGCUUACACUUGACUUCCAAGGUGUCAAUGAACCUUUACAACAAGAGAUUAUCCCCAAUCUCUUAACCCAAGUGUAUCCCAACACUUACAAUCAUUCAAAGUAAAAGAUUACAAAUUUUUUUUCUCUCACACAAUAUUUAAGAUUACAAAUCAAUGCCCAAUGUGUGAAUAGAUGAAGCAAGAAUGUGUUUAAAGCUCUAUGAAGAUUGUAUUCUCGAAUAUAAGCUCAAUGGUCGUGUUGUGAUCAAUCUUGUUUGAAUUUGAAUGAGCUUAUUUAUAACUGGAGCUAAAAAACUAAUCGUUAUAGACUGUCUGCACGAAAAUGGUUCGCCGUUAACCAUUAACGGUUAACCGUUUAGGCUGGUCAAAAGUUACCGUUGGGCCAAAUUUUAAAUAAACGGUUUGCCGUUUAGGCUUACCCUUUCGCCGUUAAAUUCCAGAGACCUGCAAAACAAAUUUGGUUUAACCGUUCUUACUAAACGGUUCAAGGUUAGCAAUCUGGAAAUAAUCGGUUAACUAUUUUCAGUAAACGGUUCACCGUUAUUUUCCAGAAUCAUCAUUUUAACAAUACUUUGCAGAACAUGCUUUUUGGAAAUAAUCGGUUAGCCGUUUUAAAUAAACGGUUAGCCGUUUGCUACAGUAAUUGCUACAGUAAAAUAUUUUUUAAAUUUACAGUUUGACCCCAAAACUUUAUAAAACUAUACUAUAGCCCAGAAUGUUAUGAAAGUUUACAAAUAGGUCCAAUUUUAGAAUUUCUAAAUAAUACUUUGUUAAUCCCAAAACUUUUUGAAAUUAUGAUAUAGCCCAAAAUUCUAUGACACUUUUCAAAUAAGUCCUCUCCAAAAUUUCAAGCAAUACUUGUUGAUUUCAAAGUUUUCAAAACUCUUUCAAUUAAAUCAUAAACUUGAAAAACAACCAAUUGCAUAAAAUCAUUUUUCCAUUAAAUAUAAAACAUUUAUAAUGUAAAAAUAAUGAUUUAUUUAAAAUGUAUAAAAAUAAUAAUUUGAGCUUAAAAGAUUAAUCAUUCUUAAUCUUGUUUGUUAUCAUCAAAAUCAACAUUAUGAAAACAUAUAUGUUAACAAUUCCCUUUCUAUAAAUAAGACUUCGAGCCGUAUUGAAUAAAUAAGGUGAAAGUUAAUUAUCUGCAAUCAUGACAUAUUCCCAAGAUUCAAAAAUCAAUUCAAAUGCCACCUAACCAUAUUUAUUAAAAAUUAAAAAAAUAAAUAUAAAUAGAAACAAAUUAAUGAUUUUCGACUACCCCAAAAUCUAACACAUUUUUUAUCCUGCUGAUAUCUAAAAUCUUGAUUCUCUCAAACUAACAAGAGUUAGAAACAAAACCUAGUCAAAGCAGUGGAUUUAAUUAUACAUUUGUAAAAAUUAUGGCAUCAUCCAUUUUGGAUGCCACAUUAUUUUUAUAUCUAUCGCAAUUUGAUGAGGCAAAGGAAAAAUGAUGACUUUUUUCGAUGAGAAAAAAGAAAGAUGGCUUGUUUUUUAAUGAAGAACAAAAAAAUGACUUCAUUUUAGUGAGGCAAGAGAAUAUUGAUUGCUUCUUUUAUCUUCUUCACUGCUUGUUUCGGUUGCAAUAUUUCAAAUUAGUGCAUGAUUAAAAUUCUUUUUUUUAUAAAAUCACAUCACAUAUGAAGAUAUGUGGAAAGAAAAUUAUCGACGAAGAAGACAUACUUAACAUUUCGUGCUAUAAACAUGAUUCUGCAGCAAUAAUAUAGAGCUCACUAACUUGAUAUGCAUAAAGUUGGUUUUGAAGCAAAAUGCUAUCACACAGAAUCGUGGUGAAAAUCAUUGACAUGACAAGGUCAUAGUCGUGCUAAAAAUCAUGGUUACAAUUAUGAUUGACGUCAUGAUCUUGAAGAAAUCAUUAUCAACCUUAUAAUGAUAGUAUACAUCUGGAUAUCUUAGAUACAUGAGGCGUAAACAGUUGAUUUAAUUGGUUAUAAAGAUAUCUAUACCUGUUAAGAUUACUAUUAAAUUUUAUUAGCUUUUAUAUUCCUAUCUAUUUUAUUUUUUAUGACGAUGCCUAACAUAUUUUACUCGUGAAAGGAUAUAGAUACUCAAAUAUUACCAAGUUGAAGACUCUAGAACAUUCACGUUCAUAUUACCAAGUUAUAACAAAAUUACAUAUCUAUAAUGCUCUGUAUUCACUAAGAGUAGAAGAAAUCUUUUGAGUUUCAAAUAUAUUCGCAGUAAUGAAUUUCAUAUAGAGAAAAUAAAUGAGAAUAAUACAGAAUGUCUCUAUAUUACUUCUAGUGUCUUAGGUAAAAAUGUAUAUUGGAAAAGCUUUCUACUUUCUGAUAUGACUUAUAUUCAUACAACGAUAAAACUAGUUGGGAGCUACACAAUCAUGAACCAAAGACUUUGUGAUUCAAAAGUUUUUAUAUCUCAGUCACCUAGGUCAACUAUGAUGAGUAGAAUUAUCGAGAAUUCUUAUGGACGUCAUUUAAAGAAUCUAAAGAUUAUUCUCUCCAAUGAGAAUAGUUGCACUACUUGUUCCUAGGGUAAAUUAGCACUUAGACCAUCAGAUUCGAAGAUUGGUCUUGAAUCUCUAUUGUUCCUACAAAUAAUUCAGGCAGAUAUAUGUGGACUUAUUAGCCCAUCUAGUGGUCUAUUUCAUUAUUUUAUGGUCUUGAUUGAUGCAUUUGACAGUAGUCAUAUGUUUAUUUACUAUCUAUAUACAACAUUGUAUUUACUAGAUUGCUUGCACAAGUUAUUAAGUUACCUGCACAAUUUUAAGAUUAUCUAGACAAUGCUACUAAGUUUACGUCUAAAGUUAUUGGUGAUACUACAGUUCUUUGGGAUUGAUAUAGAGCACCCAAUAUCACAUAACUUAGAAGGGAUUAGUAGAAUCCUUCAUCAAACUGCUUUAGCUGAUUAUAAGAACUUUAUUGUUUCAUGCUCAAUUACCUAUUUUUUGCAUAUGGACAUACUAUUUUGCAUGCUAUGGUACUAAUACCUAGAGGCAUACUGCCUAUCACCAAUAUUCCUCAUUGCAAUUAGUACAUGGCAUCAACCUAAUAUAUCUCAUUUGUGCAUUUUUGGCUAUAUUGUGCAAGUUCUUGCGACACCCCCCUAGUGUACUGAAAUAAGACUUCAACGAUAUUUUGAAUUUUAUGUGCAUUUUGACUAUCUAUUAUCAGAUGUCUUGAACCUAUUACCAAUAAUUUUUUUACCGCAUGCUUUUACGAAUUUCCAUUUUAAUGAGAUAAAAUUUCCUUUGUUGGAGAAAAAAAAAAAAAAGGCCACCAUAUGCUGGGAAUGAGCUUUUAUAAUAACAAAAUUGUCUCCUUUAGAUUACCACACCACUCAAAGUGAAAAUGAAAUGUGGUGAAUAAUUCUCUUACAAAAAAUUAUAAAUCGCUUGUUAGUUGUAUUUACAAAUGUAUCUAAAGUAAUCAAGUCAUAUGUACUGGCUGCAAAUGUACUUGGCCAAUUAGUUGCUCCUAAUUUUAAUAAAUAAAAAAAACUAUUUGAAUCGUCUAUGGCACGCCUUAAGUAUUGUAGACCCAUUGGCUCAAAGGACAACAUUCUGCUUAAAAGAAAAACAAAAAGUUAGGAUUUGUUAUUAUGAAUGAUCAGGCUCUAAGUGAAAGUGGUCCUUCAAAGCAAAAGGUCCUUGAUGAGAACUAUGUGCCUACAGUAACACUACCUCCUAAAGAGACAAUUACCUUAAAUAUGGCCAAGCACUUGAUGUGGCUUAGAAUGAAGAAAAUACACAAAUUUUGCUCACAAAAAAAGGUGUGGAAUCUUAAAGAAACAAUCAUCGAUGAUAAUUUACGUUUACAGUAACCAUUGGUUUAAUAAAUGAUGAUAUUGAACUGUAAUCCAUUGAUAUGUAGAUUGAGACAUGAUUGGCCUGCAUCGGAAGAAGCAAUCCAUAUGAAGUUGGCUUCUUUGGCAAAAUGAUUAUUUUUUAAUGUAACCUAAAUACCUACUCGUAUUAAAUCUGUUGGAUAUAAAUAGAUAUUUUUUAAGAAACGUAACUAAAAGAAUAAGGUCGUUAUAUAUAAAGCACGACUCAUUGCACAAGGUUUUUUUAUAGAGACUAGGUAUUGACUAUGUGAUACCUAUUUAUUGGUAGUGCAUAUAGUUACAUUCCAAUUCUUCUAUUUGAGAGGCUUGAUACGCAUUUAAUAGAUAAGUGAUAGGUUUUUGUGUGUAUGAAAACUCCUAAAGGAUUCAAAAUGCUUAAAGCAUUGUAGUCACCACAUUGUAGCUUGUAUUCUACAAAGCUAUGGAAAUCUUUAUAUGAAUUGAAACAAUCUUGACAUAUCUGAUAAAGUUUCCUUAAUGACUACAUGAUCAAGGAAAGAUACAUGAAUGAUCUUAUUUGUCUUCGUGUAUCUAUAAAGAAGCUAAAAUCUAGAUUUGCUAUUGCAGUAGUCUAUGUUGAUAAUAUGAAUUUGAUUGGAACUCUCAAAGAUGUCCAAAAGCCUACUGAUUAUUUAAAAAAUAGAGUUUAAAAUAAAAAUUUUGGGGAAAACUAGAUACUAUGUAAAGUUAUAGAUCGAGCACAAAUCUAAAAAUAUCUUUAUUUUUUAGUCAAAUUAUUAUGAAAAGAUAUUAAAAUGUUUUAAUAUGGACAAAACUUCUCUAUCAAUUACCCCAAUGGUAGUUUCAUCUCUUGAUCUUAAAAAGAUUCAUUUAAUCCUAAAGAGGAUGAUGACCAAGUGCUUGCUUCUUCAAAUACCAUAAGUUGAAUGCCCGUUGGUGCUUUAAUGUAUUUAGCCCAAUGUACUAUAGCUGUGUUCAAUAACUUGUUAGCAAGGUUUAAAUCUUGAAUUGAGCUAGACGACAUUGGAAUGGUGUUAAACAUCUUUUUCAUGAUCCUCUUGGAAUUAUCAAUUUCAGUUUAUUUUAUUCUAGUAAAUUAACCAAAAAUCUAAGUCUUAUUAGUUUUGCAGAUAUCCUCAUAAAGCUCGUUCUUAGAGGGGUUAUGUUUUUACUUAUAAUAAAUAUUGAUUUCUUAAAAAUAUGUGAAGUUGACUCUUGUACUUGCAUUUUCCAAUCGCUUUGAGAUCCUUGUAUUGCAUGAAGCAAGUAGAGAAUACUUAUGGUUGCGGUCCAUUAUGCAUCAUAUCCAGGAUGCUGAUAAAUUAUCUUCAAGUGCAGACAUCCAAACAGUAAUAUAUGAAAAUAAUGUUUCUUGUAUAGCUCAAUUCAAGAGAGCAUACAUCAAAGGAGAUUGAAAAAGCUUACCUCACCAAAGUUCUUCAAUACUCAUGAGCUCCAACAAAAUAAGACGAUCGAUAUCAAGCAGAUACAUUACACAAAUAAUUUUGCAUAUAUGUUUAUUGAAGCUCUAUGCAUAUCAACAUUUUAGAAAAUAGUAUAUGGCAUCAGAAUGUGCCAUUUAAACAGAAUAUCGAGACGAUCAUUAGUGGAAUGCUCAUUAGGAGAAGAAAAAUUUUACCAAAGAAGAAUUUCAAUAAUUAAAUUGGAUACAUCUGCACUAUACUCGUUUUUUCCCUUUGAAUAGAUUUUUCUACAAGAUUUUAGUGGCAAAGGUUUUUAAUUAGAUAAUUUAAACCACAUGCAGCCCACUUUAUGGUUCGCUAAAUUAUAUUUCUUUUGGUUGAGCUUUUUUUCUAUUGAGUUUUUCCAUAGCAAAAGUCAAAUACAAUUAUCGUGAAGUGGUGGAUACCAAAGUGGGGGUGUUAUGGAAAUUAGUGAUUUAAAAAACAACUCAAGAGAUUUGACGGCUAAAGAGCUAAACAAGUCAAUCAAUUGUGGGUAUUAAGAUCACGAUGUGUCCUAAGGCUUGGCUGUGUUUUAAUUAGCUGAUGGAUUCCCUGAAUAGAGAGCACUACUCUUUGUAAUUUGUAUCCGAAGGCUUGGCUGUGUUUUAAUCGGUUGAUGGAUCCUAUAAAUAGGGAGCACUGCUCUUUGUAAUUUGUAUCUGAAAUUGAAAGCCUUAUCAAUUACAAUAAUAUCAUCUUUCUUUAUAUCAUCUAUUUAUCUAUUUAUACGUCUUACCUAUAUUCUCAAUAAUUAUAUUAUAAUUGAUAUUUUUAUUGUUUAUUGUUCACUGAAUAAUUCUUUUUUUAACCUUUGCUUACUAAUAGAAUUCUUCUUUUUUUUUUUAAUAUUCUCUUUAGCGUAUGAAAUUGAUACAAUUUAUUUUUUUUGAUUUUAGUACUUUUUUCGUUCAACUACUUAGGAAUUGUUUGGUAAUGAGAUGAUGUGGUUUUUAAUAUACAGUUGUUGGGAUGCAAGCUAAAUUUGUCAAAGAAAAGCUUAUAGAUUAUGGUAAAUAAUAAAUUUUGUAUUAAUUUUUAUAUUUAACAAUUAUUACAAAAAUUAUGAAAUAAAAAAAAAAAAACCACCAGCUAGGCAGUGGAGCCACAGCGUAGUGUGUUUUACCAAACACCCUAAUAACUUAACUUUGGCAACCUAGUUGUUGGAAAUCAGGCCCAAACAGAUCCCUAACUAGGGUGUUUAAAUGUCUACAAUUAAGAUUAGUUUAGAAAAUAAGGUCCUAUUUAGUAUUGAGGGGCUAUCUACAGCUAAUGUCGAACAAAAUUGUAACUAUGAAAUAAAAGUUAAUAAUAUAUAGUAAAUAUAAUUUUUAAACAAUAAUUUUGAUAAAAUUAAUAAAGGCAUAAUAUUUUUUUUUAUCUUAUAUGUAUAAAAUCAAAUAAACUUAACUUCUAAACUACAACAAUUAAUAUUUACCAAACACUUUAAUGUUGUAUCUUAAAAUCUAUAACUAUCCAACCUCAAUUUUAAAUAGGGCCCAAGUAUGGGUAAUGCGUGGGAUUUAACAUCUCACAACUUACCUAGCGUGUUAUUAGUGAAAUUACAUUUACAAUAUUUUUAGCCCACUUACGUAGAUGGAUCAACUGGCUGUUAACAUGUUCUCCACCAUGGUCAUCAGAGUUCAAGAAAAGGAUUUAUACUGUUUAGUAGGUGAAGUUUCACAUUUCCAUCCAAAUAUUUUAUUAAAAAAAUAAAUCAAGAGUAUUCAUUGUGAAAAAGAAGUUUUUGUCCAAACAUUAAAGGGAUCUUCCAAAUUAAUGUAAAACAUAGAGCACAAACGAGUUAAUACUCAUUUAUAUAUCAAGUUAAAUGGGUUAAUUUUGUGUUAAUUGUGUUAUAGAUAGGCAAGAGUUAGAGACACAAACAAGAUCAAAAGGAUUAUCUUAGAUGGAAAAUUCUAUAAUACCGUAACAAAAAUUACGGUAUUAAUGUCGUAGUUAUUUUAUACUGUUGGAUGAGAUCAACGGUGUACAAUAAUUAAAAUAUAAUAAAAAAUGUAAUUUUUUUUCUUUAACCGGUUUACAGCCGGUUAUUUAUUUAUAAAAAAUUAAAUUUAACUGGCUAAAACAGUGGCGAAAAAGAAGCGGUUUUUGUUUGCCUCCAAUACUCUUUUCCUGCUGAUAAUUGCUUUGGAAGUUGCUCGAAGCAAAAACAGAGGCAAAAACAAGCGAAAAAGAAGAAGCCCUACAGCGACGUCGUUGAGGAGAACCGAGCUGAGUUCUUGAUUGUGAAGCGGUUUUGAGUCGACGAUAACGACCCAAAGUCGGCAAUUGAUACCGUAAUCGGCGCCAGCAAUUAAUAACCAUAUAAUCCUCUGCUGCCCUUAAUCUUGUUGAGGGGAAGAGAACCACGGCAAAUUACUAAUAAAAAUAAGGCAAGUUGCAGGCCACUGAUUCUCCUCUACCACAUUCGCAUUGUCGUUAAUUUCAACAUGUGUUUUUUUUUUCACAAUUUAUUUGACCAAGACACACAAAUAUAUAGAGAGAGAGAGAGCAUGCACUAGACUUUGAUAUGAUUUUUUCUUGUUAUUACAAGUAUUACUUGAAUACAAGUAAUAUGUCCUGUUCUGAAAACACAUAUUGUCGAAUUAUGUAAUGUUCAUUUGGUUCGUAUCUUAUAAUUUCUCUAGUUUAUUCAAUCUGAUUUGCUGACACUUAUGCCCAAUAGCCCUAGUUUCCUUUUUUACAAAUCCACUUAGAAAAAUUUCUUUGUUAGUGGUUCUAUUUUUAUUUAUUUAUUUUUGAGUGAUUUGCCAAUGUGUUAAAUUUGUGCUUGGAUCCUACAUAUUGGUAGUUAACGUUGAUGCUUUGAUGGAAUUUCUAAUAGAGUGAGUAAAUUUUGUUGAAAUUCUAAGUAGAGUCUUCAAGUUAUUUGUUGAAAUGCCUGAGAGAAACAAUGUGUUUGUAUAUGUUCUAUUAUUCAAAUAUGAGGUAUGAAAAUGAAAAUAAAAAUUUUGCGUUUGGGUAAAUUUUCUAUUGUAUUUGGAAUGAUUUGCUGUUGUUUUUUAGUUAAAUUUUUCUAGUGUUUUGGGUUUCAUUUGCUGCAGUUUUUAGGUUAAAUUUUCUAUUGUUUCUGGGCCAAUUGGCUGUUGUUUUUCAGUUUAAUUUUCUACUGUUUUUAGAUAAAUUUACUGCUGUUUUUGGGUUAUAUUUUUUACUGUUUUCAAGUAAAUUUUUUGGUGUUUUGAGCUUCAUUUGCUGUUGCUUUAGGUUAAAUUUUCUAUUGUUCCUGGGUCAAUUGGCUACUGUUUUCAGUUUAAUUUUUUGCUGUUUUUAGAUAAAUUUACUACUAUUUUUGGGUUAUAUUUUCUGUUGUUUCUUGGUAAAUUUUUUCUACUGUUUUGGGCUUCAUUUGCUGCUGCUUUUAGAUUAAAUUUUCUGUUGUUUCUGGGUCAAUUGGCUGCUUUUUUCAAUUUAAUUUUUUGUUCUUUUUAGAUAAAUUUACUACUAUUUUUGGGUUAUAUUUUUCUGUUGUUUUUAGAUAAAUUUACUAUUAUUUUUGGGCUUCAUUUGCUGUUGCUUUUGGGUUAAAUUUUCUGCUAUUUAUGAGUCAAUUGGCUGUUGUUUUUUAGUUUAAUUUUUUACUCUUUUUAGAUAAAUUUACUAAUGUUUUUGGGUUAUAUUUUCUGCUGUUAUUAGAUAAAUUUAUUACUGUUUUUGGGUUUAAUUUGUUGUUACUUUUGGGUUAAAUUUUUUGCUAUUUCUGAGUAAAUUUGCUGUUGUUUUUCAGUUAAAUUUUCUGUUGUUUUUGGAUAAAUUUACUGCUGUUUCCAGAUAAAUUUUUUUUCUAUUUUGGGCUUCAUUUACUGCUGUUUUUAGGUUAAAUUUGCUGCUGCUUCUGGGGUAAAUUUGCUGCUGUUUUUCAAUUAAAUUUUUUGUUGUUUUUAGAUUAAAUUUUUUUCGUAUAUUGGGCUUCAUUUGCUGCUGUUUUGUGUUAAAUUUUUUGUAGUUCUAGGUAAAUUUAUUGCUUUUUUUAGUUAAAUUUUUUGUUGUUUUUGGAUAAAUUUACUACUAUUUUUUGGGUUAGAUUUUUUGCUGUUUUUCGGUAAAUUUGCUGUUGUUUUGUGCAUAGAGCUGGCCGAAAAAUGGUCAUGAUGCAUUUUGAAUGCGGAAUGAUGGAGACUGGUAGUAAAAGUUGCUUGUGUUGUUUUUGCUGCUACUUGCUCCAUUUGAGCUUCUAGAAAUUGUUAAGGGUAGCUGGGAAGAAGAAAGAGAUGAUGAGAAAUGCAAAUUGUUUGUGAGCUUUAGAUUGAUGUACCAAGCCAAUAGUUAUAUUGCAAAAUAUCUAUUUUUUUUUAGUUUGUUAAUUUUAUUUUUUUGGAUUAUAACUAAUGCUGUAAAUAGUUAUUGUUUGUCACUAUUCUGGAAGCAAAUACUAGUCUAACUUUCUAGGAAAGGUGUUCCGAAUUCUUGCUUGGGUGAUUGAAUUUUGCAUUGAAAUGUUUAUUUCUAAAAUAUUUUUAGAGGAUCCAAAACUUGUGAUAUUUGACAUUUCUUUUUGUGCUUAAUAUCUUCAUGUACAGGUUCUUGUAAACUUGAAAAUGGCAGAAAAUGUAGAAUGAGAAUGAUUUCAAGGAGAAUGAUAAUGUGAACCAAGAAAAUGAAAUUUUAAGAAAAAAUCAGCCUUUCAUUGAGCAUAUUUGCACCUCGGAUUAUGAUGAAUGGUUGCACGACCUACGUGCUAGCAGAUUUAGAUGCGGAUUUGGCGAAUAUUGGCUUUGCAUGUUUGGAGAAUUGAGAGAGAGAGAUUCAUAUUUGGGGAAUGACGAAUAGGGACUAUGUUUUAAUUUUUCAUUUUUUCGUUCUCGUCUUCUAUGGUGCCAUUGAGACUUGAGAGCCAAGCCUUUUUUUUACCGCUUUCACUUAAAAAGGAAAAUGAAUAUUAUAAGGAAACGACGUAGUUUUAGAGAAUUUUAAAUGUUAUAAUUUUUUGUUGUUGUUUAUAUCUUAAUUAUAUAACAUUAUUUUUUAAAAUAAGUUAAAGAUAAAAUUUAUAACAUUUAUAUGUAUACCUAAAAUAUAUAUAGAACCACUUAUGUUAUGAUUUAUUUUUGGGUUCAGAUUUAUCAUUUUUAGUUAAAUUUUAAAUUUAUGAUUUUAUACCUAAUUUUUCAUUCGGGAAAGGGACAUGGUCGAUUUUUAUAAACUAAUUUAAAGAAAAAUGAUAGGUUUAUGAUUUUAUUAAUAUAUUAUAAUUAAUAAUAAUAAUAAUUUUUGAAUAAAUAAUCACUAUAAUUAAAAUAUAAAAUAAUAAUUAUGAUAAUAAUUCAUUAAGUACAUAUAUUACAUGCAAGGAAGACUAGGCUCGACUUUUAGUCUAAUUGACUUGACCUGAAUUUUUUGGCCUUUGACUCGAAUUUAAUGGUUAGGCUUGGGUCUAAAUAUUAGAGCCCAAUUAAAUUCAUAUCAGGGUUCGGGACCUAUAUGCCCGACCCGACCUGACCUGACCUGACCAUAAAACCUAAAAAAAAUGUAAUAAUAUGAUUACAGCCUUGAAUAAUCUUUAUUUUUAUGUUACUUCAAACAAUUUCUAAAGCUUUUAUAUUUUACUGUAUAUGGGGAGGCUAUGUCCAAUUUUUAAAUUUUAAAUUAACUAAAAAUUAAAAAAAACUUUAAAAGAAAGUGUGAUCAGGCCCAGGCUUUCAAAUAAUAGGGCCUUUUUGGGCUUGAAAAUUUUAUUUCAGUUAUAGAGUCAGGUUCAGAAAUGGCUAAGUACAGGCCUAACUCGACCCACUGCCAUCCUUUCGAAUAGACUAUUGAUCCAUUAUGAACUCAUCAAUUAAAUUCAUGAUCAUAGUAAAUGUGUUACUAUCAUUCUUUUGUUUGCAAGAAUAACUUGUAAACAAAAUAAAAACUUAGUAAAAUGACACAGAAUUUGUAAAUUCACAUUAAGUGUAAAAUAAAAUAAAAAAAUUUGUAAACCACACAUAAAACUAGUAAAUUGAUGGAAAAUUGGGUAAAUUAAUGUUCGAAUUGUAAAUUGAAAGAAAAACUUGUAAAUAAAACAAAAAUUUAGAAAAAUGACAUAAAACUUAUAAAUUAACAUUAAAUAUAAAAUGAAACAAUAAAUUUGUAAACCACACAUAAAACAAGUAAAUUUAAGGAAAAAUGGGUAAAUUAAUGUUGAAGUUGUAAUUUGCAAGAAGAACUUGUAAGCAAAAUAAAAAUUUAGAAAAAUAACAUAAAACUUGUAAAUUGAUAUUAUGUGUGAAAUAAAACAAAAAAUUUGUAAACCACACAUAAAACUAGUAAAUUGAUGGAAAAAGAGGUAAAUUAAUAAUGGUGUUGUAAAUUGCAGGAAAAACUUGUAAACAAAACAAAAACUUAGAAAAAUGACAUAAAACUUGUAAAUUGACAUUAAGUGUGAAAUGAAACAAAAUAUUUGUAAAUUACAUAUCAAAAUAUUUGUAAAUCACAUAUAAAACUAGUAAAUUGAUGGAAAAAAAAGUUAAAUUAAUGAUGGAGUUGUAAAUUAGAAGAAAAAAGUGUAAACAAAACAAAAAUUUAGAAAAAUGGCAUAAAACUUGUAAAUUGUCGUUAAGUGUGAAAUGAAACAAAAAACUUGUAAACCACAAAUAAAACUAGUAAAUUGAUGGAAAAAUAGGAAAAUUAAUGUUGGAGUUGUAAAUUGUAAGAAGAAGUUGUAAACAAAACAAAACCUUAGAAAAAUGACAUACAACUUGAAAAUUGACAUUAAGUGUGAAACGAAACAAAUCAUUUGUAAAUGACAUAUCAAAAUAUUUGUAAGUCACACUUAAAAUUAGUAAAUUGAUGGAAAAAGAGGUAAAUUAAUGAUGGAGUUGUAAAUUAGAAGAAAAAAGUAUAAACAAAACGAAAACUUUAGAAAAAUGAUAUAAAACUUGUAAAUUGACAUUAAGUGUGAAAUGAAACAAAAAAUUUGCAAAUCACACCUAAAACUAGUAAAUUGAUGGAAAAAGAGAUAAAUUAAUGAUGGAGUUAUAAAUUGCAAGAACAACUUGUAAACAAAAAUAAAACUUAUAAAAGUGACAUCGAACUUGUAAAUUGACAUUAAGUGUGAAAUAAAACAAAAAAUUUUGUAAAUCACAUUUAAAUUUAGUAAAUUGAUGAAAAAGAGGUAAAUUAAUGAUGAAAUUGUAAAUUAGAAGAAAAAAGUAUAAACAAAACAAAAACUUAGAAAAAUGAUAUAAAACUUGUAAUUGACAUUAAGUGCGAAAUGAAACAAAAAAUUUGUAAACUACAUAUAAAACUAGUAAAUUGAUGGAAAAAUAGGUAAAUUAAUGUUGGAGUUGUGAAUUGGAAGAAGAACUUAUAAACCAAACAAAACCUAAAAAAAUGACAGAACUUGUAAAUUUACAUUAAGUGUGAAAUGAAACAAAAAAUUUGUAAACCACACAUAAAACUAGUAAAUUGAUGGGAAAAAAGGUAAAUUAAUUUUGGAGUUGUAAAUUGCAAGAAGAACUUGUAAACAACACAAAAACUUUGAAAAAUGACAUAGAACUUGUACAUUGACAUUAAGUGUGAAAUGAACCAAAAAAAUAUGUAAAUCACACAUAAAACUAGUAAAUUGAUGGGAAAAUGAGUAAAUUAAUGUUGGAAUUGUAAAUUGCAAGACAAACUUGUAAUCAAAACAAAAAUUUAGAAAAAUGGUAUAAAACUUAUAACUUGACAUUAAGUGUAAAAUGAAAUAACAAAUUUGUAAACCACAUAUAAAACUAGUAAAUUUAUGGAAAAUGGGGUAAAUUUAUGUUGGAGUUGUUAUUUGAAAGAACAACUUGUAAACAAAACAAAAACUUAGAAAAAUAACAUAAAACUUGUAAAUUGACAUUAUGUGUGAAAUAAAAUAAAAAAUUUAUAAACCACACAUAAAACUAGUAAAUUGAUGGAAAAAUUGGUAAGUUAAUAUUUGAGUUGUAAAUUACAAGAAGAACUUGUAAAUAAAACAAAACCUUCGAAAAAUGAAAUAGAACUUGUAAAUUGACAUUAAGUAUGAAAUGAAACAAAAAAUUUGUAAAUCAUGCAUAAAACUAGUAAAUUGAUGAAAAAAAAGGUAAAUUAAUGAUGGAGUUGUAAAUUAGAAGAAAAAAGUGUAAACAAAACAAAAAUUUUUAAAAAUGACAUAAAACUUGUAAAUUGACAUUAAGUGUGAAAUGACACAAAAUAUUUGUAAACCACACUUAAAACUAGUAAAUUGAUGGAAAAAAUGAGUAAAUUAAUGUUGGAGUUAUAUUUGGCAAGAAGAACUUGUAAACAAAACUAAAACUUAGAAAAAUCACAUAAAACUUGUAAAUUGACAUUAUGUGUGAAAUAAAAAAAAAUAUUUGUAAAUCACACUUAAAACUAGUAAAUUGAUGAGAAAAUGGGUAAGUUAAUAUUUGAGUCGUAAAUUGCAAGAAGAACUUGAAAACAAAACAAAAGCCUUAGAAAAAAAUGACAUAGAACUUGUAAAUUGACAUUUAGUGUGAAAUGAAACAAAAAAAUUUGUAAAUCAUACUUAAAACUAGUAAAUUGAUUAAAAAAGAGGUAAAUUAAUUGUUGAGCUGUAGAUUGUAAGAACAACUUGUAAACAAAACAAAAACUUAGAAAAAUGACAUGGAACUUGUAAAUUGACAUUAAGUGUGAAAUAAAACAAAAAAUUUGUAAACCACAAAUAAAACUAGUAAAUUGAUGGAAAAAUUGGUAAAUUAAUGUUGGAGUUGUAAAUUGUAAGAAAAACUUGUAAACAAAACAAAGCCUUAGAAAAAUGACAUACAACUUCUAAAUUGACAGUAAGUGUGAAAUGAAACAAAACAGGCGUAAAUCACACAUAAACCUAGUAAAUUGAUGGAAAAUUGGGUAAAUUAAUAUUGGAAUUGUAAAUUGUAAGAAGAACAUGUAAACAAAAUAAAAACUUAAAGAAAUGACAUAGAACUUGUAAAUUGACAUUAAUUGUGAAAUGAAACAAAAUAUUUAUAAAUCACACAUAAAACUAGUAAAUUGAUAGGAAAAGAGGUAAAUCAAUUAUAGAGUUGUACAUUAGAAGAAAAAAGGGAUAAAUUAAUGUUGAUAGAAAAAUGGGAUAAACCACACAUAAAACUAGUAAAUUUAUGAAAACAGUGAUAAAUUAAUGUUGGAGUUGUAAUUUACAAUAAGAACUUGUAAACAAAACAAAAACUUAGAAAAAUAACAUAAAACUUGUAAAUUGACAUUAUGUGUGAAAUAAAACAAAAAUUUGUAAACCACACAUAAAACCAGUAAAUUGAUAGAAAAAUGGGUAAGUUAAUAAUUGAGUUGUAAAUUGCAAGAAGAAUUUGUAAACAAAACAAAACUUUCGAAAAAUAAAAUAGAACUUGUAAAUUGACAUUAAGUAUGAAAUGAAACAAAAAAUUUGUAAAUCACGUCUAAAACUAGUAAAUUGAUGGAAAAAGAGGUAAAUUAAUAAUGGAGUUGUAAAUUGCAAGAAGAACUUGUAAACAAAACAAGAACUUAGAAAAAUAACAUAAAACUUGUAAACUGACAUUAUGUGUGAAAUGAAACAAAAUAUUUGUAAAUCACACAUAAAACUAGUAAAUUGAUAGAAAAAGAGGUAAAUUAAUGAUGAAAUUGUAAAUUAGAAGAAAAAGGUGUAAACAAAAUUUUUUUAAAAUGACAUAAAACUUGUAAAUUGAGAUUAAGUGUGAAAUGAAACAAAAUAUUUGUAGACCACACCUAAAACUAGUAAAUUGAUGAAAAAAUGGAUAAAUUAAUGUUGGAGUUGUAAUUUGCAAGAAGAACUUGUAAACAAACAAAAACUUAGAAAAAUAACAUAAAACUUGUAAAUUGACAUUAUGUGUGAAAUAAAAUAAAAAAUUUGUAAACCACACAUAAAACUAAUAAAUUGAUGGAAAAAUGGGUAAGUUAAUAUUUGAGUUGUAAAUUGAAAGAAGAACUUGUAAACAAAACAAAACCUUAGAAAAAUGACAUAGAACUUGUAAAUUGACAUUAAGUGUGAAAUGAAACAAAAUAUUUGUAAGCCACACAUAAAACUAAUAAAUUGAUGGAAAAAUAGAUAAAUUAAUGUUAGAGUUGUAAAAUACAAGAGGAACUUGUAAACAAAAUAAAAAUUUAGAAAAAUGAUAUAGAACUUGUAUUUUGACAUUAAGUGUGAAAUGAACUAAAAAAUAUGUAAAUCACAAUUAAAACUAGUAAAUUGAUGGAAAUGAUCCUCGGGUUAGCUCAUUUAAUUGACUGCACCACUACUGGAUUAAUAAGCAAGACAACUAGCUAUUUGGGUCAAAAGCCUAAAUAUAUCAUUUAGUGGGAGGCUCCAUUUAAUUAGCUUAUGUGUAAGGGACCUUAUGUUAUUUUACGAGGUGGGUCCCUUAUAGAAAAAGCAAGUAACGUGAGUUUUGAUUUUCAUUAUUUGGAGUCUAGGGUUUUCACUAAAGGGAGAUAUAAAAAUGCUUAUUUUCUCUAAAGAAAAAAGAGCAGCCCAUUUAUACAGAUCAAAGAAAAAGAUUUUUCUCUUAGUUAUUGAGAGAAAAAGUUUCUCGUGCUAGUUGCUUUGAUAGUGAUAAAGGCGUCCACACGUCAAGUGCAGAUCGACCUUGAGUCAUAACUUGGAAGAUCAUUGUGACAGUUCGUGAUCUAACAAGCGUAGUGGUGACAGAUCGUGAUCUAACAUGAGUGGUGGUGACGGAUCGUGAUCUGAGAGCCUAAAUCACUUCAACAGAAAAAAGCCAAAUCGAAUUUUCAAGGUACGAUUUCUAGAUUACAAAUUCUUAUGUAUGGUAUGAGAGCGAUCUUAAAAGGUUUUAUAAAAAUUUAAAAACUAUAUUUUUCUCCAACAAUUGGUAUCAGAGUCAUCUCAUAUUAAUAUAUAAGAAUAUUGUAUGAAAUCAAUCUUGAAAUUUAUAUAUUAGAGUGGCACAAUUUAUUCAAAUAUAUAUUAUUAUUUUAAUAUAUGAAUAAAGCAUGUUUUUGGUUUGUCUUAAUUCAUGGUUAGAUUUUACGCUGUAUUUUUUCUUCGAAUCUGUAACAAGAGGGGUGACUUUUCAUCACAAUGUUUCCCUCUUGAUUUAUUUUACUGUUAUAGAAUUUUUGUAAGCCAAAAUUGGCCUAGGAAAUUUGUAAAUCAAUCAUGGAUGUCAGAUCAUAGGAAACGAAGGCUGGAUAUUUUGACAGCGGCAACAAACCAGCGCGUGCGGCCAGCAAUGGCCAGCGGCGUGCGCUGCACGUGCUGCAGCUGCAAGCAAUGUUGCCAGCAGCGUGCAGCUCGCGGGUUCCGUCAUUUGGUGGCAUUCCGGCGUGGCGGCAAUGGUUAAAUCGGUGUCGAACUUGGAUGAACAGUGACUAGCUUUGUGGUGAUGGCGGUUGGGGAGAGUAAACGAUGGAUUUAGGGUUUCAAUGGUUUUUAUCAUUGAGAUCCCUAUGGCUCCAUAUUUUUUUUCUUUUUGGGCAGACACGUUUAAAUUUUUGCAGUUAAGUCCAAAAACAGUUUUGGGCUUUAAUGAAUCAUAGUUUAUGCUCAAUUUCAAUUGGGCUUAAUGAAUUAAAAGGCAUAGAUAAAAUUGAACACAUUAAAUUUAUUUUUGAUCCAAAAGUUUUAUUUUAAUAAAAAAAAUUAAUUAUUUAUUUAUUUCCUUUCAAAAUUAAAGUUGGACCAAUAAUAAAUUUAAAAGCCCAAUUUCCCCUAGUCCAUCAACAAAGACAAGCUUAUGAAGAUGGACAUUGACAAGAAGCCCAAUGAAGAUUAGGCUUAGGGUUAAUGUAUUUUUCAUUAUUAGGAAAGCCAUGAAUUAAGAUUAUUUAAGUAUUAUUUUUAUAUGUUAUGUUUUGGAUGAUCACAUGCCAUAAUAACAUGUCAUAUAGAAUAGGCAUGCACGUGAACUUGGGCAUUUGAAUUUGCAAUAUGAUGCCUAAGAAUUUAAAAGCGGCUUGGCUUACUUUCAUGAGUUUUUUUUUUAAUCCUUUUGGGUUAAUGAUUUAAAGGCCAUCGAUUGAGUAUUAUCAAAAGAAGAAAACAGGGCAAAAGCCUAAGCAGGCGCACAAACAGAAUCAAGGAGAAGCAACUAUAAGACAUCUAAAGAGAAGCCGGAUUAAUUUUUGAAUUUUUCUUUUCCUCUUUUCCAUUGUUGUACUUGAAUGUUCCCUAAAAUGUUUAUGAAUUCUUUUAUAUUCCUAUGAAAUAAUUUAUUUUACUGGAGCUACGAUGUAGCAUAACUAUGAAAAUUUAAUUUCAUAAAUUUAUGUUACUUUUAAUUUAUUAUUCCAUGAUUGAGUUCUCAUUAUUGUGCUUGUUGGUGCAAAUUUUGUCCCAACUUAUGAUAUGGAAAUUUCGACUGAGGACAACCCCCUUAGGACUUGGGUUCCUCUUUGUUAGAUUUUAUGAUGGUGAGUUCAUUCUUUGGGCUGAUCUUUAUGGGCCUUUAUAUAUGCUCUUCUGAGUCCACUUCCUUAGGCAAUCAGAAGGUCCUUAUCUUGUGAUGCUCUACAAACACAAGAAAAUGAUCAGAGGGUCGGCGGUCAAGUCAAGUCACUGGACUUUUGGAAAUAUAAAUUUAGAAAGAGAAAGAUUAGAGGGAGAAAGUUAGCAUUUUCUCAUUUUGAGUCUCUUUUUUGUCUUACCUUUUAAUGAGAAUGAAAGACAUGUUUAUCGACCAAACUGAUUUGACUUGGGUCCUAGUUAUUUUGAUGACAAAUGUCAUUGUUCUUGUGACAUUUGACAACACUUGUCCUCUAGUGCCCAUGUGGAUUGACACAUGGAUAUACAAACUUGUCUACAGAUUAGAGGAAGGAACGUUUUAUCCUUAGGUUAUUUUUACUAAGACCUUGGGAUCAUAAGAGCCUUCAAACUUAGGAGGUUUGUCCUAGGAUAAGAGCCUAGAACCUCAACACGUUUUGGACUUUAAAUCCUUGCCACCUAGUUGAUUUAUCCUAGGUGAUUUGUCUUAGGAUAGGAAUCUAAGACCUUGGCUCCUUUUGGGCUUUGAAACCUUGUUACUUAGGAUGAUCAUUCUAGGUGAUUUGUCCACCACUUCGUGGGCUUAAUUGGGAGGAAAUUUAUUAGAUGGGCCUUAUUGAGAUUAAAUUUAUUUGGGCCUUAUUAGACUUAUUUUAUUUUUGGUCCAAUAGUGCUUAAUGCUUUUAAAUAUCGGGCCAAUAUUUGAAUGAUUUGAGGAUACGUAAUGAGACCAAGAGGAGAUUUAUGUAUUUUUGCUCUGUGUAAUGAAUGUCGUGAAUUGAAUGAAAGACAAAGAUGCGCCAGCGUGAUUCGUGCAAUUUUAUCUAAGAAUUUCUAUAAAGCUUAAUGAAUUUUUACAUAUUUAAAUUUACAUGGAGAUAUAGUUAGUUAAUAUGUGGGGGUAUUUUUGAUAUUAUUCGGGAGAUGAUAUUGAAUAAAUUAUGAAAAUUCACUGUCAACAUGAGUAAUAAUCUUUAAUAACAUAGAUGGAUGAUUAAAUUGAAUUGGUUAUGGUAAAACCGGAUGUCAUAGUGUCUAAAUCUCUUAGUGAUUUCUAUUACUACUUGCAUCUUUAUUUAAUUUUUAGUUAUUUUAUUUUAUUUUAUUUAGUUUUUAAUUUAAAUUCACUUAUUUUGUUAUUCAAAUAAAUUAGAGUUAGAAUAAUUUCAGUAUUUAAUAAGAGAUACAAUCUUCGUGGAAUGAUACUCUACUCUUCAUUAUUUUACUUGAGCCAACUAGUACGUACACUUGCUAAUUUACACAACACUCCAUCCGAAGGCUCAAACGAAAAUCUGUCAUGUGCUUGUUUUCCACCGAUUAACGUUGUCCCAAUAUGGUUCAUAAUCAACGGUGUAAAGCGGUUUGAAAACUGCAUCGAUGGAUAUGUUCACUUCUGGGACUGUGCCGCUCCACCGUAGCUAUUACACCAUUGGAUUUUUUGAGUACCCCUUUUACUUGAUUGUAAAACUAAAAAUCACUCGGUCGAACCAGUGCACGGCUUGAGCAAUUAUCACUAGAUCUAUAGUUGAUUGUGCUGCGACAGUUUGUUCAAGUUCAGGACAUUGGUGGUGCAGUGCAGCGAUAUCAAAUCGUCGGUAGCUUUGUUGCAAAUUCUAAUUGUUUGGGGCUUGGGUCCGAGCCUAUAACAUUUUUUAACAUCCCAGCUAGUUGAAAAUUUACAUACAAAUAUAAAGUUAGGGUAGGUAGCAAUCCAGGGUUUUGGUUCUACGGGGGGCCAUUAAAGAAAAUAAAAACUAAAGCUGGCUGUAACAUUAUAUCAGUAAAAUUAAGAUGCUAAUAUCGUAGGAGUUAUCAGGCGAAGCCAAAUUGAACUUGGGAAACCUUAGAAGUGUUCAAUUUUGACCCCGAUUUUUCAUUUUUAACUUUUUAAAACUUUCGAAGAUUAAAUAGGCAUGGACCUGGCUUUUUUCCUUUGUGCUUCAAUUAUUGUAAAUGUUGGUCCGGGUUGUCUUACCUUGUGGUUCAUUGUUGUAAAGAAUUUUAAUAUUAAUGGAAACAGAGGAUCCAUCGUGGUCUCUUUGGAACAUCCGAUAAAAUUAGAACCGAUACAGAGAAUGAAGAGAAUGCACCAUGGAUGAUGAAAUGAAGCAACAAGACGUUCAGUUUUCACAACUUAUACUCCAAGCUUAGUAUCUAAAUUUUCAUAAAAAUGAAGUGAUUCAUUGCAAAUUCAACUUUUCUCUCUUUAGACUAUCUUUUACUUUUCACUCUCUUUAUGGACGUGUUUUCUUUCAUUUUCUGUUAUACUAAAAACCAGGGACUAUUUCUAUUUUUUUAAUAAAUCCAAAAAAUUAAUUUCAACGCCAGAAAAACUUCUUGCCUAUUAUUGAUUUCUGUUAUAGUAAGUGUUCGUGGAGAAUUUUGUUCGAGUUCGUGGAUUCCUGCUGAAAAUUCAAGAGAUUGACAAACCGCUCUCCUACAUAUAAAUUUAAAUACUGACAUGGAGGUCUGGUUGCAAGCCGACAAAUCAACUCGACUAGAUUCAUCAUCAACAAUAUUUAUUAAUUUGAGCUUGAAUAAACUAUUAUUAAUUUCCUACUUUUCCAAUUCUCAGAUAAACUGGAAAUCGAGCAACCUUUUUACUCUGGCCAUCUGAAUUCCAAGCAACUUUAAACUUCUCCAUCAUAUUGUCUGUCAAAAGCUCAACACCCCUGUUCUUAGCCGUCUGAUAACCUGAACUUGACCGUAUGAACGUUAAGUAAUCAUCUAAAUCCAUCAACUUCUCUAAAACAAACUGAUCAAACGGCCCCGUAUUAUCCACCCCAUCUACAGGCUCAAAUGGAAAAUCA